rnacentral:lncRNA from 1 species
UUUCGAUAUCAAGCCCCAUAAUGUGUUGCUAGACCAAAACUUCACUCCAAAAAUUUCUGAUUUUGGUUUGGCCAAGUUAUGUUCCAAGGAUCAAAGCUUGGUGUCCAUAACUACAGCUAGGGGGACCAUGGGCUAUAUUGCACCUGAAGUGUUCUCCAGGAAUUUCGGAAAUGUGUCUUACAAGGCAGAUGUCUACAGCUUUGGAAUGCUGCUGCUUGAGAUGGUAGGAGGAAGGAAGAAUAUUGGUUCAACCACGGAGAACACUACAAAUGAAAUCUACUAUCCACAGUGGAUUUACAAUCUUCUAGAGGAAGGGGAUGACCUACGAAUCCGUAUUGGGCAAGAAGAAGAUGGUAAAAUUCCAAAGAAACUUGCUAUUAUAGGGUUAUGGUGUAUCCAAUGGCACCCGUCGGAUCGUCUUUCCAUGAAAACAGCCGUUCAGAUGUUAGAAGGAGGAGGAGGAGAAAGCUUGACCAUGCCGCCUAAUCCCUUCAUGCCUACAGGUCCUACAACUAGAAAUGCAAGACGCCUAGAGCGAGAAGCAAUUGCUGAAUUAGAGUAAAACGUAUAUGACAGAUAUGUAGAUUCGUAUUGAAUGUGUAAUGAUUCAAACCUAAAGGGAUAUUUUGAUAACCAUUUCAUUUUGGCACCAAACAAAAGAAAUUUGUUUCCACUCCAUGUUUAAGCAAUAGAUGCCGAUUAUUGUUUAUCAUUUAUUAAAUUUUAUUUUUGGUUACGGUAGAAGCCUAGAAGGCAAUCGAGCACCGGACUUACCAAAUUCUAACUCAUUUCUACACACCAAGAGCUUGAUUUCGGUUCUUAUUUUUACUAUUUAAGCUAUAAGCCGUGAUAAUAAUUAGAGCACUAUCAUUUGUUGUGAGCUUCAACUGGUUAUUUUGUAUGUUUUAAACUUUUAAUUAGAAUUUAUUUUUCACUUAGACUUAUCUUUCCGUAUGGCAUGCCAUCCCAACCCUAGUUUUUCUCCUCGCUUGGAGUUUGGGAUACGAAAACUUGCCAAACAAAGUAGAUUGAUUAGUAACCGAAGCUAAUUAUUCGACUGAAUAUUGUUUAGAAUUUUAAUUAACAGAAACAAUAUGAAUCUUUUUUGUUUGUUUUGAAAACUAGAGAUUAAAUUGUUACUUGUUAGAAGUAGAGUGAUUGGUAGACAUCGAAUCCUUACAUAAGUGCAUAGGCAUUAUUGCGUGAGGAUGACGUGAGGGCAAGGGAAGUAGCAGCAGACCGUGUGGGCUGCUGUGGUUCAUCUGCUCGGGUGACAGGAUAGCCUUUUUGACGAAAUUAUAAAGCGCAUAAACUUUUUGACCAAGAGAGUGGUCAACUAGGGGUGGGCACUUGAAAUCGAAAACCGAAACCGAAACAUGAACCAAAUCGGACCGCACCGAACGAUUUGGUUUUGCGGUUUUGAAACCGAACCGCAUUGUAGGAAACGGUUUGGUUUUGGUUUUGGCUUUUGAAAACCGCACCGAAACCGAAACCGUAUCUCAAAUUAUAUGCCAUGUUUUAAUUAGUUGUUUGUUAGAGUCCAUACAUUUAGUAUGUACAUGUCAUAAUAAUGAUUAUUUUUUCCAAGUUAUAUCCCUCAUCAAGCUUGGCAUCUCAAUGUUUCUUUACAGGAAAAGAAGAAAACUUUGUCACAGUUAUAUCCUUAGAACCCUAAUUUUCAAGUUUAGAAUGAUAGCCUAUAUAAUAUAUUAAUCAGAAAUGCAAAUGAAAACUCAAAAGGAACAAUGAGCAUCAAAUAAGAGUAGUCACAGAAGGAGAGAUACAAGACCGAAUCUCUAAUCAAGUAAUAAGUUGCAGCACUUCAUUUGGGUACUUUUUCCUGCUCACAGAGUUUAUCACUUGUGCAAGAGUUUAUCAUCUGUGCAAUUAGCUAGCUAGAGUAAAGAAAAGAAUUCUCAUGUGGGUGGUUAAUUAAUGUAUGUGUGGAAAAUGAGACUGUGGUAUGUGUAAAUAAGUAUAAAUUUUAAAUUGUAGAUUUUUUUUUCUAAAAAGCCAAACUUAAACCGUUUGAAACCGCACCGAACCGAUCGGUUUUGACUUUAAAACCGCACCGAACCGCACCACAAAAAGUUGUGAUUUCGGUUUUGGUUUCACUCAAAACCACACCGAACCAAACCGUGCCCACCCCUAUGGUCAACAAAUGGGACAUGGAUUCGUCGAAUCCAAAUCCUAAGAAUUCAUUAAUCUAUAUUAUUGAAAUUUGAUCAAAAGAUUAAAAUUAUUAUAAUUUUAAAAUAAGCUCGUAUUUGUAACUGUUGAAUCAACCUUUAAUGAUCCAGAUUGAUAAAUCCUUAAGAUUAGGAUGUAUGAAUCCGAAAAGGAUCAAUGUCCCAAAAAAUAUGCAACGUUUUGCAAGGGUAUUAAAUUUAUGAGUGGGAUAGACACAAAUAGCAGACCGUGUGGGGUGCUGUGGUUGAUCCACUAGGGUGGCAGGAUAGCCUUUUUGACCAAAUUAUAAAGCAGACUUUUUGACCAAGAGGGUGGCCAACAAAUAUGCAACGUUUUACACGGUAUUAAAUUUAUGACUGAGGAUUUGGAUCCUCUCCUGAGCUAAUGGAGAUGAUCUUCCUGACCAACCAUUAUGGGUUGUUGGAUUUUUAUCCAACGGUUAUAAUUAUUAUAACUUUAAAGGAACUCCCUUUUUAUAACCGUUGGAUAAAAAUCUAACAGUCCAUAAUGGUUGGUCAGGAUGAUCCUCUCCAUUGGCUCAGGAGAGGAUCCAAAUCAGAUGGACACAAGUAGCAGACCGUGUGGGGUGCUGUGGUUCCUCCACUAGGGUGGCAGGGUAACCUUUUUGACCAAAUUAUAAAGCAGACCUUUUUGACCAAGAGCGUGGCCAAUAAAUAUGCAACGUCUUGCACGGGUAUUAAAUUUAUGACUGGGAUGCACACUCAUCUUCUUCCUCAUUCGUUGUUUAUGUAAAAAAAUGUAAUAAAUUGUAAUAAUGAUCUUUCAACUUUAAUUAAAUUGAAACAAUAGUUUUUUAAUUAAAAUUCAUUAUUAUUAGUCUAUUAACUCAUUAAAACGUGUAGCUAUAGUCAUUUUCGUCAACUCCUUCAGAAUUCUGUCAAAAUAAGUUAUGUUGAAAGGACCAUUGCUAUAAUUGGGUUAAAGUUAGGGACCAUUGCUAUAAUUGGGUUAAAGUUAGGGACCAUUGCUCUAAUUGAGUUAAAUUUGAGGAAUCAUUUCUCUAGUUGGAUUACAGUUGAUGGAUCAUUGAUACAAUUUUUCUUAUUUGAUUUUUCAUUGUGCCCCUUGAUUUAGCCUCAAGUGCAUGACAUGUGACUAUUUUGACGGAAGUUCUAAUGGAGUUGACGAAAAUAAUCAUAGUUGCACGUUUUGAUGAGUUAAGAGACCAAUGAUAAUGAAUUUUUAGUUGAGGGAUCAUUGCUCCACUUAGAUUAAAAUUAAGAGAUCAUUACUAUAAUUUACUCUGAAAACUAAAGGCCUCCUAUUUUAGUUAUGUUUGUACCAUACUUGACCAAUCCCAAAACUACUGAGCACCGGUCAACGUUAUACCAUCAAGGAUCCAGAAGAGUUUCUCUCAAACCAGGAGGCCAAUCACAACACGACACAUGUCGAUAUCAAAAGCCAAUCAUAGCGCGACACGUGUCAACAUCAGAAGCCAAUCACAACACGACACGUGUCAAUGUCAGAACAAAACUAAAAACUCUCUUCUAUAAAAGGAGAUCAUUCUCCCUCAAUAUUUCCUAAUGUUCUUUGUACUAAAUCAUUCACUAGUACUGACUAAAUGAGAGUUUGAACCUAUGUACUUGUGUAAACCCUUCACAAUUAAUGAGAACUCCUCUACUCCGUGGACGUAGCCAAUCUAGGUAAACCACGUAUAUCUUGUGUUUGCUUCCCUGUCUCUAUCCAUUUACAUACUUAUCCACACUAGUGACCGAAGCAAUCUAACGAAGGUCACAAACUUAACACUUUCUGUUAUACCAAAGUCCUCACUGAUUUUGUGCAUCAACAAGUUGCAUUGGAGAAUCCUUUCAACCAUCCAAAUCCAAAACAUGGAUCUAAGGAGCCAAGAAACAAAGAGGAGUUCGUCCAUAUUCAUGGAUACAAGAAGCUAUGAGCAAGGGAAUGAGGACCUCACUUUGGGUGACUAUCAUUUACUUCUGCAAAGAGGACCUACAAAAAUAUAAAGUCAACUCACUUUGCUUUGAAUUUGAGUUGAGUCUUUGACUAACUACUAGACUCUGAAUUUCAUGAGUUAAGUUUUGUUUUUGAAUGCAUAUAAGCAUGCUAGAGCCUUUAAUUGUUAAUUACAUGUAUAUGUGUUGCUCAAAUGAACUUAGUUUAUCAAAUUUUUCUCUCAAGACCAAGGUAUUAAAUAUCGAUGAUAUCGGAAAUAUCGGUAGUCCAAAAACACGGAAAUAUCGAUGGAAAUAUCGAUGGAAAUAUCGGGAUAUUAUCGAUAUCGAUAAAAAUAAUAUGGAAACCACGGAAAUUGUAAGAAAAACUUGGAAAUUUUUAUUGAAACUUUGCAGAAUGUUUAUUUAGUCAAUUAUCUAUUAGUUUAUCACAAAAAUUUGGAAGGAAAUGCAUUGCAUGAUGGAUUUAACUGAUUUAAGUUGAUUAUAUAGCGAGCUGGCAAACAUUGUGAGUGUAGAAAAUAUGUAGUAAUUAAUGAAAGAAGUUUAAACACACCAUAAUCAUUUAUAUAUAAUGAAUUAGUACAAUAUUUUACACUUUAUACAUUGCAUGGUAAGAUACAUGAGUGACUAAGUACCACAUAGAGUUCCUAUGAGGUUCAAAAUUUUCACUAUCUUCAUCAUCUCUAUGUGUAGAGUAAGUGUAUUGUGAAGAGUAGUCAGCAACCAUGGCAAUGGCUUUCAAGAACCGAAAUCCAAAAGUCAAUAGGAAACCGAAUACUUCGGUAUUUUUCGGGAUUUCGGGAUUACCAAACAAAUGGGAUUUGGAAACCAAUCCCAUAUCGAAAAUUUCGGUAUUUUUCGGGAUGGGAUUCCCGAACUUCGGGAUGGUUUUGGUUUGGGAUUUUUCGGUUUGGGUUUGGGACUUUUUCGGUUUGGUUUGGGAUUUUCGGGAAUUUUUUCCAACCCUACAUGUAAGUGACCAAAUAAAAAAUAGAAAAAUUAAAAACCACAUGCCAUUGACUAAGUAAUUAAUUGACACAAUUUAAAAUAUAAUACCACAAAAAAUUUGGAAUAUGUGCAAAUUUGUUUCUUGCAAAAAGAAUUCAAAACAAAACCAUAUAUAUAAAUAUUUUAGCAUGUUUUCACAAAAACAUAAGUGGUAUAGUGGUCAAGGCGCUGAAGGAGUUAGAUGGGAGGGGUUUGAAUCCCUCUAUGUGCAUGUUUGAGACUUUUCAGAAAUUUUCAAAUAUUUUUAGGUUCAUCUCGCGAUAAUAUCGAUAUUAUCGCGAUAUAUUAGCGAUAAUUAAAGGAAUACUCGUGAAAUAUCGUUAUAUGAAAAAAACGAUAAUAUCGGCGAUGUUUCGCUGAUAUUAUCGAUAUUUUCUUCUAUGUUCAAGACCAACUUCUAUGGCAUGCGUGGUGUGUUUGAGACUUUUCAGAAAUUUUCAAAUAUUUUUAGGUUCAUCUCGCGAUAAUAUCGAUAUUAUCGCGAUAUAUUAGCGAUGAUUAAAGGAAUACUCGUGAAAUAUCGUUAUAUGAAAAAAAACGAUAAUAUCGGCGAUAUUUCGCUGAUAUUAUCGAUAUUUUCUUCUAUGUUCAAGACCAACUUCUAUGGCAUGCGUGGUGUCUCAUGCCAAUCACACAAAUGUUAUGUAAAAAGAAUUUACACGUUGUGUUGCAUGAUUGACAAUUAACGACACAAUAGUGUUAUAACCGUGUCAAUGUUAUGAAAGUUUUUAUGCAAAGUCACUUGAUAUGCCGCAACAAUUAGUAAACAAUAUUAGAAAGACCUAGAGGAACCCACAAUUAAUUCCAAUUCAUUAAGUAGCUCAUGUGCAAGCAAAGUAUGGGCUUCCCAUGGGCAGGAGCUGGAAUUUACCCAUAUUUGGUAGUUAUGUAGCAUUAUACGAGGAGCCUGCUCAGCAUUCAAUAUGUUCACCCACAUGAUGUUGAGUGUAAUCCUUCUUAAGGUUCAACGAUAUUGUUUCUAUUAACAAAUAUAAAUAAAAAAAUAAGCGAAAUACUAGAGAGAUUACACGUUUAUAUUACAUUGUUGUACCAUAUUGUGAUAUGGCUGUGUACAUACCACGUCUUGUAAUGAGUUUAUCUCAUUAGAUGUUAGACUGUUGGUUAUUUGUAUUACUUAUUACAUCAUAUGGUACAUCAAUGUGGUAUAAAUAUGCAAUCUCUCCAACAUUACCCUUAGGAAAAUUUUAUUUGAACCCAUCUAACCUCUUUCUACACCCAACUUAAAUUCUAAAUGUGAAUUGUCUAUUUUAUCCUAAUGCAUAAUUACCAUCAAGUACAAGAUGAAAUUAAGAAUAAAACUAAAAUUUAUCAAUAAACCCAUACUCAAUAAUUAAGUUCUACCAUCACACAAUUUUUAUCCUACAUUCAUUUUGAAUAAAUUCCUAAGGGCUGCAAUAAAACCCUACGAUCACCUAAUAAUCAAAUCCGGUUGCUUUUUGUUUCCUCUCUAGCUUCAUGUUAACUCGAUCAGUAAAAACAAAGUAUUCAAAGUAUUCAUGUAUAAAAUAAGCCAACUUGGACUGGACUUGCUAUAAACCUAAAAACAUAAGCAGAAUCCCAGUUGCUAAUUCCACAAGAACUCGACUUGCGACCAUUCAAAACCCAAUAAAAAUUCAAGAAAACCAGAACUUACCAAGUGAACGUUGACGGCUGAGCCAGAGCAGCAACGACGAAAGGAAGCAUUGCAGAUAAGACCUGAGACGACGAGCCGUCGGAAGCCCCUUUGGAUAUUUCAGCUGAUGGGUUUAUCCCAAACGACAGCAUCAACGCGUUGCCUUCCUUCCUCUGCGACCCGACUCUGCUGAUGUGCAAUGUGCUUACUCUUGUAAUCACUCCAUGUGCCAUGUGCAAACAAUCGAAGCACAUCGAGGUAGACAUAAUUUUCAGUUCCUUCAAGCUGCACAUAUUCCACAGUAAAAAAACAAAUGCAUAUGAAACAAGACCCUAUAACAAUCAACAAUUUUAUUUUGACUUUGGCUGCAACAAAAUUCUGAUUAUACAUCCUUUGCUCAAAUCCAGAAACUACACCACCAAAAUAUACACAGAAAAAUGAAACUUCCACAAUAAAUAAAUAGAAACAUGGGAACCUGAAGAACAUUAGGGACAUCGAUAAUUUCCGAAAAGGCAAAAAGGGCAGGGUGGGAGGUGACUUCUGCGACGAGGGGGCCGAGGGCGGAGCCAUCGAGUGAUGAGGCUUGCUUCACGAAGUGAUCAAAGGCCUCCUCUUGCUUUUGCUUUCUAAAAGGGUGUAAAGAUGAAUUUUUAUAUAUUGAAUUGAGUUUGUGAGGGUAGUUUAGAUAGUAAUUUGGGUUUAGAGAGAAAUUGAUUCUUUAAUUAAAAAUAAUAUGGGUGUAAAGAAUAAGUUAGGUGUAGCAAGAAGUUGUAUGGGUUCAAAUAAAAUUUCCCUUACCCUUAUCAGAAACCCUAAAAGACAAGAAAUGCUCUAUACUAAGACGUGUUUAUCAAACCGGAAUGAAAGUGUAGGAAAUGGAAUUGCACGAACUCCAAGUCAUUUUAGUGUUUACUAAACCAGAGGGAAUCAACAUUCAGGUGGGACCCACCCAAAAUCCGGAAUACAAUUCCUUAAAUACCCGGAAAUGGAUUCUUGACUUGGGAGGUGGGAAUUGAGUUCCUGAAAAUAGAUUCAUCAGGGAUCCAAGUUUUCUACCCAUACUAUCCUCAUGCUUUUUUGGUAAACCCAAAUAUCCCUCACAAUUUCACCUCCCCAGUUCCAUGACCAGUGUAUAGACCCAUCUCUCUUCUCCCCAAUCCCACCAUUUCCUAACAGAGGAGCUUCGACUCCAGUGAAAUCCCGACCCCUUUCUCCUUGCCCCGUCGCCGCAGACUAUCCAAAAUACAUGCAUGAACGCACAAAGAGAGGGGAAAAUGUAUGGCGUGGCCGCAUGGUCAUCUAAAAACAGGGGGUGGGGACGGUUGUGAUAGGUGGUGAGGAGCUGGGUUUGGGGAUGUAGGGGGGAGAAGAUGGCAUCGCAGCUUUUUGUGUUUUGGGUUUUUUUAUGUUAUUUUAUAUUUUUAAUAAAUUUGUUAAUUAUUUAUUUUGCUGAAUAGUUAUGUUUUCAUGUAGCUAAUUGGAUUUUAUGAGCAUAUGUGGUUAUCAAAAUUAACCAUUAACUAGCAUAUAAAAAUAUAAUUUAUAACAAGGGCAAUUUAGUAAUCAAAUAGGUUUCAAUUCCGAUUCAUGUGAGUGAGUAAAUAAUUUUUAUGUAAUCAAUAUCAUUUUUAUUCCGAUUCCAGAUAGUUUAGUAAACAGAUUCAACAUGAAUCCAAUUCUAAUUCCACUUCAUUCCAUCUUCUUCUCAAUUCAAUUCAAUUCCUCAUACUCUGAUUACGGAUUAGUAAACGGGUCAUAAAACGGAAAGAGAAAAACAUUGUUCAUAACCAACAGUGUUUUUACUUUUUUGCCCUCAUUUUUAAUGUUUCUGUGUUCCCACUUUUAUGCCUCUAUACAGUGAAAUCCCCAAUUGCCCUAUGGGCAUAGGUGUGUAAAAAAAUUGUUUUGCACACGUGGCAUGCUAGGGAGAUUUCUCUGCUGCACCGUUUCCUUCCAGCUCCACUCCGAAUCGAUACUGAAUACUGCUCAACCAAAUUUUUUCAUCAUUUCAUUCCGUCCUUGUCAACCUCUUCAUUCUUGCUCCACCAUGAAUCGAAACAAAAAAUUGCUCAUCCAAAUCAAUUUCAGUUAACUCAAAUCCCUAAAACCCAAAUUUCUCCAGAUCUUUGGAUUUAGUUUACUUUUUGUUGUUGCGUAAAGCUUAAAUUUACGUACAAUUUUUUUAUUUUCUUGAUUGGAAUUUGGAAAGAAUCAAUUGUUCUUUGAAGGAAUUACAGAAAAUUGGAAAGGGGAAAUGGGAAAUGGGAAAGCGAGGAAAUGCGGGCAAAUGGGUUUUGGGAAAAUGACUUUUUUUUUUGGCAUUCGCUUUUGGCUUUCAUCCUUUCUGCGUUUGCUUUUCCUCAUUUUUUUUCUCAAGAACCAAACAUAAAAUAAAAAGAACCUAGAAAAAAGAAAAGGAAAAUCACAAGAUUAAGAAUCUGGGAUUGCAACAAUGGAGCUUCUGUGCCGAAAUAUCAAUUGGGUUCCGUUUGAUCUUCGGUGCUUCUUCUGCAUUCAAAAAGUUGGGGUUUUUUUGCGUGAUGGGAACACAUUUCCAAAUUCGACCUCAAUCCCAAAGGAACCAUCCACCAAAUAACCCUUCCUCCCUUUCUAUUUCUCUCUCUGUAAUUUCCCCUGACCGAAUCACACAAUCCAACCAACUCUCUGUGUAAGGCUGCCUCACAAAUUCCAUGGAUUUCAUGGACUUACCCUCUCUAUGAGCCUCCCUCGCCGAAUCCAACUAAUUUCCUUAGGCCCGUUUGGGAUUGAGGUGAUUUUAAAAAAAGCAAUUGUGAAAAAAAGCUGAGGGUCAUUUUUGUGUUUGGUAAACUGAAAAAAAAUGGCUUAUUUUGAAAGCUGCUGUGAGAAUAAGCUGAAAAUCAAAGGAAAAGCUGAAGCUGCUAUUUGCUGCUUUGAAAAAAAGCCAGUUUUUUCAAAGCACACGGAGCUACAAUGCUCCUUUAAUGAAAAGACACACUAUCAUCCUGCUUUUUUUUCCAAAAGCACUUUCACAAAAAAGUUUACCAAACACUCUACUGGCUUUAUUUCACAGCCGCUUAUUCUCACAGCAGCUUUUUUUCAAAGCACAGCAAUACCAAACCAGCCCUAAUUCCAUCGAUAGCCACACCCACCCCUCCCAACUGAAAAUGACAAUAAUGCCCACCCAACUUUUAUUCUCUGCCUUUAGAUCUCAAAUUAAAAUGGGUAAUAAAGUCCUUUUCACACCAAUACCCGCUAUUUAACAGCUCAAAUGUACACAACCCAAACAAACACAUGGCCUAAAGGGCCUACCCCAGACCCCCGGCCCAAAAAUAUAAAGGAAAACUAAUGAAAAUUGCUUGAAAACUUUGAGUUUUAAUGAUAAGGACAAAAUAAAGGGUAAAGUGAAUAGUACCAGGAUUGACUUUUUAGUGUAAAAAUGUGGUUUUUCGUUAAAGUGAACAGUACCGGGUGCUUUUCGUUAAAGUUCCCAAAAAAUAAUUGGAAAAAGAAGUGGCAAUUUGGUAAAUAAAAUGUUACCUUUUCCAUUGCCCAUUCCUUUUGGAAAAAGAAAUGAAAUUAAAACUCUUCAUUUAAAAUGGUCUUAAGCCAAAUUGUAUUGAAUGUGAAGCAGAGGGUAAGAGGUGUAGAUUGUAGAACAAUUACACCUAGAGCGAAAUUGAAUUUGUUGACAGGAGGAAACCAAGUAAGGAUAACGCGUCUAAAUCUUAUUUCGCAUCUAUUCUGCUCAUGAUUUUUCUGCUUUCAUGUAAUUAGCGGCUUAUAUUUGUGGUAACGAUAUUGAUUAAUUUCGAGAAAUGACAGUCUAAUUUUCGCAACUGUCUUUUGCAGGUAAAACAAAGACGGUCUAAUUUUCGCAACUGUCUUUUGCAGGCAAAACAAUGACAGUCUAAUAUUCGCAACUGCCUCCUACAGUUAGAAGCAAUUGUUGAAUUAGAGUAACACUAGAAAAUGCACCCGCGCUUUGCUGCAAGCAUUGAAUAAUUAGUCACAACAUUCAUGAAUAGCAUUCCAAUAAAGCAACUAAAAAGACGUCGUAAUACGUAAGAACCAUCGAAGUCAAAUUUUGCUUGCUAUAUAUGGAUAUGCAUGCUAUAAGAAACAUCUAUUUAUAGAUUGUAUUGUGUCAUCAAUAUCAUAGUUGCAAGUAAUCAGCCUACUACAUGGAAGAAAAACACAGAAAAGGGAAAGUAGAAAAGUAGAAACAUAAUACUUGAGUACCUGGCAAGAAUAGUAAGUUCUUGAAAAAAUUGCUAAACCGUCUAACAAAUUCAAUCGUUAAACGUUAUACUGUAACCCAAGACAAAAAUAAAGUAUAUUGUUUGUUUACAAAUCAAAACGAAGUGCUGCUACAAUCCUCAACAGCUAUGAAUCAUUUUCAAAUAAAGAUACUCAGAUUUGACGGCACAUCAAAUAACCACCAAGCGAAGCAAAUUACGCCAUGUGCUAAUAAGAAACUAAAACAAAAGCAAGAUUAAAUAUCGAAAUUUUUUUAUAAGGCAUCAAUUGACAAAAUGCUUCUUAAUGUGGUCUUCCAAGAAAUGAAUGCAGCUCACAAACAACUUAGAAAUCAUUGUCACCUCAAUCUUACUAAAUAGAAGCAUAAAUGGACAUGAUAGCUCCCUAAUUUUGUAAUAGAAACUCUAACAAAGAAUAUCAGGCUCCAAAGGCCCUAACUUUUCCUAGGCAUAAAUCUAUACAUUGCAAGUUUAAUUCCAACGAAGCAAAUAUGCGUGCAAAGUAAAAGGCAUCAACACUACAUGUACUGCUUACAAUCGUCUCAAGUUGCUGACAACAACAACAACAACAACAACAACAAAGCUUUUUCCCACUAAGUGGGGUCAGCUAUAUGAAUCCUAGAACGCCAUUGCGCUCGGUUUUGUGUCAUGUCCUCCGUUAGAACGCCAUUGCGCUCGUCUCAAGUUGCUGACACAAUGUUUAAAAUAUUCCAAGACUCAAAGAUUUUCACACAAAUAGAGCACCUUACCAAAACAAUAACCGAGGUUGUCGUAUUUGAAUCAAGCAGAUGCUUUGCAAGGCCUUCUUCAAUAUCGUCUCAUAUUCCCUUUUCAUUUUUCGUAUAUGAUACAAUAAACUAUUCAAAUCUAGACAUAAAUAAGAGAAUCUGCUACACCCUACUAUCACAAUUGUCAGUCCUGAACAAUAAUGCAAGUCUAGUGGCAAAAACCACCUCAAUGAACAACUCACACACACUGAUCAUACAUCUCUAACUCUCUUUUUCAAAUAACACACACUCUGAUCCAAAACAGGGUAAAUAAAAUGCACAUCCUUAUACAUUUCUAACUUUCUUUUUCGAAAUCCAAAAUAGGGUAUUCUAACUCUCUUUUUCAUUCAUUUCUUACAAACCAAUCAUACAUUUAAAAUAGGCUUUGAAUAAAAAUAGGGUAUAUAAUUAUAUACCUCAAAAUGCCUAGGAACCAACUUCCCCCUCCAACGAUUCAAAUUCUUGAAAUUGCCAACACAGUAAAUCCAUUAGUACUAUAUAAAUGAAAACACAAUUGAAACCCAUCAAACAAAACAAUCCCACAAUUUAAAUGAUUCAAUCCUACUACAAUUGAAAUUCACAGAAAGAAUGAAAAACCAGAACAAAACUGCAGCACCUAAAAAGUUGUCAUACAAAAAAACAUGGAAUGUAAAAAUAUGUUAAGAAAUCUAGUUCGUUAAUUUCCAGCUGCUAAGUGGCAUUAUGUAACUUUAGUAGUAUAACUAAUUAACUACUUAUCUGGUGGGUUGCACUUCUAUCCAAUUGGUAAGGAAAGGAAAAUAAAAAUCAACCCCUUGGUCUUAGUUGUGGCUGCAAAGUGCAGGCCACCACCAAGUCUCAGUGUUUGUGUUUUAGCAAAACACUUAAAUAAAUUAAAUUCUGAAAUGUAAAUUAUAUUCCUAUAACUUUAAGAUGCACAUAUAGUAUUGUUGAAGUCGAACUGAAAGCACUGACAAUUCCAAGCAACAGAGCAGCAAUUAUUAAGAGCCAAAACUCAUUCCUAGUCUCCUCAUCCUGGUACUCAACUCUAAUCUUCGGUCAGCAUCAUUGACUGAAAUUAGGAGAGAAAAAGAAAAGGAAUUUCAGAAAUUGUCUAUGAAGCAAAGGAUACUGCAGUUACUUCAAGACAUGUAAAUUGCAUAUGUAUAAAGUAAUUUUCUACAUAAAGGAAUGAGGCAUAACUUUCUCUCUCCUCUUCAAACCCUAAACAGUGCAAAGCCACAAACUUUACAGAGAUUAGAAUGAGAACUGGAAUUAAUAGAACAAUGACUGAAAAGUAACAUACUUGAGGAGUGAAUGAUUUAGUGUUUCCAUCAUCGGAACGCCGGAGUAAGUCGCUAAGAGAGGUCGCAAACAGCCCAAAGGGACAAACCCAGACCCCCGGCCCCGAUCCAUACCCUUCCCCCUCAAAUCCCGACGGCCCCCAUACUUUUCUCUGACUGUACACCCUCUCCCACUCAUGAAAUCGAGGAUCUGCAGCAAUGGUACUGAGAUCCCCACUCCUCCCUCUCCCUUUCUCUCUGUCGCUCUGUCUCCCUCUCCCACUGUCUGUCUAUCUUUAUCCCAGAGCGGCAUGGUCUCCCAUCCCUGAAACCCUCACCGAAAGGUGGCAAUUUUGUAAAUAACUUGAAAUCCACCAACAGCAGGAGCAGAGAAUUGAAACAAACAUUUAGGCUCGUUCGAUAACCAUUUAGGCCAAAACUGAGCACACCUAAACCAUUCCUACUCGUGCCAAAUGUUAGUGGGGAAGCAAGAUGAUGACUUUAUUGUUCAAAACCAAAAGAAAAAAAGAGAGAAAACAAAAUAACAAAUCUAAUGGUUGUAGUGUAAAAGCUGAGAACGUAAAUAAACAUGCAGAGAAAAAAAUUGAAGAUACAAAGUAGCUGCAUCAUGAAACACUUACUCCAAUUAGACGCAAAAAGUGAUGGUGAUGAGAAGAGAGAGAAAAUGCAAUCGUUUUGAUUUUUCUGGCUUUUAAAGGGAGCAGCUUUCUUCGACCACCCAAAAAAGGAAGCUGCUUCGUAUGGUUGUGAUUUCCUGAGUGUAUGUGAGCGGGUCUAUGGCACUUGCACUUUUUGUGUCGGUUACGGUAACCGGGCGAGCUGAACACGGCGGCAUGGGACUGAAUUCGGAGAGGUGAGAAAAAUUAAAAACACAAAAAGAAGGUGUUCAUUUUGUCACAUUUUUAUUACUAAAAAUUCAAUAAAGUACAUUCAUUAGUAUGGUAACUUAACUAUUUAAUUCCAUCUCAUUAAACUAAAAAAAACAAUUACAAAAAAAUAAGGGAAACCUUGUCCAAAGAGACCUGAGAGAAAGUGACGACUUCUCCUCUCAUUCCACUCCAUACUUGAUCUCUAAAGUCCAUUUGGCAUGUAAUUGAUGUUCAAUUUCAAAUUUAGUGGUAGCAAUUAGCAAAGCUAAUGAAAGAAUCAAAUAAAAUGAAAGAAAAAGCAUCAUGAAAUAAAUCAAGAUGAAGAAUGAAAUUUUGGCAACUCCCCAUUCUCUUCUUUUAUAUAAAAGAUACAUCCUAUUUGUAGUGAAAACAGGUCCCGACAAGCCCAUUUAUCCUCAAGAAGUAUUUUCUAUGACUUUAAAAACAUAAUCUGUGAAAUUAUCUCUUGGCAGAGAACAACAACAAAUCUUCAUGCAUAGCUUGUAGAGAAAGACAUCAGGCAUACAAAAGAACACGCAAGCAUAAAAUAAACGACGCAGGGAAAACAAAAAAUACAAUUAAAUACGCUGUCAAAAGAACAUGAAUAAAUGAAAAUUACAAAACAAAGAAGUGAUGAGAAACCAAAGUACCCAUUUCAUAAUCUAAUUGUUUUUUAGUUUGCUGCCAGCCAUCCCUGAGUAAUGCAUUCACUUCUGAACCCCAAACACACUGAAACAAAAAUUCACACACAUGAACUACAACUCCGCUAUGUAACAAGAAUUAAAAGCAUCUCAAAACAAAAUGGCAAACUAUAAGAGCACUGUAAAAGUAAAAUUGCAAGAAAUCUAAUACUUGGAGGGCAAGUACUAAUCAGACGAAAAUGAAAGAUUGAACUACUUCGCGUGGAACUGUGCCUUGGUUUUUUCCCAUGCUUACAGGAAGCUUUGCACUGAGCCCUUAUAGCCCAAAUUUUCUCUGAAGGAAAAAAAAACACAAUUUUGAAAUAAGAUUUUCAUAUUAUACCUUAAAGAGAAGAAUUAGACAACAAAAAAGAGAAGAAUUAGACAACAAAAAAGAGAAGAAUGAGUACUAUUCAUCAUAUAUUGUUAGAGUAUGUGGUCCUCUGGUCCAAUGGUCCUGCAGCCAUAUUUACUUUAUAACUCUUUCUUUUAGUCUUAAAAACAUCUUGGAUCUCAAAUUAACAUGUUAGCUAUGCGUUAGAACAUAUUGGGUUCAAUCCAUUGUCUUGAAUAUCACCCCCAGUCACAGCUGUCUCUUCGGGGCAUACAGAAGGCCUGAGAGGCAUUUGCAGACAUUCAAUAUCUGCUCCAAGCAUUUCGACAACUUUGGACAACGAAGGGCAAUCACUUGGUUUCAUUUGAAUACACACAAGGCGGUUAUAACCAUCUUUCUUAUCACUUUCUUUUCAUCCUCUGUAACAUUGUCUAUUUCCAAGUCAUUUCCCACAAUAUAUUGAUCAUAUACCCAUAACGGGAAAUAGAUUUGGCUUGGAUGCUCUACCGUUGCAUUCAAAUUCUUCCUUCUGCUUGCCAUUUCCAUCAACAACAUUCCAAAACUAUAGACAUCGGCCUUGUAUGAGACACCUCUAAUAUUUUUGUAGAACAACUCAGGAGCAAUAUAUCUCAUUGUACCCCGUGCUGCCGUCAAAGAGACAAUGCUAUUAUCUACUGGAUACAAUUUUGCAAGCCCAAAGUCAGAAACCUUUGUGUUUGCACUCAAAAUAUACCCAUUUUUACUUAUUUGGGCAAUUUGGGUAAAAUAUGGUAUUUGAAGGAUUAAUAUGCAAGAAAACUAACUUGGAAAGAUAUUUGGCUGCAAGUGGGGGGGGUUUGGCACUAUAAUAUUGUUUUUCCCAUUUGUUUAGGUGGUGGAGGUUUGUCAAGCCUUUGUUUAAUCAAGAUACAUGCAUGUAUUGCAAGUGGAUGGGAGAGCUUUCGGGCAAGAACGUGUAGUGAAAGAAGCUAGUUUGCUUCUUUUAAUUAUUUUAUUGCAAGUGGGAAAAUACAUGUGGUGGAGAUGCAACUUGCUUCUUUUUUAAUUGUUAGUUUAUUACAAGUGGGGAAACAUGUGCUAAAAACAUGUGGUGGAGAUGCAAGUUUCCCUUUUAAUAUUGUUUCUACAUGCAAGUUGGCAAAUGCAAAUGCAAGCUGCCCAAGCUUCUUUCGGGCAGGUACAAAGAUCUUAGCAAGGGGGCUCUUCCAGACCUCUAUAUAAAGAAGCAGAUGGAGAAGGAUUAUGGACACUCAAAACAACCAAUCAAAACUCUACUCAAAUUAGCUCAUCAGCUUCCUUGUAGACAUUUAUUUUUAGCCAAGCAUCCUUUGCUUUUCUUGUUUAUUAGCUCUGCUACUCACUUGUAGUAUCGAUCUUAUUUGUAGCUUUUAUGUACAACCCUCUUUCAGUCAUUUAAUCUACAAGCAAUCUGCAAUAUUAGUCACUUUCCUCUGUCAUUUAUAUUUCCAAGCAACCUUGUCAUUUACAUAUUGUUCUAUCUCUCCAUAUAAGUAAAGUCCUUAUUUUUAAGGCAAACAAAGAACCUUAAUUUGAGUAACUCUCACUCAAUGGCACAAUCUCUUGGUUCGAAGUCAAUCUCAGGCGCAACCUCAAUCAUUCAGAAUCUGUCUACUAACGGUAUCUAGUAGUGGCAUGCCCGCACCCCACCAAUCUCGUAUGUGAAGUAAAUCCCCGGCUUGCCCGCAAGGCGCCAUGGCGAAUUUAGGGAGCAAACAUAUUUUGGCACACCCGGUGGGAUACCUUAAAUAGAGUUAUAUUAUGAGCAAUCCUUAUGUUCAUGAUUUUUCUCAAUAUGCUUUUUCGGAGUAUGAGGAGGAUGACGGUGUUGAAGAGCGCCCAAGCUAUGGCUAUCACAUAGAGCCAACCUAUGAGUUGUCAACUUAUGGGUACAUGGCUGAAAAGUACUCAAGUCCCAUGGAACAUGAUUGUCGGCCAACUAAUGGCCAUCAAAUAAAUAAUAAUCUUGAAGAUUGGCCAACUUAUGGCUAUGAUGAAGGUUAUUAUUCUUUUGAAGACAAUCAUAUUCAUGAAUACUAUGAUAGGCCAACAAAUGGCUUUGAGUAUCAAAAUGCUUCCAAUGAGUACAUAGAGCCAAUAUAUGAGAUACCAACUCAUGAUCAUCCAGAUGAAAAGCUCUACAAAGAGGAUGUGGGCAAAUUAGAGAAGGUGUCCAAACUCCAUGUGGCAAGCAUCGAUAUGGUGAAGAGGUGACCAAGUGUUUUAGAAAGGUGGAGGAAAGCUAUACCACUUUUGGAGAAACUUUGAGAAAGUUGAUAGAUCAAAUGUGUCAAAUCCCCUCUACAAAGCACACUCACCCUACUACAACCAAGGAAGAACAAAUCAUACACGUUGAUGAAGGCCAAACAAUGGCCCCACCCAAUGAAAAAUCCAUGAAAAUGGAUAUGGUUGUAGAAGGCCAAGCCGACAUAUUGAAACCGAUAACGGCUAAGAUGGAGCUUAUGGCUAUUGUAGGCCAAACACCAACGCUCGGGGGGCUCGAACUCACACCUCAUGUGGAGCCCGAAGAAGAAGAAAAUAUUUCCCACUCUCUUCUCCGCCAACACAAGCAUGUCAUCCAUACCAAGAUCUCAAGAAGGGCAAAGCUUGGGAUCAAACAUAAAUGGCCACCUCCUAUUGUUUCCAAGCUAUAUGGUAUGGCUAAUUUAAAUGGUGGAUCUAAUCUCUCUACACUCAAUUUUAAAAAGAGAAAAAGAUUUGAGUGUUAAGAGAUAUCUGGGCAAUCAAGGGGCUUAACCAAUAUGCCCAAGUGGGGCUUAUUUUGUUGUUUCCUCUUUUGCCUGAAGUUGAACUCCCAGUCUUCCUUUUCUUCUUUCCUUCUCUCUUUCCUUUUCUUUCUCUCCUGUUUCCUUUUGCCCGAAAGUAGGUGCCAAAUCCCUCCUCUAUUCCUUUUUCUUUAUUUCUUUCUCUUUGUCUUAUCUUGUCUUUCACUUUUCCCAAAAGGGCUAUAUAUAUACAGAGAGCUUAAGGGGAGGGAUCCCCAUUUUUUGAAAAAAAUGGGGAUUAGGUGUGGGGCCCACUUCACAUUGAACUUCAACAAUCCGAACCGUCUAUUUUGUUAGUCUCGAUUCAUAGAUCAUCCUUGCAAAAAUUCAAUUCAAUCCGAAACCAUUUGCCUAUUUAAUUAUCAAGAUCAAAUUUCAUUUUUUCUUAUAUAACAAAGUAUUCGUUUAUUUCAUUGAACCCAAUUAGAUGUCUUAAACAUUUCCAAUUUAGCUAAUAUUUUGCAAGGAUGAUCUAUGAAUCGAGACUAACAAAAUAGAUAGUUCGGAUCGUUGAAAUUCGAUGUGAAGUGGGCCCCACACCUAAUCCCUAUUUUUUUCAAAAAAUGGGGAUCCCUCCCCUUAAGCUCUAUAUAUAUAUAUAUAUAUAUAUAUAUAUAUAUUAUAUGUGAAAAGAGGGGAAUGGAAGUACUUUGCCCGAGUGGGCUUGUUAUAUAUAUUAUUUUAUAUAUUAUAUUAUAUUAUAGUUUUGAAAGUCAUUCAAAAAAAAAAAAAAAAAAAAAUCUGAGCAGUUUGCCCGAUUCCCUUUUCUUCAAAAUUUGCCCAAAUUGGUUCUUUCUUUUACUUUGGUCUGUGUUACCCGAGAGGGCUUUGUCCCUUUUUGUUUCUCUUGCUUUGGUUGCCUGACAGUCUUCCCUUUUAUUUGUUCUUUCACUUUUUCCAGCCAACCCAACAGGGCCUUUAAUUUCCUUUUUCUGUUUGCCCGAAAGGGCUCUGUUUUUUUGUGUGUUUCUUGUGCUGUUACAAAGAAAAAGAUAUAAAAAUUAAAAAUUCCAAAAAUCACAAAAACAUUUUGCUUUCUUGCUUUUGUUUUUUCUUGCUUUCUUUCCUUUUUUGUUUUCUUGCUGGGGAACUUUACAGAAAAUAUCAAAAAGUUGGGCAGCUUGUGAGUAGCCAUUUUUACCUUUCUUUCCACUUUUCUCUUAUCCAAUGAGUGUAUUUAGCCCGAACCCAAAAGUUGAAAUUAGAAAACCAUCUAGUGGCUGUACCCAAAUUCAUGGAAUGAGGAGUUUCAUAAAAAGCCGAAUCUAUGGCUUUCUUGCUGAAAAGCAUGUCAUCUGUGUCUCAAUGGCUAUUGCAAGAAAGCAUGGGGCUAUCUUGCCCAACUGGUGGUGCCCGAUGGAACCAUAACCAUGCCUGACGGUAAUGACGUCUUCCCUACUCACCACCAACAGACUCUGCAUGUCUCCCUAACGCUCACCAGUUCCUACAACCAAGGGUCGGGCUACUUUGACGACUACCAUUAGAGGCUACAGUAAGAGCUUUUGAUGUGGCUACUAUUAAUCACUGGAGACUAGUUUUCAUGGGUAAGAAAAUAGAAAAAUGGAGCUGCAUCUAAAUGUGAAAUCCGAAAGCUGGAGGAAGAUGACAGAAAAUUAUGUUGCUGUUGCCCGAGGAUGCUACAAUCUUGCCCGAUGAGCAUGACAUCUUCUCUGUUGCAAUUUGUUUAGAUGUUGUCAAUCAUAUAUGGGGCCCCAUGCUUGAUCUGGCAAACGUAUUUGAAGUGUUCAUGCCACUACAACCAGCAAUAAAUCAAGACCAGAUCUCUGAAGGAUUCUGCAGAUCGGUCGGUUCACUCAGACAUAACCACCUCCCUCCGAGCGGAACAAAAGCAACAGUGCAAAGUAGACAGCAUUACCUUGAUUUGGGAAGCAGAAUUCUGAACCUCAAGCAGGAUCUCUUGAUACGCAGGAGUUGGAGUAAGGAAACAAUGGCAGCCAACAUAAUAGCCGCAGCUUCGAAGCCAGACCUACCCGGCCUUCGGUCGUCAUCUUUAACCCCUUGGAGCUUCACCACUGGUUGAAGGAAGUAUGCAGAAAUUUACCUUUGCAGACGGAGCUUGGUUUACAUUUGCCCAGUUAAAAAGGAGGAGGAAGGGAUUGGAUCUCCAACAAACACUAAUAGCUUUCCGUUCUUUCUGCAACAAUCAAUUUUCAUGAUCCGUGGACUUGGGUUAUUUUCUUCACGCACGCACAAGGCAUACCCUUUCAUAGCUCCAGGAAAAAUCACCACUCUCUUCUCAUUUGACCAGCAGCUCUCUCUCUCUCUCUCAGACUUGGAUUAUGGUUGCCGCACCUUGAUCUUUAAGUGAUACCUCGAACAGAGAAACAACUUCUCUUUUGGAGAAGAGGAAAGGCUAGAGAACGACCCACGUUCAUCUUUUUCUCUCUAUCUCUCUCUCUCUCUAUCUAUCUCUUUCUUUUUCCUUUUCUUUUUCUUUUCUCUUGCUUUCUGUUCCUUUUCUUUUUCUUUUCUCUUGCUUUCUGUUCCUUGUCCCUUUCUCAAGGUAUGUCCUUCACUUGGCCCGAAAGGGCAGCAUACUAUAUAUAUUAUAGUAUGUGGCCUAAGAAAGAAAGUCUAGUCCUUUUUAUUAUUUCUUUUCCUCUUAUCUUUUUGUCUCUCUCUCUUUCUUUUCCUUCCUUUCUCUUUCUUCCUGUCUAUUUUUUCUUUUUGUUUUGAGUUGCCCGAAAGGGCUUUAUAUAUAUAUAUAUAUAUAUAUUAUAUUUGAAAAAGGCAAAAAGAAAAAGAUAAAAAAUAAUAGUUGCCAAAGUUUAUUUAUGUUUUAUCCUUCUUUUCCAGUUGUCCGACUUCGGGCAUUUUCAGUUUAUUAUCUAUGUAACCAGUGAAGAUGCUCUUAUGUUUUUUGGUAUCAACAAGAAGGAUGCACAAGUCAGACAACAUUUUUUUCCAAUGCUAGUUGCACUACCAAUUGCCUUGCUCCUCUUGCCAAAGUUUAUCAACGACGGCAGGACCGAAGAGGUAGACGUGCCUCUUCCUUCGACAUCAUUCUUGGCAGCAUUAGAGUUGUAAGUUUCACAAACUUUGCUCAAAUUUGUAAAACUUGGGGGGCACUGUUUGCACUCAAAAUAUGCCAAUUUUUACUUAUUUGGGCAAUUUGGGUAAAAUAUGGUAUUUGAAGGAUUAAUAUGCAAGAAAACUAACUUGGAAAAAUAUUUGGCUGCAAGUGGGGGGGGGGUUGGCACUAUAAUAUUGUUUUUCCCAUUUGUUUGGGUGGUGGAGGUUUGUCAAGCUUUUGUUUAAUCAAGAUACAUGCAUGUAUUGCAAGUGGAUGGAAGAGCUUUCGGGCAAGAAUGUGUAGUGAAAGAAGCUAGUUUGCUUCUUUUAAUUAUUUUAUUGCAAGUGGGAAAAUACAUGUGGUGGAGAUGCAACUUGCUUCUUUUUUAAUUGUUAGUUUAUUACAAGUGGGGAAACAUGUGCUAAAAACAUGUGGUGGAGAUGCAAAUUUCCCUUUUAAUAUUGUUUCUACAUGCAAGUUGGCAAAUGCAAAUGCAAGCUGCCCAAGCUUCUUUCGGGCAGGUACAAAGAUCUUAGCAAGGGGGCUCUUCCAGACCUCUAUAUAAAGAAGCAGAUGGAGAAGGAUUAUGGACACUCAAAACAACCAAUCAAAACUCUACUCAAAUUAGCUCAUCAGCUUCCUUGUAGACAUUUAUUUUUAGCCAAGCAUCCUUUGCUUUUCUUGUUUAUUAGCUCUGCUACUCACUUGUAGCAUCGAUCUUAUUUGUAGCUUUUAUGUACAACCCUCUUUCAGUCAUUUAAUCUACAAGCAAUCUGCAAUAUUAGUCACUUUCCUCUGUCAUUUAUAUUUCCAAGCAACCUUGUCAUUUACAUAUUGUUCUAUCUCUCCAUAUAAGUAAAGUCCUUAUUUUUAAGGCAAACAAAGAACCUUAAUUUGAGUAACUCCCACUCAAUGACACAAUCUCUUGGUUCGAAGUCAAUCUCAGGCGCAACCUCAAUCAUUUAGAAUCCGUUUACUUGCGGCAUCUAGUAGUGGCACGCCCGCACCCCACCAAUCUCGUAUGUGAAGUAAAUCCCCGGCUUGCCCACAAGGCGCCAUGGCGGAUUUAGGGAGCAAACACUUUGCUUUAAAGUUCUCAUCAAGAAGGAUGUUAUGAGGCUUGAUGUCGAAAUGUAGAAUUUGCAUUUUGCAACCUUGAUGUAGAUAUUGUUGACUUUUGUAUUUUAGGUAGGAUCCCUAAUUGAUAUGUAAUCCCAUGUAAUCACUUGUAAUUAGUUUUUCUUUCCUUUUAUGUUAGGGUUGUACACCUAUAAGUUCCUCUUAUUGAGAAGAAUAUAUCAUCAUUCAAAGCAUUCUCUUCUUGGCACCAGAGCCUAGGUUUUGAAAAGAAAAAAAAAAGAAAAGAAAGAGGAGACGAGAUCGUGCUCUGUACGGAAAACCAUAACUACCAGCCGCACAGCCAGUUGUGCAGCGCCGUCCGACCAGCAAGCGACGCCGUCGUUUCUGACCCGAGAACCCGAACUACCCGCCAUGCACCCAGGUGUGCAGUGUGCCGAUCAACCAGCGAGCGACGCCGUCGUUGCUGAUCCGAGUUCACCGAGCCACUCCCUGCAUCUACCACCACGAACCGAGAUUCAACCCACUGCCUGAAAUUUGUCCCAGAUUUCGGCCUGUGUAUCUGUUUUGCGUGCCCAGAUUCGAUUGAACCGAGUGCACCCACUUCACAAUGGCUCCCUGUGCUUGUCCUUUUUCAAAUGGAUUUGACCGAACCGGACAUGAGAGUAGGACCGAUCGAGACCAGUUCAAGACUUGUGAUCCCCACUGUAACAAGUCGUGUACCUCGAUUGUCGAAUCGAAAAUAGAUUCUAAUAUAGGUAACAAAGGUAAGGCUUUAAAAGUUUCUGCAUCUGUUACGAAUAAUACAUGGAUAAUUGAUUCCGGUGCUACUGAACAUAUGACUUGUGAAUCUAGGCAGGUACAAAUCCUAAAACCACCCACCAAAACUGUUGUGAGUGUUGCCAACGGUAAUGUUGUUCUCAUUAUUGGAGAAGGCACUGUCUCCCUGUCAAAUACCCUUAGUCUUGAUACCGUGCUUGUUGUUCCUUCUCUUGACCAUAAUUUAUUAUCUGUUGCUCAAAUAACUGUCGCCCUGCAUUGUCUUGUGAUUUUUUGGCCUUCCUUUUGUGUUUUUAAGGACAUUCGGACUCACAAGACGAUUGGUUAUGGUAUUAGGAAGGGGAAGCUCUAUUACUUGGAGCUGACAUCAAACAGUUUUCGAAUGUUGACUCACGCUCUUGCAGUGGACGGAAAUUCGGGGGAUAGGAAUAAAGCUUCGGAGGUUUGGUUGUGGCAUCGUCGACUUGGACAUGCUUCUUUCGGCUAUCUACGGAGGUUGUUUCCUAGCCUAUUUGUUAAGCAUGAUGUUUCUAGCUUUAAAUGUGGUGUUUGUGAACUAGCUAAAAGUCAUCGUGCUUCGUUUCCAUCCAGUUUGAAUAAAAGUUCUGUUCCAUUUAUGAUAAUUCAUUCUGAUGUUUGGGGUCCAUCUAAAACUGCUACAUUUGGUGGUGCUCAUUGGUUCGUUACUUUUAUUGAUGAUUGCACACGUAUGACUUGGGUUUGUUUGAUGAAAUCCAAAGGUGAAGUUACUUCUUUGUUUCAACAGUUUUACAAAAUGGUACAAGUACAAUAUAAGUCACAAAUACAGGUUCUCAGGAGUGAUAAUGGUGGCGAAUAUGUUAACUCUGAACUUCGUGCCUUUCUUGAUCAUCAUGGGAUUGUUCAUCAAACUACAUGUCCAUAUACUCCACAACAAAAUGGGGCUGCCGAAUGCAAGAACCGUCAGCUUCUGGAGGUUGUUCGUGCUUCUUUACUCGAGGCUCGUCUCCCGUUAUCCUAUUGGGGAGAAGCUCUCACCUCAGCUGCGUAUCUCAUUAAUCGUGUUCCAUCCCGAUCGGUUGAUUUUCAGACACCCCUUCAGGCAUUUUCUUUACAUGUUGAUGCUCCUGCAUUCCCUAAUCUUCCACCUCAUGUGUUUGGAUGUGUGGCCUUCGUUCAUCUUCAUAAACAACAGCGAAGUAAGCUUGAACCUCGAGCCUUACGAUGUGUGUUUGUGGGGUAUGCAUCAAGGCAGAAAGGAUACCGUUGUUAUCACCCACCGACGAAUAAGUUGUUUGUCACUAUGGAUGUUGCGUUUCAUGAGAAUGAUAUGUACUUUGCCAAUCUCGAGUCUUCACUUCAGGGGGAGAAUCAGAAAGAAGUUCAAACUCUUGAUUAUACUAUUCCAGAUAUAGAUAGAGUGAAUGAUUUGGAUUUAAGUGGUGAUGUCUUGGAAAUAAGUGGUGAUCAUUCACACGAAAAUAAUGAUGUGAAUGAAUUGGAAUUAAGUGGUAAUGUCUUGGAGACAAGUGGUGAUCAUUCACAUGGAAACAAUGUUGAAAACCUUGAAAGGGAUGAGUCGACAUCGCCAGAUAACUCACUGCCUGAUAGCUCACUGCCAGUUUCCUCACCACCGGACAACCCUGUGUCGCCAGCUACCUCACAGUCGAUCUUGAGUCCCAAUAACCAUAAUCAAUCGUCUUCGAUCCCGGAUGCACCACCACCACGUCGUCUCCCUGAUCGCAUCAACCGAGGUAUUCUUAAACUUACUUAUGAAGCCGACCCUAAAUGCAAAACUAGGUAUCCGGUGAGUAAGCCCAACCCUGAGUCUAAUGUGUUAUACCCGUUAAGUAAUUAUGUGUCUACCAGUCACCUGUCAGAAUCAAAUAAGUCAUUUGUGCAUCAAUUAUCUACUGUAUCUAUUCCUAACAGUGUGUAAGAGGCUUUAACUGAUCCACGUUGGCAAGUAGCAAUGAAUGAAGAGUUGAAGUCUUUGAAGAAGAAUGCUACCUGGGAGAUCACAGAUUUGCCAGCUGGCAAGAAACCUGUGGGAUGCAAAUAGGUCUAUACUGUGAAAUACAAAGCAGAUGGGACGGUGGAUCGUUUCAAGGCAAGACUGGUAGCAAAAGGAUAUACUCAAAAAUAUGGAAUCGACUACACAGAUACAUUUGCAGGAGUAGCCAAGAUCAACACAGUUCGUGUUUUGUUGUCCUUGGCUGCAAAUCUUAAUUGGCCUUUACAACAGUUCGAUGUGAAGAACGCCUUCUUGCAUGGAGACUUGACAGAAUAAAUUUAUAUGGAUCUUCCACCGGGAUGUAAUGCUCCAGAUAAAUACAAAAGAAAAGUGUGCAGAUUGAAGAAAUCUUUGUAUGUCUUGAAGCAGUCCCCUCGAGCAUGGUUUGGAAGAUUCACAAAAUCUAUGAAAGCAUUUGGUUACAGACAAAGUAACUCUGAUCAUACUUUGUUCCUGAAAAGACAGAAUGGGAAGCUUACUGCACUUAUUGUGUAUGUAGACGAUAUGGUGGUAACAGGUAAUGAUCCGGAAGAACGUGCGGCCUUGCAAAGAUACCUGUCUACAGAAUUUGAAAUGAAUGACCUUGGAUCCCUGAAAUAUUUUUUAGGGAUUGAGGUGUCGAGAAGCAGUUCUGGAAUUUUCUUGUCUCAGAGGAAGUAUAUUAUUGAUUUGUUGCACGAAACUGACAUGUCAGCUUGUCAGCCAGUAGCUACACCAUUAGAAGAAGGAUUGAAGCUUAGUGUUGAUCCUAAUCAAGUACCAAUUGACAAAGGAAGAUACCAAAGGUUAGUAGGCCGUUUGAUGUAUUUGGCACACACAAGACUGGACCUUGCUUAUGCCUUGAGUGUAGUGAGUAAAUACAUGCAUGAUCCUGGAGAACAACAUAUGAAUGCCGUGACGAGAAUAUUGCGAUAUUUGAAGGGAAGUCCGGGCAAAGGAAUUUUGUUUAAGAGGAAUAAUCACUUUAGUGUUGAAGGUUAUACUGAUGCAGACUGGGCAGGUUCCAUUGAUGAUAGACGCUCAACAUCAGGUUACUUUACGUUUGUUGGGGGUAACUUGGUUACAUGGAGAAGUAAGAAACAGAAUGUGGUUGCCCGUUCCAGUGCAGAAGCAGAAUACAGAGGUAUGGCUUUGGGGAUUUGUGAAAUUUUGUGGCUUAAGCUUCUGUUAAGCGAUUUGGGUAUACAACAUGAUCAGCCCAUGAAAUUAUUUUGUGAUAAUAAAGAUGCUCGUGACAUUGCACAUAAUCCGGUACAACAUGAUAGAACAAAGCAUGUUGAAGUUGAUUGGUUCUUCAUCAAAGAAAAAUUGGAAGGGAAAAUAAUUGAAGUACCAGCGAUAAGAACAGAAGAUCAGUUGGCAGAUAUCCUCACAAAAGCUGUUUCGAGUCACAAGUUUUCAAGUUUCUUACACAAGUUAGGCAUGAUCGACAUAUAUUCACCAACUUGAGGGAGAGUGUUGACUUUUGUAUUUUAGGUAGGAUCCCUAAUUGAUAUGUAAUCCCAUGUAAUCACUUGUAAUUAGUUUUUCUUUCCUUUUAUGUUAGGGUUGUACACCUAUAAGUUCCUCUUAUUGAGAAGAAUAUAUCAUCAUUCAAAGCAUUCUCUUCUUAUAUUCGAUCCCUUGACUCCAAGAGAAAUCUUGUACAUAGUCUUGAUAGUUAAGGGAGACUUCCUUAUUUGGAAUAAAUGUAUUUAUCAAGAGAGUCAUUAGGUAUGAAGUCAUAUAUUAGAGCGCUCUUUGAUCCCUCGACACAAUAUCCAAAAAGUUGCACCACAUUGGCACGGUGAAUCCUUCCGAUUGUAGCUAUUUCGCUAAUGAAAUCUUGGCCAUCAGCUUUGGGCUUGCCCAAAACUUUAACUGCUACAAAUCGGCCACUGCGUAGCUUUCCUUUAAAUACAAAGCCAAAGGCACCUUCGCUCAACUUGUCCUUAAACCUGCAAGUCAUUUUCUUGAUGUUCGAGUAAGAGUACCUUAUAGGCAUGAAGUUAUUGCAUUGCAAAAAAUCUUCUAUUGUGCUAUACAUUGAUAAAUGUCUUUUGCGCCAUGUAGAUUAAAAAUGCAGUCACAACUACAACUCCAAAAACAAAUCUGGCUAGGAAAAAUAACCCUGCAUGCAUUGACAUUAGUAUGUUAGAUCCACUGUACUACUUUUUCUUCCCUUUCUUUCCAAAUUACUUUGUCUUUGAUGUAAUUAAAGAGAGAAUGGGAAAUCUACAUAUGCUGAUAAUACAAUCUCGUAUUAGUUCUUACCGAUGCAUAUGAGUAUAAACCAUCCACGUACUGCAACAUAAUUAAUCGACAAUGAGUUUCAAAAGUGCAUAAAGUGAAGAAAAAAAAAUUUGAAAAAAAUCAAAGGGUGCCUCUAUUGACACCCAAAUUUUAGUUAGUUUCACUCAACUAAAAAAAAAAUUCAUCGAACUUUUUAAUUUGCCUUCGAAAUUGAGUUCACCCAACCCACCAACCAGCAAGCACCACUCAACCAAAAAAUGAACAACACAAAGAGCUGGCAUCGACGCUGUCGAUGAAGGAGGGACAUGAGGAUGGUGUAGUUUCGUCUGGCGCGCGGUAGUGGUUUUGUCUGUUCAUUUUCUCUUUCUUUUGGUAGGUGGAGGCUGGUGUGGAUUUGGGCGAACUUAAAAAUGAGGGGAAACUAUGAAGUUUGACAAAAUGUUUUAGUUAGGUGAACUUAACUAAAAUUUGGGUGCUAAAAAAGGUACCCAAAAUCAAAAGGCUUUUGUUUACCCAAUGCUAUGUACAGGUUUGACUUUUGUUUAUAUUCUUGGAUCUGUUGCUUGGUUGUAUAAUUUGGAUGUGGUUUUGUUUCAAGAUAAUUUGUUCUUCGUUUCUUGAGGCUUUUGUGUGUAGAUUUGAAACCGUUUAGCUUUCAAGCCGUUUAUACUCAAGGUAAAUAAUUUCGUUUUUUUCUUUUUAACCUUUUUUGUAAGAAUUUUUUAUUUAAUUUUGUGAGAGUUGUGUUUUCUAUAGUAUGAAAAUUGAAUCUUUGUGAUCUUAUAUCCUUAGAUAUGUUGCUUGGUUAUAUGAUUUGGCUGUGUGCAUUGUUUCAGGACAAUUUGUUCUUCGUUUUUGGGGCUUCUGUGCGUAGUUUUGAAGCCUUUUGUAGUCAACAUAAAUAAUUUUAUUUUUCUUUGUUUCUAGUCUUCUUUGUAAGAAUUUCUUAGUUAAUAUUUUGAGAAUUAUGUUUACUAUAGUAUGAAAACUGAAUCUUUGUGAUCUUCUAAGUGAUGUAACGUCAUUGCACCAUGUAUGACUGCCAUUAUCGAACAUGAAAAGCUUUUUUAUUUCUGUACUCCGUCCUUUCAUACGAUCUGCCUCAAAAAUGGUUUCAUUACAAGUUCUAACAUGAUUUUUGCGAUGUCUUAUGAAAAAACAAUGUCCACCAAAACAAUAGGAAAACGUCGCCGUCUGCUCUUCUUGGCUGAGCUUCAUGACUGGCCGAAUUCCCCUAUUCCCUUCCUCUUAUACUUUUUUGUAUUCGUUCACCAAAACAAUAGGAAAACGUCGCCGUCCGUUUGAUUGACGGCGAAAGAAAAAGACAGAGAAUAAAAGCCUGACGGAAUAUUGCGAUUUGAGAAAAAAAAGAAAGAACCACGUUGACAUAAUAUACUCACAAUAGGUGUACAAGGUUAAUAAAGCUUUACUGUGGUUCCAUUUUUUUGCAUACUUCAAAGGCUCUGAAUUGCUAAUGGAAUUAGCCUUUAGUUUUAGGAAGAAACUUGGAACCCCCUCCGUCCGUUCUAUCCCCAAUGGAAUUAACACUUGGAUAGUACUAUGACAAUGUGUCAUUAUUUGAUGCAUACCUGUAUAAAUUUAGGCUAAGUGUUUUAUACACAAAUUGGUACAGAUUAAGCUUCUGGGAGCAAAAUCAUAUACGGGAGAGCUAACUAUACAAUGAUACAUUCUUAUCUGUUAAUUAUCUUUGGUUACCAGCUAUCCAUGUUGCUGACAUAUUAAAUUACACAACAUCUAUUGUAAUUUAUGUCUUAUUAGUAACAUAAUGAUCUGGUUUCAAUUUGCUACAGGCAUUAUUUCCUGACAAUAGCUAUGGUUUUGAUUAUAGCUGUGACUGAAAAAUUAUUCCGAAACUAACAUUUGAGGAAUUCAAGGUUUGUUAGUUAAUUUGUACAUCAGAAUACCAUGACAAACUGUGAAGUUGUAAUUGUUGACCUUACAAUGUAUCUUUUUUGGUUUGGAGCAUUAGACUUAUAUGUGCUACUUUCACUUCAUGAAGGCUAACUCUUUAUUUUAGGCCUUAGAAUAUAAUUUCUUGGAGAAUCUACAUUGUUGUUGAUAAUUUUUUGAACAAUAUUAUCCCCAAAAUUUCUCCGCAUGUUACCCUCAACGUAGACAUCAUAUAACCAUCAUUGAACUUCUGAACCAAAAAUUUGAGUUUUGUGAUUAUAACUAAACAUCUAUAAACACAUGAUACAGAUUGAGACGAACGUCAAAUUUAAAAUGGCAUUAAUCAGGACAGCUGCAAACUCUGAUUUGCGGCCUUUGAAAUGGAGAAGUUACUUCUUGCUUCACUUCAGCAGCAUAGUCCAGCUUCUAAAUUCAGUUCUCAGGUAUGAGGUUUCUCAGUUACCUCUUUUUUGUAAUAAAACAUUUGACCAGUACUUGCCAGGAUAUCCAAUUAAUUAGGUCAGUUUUUGUCAGCCGUAAUAAUUUGUUUUUGCAACUUUAUAUGUGUCUCUGUCUCCAAAUGAUGAUCUCUUAAUUUGCUUCUAUAGCUUUUGUAAUAUGAUGAUCUCUUAAUUUGCUUUUGCAUAUCUUCUUUGCUUCCUCUGCUAGCUCUAUAUGAGAUUCCAUCUCCAAAUAAUUAUUAUUAUUUCCUAUUUUUACAGGAAGCAAAUCAUUGAAUACACAUGGAAAAUUAAAAGGGUUUUAGUUUUUGGAUUAGUUUAAAUUUUUUGUUUGUUAUUGCUUGUAUUGCUGUUAAAUAUUUGAUGGGUAGUUUGAAAUGGGGAACUUGGUUGAUCGAGUAUUAACUUUUAUUAAAUUAAUAUUCUUAUUCAAUAUUGAAUUAAGACUCCUCUUAUUAAAUUAAGACUCUUAAGGCUCUAAUCUAAUUUUCAUGCUCAACAUCUCCUCUAUCUUUCUACAAUUGGUAAAACUUUUGUAUUAUUAUUCCAAUUUUGGUUACUGGGUUGUGGAAUUUUCCAUUUUUUUCUGGGUAAUCAAUACUAUAUAUAUGCAUGAAAAGUAUAAACAAUAUUUUGGGUCAAAUUUAGUUGUUUAAUUUUUUAUUUUUUUUGUGACAGUGAGAUUAUGGUAGGAUUUCGUUUAGAUUCCGUGGCCCAAUGGGAGUCUCUGCUUUGAUAAGAUUGGGGUUGAUGCCAAGAAAGCCUUUCUACUGUGGACGCCGCAGCCGCCUAGCGCUGUUUUCCAAAAUCCUCUCUCACUUGGGUAAGCAAUUACGACUUUUUGGUUCAGUUUUUAUUAUGCCCAAUUUUGUAUUUAAACUGAUUUGGGGUUACUGAAAUAGGCAUGCUUGAUGAGUGCUGCAGAGCUGCCAUCCCUGAAUCAGAAGAUGUUCAGAAGGAAGAAGGAAGAACAAGAAGAAAAAGAAGAAGAAAGUCGUGGAAUAUCAAAAGCUUUUAGCUUUGUGAAGGUAUGCUUUUUCCCAACUCAUCUCUUGCUUUUGUUGCACUGAAUUGGUAGAUUGGGUUCAAAAUAUAUAUAUAUGUGAUUUUUUGUGUAACUAUUCUUUACAUAAUUACCAAUUGGAGGUGAUUUGAGAUCAUGUAACAUUUCCUCGCCAGAACCGAAGAUUGCCGUCGCUCAAAGCUGCGUUUCAUGAAACAAGUUCAUCUCCUGCCAAUUUUGUGUACCCACUUUUUAUUCAUGAGGGUUGGUGCUUGCUUGCAACAUAAUUUGGUGCUAUUAAGUUUUGCGGUUUUACAAUCUGUUCAUGCUUAAACCUCUUUCAAAUUUUCAUUUCUGUGUAAAUCUAGCAGGUAGGUCGACACACCUAUCUGGGCAAUGUCGGGAUGUCUAGGCUUGGGUGGAGACAUGGACUUAUGAAAGAGGUGAAGUAGCUUAGUUCGAUCUCAUUAGCUCUUAUCUAAAAAGUUCUAUUGAUUUUAUAAUCAAAGAUACAUAUAUUAUAGAAACAUAGGGUAUAUCAUUAAUUUCUUGAUGUAAACAAUUAUAACUUGAGCAACCAUUUAAAGUAUUUUGGUAAUCAGCAUACUUAAACUUAAAUGUGAUAUAUCCGUUUAGUUUUUUUUUUUAUACAGUGAUAAUACUCAAGUAUAAUUUACAUCAUAUAUCUUUUGAAGUACAUGAAACUAUGAAGAAAAUGAUAAACCAAAUCCCAUUCCAUCUCCGUUUGCUACUGCACAAUCACAAUCCAAUUCCAACAUGGAAUCCUCAGACGACAUGCCUACUGCAGAACAAGUUUCAUCUUGACUUAACUUCUAUUUAGUCCACUUCUUGUUUAGAUUGUAAUCCUAGUUCUACGUGUGUUUGUAUAGUACUCCUAUAAAUAUCAAUGAACAUCGCUCACUCUAAUUAAGAGUUGAGAUUCUGCAAAUCAUAUUUACUAUCUUUCAUGGUAUCACGAGCCAGGGUCUAACGACAACAGUUCAUGUUAUAAUUUUUUUCUCUUCUGCAGAUCCUAAACUAUGGCAUCUUCUUCCUCCUCCGCUGCUCCCUCCGUCUCAAAUUUUCUUACGAUUAAGCUCGACCGCAACAACUACCCUCUUUGGCGUGCUCAAUUUCUUCCCUUGCUGCGCAGCCGCAACUUACUCUCUUAUGUUACUGGCGAAACUCAAUGCCCCUCUGCCUUUCUUCUUGAUGACAAUGGUAAAUUCACAGACAAAGUCAAUCCAUUAUAUAAUGAAUGGAUCCAGACUGACGAGAUGAUCCUAUCUUGGAUUACGAGUUCUCUUACUCCCAAGGUUCUUGCUACGAUCGUCAACAAAAUUGAUAAAGCCUCUGCUUGGUCGUCAAACCCGAAUUAAUCUGAUUAUGGGGGUUUUGUUUUAUAUCAAUAUAUUGCAGCAGAAGUCGCACUUUGAAGAGUUCGUGCUGCACAGAAAGAUGAUGAAAUGCUACCUGUUGAGUCUAUCAUUGCUCCAUUGGAGACAGAGCUGAAGCUUGCUGCAGGAGUUAUACAUUUGUUAUGCAAUAUGACCCCUUUAAUUUUAUUUUAAAACUGAUACAAAAAUACUACAAAAAUUUAUGUAGUAUUUUUGUAUCAGUUUUGAGUGUCUAUUUUGGCUUCCAUAUUUCGUCUGUACAUGUGAGAGGUAUAGUGUUCAAUAUGUAUUUGGUUUCUAUAUUGUUAAUGGAUCUUCUUUUUUUUCUUUUUUUUUCUUUUUUUUUAAAGAUAACCAAGUUGCAGGAUGACAGCAGAACACUUGAUCUGCAGGUAAACCUUCAAUUUCCAUAUGAAGUUUGCAUGUUCGUUGUUUCUGGAAUUUGAGUUUUUAUUAUUUAUCAAUUCUAUCACAUAGAUUACGAUUUCACAUAUGGGAUUAUUAAUGGCAAUUAGAUGAUAGAAGAAUUGGGAUUGGAAGAAGAUAUUGAGUUGUUUAUUUAUGGGGAUUAGAAAAUGAUUAUCAUACGAGUGAUAUUUAUUUUUGUGUGGAUUGUUAAUAUAUAAAACUAUAAGCUUUUGAGAUUGGGAGACAAAACCCACACAUUCAAAUCAGACAAAAUAAAUAAAAAAUUUAACUGACUUAAAGAUCAAACUCCAAAAGGGUAUUAAAAACAAGGCUUAUUUGAUCCAUUGAGUGUGAAAGUUUUGAGCUUUGAAGAAGCAGAGGAGGAGAGUUGUUAACCAAGCUGCAUUAUCCAUGUAUUAGGAUGUUGAAGGUAGGCAGGAAAAUUACUUUUUGACGCCAUAUCCAGAGGAGCAUAACGACAGGCCUGCAUUUUUGCAGCAAUGACCAAAACAAGUAGAAGUGAAGGCUUGACUGUUUGGGUAUUCAUCCUAAACCUAAUUAUUCUUAUUUAGGUUUAGGAUAAAUGAUUGAGUGUGUCUCGAUGAUUGUAUUACUAUGUUUGAUGAAUGAUUUGAGGAGUUGGAAAUGGUUUAUUGCUUAUCUUUUUUUUAGGUGUGUACUUUGGUUAUUUCCGAGCUUUUCAUGACUUUUGAUACCUAAUAGAGAAUAUGGAAACCCCAACUUUAAUUUUAUGAAUUGGUUUUGGUGCCUAAAAUGAAAUCUAGCAUAGUGAAAUCUUGCAUAAUGAAAUUAUGACAAAUUUCCCUUCAUCUUUAGAUUUUCAUUUAAUUCAAUUCGUAUGCAAUUUAGGGUUAUUCAAUUCAUGAGUGAUCAAAUUAUGUUUUUAAUUCCUUCUUUUGAUUUACAGUUCAACAUUGUCGUACAAAAUGAAAAAGGCGCCAGUAACAGAGUUAUGGAUUUGGAUGCCUUUAGUGGAAUAAAACUGAAUUUUUUAACUUUGUAUAGUUGUAAACAUAAAAUACUCCAUGAGAUAGACUCAUAGCUUUUGAAAACAAUCCUUGAGGAUGGCAUAACAACAUCUCCAACUUUUGUCAUGUAAUGUAUGAAUGUCAAUAGCACUUCGUAAACAUAUGGAUGUAAUAUAUGUAUAUAAACACUCUUUAGCAUGUAUAUUUUUCAAAACUUUCUACAUCUUCAACAAUGUUUCAAUGAUUUCUUGAUGUAAACAAUGAUAAUUUGAAGAACCAUUUAAAGUAUUUUGGUAAUCAGCAUACUUAAGCUUAAAUGUGAUAUAUCCGUUUAUUAUUUUUUAUACAGUAAUAAUACUCAAGUAUAAUUUACAUCAUAUAUCUUUUGAAGUACAUGAAACUAUGAAGAAAAAACCCUAAUUAAUCUAAUUAUGGGGGUUUUGUUUUAUAUCAAAAUAUUGCAGCAAAAGUCACACUUUGAAGAGUUCACGCUGCAUAGAAAGACGAUGAAAUGCUAUCUGUUGAGUCCAUCAUUGCUCCAUUGGAGACAGAGCUGAAGCUUGAUGCAGGUGGUAUACUUUUGUUCUGCAAUAUGAUCCCUUUAAUUUUAUUUUAAGAUAGAUAGGGUUGAAAAAAAUUUAUGUAGUAUUUUUUUUUUUCAGUUUUGAGUGUCUAUUUUGGCUUCCAUAUUUGGUCUGUACAUGUGAGGUAUAGAAUGUUCAAUAUGUAUUUGGUUUCUAUAUUGUUAAUGGAUCUAUUUUUUUUUUUAGGUAACCAAGUUGCAGGAUGAAAACAGAACACUUGAUCUGCAGGUAAACCUCCAAUUUCCAUAUGAAGUUUGCAUUUUCGUUAUUUCUGAAAUUUGAGUUUUUACAGGAUGAAAACAGAACACUUGAUUUGCAGGUAAACACUUGAUUGGUUAUUUCCGAGCUUUUCACGACUUUUGAUACCCAAUAGAGAAUAUGGAAACCCCAACUUUAAUUUUAUGAAUUGGUUUUGGUGCCUAAAAUGAAAUCUAGCAUAGUGAAAUCUUGCAUAAUGAAAUUAUGACAAAUUUCCCUUCAUCUUUAGAUUUUCAUUUAAUUCAAUUCGUAUGCAAUUUAGGGUUAUUCAAUUCAUGAGUGAUCAAAUUAUGUUUUUAAUUCCUUCUUCUUUUGAUUUACAGUUCAACAUUGUUGUACAAAAUGAAAAAGGCGCUAGUAACAGAGUUAUGGAUUUGUAUGCCUUUAGUGGAAUAAAACUGAAUUUUUUAACUUUGUAUAGUUGUAAACAUAAAAUACUCCAUGAGAUAGACUCAUAGCUUUUGAAAACAAUCCUUGAGGAUGGCAUAACAACAUCUCCAACUUUUGUCAUGUAAUGUAUGAAUGUAAAUAGCACUUCGUAAACAUAUGGAUGUAAUACAUGUAUAUAAACACUCUUUAGCAUGUAUAUUUUUCAAAACUUUCUACAUCUUCAACAAUGUUUCAAUGAUUUCUUGAUGUAAACAAUGAUAAUUUGAAGAACCAUUUAAAGUAUUUUGGUAAUCAGCAUACUUAAGCUUAAAUGUGAUAUAUCCGUUUAUUAUUUUUUAUACAGUGAUAAUACUCAAGUAUAAUUUACAUCAUAUAUCUUUUGAAGUACAUGAAACUAUGAAGAAAAAACCCUAAUUAAUCUGAUUAUGGGGGUUUUGUUUUAUAUCAAAAUAUUGCAGCAAAAGUCACACUUUGAAGAGUUCACGCUGCAUAGAAAGACGAUGAAAUGCUAUCUGUUGAGUCCAUCAUUGCUCAAUUGGAGACAGAGCUGAAGCUUGAUGCAGGUGGUAUACUUUUGUUCUGCAAUAUGAUCCCUUUAAUUUUAUUUUAAGAUAGAUAGGGUCGAAAAAACUUUAUGUAGUAUUUUUUUUUUUCAGUUUUGAGUGUCUAUUUUGGCUUCCAUAUUUGGUCUGUACAUGUGAGGUAUAGAAUGUUCAAUAUGUAUUUGGUUUCUAUAUUGUUAAUGGAUCUAUUUUUUUUUUUAGGUAACCAAGUUGCAAGAUGAAAACAGAACACUUGAUCUGCAGGUAAACCUCCAAUUUCCAUAUGAAGUUUGCAUUUUCGUUAUUUCUGGAAUUUGAGUUUUUGCAGGAUGAAAACAGAACACUUGAUUUGCAGGUAAACACUUGAUUGGUUAUUUCCGAGCUUUUCACGACUUUUGAUACCCAAUAGAGAAUAUGGAAACCCCAACUUUAAUUUUAUGAAUUGGUUUUGGUGCCUAAAAUGAAAUCUAGCAUAGUGAAAUCUUGCAUAAUGAAAUUAUGACAAAUUUCCCUUCAUCUUUAGAUUUUCAUUUAAUUCAAUUCGUAUGCAAUUUAGGGUUAUUCAAUUCAUGAGUGAUCAAAUUAUGUUUUUAAUUCCUUCUUCUUUUGAUUUACAGUUCAACAUUGUUGUACAAAAUGAAAAAGGCGCUAGUAAUAGAGUUAUGGAUUUGGAUGCCUUUAGUGGAAUAAAACUGAAUUUUUUAACUUUGUAUAGUUGUAAACAUAAAAUACUCCAUGAGAUAGACUCAUAGCUUUUGAAAACAAUCCUUGAGGAUGGCAUAACAACAUCUCCAACUUUUGUCAUGUAAUGUAUGUAAAUAGCACUUCGUAAACAUAUGGAUGUAAUAUAUGUAUAUAAACACUCUUUAGCAUGUAUAAUUUUCAAAACUUUCUACAUCUUCAACAAUGUUUCAAUGAUUUCUUGAUGUAAACAAUGAUAAUUUGAAGAACCAUUUAAAUUAUUUUGGUAAUCAACAUACUUAAGCUUAAAUGUGAUAUAUCCGUUUAGUAUUUUUUAUACAGUGAUAAUACUCGAGUAUAAUUUACACCAUAUAUCUUUUGAAGUACAUGAAACUAUGAAGAAAAAACCCUAAUUAAUCUGGUUAUGGGGGUUUUGUUUUAUAUCAAAAUAUUGUAGUAGAAGUCACACUUUGAAGAGUUCACGUUGCAUAGAAAGACGAUGAAAUGCUAUAUGUUGAGUCCAUCAUUGCUCCAUUGGAGACAGAGCUGAAGCUUGCUGCAGGUGGUAUACUUUUGUUCUGCAAUAUGACCCCUUUAAUUUUAUUUUAAGACAGAUAGGGUUGAAAAAAAUUUAUGUAGUAUUUUUGUAUCAGUUUUGAGUGUCUAUUUUGGCUUCCAUAUUUGGUCUGUACAUGUGAGGUAUAGAGUGUUCAAUAUGUAUUUGGUUUCUAUAUUGUUAAUGGAUCUAUUUUUUUUUUAGGUAACCAAGUUGCAGGAUGAAAACAGAACACUUGAUCUACAUGUAAACCUUCAAUUUCCAUAUGAAGUUUGCAUUUUCGUUGUUUCUGGAAUUUGAGUUUUUGCAGGAUGAAAACAGAACACUUGAUCUGCAGGUAAACACUUGAUUGAUUAUUUCCGAGCUUUUCACGACUUUCGAUACCCAAUAGAGAAUAUGGAAACCCCAACCUUAAUUUUAUGAAUUGGUUUUGGUGCCUAAAAUGAAAUCUAGCAUAGUAAAAUCUUGCAUAAUGAAAUUAUGACAAAUUUCCCUUCAUCUUUACAUUUUCAUUUAGUUCAAUUUGUACGCAGUUUAGGGUUAUUCAAUUCAUGAGUGAUCAAAUUAUGUUUUUAAUUCCUUCUUUUGAUUUUCAGUUCAGCAUUAUCGUAUUUUGGAUGCCUUUAGUGGAAUAAAACUUAAUUUUUUUAACUAUGUAUAGUUGUAAACAUAAAAUACUCCAUGAGAUAGACUCAUAGCUUUUAAAAACAAUCUUUGAGGAUGGCAUAACAACAUCUCCAACUUUUGUCAUGUAAUGUAUGAAUGUAAAUAGCACUUUGCAAACAUAUGGAUGUAAUAUAUGUAUUUAAACACCACUCUUUAGCAUAUAUAUUUUUCAAAACUUUCUACAUCUUCAACAAUGUUUGAAGCCCCGCAACAAUGGGCGGGUACACUUGCUAGUAUACAUCUAAAAUUAUAAGACUAAAUCCUUUAGUUCUUGGAUUCAUCUAAGAACUACUUAUUCCAGCAGAUGUUAUGCUUGCACUACUAGAAUUUAUGGCUUGCCCUGUCAACUAUUGCGCGACAGAAGACUUCGUCGGUUUCACCUUUUUUAACCGACAUAAUAUAAGUUUAGUAGGGCAAAAUCAGUCAACAAACUGGGUUGACUGAAUAGAUUUACAGGAUGUCUAGAGUUCGUAGGUUAAGACAUCAGUCGUUGGGCAAACAUUUGGAGCGAAGAUGUGAGUGUUUUAACUGACGAAUAAGCUGGUCGUCAUGUAGAUCUUCUUUCCCGACUGAUGGUUCAACGAGUAGCUCUUUGGAUAACAAUUCAUCUUCAAGGGGAACAGGUUGCCCCUCAAAUGAAUGGUUAGAGGCAAUUGUGAGACUAUAAUUUUCUAGGGCCGGAAUAUCUAUAACCAUCCACCAAAUACCCCUUCUUCCCUUUCUAUUUCUCUCUCAGUAAUUUCCCCUGACCGAAUCACACAAUCCAACCAACUCUCUUUAAGCCUCACUCAUCGAUUCCAUGGAUUUCAUGGACUUAUCCCACCCUCUCUCCUUCCCCCUAUAUAUAGCAAGUCCCCUUGCCUCAGUGUCCCUGGCAACAAAAUUUAUGGCGUGUAUUCGGUCUUUCAAUUAUUUGAAAGCUUCCCUGCCUUGCAGUCUUGUACAAAGGCGUAUGGUGUUUCAUUAGUUCCAUUUGGUGGUUGGGUGGGAAAUGAAAUUAAAACACUGCAUUUCCAAUGGUCUAAACCAAAUUGAAUCAAAUGUGAAGCAAAGGGCAAGAAGUGUAGAUUGAAGAACAAUGGCACCAAGAGCGAAAUUGAACUUGUUGACAGGAGGAAACCAAGUAAGGAUAACGCGUCUAAAUCUUAUUUCGAAUCCAUUCAGCUCAUGAUGUUUUUAAUGAUGAUGAUCGGUAUACUUUGCUACAUGCUGUGAUUUUUCCGCUUUCAUGUAAUUAACGGCUUAUAUUUGUGGUAACGAUAUUGAUUAAUUUUGAGAAAUGACAGUCUAAUUUUUGCAACUGUCUUUUGCAGGCAAAACAAAGACGUUUGCAAGGGUGAGUUAUGUAGGACCAAUGUUUAGCUUUGUUUCAUGUCCAAAUGACACUUGAGAAUAAAUGUUUACUCAUGGAUAAUAUCUAUCUAUUUGCAGGAGCAACCCUGGGUUUAUUUGUUCUUUUACUACUGGUCAUUGCCGCAUAUCACGCCUAUAGCACUGACAAAAGUAAAAAGAAAAUCGAAUGAAAUUUGGUAAGUUUUCAGCGGACUACAAAGAUCUUAAGCCAAGCAUAUAUUCCCAUUCAGAUAUUAAGAGGUUUACAAAUCAAUUCAAGUACAAGUUGGGCCAAGGAGCAUACAUAAUUGUUUUUAAAGGAUAGUUUUUUUCUGAAUGCUUUGUUGCCAUGAAAGUACUUAACAUUUCCAAGGGUGACGGGGAAGAGCUUGUAAAUGAAGUGGGGAACAAUGGGCCAUAUUCACCAUGUCAAUGUGGUUCACUUGGUUGGUUUUUGUGCUGAUGGAUUUAGAUGAGCUCUGGUUUAUGAGUUCUUUUCCUUUGGUUCACUCCAGGAUUAUAUUUCAUCAGUAGAUAGAUUUCUUUCCUUGGUUGGCAUAAGUUGCAAGAUAUUGCUAUCAGCAUAGCCAAAGGAACCAGGGAUGUGAUCUACAAAUCCUCCAUUUCGAUAUCAAACCCCAUAAUGUUUUGCUCGACCAAAAAAUCACGCCAAAAAUCUCUGAUUUUGGUCUGGCCAAGUUAUGUUCCAAGGAUCAAUCAAUGUGACUAAAGCAAGGGGGACCAUGUGACUAAAGUACCCGAAGUGUUUUCCAGGAAUUUCGGAAAUGUGUCUUACAAGGCAGAUGUCUUGAAUGCUGCUGCUUGAGAUGGUAGGAGAAAAGAAGAAUAUUGGUUCAACUAGAGGACACAACAAAUGAAAUCUACUAUCCAAAAUGGAUUUAUAAUCUUCUAGAGGAAGGAAAUGACCAACAGAUCCCUAUUGAGGAAGAAUGUUAUGGUAAGAUUCCAAAGCAACUUGCAAGUUUAGGGCUCUGGUGCAGCCAGUGACACUCGGUGGAUCGGCAGUCCAUGAAAACGGUGGUUCGGAUGUUAGGAGGAGGAGAAAACUUGAUGAUGCAAGCAAUCCUAAAAGCCUCAUACAGUUAGAAGUAAUUGCUGAAUUAGAGUAACAUAUGUAUAUGUAUACGCACCAACACUAGUCGUUCUUAGAUGAAUCCAAGCCAAACAAUUACAGACAACAGUUAUUCACUAAAUCACUUUAAGGCAAGAAUUUAAUUAAUAAUACAUUACUGCACUUUCUUAACCAUUUGACCAUCACCUAGCAGACAAUGAACACGUUAGCUCCGCGUUAGAACAUCUUGGGUUCAAUUCAUUGUCUUGAAUAUCACCCUCUGUCACAGGCGUCUCUAGGGGGCAUAGAGAAGGCCUGAGAGGCAUUUGCAGACAUUCAACAUCACCUCCAAGCAUUUUGACAACUUUGGACAUCGAAGGGCGAUCACUUGGUUUCAUUUGAAUACACCAUAAGGCGGUUAUAACCAUCCUUCUUAUUACUUUCUUUUCCUCCUCUGUAACAUUGUCCGUUUCCAAGUUAUUUCCCACAAUAUACUGAUCGUAUACCCACAUUGGGAAGUAGAUUUGGCUUGAAUGCUCUACCGUUGGAUUCAAAUUCUUCCUUCUGCUUGCCAUCUCCAUCAACAACAUUCCAAAACUAUAGACAUCUGACUUGUAUGAGACACCUCCAAUAUUUUUGUAGAACAACUCAGGAGCAAUAUAUCCCAGUGUACCUCGUGCUGCCGUCAAAGAGACAAUGCUAUUAUCUACAGGAUACAAUUUUGCAAGCCCAAAGUCAGAAACCUUUGCUUUAAAGUUCUCAUCAAGAAGGAUGUUAUGAGGCUUGAUGUCGAAAUGUAGAAUUUGCAUUUCGCAACCUUGGUGUAGAUAUUCGAUCCCUUGAGCCACUCCAAGAGAAAUCUUGUACAUGUUCUUGAUAGUUAAGGGGACACUUCCUUCUUUGGAAUAAAUGUAUUUAUCAAGAGAACCAUUAGGCAUGAAGUCAUAUACUAGAGCGCGUUUUGAUCCCUCAACACAGUAUCCAACAAGUUGCACCACAUUGGCAUGGUGAAUCCUUCCGAUUGUAGCUAUUUCGCUAAUGAAAUCUUGGCCAUCAGCUUUGGGCUUGCCCAAAACUUUGAUUGCUACAAAUCGACCACUGCGUAGCUUUCCCUUAAAUACAGAGCCAAAGCCACCUUCGCCCAACUUGUCCUUAAAUCUGCGAGUCAUUUUCUUGACGUCCGAGUAGGAGUACCUUAUAGGCAUGAAGUUGUUAUUGCAUUGCAGAAAAUCUUCUAUUGUGCUAUACAUUGAUAAAUGUCUUCUGCGCCAUGUGUAGAUUAGAAAUGCAGUCACAACUGGAACUCCAAAAACAAAUCUGGCUGGGAAAAAUAACCCUGCAUGCAUUGACAUUAAUACGUUAGAUCCACUGUGUACUACUUUUUCUUCCCUUUCUUUCCAAAUUACUUUGUCUUUGAUGUAAUUAAAGAGAAAGAAUGGGAAAUCUACAUAUGUUGAUAAUACAAUCUCGUCUUAGUCCUUACCGAUGCAUAUGAGUAUAAACCAUCUACGUGCUGUAACAAAAUCAAUCGACUAUGAGUUUGAAAAGUGCAUAAAGUGAAAAAUAAAUAAAUAAAUAAAAUCAAAGGGUGCCUUUAUUGACACCCAAAUUUUAGUUAGCUUUACUCAACUAAAAAAAUUUUGUCAAACUUUUUAAUUUGCCGUCGAAAUUGAGUUCACCCAACCCACAAAGCAACAACUACCACUCACCAAAAAAACCAACAACACACAUCCACCAGUACCACUCACCAAUAGAAAGAGAAGGAACACACAGACCCACCAAGGAGCCGGCAUCGACGCAUCUACGAGGGAGGGACCGGAGGGUGGUGUAGUUUUGUUGGGCGCGCGGUAGUUGUUUUGUCUGUUCAUUUUCUCUUUCUUUUGGUAGGUGGAGGCUGCUGUGGAUUUGGGCGAACUUAAAAAUGAGGGGAAACUAUGAAGUUUGACAAAAUGUUUUAGUUAGGGGAACUUAACUAAAAUUUGGGUGCCGAUAAAGAUACCCAAUAUAAAAAAUACUUGAGCGUAUAGACUAAUUAAAUGAAGUUGAUCUUACCGAUCGGGUGGCUGUAUGAUGAAUACAACUUGCCAGCUGCAAUAGAUACCACAGAAAAGUGAGCAAAGACAUACAGUUACUAGGUUUAAGAAGUACAGAUAGAGCACACAAAAAUAAAAGAAGCUUUUGGAGAGAAACUUCUUACGCAAAUAUAUGUAUUCAUGACCUACAGUGAAAAUUGUGAAGAAGAAUACACAACAUUAGCAAUAGCUCACCCAGUCUUCAGAAUUUAAAAAAAUCAAGUUUGUCGAUCGAAAACUUGUAAAUAAAACAAAAAGAGGACCCCUUACUGAUUUGUUGCCAUAGAUAUUGAAAGAAACCUACAAGAACAAAGAAAGAACAAGACCACAUGCAUUAGCAUAACAAGUGUGAGGUGUAUAAGUCGUUAGAAAAUAAAUUUAGAAUUCUAGUGCUGUCAAUACAUUGAUAAUAUAAUAUAUAUGUGUUAUUUUUUCUGAAAAUUUAACUUUCCCCCUCCAAACUCAUUUUUCUAGCCUCUAGCCCAUCAUAUAAUAUUUAUCCGAAUAAAACCCAAUGAUUAGGAUCCAACUAAGAAACUUACCAAAUUAAGUUUGUGUGUCCAUUUUUAUAUUUUUUGGAUCGCUAAUAUACCCCAUCUAAGCCAGUAUGGAAAGUUCUUGUAAUUUUGUUUUAAUUGAUCACGUGCAUUGAAUUUGGCAAGGUCUUGUAGCCAUGAAAAAUGGUUCUAGAUGGAGGAAUUAAUUGGGAUUUUUUUUUUAAUUUUGACAACAAAUUUCAAUUUGAAUAUACCUAAUUUAGUGUUUAUUUUCAACAAUAUCUAUUGUUUAAUUUUAUGAAAAUAAUUUACCUACUAUGAAAAUUAAUUUUAUGAAAACAAUAUCUAUUGUUUAAUUUUAUACCUAUAGGAUAAUUACAUGAAAAUAGUUUACCUACUAUGAAAAUUAAUUUUUUCAAAACAAUAUCUAUUGUUUAAUUUUAUGAAAAUAAUUUACCUACUGUAUAAUUACAUGAAAACUAAUGUGCCUAUUUUUUAAAUUUGUUACAAAAUUAAUUUACCUACUCUUUAUGGUAUUAGUAAUAUAUGUCCGUACGUAUUUGAUCUAAUUAGGUUUUGGAUUGGAGGAGUUGACACAAAAUUAUAAAUAUAUUAAACAAAUUUAUCUAUCCUUAAGUUGGAGGGGAAUUGGCCUGCACAUUGCUACGGUAAACAAAUGCCACUCGAUUUCACGUUAUUUACAACAAAGCUAUCAGAUUUGGGUUGGGUUGGAGGGUAAUUUUGUGCAUAGGGUUUAGGUGCCCUCCUAUAUAUGACCCUUGAUUUUACUUUAUUUACACCACUGCCAUCAAAUAUGUGGCUGAAUUGGAGGGUAUUAUUAAAAGUUAGGAGGAUAGUUUUGUCCAAGGGGUGGGGGCGACAUUCGCAGACAGGGGGCGAUGGGAGCCAUGCCCAUUGCACAGAAACAAAGGGAGUGAUGGGGGAAAUUACAGACAGAAAAGGAAGGGAUGGGGGGAUUUGAUGGGUGGUCACAGAGAGAUUGGGUGAGGGAUGUGAGGGGACAUUACAGAGAGAUAAAUAAAAGGGAGGGAUCGGGUGAUUUGAGGGAUGGUCAGAGAGAGAAAUAGUGAGGGGGAUGUGGGGCUGAUUUUCGGUUCCUCCUUCCAGAUUUGUUCCGUAAAACCUGUUGGGUACAAUUCAAUCCCUCCCCCUUUCCCCUGAACGAAAAAUUCGAAACCUACAACUCAAAACUCACUCAUUUGUCGCCCCUCCUUGGCUUUCCGCUUUAUUCAUCUCCCGGUGUUUCUUUCUCUCCAUACGAUUCGAUUUCGGUGAGUUCUUCGUUGCCCUCAUGAUUUCCCAGUUUGAUUUUUUGAGCGUCCUUAGUCGUUGUUUUUAUCUGGGUUUACUGCGUUGUUGCUUUUAGUUUCUGGAUUUUUAUUUUUUCCGCGGUUGGAUGAAUCGUGGUUAAUAAUUUCACACCAUGGGAUUUUCGCACUUCUGAUGGAAUUGAGCGCGGGGAUUCGGGGUGGGGUUUUACUGAUAAUUUGUCUUCAUUCAAAUGAAUGGUUAAAAUUUCUGAAGUGAGUGUGCAGGUGGGCCCGUUCACUAACUAAGCUUUCAAGGGAACCCAUCAACGGUUUGUUUGCUGGGGGAAUUCGGAGACUACCAGUGUAUGAUUUAGUUAUCAUUUAUUUUUUUACUUAAUUUUAUCCAUAUAUAAUAUGUGGGUAAAUUUAUACUAAACAAUUGUGAUAAGCCAAUAUGCCAUACGACUUUGAAAGCAUUGAUUUUGUGUUUAGUUUGCAUUUUUGCAUUGUGAAUGUUGAAUUUUGUAUUUAAUUUGGAUUUUGUGUUUGAAUUUGUAGCAUGAUCUUCCGCUGCAGCAUCCAAAUUUUGCAUUUGUAAAUUGUCAAAGAAAAACGAAGUAUGAGGAAAUUAUAGGAGAUUGUGUCGGCUUUGGCCAUGAAGGGUAUCAGCAGCUUGUUCCCCCAUACAGGUGAUUAAUCGUUUUUCAGUCUCUGUUCUAUUUGGAUGAGAAAGUGAUUGAAAAAUAUGAUUUUUUAUUUGUUGGUUGAUUUUGUAUGGACGAUGUAUUAAUUUUAUUUUUUUUGGGAUUUUGUGUAUUGGGUAUUGUGUAGAACCAGCAAUGCAAGAGCAGGAUCUGAUCAGUCACGCCCGAAAAGGGGUUUGUUUCUCAAAUCACAUUAAUUAAUUAGAUUAUUAACGUGCGUUGGAAGGCUCUUCAAUAUGAUUUCUAAUUUCUCCUUUCCAGCAUUCUCUUUUUGGUUUUUGGAGUAUGUAUGUGAUUUGUAUUUUUUUAUAGAAUAAAAAUUAAUAAAACACGAGAUGCAGCAAUUAAUUUGCAUCCUUAUGACAACACAUAUGAAAGUGCAUUCAAUUUCAAUGUGCGAAUGUGUGACAGGAUGUGCCUGCCUCCUUGAAAACACUUUAUGUGAACAAGUGUGAGGUUCUACAUAAAAACAGGGCCAGUAAUACCCUGAACGUGGAAUCCUUACGAGGAUCUCUUGAAAAACUGACAAUAAAUGGAUGCCCGGGUCUCUCAUUGUUACUAGAGUCGACGGAGACGCUGCCGUCGCUUCAGAAGCUUGAUAUUGAUAGUGUUGGUGGGAAAGAGUUGUUGGCGCAAAUGGUGCACAACAGCAAUCGUCUUCAAAGUUUGACUUUAUAUAAAUGUUACUCACCCUUGUCGUUCCCUACAAAUGGUCUGCCCACCACGCUGACGUCACUGAGCAUAACAGAUUGCAAGAAAUUAGAAUUCCUAUCACGUGAGAUGAUGGCCAAAUUGACUUCCCUUCGGUCUUUGCGUCUAUCCAACAGCUGUGAACGCAAAGGCUUGAGUAUUUGCAGUUUAGUUUUUUUUUUCUUCAUUUUAGAGAUUUUUCUACUGUUUGGUUUUUGGGUUUUGUCUAAUUUUUGUGGUCUGCUUUAUAGAUUGUUCUCUUUGGAAGCUUCUUUCCAGCCUUGACCUUCUUCUUGCCUGGUGCCUUCUCAUUGAGUAUUGGAGGAGCAUUAAAACACAGGUGUGUGUGUGUUUUGUCGACGUAAGAGAUGAACGACAUAAAAACAUCCAUCUCUGUAUUUUUUUGUGCUUUUUCUAACCCAUCAAUUUCUUUUGAGUCAACCAAAUAGUCCCAAAUUGCAACUUAUGUUGUGAGGUAUUAUUGUCUAAAAUUAAGUAUGCAUGUAUAUUUUAUGUUUAUGCCCGCGCACACCUCCGCAUGGUGUUAAUCUCUGUGGGUCAUCUAUGUAUAUGUAGAUAUAUCUAUAUGUGUAUGUGUGGAAUGCAACAUAUCGGAUUUAGGUUAUACUGUGCAUAGUUUUAUUGCCUGUUAUUAUCUACGAUAUCACUAUGCCAUUUCUAUACUGGCUCUGAAAGUUAUUCAUGAGCUUAUAAGCACUUACCAUAAUUUAAGCAGUCUGUUUUGGGUUCUUUUUCAUUAGGUCAUUAGCUACAGAUUAAUGGAGAAACGAGGACCAUGCCACUGAUUUGGGUUCUUUUUCUAAUUUUCUGAUUUUGGGGUUUUGCAGGGAGUACUGAUGUACUGAUUUUCUGGGAUUUUUUUUUGUCCUUGCAGGAUUUUUGGUCUUUGAAAUGGGUAUGUGUUGUUUUUAAUGUUUCAGUUCUAGCGUGUUCCGUUCUUCGUUGCUUCGUGAUUCUCAUUUUUCAGUGUUGGGUGAUGGAAAUUUGUUAAAGUAGUUGGUAGUUUUUUGAGAAAGUUGGCAUUUUUAGUUAUAUUUUCUGUUUAAUCCUAAAUGUAAGACUGGAAAAUCAUUGAAAUGAUGGUUUUUUAAAAACUCAUAAUUUUUUUGUUCUGGGAUUUAAAAGCAUCUUUUCCAGAUUGGUUACAAGGGUUAUGUUCUCUUCAAUUGGUUCACCUAAUUUUGAUUAGUUUUAAGUUUUGUCCUUUUAAGUUUGUCUUUUAAGUUUUGUUCUUUAAGUUUUGUCUUUUAAGUUUUGUUCUCUAAGUUUUGUCUUUUAAGUUUUGUCUUCUGUGCUGUAAUGAGAGAUUUCUGUUGGCUUUUCGGAUUUUGGCAUGGGAAAGUUCACUUAUUUGUCUAAUUAGAUUGUGUAUGCCUUCGAUUCUUUAUUUAAUUGUUCUGUUUGCGUUCGGGUGUGAUGAUCUAAAUUUCAUAUGUUUGGAAUUAUUUACUUAACACCAAUUUGUUACAUUCAGAUCUCCACCCCACAUUUCACUAGUUGAAAUUCCAUAGAAGUCGGUUACUGCAGAUUGCGUCUACAAUUAGAUCAGAGAUCAACUGCUCUUUUGUUAUCCUGCAGAAGAUUGCUUUUGGGAAGGAUCUGAAGUAGUUUCUCUCUGUAUGUUUAUUCCCAUGUAGCUCUGUCUUUUCUAAUUGUGUUGAUAUUACACUGUAAUUCAUGAUGAUGAUUUAAUUGUUUAUUGAUUUGUAAUUGAUUGUGAAUAAUGUGGCAUAUAUGAAUUGCAAUCUGUGUUUGUAUGAAAGGGAUGGCAUAUUAUGUUGCUGACUUAAUUGUUUAUGUUUUUCAUAUUUGCAAAUGGUGUUAUGAUCAAUUAGGUGAUUGCUGACCUGUGACUUUGUUUGGAGCUCAAAUUUUGUGAGCAUUACAUUGGAUUGUUUUGAUGUUGUUUUGGUUAACAAUGCAGCGAUAGGAGAAACAAAGAGGAUGACACUUAUAACUGCCCUUCCCCAUCGGCCGUCUUCAAAUUUGGAUCACAAGAAGGGAGCAACAUAGGUGUUUUCCUUCUUCAUUUAGAUAUGGUUAGUGUAAAUAAUUGGACAAAAGAGCCAAACAAACCCUGUUCUCUCAAAUGGAGUCGAUGAUGUGGUCGACGGCCACCAGCCCCAACUCAAGAGUUUGGCCUUCAUAUAAUUGGAUUGUAGUAUAAUUUUAUUUUGGUUCAUUUCUUUUUUCCUUUAUAUAAGUGCAGGUGUUGUGAUGUUUUGAAUAAAGGGUGAUGAAAGGUGGUUCACACACUUCCUCCUUACUUAAAGCAAGUGGAGAUGACGGUUUGUAUAAAAAGAAAAACUUGCCACGUACUUCAAUUUUCUAUUUUAUUAAUUAUUGUUUGGUUUUCCAAAUGUUGUAUUCACUAAGAGACCAAUUAUGUCUUUGAGAAACAAGUUUCUUUGUCUACAUUGCGAGAAUUUGCAGUUUGCAACUUUCAUUGGUUAUUAUAUUUGAUUGAGUUAAACUUGGAUUUCUGGAUUUUGACUUUUUCGUUUGUUUCUUUGUUGCAGAGUUGGCUUCAUUUCAUUCCAGGAACUGUCUAAAUAGGGCCAAGAACUCACUAAUAGGUAGUCAAGAAGAAUUCAGUGUUGCCUUCAAUUUUUGCCUUCUGUUUACAUUCUUCCUGGAUGCACUCUCACCGCUUCUCUCGCUUACCACUUUUGUCUCACUCACCGCUUCAUCUCUUCUGUUGCUUACAAGGUCGUGUCAUAUAUUUUUUUAAUUUUGUGUGGUUUAAUUUAUUGAAUAUUUGAAAAAAGAGAUAAAAUUUUCAAUUUACAAUUACUGAUAUGAUGUUUGUUUUGAAAAUCAUUAAGGUGAAUGGAGAGAUUUACAACCAUGAAGAGCUGAGGAGCCGUUUGCCAAAUCAGAUUUAUAGGGCUUCAUCAAUUAUAAAUAAACGACUUUUCAUUCCCAAUGACCUUUAUCGUUUUUCUUAAUGGGUUAGCUGAACAUGAGGUAGAUGCUGACUUUAUCAAAUAUGAGAAUGUUUUAGGAUUUCAUUCUAAUUUUUUGGCUGUUUGAUUACUUUGCUUUUCGUAAUUUGAUUUGCUUAUCGUCAAUUGGAUGGGAUAAAACAUAUUUUUGUAACCAGUUUGUACUUUUUUUUUCUUUUUUUUGUGGAAACUAACCAGUUUGUACUUUUACCAAUUACCAUAUCGGUUUUGAUGGAAUUGGAGCUUUCAGUAAUGGGUUCUGAGGGAAUUGGAGUUCUGAGUAAUGGGUUUUUUUUAACAACUAUAGUAUCAUUUGUGAUUCAUUUAUUUAUAAGAUAUUAUAUAGGAAACUGUUUUUAGCACUCUAAAAAUCUUAUUCUACACUCUCGACAAAUGUAUUUUUCUUUCUAAUUAUGAAAAGUUUGGAGGGCAAAAUGAGAAUUGUGGAGUGCCAAUAACAAUUCCCUAUUAUAUAUAGCUCUACUAGGAAGGCGACUGUAUGUCUUCAUCCUGUUAAAUUGUAUAUGGCUCUUGAUGUCGGCUGAAUUAAAUCAAAAUGAAAACCAAGCUGCUGAUCUUACCAGCCCAUAUCACUUAUCACUUGCUUAUUUAAAUUAUUUGAAGAUGCGUAUGUGGAUUGGUGAUUUUGUUGGAUUCACUUGGCUCAAAUAUAUGUUAUCUGAGUCGCUACAUUUGAGAAUGUGAUUUUGUUCCUACCACCAUUUUGCCCACUUUUUGUGGAAAUUAUUUCUGCUUGUUGUGAAUGAUACAUUCAUCCCCGGCAGCAAAGUGCGAAGUGCGGGCGCAUUUUCUAGUUUAAGUAAAUCACACAAUGGGUCAUCAAUAAUAACAAACUUGUCAUUUAUGAGAGUCAAACAUGAGGCCACCUACCUACUAGUUUAGUGGAAUACCACAAGUGACAUGUUGAUACCUUUAAAUCUCAUAUAAUGGAUUGCAGAAUUAGGAUAUUCCUAGACUAAUUUAGUUAGUGCGUGAACCCGAACAAUUAACAAGGGUUUUAUUCUUGCUUGAAUGUUUGUUAUAUGUUCCUAGUUUGACAAGGCAAUUAUAUUUCCGACUACAAGUUAUUAAUUUAGUCGAGAAUUGACGCACCUGAAAUGGUGUGAGGAAAACAUGUAUCCACAUGAGCCGCAGUCCACUGUCCUUGGCAUCUAUCUUUAAAAGGCUCGAAAUGAAGCUCAAAGCCAUACAUGAGGGCAUUGUGUAUGUCUUUAUAAGAGAAGUUGCGGUAGUCCUCAACGUAGCCGGCAGCCAAACUCAUCCACUCUACACUGCAACCAUCAUCCAAUUCCCAUACCUCCCUGAACCUGUCCCCAACAUAUUCCCCGACCAUGACAUAGCUAUUCGUUUUUGGUUGACUCGAAGAAGAAGAAGAAGAAGAAGUAUUAUUCAAGCAUGGAGCAGUGUCCACGUACAGAGAAGAAUUCGAUGGAUUCGAACACUUCAAGUAAUAUAUAGAUAGAGAAUUAAUGUCAUAGGCGGGCCAAUAUAGAGAAUUGAUGUCCUCGGUGGUGGGCGGAAUAUUUUGAGACAUGGAAGAGCAAUUGUUGUUGUCAAGCCCAGGAUCUCGAAGUCGGAUUGUUUUGUUAUUAUAGUUGAUUGCCUGGACAUGGUACUUUCCGAAAGAAGGUAGGUCUAGUACUGUAAUGUUGCUCUCACAGGACAGAGUAUACGAUAUGUUGCCACAGUACUUUGGAUCAUCGUUAAGUCGAAAAGGAUGGCUUAUGUUGUGGAUAUGGCCGCAGGAUGAAGUGCAGGACUUGGCACUACUGUUGUCAGCGUUACAAGUUUCACUGCAAAAGCAAAGAAGAAGAAAGGCUAAACUUAAGGUGAAGGACCUGGUUCCACUAAUUUCCAUUGCUCUGAGAGAGAGAGAGAGAGAGAGAGAGAGAGAGAGGGUACCAUAGCUUAAACACCAAGGAGUUAUAUAAUAUGGGAGGGGUUAAAGCACCUCGCUUACAGUUGCAGUAAGCCCGUCAAAUAUCCUAGGGAAAAGUCGGUCAAUGGUGUCCUAUAGAGAAAAGUCGGCCUUGGUGUUUGACACGGUCACUCAACUCUCUCUCUCUCUCACAUUGACGAGGGACACUGUAAUUGAAAAAAAAAAAUGUUCUUCAGAGAUAGAUCUUGAAAUUCUUAUUUUAUAUAAAAAAAACACCUAAUAUUAAAUUAUUAAUCAUUCAAAUGAAAUUCUUAAAAUUAAGUAUAAAUAAUACAUAACGAAAACUGAGCACAUACAAUCAACGGUCACGAUCGUGAAAUCCUCCGGAUCCUCAGAAAAAAAUCCGACGAUGAUCUUUUUCUGUGUAAAAUAAUUUGAGGGUAUAAUACUGGAUGUGGAGCCAAAAAUAUUCGCUAGGCGACACGUGGACUUUUGGACAAAAGAGGACAAAAAUACCCUCGAAGCAUACAAGGAUUCCUACGCGCGAGCAGUGGGCAAUCAUCUUUCAAUCAAGUCAAAAGUGCCCAAAAAAGGUAACAAUUAAAAACCUCUCUCAUCAAAUCCUUUCUAUAAGGUAUUUCCCAAAACCUAGUAUUUUCUAUUUCAUUAUUUAGCUAAUCAAUUAGCUAAAUAAUAUAAACCUACCAUAUCUCCUAAAAUCACCCAAUUAAUAGCCCAAAACCGGCCCCCACUAUUCACAUCCUCAUCUUUCCCAUUUUCCUUAUUAAAAUAAUCAUUCAUUUUUAUAAACCACCCAUUUUAUUAUUUUCAUAUUUAAUUAGCCAAUAAAUUGGCAAAUUAAACAUGAAAUUAACCCCCACAAAAACCCUAUGGCUGGCUACUAUUAUUCAAAAUAGGGCAAACCCUAACUCUAUAAAUAAACACAUAUUCUCACCAAAAAUUCAUUCCAACUCUCUCACAAAAAAUCACAAAUACUCUAAACACUAUUUCUCUCUAAAAUUCUAACUUUGGCAUCAGAGGUUCUUCGGCCAAAGCCCCCCCCAUUCAUCGUGGGCGCGUGAGGCUCUUGGCCUUAACCUAAGGUGCUAGUUGUUUUGUAGGUGCAAAAUCGUCCAAGAUCGAAGAGGAGAAAAUUUGCAUCCACAAAUUGGUGCUUUCAUUGAGAGUUGAAAUCCAUACUCGUAGAAGACUCUCGCACAAAAAGGUUUUUUCUUUUAUUUUCUAGUCCAUUUGAAUAUUUUUCAUACGUUCUUAUUAUUAGAAUUUUUUUACUUGCAAAGGUUCUUUGAUAAAACGUAUAAGCAAAAUAUAAUGGCUAGAAAUUUAGAAAAUUCCACAAGUGAAAAUUCUAAUGUUCAAGAAAUGGGAUUGCGGAGAUCCGUGAGGCUAAAUGCGACAAUAAGGGGAGCGGCAUCAUCAUCACGAGCUUCCACCAUGGGAACCACCAUGGUGGCUACCUCGGUAGCCACCCGCGGCGAGGUCCAUGGUGCCUUCACCACGGCCACCAUGGGAACCACCGCGGUGGCUACUUUGGUAGCCACUCGUGGCGAGGUCCAUGGAGCCUUCACCACGGCCCGGAGAUCCGUGAGGCAAAAUGCGACAAUAAGGGGAGCGGCAUCAUCACCACAAGCUUCUACCAUGGGAACCACCGUGGUGGCUACCUCGGUAGCCACCCGCGGCGAGGUCCAUGGUGCUUUCACCACGGACACCAUGGGAACCACCGCGGUGGCUACUUCGGUAGCCACUCGUGGCGAGGUCCAUGGAGCCUUCACCACGGCCCGAGCCGUGCCAUCCAAGGCUCACGGUACCAAGACCACGAUCCAAGCCGUGCCAUCCAAGUUUACGUGGACCCAAGCCCAAGCCUCGCAUUCACAUGCACCGCGCAUUGAGCAGCCUGUUCCCGUGAUCCAGCCUGUUCCCGUCAAGCAACCCACUCUCACGGCCCAACCUGCUCAUGCCGAGCAGCCUGCUCUCGUGACACAGCCUGCUCCCGACGAGCAGCCCACUCCCGUGGCCCAGCCUACUUUCGUCGAGCAGCCCACUCCGGUGGCCCAGCCUGCUCCUGCUAAACAGCCCACUCCUGUGGCCCAGCCUCCUCUUGCUAAGCAGCCUGCUUUCGUCGAGCAGCCCACUCCGGUGGCCCAGCCUGCUCCUGCCAAGCAGCCCACUCCGGUGGCCCAGCCUGCUCCUGCCAAGCAGCCUACUCUCGUGACCCAGCCUGCUUCCGACGAGCAACCCACUCCCGUGGUCCAGCCUGCUUCUUUCGAGCAGCCCACUCUCACGGCCCAGCCUACUCCUGUGGCUUUCCAAGCAGCCCAAGUCGGCCCAAGACUAUCUCCCGGACCUACCAUCGAGCCGAGGGCAUUCUCACCACAUUUUUUCACGGAUUUGACAUUUCCCAACUCAAAUCUCGCGCCCGGAGUCUACCACAUUUCCACUGCCCAAGGAGGCGCAUUCCUUCCAAGCUCUUCCAAUCCAAAUGGCGAACAACACUUGUCUCGACAAGUCAUAGAGUUGACGAGCGCCCUUGCACAACAGAAAACCUUGGUGAAUCAACUUUUGCAACGUAUCGGGAUCCAACGUGCCCCGGACGAGGUAUCCCGAAGUAGGACAAGGGCAAACGAACAUUUCCAGCAGCCACUCGACCAGCCACGAGCCGAACGUUUGGGCAGUGUACAUUCCCGUCUUAGAGCGCGAGGGAGCAUGCACUCUCGACUAGGCCCACGGAUGAGCAUACAUUCACGGUUGGGGUCAUACUCCGAUAGUCAACAUGAGCAACCUUCCGGGCAAAGUGUCUAUUCGCAGCUAAGCCCACAAGGAGCGUCAUCCACCUCACAUCAGAGUAGGCAGCACGACGGACGGAGAGAAGCAGUCACUCAAUCCAGCUCAAGUUCAACCAGCAGCCUGCGAAGAACUCGCUCGCCUACUAGGAACGCACCACAUGCACUGCAUUCGCGGCAUAGACGAGCCAAACACAUGGAAGAGCAGCUUAGACCAGCAAGUCAUGACUGGAGGCAGCCAAGAGCUCCGCUACCCCAACAAAGGCAAAUUCAGGAAGAAGUAGAGAGACUCUUGACCAAGCGAUUGCAUGAUUUCCAACGCAACGAGGUCACCGACGAGGCACUACGACGGAACAUGACCAACAUAAGCAAGCAGGUCACCCUUCACGGACGAGAUCGAGCAGGCAGAGCCUCCACGAGAGUUCAGCAUGCCACAUUUCACAUCUUUCAAAGGGGAUGAAGACCCGGAGAGACACUUAAAGCGCUACCGAAGCGCAAUGAUCCUUUAUCGAAACAACGAUGAGCUUAUGUGCAAGAUAUUCGCCACCACUCUACAAGGCGAGGCGCAAGAUUGGUUCUACACCCUGCCGUCACAAUCCAUCCGGAAUUUCUACGAACUUUCUUUGGUUUUCACCAAAGAAUAUUCAUCCUAUCGCUCGAUCAAAAAGAAAUCUGAUCAUUUGUUCAACGUCAAGAAGAACCCAAAGGAGUCAAUUCGCGACUAUGUGAGGAGGUUCAAAGUAGAGAAGGCAAAAAAUAGUCGGAUGCAACGACUCGAUAGCUAGAGCAGCCUUCCAAAAAGGACUUCCAGCAGACCACCCGCUAUUUGGAAAAUUGAUCAUGAAAGAAGAUCUAACUCUGGCAGACUCUUUUGCUUUGGCAGAGAAGUAUGCACUUUGGGAUGAGGCUCGCCAAUGCACAUUCAAGGACUUGAAGAAGUACCCGACAUCACCUCCCUAGAAGCAGCGGAGGACUUAUUCACAUGUUUGACGAUAUCUAAAGUAGCAAUAAGCUCUACCAUCAUGCGAGAAGAGAUGGGGGCCCGACUACCUGUAUUCCACAGUUACCUGUAUUCUACAGUUCAAAAGCUCUCCUCGAUGUUAUUAAAAAUUCAAAAGCUAACUUUGGUGAUAGUUGUUGCAACCCAGAAGCACAAGUUUUACUUUCAAACGCAUGCAAUCAUCCUAAUGACGUACUAUUCUGCCCAAUCCAGACGCGCGACGAUAAAGGUGUAGACCAUGGCGGAUGUAAAGUUUUCUGACGAACGCAACACUAGAAGGACACACUCGAAAGCAAGUUUUGUCCUCGUCACCCUAAAAGAUUCUACAUAGGAGCAACAUGUACCGGCAGUUGAGUACCAUUUCUUGCUGCGCAUCACACGGCCCUAGCCGACCCUUGCUCAAUGAUUCAACUCUAGAGUGGCCCAAUACCGGCAGUUGAGCAUCUCCUGUUGCGUAUGACAUGGCCCCAUCUCCACAGCUCCCUACUGCGUCUUCACGCCGAGCCUAAGUGACGUAACAGAGCAGCCCAACGAUGCCUCAGAAGUAGCCGAGCACACUCUAGCUGCGCCUACUCCACCCGAUGGAGACUUUUGGCAUUUGCAUGUCGACGACGCAGAAAAGCCUUCAUCACUGCCGGCAGAGAAGGCUCCAAAAAGAUGGAUCCCAUCUGGGAAGGUCCGUACAAGAUCAGCAGAGUAGGGGGCAAGAGUAAUUACACCCUCACCACCAUGAAGCAGCAAAAAUAUUGAAAAGAAAUGGAUGGCCUACAAUCUGAAGAAGUACCAUGUGUGACCUCCCGCUACAUCAAAACCCGAAGACUCAAUAAGCUCGACGGGCACCACCUCACAAGCUGGGGACUAUCCAGUUGUUAUGCAGUUCCUACCUUACAGCUAAAGUUCUCGUUCGUUUCACUCGUUUUUCAAUGAGGAAUUUAGAAGUAAUCACAACUUGGCUUGGUUGCAUGCUUACAACAACUAAUCACUCCUGCACUUCAAAAGAAGAUUGCGCCCUUCUUAGGGACUCAUCGCAGGAAUUGCGCCCCCCGAGGGACCAACCAUGCUCUCCAGUGCGAGAGGGUAAACCAAUUCUCCGACACCCAUAUGGGUCAGCUCUCCAAGACGGGAGGAUAAACUUUACACUCCGAAUAUCCAGACGUGGAUGAGCCUGGCUGCCCUAGUAUAACUAGAUGCACGAUGGCUUGCGCCGGGAUUCCUAGAAGUAGCCGCAAUGGUCUUUUUCAAGGCUUAGCUAACUGAAGGAUUUUGGGUCUCUUGGCCUAAUCCGUGGGGAACCGGGCCCUAGAGACGGAGAGGGCACAUUACGCAGUACAUCCGAUGGACGGCUGCCCUGGAAUCCUAAAGCUGCUACCGAGUGCACUAAGGUAGCCUACGGAUUCCGGAAGACUGCCUACGGCUUGCCCUUCGAGCAGUGAAGCCGCACUAGACUUAUACAACCGCACAUUCUUGUGAAAGGUUAAACAAGCUAGCGCGCAUAUACGAAGUUUUAUCCACUGCCGACAUGCUAUGUAGUUGAUAAGCUUCACCUCUGCCAAGCGCGGAACAACCUACACCAAGUCCUAAAGUGUUGUGAUACUUGCUACGCAACCUACGGAAUUGAAAAAAGUCAAGGUUAACAGCCGAGUGGUUACGCGGACUUGUCUACUUCUGUAAGUAAGGCAUCCGGCUGCCAACCCUAUGGCUAACAACUUUGCAAAGUUCUACACCAACACCUACGGCUGCAUAGGCUACGCGAGUUUGUCUGCUUAUAAAAAAGUAGCAUGCCUGCCACUGGUCUAUCAAGUCUAAAGGUUAGGGCAUGAACAAAAGAAGUGAAGAUGAAGAAAAACGAAGGAAAACAUGUUUAUAAACAACUAGCAAAGGCCGAAUGAGUUCAAGCAAAACAAGAGCUACAAGGAAAAACAAAGAAAAUCCUAAAGGCUACCUAAAAUACUACACUACAGCAGCUUGGACAUCCCACGACUACUCGAUCGCCACACCUUCAACAGCCGUAACGCUCUUAGCAGCGGCAUCAUCCGGCGCUUCACCCCCCGGCUGCCCUAGUCUGGGCACUAACUUCUCCAACUACUUCACCAAUGGAAGCCUUAAAAGUAAAAGCAAACAAGUCUUCCGGAGAAAUAGAGAAGGUCUUAAAACCUCAAGCCCAUCCUUCUCACCCUUCAGCUGCUCAUUCUUCUUAAGCAGACUAACACGGACGCGCUACAGCUCAUCCACUCUCUUCUUAGCAUAAGUAGCGAAACGAAGCUCAGAAAUUGCAAGCUUAAGAUCUUGAAUCUGAGGCGAAUCAAUCUCAGCAGCAAAGGGAGCAGGCUUUGGCGCCACUUUAGCAGCAGAGUCCACCUUACCACUCUUCAUAAUAGCAAGUCUCUAAAAAGGUGAACCGGACUUGGCUCCCAAAGAACGUCCUGGUACAAACUUCGGCACUGGGGGCAUGAUAAAACCUUUACGCUGAGUAAUCUUAUCCACAAUUGUACUAGCCAUUCUCAACAUGGAAGACGCCACAUGCUCAGAUCUAGCAGCCUUACAUUUCUUCCCAUUGGAAGAAGUCAUGUCAAUCACAUACCUCUCGGUAGCAAGUGGACCAUCAUGAGCAGCAGAAGAAGUCUUCAAUUUUUUCUUAACUGGCAUCUCAUGAGCAGGUGGGGAAGAUCUCUUCUUUCCAUCUUCAUUCAUAGUAAGCUCCACGAUAGCGAUCAGAUGAGCCAAUGCAUCCGCCUUGAUCCUCUUUACCUCCUCUUUCCGGAGCAGCCCACAUUUCUUUCAGCAAAUAGGACUAAGCAGCCAACGACAUUCAUGGUACUCAGCAGGGGAGCUCAACCCAGUAUUCCAGCAGGCAGGAGGCCUGCAUGCCCAACAUUCCAGCAGCCCGUGAGACCCGCAAUCUCCUUAUUUCUCUCAAUCGCAAGCCUGGCCUGAGUCAAGUCCAAUAGCCCAAAGGACAUGAGUCAUGCGAUUCGCCUAACACUGCGCCUCAGCGCCACAAUCCUCGACCCCAGCUGCACAAGCUGCCCUUGGUUCUAGCCAAGUCAAGCAGCUUAAAACAGUGGUCCCUACCACAAUACCUCAUCGGCCCAUGUCGAGCCGACUCCUGGCCUAUGCCAGCCGACGUGCCGCACCACCCCGAUGGCUGCCCUGCAAUAGCACUAUCCAAGAAGAAGGCAAGAAAAAUUAAAUUUUUCUUACAUCGGUGCGGCACGAAAAAGACGAAGAAAUCAACGAAAGACGGUCUUUUGCACAGGCAAGACGUAGAAGAUUGCUAGAGGAGAGGGAACAAAUAUCCUCUAACUUUCUCUCUCUUGUUGGGUAGAAUAAAUCGCUCUCCAAAGUUGAUUUAAUAACCCACUUAAGGUGGACUUAAAUAGGCUUUGAGAGAAAUUUAUUUCCCUUUCCUAGAAGGAUCUAAUUUCCAUUUAAAGAGAGAAUCAACAACAAAAUAGGAAUCAAUUUAGAGUUGCCUAAAGCGAGAAAAUCUCUACACCUGUUGCCCUUUUCUGCAAGCAGCCCAACAGGUGUGGGGGCAUUUGUGGAGCCAAAAAUAUUCGCUAGGCGACACGUGGACUUUUGGACAAAAGAGGACAAAAAUACCCUCGAAGCAUACAAGGAUUCCUACGCGCGAGCAGUGGGCAAUCAUCUUUCAAUCAAGUCAAAAGUGCCCAAAAAAGGUAACAAUUAAAAACCUCUCUCAUCAAAUCCUUUCUAUAAGGUAUUUCCCAAAACCUAGUAUUUUCUAUUUCAUUAUUUAGCUAAUCAAUUAGCUAAAUAAUAUAAACCUACCAUAUCUCCUAAAAUCACCCAAUUAAUAGCCCAAAACCGGCCCCCACUAUUCACAUCCUCAUCUUUCCCAUUUUCCUUAUUAAAAUAAUCAUUCAUUUUUAUAACCACCCAUUUAUUAUUUUCAUAUUUAAUUAGCCAAUAAAUUGGCAAAUUAAACAUGAAAUUAACCCCCACAAAAACCCUAUGGCUGGCUACUAUUAUUCAAAAUAGGGCAAACCCUAACUCUAUAACUAAACACAUAUUCUCACCAAAAAUUCAUUCCAACUCUCUCACAAAAAAUCACAAAUACUCUAAACACUAUUUCUCUCUAAAAUUCUAACUUUGGCAUCGGAGGUUCUUCAGCCAAAGCCCCCCAUUCAUCGUGGACGCGUGAGGCUCUUGGCCUUAACCUAGGUGCUAGUUGUUUUGUAGGUGCAAAAUCGUCCAAGAUCGAAGAGGAGAAAAUUUGCAUCCACAAUGGAUGUGCGAUUAAACCGAAGAACCCACCACCUCCAUCUUCUCCGACCAACUUGAACCCAGCCACUACUACAUGUCAUCCCGACAACCCACUCUCAGCUUCCCAAACCGCCAUUUUUCACCCACUCACUUACCUCUCUCUCUCUCUCUCUCUCUCUCUCUCUCUCUCUCUCUCUCUCUUACCCAAGCCACUGCCAUUAUUCAUUCAAUCAACCCAAAACACGAGAGCCACCCCAUCUCACCACUCGAACAGAUGCAGCCACCCACCCAUUUAAUCCCAGUCCAAAAUCAAACCCUCUCCUAAACCCACCCCAGAAUCCAAUAAUUUCAAAAAAUGGCUGAUUAUAUCAUUUCAAGAACCUCACAAUUCCAAAAACUAAAAACCCACUUCAAAGAUGUAAUAUUUUUCUCUCUUCCUCUUUUUGGGUUUUUUUUUUUUAUCAAUUCUCUUCUGGGUUUUUGUUUACAGUGUAAAAUCAACACUAAUUUACUAAUUUUGCUUUGAUUUUUCAAACACUAUUGAGGCGUGAUAACCUGUUGCAAGCUCAGCCAUGGCGGCUACUGCAAAAUCUAACGGAAAAACCAUCACAGACUCUGCCAUUUCAUCCAAGGUUCCGACAAUAGCAAACCCUUUAACGAAUAGCUGUCGCAGAUUUCUUCCAACAUCAAUCACCACGCGAAAUUAAUUGUCAAUGAAGACGAUCCCAUUCCCCUUCGAAAUCUGCUGGGGGAAAGAGGCCUUCUUUCAUAUCUGCUCUGAGACCUGUUUAUGCGAGAGAGUGGUGAGCCUGACGACAGAGAGAAAGAAGGGCAGGAUUGGAAAAUUGGAAAGUUCAUUUAUUGGUUACUGUUUAUCCGUGUUUCUUCGAAAUAAGCUGCUUUUUCCAGCUUUGGGUUUUCAGUAUUUUUUUAACCCAUAAUUUUGAAAGAAAAAAAACUGAUUUGAAAUGUUAUCAAACACUUAAAAUGUUCCAAUCUUUUUUCAUACCUAUUUUUUUUAUUAAAAGUUAAGCUAAACAAAAACCAGGAUUAAGUUUACUACUUUGAAGUUUCUUGCUUUUCAACAUUUCAUACAUUGAAUUUUUCUCAUCCAGUGUCAUACCUAAGGUGAGAAUUGUGGGACACUUUUAUACAUCCGUUAGAUUUUCUGUGAAUUAUGGGACACUUUUAUACAUCCGUUAGAUUUUUUGUGAUAACCUUCGCUGACCCACGAUGCGGCAUGCAUGUGGACAUUAAAAAAAAUUCAAAAAUUCAAAAAUUCAAAAAUUUUAAAAUUUAAAAUUCAAAAAUACUAAAAACCUAAACUUUUCAUAAUAUUGAGUUGAGAGACUGAAUCUUUUCACACUCGGCCAAAUUUUCUUUGAAUUUUAAUUAAAUGAAACAAUGAAUCUUGAACAAAGCAAAACAAAACGUAAUAUUGAGAGAUUCAGUCAUUGAAGUGGACGUGGAUGUUGGGUACUCAAUAGUCCAAGAAUGAAAAUUCUCAUAUCAGUUUCUAUCCAAAAUUUUGGAAUUAUGUGUGUUGCAACGAUUGUCCAAAGGAUUAUUCUUCUUUUAUUAAAUUUCCAUGAAAAAUGAGCAUGGGGGCAUAAAAAUUGAACGAAUGAAAUUUCAACGAUUUGAAAAGGGUUGUGAGUUUGACACGUCAUUUUUCUUCCUUUAAUGCAAUCAUGUUUAUUAAAAGACAAAAAUAAAUAUGACUUUACAUAAGGAGAGAGAAAGAAUAGUUUUCUUUGAAAAAAUCAACCAUUUAUUGAAGAGGGAUGUUGAUAAGGAGAUGAGACAUUCAUUAGAAGCUAGAAAAAAGAAGUUAAAAGUGAUUUAGAAAAAAGCAAGAAAGCCACAUUUUCAAAGUGGUGGUCAUUGCACAAUACUUAAUUAGAAGAAAACUCAUAGUAUUGUAUUUACAAUUUCAAGUCUUUAUGGGGAACGAGAGUGCAAAUUUUCCAAUUGGAAUAUGAUAUGAAAUUUCUAGAUAACUAUAUAUGACAAAGAAAGAAGUCUAAGUUUCUAAGUGGUAGGGCUUCCAAUUGAUGUGAGUUUGUUGAGAAAUGUAGAUGAAGAUGAAUAUUGUUGUUGAUGUUAGUGAACAACAGAACAAGUUGCUUCUCCUUUGGCCUUCUAACAUGAUAUCACGGAAAACAAGUUGUUGCUAAUAAAUGUAUCUGAUUGGUGGACUUAGACGUGCGCGGUACGAUUUUUGAUAACGAGAAAAGAUGGACAGUGUCAUGACAAAAUUUAUCCAAGUAGACCCAAAGGAAAGACUUAGGAACUUCAUAUGCAGUGGGAUAAAAUCUUAAGCUAAUUUCCUUACCUAUUUUAUAGUCAUUAAGUAAAAUGUAUAUGUAUAUUUCUAGAUGCUGACACACCAAUGUACUUACUAUUAACUCCUUUCAAAUACCCAUUCGCAGAAACGCAAAUCUCUCUUGCAUGCUUGUUGUAAUGCUCAUGUAGUGCGUAUCUAAUAUCUUAUGUGUAUAAUUUUUUGUGAUCCAUUUUUUCAUCACUAUGCCAAAAUCCCUUUAGAAUUUGCAAUUUAUCCAUUUGGUUAUGGUAAAAAAAAAAACUCGGAAUUUCAUUUAAACUCAAAAAUCUAGAAUUGGGAAAGCAAUUUUCCCUUGUUCGGCAACUUGUAGCGAUAGCAAAGGCAAAUUGUACAGGAAAAAAGUGGAAAUUGGGGAUGAAGAUCCAAUUUUAAUUUCGUCAAAAUAAGUGUAAUUUCACAAUUCCAACAACGUUGAGAACAAAUGCAUUGCGGGGAAAUCUUGCGACCACCAAACUUUACGAUUAGAGGGCCAAAUUUCAUGAUAAAACGUAAUAAGGGUUUAGGACUGCAUCGUUCACUUUGUUAACUCUCCAAUCUUCGACGGGAUUUUCAACUCGUGCAUCAUCUUUUGCUUUGUUCUAGGUCAAAGCCUACUCUUUUCUUUCUUGAAUUAUUUUAGCUUUGAGGGUAUACUCUUUAGGCCAAUUGUGAAUUUUGCUAGUUAUUUUUAUUUUCUGAUGGUCAUAUGUUUGUUUUGUUUUUUUUUUCUUCCAAUUGAGAUGUGUAUUGGUUGGAUCAGUAACUUUUUUUUUGGAUUUUUAUUUUUAUUUUUAUGGAUUUUGGUGUUAGUUCCUUGUUAUAGAUGUUGUGGAGCAAAAAAUAAUCUCAAAAAUCGUGGAGGUGACACACGGAUUUUUGGACAAGAAUGACAAAAUUAUCCUCGAAGCACAUCAGGAUUCCCACGUGCAUGCAACGGACAAUAACGGCUCAAUCAUGGAAGAGUCAAAGGUGAUCAAUAUGGUAUUUAUUCAAAUCCCUCUCAUCACUCCUCAUCAAUCCCUUUUUUAUUUUAUUCAAAAGGUAACUCCCAAAACUUCCUAUUUAAUUUAGGGAUCAUUGUCAUGUUAAUUGCAAGAUAUUAUUUCACAAAAUAUCUUGUAAUUAUUCUUCAAUUACCACCAUGUAUGGCCGGCCACUCCUCACAUUAUGGGCCGGUCACUCCUCACCCUAUGGGUCGGCCACUCCCUAUAAAUAGCCCUAUUAUUCCACUAAUAAGGAAGCCAUUUGCUACCCACAAACUCCUAAACACAUUCUUUCAGAAUUCUAACUUUGGCAUUGGAGAUUCUUAGGCCAAAUCCCCCCUCCCAUUCAUCAUGGGCGCAUAAGGCUUUUGGCCUUAGUCUUAGGUAUUAUUAUUUUGCAGGUGCAUUUUUGUCAAAGACGAAGAUGGUGAAAAUUUGCAUCCACAAAUUGGUGUUUUCAUUGAGAGUUUGAUUCAUAAGCUCGAAGAAGACUCACAUUCAAAGUUUCACAUUUCUCAUUCAUAAGUAAAUUUUUCAUACGUUCUUAUUCCUAAAAUUUUUUAAAUCUUUGAAUAGACGUAUGAGAGAAAUACAAUGGCUAGAAAUUUAGAAACCACGACGAACGAAACUUCCUACGUUCAAAGAUCCAGAUAAAAUGAUGGAAAUUGCGAUGUAGCCCCACCACGACGAUCCACGAAGCUCAACGUGGUGGCAAAAUGAGUAACUUGGCCACCACGGAGUACCACCACCACCAUAGCCAAGGCAACCCAUGUUGCAGUGGGGAGUGGGACAGCUUCAUGGCAGCAAAGCCACGAAGCAACAAUAAAUGCCAUCUUGCAGUAAUGAGCCCAGGCCCGUGUCACAAGGCAGUCAACCCAGCGCUAGGUAACCUAGAUCUAGUAGGCCCACGACGUUGCCAUAGCAGCUGAGGCCUAAAGCAAGGCCCAAACAGUUGCGGUUGCGGCAAAUGGAGCAGCACAACACUGGCGGGGCCAAUGCACCCUUGGCCUAAUGCUAAGCAGGCUAAAUCGCACCACACCCACUAUUCAAACUAACCCUAAGUUGAGUAAGUAGCAUUGAAGGUUGUCAACCGCAAGGCGUUGAAGUACGAAUAAAGUUACACACCCCGCACAUGACUUGGCCCACUUCCGCGGCCCAACUUGCUCGCAAGGUCCACCUAGUGAUCCCGACUAGUCGAAGGCCAGUUUAAUCAUCCCAUCUUCAGAUUUCUGGACUGACGAUUGAAUCGGGGGUAUUUUCACCCCGAUUUUCUACAGAUUUGACAUAUCUCAACUCAAAUCUCGCACUUGGAGUCCAUUGCACUUCCAUUACUCAAGGAGACGCAUACCAUUUAAGAUCUUCCAUCCCAAAUGGCGAACAACACUUGUCUCGACAAGUCAUAGAGUUGACAUGCGCUUUUGCGCAGUAGACGACCUUAGUGAAUCAGCUCUUGCAACGCACAUAGAUGCAGUGUGCCCCAGACGAUGUGUCCCGAAGUAAGACAAGUACAGAUGACGAUUCUCUCCAGCAGCGUCCCAACAAGCAGCCGCUCGACUAGCCACGAACCGAGCGUUCUGGCAGUGUACACUCCCGUCUAGGUCCUCAAGAAAGCGUAUACUCUCGUCUUAGCGCGCGAAUGAGCGUGCACUCAUGGUUAGGCCUAUGGACGAGCAUACAUUCACGGUUGGGACCAUACUCUUAUAAUUAACAUGGACAACCUGCUAGACGAAGUGUUCAUUCGCGGCUAGGCCCGCAAAAAGCAUUUUCCACCUCAUAUUGGAGUAAGCAGCACAGAAGACGAAGAUAAGCAGUCAAUUAAUCUGGCUCAAAUUCAAUCGGCCACCUGUAAGUAACCAGUUCGCCUGCCAAGAACGUAUCAUAUGCAAUGUAGCCACGACAUAGACUAGAUGAGCACAACGAUAAGCAACCUAGACUAACAGGUUACGACUGGGGGCAGCCAGAAGCUCUGCUGCCCCAAUAGAGGUAAAUUUAGAAAGAAGUUGAGAGGCUCAUGACCGAACAAUUGUGCGAUUUCCAACGCAACGAAGCUACUGACAAGGCGCUUAAACGAUACACGACCAACAUAAAUGGGUCACCUUUUAUUGACAAGAUUGAGCAGACAGAACCAUCCUACAUACACUGGCGGAUACAAAGAUUACAUCUAUUUUAACAUAUGCAUCAACUCAGCCUAAUGGCGUGUCGAGGGCAAAUGGGUACCAGAAUGGCACACCAGCCCAACCACCAAGAACCAGGGCCAAAUCUUAUUUUCAUCACUCCACACGAUUCAAUACUUGAGCAGCACAUCACCAGUAAUCGAGCACCGCAGACCUAAUGGUCCAAUUCCUCCUGAUGCACACAAGCUCACCCCAGCUCCACGCUCAAAGCCUUGCCUACCUGCUCCACAACACUCAGCCACCCUUGAUUUGUCACCAUGGCUCACAAUUAUGCCAAUUUUGCACCACAGCUCAUAGCCGUGCUAAUCUUGCCAUGCGGCUCUUAACUACGUUAACCAAGCCCACGAUACUUUAUACUUCAAAGCAUCCAACGACGGAGUAGAACACGAGGCUCUACUAGCAGCCCCUGCUAGUGAAAGACUUUGCGGUGAAGAGGCUUCCAAUCCAUUCAAAUUCUCAGUUGACCACCUGUUGGGUUUUACGACUCAAAAUUAGGAUGAUGCAAAAAAAAUUGUGUUACCUAUUUGGUUUUGGUGUCGUAUUUGGGUUUGGAUUUUGACCUCUUAGUUGGUUUCCGUGGUGGAGAGAUUUUGUUAAUUACCUAUUUGAUUAGGAUUUGGAUUUACUUCCUAUUAAGAUUCUUAUUGUAACCUAAGUCUUAUGCACUAUAAAUAGGACCUCAGGGUUAGUGUAUUUUGUGUGGCUCAUUCGUGUGGCAAUUUGGUGAGAGUCAAUUUGUGAGUUUGUGAGUUAGAGAGCAAUUUGGGAGAAUCUUCUCCGUUAGUUUUGGGUUCUCUACUCGUUUGGUUUAGGGUUUGUAAUUUGUGGGAUUUGGAUUGUGAGAGUCUGAACACUAUUUUGUAAUCUCCGUUUGUUUAGUGAAAUUUCUUGUCAUGCUUCGCUCGUGGACUUAGAUUUUACACCGAACCACAUAAAUCUCUUGUGUUAGUUUGAGAUUGUUUGUUUUAGUUUUCACCUACGACGUUGAUAUCGGUACUUUGUUAGAAUUCGCUUUCCUUUGCUCAUAAAAGUACAACAAGUGGUAUCAGAGCCCGGCUUUCGGCUUGGGCUUUGCUUGGCAAUCACUAUGAAGCCUUCUGUGUCGUCGGUGAAAGUUGAUAUUGAAAAGUUCGAUGGCAAUGACUUUGGUAUUUGGCAAUUGAAGAUGCGUACUUUGUUAAUUCAACAAGAGCUUUUAAAAACGCUAAAGGGUGUGAAGGCUUUCCUGAAUUCGUGGACUGAUGAAGAAAAAAAAAGAUGUUAUGGAGCGGGCACUUGGAACAAUCCUGCUAACUUUAUCGAAUGAAGUCUUGCGUCAAGUUGGUAGCAUCAAAUCUGCACCGAAGUUGUGGCUAAAAUUGGAGAGUUUGUAUAUGACCAAAUCCCUUGCUAAAUGGUUGUAUUUGAAGAAAAGUUUGCGUACUCUUCGUAUGGAUGAAGGUACGUCAAUUCAUAAGACCAAAUCCUUAUUGCUGCCAAAAGUCCUCAACAGUUCCAAGGGAGAUGGGUAAGAGUUCGUAAUAGUGAGAGAUUGAAUCUUUUCACACUCGGCCAAAUUUUAAUUUUAAUUAGAUGAAACAAUGAAUCUUGAACAAAGCAAAACAAAAUUUAAUACUGAGAGAUUGAAUCAUUGAAGUGGACGUGGAUGUUGGGUACUCAACAGUCCAAGAAUGAAAACUCUCAUAUAAGUUUUUAUCCAAAAUUUUGGAAUUAUGUGAGUAUUGCAACGAUUGUCCGAAUGAUUAUUCUUCUUUUAUUAAAUUUCCAUGGAAAAUGAGCAUGGGGCACAAAAGUUGAACGAAUGAAAUUUCAAUGAUCUGCAAAGGGAUUGUGAGUUUGACAUGCCAUUUUUCUUCCUUUUAUGCAGUCAUGUUUAUUAAAAGACAAAAAUAAAUAUGACUUUACAUAAGGAGAGAGAAAGAGUAUUUUUCCUUGAAAAAAUCAACUAUUUAUUGAAGAGGAUGUGGAUGUUGAUUGAUGCGCAUUGUGAAUAGGAAAAAAAUAACCUUGAAGGGAGACGAGACAUUCAUUAGAAGCUAAAAAAAAGUUAUAGUGAUUUAGAAAAAAAAAGUUUUAACGAAACAUUUCCGGUACUGUUUACUCUUUACGAAAAACCACAUUUUUACCUUUCCUAACUACUAUUCACUACAUCUUUAUUUAUCAUUUUUCAUUAAAACUAAAGUUUUUGUUUUAACUUUUCGUUAGUUUCCUUUAGAAAAAAGCAAGAAAGCCUCAUUUUCAAAGUGGUAGUCCUUGAAACAAUACUUGAUUAGAAGAAAAGUCAUAGUAUUGUAUUUACAAUCUCAAGUCUUGAGGGGUAACGAGAAUGCAAGUUUCUAAUUGGAAUAUGAUAUGAAAUUUCUACAUAACUAUAUAUGACAAAGAAAGAAGUCUAAGUUUCUAAGUGGAAGGGCUUCCAAUUGAUGUGAGUUUGUUGAGAAAUGAAGAUGAAGAUGAAUAUUGUUGUUGAUGUGAGUUAGUGAACAACAGAACAAGUUGCUUCUCCUUUGGCCUUCUAACAUGAUAUUACCGGAAAACAAGUUGUUACUAGUAAAUGUAACUGACUGGUGAACUAAGACAUGCGGUACGAUUUUUGAUAACUAGAGAAGAUGAACAGUGUCGUGACAAAAUUUAUCCAAGUAGACCCAAGGGAAAGACUUAGGAACUUCAUAUGCAGUGGGAUAAAAUCUUAAGCUAAUUUCCUUUUUAAUCUUAUAGUCAUUAUGUAAAAUGUAUAUGCAUAUUUCUAGAUACAUACACACCAAUGUACAUAAUAUUAACUCCUUUUAAGUAGUCAUUUGCAAAUCCCUCUCGAGUGCUCUUUGGAAUGCUCAUGUGGUGCCGUUCUAAUCUCUUAUAUAUAACUUUUUGUGAUCCAUUUUUUCAUCAAUAUGCCAAAAUCCCUUUAGAAUUUGCAACUUAUCUUUUUGGUUACGGUAAAAAAAAAACUCGGAAUUUCAUUUAAACUCGAAAAUCUAGGGAUGUGAAAGCAAUUUUCUCUUGUUCGGCAACAUGUAGCGAGAGCAAAGGCAAAUUGUACAGGAAAAAGUUAGAAAUUUGGGAUGAAGAUUCCCAAUUUUAAUUUCGUCUAAAUAAGUGUAAUUUCACAAUUCUAACUACGAUGAGAAUCACAAAUAUAUUGCAGGGAAAUCUUGCGACAACCAAACUUUACGAUUAGGGUGCCAAAUUUCGUGAUAAAACCUAAUAAGGGUUUAGGGCUACAUUGUUCACUCUGUUAACUCUCCAAAUCUUCGACGGGAUUUUCGGCUCGUGCAUCAUCUUCUUGCUUUGUUCUAGGUCAACGCCUCUACUCUCUUCUUUCUUGUAUUAUUUUAGCUUUUCAGGUAGACUCUUUAUGGCUGUUGUGAAUUUUGCUAGUUAUUUUUAUUUUCUGAUAGUCAUUUGUUUGUUGUGCGUUUUUCCUUCCAAUUGAAUUGUGUAUUGGUUGGAUUUGUAACAUUUAUUUUUUUUAUUUUAUUUUAUGGAUUUUGGUGUUAGUUCUUUGUCAUGGAUGUUGUCCUUUUGAAGGUUAACAAUAGCCAAGACUAAACAUGAUGAUUUUGGUGUUAAUUACUUUCUCAUGAUACUAAUGCCAUAUUGUUCUCUAUUUUGCACUCACAAGUAAAGAGAAAUAUCCUAGACCCUAACUGGAUAUGUUAUUGUCAUGGUCAUGCAUUGGUAUGGUAACAAUAUGUUUGGAUAAGGAAAAUAAACUUAGAAUUUGACAAAAGAUAAAAUUUAUAAAUUGAUACAAUCAAUUCCUUUGUUUAGAUUCAUAAACAUAGAAAUUUAAACUUUCCGCGUGAGAAAAAACUUGGAAUUUGGGACCUUCAAUUCUCAUGUUUAAAUUUUAUGUAAAUAGGUGUCAUUUCUAAAUUUCAGUAAGUGAGAAUUUAAAAAUAACAAACAUGUAUUCAAAUUUCAUUCAUCUUUUAGGUUAACCAAACAAGAAAUUUUAUAAAUUCUAGAAAAUAAAAUUUCGUUAUUUCAAUUUCUGUUAUUUUAAAAUUAGUAAUCUUAAAUUUUCUCAUCCAAACAAAAAGUUUCCUUGUCAUAGAACUUUCAAUUGGGAUCAAGGAAGACAAUCUUUUCACAACUGAUUAUUCUCACCAAAUUUUAUUAUUAUUUUAAAGCAGAUCAAUACCAAACUUCAAAAGCAAAGUAGGAAGGCUAAAAUUAAGGUGAAGAACCUACUUCCACUAAUUACCAUGGGAGGGAGAGAGAGAGAACCAAGCGAGAGAGAAGAGAGAGAAAACACCAAGUAGUAUUAUAAUAUAGGUGGGGUUAAAUCACCUUUCGUGAAGUUGUAGUAAGAGCAGCUCCAGCGGGAGCUCCAACUUGAUGUACCGGUGAGAUUUCCUACCCAAUAGCCCCAGCUCCUUGCUCCAGUCCAUGCGGGUGAUUGGGCUGAGGGGGGCCGAGUGAGAGGCCUGACUCGAAUCGGUGGCCUGAGAGCCUGAGACCAAAAAUUAUCUUUUUGGAUAAUGACACGUGGUGCAACGAGAACGAUUAAAAAUCUUAUCCGAAAUUACAAAUAGAAUUAUUUUGUAUUAUUUUAUAAAAUAAAAAAUACUAAUAUUUUAUUGCUUAUUGACAUGACUAUUCAAUUACGGGUGGAGAUGCAGAAGACAAUUAUUAUUCAUUAAAGGUAAUUAUUGUUCAUUGGAGGGGAUUGAAUAUGAAGUUGCACUAGAAGGCCUUUGUCACGGCAAUAGGCAAUUACUGUUCUAAGGACUUCUAUCCUAGAAGAGAGACAAAAACACCAAGUAGUAUUAUAAUAUAGGUGGGGUUAAAUCACCUUCCGUGAAGUUGCAGAUAGAGUAAGGACUUCUAUCCUAGAAGAGAGACAAAAACACCAAGUAGUAUUAUAAUAUAGGUGGGGUUAAAUCACCUUCCGUGAAGUUGCAGAUAGAGUAAGGACUUCUAUCCUAGAAGAGAGACAAAAACACCAAGUAGUAUUAUAAUAUAGGUGGGGUUAAAUCACCUUCCGCGAAGCUGCAUUAAGGACUUCUAUCCUAGAAGAGAGACAAGAACACCAAGUAGUAUUAUAAUAUAGGUGGGGUUAAAUCACCUUACGUGAAGUUGCAGUAAGGACUUCUAUCCUAGAAGAGAGACAAAAACACCAAGUAGGAUUAUAAUAUAGGUGGGGUUAAAUCACCUUACGUGAAGUUGCAGAUAGAGUAAGGACUUCUAUCCUAGAAGAGAGACAAAAACACCAAGUAGUAUUAUAAUAUAGGUGGGGUUAAAUCACCUUCCGUGAAGUUGCAGUAAGGACUUCUAUCCUAGAGAAAAGUCGGUCAAUGGUGUUUGACACAGUCAGUCAACGAUAAAGACAGAAUUGUGUAACCAUAAUUCUCUCUCUAUCUCUUUUUCAUUAACGGAGGACAGUGUAUAAUUACUACGUAUACAUCUCUGCUCAAUUAUUGAAAAGAAAAAUCCAUGUGCAUUAUUUUUAUUAUUAUUAUCUCAGAAAUGCAGAAAUUGAUCAUCUCUUCCUUCUGCAUAUUGAUACUGGUUUUCUUCAAACUAGUUGAAGCAAGCCAAUAUGUGUGCGCGAAAUCCAACUGUAGCAAUGAUCAACGCCCGGCUAUCCAUUUCCCAUUGAACAUCAGGCGCACACAUCAUUGUGGAAAUUCUGGGCUUGAAUGCAAUGGGAGAUAUGGGCAGCAAAUACUAAUAAAAUUAUUUGUCAAACACAUUGAUUACAAGCGUCAGGAAAUCCAAGUCUAUUCCCCAAGUAACUGCCUGCUGCUAAAGCAUGUUGAAAUCCCAAACAUGCCACCCUCUCCCUUCAACGUGUCAGUCGAUGACUACAUGAGUACCCUUACCUUAUUCAGUUGUCCUACUUCUGUUGCAAGACGAGAUACGUAUCAAGUCCCCUGCCUCGGCGACCCUGGCAAGAAAACUUAUGCCAUUCGUUCUUACUAUGAUUUUGGAACUCUCUUCCAGAAUCUACAAUCCUGUACAAAAAUGUAUGAUGUUUUAUCAGUUCCAAUAGCCUAUGAAUAUUAUGUUUUUCGUUUCAAAUGGUCUAUACCAAAUUGCAGAAAAUGUGGAGAGGGAAAGAAGUGUGGAUGGCAGAACAAUGAAAUUAAAUGUCUUCCCUGGAGGAAACCAAGUAAGGAUAACAUAUGUAUUCAUUGCUAGUUUUAAACAUCUUUACAUUUAUGUCUUAGUAAUUAUUAUUUGAAGGAUGUUGUCCAAUCCAUUUUUACUAGGAAUAUUACCUGACAGUCUCGUUUAAAUUCGCAAUGAUCUUCUACAGGCAACACAUGGAAAAAAGUGGUUACAGGUGGAAUCCUGUGUGCUUUGCUUCUUGUUCUACUGACGAUUGCAGCAUAUCGGGUAUAUAGCGCUGAUAGAAAGGAGAAAGAGAGUCGAUUAAGAAUUGAAAGAUUCUUGGAGGACUACAAAGCACUCAAACCAAGCAGGUAUUCGUACGCAGAUAUUAAGAGGAUUACAAAUCAAUUCAAGGACAAGUUGGGCCAAGGAGCCUAUGGAACUGUCUUCAAAGGAAUGCUCUCUUCUGAAUUUUUUAUUGCUGUCAAAGUCCUCAACAGUUCCAAGGGAGAUGGGGAAGAGUUCGUAAAUGAAGUGCGAACGAUGGGUCAUAUCCACCAUUUAAACGUGGCUCGCUUGGUUGGAUUUUGUGCUGAUGGAUUUGUACGAGCUCUUGUUUACGAGUUCUUCCCCAAUGGUUCCCUGCAGGAUUUCAUUUCAUCUGCAGAUAGUAAGAAUUCAUUUCUUGGUUGGGAUAAACUGCAAGAUAUUGCCCUAGGCAUAGCCAAAGGAAUUGAAUAUCUUCACCAGGGAUGCGAUCUACGAAUCCUGCAUUUCGACAUCAAACCCCAUAAUGUUUUGCUAGACCAAAACUUCACUCCAAAAAUUUCUGAUUUUGGUAUGGCCAAGUUAUGUUCCAAGGAUCAAAGCUUGGUGUCCAUGACUACAGCUAGGGGGACCAUGGGCUACAUUGCACCUGAAGUGUUCUCCAGGAAUUUCGGAAAUGUGUCUUACAAGGCAGAUGUCUAUAGCUUUGGAAUGCUGCUGCUUGAGAUGGUAGGAGGAAGGAAGAAUAUUGGUUCAAUCACGGAUAACACUACAAAUGAAAUUUACUAUCCACAGUGGAUUUAUAAUCUUCUAGAGGAAGGGGAUGACCUACGAAUCCACAUUGGGGAAGAAGGAGAUGGUAAAAUUCCAAAGAAACUUGCAAUUAUAGGGCUAUGGUGUAUCCAAUGGCACCCGUCGGAUCGUCCUUCCAUGAAAAUAGCGGUUCAGAUGUUAGAAGGAGGAGGAGAAAGCUUGAGUAUGCCGCCUAAUCCCUUUGUGCCUACUGGUUCUACAACUAGGAAUGCAAGACGCCUAGAGCUAGAAGCUAUUGCUGAAUUAGAGUAAAAUGUAUAUGCAGAUAUGUAGACGUAUAGAUAUAGUAAUAUUUAUAUUGAAUAAGAGGCCGUUUGAUAACCAUUUCGUUUUCAGCUUUUAAUUUUUAUUUUUCACUUUUUUGAAAACUAAAAACUAAAAUCUUGUUUGGUAAAUACUUUUAGUUUAAAAAAAUUAUGAAGACUGAGAACUAAAAUGUGAAAGCUCAAAGGAAGUAGAUUAAAAGUAGUUACCAAACAAACUGGAAUCUCAAUAAUAAAAAAAGAUUGAAUUGCACAAUGCAAUCCAAACCAAUCAAAACAUUAAAAUAGCAAAAAAAAAUUAAAAUUCUAGUUGAUUAGAUUCUAAACGUAGUAAAAAUGAACAGAUCCAAUGAAAAAACAAAAAAUUCUCAAAUAAAAAUAGGGAUAAAGUAAAAUAUUUAUAAAUAGCUCUUUGUCUCUUAUGUCAUCAAUUAUUUCUAUAGUAUAUACAGGUUUUUGGAAAAAUUAGGUUCUCAUCCCUUAUUUUCAUAUUACAUUGAUUGAAAUCUUAUUAUUUUUCUAUUUUAGAUCAAGGUCCCUUGACUUAUUCCAUGUCAUCAUUUUAGUAUUUAAAAUAUUACACGUCAUCAUAAACGAAAUCUCAUCCCUUUCUGCAUUUAAGGCAAAAUAAACUAUAUGAGUAAGUUUAAAACAAGGAAAAUCCAUUUGAACUCCUCCAUUCUUCUUCUUCCCUUAUGCACAUCUGGAAUCUACAACACCCCAAACCCAAUUUUCUCCAUUUUUUCUCCAUUCCUGAAUUGAUCCAAUGCAUAUAUGUUGAAUAAACCUAUUGUGAUUAAAAUACAAAUUAGCAUCAAUGGUUUUAUCGGCUUGUGAGAUUUGUGUGGCAUAGGCAAGGCAAUGCAGGCAUUGCUUUCUCAAGGAAUCUGGUUGAUUCAAACAUGCAGAGACUGUAGAGUGAGCGGGCUAUGUGAAAAUUGUACCAUUCUGAAGUCAUUUUCUUUUGUUCUUUAUAUUUUUUUUCUUUUUCUUUUAUUAUUAUAUAUUAGUCUUGGUUAUUCAAUGUCUGGUUGGCUACACUUAUAUCCAUGGGUACAUUUUUAAUCUACAUGUUUCGUUCUAAUAUAUCUAUUGCUAUAAUAUGUUUUGGUUGGUUCAAAUUUGUUUUACAUAAAUAUAUGGGUACAAAGUUUUUGGAGAAUAUUAUGUAAAAUGGUUUUUAAGGUUGCUGCAUUUUACGUUCCCACAUAUGCAUGUCUAUAAAACAAUGUGGUAUGAUGUACAUUCUUUUCUUUGAGUUUUUAAAUGUACCCAUGAGUUUUCUUGUAAAUUCGUAUGUACCCAUAUGCUAUUUAUGUUAUGGGUACAUACAUUAUUUUUGGUCUAAGUUCAGGAUACAUUGCUUUUGUAUGUAUGAAUUCAUGGGGUACAUUAUUUCCCUUAAUACUACUCAAUAAAAUUCACAAAAAUAUGUGUAGUGUGCAUGAUUUUUUAUUGUAGAAAUUGUUUGUUUUUUUUAAGUCUCAUAAUUCAUGAAAUUUGUACAUAUAUGAUCCCAUAAAUUUUUUAAUUUUAUUAAAUUUCUGUUAGACUUGAUCGAUUGAUUGAAUCUCAUAAUACUAGGAUUUUGAAUUACAUAAAUUCUUGGAUUUGAAUCCCUUAAAUGUUGGACUGCAAUCAAUAUUUUAAAUUACAGUUUUUUGUUUAAGAUAUCAAAAAGAUGACAUGGGAAUAUAGUAAUACUAAAAUGCUGAGGUGUACAAAGUCAAGGGACUUUGAUCAAAACAUAAAAAACAAUAAGAUUUCAAUCUAACAAUUGAAUUGACUAGGGACCGGAACCAAAAUGACCCUAGAUUUUUAUUGAGUUUAAUCUUAAUCAAAAAAAGACUUCUUGUAUCACAGAAAAUACAAGAACCAUUAUUUGAAUGAAAUAAAAGCUAUGGGAUGGAGAUAUAAAUGGAUCCUUUUAUUCACAAUCGGAUUAUAUUUAUUUGAUACACUGUUGUCAAUAUGAAUGUUGAGAAAAGACUACAAAAGAAAAAACAAUUUAUAAAUAUAACUAAAAAUUCCAAUUUCAAUCAAUUAGAUAAUUAGAAUUAUAAGAAGAAAAAAAACAGAAAUCUCAGUUUUCAGUUUAAAAAAAAAUGAAAACAAAAACUGAAAACUGAAAACAAAAUGGUUAUCAAAGCCGUCCAAAUAAUAGAAGUUUGUUUCCACUCUUUGUUUAAGCAUAGAUGCCAAUUUUUGUUUAUCAUUUUUUUAACCUCUAUUUUUUGUUACAGUAGAAGCCCUAGAAGGAAAUCGAGCACUGGACUUACCAAACUCUUAACUUAUUUCUACACACCAAGAGCUUGAUUUCGGUUCUUAUUUAUACUAUUUAAGCUAUAAGCCGUGAUAAGAAUUAGAGAACUAUCAUUUGUUGUGAGCUUCAAUUGGUUAGCACUUUGUAUGUUUUCAUUAGAAUUUAUAUUUCACUUAGACUUUCUUAUUAAAAAAGGGAUCAUUUGGUGACUUCACCAUGACAGUCCAAUUUUAUGGGGGCCAUGAGUACUCACAAAGGUAUUUCAGCCUCCCCCUAUAUCUACCGUCGCGUGAUUCACCAUUGCCGGGAAUCGAACUCAAGACGUGUUGUAUAGAAUACAAGCCUAAAAUUCGUUUCUAACCACUGAGUCACCCCGCGUUUGAUUAUAUUUCACUUAGACUUAUCUUGCGGUAUAGCAUGUCAUCCCCGCCCAAGUUUUUCUGUUCGCAUUGAGUUUGGGAUACCAAAACUUGCCAAACAAAGUAGAUUGAUUAGUAAGCGAAGCUAAUUAUUCGACUAAACAUUGUUUAGAAUUUUAAUUAAAAGAAACAAUAUGAAUCUGUUUUUUUUUUUUUUUUUUGACAAACUAUAACGUUAAGGAGUUAAAUUGUUAGUUGUUAAGAGUACAGGGAUAGGUGAGGAUCGAACCUCCACCAGAGUGCAUAGACAUUAUUGGUUCUACAACUGCGGUAAAUCACAUAAAACAAAACGUAAUACUUUGAGGAUGGAAGACACUUCGUGGAUAGCGGGCAAUCAACACUAUCAGUCGCUAUCCAAAACUUGGAAUUAUGUUUAUUGUCCGAAGGAUUUUUCUUCCAUUAAAUUGCUAAGGAAGAUGAGGAUGGGUGGAGUGUCUAAAUGUCAAGGUUGAUAAGAAAGUGUAUGGUGUUCAGCAUGCGAUUGAGAUUUGUUGAGUGGCACAACAAACCACAUAAAAUUUUCUAAAUGAUAAGCAAUGAUAAGCUUGAGUAUAAUUUUUUACCACGUAUUUAUCUUUAAAAUCAUUAUAAUUAGAUUUUCUCUUAAUUAAUAUAGACCGUUAGAUUGACCCAAGUUUUUUUCCUCUUUUCUUUCCCCUCGUUUUUUUCUUCUCUGAUUUUCCAUUCACCGUGUAGCAGUCGUUCUUCCCCAACUAAGUUUCUUAUUUUUCUUCACAAAAAAAUUGUAGAAAAUAUUAAGAAAAGAAAAGUCAUCAAUAUCAGACUCGAUCAGGUAAUCGUUCCAACCUUCCCAGCAACUCUCAGUCUUAACAAGGCACCAAAUUUUCUCCGCCACCUAACUCGUCAUUCAUUCAUGGGUGUUUCAAGCUUGGUGAAAAUUGAUAGAGUUCCAUGUGUGUACAGGGAUGUGAACAUAUUGGCCACUCUCUAAGAAUGAGUCAUUGGAAAAGUUGAAGGAAAGAUGUAACCGAUGAAAUUAAUGGAUUGGAAUUACAAUGAAGUCUGUGUUGGUUUAUCACAAAGAACCCAGAAACAAAAUUUUAAAAGCAAACAAUUACAACUUCUCAAAUAUUAUGUAACAAACUUUCAAUGAAAUGUUGCUCAUAAUUGAAAAAAGGUUGACGAAGGACGGAGUUGGGAUUAUUUUAGAUGGGGAAGAGUUAAAAGAAGGAAGCACCAUUUAAUUACUAAAAGUAAUUGGAGAAAUGGUAAUUCAAUGGUGGGCGUUUUUAAGGUGUGGACCUUGUGUCACACCCCGAUCCCAACAUACAUUGAGGAUCGACACCUGACAUGGGGACCUAGGGGACAUAAAUCUUACGUAAGAUACAGAAUGAAAUACUAUAAAUAAUAUCCCAAAAUGAAUAUGAUAGUGGGUUCACCCCCUAUAAAAUAUAUACAAGUUUGUACAUUCACAAAAAAAAAAAAAAAAAAAACACACACACACACACACAAAACUCUUGCUAGGCCAAGACUUGCCCAUGGUUCUCAAAGGAAAGUCCUAAAAGAAAUAGUACAAUGAAGGAUAAAGGGGUAACCUAAACACUCCAAGUCUCUGAUCUCUGCACUGCUACCCCCACCGGCUCCUCGUAAUCUACCUCAGACCUGUCACUUGUACAAACAGUGCCUACAUUGUGGGAAUGGUGCACCGGGCAAACAAAAACCCAGAUAAGCUGCAAAACUCGUGUGGUAGCCGGCCUGGGACAUGGGAGGGGGCCGAGUCUUUCAGAAACCCUUGGGUCAUUGAUCUUCAAGCUUACAUGGAUGGGAUUGUCUCGACGUUGCUUUAGGAAGUCUCGACAGUCGUGAAAGACGGCUUUCGAUCCUUCCACUCCUUCUGUAAGAAGGUGUCUUCCUCCACUCCUUCUGCUUCGGGUUGAAGCAGCUGGGUUGAGAGAAGUCUCAUGUUGGUCGCGAUUUCGAUGAGUAGCUCGCUCCUCAACAGGAAUACCCAUGUCGAGGGAAAAUGAGCCUCUGUGUUGGAGGCACCCAGUUGAUGGUUGACUUCCACAGGGGUGAUGAGCUCGUGUGUUUUAGUAUAUCUAGCCUCGUGGAGCAUCUCGAAGACCUUUUCAUACUGCUCUUGGAGGAUCUCAUUCUUCAUCGCUAUCUUGUUGUUCUGAGCCUCCAGCUCAUCGACUUUAGCCUGAAGAGCAAACUUCUUUUGUUCCUUCUUUCGUUGUUUCGCACCAGGUGUAAGAGGGGUGUCAUUCUGUGUGCCGUGGCUUCCUUCGCUCCCCAUGUUAGAGAGGGAUGCCUGGUCAAAAGAGAGAGUACGAAUGGUGGAAACCAGCUUGGCAAAGCUAAAGAGAGUGGGAAUAAGUGUCGUUCCCACAGACGGCGCCAAAUGUUGAUGCACAAAAUCAGUGAGGACUUUGGUACAACAGAAAGUGUUAAGUUUGUGUCCUUCGCUAGAUUGGUCCGGUCAUUAGUGUGGAUAAGUAUGUAAAUGGAUAGGGACAGGGAAGCAAACACAAGAUGUAUGUGGUUCACCCAGAUUGGCUAUGUCCAUGGAGUGGAAGAGUUCUCAUUAAUUGUGAAGGGUUUACACAAGUACAUAGGUUCAAGCUCUCCUUUAGUGAGUACAAGUGAAUGAUUUAGUACAAAUGACAUUAGGAAAUAUUGUGGGAGAAUGAUCUCCUUUUAUAGAAUAGUUUCUAGCUUUGUUCUGACAUUGACACGUGUCAUGCUGUGAUUGGCUUUUGAUGUUGACAUGUGUCGCAUUGUGAUUGGCCUCCUGGUUUGAGGGAAACUCUUCUGGGUCCUUGACAGUAUAACGUUGACAGGUGCUCAGUAGUUUCGGGAUUGGUCAAGUAUGGUACAAACAAAGUCACUGAAAACUUCGAAGGAGUCACCCAGACAUCCAACGACUUUUCUAAAUCAAAUCUCAGAGAUUCCCAAAACUAUCGUUCACAAAUACACUAAAAACUAAGGCUAGAGUGACACAGUUUGGCCAAAGCCUACAUAAGUAACCAAAUAAGAAGUGGCCCCCCCAUAGCGGAUUAAUCAAGUAGAGCCACUCCUGAGAAAGUAACCAAGUAGGUAGUGACCCCAUCACGAAUUAACCAAGCAGAGUCACUCCUACGAAACUGUUAGGUAGUGAUCACCCAUCGCGGAUUAACUAAGCAUGAUCACCCCUAAGUACGUAUGGCCAUACCUAAGAAAUAAGGAUCGCCCAUCGCGGAUUAACUAAGCAUGAUCACCCCUAAGUACGUAUGGCCAUACCUAAGAAAUAAGGAUCGCCCAUCGCGGAUUAACCAAGCACAAUCCAAAAAUAUUAUGGGUCCCCUAUCGCGGAUUAACCAAGCAGGACCAUCCAUGUACCACUGCUACAUGGUGCAGAUUCGGUGUCACCUAACCCCGUGACACUAGGGUAACGGUCCUCUACUAGCCCUCACGUUUUUCAAACAUUUCAAAUAUAUAAUUUAAAACACAAUUCAUAAACAUUUCGAAUAGGGAAGUCACAUAGUGUUUAAUAAUGUAGGUCAAUGGAAAACUUUAAAAACAAUUAUUUAGCAUAAAACAUAUUUUAGAAAUCCAUGCUGUAUCCACAAAGUAUACUAGCACGGGAGAUUUUCAGGGUAAUAACUCUAUCACAUAUAUUAAAGUCACUCACCUGGAGUCCGCACUAACGCACCCUAGCACGAAUAUCAAGAUGUCACGUACUAUCAUUUGUAACAUCCCACAUCAACCAACAGAGAGGGGGUGAUGUGUCUUAUAUGUACAUGCCCACCUCUAUAGCACGAGGCUUUUUGGGAGCUCAUUGGCUUCAUAUUCCAUCGGAACUCCAAAGUUAAGCGAGUUUGGGCGAUAGUAGUCCAAGGAUGGGUGACCCACUGGAAAGUUCUCGUGUGAGUUCCUAGAAACAAAACCGUGAAGGCGUGGCCAGGGGGGCCAAAGUGGACAAUAUUGUGUUACGACGGAAUUAAGACUGAGAUGUGACAGAAUGGUAUCAGAGCCGCUCUGCCGCGUGGUGCAAGUGUGCCGAAGAGGACAUCGAGCCCCUAAGGGGGGUGGAUUGUAACAUCCCACAUCGACCAACGAAGAGGGGGUGAUGUGCCUUAUAUGUACAUGCCCACCUUCAUUUAGCACGAGGUCUUUUGGGAGCUCACUGGUUCCGGGUUCCAUCGGAACUCCGAAGUUAAGCGAGUUCGAGCGAGAGCAUUCCCAUGAUGGGUGACCCACUGGGAAGUUCUUGUGUGAGUUCCCAGAAACAAAACUGUGAGAGCAUGGCCGGGGCCCAAAGCGGACAAUAUCGUGUUAUGGCGGAGCCGAGAUUGGGAUGUGACAUCGUCACCUAAGACAAAGUACAAGUCCACAUUUAGAGUUCUUCGAGUAUUCACAUAAUCAAAAAUUUACAUACGCACCCUACAACUAAUGAAGAGAAAUCGAGACACGUUGACAAAAAGUCAACCGUCGAUCAACGGUAGGGUCCACAACCCUACGUAACUUAAUCCGUAAGAUCCAGCCACUGUAUUUGUGAUUCAUAAGUUCCUAAGGUCCUCAAAUCUUACGUACAAUAACAUACUAAACUUUAGUGACGAUCUAAUGGUCGAAUCAUCAUUUACUAUAAUGUUCAAAUGACGCAAAUUCGUCAAUCGGAUGUCAAAUAUGGAAUCGGUCAUCGAAUUUAGCCUAGGAAGAUCAAGUGGUGUCUCAAGCCACGCACCACCAUGCGCAGCAGUUGGCAACCCAGAUUCGUCGAAAAAAUCACCUGAUUCCAAAAUGAAUGUCGUGAGACGUGGAGUAAAUUGUAUACCUGUGAGAAGCCCAAUUUGGCCAGGAAGUGGCCUGAAAUCACUUUAGACCGUCGGAAACCCUAAAAUAGGUGAAUCUCGAUUAGUCAUCUCUGGUAUUCCACCGUCCUCAAACUUGUUUAGGGUUCUCAAAAAAAUGCUAAUGAUGAUGGUGAUUGAAGGAGAACGUUUCAGAAAUAGUGAAUCGCCGGCGAGGGUUUCACGGAAUCGACAUGGGUGUUCCUCGUGGAACCAAGACCAAAUCUCAACGGUUUUGGCUAGAAAUGGAUGCUGGGAUGUCGUGGUGAGGUUUGGUAUUGAUGGGAGGUCGAAGAAAGUCAAAAAAAUCGACGAAAAAACUGUCGUCGGAGUCACAGGAAACGUGUUAGAAAAAUGAGUCGCCGAGUUUGAAACGGGUCGAAGGCUUUUGGGACAGCUACUUAAUCUCUCUUCUCUGAUUAGUCACUCCACUCACUCUCUCAUUUGAUUGGUCCAGCCUUCCCACAUGGUGGGAGUUCCCUCAUAUAGUAACCCAAAAUUUACUAUUUAAAUUUGGUAUCAAACGUCCGUAACUUUUUUGUUAUAGUUCCGAUUCACAAACGGCUUUCGCCUACGCGCUCGUAUGAUCGAAUUAUACUUGAAAACAUUAAUUGUGACCUUAAAAAGGUCUACAAGUUUUAAAAGAUUAAUUACAAAAAUUCACACCUUGUAACUAUACGAUUCAAAUUCUAAAAUUAACGGAAUUAAAAUAAACUAAAAAUAAUGUAAACACGAAAUACAGACUUUAAUAAUGAAAUACGUAAUUAAUAGUGGAAUUCUGGGGAUGGGAUUUCACACCUUGCGUCCGGACCUUGAGUGCGGAUCAGAAUCCAAAGGUCGUGAUCUGACGAGCUCAUGUAUAGAACAGAGUUGUUGUGACCCAAUGCAAUUCAAAACUUUUAUGUUUUUUUAUUUACUGGGUACGUUUUUGUAGGAGGAAAAGGGGAAGUCGAGGGAUUCUUUGCGCAAUAAAGAGGGAAAGAGAGAAAAGGGGAGCUAAGAGGUUCUUCGCGCGUUAAAUUUUUGCUUCUGAUUUUGCAACCUAGAAAUAAAGUAUUUUCUUUAUGGUUUAUGGUUCAAGAAUAUAAUGGAUGCAACCUAAAAAUGUUUAUUUUUUUAUUUUUUACUUUUUUUCUUCUUAUGUUGGCUUUUGGUUUAUUCUUAUAAUGCACUAUAUAUUAACUAAAUUUAUAAACAUUUUGUAUCUUUGUUGCAGUCAAAUUAAUCAUAUGGGUUGGCAUGACGAAGUUCGACUGAGACAUACAGAUGUUUUGCAAUCUUAAGUCUAACCUGACACACCCCGACCUCAAUAUCCAGUGGACACCAAAAUUGAGGUGUGAUGGCCAUCAUCCGGAUGGGUGACGAAACCAUUAUAUGCAUGAAAACAUAAUUACCCAAACACGUCUUAUUAAAAUAUUGAGUAAAUACCAUACAAGAUAGAAUACGUCAGAGCUGUUGCAAAAUACCUCAACGUCCGAUGUAAUCACUGAUAGAAUUACUGAAUCAUGUAUAAAUGGAAAGCUGAUAAAUACAUGUAAUUUGAGUGGAUACUUACCAGCAGCAUGGAUACAAUAUCAUCCACCAGUCGUAACUAGUGAAAGUUGGAUAAUAUAAUCAUGUCAUUGCCGAGUAAUCUCAAGGCAAUGACAAGAUGAGAAUGUAACUGAGUAAUCAUAUCAUUACUAAAUAAUCUCAAAGUAAUGACAAGCUAAGAGUAUAACCGUAUAAUCAUGUCAUUACCUCGUAAUCUCAAAAUAAUGAUAAGCUGAGAGUAUAACUGUAGUACCUCUUAUUAGUGCAAUGCAUGAUAUGAAUUCCAUCUCACAUAUAUAUGCAAGCCAUAAUCAAACCAAUAAACAUCCAACAAAAGCCACAAUCCUUUUAACAUUCGACCACAAGAUCAAUUUUCAUAUUUCCCAAACCUAGGUUCCAAAGCAUUGUUUCGAAUUAUUAAUACAAGAAACCACCACCACCUCAAUCAACUCCUAUUCACAAGUGUAAGCAAUUACUAAAUGCAUCACUUUCGACUCUAGUCUUAAUUAGAUUACUUGGGAUACUCACACCAUCAGAUCCAAGUACUAUUUUGAUAAACUUUAAAUAGCAUGGUUAAAAUAAAUGAAACACUUUUAGAAAAUAAGUGAAGAUGUUGUUUACAAAUAUAGAUGCAUCUGUAUAUAAAAGCUUUGGCGGUUGAUCCGUAUACACACUUCCAGAGAUAUAAGCAAGUUCAUUGGAAUAUACAUACAUAGUUAAUGUAUUACAAUAUAAUUAAUAAGAAAACAAUUGCAUCCCUUUCAGAUUAUAUAUAUAUAUAUAUAUAUAUAUAUAUAUAUAGACACACACAUACAUACACACAGGCCCUUUAUGCAAAGGAAUUUCCAUUUUUUUUCAAAAAUGGGGAUUAGUUGUGGGGCCCACGCUGCAUUGAACUUUAACGAUCCGAACAGUCUAUUUUGUAAGUCUCGAUUCAUAGAUCAUCCUUGUAAAAAUUCAAUUCAAUCCGAACCCAUUUGCCUAUUUAAUUAUCAAGAUAAAAUUUUAUUGUUUCUUAUAUAACAAAGUAUUCGUUAAUUUCUUUGAACUCAAUUAGAUAUCUUAAACAUUUCCGAUUUGGUUAAUAUUGUGUAAGGAUGAUCUAUGUGGUGCAACUUGAAAAAUAGACGAUUACGAUCGUUAAAGUUCGAUGUGGUGAGAACCCUACAAUUAAUCUUCAUUUUUAUAAAAGAAUGGGAACCCCUUCCCUUAAAGGUUUCCUAUGUAUAUAUUUGUUCUCCAGACAUAUGCAAAAGGUAAUGUAAAACCAAUGAGAACUUAAAUAGAUAUUCCAUACAUAGGACAAUUCCAUAUAUGCUUUUUCAACAUUUAUAUCGAAAAGCCAAAUUGUUUUGAGGAAAUUAAUUGUAGCAAUGAUCCCUUAACUUUUAUCUUAUUGGAGCAAUGGUCUCUCAACUAAAAAUUCAUAACCAUUGGUUCCUUAACUCCACACAACGUGUAGUUAUGGUCAUUUUCAUUAACUCCGUCAGAACUUUUGUUAAAACAAGUAAUGUUAGAAGAAUCAUUGCUACAAUUAAGUUAAAGUUGGGGACCAUUGCUCUAAUUAAAUUAAAAUUGAGGGAUCAUUUCUCCAAAUUGCUUAAAGUUCAAGGACCAUUUCUACAAUUUUCUCAUCUAGUUUCCCAUAUUUACCCCAUGAUUCAGCUUCACAUGCAUUGCACAUGACUCAUUUUGAAAUUUUUUUUAACGAAAUUGAUGAAAAUGACCAUAAAUGCACGUUUUGAAGAGUUAAGAGACCAAUGGUCGUGGAUUUUAGUUGAGGGAUCAUUGCUCCAAUUUAGUUAAAGUUAAGGGACCCUUGCUACAAUUUUCUCAAAUGUUUUGUAUGCGAAAAUAGGCAUUUGUAAAGUUUGGCUUGUUCAUGGCAUUAUUACUUUAGUCUAAAGUAAGGCUGGAAAUGGCACUGUAGAAAUGAAUAGUGUUCCAAUCCGAAUUUCAGUUUAAUUACAACAAUGCCAUUGCUCUUUGUGUUGCCUUUAGGUGAGCAGCCCGGCUUGCAGCCAGGCCCAAAUGUAUUGGUUUUAGCUGAGAAGCCCGGCCCUUAGUCAAGCCCAAAAUUUUAAAUUACAGUUUUGCCCAUACAAAAUAACAAUCCGAUUGUAUCGAGAAGGACAAUUUUGUCCUUUCAGUUUUGGGUGAGAUAGGGGGUAACAGGGUAAGUUUCAUUUGCUGUCGUUGAAUGAGGGUUUCGAGGAUGAGGGCUCUGUGUGUGUGGGUGUGUGAGAGAGAGAGAGAGAUAGAGAGAGAUAGAGAGGGAUAUGGCGAUGGAAGGAGAGCGAGGGGGAAGGGAAGGGUUCUCGGCACUGUUGCUGCAUGUGAAUUUCACAAGUGGGAGAGUGGGUAUGGUCAGAGAAGACCAUAUAGGUCGUUGGGAUUUCAGGGAAACGGGGUAGGGGUCAUGAAUGAACCCUGCUGAGAGUGGGUACUGGAUCUUGCGCUGCAUGCCUCAAAUCAAAGAUAAGUUCGUUUUUUUUAUUGUAUUUUUUAUGGUAGCUUAGCUUUUGGAAUUGUUUAGUAUGUUAGGUCCGAUUUUGGGGGAUUUAUCUUUUUAGAGAGAGAGAUGGACAGGGAGAUAGAGAUAGAGAGAGAGAGAGAGAGAGAGAGAGAGAGAGAGAUGAGGAAGCAUGACUGUGUGCAAUUUUUUAUGUUAAUUAAUGGGUUGGUGCGCAGGGUGAGUGACAGAGUGACAGAGUGAAGGAGGGACGUGUGGGAGGGUAUGAGUUUUCAGUUCUUUCUUUUGAUUCAACAGGUUAUACACUGUUUGAAAAACCUUUUUUUUAUUAUUUUGUUCUCGUUUGCUUUGUUAAAACCAUCAUUUGAAUUUUUGGGUUUCAUUGUGCUUAUUUCUCUGCUUCUUCAUAAUUUGCUGGUGUUUGCUUCUCAUCCCUCUGUUGGUAGAUCUUUUUCUCAUUUCUUGGUUCCUUAUGUAUUCUUUGGUACAAAUCUGUUUACUUUUUGGCUGUGUGAUAAUCUUAGCAGGUGAACUAUAUGAACGUUUUUUUGAAACGAGUUAAGAAGAUCCAGCUGAAAAGAGCAUACAAGAUAGAGAACUGGUAUGCUGCUCGCCAGGGAAAGGCUGCUGGAAAGGUUGAGACGGAUGCCUCUUUCAGAAACCAGGUCAGUUUCCUGCUGCUCGGCGUCUUAAUGUAUCCAAAUUGUUUAUCUUUUGAUGAAAUUAGCUGGCUAUAUUUUCUAUUUUAUUUAUCUGCAUAUUAUUUUGGUUUGUUGAAAUUUUGACUAUAGUCAUUGUCACAUGGGCGCCUAGCCCAACCCAAAUUAGUUGAGGAUAUUUAAAUCUUCACCAUGGUAUUAUAGUACUCACUCACAGUUGUGAAUACUAAGGUGCAUGCAUGGCAUGAAGAAGUGGACCGUGCACGCCAAGGUCAGAGGGAUGCAGAAGGCAAGCUUUUUUCUUUGGAGGUAAGUAUCCUUUGUUUAUUGCCCAACAGUGUUGUUAUUAUCAAUUUGUAGCUUUGCGUUCUGAAUUUUUUGCUUUGUCAAACAACCUUCUUGAAAUGCUCGAUUUCAAGCCGAAGUCCAAAAAAUGAAAGUUGAGAUGGCUUCCAUGAAGAGGGAUGUAGAGCAUUACUCGCGCUAGGUGAAAUCUGCUUCCUCUCUUUUCGUAUAUCUUCAUAUGAAGAGUUUUACUAAGUUAUAUUGAGAACUAUGUUAUUUAUAGGUUAUAUUUUCCAUUUUGCAGGAACACAUGGAGCUAAGGAAGAGCUAUCGUGAACUCACUGAUCUACUGGUAAUGUCACUCAAACUGCUUUAUUUGUGCAUGCUGCUACUAUGCGCUUGAAUGCAUUUUAUUACUGGCGGGAUGCGAAGAAAGCUAGAUAUAUGUGCUGGAUCGCUUGAUUAAUGUUAGGGUUUUAACAACUAAUUGUUAGCAGCUAGAAGCCCUGGUUAGAUUAAUGCUAAUUUGAUUUUCCUUACAGUACUUGAGUGCCAGUUUCAUAUUGUUUGUUCCCUGUUGGAUACCUGCUGUACAGUUUCAUUUCUGUUUCUUCAUAACUUUCUUGGCCCUGGGAUAUAUGCAUAUUGAGUACAAUGAAUAUCCAUUGUUCUCUAACUGUUGGGCUUUACUAUCUUUGUAGCAGCCUGCCUAACAUUUUUUAGGCUCUACACUCUACCAUCCAAUUUAUGAAAAAUUCAAAGAUUGGACGAUAUUGAUUGCAGAAAUGAAAAAAAUACUAUGAUAUUAGAAAGGUGAAUGUAAUUGUGUUAGAAUAAGCGUCUAGCAUGAUGGGUAAUAUUUUAAGUUUGUAUUUCUAAAAUUUUUUCGUUCUGGAGUAUGAUUUACCUCAAUUGUUUUGUACUUUAAUCUUUACUAAUUUUCAUUGUGGAGUAUGAUUUGCCUCAACUAACAACUUUUCAUUGUUUAACUUUUUCCUCCCUUAGAUAGUUGCAUAUGUUUGAUUUGUUAAUCUGCUUCUUACACAUGUUGUUUCCUAAUGGUGUAGGUGGGUUGUCGGAUGCAUGUGCAGAUUACUUGAAUAGACGAAGCUAAGAAUGACUUAGUAUUAAGUGAGACAGAAGCUUGGGUCAGUUGGAUUUUGACAUUUGAUUUAUUCAUGUUUUUUGUUGCUUGCAAUGUUCUCGCAUUGUUUGUUCUGAGAUUCUGUGAUCUUAUUUUUCAUAGGAACUGACAUUGGUUUGCCAUAUAAUGUUUCAGGAACUAAUACAACAACUAAUCACCUUGCUUAGCUCUCAAGACACAUACUUAACAGGUUAACAAACACUAACCUAUAAACUGAUCUGCUAAGCUGGACCAUUAACCUCUGUUUAUAUCCCUGCCACUCAUCUUUUGGCACUUAUCAAUAGCAAAAUCUAGAGUUGUUGAAACCCCAAUUUUAAUGAAUAUUAUUUUUAGUUGAUAAUUAAAAUUAAUUGAUGAUUAAUCUAUUCCAUUGUGCAUUAUUUUAUCGCCAAAUACUUUGAAUAUUCAUUAGCAAAAGAUAUAGGGUUCACUAUUUAAUGAAUAGAAUUUUGAUGGUGGAUUGCAUUUCCUGAGUUAUAAAUGUGGUGAAUCCAUUAUUUACUAGCUGAAUAAUCAUAAUGUUUUGGCCACUUACCUUGAAUUUUGUUCAAAUUGAAGAAGUCACAUGUUUCUUUCUGUUGUUGAGGUAAUCUCUCUGUUGAAAGCUUCUAUUUCUUUUUUUUUUUUCUUUUUUUCAUUUGGGUAGAUUUUUUUUUUUAUGGAUUUAUGUAUUUUUUUUCCAGAGAAUUCGAAAUGAAAUAAGAAUAGCGGAUUGAGCAUAAACAAAUUGAUGAAAUUUUUAUUUGAGUGUUUGUGUUAGUCCUUUUUUGAUUUGUUGAGGUUUGGAAUUAUUUGAGUUUUUUUGCUGUUAGUACUAUGAAGGAUGCUUGGCAAUCGCGAAAUGGGGGCUACCUCUUUGGAAAGAGAAGUCUCGCUAUCCAACCUCUCAUGAAUUACAAACAGGGUGAUUUCUUGCUGAAAAACCACUGAACCAGUAGAACUUUCCUCGGUUCUUCAAUUCGAUUCGAAUAAUUUUUUUACCCAGAAAAGCCAGCGUUUCCUGGUGGGUUUUACAGCUUUCUCAAUGUUUUUGUGAUUUUGGAUUUGCAAAUUUGUUUUCUGUUCAAAUUUCCUUUUGUGAUUUUGGAGGUUUUGUUUAUCGAUUCUCUCACUCAUCUCUCAGCUCUCUCUCACUUUUGAGGUACAUGCCGUUGGAUUCCGUUUGCUGCUGCUGAUCUGUAGGUAAAGCUUCAAUUACCAUAUAAAGUUUACAUUUUUCAUGAUUUCUUGAAUUUGGGUUUUAAACAAAGGAAAUAUUGCUAGAUUCUUAUCUUAUGUGCAAAUUACUGGCUAUUUGGAUUGGUGCCUGAGAUUUAGAGAAUGCCUCGCAGCUUUAAUUUCUUUUUCCUUCAUUAUUACUGUUUUCAAAAUUUUUAUUGCUGGGUAUUGAUAAUUUGUAGUAUGUGAGGGCUUCAAUAUGUUGGAAUUUUGAAUGGUUAUUGCUUCAUCGGAAUUUGGGUGGUCCAAAUUUUGAAUUAGAAGAAACCCAUUUGAUUAAUAUUUUUGGUGGAUUGGUUCUCUGUGUUUUCCUUGCUAUUUCUCCCCCAGUUGGAAAUUGGAAGCCCCAACUUUGAGCUCAGAGCUUGAAUUUCUCAAUCGUUCGUUUCUCUGCACUCUCAUCAAUCACUCUUGAUCCUCUAUCUAAAGAACUGGGUAAUUUUCCAGCUCUAUCAAGUAAUACUCCAUUUAAUUGCUUAAUUGAGGUUUUUUGUUUCUCUUUUUCGCUCUUUCAUCAGUUCAUUGACUUUGAUGUUGAGCUUAAGUAAAUGGGAGAUCAUUAAUUGGCAUUGUUCAAGAUAUAAUUCUGUGUUUUUGGAUUUGUGAAACGAUUUGCCUAAUGAUGAUAGUGGUUAAAAUAAAUUUUUCGUUAUGAAGAGAACAUUGUUCUUCAUUUGCCUACGGUUUUAACUACAAAGUUAAACUACUAUGCUUUUGUUCAAUUGACUGCAACUCAUGCCGCAGUUUGCUUCACAAACCUCUACGGUUAGCUUCCAUACAGUAUGUUGCAAGUUUGAGGAUAUCUUUACAUCUUAAUUUUUGCUCUCUCUGGUUGCUUCAAGUUUGUAAUUUUACGUGUUACAUUGCUACUUGAUUUGAUUAUAAAAAUGCAAAACAAAAUCCGUUUUGCUUUUAUUCAACUUAAAUGUAUCCUUUUGUUUGUUCAUAAUUGUGUUGAAUUUAUUCAACUUAAAUGUGUUUUAUUCAUCUAUUUACGCUUAAAACAACUGGUUCCCCUAGCAAUGCGCGGGCCUAAUUUCUAGUACAUAUACUAAAAGCCAGCAGAAAAUUACUGUUCAUCAUGGGAGAUAGAGCACUGUUCAUUAACAGUGAAAGGGCGAAAAUGCCCUCGGUUUCUUCUUUACUUCACGUACUGUUUACGAAUUGCUACAGUAUAAAGUCCGUUUUGUCCUUCCUGUCCACACAUCUUUCAUCGUCCGUUUCUCUUGCUUCGACCGUAUCUUUUUUGCUUUACCUUUCCUCUUCAUUUUUCGCAUUCGUUAGGCUGCGAUUUUCGGAGGUGGAUUGUUUGCCCUCCCAUUUCCAUGCUCUCCCCAUGCCUAUGUGGUCACAGUUAAACCACGUCAAUAUUUUAUAUUAAUUUUUUAUAAAAAUAAUAAAACAAAAAGUAAUAAGAAUAUAAAAUAUUGACGUGGCUUAACGUGGUCCGUGAUCACAGUAGGCAUGGAAAUGGUCCGCGACUUUCUCCCUUUUCGCCAGCCCCUCUUUUGCUCUCAAAUCCUUGCUCUUUCUUUUGCAAAAUAGUCUCAGAAGAGAUCCUGGGUUUAUCGAAUCCUUUGUUGUUCGGCGUUUUGUUCUCAUCUUGUGAUCGUCGGGUCAGCAGCUUUAAGGUAAGUUUGUUUUUAAUGAUUUAUCCUCAUUUUACGAUGUCUGGGCUAACAAAUUUAAGAUCUUUAUUUUUCUUUUUGCUGCGGAUCUGCAGGUUUUGACAAGUUUUUUGUGAAAUUGGUGCUGUCAGUGGGUGUUAACAUCAGGUACCCAUGUUCAGUUUUUCGUUUUGAUUUGAAGGAAUUUCUUGCGCAGAAGUGCUAGGGUUUCUUGGUGAGUUCUUCGGGUUGUGCAUAUGGGUAAUUUUCUUUUCGGUUUAACCCGCUGCUUCUGCUGCUCUCUCUCUUUCUCUCAUCCCUGCCUGCUCCUCUCCAAUUGUUUGCUGUUCUUAAAUAUUGUGUUCAUUGCCUGAUACAAGGAGCUGCAGCAAUCUGUUUUAUCCUACACGGGACAACGAGGCAAUGGCGUGACAACAGGUGAGCUUGGAUAUCCAAAGAAAGAGAACAGUUGGUUCAUCUGCUGGAGUCUGAAGCUCAGAGAAGUGGAGGAAAAUUGCAGGUGUGCGAGAAAUUUUAUUUUGCUGAUAGGACUCCUUAUUUACGGAUGCAUUUUGAAAUAAUUGAAAAGUUGGAUUUGAGUUAACAGCUAUAAAAAUGUAGACAUGAUUGCUGAGAUUAUGCUAUGAAAGUGGAAUAAAAAAAUGGUAGUUUAUAAUAUUGCGUACCAAUUUUUUUCUCUCUUUUUUACCAAAUGAUAAGGGUGGUGGCUCAGGCCGCCCCCCCUACGCGUCCCCACUCUUCGACAAGUUGAAAUCAUGGUGAUAGUUUAUGGGCUGUGGUCUUGGGAUUCUGCAAAUAGAUUAAAAAACAGACACUUAACUAUCUUGUUAUUAAACAUUUCUGCAUCAUUCAGUUGCUCUUGAUUUUCGUCUUUUAAGCGAUCUUAUUUCUGCGAUCUGACUUGAGGAGGGUUUUUAGACCUAUGGUUGUGGGUGUUUUGUCUGACCCCAUUAAAUUGGUUUCCGAGAUUUGUAGACUUGCGAUCGGCAGUCAAACAUUUUGUGAUUCUUGCUUUUUUUCCGACUGGGAUUGACGAAUUUUGGCCGAAUCUGUUUCCUGUUUUCUUCUCUGUUUGAGCGGCCGCUGCCUUUCGGUCGUUGAGCGCCGGCAGUCUUUAGAUCUUUGGCAAAUCAAUUUAAUACAACCGAGGUAUGUUUUAUAACUGCUGUCUUUCAAUUUUUGUUCUGUAUUUUUGUUAAUUUGGAUGAAGCUCUAAUAAUUUUGUUUUGGAUCAGUUGUGGUCCUCUGUUAGGAUUUUCCUGGCUAAGAGGGUAUUUGCGUUUUUGUUGCUUGGUUGGUCGAUCACAGAUUUACGAACAGCUGUGGUGGUCCUGUUAUUUUUUUGGUAUGUUUUUUCUCCUUUUUGGUUUUUUCCCGGUUUGAGCACCCAUUCAUGAAGAAUUAAAAUGUGUUUAUAGUUUUUCAGGAGAGAUUAGAAAAGUGAUUUCAAUUUGGGAAAAUUUAAUGUUGGUUAAAAUUUGUCUAUAAUUUUUGGGAAGGAAUGAGAGGACCCAUUGAAGUAUGUGUUGUGAUUAUUUUUUAUUCAUAUUUUUAACAAAUUGGGCAUGAAUUGGUAGGUUAACUGUGUGUGUUUAUUAUUUGAAUCGGCCAUGUUUGUCUUUCUAUGGUUCUAAAAAAUUUGUAAAGGCUGUUAACUUGGAAGAAAAUGGGAUCGAGGGUGAGGGGAAAACGGCAGAGAAAGCAUGGAAGAGAGAUUUGGGAUUAGGGGUAGGAAAACAGAUGAAAAGAAUAUGAUAGAGGAAUGAGUUCAGUUCAUUUUCACUAUUUUUUUUAACUGAUUUGGAUUUUGUUUGGGUUUGAGGCCAUCAUUGGCGUUAAGACGUUUAUUAUCAGAUCGUGUGUGUUUUUUGCUAACUUUUAUUGGUCAUUUUUAUGUUGUUCUUAUGAUUUUGUGUGGUAGGGUUUCUGAAUUUUAUCGUUAUUCAUUUGGUUUUUUGUGUGUGUUGGUUUGUUUAUUUUGCAGGUUGUGUUUGUGCUGGGACAACAUUUUCCACCUUCUGUUUGCACUGGGAUGAUUGCGUUUUAAAACUGUUGGGGUGAGAUUUACAUAUGGAAUCAUUCCAUUUUUUUUCUUCCAAAUAUGUGCAUUUAGUUCUUUUUAUUUUAAAUUUUAAAAAUUAAAUCGUUAUUUGAGUAAAAUGUUUUAUUAAUUUAUGUUAUGUGUUGUGAUCAGGAAUUCUGUUGGAUUUGCAAAUUUUGGUUUGAUGAGAGAGAUGAGGAGUUUUUUUUGUUUGAAUUUUUUAUUGGACCGAUUUUCAAUUGGAUUGCAUUCUGCCUUUUUGCACCAUUCUUAUGCAAGCAAUUCAUUGUUUUAAAUACAAUUUGAAGAGAGCUGGGUUGCGGGUUGGAUAUAAAAUGUUAAGGUGAGAUAAAAUCGAGAUACCAAGGGUGGAAGAAUGAUUCAGAAUUGGGGGAGGAAAACAGAGGGAAGAUGGAAGAGUAUAAGAGAAGGAUAGGGUUGACCUCAUUUAGAGUUUUUAUUUACUUUUUUUUUUAUUAUUUAUAAAUUGAUUCAGGACUAGCAUAUCAUUUCUAAAUUUCUAACAUUUUUGUUUAAUUUGACUCCAGUUGAUGGAAAACAGAGCUCUUACUCCUAUCAAUCAGUUGGUCCCGUACAUAAAUGCAGAAAAAUCAAGGUUCGAGUUUGCAGAGUAUGCAGACCAAGGUUUCCUGAAACUACUGGUGCUGUCACGCCCCAAUCCCGACCUAUGUCCAGGAUCGACACGUGACGUUAACAAAUACCCAUAUCUCUAACAUACCCCGCCUCCGGAAUAUGGGCAAAGCACAACUGCGUAAUAAUUUUUCGUAUACUUUAUGGCUGCAUCUAACAUCCUCGUUAGAUUAUCAUACCUUAUGGCUACAUCUAACAUCCUUGUUAGACUGCCUACGUACUCUCAAAAGGGAUCAAACCAUUCGUAGUUCACCACACUCCAAUCCACAAAAAUUUGCACAUGCACUGAUUAUAAAAUGGAACUGCACCUAUAGAAACCUAAUCAUAACCCGUGGGCGAUUUGCUCCCACAUAAGAAAGACGUCCACAGUACCAUGAAAUACUUCCACAUCUUUCCUUCCCAUUUACACAAUAUUUUAUUUCACCUCCCUGAUAAAUAUAGCAUUUACAUUACAUGUGGCAGACAAAUUUGCAUAUUCAACUAUAAUAAAAUACAAUCUUAGUAGGAAAAACCUACAAGACCACCACUCGUUUGAGCCAAACUUUAGCUUAGCACUCAACUGGUGCUCACACCAUGUGAGUGCACGAUCCUUUAAGAUGGAUGCGAUGGUUCUCUUUUGAGAUUAAUUUUGUUACAGGUAUAACAUAGUUGGCAACCGUUUAGAAAUAGAUGCCUCAUGUUCAAAACUCUCAUUACCAAAUGUUCUAACAAGUUAGUAGAGAAGGUAAAAGAACCCAAAUGGCGAGAAAUAGUGUCCUGAUGAAACAAAAGAUGUAACCCUCAUUCAAGCACGAACAUCAUUUCCUUGAGAAUCUGCGAUUUCUUCCCUCAUUUGGUCAAUAUAGCUUGUAUUCCAACUGCAACUUACUAAUAGCAUUUGUUCUCUCCUCGAAUGAAACCAUAACCAGCCAUUUUAAAUAAAGCUGAACAGUUUCACGUUGGGAAAAUAAAGAUUAUAACAUACAGGUUUUGGAUUAGAUUCCCAAACCAACAGAAAAUUAAGAUAGGAAUCUAUUUUGGGUUAACUGAGGUAUGAGUGGUAUACAAAUGAGAAAUUCCCUACAAAAGUCAAUAAAACCAGUUACAUAACAUGUUGAAUAUAAUACAACAUGAAAUAAGAAGCACCACUUGUUUAUCUGACUUUUUAUACAUGUAUUUUCCUAAGGGAUAAAAACGUGCGGGUUUUGGGAUCAAUCUGAAGAGGGCUUCACCACGAAUACAUAGCCUUUGACCGUGCAUGAUUUCGUUGCCGUAUGAGAAAGUUAUCAUUUUUUUUUUUUGUGAAGAAGAAUUAAGGGGGAGAAGAACAGCUGCCCCCUCUGUUUCUGCAUCUGCCCAGCGGGGAAAGAAAAAGAAGAGAAGCCCUUGGCUUCUAGAAUACUCCCUCCCCAAAAUUACAAUUUUGCUCUCUAACUUUGAUUGUUUAUAUCUUAUUCGUUAUAACUCUGUUUCACGAACAGCUUUUGCUUACAUGCUCACAUAGUCGUCAUCUAUUUAAAUAUAUCAAGAAAUACAAUAAAAUACAUCCUCGUAUAAGUAUGUUAACCAAUUAGGGCACUUUCGUCAUUUCCACUUAUCGAUAGAUUUUAACACGUUAAUUAUAAUAAUGUCCGGAAACAGCUUUAAAAUUUCCAAAUUCUAUUUCCAUAACCAUAAAUCGAUUUAUUAAUUUUUCAGGGUAUCACAGGUGCAUAUUCAGGCUUGCAUUGUAUAUUACUUUCCUAUUAAAAAUUUGUUUGGAAUUUGCUUUUCCCACAAAGGAGAAGAGCUGACAGUUACGCUGUGGGCAGAUGUUGCUCGAAGUAUUGCUUCUUUAUCCAUUGAAUCAUUGUCUCUGCCGAUCUUUGCGGUUUUCACAAGUUUAAAGGUCAAGCUGUACCUAGGUGUUUGACUUAAUUAAAAACUAAUCUAUUUAUUUCGGAGGCGGAGCAAAAUGCUAUCUGUCUUACCCCUCUUGGUGAUCUUAGUCGGAAAGAUCGGCUAGUUUGGGAUGUGAGUAAGAAUGGGCAGUACUCGGUUCGAUCGGGCUAUCAUUGGCUGCAAUCUAGGUCUGUUGGGUUCAGGGAUCAACGCCAGCUUGGUGCUUGCUUAGUUCCGAGGCAUUUGUGGCGCAUGGUUUGGUAGUUGAGUGGGCCUCAUAAGCUCCGUCAUUUCUUUUGGUUAUCUUUGCAUAAUGCAUUACCGUCAUUUCUUUUGGUCCGUGACCAGGCAUGAGGAGAGCAUGGAAAUGAGAGGGCAGACAAUCCACCUCCGCGACUUUCUCCCUUUUCGCCAGCCCCUCUUUUGCUCUCAAAUCCUUGCUCUUUCUUUUGCAAAAUAGUCUCAGAAGAGAUCCUGGGUUUAUCGAAUCCUUUGUUGUUCGGCGUUUUGUUCUCAUCUUGCGAUCGUCGGGGUAGCAGCUUUAAGGUAAGUUUGUUUUUAAUGAUUUAUCCUCAUUUUACUAAACUAUUUAUGGUAACUUAGUAUGGUAACUUAACUAAGUAAGUUUGCUUUUAGCCCAAGGGUUGGAGAUGGUCUUAGUAUGGUAACUUAACUAUUUAAUUCCAUCUCAUUAAACUAAAAAAAACAAUUACAUAAAAAUAAGGGAAACCUUGUCCAGAGAGACCUGAGAAAGUCCACCCCUAAGGACUUUGCGCCAGCACCCAGCGUAUUUAUCUACUCAAGUGAACAGUAAUAGACUGGAGUGAACAGUAAUAGGCCAAGGCAUCUCCACCCCUAAAAAAAUGCGCUGGCACCCAGUGCAUUUAUUUGGUGUGUUUUUUUUUUAAAGUUUAUUUCAGAUAAGAUUUUUAACCAAUUUCGGAUAAAAUUUCAAAUAAACUUAAAAAAAAACACUCUAAAAUAAAAUUACAUACUCAUCAAAUAAACUUAAAAAAACACACUAAAAUAAAAUUACAUAAACUCAUCAAAUAAAUUAAGGAUGAGCUUUUUGGUAUUUUUUUUUCACACAAAAAGUAUAUGAAAGCUUUGGUAGAAGGUCUAGAAAAUAUUGAAAUGUGGUGUAAGGUGGAAGAUGAGGGUUAGGUAUUUAUAGAAAAAAAAUAAUAACUUUUUUAAAAUUUUACUGUAUUUUAAAAAAAAAUCUGUAUUUUUUUAUAUUUUUAAUUAAUUUUAAUGUAGUUAAUUAAUUUGGACCGUUGGAUUUGAAAAAUAUUCAAAUCCAAUAGCCCAGGAUCGGCCACGUGGCCAACGCCAGCAAAUGGCCCAGCUUCUUGGUCAGCCUGUUUUGUGCUGGCCCAGAGACCAGUUUGGGCUGGGUGCCAGUCUGUUUUGUGGGCUGGAGUGAAUGGACAGGGUCCCAGCCUGUUUUUUGUGCUGAGUGCUGGCCUAAUCCACCACCGGUGGACUUGCUCUGAGAGAAAGUGACGACUUCUCCUCUCAUUCCACUCCAUACUUGAUCUCUAAAGUCCAUUUGGCAUGUAAUUGAUGUUCAAUUUCAAAUUUAGUGGUAGCAAUUAGCAAAGCUAAUGAAAGAAUCAAAUAAAAUGAAAGAAAAAGCAUCAUGAAAUAAAUCAAGAUGAAGAAUGAAAUUUUGGCAACUCGCCAUUCUCUUCUUUUAUAUAAAAGAUACAUCCUAUUUGUAGUGAAAACAGGUCCCGACAAACCCAGUUAUCCUCAAGAAGUAUUUUGUAUGACUUUAAAAACAUAAUCCGUGAAAUUAUCUCUUGGCUGAGAACAACAACAAAUCUUCAUGCAUAGCUUGUACAGAAAGACAUCAGGCAUACAAAAGAACACGCAAGCAUAAAAUAAACGACGCAGGGAAAACCAAAAAUACUAUAGAACACGUCGCUGUCAAAAGAACAUGAAUAAAUGAAAAUUACAAAACAAAGAAGUGAUGAGAAACCAAAGUACCCAUUUCAUAAUCUAGUUGCUUUUUAGUUUGCUUGCCAUUUUUAGUUCUUCAAUUUAGAGAGAAACGAUAAUUCAGCACAUGAAUAAAGUGAAAACGUAAAAGAUAUGUGGGAUAAGCUGACAGCCAUCCCUGAGUAAUGCAUUCACUUAUGAACCCCAAACACAACGAAACAAAAAUUCACACAUGAACUACAGCUCCGCUAUGUAACAAGAAUUAAAAGCAUCUCAAGACAAAAUGGCAAACUAUAAGAGCACUGUAAAAGUAAAAUUGCAAGAAAUCUAAUACUUGGAGGGCAAGUACUACUCAGACGAAAAUGAAAGAUUGAACUACCUCGCGUGGAACUGUGCCUUGGUUUUUUCCCAUGCUUACAGGAAGCUUUGCACUGAGCUCUUAUAGCCCAAAUUUUCUCUGAAAGAAAAAAACACAAUUUUGAAAUAAGAUUUUCAUAUUAUACCUUAAAGAGAAGAAUUAGAAAACAAAAAAGAGAACAAUGAGUACUAUUCAUCAUAUAUUGUUAGAGUGUGUGGUCCUUUGGUCCAAUGGUCCUGCAGCCAUAUUUACUUUAUAACUCUUUCUUUUAGUCUAAAAAACAUCUUGGAUCUCAAAUUAAUAUGAAUACGGAUUCAUACGCAUGCAUUGCAUUACAACCACAAUGCAAUAUCUCAUUAGAAAUCCCCACACAAAAUUUUUUUAUUUCUACUUUGAUUUUAGUUUAUAUUUUUUCUAAAGCACGAGGGAGCUAAUUUUUUUUUAAAUUUUUUUUAUUCCAAUAAUGUUAUAGGGUUGAAAGGAUAUUAUCAAUUUAAUUGAUUGUAUUUGAUUGGUGGAACUUCUAUAUCUAUAUUUCAGUUUUUCAAAUUCAGCACUGGGAGAGUCAUUCAUAAAAUGUUUGACAGUGAGAUUACCUCCAUGGAUUAUGCUCACAAUGGACAGCUCAUUUUCCGCAGUGAUGGGACAAUAUAUUUCAGUCAUUCGCCAUUCAAUCAAUUCAAACCGAGGAACAAGCAACAUCAAGAAGAGGAUCUGCCAUGUCAGGAUCACUGUCGUCCAAUUAAUACAAAAAAUCUAGAUAAAAACGAUCAAUUUACAUAAAAGCCUUUCAUUUUCUCAGCAACCAAGCAAAAGAAAAUACCUAUCCGUUAACACUCGAUUUGGGAGUAAAUGUUGCUGAAACUGGACUUCAAUCCCCUCAACCGCAACAACCGAAUCGAGGUGUGCAAGUCAUUGAAAAACUCACCCAAGAUUUCAAAAUCUGCAUAAAUAAAUAAAUAAGCACAUAAAUUAGCCAACCCUGUUAUGAUCCCACAUCGGGUACACAAGAAAUUGUGUAGUGGUACUUAAGUGCAAGGGGUCCUCCCACCUAUUGGACUAGUUUUUUGGAUUGGGCUCUUCCCUUGGGCUUGAGUACCUAACAUUGGUAUCAGAGCCUAGGUUCCCGACGCUGCGGGACUUGGCGAGUGGUGCAGCCUCGUGGUGCCGCCUUGAGAGUAUGGGCUCCUAAGGGUCUUGGCGACGGGCAAGGUAUGAAAUGCCGAUAUUAUCGCGAUAUUUCGCCGAUAAUAUCGGUUUUUUGAGUUACCGAUAUUUUAAUACUUAUCCACUGAGUUUUCGUCAAAAUAUCGCGAUAAUAUCAACAAUAUCGCGAUAUUACCGAUAAUAUCGCGAUAUUUUGGAGAUGUGCGAAUCGGAGAAGAACGCCGGAGCUUUUACAGCUCCGGCCGACUGUAAAAGAGCACCCUAGACUCCGAUCUAGGUAUCAAAAUGAAAUACAAGAUGAGAGGAAUGUUUUUAUAACUUCCGUUUGCCGUGAAACGGUCGAAGGUGUUCGGAAAGUUCGUCGACACCCACGGCCUCGCCAGAGAUGGGUGUGCCUAUUCCCGAGCCGAUUUCGUCCCAAAAACCUUGCAAAAACACGAGAUAGAACUUAAAUUUCACGUCUAAGCUUCAAUCUAGAAUAGAAUGAGGUAAACCCGAAGCUUACCUAACCGGAGAAAUUCAAGAAACUCGUCGGAGGGUUCCUGCGUCGCCGAGUUGCAGAGACGAGAAGGAGAGGGAGAAAGACGAGGUUGCUGAUGACGAUGGGUGUCUUCCUCAAGCAAGUGCGAUGGUGUGCGUGUGUGUAUGUGGGUCUCGGUGCAGAGAGAAAGGAGAGAGAUGAGAGUUUCGAGAGAGAGACGGCACCGACGAGAGCUAUUUGUUUUUUUUUAUCUUAAAAAGAGAGAGGUCUAAGAGAAAUGGGAAGAGAGGGCCGAGUGAAAUGAAAGGAGGUCCUUGAAUUAUUGAGAGAUAUCUCUGAGAGAGGCCUAGGAUUUCUAAAAGGUAAUCAUAAAUGGGAAAAAUGGGGCACAUCUUAGCCUUUAUUUUGGAAUCCUAAGAAGUUCACCACAUGGAUGCAUGACAUGUGUGCAUGCCAUGUUUGUUGAAUGGGAAAAGUCUGACACGGAAAGACAAAGAGUCGUUUGGGGCUCUGGGCUCGAGGCAAGACAGAAAGUGCUAGGGUUUUUUUCUGAAAUGAACAUAAGCUGCUAAAUUCGCAUAUAUUAUAGUUGUUGCUAAAGAUUGUCACUAGUGUGGACUUGGACGUGUUGGUCAACAUGUCCUCACAAUCCCCAAGUUCUCUGGUUCGAACCCUUGCGCCCAUCAAAUUUUCUUUCUUUUUGAUGCGCUUUUCCCAUGGCUCUAGGUCUUGAUUUCGAAUCCAAGUGAGCCCUUUCCUUUUUCUUUUUUGUUCUUUUUGUUUUAUUAUUUGUUUAUUUUAAUUUAUUUGUUUCUUUUAUGUUUUUCUUUUCUUUUAGUUUCUUUGUCUUAGGCGUUCGUUUUUAUUAAAGUAGGAUGUAAAAUCAAUUAUCUUAAAAUUAUGUGUUUUUAAAUUUUGGACUUGUUUGUUGGAUACUUUUUUUUCAUUUUAUCAUUCUUUUAUUAUGAAAAUAUGCUAAAAUAUGCUAAAAUAUCACUUAUGUUUUUGUGAAAAUAUGCUAAAAUAUUUAUAUAUAUGAUUUUGUUUUGAAUUCUUUUUGUACUAAUUCAUUAUAUAUAAAUGAUUAUGGUGUGUUUAAACUUCUUUAAUUAAUUACUACAUAUUUUCUAUACUCACAAUGUUUGCCAGCUCGCUAUAUAAUCAACUUAAAUCAGUUAAAUCCAUCAUGCAAUGCAUUUCCUUCCAAUUUUUUGUGAUAAACUUGUGAACACGGAAAAUUCCUGAAACGAAAGAGACAAGAACGAACGUGCACAAACAAAUAUUAUGUAUUUGAUGAUUUUGGGUUACAAUCUCUCUCUAUUUGAUCCUCUGAUUCAAUCUCCGUAAGGUGUGUAUUUGUGGAUGUGUGAUUGAUCCAAAGGGCCGUUGGGCUUGAUCUAAUGAUGAACGUUCUUCAAGGGCCGUGGACUUGAUCUUGAAGGUGGAUUUGAGCGGAUCUUCAAAGGGGCUUUUGGGCUUGAUCUUGAAGAACGGUUGGAUGUGUGGAUUUGUCGAAGUUGUUGAUCCAAAGGGCCGUUGGGGCUUGAUCUUGGAUGAACGGAUGAUGAACGAUGGUGCUUUCUUCAAGGGUCGUCGGGGCUUGAUCUUGAAUUGGUGGAUGGUUGAUCCAAGGGCCGUCGGGGCUUGAUCUUGGAAGAACGAUGAACGAAGAACGAAGAACACUUUCUUCAAGGGCCGUCGGGGCUUGAUCUUGAAUUGGUGGAUGAUUGUUGAUCCAAAGGGCCGUUGGGGCUUGAUCUUGGAAGAACGAUGAACGAAGAACAAAGAACGCUUUCUUCAAGGGCCGUCGGGGCUUGAUCUUGAAGGUGGAUGAUUGUUGAUCCAAAGGCUGUCGAGGCUUGAUCUUGGAAGAACGAUGAACGAAGAACACUUUCUUGAUUCUUCGGGAACCUGGACGCUUGAGAGCUUCGGAGUUUCAGAGCUUCAGAGCUUCAAGGUGUAAUAUGAAUUGGUCCCCCCUAAAUGAAUGAAAUGGGCUUGUAUUUAUAGAAUUUUCCAAGGCCUAAUUUUGAAUAUAAUAUCUCAGAUGAAAUAAGUCGUUUCUGCCAGGUGUUAACACGUGUCCUAUUUGAUGACUUUUCCAACUCAUUUCAAUUUUCGUUUAGUCACACGCUACGUGUAAAAUUUAUGUAAUACAUGAGCGUUGACACUUUGAUUUAUCGGUCAACAUUUAUUUACCGAAAUUUCGAUGUCUACAAAUGCCCCCACUUCAAGGCACGUCGUAUACCUGUGCUUGUCACGUGUAGGAGAUGCGUUUUGAAGUCCCUUACCGUAGAUGCCGAUUCAAGGGCCGUUGAAGCUUGAUCUUGAAUUGGGCUUGAGAUUUCUUCAAGGGCCGUUGAGGCUUGAUCUUGAAUUUUUGUUUGAAAUUUCUUCAGGGGCCGUCGAGGCUUGAUCUUGAAGGUUGAAAUUGGGCCACAAGGAGCUUCAUGUGGUAGAUGAUCUUUGGCUUUGGUAGUGGAUGAAUCGGCACGUAUUUUAUUGCGCUUGUUGACUUUCCACAGCUUUGAUCUUGAACUGGGUUGGAGGAUUUUCUGGAUUCCUCCAAUUGUUGAUUUUCCACAGCUUAUUCUUGAACUAGGUUUUGAUUCAAGGGUGGUAGACACUUGAUCUUGAAUCGGACUUGUGAUUUCCUCGAUGGCCGUCGAGGCUUGAUCUUGAAUUUGGUUGGAAACUUCUUCAAGGGCCGUCGAGGCUUGAUUCUUGAAGGUUGACUCGAACAUAUGGCAAGCAGGCACGAGGUGAAGGUGACGACUUGUUGCUUUGUUCAAUCUUUCUAAUUCACACCUGAGCAGUUUGGUCAACGGUAUGAUCCUCAAGAUUGAUGGGCUCUUCUUCCAGUUGGUGACUUGAUCUUUAAGGAUUUGAUUCAAGGGUGGUGAAUCGGCACGUGCAGCCCACAACGCCUAGUAAGCCGACCCAAGAAUUUGAGGGUCAAAACGGAUUCACCGUCAGAGUGAUUGCAACUUUGAUGAUAUGAGAUACUCUUGCUUUUGAAGAAGUAGUGGAUGAAUCAGCACGUGCUUUGUUGCGCUUGUCUCCACAUGCUUCAAGGUAUCAUCUUUAUUUCCUUUAUCUAUUCCUCAGGCAGAUGUGGCAUCUUCUCGAGUUCUUCAUCUCAGACUCUUUCUGCUGAGUUGACUGUUCAUGCUGCAUUCUUCUCUGCUUGUUCAUUCUGCACGUUGUCUCCACAUGCUGCAAGGUAUCAUUUUCACUUGCCUUAUCUGUUCUCCGGGCAAAUGUGGCAGCUUCUUUGAAAGUACAGUAGCAGCGGGAGGCGAGUACUCGAGAGCAGUGCUAGGUAGGCAAUCAGGGAAGGGUUCCAAGCAGUCGGUUCCUUACCCGAGUUUGAGUGGAAGUUCCGGCAUAUUGUUUUUUUUAUCCUUGUCUUUGUAGGUAAGAACAAGGACAAAGGAAAGGACAGGGAGAACGCAUGAUAUGAGAUACUCUUGCUUUCUACCCUGGUGAUAUGAGAUACUUUUGCUUUGGAGUCAUUGGCUUGCAGAGGUACCCCAAGGAAUAAGGAACACUGAAUGACUCGAGAGGCUUCGUUGGGAAAACAUCUUUGGAGAUGAAGAAAGACUUUGUGUGUCUGCCUUGCUAUGGAAGGCGAAGGUAGACAAUUAUAGGAAGUUCUUUGAUACCUGUAGAUGUACUAUUCUUUCACUCGUGUCGGCAACCAAUGCGUGAUUGAUCUAUAUGGCUUCACGUGCUUCCUUCUUUAUCAGAAAUCUUCGACAAACUGUCCGUAAUUUCCGCCAAGCUGAGUGUGCAUGUGAUAGGUGUUGACGCGGCUGAAAAAGACUGGCGCUUAUUCGAUAACUGGGAUCUGCGCUUCGACAAAUUACCCGUGAUUUCCGCAAAGCUGAGUUUGCGUGUGAUGGGUGCUGACGUGUCUGGAAAAGACUGGCGUCUCUUCGAUGUCUGGGAUCGGCACUUCGACAAAUUGCCCGUGAUUUUCGCAAAGCUGAGCUUGCGUGUGACGGGUGCUGACGCGUCUGGAAAAGCAAGAUGCUUCUUCGAUUUCUGAGCUUGCCUCUUCGAUUUUUGAAUGGCCUCUUCGAAUUCUGAGCUCGCCUCUUCGAUCUCUGAAAUCCCGUCGAGUGUUGAUUUUUUAUAGAGGCAUGCUGUUCGUUUCAAAGCACACUUGAAUUUUACUUGUGAAAACUCCCUUCUUGCACUUCUAAGAUCUUGAUUCGUCUGACCUCUUCUUCCUUCAACACUUUGAAAAUGUCUGGACCCUCCGACCGUCGUUUUGAUUUGAACUUUGGUGAAGAUGUAGUCCCGUCUUCUCCAGAUAACAUAUGGCGCCCAUCCUUCAUAUCCCCUACUGGUCCUCUUACUGUUGGGGAUUCGGUGGUGAAGAAUGAUAUGACCGCUGCGGUGGUGGCCCGAAACCUUGUCACUCCCAGAGAUAACAGACUACUUUCCAAACGGUCUGAUGAGUUGGCUGUUAAGGAUUCUCUGGCUCUCAGUGUGCAGUGUGCGGGUUCUGUGUCCAACAUGGCCCAACGCCUAUUUGCUCGAACCCGUCAAGUUGAAUCGUUGGCGGCUGAAGUGAUGAGUCUUAAACAGGAGAUUAGAGGGCUCAAGCAUGAGAAUAAACAGUUGCACAAGCUUGCACACAACUAUGCCACAAACAUGAAGAUGAAGAUUGACCAGAUGCAGGAAUCUGAUGGUCAGAUUUUACUUGAUCAUCAGCGGUUUGUGGGUUCGUUCCAACAGCAUUUGCCUUUGUCUUCUGGGGCUGUACCGCGUAGUGAAGCUCCUCAUGAUCAACCUCCAGCCCCUCUUCUUUCUGGAGUUCCACCGAGUGGUGUGACUUCAAACAGUCAACCUCCGACGUCUCUUUUCCCUAGAGCUCCACCGAGCACUGAGACACCACCUGAGCAAUAAAGACUCCCUCCCGUUUGUUUGCACAUUUGUAAAUUUUUUUUUUUUUUUUUUUUUUUUUUUUUUUUGGUAUGUAGAAUGCAAUUUUAUGUAAAAUUUCCAGAAAAAAUAAAUAAAAUGGAUUUUUAUUUCUCUUAAUGCUUUUUUUUUUUUUUUUUUUUUUGCUGUAUAUAUUAUACACACACAUUUAUACAUACAUAUAUACAUACAUAUAUAUAUAUUUUCACGUGGAGUGAUCCACCAUCCCAAAACCCAUUUUCCCUUUGUUUUUUUUUGCAUGGUGCUAGCCACCAAGAAUUCACCUUUUUUUUUUUUUUAAUUAAUUAAUUAAUUUAUUUAUUUAUUAAUUUAUUAUUAUUAUUUCUUUUUCGUCUGCUUUCACAUGGUGCUUGAUCCACCACUCUCUUUUCUUUUUUCACGUGGUGCCAGAUGCACGCCCCUUUUUUUUUCACGUGGUGACAGCACCACUCUGCUUUGCUCUACCACAUUUUUUUUUUUUUUGUAUAAAUUAGGAUGCUUGGCUGAGGGAUUUUGUAGGGAAGGACGAAGACGGACGGAGAGCCGGAGUUUGAGGAAGAGCUUCUCGGCCGGCUAGUCGUUUGACAGCGGUCUUUGAAGUUGGUGGCAGCUGCGAGGCAAGAGACGGAGGAGGACAGGGCAGCUGUGACGGACAGAGACGCCAUGGCAGGACCUCGAGGAGUUUUAAGAUACUGGUGCAGGUACUGGCGAGGUGAUUUUGACGAGAAAAGCAUGAAGAGGGCGUCGAGCACCAUGGGCCUGCAAUCCUUAAGGUUGAUCUCGUAGUCCUUGAGCUCUUGUUCAGGCAUGACGGGAUCCGCUGCGGUCUUUUUUAUCGGCAAUAAAGUUCUUUGCCUCAUAAAACAGCCCAGAACGCGAUAGAAGAGUUACGAACAAAGCACAAUGUGCAACUGUAGGUGUCUUGAUGCAGUUGAAGUAAAACUUCCCUUCCUCGACCAUGCGUGCUGCAACGCAAGCAUGAAGGACAGCAGCAUAGGUGAUUUCAUCGAUCUGUGUACUCGUUUCCUUCUCCAUUUGGCAGAAUAAAUCUACUCCGAUCUUUCCUUGUCCGUGUAAGCUGUACCCAGUUAUCAUCACUGUCCACGAAACAAGAUCUCUUGUACUUCGACCCUGGCAAAAACUUUUGCAGCUGAUUUGAUAAAUCCCGACUUGACAUACAUGUCCAUAAGAGCAUUCAGAACGGUGAGAUUCAUUCGAAUACCAUGUCGCAGCAAGAAUCCAUGAGUCUCUUUUGCCAUGUUUACCUGCAGACAUUCUUGCGCAUGCUGGGAGAACACUAGAGACCGAGAGCGGAUCAGGUUUCACCCCGUCUCCAACCAUCUGCCUAAACAGCUUAAGACCCUCAUUGAAGCAUCCCCUCUUCACAUUGGCAUGAAUCAUUUCUGUCCAAGAAAUGACAUCUUUCUCCGGUAUUUGGUUGAAAACUGCCCAAGCUUCGUCGACACAGCCACAGUCCAUGUAUAUUUUCAAGAUGGUAUUGCUCACCAACACAUCAUACUCCAAUCCACGUUCCUUGGCAACCCUGUGGACUUUUGUUCCAUCAAUCAACGAUCUCAACAUGCCACAGGCACCAGCCGCCGUCGCCACAGCCACAGAAUCUAUCUGUGCUCCGGACUCCACCAUUCUCUCAAACACAUGAACCGCCUUGCCGGGUUUACCUUCCGCAAUGUACAGCCUGGCCAGCAUUGUCCAUGAAACAGAGUCCGUAACCAGGGACUUGUCAAACAGCCCUUUCGCGGAGUCCGCGCUGUCGAGGCGACCGUACAACUCAAUGAGAGCAGCAACCACGUACCGGUCACCAGAGCAGCCGAGCUUGUGAGCGUGGGCAUGGAGUUGCUUGCCGAGGGAGAGAUCAACCGAAAGGCGAGAGGCAGACAAGACGCGAGGAAGAGUGUGUCUGUCGGGCGACGAACGCGCGGAUGAGCAUUUGGUGGUAAGUGGCGAGGGCGUGGUGGAAGUCGGCAUUGGCGAUAUGGGUCUGGAUAAGUCUGUUCCAUGCAAAGGUAUCUGAGUGGGGCAUUUUGUCGAACACCUUGUGGGUGACGGCCACCUUCGUGGUGGGUUUAGCAUUUCGGGAGUGCUUGUAGUGGGCUGUGUUGAUUGGGUUCUCGGUGACGAUCAAGCGCUGGAUUUGGGCGGAUGGAAGGGCUUCCAUUUCAGUUCAGUCGCACCCAAUUCAGCAUUGCCCGUACGGAUUCGAGCGCAGUUAUCGAGGAGGAGUUUCCUUAAGAAUAGAACCAAUCACCGACUCCUCAAACCCAUCCGGAUAUGCGAUUUUCAUGAGGUGCAAACAAGAACCCUCUGCCAUAAGUGGCAUGAUCACCCAAAGGUUUCUUUCAACGACAAAUGAACAAAACGCCCUCACGACAUUGGGAUGAUCUAUUAAUCUCAUCGUCUGCGCCUCCCUCCGGAUAUCCUCGAAAUUGCUAUUGCACCGAUCGAGAUCCAAGCACUUGACGGCGACGACUUCAUUGAAAGGGAGAUAGAUCGCUCUGUAAACCGUUGCGCUGGCGCCAUAUCCGACCUCUUCCAGAAGCUUGUAGUCGUUCGGAUUCGCCGAGUGAAGCCUCGAAUUGCUACCCAUCCUCCCCAUCUGUUCGAGGACUUGUGCUUCAGAUAUGUCGUUUUGAGGCUACGGGCUCUGCGUUUGGGCUGUGUGCCAGUUUGGGCUUAGUGUUGCUUUGGAGAGAUCUAGGUUUGGUUGAAGAGGUACGGUGAAGCCAUGGGCAAGGGAGAUGACGAAUUGGGCUUGGAGGCUGACACUUGGGCCUGGAUGGCCUCCUUUUGAGAGGCUUGCUGCUGAUGGAUAUACAUAUAUAUAUUUGUAUGUAUAUGUAUGUAAAAGAAAUCUUUUUUUUUUUUUUUAAUUUUUUAAUUUUUUUUUUUAUGUGACUGAACUCGAAAAAAUUGAACAUUCGAGCUGCCUACGUACCCCUCCAAAGAAGAGAUCAAGUCGCAACGUAGUUCAAAUACAUUUUUGGUAUUUUCUUUUUGUGUCGUUUGCAGUUUUAACUCAUGCAGGCAAGGAGUGUUGGUGUCGUUUGCAGUUCCAACUCUUGCAUACAAGGAGCGUUGGUGUUGCCUUUUAUGCUCGUGUAGGCCAGGAGCGUUGGUUCGUGCAGUUUAGGCUCGUGCAGGCGAGGAGCCUUUGGUGUCGUUCGCAGUUUCAACUCGUGCAAACAAGGAGCAUUUGGUGUCGUUCGCAGUUUCAACUCGUGCAGACAAGGAGCAUUUGAUGCCGUGUUGCAGUUUAGGCUCAUGCAGGCGAGGAGCGUUGGUGUCUUGUAGUUUAGGCUCUUACAGACAAGGAGCUUUGGUUCGUGCAGUUUAGGCUCGUGCGAACAAGGAGCAUUGUUGGUUCGUCAAGCGAUCCGAGAGAGUUGUUCCUCACAAUCUUCAUAGCAAGGAGCCUUGACCGCGUGAUUGAAGAAGUCUUCGGGUAAAAAGUCGCGCAUCGUGAUGGCAACAGACAAUCUUUGUGUCGUAGUUUCAUCAUCUUCAACACGUUCACGUUGCUUUGAAGGUUGACAAUAGCUGCUUUGCCCCCUUUUCAAUUGGCGGACUUGUGGAGGAGACGUAUGCUUCUUGUGCAAUUUCUUAGGAGUGACUUGAGUCCAUCCUUCAAUUUUGCUUGUCUUGGACGAUGCCCCCAGCGGUUGAGGUGAAAACUUUGAGUCGGAAGAGCCAGAAGUGAAGGUGGUAUAGUUUGACUUUGCCACUUCGUCAAGAUCUAGCUCGAUGAUUCCUUUCUGAGCCAGCUUCAUGAUGAGAUCUUUCAGCACGAAACAUUUUUCUGUCGGAUGACUGAUGAAGCGGUGGAAUUUACAGUACUUUGGACUGUCGGUGCGAUUCAUCUCUUCUGGCCGUUUGCACUCAGGCAAACCAAUCACCUUCUUUUCCAACAGGUCAUCCAGUAUGGCAACCACAUCAGAGUCGGGGAAUGGAUAAGUCUUCUCCUCAAGCUCCUUUAAAGUGCGUCUACGCAUUUCUUGAUCACGAAAAGCUUCGGUUUGAAUCGCCUUGCCUCGUGUGGAUAUUUUGACGGGAGAUGUGUUGACCGUCAUCGCUUCCUUGGUGGGUUUCCAUGCAGCCUUUUCCACCUUUGUCCCAAGAACUUUGUCGUUCUUGUAGUCGGCGAUUGGUUCUUUCUUCCCAUGAUGGGCGAUGCUCAACUCCAUGUCAUGGGCGCGAGUGGCCAAUUCCUCGAAGGUCCGCGGUUUAAUGCCUUGAAGGAUGUAUUGCAAACCCCAUUGCAUGCCUUGGAUGCACAUCUCGAUUGAAGAGGUUUCCGAGAGCCUGUCUUUACAGUCGAGGCUUAGAGUGCGCCAUCUGUUGAUGUAGUCAAUGACUGGCUCGUCCUUCCACUGCUUUGUGCUUGUUAGCUCUAGCAUGCUCACAGUGCGGCGAGUGCUGUAGAAGCGGUUGAGGAAUUCCCGCUCCAAUUGCUCCCAGUUGUUGAUGGACUCAGGCUCUAGGUCAGUGUACCACUCAAAGGCGUUUCCUUUUAGUGAGCGCACAAACUGCUUGGCGAGGUAGUCCCCUUCGGUCCCUGCGUUGUUGCAAGUUUCAACAAAGUGGGCAAUGUGUUGUUUCGGGUUUCCCUUUCCAUCAAAUUGCAUGAACUUUGGCGGUUGAUAACCCUUCGGCAUCCUUAAGGCGUCGAUUUUCUUUGAAUACGGCUUCGAGUACAACCCGGAGGUAUUUGAGCUCCCUUCGUACUGUGCCUUGAUGGUGUUGGUGAUCAUCUAUUGCAGCUGCUGGAUAGAAAGAGAUCCCAUGAGUGCCGCUGCUUGGUCUGGCUCCGGCUUUGCAUCGUUUUUCUCCACCUGAGGCUCAUCUUCUUCGUCAUCUCUUCUCUUUAGUGGAUCAUUCUCUGGGUCGGGUUUAUCGCCGUCCUGCGCCUUUAGUCGAUUGACGAGUGCUGCAAUUUGCAAGUCUUUUUUCUUCCACCGUUCGGGUCAGCCUUGCGAUUGCUUCAUUCAUCUGAGCCAGUUGUUCUUCAACGGAGGUAACGCCGAUAGUCAUGACUUGUGCGACCAAUAUACGUGACUUUCCUUUAGACAUCCAGGAUGCUGAUGAAGAACGUCGUUGGCUGCUUUGGGAUGUCAUCUUAUGUGCCUCAGCAUCAUGCUUCGGUGCCCCCAGCGAGGUCAGGUUGAUGACAGACUCGCACCUUGGAUGCUCCCCUUGCUCUUUUAGCGGCACCAAUUUUGAAGUAGCAUGUUGGGGAGCGGUUGUGGCGCCAAUGGAUUGUCUGUUUGCGGCAGAAGUGCUUAGGAUCCUUCCCUCAGUGGUUGCGAGAAUGGCUUGUCCUUUGCUUGAUGCCAUUGACUUUGAGGUGUGCUUGGAUUCCUUGAACGAAGAAAGAGAUGAGAGGUAGAGAUUGUCCCACCGGGCGUGCCAAUUUGUGAACACGGAAAAUUCCUGAAACGAAAGAGACAAGAACGAACGUGCACAAACAAAUAUUAUGUAUUUGAUGAUUUUGGGUUACAAUCUCUCUCUAUUUGAUCCUCUGAUUCAAUCUCCGUAAGGUGUGUAUUUGUGGAUGUGUGAUUGAUCCAAAGGGCCGUUGGGCUUGAUCUAAGGAUGAACGUUCUUCAAGGGCCGUGGACUUGAUCUUGAAGGUGGAUUUGAGCGGAUCUUUAAAGGGGCUUUUGGGCUUGAUCUUGAAGAACGGUUGGAUGUGUGGAUUUGUCGAAGUUGUUGAUCCAAAGGGCCGUUGGGGCUUGAUCUUGGAUGAACGGAUGAUGAACGAUGGUGCUUUCUUCAAGGGCCGUCGGGGCUUGAUCUUGAAUUGGUGGAUGGUUGAUCCAAGGGCCGUCGGGGCUUGAUCUUGGAAGAACGAUGAACGAAGAACGAAGAACACUUUCUUCAAGGGCCGUCGGGGCUUGAUCUUGAAUUGGUGGAUGAUUGUUGAUCCAAAGGGCCGUUGGGGCUUGAUCUUGGAAGAACGAUGAACGAAGAACAAAGAACGCUUUCUUCAAGGGCCGUCGGGGCUUGAUCUUGAAGGUGGAUGAUUGUUGAUCCAAGGGCUGUCGAGGCUUGAUCUUGGAAGAACGAUGAACGAAGAACACUUUCUUGAUUCUUCGGGAACCUGGACGCUUGAGAGCUUCGGAGUUUCAGAGCUUCAGAGCUUCAAGGUGUAAUAUGAAUUGGUCCCCCCUAAAUGAAUGAAAUGGGCUUGUAUUUAUAGAAUUUUCCAAGGCCUAAUUUUGAAUAUAAUAUCCCAGAUGAAAUAAGUCGUUUCUGCCAGGUGUUGACACGUGUCCUAUUUGAUGACUUUUCCAACUCAUUUCAAUUUUCGUUUAGUCACACGCUACGUGUAAAAUUUAUGUAAUACAUGAGCGUUGACACUUUGAUUUAUCGGUCAACAUUUAUUUACCGAAAUUUCGAUGUCUACAAAACUAAUAGAUAAUUGACUAAAUAAACAUCCUGCAAAGUUUCAAUAAAAAUUUCCAAGUUUUUCUUACAAUUUCUGUGGUUUCCAUAUUAUUUUUAUCGAUAUCGAUAAUAUCCCGAUAUUUCAAUCGAUAUUUCCGUGUUUUUGGACUACCGAUAUUUCCGAUAUCAUCGAUAUUUUAUACCUUGGCGACGGGGGACUUGCCGACUGGUGCCACCGUGGACGUUGGGUCUUUCGAAAUGUGGUGUAAUGUUAUGAUCCCACAUCGGCUACACAAGAAAUUGUGUAGUGGUACUUAAGUGCAAGGGGUCCUCCCACCUAUUGGACUAGUCUUUUGAGUUGGGCUCUUCCCUUAGGCUUGAGUACCUAACAAACCCAUAAAUCAAAGAAAUCAAAAUCCACCCAGAAUCAAAGAAAUCAAAAUCCAUCCAGAACCAAAGAAAUCAAAAUCACACACAGAUAUACAAGGUGUACAGUACUGACAUGCCUUAAAUGAUAUUAUUCACAAGAUUUAUAAAGCUCAUGUCGUAAUACUUGUGCAGAAUCUAUCAUUCACGGCGUCACUUUUGUGCAAGUUGUAAAUAAAAUUAUUCACAAUUUAAACAUUGUGUGUCGUAUUUGACAAUUUAUACUACGCACUUUCUUUUUCUUUUAAAGCUUUGCGUUAUGUCGUGAAGUUGACUUUCUAUAUAUUUGGGUUGUACCUUUUAUGGCGCAAAUAACACGUCGUAAAUAAUGGCUUUUAGCACAGAAGUUUUGUGGUAAAGAAGCCCGCGCACUAAUUCAUUCUCGCGCCUUCUCUUUUUUAUUUAGCCGCUUCUUUUUUUAUUUUUUAUUUUUUUUGUUAAAUUCCCCUCAAAUGUUAAAAGAAAAAUUAAUGAAAUAUUUGAAAACUUUGAGUUUUAACGAUAAGGAUAAAAUAAAAGGUAAAAUGAAUAGUACCAAAAUUGACUUUUUAGUGUUAAAAUAUGAUUUUUCGUUAAAGUGAACAGUGCCGAAAGUUUUUCGUUAAAGUUCAAUGUUAAAAGGUUUGUAUUUUCUUGGUAAACUUGAAAGACAAACAUUGCAAUUGCAUUUUCAUUUACCCAAUAUUAAUUGUCGAGAGCCCACCCCCUUCCCUUCUCACUGACAUCGUAACUCUCUCCUCUCCAUCGAUCUCGCUCCAUCUGCUCGCCGUCGCUCUAUAUGCUCGUCAUCACCGUCGAUUCGUCUGCUCGUCGUCACCGUCGCCCAUCUGCUUUCCGUCACCGUCGAAGUGCCCCGCCAUUCAAGAUCUGAAAUCCCCAAUACAGGGUGCUUUGCGGCAUUUCGUUCUCCAAAACUUUAGGUAUGCUCUCAAUCUGUAUCAACCCUAUCCUGUCCCCUCUAGAUUUUUGUUUAGUCUCAACUUUAUGGUGCUUUUCUUAGAUUUGUUCUAUCACUGUAAUUUUAAGGGAUUUUAGGUAAUAAAUUUGGUUGAGAAUCUCAGUUAGGUUUGUAAUUGUUUUCUUGGUUGCCUGGGUUUGAGGAUGAUUAAUCCACUUUCUGAAGUUUAAUUACUUUGAACUUUGAUUUGUGGGAAACUGCAAUCAAAAUGUUGCUAUGGCUUUAUAGUUAGAAUCGAUUGUGAGUCUUUGCACCACAUCAAGCAAUACCCCGGUGUUGUAAUUCCGAGGUUUGUAAUUGCCGCUGUUAAUGAUGGUUUGGUCCAUCCUUUUUAGGGAGAUGACUUCAAUGAUUGAAACUAGUUUAUCAUUAUUUCAGAACUCUGUAAUACGAGACAUGAUAUUCCAAAAAAUAUUUGCAUGAAUAUAUGUGCAUUGACUGACUAUUUUUCAGUCUUUGAUAGUGGAGAUAACUCUUUCAGGUCAUAUGUAGUUCUUACAGAAAUUGUAUGGUAUUUUGGUUGGUUUUGUGUUCUGGUUGUAGCAAACUGGUGGAUGCCCUGAGAUGAGUAGUUAUCUACAAAGUGGAUGGAUCCUGAAGAGUACAAAGUCUAAGGCAUUUUAUGUAAAGGUAAAUCCUGUUACUUUUAAUUACUUAUAUGUGAAUGCCUGCCAUUUGAAGUAAAAAUUCUUUUAGCCAUUACAUUCUUCAUAAAGAUCUUUAUAUGCUCAAAAGAAGGAUUUUUUUUAGAUGCCAUGUAACUGGUGGUGGCUAGCCUCUUCUUUUUAAGACUCUAGUGUGUUUCAAUUACACUAGUCAAUCGUUCUUAUGUGUAUUAUGUUUUGUUGAUAAGAUGGCCAAGACAAAGUUGUAGAGCCCUAGUAGCAGGGUGCUGUUGGCAUUUAUAUUUUUCUUUUGAAGGGGUGUUUAUUGCUUUUAUACUUUCAUUGUUUACUCUCAUACAUACAAUACUGAAAAAUAAGCAUGUAUUGACGCGUAAUUUUAGAUCCAUAUUUAUACAUAAUUUUGAUUACAUGUCCAAAUUACCCAAGAUUCUUUUUCCUUUACAAAUUUGUGGAGUGCAUUACAUGGAUAUGAUUCAUGUAUGAAAUACACAUGACUCUCACUAAUUUAAGGGCAGCAUCAUUGACUGUACAGUUUUCAAUUCUUUAUAAUCAUGAGUAUAGACAUUUUUUAAUUCUUUAUAAUCAUGAGUACAACAAUAGUUUCUAUAACAAAAUUCUGUUAAAUAUGUAAUAUCAGUAUUUGUUUUCCAGGUUCAUUAGUUGAGGAUGAUUUUUCCAAGAAAGAAAAGAUCGCGGCUUUCAGGCCGAUCUAAAGAACAUUAUGUUGAUAUUGCACCUGAGAUCUUACAAGAAGAGGACGAAGAAGUACCAGAUGACCUAUUUACAGAGGAGUCGAAUCAAACUAAAAGAAAGAGGGGUCCUACUAGAAUGAAGACAAUUUCCACAAAUGAUGGUCAACGAAUUGAGAUUGAAUGGAAUGAAAACGGCCAGUUUAUUGGUGACGGAUCUAUUGACUUAUCUUCUUACAUGGGUUCUUUGGUCCGAGAGGUUGUCCCUAUAACAUUUGAUACUUGGAAGGAUGUUCCUAAGAAAACAAAGGACAUCCUAAUCAAGGUAAUAUGCAGAUAAGUCAAUUCUGAUCCCUCUACUUCAAGGUGAACAAUUUAUAGUUUAUAAAUUUUACUUGUGUUAAUAUAUAUUUUUUGGUAAAUGUUAUGGAUAUUUUAUCAAAUCAGAGAGUAAAUUCGUAUUAAGUGAAGAUUGGCAAAGAACAUAUUGUUUUGAAAGGAUGAAUAAUGUUUGCAGAUCACAUAUAUCAGUAGUUGUGAAGUCCAUAAGAGAAGCAAGAAAUUGGAAAGCAAGGCUUCGUCUAAAACCAAAUAAUGUCAAAUUAAUUCAAGAUUGGAAGACUUCCCUUGCAAAGUGUAAGCUCAUUUUCCUUUUCUUUUAUUUCUAAGAUUAGUUAUCUUCUUUUGAGUUCAAAAUUGGGUCAGAGAAAUCAAACUGAUAGUAGUUAAAAGUCUAUUUCAACACCAAGCCUUGUCUACACAAGAAUUUGGUGUUAGUUAAACAUGUGUAUGAUUCUAUCUUGAUUGCAUGUUAAUUUAGUUUGAAGAUAGAUUUGGUACAUGCUAGCUAAUUGAUACGUGAUAUGAAUCUUUGGUUUCCUUUUGAUAGGACAAAAGCGAAACAUUCAGAGAGAUGAAGUCUAAGCAACUCCGCACACAUGUAGUCGCAAGGGAUAUGGUAGGUUGGCGGAGGAUUUGGUAAUUACAUUUCAUUCUAGUGCCUUCUUUUCUACAGGACAAGAACAAUUUACUAAUUUUAUUCUGUGUUCUACUGUGUGUUUACUACAUUUAUGUUUCUAUUUUGUAGAAAAGAAAAAGUGUAGACCCUUCUCUAGUUUCUAGAGGUGAUGUUUGGAUUGCAGCACAUACUAAAAAGGGUGGUGGACCAUCCAAUUUGCUUGCUGCAGAGACUAUUGUAAGUAAUUUUUAACCAUUUAUUUCUUCUUGUUUGUUGAUAUGCAAUGAUGAAUGAGGUCUUAACUUUGAUGUGCAACGUUAGGAAAAAAAUUAAGCAAUAUGGAAAUGGAUCAUCAUCUGGUUUUCGAGGUGACGUUCUUUCCAAAGUUUUUGGUGCUGAGCGACAUGGUCGUGCAAGAGGAGUUGGAGGUGGUGUUCCUCCUACAAAGCUUGGAAUAUUUUCACAACAAAAAUUGCGUAAUCACCAAAUGGAUGAAAAGGUGCACAAUUUAACUAAUCAGGUCAGAGCACUGACAGAAUUGGUGUAUCUUUUUAUGAAAAAUCAGGUUAGUGAUUUAAUAACAUUGGUAUCAUAUUGAAUAUUUGUGAAAUCAGUUUUAGUGACACAUCAAAUCACAGGGUAAUGAUCUACCAAGUGAGGCAUCUCCUGACACACAGGUUGCAGCUCCUGAGGCACAUGUUGAUACUGUCGCAAGAACUGAAACUUGUCUUUCCCAUUGCGCAACAAAUGAAUCGUGGUGGCGAGGUUGAUACACUUUUUCAAUGAGCCUUCUAACUAUUAAUGCUCAUUGACUCUGUUAAAAGCUCUGCCAUUUUCAAUCUAACUAGACACUAGAAAUGAUCAUUGACUCUGUUAAAAGUUAUGAUGUUUUGGUCCUUCUCCAUAGUUGCGCAUCUACUGAUGUCUAUUUUUUUUCAAAUACUGCAGGUUAUUUCUGAAAACAUUGAAACAUCGUGGUGUACCAGAUGGUUUGAUUAUAAGACACCUUCCUUUUGGUCCACCAACUUAUUUAUAACUGCUAAAUGGUACGUAGUGUGAUAAUUUUCAAAUAUUUUGAUAUUAAGACAGGUGUAGGACAACAUAGAAAUUCUUAGGGCCUUCAGCAACAAAAUUAUGAAAAAGUGAGUGAGAUACAAUUAAAAAAAUGAAAGAGAAGGAUCAUGAUUCAUGAUCUAAAGGUUUGAAUAGGGUAGAAAGGAUUUAGUUUCGUUGUUAAAAUCGAUUGUGAGUCUAUUGUUAUUGUAUUGUCAAUUUGUUUAUUUACUUGAACUUCCUAGUAUCAAUUUGGUUCGAUAUAUCUAGCACCACCAUAGAUAUAUCUAGUAUCAAUUUGGUUAGAUAUUGUCAAUUUGUUAUUGUAUUGUCAACUAUAGAAUGUGCAUCAGUUGUAAAAGGAACAAAACAAUUCAGAUUUUUUGUUUAUGUCCAAACUUAGAAUUGUAUUGUAAUUGACAAUUUCUACUAAUUAAUUUAAAGUAUUUGGAGUUUAAUAUGUUUAUGAUCAAUAUUGUUAUCCUUCUAUUGUAUCAGUUUAGAUGUUAUGAAGUGAGGUCUGUCUAAAAAUGAUAUGCUAAAUAUAGAUGUAAAUUACGGCAUCUAAAAUCAGCAAUAAUUGUUGAUGGUAGUCUUUUUUUACGAUGCACGAUGUAUGCCGUAAUCACCUUCACAAUAUUACGACACUCAACAAAUGCUGUAUCAAAUAUAAAUUACUGCACACAAGUAUGUCGUAAUUGUUUUUCAGUAUUACGACACCCUAUUAACGCUGUAACUAAUACCAAUUAAGGCGCGUAGGACAUGCCUUAAGAACAUUUAUGGCGUGUUUUACUUAAAUUAUUCACUACUAUUAGAGUACGUCGUAUUUGUCAAAACAUCUUUUACAACAGGGGCUUUUACUGCUUGGAGGCUCACGUCGUGAAUUUCCAUUUACGGCACCCUUUGUGCGCCGUAAAAGGCCAAUUCUAUUGUAGUGAUCCAUGGGUACAUUUUUAAUCUACAUGUUUCGUUUUAAUAUAUCUAUUGCUAUAAUAUGUUUUGGUUGGUUCAAAUUCGUUUUACAUAAAUAUAUGGGUACAAAGUUUUUGGAGAAUAUUAUGUAAAAUGGUUUUUAAGGUUGUUGCAUUUUAUGUACCCACAUAUGCAUGUCUAUAAAACAAUGUGGUAUGAUGUACAUUCUUUUCCUUGAGUUUUUAAAUGUACCCAUGAGUUUUCUUGUAAAUUCAGUAUGUAUCCAUAUGCUAUUUAUGUUAUGGGUACAUAAAUUAUUUUUGGUCUAAGUUGGUGGGUACAUUGCUUUUGUAUGUAUGAAUUCAUUGGGUACAUUAUUUCCCUUAAUACUACUCAAUAAAAUUCACAAAAAUAUGUGCAGUGUGCAUGAAUUUUUAUUGUAGAAAUUGUUUUUUUUUAAUUUUUAAUUUUUAAGUCUCAUAAUUCGUGAAUUUUGUACAUAUUGAUCCCAUAAAUUUUUGAAUUUUAUUAAAUUUCUUUUAGACUUGAUCGAUUGAUUGAAUCUCAUAAUAAUCCCUUAAAUGUUCCAAUCAAUAUUUUAAAUUACAGCUUUUUAUUUAAGAUUUCAAAAAGAUGACAUGAAAAUAUAGUAAUACUAAAAUUUUAUUUUAAAUUACAUUUGUGUAACAAUCAAUGGUAUGUUAAAACUGGGCAAAAAAAAAAGGUAUAUUAAAAAAUUAUAAUUUAUUCUUUUUUUCAUAACUGUCUUCUGCUUAGAUUAAAUUUUUACCAAUUUGGGGGAAUUAGUUCUUACCAAUAUAUAUGCACAGUAUUUGCUUUUUACCUGGGCUUAACACAUGAUUAAUUACUUUCCUACCUGCUAACGCGUUGAUUUGCGCAUCCAAAGUAUUAUCAAAGUCACUGCCACCAAAAAGGUGCCCACUCCACAACCUUUGGUUGAACCAAAGAACAUCACAACAAUAAGGAAAUCGUUAAAUCUAUCUCCGCAACAUUUUUAUUAAUCAUUAGAUAGAUUAAACGAUUCCCCUGUUCAUAUUGUGUUCUUUUGUUGAACCAAACCAUGUCAACAAAAUAUAUCUAUGGUUAAGCAUCUAGAUUCAUGCUUUUGGAUGUGCAUCUUAAACCCCUCAAUGAAUAGCCAAGCAAUUUAUCAUGUGUUUACAGUAGGUCAAAAGAAGAAAGUGUUUGUCUAUAUAUUGGUAGGAACCAAUUCCUCUGAAGAGGAGAGAUGGAAGUGAUGAUAAUACUUUAAAUAAUCAAAGCCCAAACAUUUUAUCAAAUUUCAUCUCUGUACUCCACGGAGACACUAAAUGAGACAUAUCUGGUCCAUCUCUGAACAUCUUUUCUUACCGUUCUUACAAUAGAAAGGGCACAAAAUUGACUUACACAGUCUUGCACAAUACUCACUUUGCUUCAACCCAUAUUUCACUUUGUCAAAUCAUACACGUUCCUGCAAUAGGUGAACUCAUAUGUAUCUACCACUUCUUGCUAAUUUUAAUUUUUCCAUUCCCAUUUUUGCUACAAGUUUCACAUAAAUUUUUUAUUGCACUUGUCAAUUCUUUAUACUUUUUUAUUGUAUUUUUUUUUUGUCUUUUUUUUGUAUUAAACAAUUACAUGUCCUCCAAAAGUUUUGCUUAUUGCCCUAUUUCAUCAAGCUCGGUAUAAAUAGAUCUUAAUUUUUUACUACAGUUAAAUACAUGGACAUGCCUCCACAAAUACAAAUUAGUUCUUGCUUAAAUACUUUGUGUGUUUACAUAGAAAAUGUUCCCAUCGUCUACCAAAAUCCUCCACACAUGAAAACAAAAAUUCUUACUCAAAAAUACAUAUUACAAUACCACCAUAUCUGUUGUUUUUUAUUAAAUUAACACACUGUUUUCAAUUUUAUCUUUAACACAAAAGAAAAUGCUCUUACACAAUAUGCUUGUUUACAUUUUAUAACUUAUCUACCACAUGUUAAUCGCAAUUAUAUAAAUAGGAAAACACGUGUCAAUAGAAGUGUGAUGCAUGCUACUUCGUUAACAAUAGUGGCAACUAAACAAUUAAAUAAUUUGUUUCAAUUAGUUAGUACAUUUUAUAAAUUUCUUAAUUAGAACUGUUUCAGUAUAUUCAAUACAUUUUUAAACAACUUUCCAGUUAGUUGCCCAAACUAAUUAUUCCAGCUUAUUCAUAGUAUAAUACCAACAAUUUAACAACCAAUGAUACUUCGUUUAACAUAAACUUCAUUUGGAAAAAACAAAAAAAUAUCUUUUUCUCUGCUGAAAAAUCCAACAGAGUUAUUGAUGCAGAUCAGUUAUACCAACAAAUUACCAUAGUUUACCCAAUGCUAUACAGGUUUGACUUUUGUUUAUAUUCUUGGAUCUGUUGCUUGGUUGUAUAAUUUGGUUGUGUGUUUUGUUUCAGGACAAUUUGUUCUUCGUUUCUUGAGGCUUUUGUGUGUAGAUUUGAAACCGUUUAGCUUUCAAGCCGUGUAUACUCAAGGUAAAUAAUUUCGUUUUUUUCUUUGUAACCUUUUUUGUAAGAAAUUUUUAUUUAAUGUUGUGAGAGUUGUGUUUUCUAGAGUAUGAAAAUUGAAUCUUUGUGAUCUUAUAUCCUUAGAUAUGUUUCUUGGUUAUAUGAUUUGGCUGUGUGCAUUGUUUCAGGACAAUUUGUUCUUCGUUUUUUGGGGCUUCGGUGUGUAGCUUUGAAGCCUUUUGUAGUCAACAUAAAUAAUUUUAUUUUUCUUUGUUUCUAGUCUUCUUUGAAAGAAUUUCUUAGUUAAUAUUCUGAGAAUUAUGUUUACUAUAGUAUGAAAAUUGAAUCUUUGUGAUCUUGUAAGUGAUGUAACGUCAUUGCAACAUGUAUGACUGCCAUUAUCGAACAUGAAGAGCUUUUUGAUUUUUGUACUCCGUCCUUUCAUACGAUCUGACUCAAAAAUUGUUUCAUCACAGGUUCUAACAUGAUUUUUGCGACGUCUUAUGAAAAUACAAUGUCACUUCUGGUAUUCCAACUUAAACAAAUUACAAGGGAUGUCUAGUUUUAAACCUGCAGUUAGUAUAUACUAAAACGACGGUUUUGGCCCUGCUCUCGACUUCUUCAGAAACCUCGAGAAACUUCAAACUGAGAAAGCUUCUCCCUUCCAUCUCUGCUACGCGAUCUCUGCUUUGCGAUCUCUGCUUCCUCCGUGAUUUCUUCCCUCCUGAUCGACAUCUAUUCGAAUUGAAAACCUUCUGGAGCUCUCUUCCCCAAAUUUCAGCAGCAACUUUGCUCCAGAUCUUUCCAAUUGAAAUUCCUCUCCUUCACAUUUUGCAUAUUGAAUUUCGCAUCAUUAUCAUCUCCCUAGAACCUAGGAGUUUGGUUCGGUUUCGAGUUUUCCGACGGAAAUCCGGCGACAGCGGCCAUCGAGGUUGGUCUGAAACUAUUCCUCAUCACCACAAGUACUUUCUACACCUAUUACACUUUAGAAAAAAUUUCAUGAUUUGGUGGAAUCCAAUUUAAUGAUUAGAAAAAUUUUCAUUAAUUUUCUGGGUUCGUGGGUUGGAGGUGGAUUAGAAAUUUUUUCAUUAUUUUUCUGGGUUUGUGGUUUUUUUCCAAAACGUUUUUCCUUUCUACUAAUCCAAGUUCCUUCACAUCAAUCUCUCUGUUUCGUUCUUGAUCUUCCGCGAGUAGAAUACCUCUCCUUGCUCUCGAGCGCGUGGGCAGUCGCUCCAAGGCAGCCCAUGACGUCAUUUUCCGAUUCGACUCGGAGGAGGUUGGCUGCUCUUCUUGGCUGAGCUUCAUGGCUGGCCGAAUUCCCCUAUUCCCUUCCUCUUAUACUCUUUUGUAUUCGUUCACCAAAACAAUAGGAAAACGUCUCCGUCUGUUUGAUUGACGGCGAAGAAAAAAAGACGGAGAUAAAAGCCUGACGGAAGCUGAAAGCUUGGACUCUGUUUGUAUUUUUAAUGGAUUUUCAGAACACAGGUCAAGAAUACUGCGAUUUGAGAAAGAAAGAAAGAACCACGUUGACAUAAUAUAUUCACAAUAGGCGUACAUAAAGCUUUACUGUGGUUCCAUUUUUUUGCAUAUUUCAAAGGCUCUGAAUUGUUAAGGGAAUUAGCCUUUUGUUUUAGGAAGAACUUGGAACCCCCUCCGUCCAUUCUAUUCCCGAUGGAAUUAACACUUAGAUAGUACUAUGACAAUGUGUCAUUAAUUGAUGCAUACCUGUAUAAAUUUAGGCCAAGUGUUUUAUACACAAAUUGAUACAGAUUAAGCUUCUGGGUCGAAAUCAUAUACCGGUGAGCUAACUACACAAUGAUACAUUCUUAUCUGUUAAUUAUCUUUGGUUACCAGCUAUCCAUGUUGCUGACAUAUUAAACUACACAACAUCUAUUGUAAUUUAUGUCUUAUUAGUAUCAUCACUUUUGUUCUUUAUUUCAAUGUCUAACAUAAUGAUCUGGUUUCAAUUUGCUACAGGCAUUAUUUCCAGACAAUAGCUAUGGUUUUGAUUGUAGCGGUGACUGAAAAAUUAUUCCGAAACUAACAUUUGAGGAAUUCAAGGUUUGUUAGUUAAUUUGUACAUCAGAAUACCAUGACAAACUAUGAAGUUGUAAUUGUUGACCUUACAAUGUAUCUUUUUUGGUUUGGAGCAUUAGACUUAUAUGUGUUGCUUUCACUUCAUGAAGGCUAACUCUUUAUUUUAGGCCUUAGAAUAUAAUUUUUUGGAGAAUCUACAUUGUUGAUAAUUUUUUGAACAAUAUUAUCCCCAAAAUUUCUCCGCAUGUUACCCUCAACGUAGACAUCAUAUAACCAUCAUUGAACUUCUGAACCAAAAAUUUGAGUUUUAUGAUUAUAACUAAACGUCUAUAAACACAUGAUACAGAUUGAGACGAAUGUCAAAUUUAAAAUGGCAUUAAUCAGGACAGCUGCAAACUCUGAUUUGCGGCCUUUGAAAUGGAGCAGUUACUUCUUGCUUCACUUCAACAGCAUAGUCCAGCUUCUAAAUUCAGUUCUCAGGUAUGAGGUUUCUCAGUUACCUCUUUUUUGUAAUAAAACAUUUGAUCAGUACUUGCCAGGAUAUCCAAUUAAUUAGGUCAGUUUUUGUUAGCGGUAAUAAUUUGUUUUUGUAGCUUUAUAUGUGUCUCUGUCUCCAAAUAUGAUGAUCUCUUAAUUUGCUUCUAUAGCUUUUGUAAUAUAAUGAUCUCUUAAUUUGCUUUUGCAUAUCUUCUUUGCUUCCUCUGCUAGCUCUAUAUGAGAUUCCAUCUCCAAAUAAUUAUUCCUUAUUUCCUAUUUUUACAGGAAGCAAAUCAUUGAAUACACAUGGAAAAUUAAAAGGGUUUUAGUUUUUGGAGUAGUUUAAAUUUUUUGUUUGUUAUUGCUUGUAUUGCUGUUAAAUAUUUGAUGGGUAGUUUGAAAUGGGGAACUUGGUUGAUUGAGUAUUAACUUUUAUUAAAUUAAUAUUCUUAUUCAAUAUUGAAUUAAGACUCCUCUUAUUAAAUUAAGACUCUUAGAGUGCGUUUGUUGCGCCAGACUGUCUCGGACUGGACUAGCUGCCGGGACUAAGCUGGACUGGCUUAGACUGGACUAAGCUAGACUAACUUAGUGAAGCGUUUGGUGUAAUGUCGGACUAAGAAGCAGGAUAAGAAAAACAGUACUGUUCACCAGAUUUGUGUUUGCUUAGACUAGGAUUACAAAUUUUUGCCAUUGUGUAAUAGAGUAAUGCUACAAAUCUCAUGAUAUGGGUUAAUUGGAGCAUAUUUUUGCCAUGUAUAUUAUGAAUCUUAAAAAAAAUUGACAAUUGUUUUGUUUCUAUUACCUGCUAAUAGAAUUGGGUUUAAUUUGCAAAUGUAGCUUAGUUUAAACUCUAUCACCCAACAGAAGAAAAAUAAUAGUGCCCAAUACAUGCAACUUCAACAAAUACAAGUACAUAAGAAGAUCUCCAUAAUUUAGAAAAUCCUAGUUAACAUUAGUUAACAUUAGCCAAAAUAGAUCUCCAUAAUUUACAAAAUGGCUAGUUAACAUAAGCCAAAAUACUAGUGCAAAGCUAAGUUAUAAGCCAUAACAUAAGAUUGUAUGAUUAAUAAAAUACAUCCAUGUUAACAUUAAUAAAAUACAUCCAUGUUAACAUUAGCCAAAAUCCUCAUCCGCUUGCGUUGUCGCUUAAAAGCCUUUGGACGAACACUUUCUUGAGUUCCGGUUUGAUUGCCCUGAACACUCCCACAUUUUUUGGUUUAUCCAAAAUAAGAGACAAUGCAUCAAUUUGAUCCAUAGGAGAGAGACCCAUUACUUCAAGUUCAUUAGCUAUGUCAGUAUGAUCUGCAAUACCUUGAACUAAAGCUUCAGUUACCAUUUGCAUCCUCUUCCCACUUUCAACAUAAAAAUCUUUCAGUCCACUGAUAAUUGCCUCGGUUCCAUCACUUGAAUUUCCCACAGCUCUUUUCCUCUUUCUUUGGCUAUUUUCAGAUGGGGUGCUUUGUUGGCUUUGUUGGUUCAUUGAAGAAACAAAAUUUUCACCUCCAAUAUCACUUUCACCAACAUGAUCAUGACUUUGUUCCUCCACCAUUUGAGCAGGGGUUUCGGCUACAUUACCCGUAGCCCGAUCUUUUCCAAAUAUAUAUGCAAAUCUAUCAAACAGUGGAAAAGGUUUGCUUCUCCAUCCAUCGGCUUCUUUAUUUCUCUAAGAUUAUAUCAACAUAGCAAAACUAAAAUUUAGCAUGCGUAACAAAUAUAGCAGCAAGAAUAUAACUAAUGUAUAAAUAAAAUAGGAUAUGAACCUGCACAUAAGUUUGCCAUGAGUCAUCACUGUCAACUUCAACGCACUUUUUGACAUCAUUUCAUGCAAAUCCACUUGUGUUUAUCAUGUCAACGACCAUACUAUAUGUUUUUUUCCAUUUCUUCAACUUGGACUCAAUAUGUGGAUUUGCCUUUAUAUUUGAAUGAGGACAUAAAACAUUGACAACUUUUGCUAUUUCAACCAAAGUACCUUGUUUGAAAGCACCGGUGUCACACCGUUGCUUCCGAGCAACAAAAUCCUCAAGAACUCCUAGUAAUACUUCUUCCUCAAAUGCUUCCCAUUUACGCCUUCUUCCUUUUGGCUCUUGAGUAGCAUUCAAAAUAUUUUCGUUAUCCAUACCUAAACAAAAAAUAUUUUAAUGAAGGAAAAUACCAUACAAAUAAUCAAUUUGCAUAAUAUCCAAUCAACUUGCAUAAUAUCCAAUUAAUUUGCAUACCAUCCAAUCUUUGUGCUAAUAUCUAACAAAUGCAUGAUAAAAAGGAAUACUAAAAUAAAAUGUUAUCAUUAACACAUAUAGCUAGUUCGGUUGCUGGUUCCUAAUUGCUCUCCAUUCAUUAUACAUUUCCUGAGCCAUGUCAUUCCUCUUUGCAGUCCACUGGUCAGAUGUUUGAACACUACCAACAUAUUCACCUUCUUCUGUAUUUUGUCCAUCUUCUAUUAUUGGAAAAUUCUCCAUUGGAUCUACAGACAUCUCUUGCCUAAUAAGAUUGUGUAGUAGGCAACAAGCGGUAAUUAUUCGACCUUGUGUCCUUAUCGGAUAGAAAGAUGGACUCCUUAGUAUCGACCACCUUCCUUUUAGCAAGCCAAAACAGCGUUCAAUUACAUUCCUUGCCUUAGAAUGCUUCAUGUUAAAAUAUUCUUCCUUAUUAGAAGGUGUUCGUCCCUCCCAUUCAGAUAAAUGAUAAGGUAUUCCUCUAUAGGGUGCAAGGAAUCCUUCACCAUUUGUAUAACCACCAUCUACAAGGUAAUAAUAACCUAAUGAAAAAAAAAACAGACCUUAUUAGUGUUUUGUAGUUGACAAACAGAACUAGACCUAACUUACAAAGUUGAGACUAAGUAAUAGUCUUACCCGCUGGUACCUUAAAACCAUUAGGCCUAGUAAUUGCAUCAUGUAGCACUCUAGAGUCUGAUGCAGAACCCUCCCACCCCGUAAACACAUAUAUGAACUGCAUAUCUCCUGAACACACACCUAACACAUUAGUUGCGACUCGACCCUUUCUUGUUCGGUAUCUUGGUUUGUCAAUUUCAGGUACAUGCACAUCAAUGUGUGUUCCAUCCAAUGCUCCCAAGCAAUUCUUAAAAAAAAAAAAAAAAGUUUUUGUUAAUUUAUACAAAGGGAAUGAAGAGUUAAAGCUUAGGGAAAAUGAAAAAAAAUUCUCAUCAUACCUUAAAACAUCGCCACCUAGGAUCUGUAGAAUCAAUAGGCACAGGCUGAGGGACUUUUAGUAGGAUACCUUGUAAUCGCAAAAUUCCUUGCAAUACGAUAUUGAAAUACCUACUUAUAGUCUCUCCCGACCUAUAAAAUCUACCGCCAACACUACGAUUCUUAGUAUGAUGUGCUAAUAUUUGUAAAGUCAUACACACAUGCUCCUCUACAGACACCAAACCAUCAGUUUUUACCCUCCCAUCUUGACGAAGUAAGUCACAUAAUAUGCCAAAAGUCCUUCUAUCCAUUCUCAAUUCGUUGACACAUUCAGUAUCAGUAUUCCCUAUUAUACCAUUCAGAUAACACAAACUAAUCUCUCGUCUAAUAAGUGAACGGUUAGUCAAUGUGGGUCGUUCAACAUGUCUCUGUUUGCCACGUAGCAUCAUCAACACAAGAAUCGUACAAAUGCAAAUUGUCUCCAAAUAAGACAUCUCUAACAAUAAGAUCAAUAAAAGCUUCCUUCGAUCCAUAUCUAUCCAAACAAAAAAAAACAAAAAACAAAUUAAGGACAUUAUAUAUGUAAUAUUUACUGUUAUUAAGGGUUAUGGAAAUGAAGUGAUUAUGAUACGAAAUGAACUAGAUCAAAGUAACUAGCGAAGUCACAAUCCGAGGCAUCAAAUAUACGGGUGGUGUUGGAAAAAAAAAAGUUAUCAUUAACCCGAGGCAACAAAUAUACAGGUCAGAUGCACACACUGCAUACACACUCACACACAUACUCACACGGACAUACACACUAUCACACACGGACAUACACUCACACACACCCUACAUACAUACAUACAUACACACACACACUGCAUACAUACACACACACACACACUGCAUAUAUACACACACACACACACUGCAUACAUACACACACACACACACACUGCAUACAUACACACACACACACACACACACACACUGCAUACAUACACACACACACACGACAUACAUACACACACACACACACACACUGGUCAGAUGCACUGCACUCACACGGACAUACACACUCUCACACACUGACAUACAUACACACACACCCUGCAUACAUACACACACACACACUACAUACACACACACACACACACACACACACACUGCAUACAUACAUACACACGCACACACACUGCAUACACACACACACACACAUUGCUUUAUGAAAACCCCAAAUUCCAAAUUUGAAACCCCAAAUUCCAAAUUUCUAAUCUCAAUUUCAAACCCCAAAUUCCAAAUUUCUACUACAUACUUACAUACACACACACUGCUUUAUGAAAACCCCAAAUUCCAAAUUUCAAACCCCAAAUUCCAAAUUUCUAAUCUCAAUUUCAAACCCCAAAUUCCAAGCUUUAUGAAAACCCCAAUUUCUAAUCUCAAUUUCACCCAAAUAUCAAAACCCUAAAAUUUGUUCAACUGCAGAAUCAAAUAAAGCUCAAACCCAAAACAAAUCCGCCCAAAUCGACGAAAAAAAUCCACCCAAAUCGACGAAAAAAAUCGAACAAUCGAAGCUUACCAGACAACUGGAGGCAGAUGAGGGCGAGCAGAUCUGUUACGUGAAGACGAGGGAGUGGACGACGAGAGGAACAGAUGAGGAGCAUGAUGCAGAUGAGGGCGACCAGGAUGCAGCUGACGGCAAGCAGGAUGCAAAGAUAAGGAUGAGGAGGACGACGUGAGGGAGGAGGACGUCGACGACACUCUCUCCUAGGAUGAUCGAGGUUCUUUCUCGCAAGAGCGCAAUCGGAUGAGGAGGACGACGUGAGGGAGGAGGUUUUAUGAAUCUGGACGUUUUUGGGGUGGUUCGCUAAGAACUCCUAGCGAGGGUUUAAUCCGUGCGAGUCAGAUCUAAUCCCAUUAAACCUAAUCCUUGCCCCUACCAAACAUCAGACUACAAUACCAAUUAGUGGAGUCCAGAACAGUCCCCCCUAAGAAGGUCAAACAAACACGCCCUUAAGGCUCUAAUCUAAUGUUCAUGCUCAACAUCUCCUCUAUCUUUCUACGAUUGGUAAAACUUUUGUAUUAUUAUUCCAAUUUUGGUUACUGGGUUGUGGAAUUUUCCAUUUUUUUUCUCGGUAAUCAAUACUAUAUAUAUGCAUGACAAGUAUAAACAAUAUUUUGGGGCAAAUUUAGUUGUUUAAUUUUUAAUUUUUAUGUGACAGUGAGAUUAUGGUAGGAUUUCGUUUAGAUUCUGCGGCCCAAUGGGAGUCUCUGCUUUGAUAAGAUUGGGGUUGAUGCCAAGAAAGCCAAUAAGCCUACUGUGGACGCCGUAGCCGCCUGGCGCUGUUUUCCAAAAUCCUCUCUCACUUGGUUAAGCAAUUAAGACUUUUUGGUUCAGUUUUUAUUAUGCCCAAUUUUGUAUUUAAACCUUAAAAAAAUUUAAACUGAUUUGGGGAUACUGAAAUAGGCUGCAGAGCUGCCAUCCCUGAAUCAGAAGAUGUUCAGAAGGAAGAAGAAGAAGAAGAAGAAGAAAGUCGUGGAAUAUCAAAAGCUUUUAGCUUUGUGAAAGUAUGCUUUUUCCCAACUCACCUCUUGCUUUUGUUGCACUGAAUUGGUAGAUUGGGUUCAAAAAUAUAUAUAUGUGAUUUUUCGUGUAACUAUUUCUUUACAUAAUUACCAAUUGGAGGUGAUUUUAGAUCAUGUAACAUUUCCUCGCUAGAACCAAAGAUUGUCGUCGCUCAGAGCUGCGUUUCAUGAAACAAGUUCAUCUCCUGCCAAAUUUGUGUACCCACCUUUUAUUCAUGAGGGUUGGUGCUUGCUUGCAACACAAUUUGGUGUUAUUAAGUUUUGCGGUUUUACAAUUUGUUCAUGCUUAAACCUCUUUCAAAUUUUCAUUUCUGUGUAAAUCUUGCAGGUAGGACGACACACCUAUCUUGGCAAUGUCGGGAUGUCUAGGCUUGGUGGAGACGUGGUCUUAUGGAAGAGGUGAAGUAGCUUAGCUCGAUCUCAUUAGCUCUUAUCUGUUCUAUUAUGUUAAGAUCAAUAGUAAAAAGUUCUAUUGAUUUUAUAAUCAAAGAUACAUAUAUUAUAGAAAUAGAGGGUAUAUCAUUAAUUUCUUGAUGUAAACAAUCAUAACUUGAGGAACCAUUUAAAGUAUUUUGGUAAUCAACAUACUUAAACUUAAAUGUGAUAUAUCCAUUUAGUAUUUUUUUUAUACAAUGAUAAUACUUAAGUAUAAUUUACAUCAUAUAUCUUUUGAAGUACAUGAAACUAUGAAGAAAAUGAUAAACCAAAUCCCAUUCCAUCUCUGUUUGCUACUGCACAAUCACAAUCCAAUUCCAACAUGGAAUCCUCAGACGACAUGCCUACUGCAGAACAAGUUUCAUACUGACUUAACUUAUAUUUAGUCCACGUCCUGUUUAGAUUGUAAUCCUAGUUCUACGUGUGUUUGUAUAGUACUCCUAUAAAUAUCAAUGAACAUCGCUCACUCUAAUUAAGAGUUGAGAUUUUGCAAAUCAUAUUUACUAUCUUUCAUGGUAUCACGAGCCAGCGUCUAACGACAACGGUUCCUAUUAUAAUUUUUUUCUCUUUUGCAGAUCCUAAACUAUGGCAUCUUCUUCCUCCUCCGCUGCUCCCUCCAUCACAAAUUUUCUUACGAUCAAGCUCGACCGCAACAACUACCCUCUCUGGCAUGCUCAGUUUCUUCCCUUGCUGCGCAGCCGCAACUUACUCUCUUAUGUUACUGGCGAAACUCAAUGCCCCUCUGCCUUUCUUCUUGAUGACAAUGGUAAAUUCACCGACAAAGUCAUUCCAUUAUAUAAUGAAUGGAUCCAGACUGACCAGAUGAUCCUAUCUUGGAUUACGAGUUCUCUUACUCCCAAGGUUCUUGCUACGAUCGUCAACAAAAUUGAUUCGGCCUCUGCUUGGUCGUCAAACCCGAAUUAAUCUAAUUGUGGGGGUUUUGUUUUAUAUCAAUAUAUUGCAACAGAAGUCACACUUUGAAGAGUUCAUGCUGCACAGAAAGAUGAUGAAAUGUUACCCGUUGAGUCUAUCAUUGCUCCAUUGGAGACAGAGCUGAAGCUUACUGCAGGAGUUAUACAGUUGUUAUGCAAUAUGACCCCUUUAAUUUUAUUUUAAAACUGAUACAAAAUACUACAAAAAUUUAUGUAGUAUUUUUGUAUUAGUUUUGAGUGUCUAUUUUGGCUUCCAUAUAUCGUCUGUACAUGUGAGAGGUAUAGUGUUCAAUAUGUAUUUGGUUUCUAUAUUGUUAAUGGAUCCUUUUUUUUUUAAUUUAAUUUAAUUUUAUUAAGGUAACCAAGUUGCAGGAUGACAUCAGAACACUUGAUCUGCAGGUAAACCUUCAAUUUCCAUAUGAAGUUUGCAUGUUCGUUGUUUCUGGAAUUUGAGUUUUUAUUAUUUCUCAAUUCUAUCACAUAGAUUAUGAUUUCACAUAUGGGAUUAUUAAUGGCAAUUAUAUGAUAGAAGAAUUGGGAUUAGAAGAAGAUAUUGAGUUGUUUUAUUUAUGGGGAUUAGAAAAUGAUUAUCAUACGAGUGAUAUUUAUUUUUGUGUGGAUUGUUAAUAUAUAAAACUAUAAGCUUUUGAGAUUGGGAGAUAAAACCCACAAAUUCAAAUCAGACAAAAUAAAUAAAAAAUUUAACUGACUUAAAGAUCAAACUCCAAAAGGGUAUUAAAAACAAGGCUUAUUUGAUCCAUUGAGUGUGAAAGUUUUGAGCUUUGAAGAAGCAUAGGAGGAGAGUUGUUAACCAAGCUGCAUUAUCCAUGUAUUAGGAUGUUGAGGGUAGGCAGGAAAAAUACUUUUUGACGCCAUAUCCAGAGGAGCAUAACGACAGGCCUGCAUUUUUGCAGCAAGGACCAAAACAAGUAGAAGUGAAGGCUUGACUAUUUGGGUAUUAAUCCUAAACCUAAUUAUUCUUAUUUAGGUUUAGGAUAAAUGAUUGAGUGUGUCUCGAUGAUUGUAUUACCAUGUUUGAUGAAUGACUUGAGGAGUUGGAAAUGCUUUAUUGCUUAUGUUUUUCUUAGGUGUGUACUUUGGUUAUUUCCGAGCUUUUCACGACUCUUGAUACCUAAUAGAGAAUAUGGAAACCCCAACUUUAAUUUUAUGAAUUGGUUUUGGUGCCUAAAAUGAAAUCUAGCAUAGUGAAAUCUUGCAUAAUGAAAUUAUGACAAAUUUCCCUUCAUCUUUAGAUUUUCAUUUAGUUCAAUUUGUAUGCAAUUUAGGGUUAUUCAAUUCAUGAGUGAUCAAAUUAUGUUUUUAAUUCCUUCUUCUUUUGAUUUACAGUUCAGCAUUGUCGUACAAAAUGAAAAAGGUGCCAGUAACAGAGUUAUGGAUUUGGAUGCCUUUAGUGGAAUAAAACUGAAUUUUUUAACUUUGUAUAGUUGUAAACAUAAAAUACUCCAUCAGAUAGACUCAUAGCAUUUGAAAACAAUCCUUGAGGAUGGCAUAACAACAUCUCCAACUUUUGUCAUGUAAUGUAUGAAUGUAAAUAGCACUUUGUAAACAUAUGGAUGUAAUAUAUGUAUAUAAACAGUCUUUAGCAUGUAUAUUUUUCAAAACUUUCUACAUCUUCAACAAUGUUUCAAUGAUUUCUUGAUGUAAACAAUGAUAAUUUGAAGAACCAUUUAAAGUAUUUCGGUAAUCAGCAUACUUAAGCUUAAAUGUGAUAUAUCCGUUUAGUAUUUUUUAUACAGUGAUAAUACUCAAGUAUAAUUUACAUCAUAUAUCUUGUGAAGUACAUGAAACUAUGAAGAAAAAACCCUAAUUAAUCUGAUUAUGGGGGUUUUGUUUUAUAUCAAAAUAUUGCAGCAGAAGUCACACUUUGAAGAGUUCACGCUGCACAGAAAGACGAUGAAAUGCUAUCUGUUGAGUCCAUCAUUGCUCCAUUGGAGACAAAGCUGAAGCACACUCCAGGUGGUAUACUUUUGUUCUGCAAUAUGACCACUUUAAUUUUAUUUUAAGACAGAUAGGGUUGAAAAGAAUUUAUGUAGUAUUUUUGUAUCAGUUUUGAGUGUCUAUUUGGACUUCCAUAUUUGGUCCGUACAUGUGAGGUAUAGAGUGUUCAAUAUGUAUUUGGUUUCUAUAUUGUUAAUGGAUCUUUUUUUUUGUUUUAUAGGUAACCAAGUUGCAAGAUGAAAACAGAACACUUGAUCAGCAGGUAAACCUUCAAUUUCCGUAUGAAGUUUGCAUUUUUGUUGUUUCUGGAAUUUGAGUUUUUUGCAGGAUGAAAACAGAACACUUAAUCUGCAGGUAAACACUUGAUUGGUUAUUUCCAAGCUUUUCACGACUUUCGAUACCCAAUAGAGAAUAUGGAAACCCCAACUUUAAUUUUAUGAAUUUGUUUUGGUGCCUAAAAUGAAAUCUAGCAUAGUGAAAUCUUGCAUAAUGAAAUUAUGACAAAUUUCCCUUCAUCUUUACAUUUUCAUUUAGUUCAAAUCGUAUGGUUUAGGGUUAUUCAAUUCAUGAGUGAUCAAAUUAGGUUUUUAAUUCCUUCUUCUUUUGAUUUUCAGUUCAGCAUUGUCGUAUUUUGGAUGCCUUUAGUGGAAUAAAACUGAUUUUUUUUUAACUUUGUAUAGUUGUAAACAUAAAAUACUCCAUGAGAUAGACUCAUAACUUUUGAAAACAAUCUUUGAGGAUGGCAUAACAACAUCUCCAACUUUUGUCAUGUAAUGUAUGAAUGUAAAUAGCACUUUGUAAACAUAUGUAUGUAAUAUAUGUAUAUAAACACCACUCUUUAGCAUAUAUAUUUUUCAAAACUUUCUACAUCUUCAACAAUGUUUCAAGCCCCGCAGCAACGGGCGGGUACACUUGAUAGUAUACAUCUAAAAUUAUAAGACUAAAUCCUUUAGUUCUUGGAUUCAUCUAAGAACUACUUAUUCCAGCAGAUGCUAUGCUUGCACUACUAGAAUUUAUGGCUUGCCCUGUCAACUAUUGCGCGACAGAAGAUUUCGUCGGUUUCACUUUUUUUAACCGACAUAAUAUAAGUUUAGUAGGGCAAAAUCAGUCAACAAACUGGGUUGACUGAAUAAAUUUACAGGAUGGCUAGAGUUCGUAGGUUAAGACAUCAGUCGUUGGGCAAACAUUUGGAGCGAAGAUGUGAGUGUUUUAACUGACGAAUAAGCUGGUCGUCAUGUAGAUCUUCUUUCCCGACUGACGGUUCAACAUGUAGCUCUUUGGAUAAUAAUUCAUCUUCAAGGGGAACAGGUUGCCCCUCAGAUGAAUGGUUAGAGGCAAUUGUGAGACUAUAAUUUUCUAGGGCCGAAAUAAAAAAUACAUAAACCCUCACUCAUUCUGUCUCUGUAACCAUCCACCAAAUACCCUUUCUUCCCUUUCUAUUUCUCUCCUAGUAAUAUCCCCUGACCGAAUCACACAAUCCAACCAACUCUCUUUAAGCCUCCCUCACUGAUUCCAUGGAUUUCAUGGACUUAUCCCACCCUCUCUCCUUCCCUCUAUAUAUAGCAAGUCCCCUUGCCUCAGUGUCCCUGGCAACAGAAUUUAUGGCAUUUCUUCGUUCUUUCAAUUAUUUGAAAGCUUCCUAGCCCUGCAAUCUUGUACAAAGGCGUAUGGUGUUUCAUCAGUUCCAUUUGGUGGUUGGGUGGGAAAUGAAAUUAAAACACUGCAUUUCAAAUGCAUUUCAAAUGGUCUAAACCAAAUUGAAUCAAAUGUGAAGCAAAGGGCAAGAGGUGUAGAUUGAAGAACAAUGGCACCAAGAGCGAAAUUGAACUUGUUGACAGGAGGAAACCAAGUAAGGAUAACACGUCUAAAUCUUAUUUUGAAUCCAUUCAGCUCAUGAUGUUUUGAAUGAUGAUGAUCGGUAUACUCUGCUACAUGCUGUGAUUUUUCCGCUUUCAUGUAAUUAACGGCUUAUAUGUGGUAACGAUAUUGAUUAAAAAAGGUCGUACCCAGUGCAUAAGGCUCCCGCUUUACGCAGGGUCUGGGAGAGGUGAAUGUCGGCUAGCCUUACCCCCAUUUUAUGGAGAGGAUGCUCCAAAGUCUCAAACCCGAGACCUACCGCUCAUGGGCGAAGGCAUUUGCCAUCGCACCAAAUGCGAUAUUAAUUAAUUUCGAGAAAUGACAGUCUGAUUUUUGCAACUGUCUUUUGCAGGCAAAACAAAGACGUUUGCAAGGGUGAGUUGUGUAGGAGCUUUGUUUCAUGUCCAAAUGACACUUGAGAAUAAAUGUUUACACUCAUGGAUAAUAUCUAUCUAUUUGCAGGAGCAACCCUGGGUUCAUUUGUUCUGUAACUGCUGGUCAUUGCGGCAUAUCACGCCUAUAGCACUGACAAAAGUAAAAAGAGAAUCGAAUGAAAUUUGAUAAGUUUUCAGCGGACUACAAAGAUCUUAAGCCAAGCAUAUAUUCCCAUGCAGAUAUUAAGAGGUUUACAAAUCAAUUCAAGUACAAGUUGGGCCAAGGAGCAUACGGAACUGUUUUUAAACGAAAGUUUUUUUCUGAAUGCUUUGUUGCCAUGAAAGUACUUAACAUUUCCAAGGGUGACGGGGAAGAGCUUGUAAAUGAAGUGGGAACAAUGGGCCAUAUUCACCAUGUCAAUGUGGUUCACUUGGUUGGUUUUUGUGCUGAUGGAUUUAGAUGAGCUCUGGUUUAUGAGUUCUUUCCCUUUGGUUCACUCCAGGAUUAUAUUUCAUCAGCAGAUAGAUUUCUUUCCUUGGUUGGCAUAAGUUGCAAGAUCUUGCUAUCAGCAUAGCCAAAGGAACUAGGAAUGUGAUCUACAAAUCCUCCAUUUCGAUAUCAAACCCCAUAAUGUUUUGCUCGACCAAAAAAUCACGCCAAAAAUCUCUGAUUUUGGUCUGGCCAAGUUAUGCCAAACAAUUACAGACAACAGUUAUUCACUAAAUCACUUUAAGGCAAGAAUUUAAUUAAUAAUACAUUACUGCACUUUCUUAACCAUUUGACUAUCACCUAGCUGACAAUGAACACGUUAGCUCCGCGUUAGAACAUCUUGGGUUCAAUUCAUUGUCUUGAAUAUCACCCAUUGUCACAGGCGUCUGUUGGGGGCAUAGAGAAGGCCUGAGAGGCAUUUGCAGACAUUCAACAUCUCCUCCAAGCAUUUUGACAACUUUGGACAUCGAAGGGCGAUCAUUUGGUUUCAUUUGAAUACACCACAAGGCGGUUAUAACCAUCUUUCUUAUUACUUUCUUUUCCUCCUCUGUAACAUUGUCCAUUUCCAGGUCAUUUCCCACAAUAUAUUGAUCGUAUACCCACAUUGGGAAGUAGAUUUGGCUUGAAUGCUCUACCGUUGGAUUCAAAUUCUUCCUUCUGCUUGCCAUUUCCAUCAACAACAUUCCAAAACUAUAGACAUCUGACUUGUAUGAGACGCAUCCAAUAUUUUUGUAGAACAACUCAGGAGCAAUAUAUCCCAGUGUACCCCGUGCUGCCGUCAAAGAGACAAUGCUAUUAUCUACAGGAUACAAUUUUGCAAGCCCAAAGUCAGAAACCUUUGCUUUAAAGUUCUCAUCAAGAAGGAUGUUAUGAGGCUUGAUGUCGAAAUGUAGAAUUUGCAUUUCACAACCUUGGUGUAGAUAUUCGAUCCCUUGAGCCACUCCAAGAGAAAUCUCGUACAUGUUCUUGAUAGUUAAGGGGACACUUCCUUCUUUGGAAUAAAUGUAUUUAUCAAGAGAACCAUUAGGCAUGAAGUCAUAUACUAGAGCGCGUUUUGAUCCCUCAACACAGUAUCCAACAAGUUGUACCACAUUGGCAUGGUGAAUCCUUCCGAUUGUAGCUAUUUCGCUAAUGAAAUCUUGGCCAUCAGCUUUGGGCUUGCCCAAAACUUUAACUGCUACAAAUCGACCACUGCGUAGCUUUCCCUUAAAUACAGAGCCAAAGCCACCUUCGCCCAACUUGUCCUUAAACCUGCGAGUCAUUUUCUUGACGUCCGAGUAAGAGUACCUUAUAAGCAUGAUGUUGUUAUUGCAUUGCAGAAAAUCUUCUAUUGUGCUAUACAUUGAUAAAUGUCUUCUGCGCCAUGUGUAGAUUAGAAAUGCAGUCACAACUGGAACUCCAAAAACAAAUCUGGCUAGGAAAAAUAACCCUGCAUGCAUGGACAAUAAUAUGUUAGAUCCACUGUGUACUACUUUUUCUUCCCUUUCUUUCCAAAUUACUUUAUCUUUGAUGUAAUUAAAGAGAGAGAAUGGGAAAUCUACAUAUGUUGAUAAUAUAAUCUCGUCUUAGUCCUUACCGAUCCAUAUGAGUAUAAACCAUCCAAGUGCUGCAAAAAAAUCAAUCGACUAUGAGUUUGAAAAGUGCAUAAAGUGAAAAAAAAAAAAAAAAAAAAAAAAAUCAAAGGGUGCCUUUAUUGACACCCAAAUUUUAGUUAGUUUUACUCAACUAAAAAAUUUUUGUCAUCAAACUUUUUAAUUUGCCGUCGAAAUUGAGUUCACCCAACCACAAAGCAGCAACUACCACUCACAAAAAAACCAACAACACACAGCCACCAGUACCAUUCACCAAUAGAAAGAGAAGGAACACACAGACCCACCAAGGAGCCGGCAUCGACGCAUCUACGAGGGAGGGACCGGAGGGUGGUGUAGUUUUGUUGGGCGCGCGGUGGUUGUUUUGUUUGUUCAUUUUCUCUUUCUUUUGGUAGGUGGAGGCUGGUGUGGAUUUGGGCGAACUUAAAAAUGAGGGGAAACUAUGAAGUUUGACAAAAUGUUUUAGUUAGGGGAACUUAACUAAAAUUUGGGUGCCGAUAAAGAUACCCAAUUUCAAAAAUACUUGAGCUUAUAGACUAAUUAAAUGAAGUUGAUCUUACAGAUCUCGUGGCUGUAUGAUGAAUGCCACUUGCCAGCUGCAAUAGAUACCACGGAAAAGUGAAUAAAGACAUACAGUUACUAGGUUUAAGAAGUACAGAUAGAGCACACAAAAAAUAAAAGAAGCUUUUGGGAAGAAACUUCUUACGCCAAUAGUUGUGUUCUUGACCUACAGUAAAAAAUGUGAAGAAGAAUACACAACAUUAGCAAUAGCUCACCCAGUCUUCGGAAUUUAAAAAAUCAAGUUUGUCUCGAUCGAAAACUUGUAAAUAAAACAAAAAGAGGACCCCUUACGGAUUUGGUGCCAUAGAUAUUGAAAGAAACCUACAAAAACAAAGAAAGAACAAGACCACAUGCAUUAGCAUAACAAGUGUGAGGUGUAUAAGCCGUUAGAAAAUAAAUUUAAAAUUCUAGUGCUGUCAAUACAUUGAUAAUAUAUAUAUAUAUAUAUAUAUAUAUAUAUAUAUAUAUAUGUAUUAUUUUUCUGAAAAUUUAACUUUCUCCCUCCAAACUCAUUUUUCUAGUCUCUAGCCCAUCAUAUAAUAUUUAUCAGAAUAAAACCAAAUGAUUAGGAUCCAACUAAGAAACUUACCAAAUUAAGUUUGUGUGUCCAUUUUUAUAUUUUUUGGAUCCCUAAUAUACCCCAUCUAAGCCAGUAUGGAAAGUUCUUGUAAUUUUGCUUUAAGUGAUCACGUGCAUUGAAUUUGGCAAGGUCUUGUAGCCAUGAAAUAUGGUUCCAGAUGGAGGAAUGAAUUUGGAUUUUUUUUUAAUUUCGGCAACAAAUUUCAAUUUGAAUAUACCUAAUUUAGUGUUUAUUUUCAACAAUAUCUAUUGUUUAAUUUUAUGAAAAUAAUUAACCUAAUAUGAAAAUUAAUUUUAUGAAAACAAUAUCUAUUGUUUAAUUUUAUACCUACAGGAUAAUUACAUGAAAAUAGUUUACCUACUAUGAAAAUUAAUUUUUUGAAAGCAAUAUCUAUUGUUUAAUUUUAUGAAGAUAAUUUACCUACUAUAAUUACAUGAAAAAAUUUACCUACUAUGAAAAUUAAUUUUUUGAAAACAAUAUUAUUGUUUAAUUUUAUGAAAAUAAUUUACCUACUGUAUAAUUACAUAAAAAUUAGGGAAAAUUAGAAUCCCCUACAGUUUUUAUAUAUCAUUUAGAUUAAACAUUUGUACUUUUUUAAAAUUUGAUUAAAGUGCUUUGACCAAUAGUUACCUCUAUUUUUUUAAAUUAAAAUAAUUUUUGAAUUUAUCCUUUUAUCUGCACAAUGCACUUUUCCUUAUUUAGUGGAGAUAUUAGUAAUGAAACUAUAUUUUCCCUUCUUCCAAAUAUGUUUUUUCGAUCACAGUUUUUUUUUUUUUGGGUAUGCAAACAUUUGAUAUUAUUUUUUUUCCAAAUGGUUUUUUCUUUUUCAAAUAGUUGGUGAUCAACAUAUAAGCUCUGUGUAUUUUUUUCAAUGUUUUUGUGAAAUUAUAUUUUUUUUGCUGUUUUUUAAGUAUAGUUGUUGACGAAUUAUUAUUAGGUACAAUACAUUACGUAUAUAUUAUCUGCGGGUACGUUUGAAUUUACUAAAAUCAUUAAUUGGUACGUUUGAUUUGAUACAUAUUGUUAAUAUUGGUACAUUAUUUUUAUUUUGGUACGUUUUAUUUUGAACACAUUUUGUAUUGGUACGUUUAUAGUAUUCUCAAUCCUAUUUUCUCUUAACGUACUAAAAGAAAAACUCAUUUUGGUACGUUUGAUUUUGGGGGAUUUAAAAAUAUUUUAAACUAUUUUGGAAAAAAAAAAAUCUUAAAUCGUAGAUAAUUAUUGCUAAAUUGUAGCAUUAUUGUGAAAAUAAAUUGAAUCUAACCAACUUUUUUUUUUACAAUUAUCUCUAAUGGAGGAGAGUGUAAUCAAAAGGCUAGAUUAUAGGAAAUUUGUUACAAUAUAAUGGGCAUAUAGCACCAAAAUUAUGAUAAAAAAAAGUUUAAUCAAAUCAUUAAAAGGCAUGGAUGUUUGAUCUAGAAAAUUCAAAACUGAGGCGUCUAUAUCAAAAGAUCCCUAAAAAUUAAUGUGCCUACUUUUUAAAUUUGUAACAAAAUUAAUUUACCUACUUUUUAUGGUAUUAGUAUACAUAAAUGUAGAAUAUAUGUCCGUAUAUAUUUGAUCUAAUUAGGUUUUGGAUUGGAGGAGUUGACACAAAAUUAUAAAUAUAUUAAACAAAUUUAUCUAUUCUAAAGUUGGAGGGGAAUUGGUCUGUACAUUGCUACAGUAAACAAAUGCUACUCAAUUUCACGUUAUUUACAACAAAGCUAUCAGAUUUGGGUUGGGUUGGAGGGUAAUUUGUUAAAAGUUAGGAGGGUAAUUUUGUGCAUAGGGUUUAGGUGCCCUCCUAUACAUGACCCUUGAGUUUACUUUAUUUACACCACUGCCAUCAAAUAUGUGGCUGAAUUGGAGGGUAUUAUUAAAAGUUAAGAGGGUAGUUUUGUUCAAGGGGUGGGGGCGACAUUCGCAGACGGAGGCCGAUGGGAGCCAUGCCCAUUGCACAGAGAGAAAGGGAGUGAUGGGGGAAAUUACAGACAGAAAAGGAAGGGAUGGGAGGAUUUGAUGGAUGGUCACAGAGAGAGAUUCGGUGAGGGAUGUGAGGGGAGAUUACAGAGAGAUAAAUAAAAGGGAGGGAUCGGGGGAUUUGAGGGAUGGUCAGAGAGAGAAAUAGUGAGGGAGGGAGGGAUGGGGGGGCUGAUUUUCGGUUCCUCCUUCAGAUUUGUUCCGUAAAACCUGUUGGGUACAAUUCAAUUUCCUCCCCCUUUCCCCUGAACGAAAAAUUCGAAACCUACAAUUCAAUUUCCUCCCUCCUUGGCUUUCCGCUUUACUCAUCUCCCGGUGGUUCUUUCUCUCCAUACGAUUCGAUUUCGGUGAGUUCUUCGUUGCCCUCAUGAUUUCCCAGUUUGAUUUUUUGAGCGUCCUUAGUCGUUGUUUUUAUCUGGGUUUACUGCAUUGUUGCUUUUAGUUUCUGGAUUUUUAUUUGUUCCGCGGUUCGAUGAAUCGGUUAAUAAUUUCACACCAUGGGAUUUUCGCAUGGAAUUGAGCGCGGGGAUUCGGGGUGGGGUUUUACUGAUAAUUUGUCUUCAUUCAAAUGAAUGGUUAAAAUUUCUGAAGUGAGUGUGCAGGUGGGCCCGUUCACUAACUAAGCUUUCAAGGGAACCCAUCAGCGGUUUGCUUGCUGGGGGAAUUCGGAGACUACCAGUGUAUGAUUUAGUUAUCAUUUAUUUUUUUACUUAAAUUUAUCCAUAUAUAAUAUGUGGGUAAAUUUACACUAAACAAUUGUGAUAAGCCAAUAUGCCAUACGACUUUGAAAGCAUUGAUUUUGUGUUUAGUUUGCAUUUUUGCAUUGUGAAUGUUGAAUUUUGUGUUUGAAUUUGUAGCAUGAUCUUCCGCUGCAGCAUCCAAAUUUUGCAUUUGUAAAUUGUCAAAGAAAAACGAAGUAUGAGGAAAUUAUAGGAGAUUGUGUCGGCUUUGGCCAUGAAGGGUAUCAGCAGCUUGUUCCCCCAUACAGGUGAUUAAUCGUUUUUCAGUCUGUGUUCUAUUUGGAUGAGAAAGUGAUUGAAAAUAUGAUUUUUUUAUUUGUUGGUUGAUUUUGUAUGGACGAUGUAUUAAUUUUAUUUUUUUUGGGAUUUUGUGUAUUGGGCAUUGUGUAGAACCAGCAAUGCAAGAGCAGGAUCUGAUCAGUCAUGCCUGAAAAGGGGUUUGUUUCUCAAAUCACAUUAAUUAAUUAGAUUAUUAACGUGCGUUGGAAGGCUCUUCAAUAUGAUUUCUAAUUUCUCCUUUCCAGCAUUCUCUUUUUGGUUUUUGGAGUAUGUAUGUGAUUUGUAUUUUUUUAUAGAAUAAAAAUUAAUAAAACACGAGAUGCAGCAAUUAAUUUGCAUCCUUAUGACAACACAUAUGAAAGUGCAUUCAAUUUCAAUGUGCGAAUGUGUGACAGGAUGUGCCUGCCCGCUGCUGCUGGUAUGCUUGCUGUUGUUUCUCGCGUUGUUAAUUUUUUGUGUGUGUUGAUUUGAUUAACAACUCAAGCGUAUCUUUUUUUUUUGUGUUGGUUAGCAGCCAGUUUUAUGGCCCCGAUCUAGUGAUGCUUCUCAGUGACUGUGGUAAUUGCAGUUCAUUGCCACCAGUUGGUCAGCUACCUGCUCUGAAAGAGCUAUACGUAGAAGGGAUGAAAGUUGUUAAGAGUGUUGGUGUUGAGUUGUACGGGGGAAAUCAACCAUUUCAAUGUUUAGAGAAGCUAAAGUUUCGGGAGCUAUAGCAGCCUAGUCCAAGUGGAUGUGAAAGUCCAGACUUUCCUCAUCUUAAGGAGCUGGGGUUAUACGAAUGUCCGAAGCUGAGAGGAAACUUGCCCACUCAUCUUCCCUCCUUGAAAACACUUCAUGUGAACAAGUGUGAGGUUCUACAUAAAAACAGGGCCAGUAAUACCCUGAACGUGGAAUCCUUACGAGGAUCUCUUGAAAAACUGACAAUAAAUGGAUGCCCGGGUCUCUCAUUGUUACUAGAGUCGACGGAGACGCUGCCGUCGCUUCAGAAGCUUGAUAUUGAUAAUGUGGUGGGAAAGAGUUGUUGGCGCAAAUGGUGCACAACAGCAAUCGUCUUCAAAGUUUGACUUUAUAUAAAUGUUCCUCACCCUUGUCGUUCCUUACAAAUGGUCUGCCCACCACGCUGACAUCACUGAGCAUAACAGAUUGCAAGAAAUUAGAAUUCCCAUCACGUGAGAUGAUGGCCAAAUUGACUUCCCUUCAGUCUUUGCGUCUAUCCAACAGCUGUGAACGCAAAGGCUUGAGUAUUUGCAGUUUAGUUUUUUUUUUCUUCAUUUUAGAGAUUUUUCUACUGUUUGGUUUUUGGGUUUUGUCUAAUUUUUGUGGUCUGCUUUAUAGAUUGUUCUCUUUGGAAGCUUCUUUCCAGCCUUGACCUUCUUCUUGCCUGGUGCCUUCUCAUUGAGUAUUGGAGGAGCAUUAAAACACAGGUGUGUGUGUUUUGUCGACAUAAGAGAUGAAUGACAUAAAAACAUCCGUCUCUGUAUUUUUUUGUGCUUUUUCUAACCCAUCAAUUUCUUUUGAGUCAACCAAAUAGUCCCAAAUUGCAACUUAUGUUGUGAGGUAUUAUUGUCUAAAAUUAAGUAUGCAUGUAUAUUUUAUGUUUGUGCCCGCGCACACAUCCGCAUGGUGUUAAUCUCUGUGGGUCAUCUAUGUAUAUGUAGAUAUAUCUAUAUGUGUGUGUGGAAUGCAACAUAUCGGAUUUAGGUUAUACUGUGCAUAGUUUUAUUGCCUGUUAUUAUCUACGAUAUCACUAUGCCAUUUCUAUGCAGGCUCUGAAAGUUAUUCAUGAGCUUUAUAAGCACUUACCAUAAUUUAAGCAGUCUGUUUUGGGUUCUUUUUCAUUAGGUCAUUAGCUACAGAUUAAUGGAGAAACGAGGACCAUGCCACUGAUUUGGGUUCUUUUUCUAAUUUUCUGAUUUUGGGGUUUUGCAGGGAGAACUCCGCCUAUGUACUUACAUUGCCGAUCCCAAGCUCGGAUAAAGGAGGAGGGGGAGGGCGUCAGGUAGUCGACAGUCGGCACUCCAUGAUCACGUCGAAUCCUUAUGAAAAUGAAUUCAGAAUAAAAUUGCGCUAAAGCUAGGGCGUCACCCGUAAGUGGCGCGCUGUGUGGCCCGAGCACAGUGAUAAGUGAGCAAGGGUCGCUGUAUCUCCAUCGGCACCCGGAUGCAGUGUUAAAUGAGCAAGGGGGGCAUAGGAACUUCUUUUCGAACGACUCCACUCAAAGUUGUUUGGGAGCAUAUGCUCCUAUCAACUUUACACGGGACACACAAAAGAAGUACUUUGAUCCUAUUAGACGGGGGAGGGUGAAGAAGCUAGGACAGAAGGGUAGAGUUCAAGAAAGCAAAAUGCGUUUAGGAACGUGGAAUAUAGGAACCUUAACGGGAAAAUCUAUGGAAGUAGUGGAAGUUAUGGUGAGGAGAAGGAUAAAUAUUAUGUGCCUACAAGAAACUAAGUGGGUUGGUAGUAAGGCAAUUGAUCUAGAAAACUCAGGGUUUAAACUUUGGUAUUCGGGCACAAAUAGAACGAGAAACGGUGUUGGCAUCAUCGUGGACAAGACCUUGACACAAGAUGUUGUAGAUGUCAAGAGGGUAGGAGAUAGAAUCAUGGCAAUCAAGAUUGUAAUAGGACAAGAACUUAUCAAUGUGGUUAGUGCGUACGCACCUCAAGUAGGGUUGGAUACGAGUUCGAAGGAGAAAUUUUGGGAAGACCUUGGAGACUUGGUGUAAGGAAUUGCUCAGACGGAGAAGUUAUUUAUAGGAGGAGAUUUAAAUGGACACGUGGGCAGAGAGACAGGCAACUAUGGAGGUUUUCAUGGUGGCCAUGGUUUUGGGGAGAGAAAUGAGGAUGGGGAAGCUAUCUUGGAUUUUGCAAUGGCAUAUGAUCUCUUUUUAGCCAACACCUUCUUUAAGAAGAAAGAAGAACAUGUGAUCACCUACAAGAGUGGGUUGUCAAAAACACAAAUAGAUUUUCUUCUAAUGAGAAACGAGGAUGGGGAAGCUAUCUUGGAUUUUGCAAUGGCAUAUGAUCUCUUCUUAGCCAACACAUUCUUUAAGAAGAGAGAAGAACAUGUGAUCACCUACAAGAGUGGGUCGUCAAAAACACAAAUAGAUUUUCUUCUAAUGAGGAAAGGGGAUCGUAUAACUUGUAAGGAUUGCAAAGUUAUACCAGGAGAGAGCGUGGCUAAUCAACAUCGCUUGUUGGUGAUUGAUGUACAUAUCAAAAGAGUGAGACAAAAGAACAAGACUUGGAAGUGCCCAAGGACUAGAUGGUGGAAUCUAAAAGAAGAAAAACAAGCCAUUUUCAAAGAGAAAGUAAUCAUCCAGUGUGUGGGAUAGAGAUGGGGAAGCUAGCCAAAUGUGGGAUUCAAUGGCUAGUUGUAUCCGAAAAGUAGCAAAAGAGGUAUUAGGAGAGUCAAAAGGCUUUGCCCCACACCAAAAAGAAUCUUAGUGGUGGAAUGAGGAGGUACAAACAAAGGUGAAGGCUAAGAAGGAAUGUUGUAAAGCCUUAUACAAGGAUAGAACUGAUGAAAAUGGUGAAAGGUAUAGAAAAGCGAAGCAAGCUGUGAGAGAAGCUAAGUUAGCGGCUUACGACGAUAUGUAUAAACGACUAGAUACCAAAGAAGGAGAGUUGGAUAUCUAUAAACUAGCUAGAGCAAGGGAAAAGAAGACAAGGGACCUAAACCAAGUGAGGUGCAUCAAGGAUGAGGAUGGAAAUGUUCUUGCUACAGAGAACGCGGUUAAAGACAGAUGGAGAGGUUAUUUUCAUAAUCUUUUCAAUGAAGGACAUGGAAGGAGUGCUUCUUUAGGGGAGUUGAGUAACUCAGAAGAGUGUAGAAACUACUCUUUUUAUCGUCGAAUCCGGAAGGAAGAAGUGAUUGUAGCUUUGAAGAAGAUGAAACAUAGAAAAGCAAUAGGCCCAGACGAUGUACCAAUCGAAGUGUGGAAAGUUUUGGGAGAGACAUGUAUAACAUGGCUCACUGACCUUUUCAAUAGGAUUUUGAAAACGAAGAAGAUGCCAAAUGAGUGGCGAACGAGCACUUUGGUGCCUAUCUACAAGAAUAAGGGCGACGUACAAAAUUGCAUGAACUAUAGGGGUAUUAAGCUAAUGAGUCAUACAAUGAAGCUCUGGGAGAGAGUCAUUGAGCAUAGAUUGAGGCAAGAGACACGGGUUUCGGACAACCAAUUUGGGUUCAUGCCAAGGCGCUUAACCAUGGAGGCAAUCUAUCUCUUACGAAGAUUGGUGGAAAGAUAUAGAGAUGGGAAAAAGGAUUUACACAUGGUUUUUAUAGAUUUGGAGAAAUUCGUAUGAUAGGGUCCCAAUAGACAUUCUUUGGAGGAUUUUAGAGAAGAAAGGAGUACGAGUAGCAUAUAUCCAAGCUAUAAAUGAUAUGUAUGAAUGAGCAAAGACUGCUGUAAGAACUCAUGAAGGACAAACUGAAAGUUUUCCCAUAACUGUAGGAUUACACCAAGGCUCAUCCUUAAGUCCCUACCUUUUUGCGUUGGUAAUGGAUGAGUUAACAAGACAUAUUCAAGAUGAUAUUCCUUGGUGUAUGCUUUUCGCAGACGAUAUAGUGUUGAUAGAUGAAACACAGGAAUGGGUAAAUGCAAAGCUUAACCUUUGGAGAGAAGUGUUGGAAUCUAAAGGUCUUCGCCUAAGCCGAUCAAAGACAAAAUAUAUGGAGUGCAAGUUCAGUGCAAAUGGAGGCCAAAACGAGUUAGGGGUGAGGAUCGGAGAUCAAGAAAUACCAAAGAGCGACCGUUUUCGUUACCUAGGAUCUAUCUUGCAAAAGAACGGAGAAUUAGAUGGAGAUCUCAACCAUAGAAUACAAGCUGGAUGGAUGAAGUGGAAGAGUGCAUCCGGCGUGUUGUGUGACCGCCGUAUGCCACUGAAGCUCAAGGGAAAAUUUUAUAGGACGGCAAUAAGGCCGGCGAUGCUGUAUGGCACAUAAUGUUGGGCGGUGAAGCAUCAACACGUACACAAAAUGGGUGUAGCGGAGAUGAAGAUGCUUCGUUGGAUGUGUGGGCACACGAGAAAGGAUAAGAUUAGGAAUGAGGAUAUCCGGGGUAAAGUAGGAGUAGCCGAAAUUGUAGGAAAGAUGAGAGAAAAUCGGUGACGGUGGUUUGGACAUGUGCCAAGAAGGCCUACUGACGCUCCGAUUAGAAGAUGUGACUACUGGACAGAGGUUCAGGGCCGAAGGGGUAGAGGAAGACCUAGAAAAACUUUGGAAGAGACUCUAAGAAAGACUUAGAGUACCUGGAUCUAACGAAGGACAUGACACAGGACCGAGCAUAAUGGCGUUCUAAGAUUCAUAUAGCCGAUCCCACUCAGUGACUUGGAUUUUCCAAGUCUCCAGCCGAGAAGUUUUCCUCACUCAGGAAAUUAAGGGAACACUACCCCAACCUACAUGCUCCACUCACAAAGCUUCAACAAAAGAAAAUUCAAAGAACUUAGCGAAGAAGGCUUUGAUGUAUUUAACACAAUACGUUGAAAUGAAGGAAAGCUUAUUUAUUGAUAUCAUCGAUAAGCUACAAAUAUGUACAUAUACAUAAGUCAAAAUAAACAAACAAGAGGGAGCCUUCACAAAGGUUGCUUAGGAGAAGUCUCAGCAGUCGGUAGAGCCCCAGAAAGAGAAGGCACCGGAGGGGGAUCAUUCGGAGCCUCAGUACUGGACAGAACCCUAGAAGGAGGAGGCAUAAGAGGUUGAUCAUUUGGUGCUUCAUUACGCGGUACAGCCCCAGAAGACGAAGGCAAUAAAUGCCUUUGGAACAAACCCACAAAUCUCUGAUGAUCAAGUAAAACCUGACCAUCAGAUUCCUUCAUCUGGUCAAGCUUCCUCUUCAUGUUUGUAGCAUAGUCAUGUGCGAGCCGGUGCAACUGUUUAUUCUCAUGCUUGAGCCCUCUAAUCUCCUGUUUGAGACUCAUCACUUCAGCCGCCAAUGAUUCAACUUGGCGGGUUCGAGCAAAUAGGUGUUGGGCCAUAUUAGACACAGAACCUGCACACUGAACACUGAGAGCCAGAGAAUCCUUAACAGCUAACUCAUCAGACCGUUUGGAAAGUAGUCUGUUAUCUUUGGGAGUGAGAAGGUUCCUGGCCACCACCGCAGCGGUCAUAUCAUUCUUCAUCACGGAAUCCCCAACGGUAAGAGGACCAGUAGGGGAGACGAAGGAUGGGCGCCAUAUGUUGUCUGGAGAAGGCGGGGCUUCCUCUUCAACAAGGUUCAAGUCAAAACGACGGUCGGAGGGGCCAGACAUUUUCAAAUGUGUUGAAGAGAGAAGAGGUCGGACAAAUCAAGAUCUUAGAAGUGUAAGAAUGGAGCUUCUACUGGUGGAGAUUCAAGUGUGCUUUGGAACUUAAUGUCAGCCCCUAUAAAAAUCUGCACUCAACGGAGCUUCAGAAAUCGAAGAGGCGCCUGCUCAGAAAUCGAAGAGGCGUUUGCUUUCUCAAAAGCAAGGCUGCUCAGAUACCACGAGGGUCGAUCUCAGAAAUCGAAGAGGCGUUUGCUUUCUCAAAAGCUGGGCAGCGCAAAGACCACGAAGGCCGAUCUCAGAAAUCGAAGAGGCGCUCAAAAGUUGGGCUGCUCAGAGACCACGAGGGCCGAUCUCAGAAAUCGAAGAGGCACCUACUUUUCCAGCCUUGUCAGUACCUGUCACACACACACUCAGCUUUGCGAAAAUUAUGGGGAUUCGGUCGAAGACUUCUGGUGAAGUAGAAAGCACAUGAGUCUUACUGUUCAAUCACCCACUUCCCACACGCAACAGUAGCUCAUGGGUACCACAUAUAACUUUUCCAAAGUUCUCUGCCAAAGUUGAACACGUGAAGUUUGCAGCUCCCACUACAUCGCUCUGAUCAAGAAGGGUAAAAGAAUAGCAAAGAAACAACACUAACAAAGUUUAGACACAUAAAUUUUGAUGGUCGAGCUACCAUAUUAUUACCCACAAGGGUAAAGGAACAGUACCACUGCUGGAUAAUUGGAAAGUCCCUGUGUGUCAACCUCUGUGCUUCGUGGCAAGGUAGACUAUCAAACAUGCCCAACCUUUACUCACAUUCGAGAAAACACUCCCAACAAGAUUGCUUGCUCCAAAAUCGAAGAGGCACCGUCCUUCGAAUCUCGAGAGCCAGACUCCCAACAUGACUACUUUCUCAAAAAUCGAAGAGGGUAAAGGAACAGUACCAUUGCUGGAUAAUUUGAAAGUCCCUGUGUGUCAACCUCUGUGCUUCGUGGCAAGGUAGACUAGCAAACAUGCCCAACCUUUACUCACAUUCGAGAAAACACUCCCAACAAGAUUGCUUGCUCCAAAAUCGAAGAAGCAUCGCCCUCCGAAUCUCGAGAGCCACUCCCAACAUGACUACUUUCUCAAAAAUCGAAGAGACAUCGCUCUCCGAAUCUCGAGAGCCAGACCCCCAGCAUGAUUGCUUUCUCAAAAAUCGAAGAGGCACCGUUCUCCGAAUCUCGAGAGCCAGAUCCCCGAUAGGAUUGCUUGUUCGAAAACCGAAGAGGCAACACUUUCCCAAUUUCAAGAGCCGGAUCUCCUUGGAUAAAGCUAUCUGUAAUCUUCACUCGCAACAUUAGCUUUCCAGCUACCACAGACCACUUUUUCAAAGUGAUCUGACAACGUUAAAACAUGUGAAGCUGGCAGCUUCCACUACCGUGCUAUGACCAAGUAGGGUAAAGGAAUAGCAUUACUACUUGUUGUUAAGGAGACUCCUAUAUAUGUCGACCUCCAUCCCCAACGGAUAGGCAGACCUGCAAAAAUGCUCAACUCUUCCUCAUAUCUGAGAGGGCACUCCCAACGAAGCCUUUCGAAAUAUUCAGCUUUCUUUCCCCCCGAUAAUACCUCUGCAAACAAGCUAUACUAGAGCAAGAAUAUCUCAUAUCAUCAGGGUUAAAAGCAAGAGUAUCCCAUAUCAUGCUUUUUCCUUGUCUUUUUCUUUGGCCUUGUUCUUACCUGCAAGACAAGAAGAAAGAGAGCAAUCAGUCAGUACUUGGAAUCAAGCUUCCAGCCAGGAACUGACUGCCUGGAACCCCUUACCUGAUUACUUACCUGACAUUGUUCUCGAGUACUCAUCUUCAACAUCUUAUGCUUCCAGGGAAGAUACCGCAUCUGCCUGAGGAACAGAUAGGGCAAGGGAGAAGGAUAUAAGGAAGCAUGUGGAGACAAGCGUAACAGCACACGUGCCGAUACAUCCAUUACUCUGUCAAAGCAAAAGUAUCCCAUAUCAGUAGGGUCGAACGUACUCUAGAUUUGAUGGACUUGUUUUGACCCUCAAAUUCUUCAGUCGGCCUUAUACUCUGGAGGAAACCAGAAAUUUCUCCAGCUCAGUGCAAGAAUAAGCUUGUGGAAAGUUACUUCUUCAAAAGCAAAAGUAUCACAUAUCAUCUCUUCUCAUUUUCUUCUCUUUAUCCUUCAUGCUGCCUGCAAGAUAGGGAGAUUGUGAACAAUCAGCUGGAGCUAUGAUUGCUUACCUUGUCUGUCACCUCUUUCAGCAGAUCCCCUAGCUCGGCGAUUUGGGGGACUCCUACUACAUGGUUUGUAUCGCGCUUGACCAAGCCUGAAACUACAAGUAAGCUUCAAGUGAAAUUGAUACAUUACCUUGUGCAUCUCCACCAGUUAAAGAUACUACCCCUGGAUGGAGGAAGAGUACUUCCAGAGAAGAUGCCCCAUCUACCUAUGAGACAGAUAAGGCACGUCAAGACGAUACCACACUCUGAUACUUAGAAGUUUCGUGAUUACGAGAUCAUUCUCCCACAAUAUUUCCUAAUGUCAUUUGUACUAAAUCAUUCACUUGUACUCACUAAAGGAGAGCUUGAACCUAUGUACUUGUGUAAACCCUUCACAAUUAAUGAGAACUCCUCUAUUCCGUGGACGUAGCCAAUCUGGGUGAACCACGUACAUCUUGUGUUUGCUUUCCUAUCUCUAUCCAUUUAUAUACUUAUCCAUACUAAUGACCGGAGCAAUCUAGCGAAGAUCACAAAAAGCGACCGUUUUCGCUACCUAAGAUCUAUCGUGCAAGAGAACGGAGAAUUAGAUGGAGAUCUCAACCAUAGAAUACAAGCUGGAUAGAUGAAGUGUAAGAGUGCAUCCGACGUGUUGUGUGACCGUCAUAGGUCACUGAAGCUCAAGGGAAAAUUUUAUAGGACGACAAUAAGGCCAGCGAUGUUGUAUGGCACAGAAUGUUGGGCGGUGAAGCAUCAAUACGUACACAAAAAUGGGUGUGGCGGAGAUGAGGAUGCUUCGUGGGAUGUGUGGGCACACGAGAAAGGAUAAGAUUGGGAAUGAGUAUAUCCGAGGUAAAGUAGGAGUAGCCGAAAUUGAAGGAAAGAUGAGAGAAAAUCGGUUCCGGUGAUUUGGACAUGUGCAAAGAAGGCCUACUGACGCUCCGGUUCGAAGAUGUGACUACUGGACAGAGGUUCAGGGCCGAAGGGGUAGAGGAAGACUUAGAAAACCUUUGGAAGAGACUCUAAGAAAAGACUUAGAGUACUUGGAUCUAAUGGAGGACAUGACACAAAACCGAGCGCAAUGACGUUCUAGGAUUCAUAUAGCCGACCCCACUUAGUGGGAAAAGGCUUUGUUGUUGUUGUUGUUGUUGUUGGGGUUUUGCAGGGAGUACUAAUGUACUGAUUUUCUGGGAUUUUUUUUGUCCUUGCAGGAUUUUUGGUCUUUGAAAUGGGUAUGUGUUGUUUUUAAUGUUUCAGUUCUAGCGUUUUCCGUUCUUCGUUGCUUCGUGAUUCUCAUUUUUCAGUGUUGGGUGAUGGAAAUUUGUUAAAGUAGUUGGUAGUUUUUUGAGAAAGUUGGCAUUUUUAGUUAUAUUUUCUGUUUAAUCCUAAAUGUUUUGAAAACUCAUAAUUUUUUUGUUCUGGGAUUUAAAAGCAUCUUUUCCAGAUUGGUUACAAGGGUUAUGUUCUCUUCAAUUGGUUCACCUAAUUUUGAUUAGUUUUAAGUUUUGUCCUUUAAGUUUGUCUUUUAAGUUUUGUUCUUUAAGUUUUGUCUUUUAAGUUUUGUUCUCUAAGUUUUGUCUUUUAAGUUUUGUCUUCUGUGCUGUAAUGAGAGAUUUCCGUUGGCCUUUCGGAUUUUGGCAUGGGAAAGUUCACUUAUUUGCAAGGUUCUAAAAAACGCUAGGCGUUAGUUGGGCGGUGGGCUAGCGCCUAGCGGCUAGGCGGCUAGGCGGGAUCUAGGCGGGAUCUAGGCGGGCGCCUAGGCGGCCUAGGCGGAUUUAGGUAAAUUUCUUAUAUAUUUUAUGAAUUAAUUAAAUUUACUAUAUCAAAUGUAAAUAAUUAUUAACUAAUAUGUUAUUUCUUAUAGAAGAACAUACAUAGUGAAUGUUUUAUGUACAUAUAUAAUAUAUUUGUCUAGGAAAAAAAAAUAUUAUCUAAAUAAUUUUUAUAACAUAUAUAUAUAUAUAUAUAUAUAUAUAUAUAUAUCCCAAACUUUUAAAAAUAUAAAUAGCAUUGGGAGAGGGGCGUAGGGUUUCUAAAAGCACACUCAGAAAUAGAGCAUAUUUUAGUCUUUAUUUUAGAAUCCUAAGGAGCACCCUACUCGGAUGCACGACAUGUGUGCAAAUCUGGAGAUUCUUGCUGUAUCGGAUACACCAAUGCUUAGUCAAAAUUUCCUGCUAGGGUUUAUGGUGGACAUGUGUGUGUGGUCUUCAUUAUUAAACCCAUUAGCACCUCACCUUUUCACAUCACCCGUCCAUCACCUUGGGUGGUUUUGAUAAUUAAAACCAUCAACAUCCAUGGUUUUGAUAAUUAGAACUACCAACUUUUCCUUGGAUUUGAGAAUCUGAGAUCCCAUUCAUCGCCAUCAAAUAUUGAAAUGUUUCAUUGUUCAUCUCUUUCUCCCUCUUCUCACUCUCUAUUCCCUCAUCUUCACAGAGAUGAGUUACAGAAAUUCUCCGGUAAUCUCUCUCUCUCUCUCUUCGUAAUCGACGAGCUCCUCGACUUGAAGUCGCAGCCAAGUUAUGAAGAAUCGAGAUGCGAGAGCAAGUGGAGAGUGGAGACUCUGGAAAUUGGGAGUGACGAUCGACGACGAUGAGUCGAUGACCCAGGAAACCUCUUGAAGUUGCAGCAGGUGAGUGCACUGCAGUUGAGGAAGAAGAGACGAAGAGACUUAGUUUCUGAAAUUAGGGUAGCUGCAAGGCACGGGAACUUAAAAACAAAAAAACAAAAAGAAAACCGCCUAGCUCCGCCAGCCGCCUAGCCUGCCUAGGCGCCUCCUAGCCCGCCUAGGUGCCGCUUAGCCACCGCCUAGAGCCCAGCCGUUUUUUCCCACCGUUUUGCACAAAAACGCCUUGGCCACCCUCCGCCUAGCGCCUAGGCGGCCGCCUAGGCCGUUUUUUAGAACACUGCUUAUUUGUCUAAUUAGAUUGUGGAUGCCUUCGAUUCUUUAUUUAAUUGUUCUGUUUGCGUUCGGGUGUGAUGAUCUAAAUUUCAUAUGUUUGGAAUUAUUUACUUAACACCAAUUUGUUACAUUCAGAUCUCCACCCCACAUUUCACUAGUUCAAAUUCCAUAGAAGUUGGUUAUUGCAGAUUGCGUCUACAAUUAGAUCAGAGAUCAACUACUCUUUUGUUAUCCUGCAGAAGAUUGCUUUUGGGAAGGAUCUGAAGUAGUUUCUCUCUGUAUGUUUAUUCCCAUGUAGCUCUGUCUUUUCUAAUUGAUGGUGUUGAUAUUACACUGUAAUUCAUGAUGAUGAUUUAAUUGUUUAUUGAUUUGUAAUUGUUUGUGAAUAAUGUGGCAUAUAUGAAUUGCAAUCUGUGUUUGUAUGAAAGGGAUGGCAUAUUAUGUUGCUGACUUAAUUGUUUAUGUUUUUCAUAUUUGCGAAUGGUGUUAUGAUCAAUUAGGUGAUUGCUGACCUGUGACUUUGUUUGGAGCUCAAAUUUUGUGAGCAUUACAUUGGAUUGUUUUGAUGUUGUUUUGGUUGACAAUGCAGGGAUAGGAGAAACAAAGAGGAUGACACUUAUAACUGCCAUUCCCCAUCGGCCGUCUUCAAAUUUGGAUCACAAGAAGGGAGCAACAUAGGUGUUUUCCUUCUUUAUUUAGAUAUGGUUAGUGUAAAUAAUUGGACAAAAGAGCCAAACAAACCCUGUUCUCUCAAAUGGAGUUGAUGAUGUGGUCGACGGCCACCAGCCCCAACUCAAGAGUUUGGCCUUCAUAUAAUUGGAUUGUAGUAUAAUUUUAUUUUUGUUCAUUUCUUUUUUCCUUUAUAUAAGUGCAGGUGUUGUGAUGUUUUGAAUAAAGGGUGAUGAAAGGUGGUUCACACUUCCUCCUUACUUAAAGCAAGUGGAGAUGACGGUUUGUAUAAAAAGAAAAACUUGCCACGUACUUCAAUUUUCUAUUUUAUUAAUUAUUGUUUGGUUUUCCAAAUGUUGUAUUCACAAAGAGAGACCAAUUAUGUCUUUGAGAAACAAGUUUCUUUGUCUACAUUGCGAGAAUUUGCAGUUUGCAACUUUCAUUGGUUAUUAUAUUUGAUUGAGUUAAACUUGGAUUUCUGGAUUCUGACUUUUUCGUUUGUUUCUUUGUUGCAGAGUUGGCUUCAUUUCAUUCCAGGAACUCUCUAAAUAGGGCCAAGAACUCACUAAAUAGGUAGUCAAGAGGAAUUCAGUUUUGCCUUCAAUUUUUGCCUUCUGUUUACAUUCUUCCUGGAUGCACUCUCACCGCUUCUCUCGCUUACCACUUUUUUCUCACUCACCGCUUCAUCUCUUCUGUUGCUUACAAGGUCGUGUCAUAUAUUUUUUAAUUUUGUGGUUUAAUUUAUUGAAUAUUUGAAAAAAGAGAUAAAAUUAUAAGAUACUAUAUAAGAUACUAUAUAGUAUCUUAUAAAUAAAUGAAUCACAAAUGAUACUAUAGUUGUUAAAAAAUCCCAUUACUCAAAACUCCAAUUCCCUCCCAUUACUGAAAGCUCCAAUUCCAUCAAAACCGAGAUGGUAAAAGUACAAACUGGCUAGUUUCCACCAAAAAAAAAAGUACAAACUGGUUACAAAAAUAUGUUUUGUCCCAUCCAAUUGACGAAAAGAGAUAAAAUUUUCAAUUUACAAUUACUGAUAUGAUGUUUGUUUUGAAAAUCAUUAAGGUGAAUGGAGAGAUUUACAACCAUGAAGAGCUGAGGAGCCGUUUGCCAAAUCAGAUUUAUAAGGUCUCAUCAAUUAUGAAUAAACGACUUUUCAUUCCCAAUGACCUUUAUCGUUUUUCUUAAUGGGUUAGCUGAACAUGAGGUAGAUGCUGACUUUAUCAAAUAUGAGAAUGUUUUAGGAUUUCAUUCUAAUUUUUUGGCUGUUUGAUUACUUUGCUUUUCGUAAUUUGUUUUGCUUAUCGUCAAUUGGAUGGGACAAAACAUAUUUUUGUAACCAGUUUGUACUUUUUUUUUUGGUGGAAACUAGCCAGUUUGUACUUUUACCAUCUCGGUUUUGAUGGAAUUGGAGCUUUCAGUAAUGGGAGGGAAUUGGAGUUUUGAGUAAUGGGAUUUUUUAACAACUAUAGUAUCAUUUGUGAUUCAUUUAUUUAUAAGAUACUAUAUAAGAAACUGUUAUUAGCACUCUAAAAAACUCAUUCUACACUCGCGACAAGUGUAUUUUUCUUUUUAAUUAUGGAAAGUUUGAAGGGCAAAAUGAGAAUUUUGGAGUGCCAAUAACAAUUCCCUAUUAUAUAUAGCUCUACUGGGAAGGCUACUGUAUAUGUCUUCAUCCUGUUAAAUUGUAUAUGGCUCUUGAUGUCGGCUGAAUUAAAUCAAAAUGAAAACCAAGCUGAUCUUACCAGCCGAUAUCACUUAUCACUUGCUUAUUUAAAUUAUUUGAAGAUGCGUAUGUGGAUUGGUGAUUUUGUUGGAUUCACUUAGCUCAAAUAUAUGUUAUCUGAGUCGCUACAUUUGAGAAUGUGAUUCUGUUCCUACCACCAUUUUGCCCACUUUUUGUGGAAAUUAUUCAUUCCUGUUGUGAAUAAUACAUUCAUCCCCGGCAACGAAGUGCGGGCACAUUUUAUAGUUUAAAUUAAAUCACACAAUGGGUCAUCAAUAAUGACAAACUCGUCAUUUAUGCGAGUCAAACAUGAGGCCACCUACCUACUAGUUUAGUGGAAUACCACAAAGUGACAUGUUGAUACCUUUAAGUCUCAUAUAAUGGAUUGCAGAAUUAGGAUAUACCUAGACUAAUUUAGUCAGUGCGUGAACCCGAACAAUUAACAAGGGUUUUAUUCUUGCUUGAAUGUUUGUUAUAUGUUCCUAGUUUGACAAGGCAAUUAUAUUUCCGAUUACAAAAGUUAUUAAUUUAGUCGAGAAUUGACGCACCUGAAAUGGUGUGAGGAAAACAUGUAGACACAUCAACCGCAGUCCACUGUCCUGGGCAUCUAUCUUCCCCGAAACGAAGCUCAAAGCCAUACAUGAGGGCAUUGUGUAUGUCUUUAUAAGAGAAGUUGCUGUAGUCUUCAACGUAGCCGGCAGCCAAACUCAUCCACUCUACACUGCAACCCUCAUCCAAAUCCCAUGCUUCCAACCUGCCCCCGACAUAGUCAGCGACCAUGACAUAGCUAUACGUUUUUGGUUGACUCGAAGAAGAAGAAGAAGUAUUAUUCAAGCAUGGAGCAGUGUCCACGUACAGAGAAGAAUUCGAUGGAUUCGAACACUUCAAGUAAUAUAUAGAUAGAGAAUUGAUGUCAUAGGUGGGCCAAUAUGGAGAAUUGAUGUCCUCGGUGGUGGGCGGAAUAUUUUGAGACAUGGAAGAGCAAUUGUUGUUGUCAAGCCCAGGAUCUAGAACUCGGAUUGUAUUGUUAAUGUAGUUGAUUGCCUGGACAUAGUAUUUUCCGGAAGAAGGUACGUCUAGUACAGUAAUGUUGCUCUCACAGUACAGAGUAUACAUUAUGUUGCCACAGUACUUUGGAUCAUCGUUCAGUCGAAAAGGAUGGCUUAUGUAGUGGAUAUGGCCGCAGGAUGAAGUGCAGGACUUGGCACUACUGUUGUCAGCGUUACAAGUUUCACUGCAAAAGCAAAGAAGAAGAAAGGCUAAACUUAAGGUGAAGGACCUGCUUCCACUAAUUUCCAUUGAUCUGAGAGAGAGAGAGAGAGAGAGAGAGAGAGAGAGAGAGGGUACUAUAGCUUGAACACCAAGGAGUUAUAUAAUAUGGGAGGGGUUAAAGCGCUUCGCUUAAAGUUGCAGUAAGCCCGGCAAAUAUCCUAGGGAAAAGUCGGUCAAUGGUGUCCUAUAGAGAAAAGUCGGCCUUGGUGUUUGACACGGUCACUCACUCUCUCUCUCUCUCUCUCUCUCUCUCUCACAUUGACGAGGGACACUGUAAUUAACAAAAAAAUUGUUCUUCAGAGAUAGAUUUUGAAAUUCUUAUUUUAUAUAAAAAAACACCUAAUAUUAAUCAUUCAAAUGAAAUUCCUAAAAUUAAGUAUAAAUAAUACAUAAUAAAAACUGAACACAUACAAUCAACGGUCACGAUCAUGAAAUCCUUCGGAUCCUCAGAAAAAAAUCCGACGAUGAUCUUUUUCUGUGUAAAAUAAUUUGAGGGUAUAAUACUGGAUGUGCGAUUAAACCGAAGAACCCACCCACCUCCAUCUUCUCCGACCAACUUGAACCCAGCCACUACUACAUGUCAUCCCGACAACCCACUCUCAGCUUCCCAAACCGCCAUUUUUCACCCAUUCACCUACCACUGCCAUUAUUCAUUCAAUCAACCCAAAACACGAGAGCCACCCCCAUCUCACCAGUCGAACAGAUGCAGCCACCCACCCAUUUAAUCCCAGUCCAAAAUCAAACCCUCUCCUAAACCCACCCCAGAAUCCAAUAAUUUCAAAAAAUGGCUGAUUAUAUCAUUUCAAGAACCUCACAAUUCCAAAAACUAAAAACCCACUUCAAAGAUGUAAUAUUUUUCUCUCUUCCUCUUUUUGGGUUUUUUUUUCUUUUUUUUUAUCAAUUCUCUUCUGGGUUUUUGUUUACAGUGUAAAAUCAACACUAAUUUACUAAUUUUGCUUUGAUUUCAAACACUAUUGAGGCGUGAUAACCUGUUGCAAGCUCAGCCAUGGCGGCUACUGCGAAAUCUAACGGAAAAACCAUCACAGACUCUGCCAUUUCAUCCAAGGUUCCGACAAUAGCAAAACGAAUAGCUGUCGCAGAUUUCUUCCAACAUCAAUCACUACGCGAAAUUAAUUGUCAAUGAAGACGAUCCCAUUCCCCUUCGAAAUCUGCUGGGGAAAGAGACCUUCUUUCAGAUCUGCUCUGAGACCGGUUUAUGCGAGAGAGUGGUGAGCCUGACGACAGAGAGAAAUAAGGGCAGGAUUGGAAAAUUGGAAAGUUCAUUUAUUGGUUACUGUUUAUCCGUGUUUCUUCGAAAUAAGCUGCUUUUUCCAGCUUUGGGUUUCAGUGUUUUUUAACCCAUAAUUUUGAAAGAAAAAAAACUGAUUUUAAAUGUUUAUCAAACACUUAAAAUGUUCCAAUCUUUUUUCAUACCUACUUUUUAUUAAAAGUUAAGCUAAACAAAAAUCAAGAUUAAGUUUACUACUCUGAAGUUUCUUGCUUUUCAACAUUUCAUACAUUGAAUUUUUCUCAUCCAGUGUCAUAUCUAAGGUGGGAAUUGUGGGACACUUUUAUACAUCCGUUAGAUUUUAUGUGAAUUGCGUGGCACUUUUAUACAUCCGUUAAAUUUUUUGUGAGAACCUUCGCUGACCCACGAUGCGGCAUGCAUGUGGACAUUAAAAAAAUUCAAAAAAUUCAAAAAAUUUUAAAAUUUUAAAAUUUAAAAUUCAAAAAUACUAAAAACCUAAACUUUUCAUAAUAUUGAAAGACUGAAUCUUUUCACAGUCAGCCAAAUUUUCUUCAAAUUUUAAUUAGAUGAAAUAAUGAAUCUUGAACAAAGCAAAACAAAACGUAAUAUUGAGAGAUUCAGUCAUUGAAGUGGACGUGGAUGUUGGGUACUCAAUAGUCCAAGAAUGAAAACUCUCAUAUCAGUUUCUAUCCAAAAUUUUGGAAUUAUGUGUGUUGCAACGAUUGUCCAAAGGAUUAUUCUUCUUUUAUUAAAUUUCCAUGAAAAAUGAGCAUGGAGCACAAAAGUUGAACGAAUGAUUAUUCUUCUUUUAUUAAAUUUCCAUGGAAAAUGAGCAUGGGGCACAAAAGUUGAACGAAUGAAAUUUCAACGAUUUGAAAAGGGAUUGUGAGUUUGACAUGUCAUUUUUCUUCCUCUAAUGCAAUCAUGUUUAUUAAAAGACAAAAAUAAAUAUGACUUUACAUAAGGAGAGAGAAGGAGUAGUUUUCUUUGAAAAAAUCAACCAUUUAUUGAAGAGGAUGUGGAUGUUGAUUGAUGCGUCGUGAAUACGAAAAAAAGGACCUUGAAAGGAGUUGAGACAUUCAUUAAAAGCUAGAAGAAAAAAAAGUUAAAAGUGUUUUAGAAAAAAAGCAAGAAAGCCUCAUUUUCAAAGUUGUGGUCAUUGCACAAUACUUGAUUAGAAGAAAACUCAUAGUAUUGUAUUUACAAUUUCAAGUCUUUAUGGGGAACGAGAGAGCAAGUUUUCCAAUUGGAAUAUGAUAUGAAAUUUCUACAUAACUAUAUAUGACAAUGAAAGAAGUCUAAGUUUCUAAAUGGAAGGGCUUCCAAUUGAUGUGAGUUUGUUGAGAAAUUAGUGAACAACAGAACAAGUUGCUUCUCCUUUGGCCUUCUAACAUGAUAUCACAGAAAACAAGUUGUUACUAAUAAAUGUAUCUGAUUGGUGGACUUAGACGUGCGCGGUACGAUUUUUGAUAACUAGAGAAGAUGGGCAGUGUCAUGACAAAAUUUAUCCAAGUAGACCCAAAGGAAUGACUUAGGAACUUCAUAUGCAGUGGGAUAAAAUCUUAAGCUAAUUUCCUUACCUAUCUUAUAGGCAUUAAGUAAAAUGUAUAUGCAUAUUUCUAGACACACCAAUUUACUUAAUAUUAACUUCUUUCAAAUACCCAUUUGCAGAAACGCAAAGCUCUCUUGCAUGCUUGUUGUAAUGCUUAUGUAGUGCGUAUCCUAUAUCUUAUAUAUAUAUCUUACUUUUUGUGAUCCAUUUUUUCAUCACUAUGCCAAACGAAUAGCAAAACGAAUAGCUGUCGCAGAUUUCUUCCAACAUCAAUCACCACGCGAAAUUAAUUGUCAAUGAAGACGAUCCCAUUCCCCUUCGAAAUCUGCUGGGGGAAAGAGGCCUUCUUUCCGAUCUGCUCUGAGACCGGUUUAUGCGAGAGUGGUGAGCCUGACGACAAAGAGAAAGAAGGGCAGGAUUGGAAAAUUGGAAAGUUUAUUGGUUACUGUUUAUCCGUGUUUCUUCGAAAUAAGCUGCUUUUUCCAGCUUUGGGUUUUCAGUUUUUUUUACCCAUAAUUUUGAAAGAAAAAAAACUGAUUUGAAAUGUUUAUCAAACACUUAAAAUGUUCCAAUCUUUUUUCAUACCUACUUUUUAUUAAAAGUUAAGCUAAACAAAAACCAGGAUUAAGUUUACUACUCUGAAGUUUUUUGCUUUUCAACAUUUCAUACAUUGAAUUUUUCUCAUCCAGUGUCAUAUCUAAGGUGGGAAUUGUGAGACACUUUUAUACAUCUGUUAGAUUUUAUGUGAAUUGUGGGGCACUUUUAUACAUCCGUUAGAUUUUUUGUGAGAACCUUCGCUGACCCACGAUGCGGCAUGCAUGUGGACAUUGAAAAAAUUCAAAAAAAAUCGAAAAUUUUAAAAUUUUAAAAUUUAAAAUUCAAAAAUACUAAAAACCUAAACUUUUCAUAAUAUUGAGAGACUGAAUCUUUUCACAGUCGGCCAAAUUUUCUUCGAAUUUUAAUUAGAUGAAAAUAAUGAAUCUUGAACAAAGCAAAACAAAACGUAAUAUUGAGAGAUUCAGUCAUUGAAGUGGACGUGGAUGUUGGGUACUCAAUAGUCCAAGAAUGAAAACUCUCAUAUCAGUUUCUAUCCAAAAUUUUGGAAUUAUGUGUGUUGUAACGAUUGUCCAAAGGAUUAUUCUUCUUUUAUUAAAUUUCCAUGAAAAAUGAGCAUGGAACACAAAAGUUGAACGAAUGAUUAUUCUUCUUUUAUUAAAUUUCCAUGGAAAAUGAGCAUGGGGCACAAAAGUUGAACGAAUGAAAUUUCAACGAUUUGAAAAGGGAUUGUGAGUUUGACACGUCAUUUUUCUUCCUCUAAUGCAAUCAUGUUUAUUAAAAGACAAAAAUAAAUAUGACUUUACAUAAGGAGAGAGAAAUAGUAGUUUUCUUUGAAAAAAUCAACCAUUUAUUGAAGAGGAUGUGGAUGUUGAUUGAUGCGUCGUGAAUACGAAAAAAAAAGACCUUGAAAAGAGAUGAGACAUUCAUUAAAAGCUAGAAAAAAAAAAGUUAAAAGUGUUUUAGAAAAAAGCAAGAAAGCCUCAUUUUCAAAGUAGUGGUCAUUGCACAAUACUUGAUUAGAAGAAAACUCAUAGUAUUGUAUUUACAAUUUCAAGUCUUUAUGGGGAACGAGAGUGCAAGUUUUCCAAUUGGAAUAUGAUAUGAAAUUUCUACAUAACUAUAUAUGACAAUGAAAGAAGUCUAAGUUUCUAAGUGGUAGGGCUUCCAAUUGAUGUGAGUUUGUUGAGAAAUGAAGAUGAAGAUGAAUAUUGAUGUUGAUGUUAGUGAACAACAGAACAAGUUGCUUCUCCUUUGGCCUUCUAACAUGAUAUCACGGAAAACAAGUUGUUGCUAAUAAAUGUAUCUGAUUGGUGGACUUAGACGUGCACGGUACGAUUUUUGAUAACUAGAAAAGAUGGACAGUGUCAUGACAAAAUUUAUCCAAGUAGACCCAAAGGAAAGACUUAGGAACUUCAUAUGCAGUGGGAUAAAAUCUUAAGCUAAUUUCCUUACCUAUUUUAUAGUAUUAAGUAAAAUGUAUAUGUAUAUUUCUAGAUGCUGACACACCAAUGUACUUACUAUUAACUCCUUUCAAAUACCCAUUCGCAGAAACGCAAAUCUCUCUUGCAUGCUUGUUGUAAUGCUCAUGUAGUGCGUAUCUAAUAUCUUAUGUGUAUAAUUUUUUGUGAUCCAUUUUUUCAUCACUAUGCCAAAAUCCCUUUAGAAUUUGCAAUUUAUCCAUUUGGUUAUGGUAAAAAAAAAAACUCGGAAUUUCAUUUAAACUCGAAAAUCUAGAAUUGGGAAAGCAAUUUUCCCUUGUUCGGCAACUUGUAGCGAUAGCAAAGGCAAAUUGUACCGGAAAAAAGUGGAAAUUGGGGAUGAAGAUCCAAUUUUAAUUUCGUCAAAAUAAGUGUAAUUUCACAAUUCCAACAACGUUGAGAAUCACAAAUGCAUUGUGGGGAAAUCUUGCGACCACCAAACUUUACGAUUAGAGCGCCAAAUUUCAUGAUAAAACGUAAUAAGGGUUUAGGACUGCAUCGUUCGCUCUGUUAACUCUCCAAUCUUCGACGGGAUUUUCAACUCGUGCAUCAUUUUUUGCUUUGUUCUAGGUCAAAGCCUACUCUUUUCUUUCUUGAAUUAUUUUAGCUUUGCGGGUAUACUCUUUAGGCCAAUUGUGAAUUUUGCUAGUUAUUUUUAUUUUCUGAUGGUCAUAUGUUUGUUUUUUUUUUCUUCCAAUUGAGCUGUGUAUUGGUUGGAUCAGUAACUUUUUUUUUGGAUUUUUAUUUUUAUUUUUAUGGAUUUUGGUGUUAGUUCCUUGUUAUAGAUGUAUAGAUGUUGUGGAGCAAAAAAUAAUCUCAAAAAUCGUGGAGGUGACACACGGAUUUUUGGACAAGAAUGACAAAAUUAUCCUCGAAGCACAUCAUGAUUCCCACGUGCAUGCAACGGACAAUAACGGCUCAAUCAUGGAAGAGUCAAAGGUGAUCAAUAUGGUAUUUAUUCAAAUCCCUCUCAUCACUCCUCAUCAAUCCCUUUUUGAUUUUAUUCAAAAGGUAACUCCCAAAACUUCCUAUUUAAUUUAGGGAUCAUUGUCAUGUUAAUUGCAAGAUAUUAUUUCACAAAAUAUCUUGUAAUUAUUCUUCAAUUACCACCAUGUAUGGCCGGCCACUCCUCACCCUAUGGGCCGGUCACUCCUCACCCUAUGGGUCGGCCACUCCCUAUAAAUAGCCCUAUUAUUCCACUAAUAAGGAAGCCAUUUGCUACCCACAAACUCCUAAACACAUUCUUUCAGAAUUCUAACUUUGGCAUUGGAGAUUCUUAGGCCAAAUCCCCCCUCCCAUUCAUCGUGGGCGCAUAAGGCUUUUGGCCUUAGUCUUAGGUAUUAUUAUUUUGCAGGUGCAUUUUCGUCAAAGACGAAGAUGGUGGAAAUUUGGAUCCACAAAUUGGUGUUUUCAUUGAGAGUUUGAUUCACAAGCUCGAAGAAGACUCUCGCAUUCAAAGUUUCACAUUUCUCAUUCAUAAGUAAAUUUUUCAUACGUUCUUAUUCCUAGAAUUUUUUUAAAUCUUUGAAUAGACGUAGGAGAGAAAUACAAUGGCUAGAAAUUUAGAAACCACGACGAACGAAACUUCCUACGUUCAAAGAUCCAGAUCAAAUGAUGGAAAUUGCGAUGUAGCCCCACCACGACGAUCCACGAAGCUCAACGUAGUGGCAAAAUGAGUAACUUGGCCACCACGGAGUACCACCACCACCAUAGCCAAGGCAACCCAUGUUGCAGUGGGGAGUGGGACAACUCCAUGGCAGCAAGGCCACGAAGCAACAACAGAUGCCAUCUUGCAGUAAUGAGCCCAAGCCUGUGUCACAAGGUAGUCAACCCAGCGCUAGGUAACCUAGAUCUAGUAGGCCCACGACGUUGCCAUAGUAGCUGAGGCCUAAAGCAAGGCCCAAGCAGCUGCGACUGCGGCAAAUGGAGCAACACAACACUGGCGGGGCCAAUGCACCCUUGGCCUAAUGCCAAGCAGGCUAAAUCGCACCACACCCACUAUUCAAACUAACCCUAAGUUGAGUAAGUAGCAUUGAAGGUUGUCAACCGCAAGGCGUUGAAGUACGAAUAAAGUUACACACCCCGCACAUGACUUGGCCCACUUCCGCGGCCCAACUUGCUCGCAAGGUCCACCUAGUGAUCCCGACCAGUCGAAGGCCAGUUCAAUCAUCCCAUCUUCAGAUUUCUGGACUGACGAUUGAAUCGGGGGUAUUUUCACCCCGAUUUUCUACAGAUUUGACAUAUCUCAACACAAAUCUCGCACUUGGAGUCCAUUGCACUUCCAUUACUCAAGGAGACGCAUACCAUUUAAGAUCUUCCAUCCCAAAUGGCGAACAACACUUGUCUUGACAAGUCAUAGAGUUGACAUGCACUUUUGCGCAGUAGACGACCUUAGUGAAUCAGCUUUUGCAACGCACAAAGAUGCAGUAUGCCCCAGACGAUGUGUCCCGAAGCAGGACAAGUAUAGACGACGAUUCUCUCCAGCAGCGUCCCAACAAGCAGCCGCUCGACUAGCCACGAACCGAGCAUUCUGGCAGUGUACACUCCCGUCUAGGUCCUCAAGAAAGCAUAUACUCUCAUCUUAGCGCGCGGAUGAGCGUGCACUCCUGGUUAGGCCUACGGACGAGCAUACAUUCACGGUUGGGACCAUACUCUUAUAAUUAACAUGGACAACCUGCUAGACGAAGUGUUCAUUCGCGGCUAGGCUCGCAAAGAGCAUUUUCCACCUCAUAUUGGAGUAAGCAGCACAGAAGACGAAGAUAAGCAGUCAAUUAAUCUGGCUCAAAUUCAAUCGGCCACCUGUAAGUAACUAGCUCGCCUGCCAAGAACGUACCAUAUGCAAUGUAGCCACGACAUAGACUAGCUGAGCACAACGAUGAGCAACCUAGACUAACAGGUUACGACUGGGGGUAGCCAGAAGCUUCACUGCCCCAAUAUAGGUAAAUUUAGAAAGAAGUUGAGAGGCUUCUGACAGAACGAUUGUGCGAUUUCCAACGCAAUGAAGCUACUGACAAGGCGCUUAAACGAUACACGACCAACAUAAACGGGUCACCUUUUAUUGACAAGAUUGAGCAGACAGAACCAUCCUACAUACACUGGCGGAUACAAAUAUUACUUCUAUUUUAACAUACGCAUCAACUCAGCCUAAUGGCGUGUCGAGGGCAAAUGGGUUCCAGAAUGGCACACUAACCCAACCACCAAGAACCAGGGCCAAAUCUUAUUUUCAUCACUCCACACGAUUCAAUGCUUGAGCAUCACAUCACCAGUAAUAGAGCACCGCAGACCUAAUGGUCCAAUUCCUCCUGAUGCACACAAGCUCACCCCAGCUCCACGCUCAAAGCCGUGCCUACCUGCUCCACAACACUCAGCCACCCUUGAUUUGUCACCAUGGCUCACAGUUAUGCCAAUUUUGCACCACAGCUCCCAGCCGUGCUAAUCUUGCCAUGCGGCUUUUAACUACGUUAACCAAGCCCACGAUACUUCAUACUUCAAAACAUCCAAUGACGAAGUAGAACAUGAGGCUCUACUAGCAGCCCCUGCUAGUGAAAGGCUUUGCGGUGAAGAGGCUUCCAAUCCAUUCAAAUUCUCAGUUGACCACCUGUUGGGUUUUACGGCUCAAAAUUAGGAUGAUGCAAAAAAAAUUGUGUUACCUAUUUGGUUUUGGUGUCGUAUUUGGGUUUGGAUUUUGACCUCUUAGUUGGUUUCCUUGGUGGAGAGAUUUUGUUAAUUACCUAUUUGAUUAGGAUUUGGAUUUACUUCCUAUUAAGAUUCUUAUUGUAACCUAAGUCUUAUGCACUAUAAAUAGGACCUCAGGGUUAGUGUAUUUUGUGUGGCUCAUUCGUGUGGCAAUUUGGUGAGAGUCAAUUUGUGAGUUUGUGAGUUAGAGAGCAAUUUGGGAGAAUCUUCUCCGUUAGUUUUGGGUUCUCUACUCGUUUGGUUUAGGGUUUGUAAUUUGUGGGAUUUGGAUUGUGAGAGUUUAAACACUAUUUUGUAAUCUCCGUUUGUUUAGUGAAAUUUCUUGUCAUGCUUCGCUCGUGGACUUAGAUUUUACACCGAACCACAUAAAUCUCUUGUGUUAGUUUGAGAUUGUUUGUUUUAGUUUUCACCUACAACGUUGAUAUCGGUACUUUGCUAUAAUUUGCUUUCCUUUGCUCAUAAAAGUACGACAAGUGGUAUCAGAGCCCAGCUUUCGGCUUGGGCUUUUCUUGGCAAUCAAUAUGAAGCCUUCUGUGUCGUCGGUGAAAGUUGAUAUUGAAAAGUUCGAUGGCAAUGACUUUGGUAUUUGGCAAUUGAAGAUGCGUGCUUUGUUAAUUCAACAAGAGCUUUUAAAAACGCUAAAGGGUGUGAAGGCUUUCCUGAAUUCGUGGACUGAUGAAGAAAAACAAAGAAGUUAUGGAGCGGGCACUUGGAACAAUCCUGCUGACUUUAUCGAAUGAAGUCUUGCGUCAAGUUGGUAGCAUCAAAUCUGCACCGAAGUUGUGGCUAAAAUUGGAGAGUUUGUAUAUGACCAAAUCCCUUGCUAAAUGGUUGUAUUUGAAGAAAAGUUUGCGUACUCUUCGUAUGGAUGAAGGUACGUCAAUUCAUAAGACCAAAUCCUUAUUGCUGCCAAAAGUCCUCAACAGUUCCAAGGGAGAUGGGUAAGAGUUCGUAAUAGUGAGAGAUUGAAUCUUUUCACACUUGGCCAAAUUUUAAUUUUAAUUAGAUGAAACAAUGAAUCUUGAACAAAGCAAAACAAAAUUUAAUACUGAAAGAUUGAGUCAUUGAAGUGGACGUGGAUGUUGGGUACUUAACAGUCCAAGAAUGAAAACUCUCAUAUCAGUUUUUAUCCAAAAUUUUGGAAUUAUGUGAGUAUUGCAACGAUUGUCCGAAUGAUUAUUCUUCUUUUAUUAAAUUUCCAUGGAAAAUGAGCAUGGGGCACAAAAGUUGAACGAAUGAAAUUUCAAUGAUCUGCAAAGGGAUUGUGAGUUUGACAUGCCAUUUUUCUUCCUUUUAUGCAAUCAUGUUUAUUAAAAGACAAAAAUAAAUAUGACUUUACAUAAGCAGAGAGAAAGAGUAUUUUUCUUUGAAAAAAUCAACUAUUUAUUGAAGAGGAUGUGGAUGUUGAUUGAUGCGCCGUGUGAAUAGGAAAAAAAUGACCUUGAAGGGAGACAAGACAUUCAUUAGAAGCUAAAAAAAAGUUAUAGUGAUUUAGAAAAAAGAAAUUUUAACGAAAUAUUUCCGGUAUUGUUCACUCUUUACGAAAAACCACAUUUUUACAUUUCCUGGCUACUAUUCACUACACCUUUAUUUAUCAUUUUUCAUUAAAACUAAAUUUGUUUUUGAACUUUUCGUUAGUUUCCUUUAGAAAAAAGCAAGAAAGCCUCAUUUUCAAAGUGGUAGUCAUUGAAACAAUACUUGAUUAGAAGAAAAGUCAUAGUAUUGUAUUUACAAUCUCAAGUCUUGAGGGGUAACGAGAGUGCAAGUUUCUAAUUGGAAUAUAAUAUGAAAUUUCUACAUAACAAUAUAUGACAAAGAAAGAAGUCUAAGUUUCUAAGUGGAAGGGCUUCCAAUUGAUGUGAGUUUGUUGAGAAAUGAAGAUGAAGAUGAAUAUUGUUGUUGAUGUGAGUUAGUGAACAACAGAACAAGUUGCUUCUCCUUUGGCCUCUAACAUGAUAUUACCGGAAAACAAGUUGUUACUAGUAAAUGUAACUGACUGGUGAACUAAGACAUGCGGUACGAUUUUUGAUAACUAGAGAAGAUGAAUAGUGUCGUGACAAAAUUUAUCCAAGUAGACCCAAGGGAAAGACUUAGGAACUUCAUAUGCAGUGGGAUAAAAUCUUAAGCUAAUUUCCUUUUUAAUCUUAUAGUCAUUAUGUAAAAUGUAUAUGCAUAUUUCUAGAUACAUACACACCAAUGUACAUAAUAUUAACUCCUUUUAAGUAGUCAUUUGCAAAUCCCUCUUGAGUGCUCUUUGGAAUGCUCAUGCGGUGCCGUUCUAAUCUCUUAUAUAUAACUUUUUGUGAUCUGUUUUUUCAUCAAUAUGCCAAAAUCCCUUUAGAAUUUGCAACUUAUCUUUUUGGUUACGGUAAAAAAAAACUCGGAAUUUCAUUUAAACUCGAAAAUCUAGGGAUGUGAAAGCAAUUUUCUCUUGUUCGACAACAUUUAGCGAGAGCAAAGGCAAAUUGUACAGGAAAAAGUUAGAAAUUGGGGAUGAAGAUUCCCAAUUUUAAUUUCGUCUAAAUAAGUGUAAUUUCACAAUUCUAACUACGAUGAGAAUCACAAAUAUAUUGCAGGGAAAUCUUGCAACAGCCAAACUUUACGAUUAGGGUGCCAAAUUUCGUGAUAAAACCUAAUAAGGGUUUAGGGCUGCAUUGUUCACUCUGUUAACUCUCCAAAUCUUCGACGGAUUUUCGGCUCGUGCAUCAUCUUCUUGCUUUGUUCUAGGUCAACGCCUCUACUCUCUUCUUUCUUGAAUUAUUUUAGCUUUUUAGGUAGGCUCUUUAUGGCUGUUGUGAAUUUUGCUAGUUAUUUUUAUUUUCUGAUAGUCAUUUGUUUGUUGUGCGUUUUUCCUUCCAAUUGAAUUGUGUAUUGGUUGGAUCUGUAACAUUUAUUUUUUAUUUUAUUUUAUGGAUUUUGGUGUUAGUUCUUUGUCAUGGAUGUUGUCCCUUUGAAGGUUAACAAUAGCCAAGACUAAACAUGAUGAUAUUGUUAAUUACUUUCUCAUGAUACUAAUGCCAUAUUGUUCUCUCUUUUGCACUUACAAGUGAAGAGAAAUAUCCUAGACCCUAACUGGAUAUGUUAUUGUCAUGGUCAUGCAUUGGUAUGGUAACAAUAUGUUUGGAUAAGGAAAAUAAACUUAGAAUUUGACAAAAGAUAGAAUUUAUAAAUUGAUACAAUCAAUUCCUUUGUUUAGAUUCAUAAACAUAGAAAUUUAAACUUUCCGUGUGAGAAAAAACUUGGAAUUUGGGACCUUCAAUUCUCAUGUUUAAAUUUUAUGUAAAUAGGUGUCAUUUCUAAAUUUCAGCAAGUGAGAAUUUAAAAAUAACAAACAUGUAUUCAAAUUUCAUUCCUCUUUUAGGUUAACCAAACAAGAAAUUUUAUAAAUUCUAGAAAAUAAAAUUUCGUUAUUUCAAUUUCUGUUAUUUUAAAAUUAGUAAUCUUAAAUUUUCCCAUCCAAACAAAGAGUUUCCUUGUCAUAGAACUUUCAAUUGGGAUCAAGGAAGACAAUCUUUUCACAACUGAUUAUUCUCACCAAAUUUUAUUAUUAUUUUAAAGCAGAUCAAUACCAAACUUCAAAAGCAAAGUAGGAAGGCUAAAAUUAAGGUGAAGAACCUACUUCCACUAAUUACCAUGGGAGGGGGAGAGAGAGAGAGAGAGAGAGAGAGAGAGAGAGAGAGAGAGAACCAAGCGAGAGAGAAGAGAGAGAAAACACCAAGUAGUAUUAUAAUAUAGGUGGGGUUAAAUCACCUUUCGUGAAGUUGCGGUAAGAGCAGCUCCAGCGGGAGGUCCAGCUUGAUGGACCGGUGAGAUUUCCUACCCAAUAGCCCCAGCUCCUUGCUCCAGCCCAUGCGGGCGAUUGGGCUGAGGGGGUGCCCGAGUGAGAGGCCUGACUCGAAUCGGUAGCCUGAGAGCUUGAGGCCAAAUGAUGCAUGGACGUCAGCCACGUUAUAAGAAGGAAGCAUAAACUAUGAAUAAUGAUAGAGAUUUAGAUUUUGGUGUGUGAUUUCAUCGGAUGGAUGGUGGGUUAUAUGGAGGAAAAAAAAAAGAUUAGGUUGUAGAUAAUGCCACGUGGCAUGCCGUCAUUCGUUAAAAAUCUGAUCGAAAUCUAUCAUCAAAGAUUUUAAACAGAUUAUGACACGUGACGCAACGUGAUUGGUUAAAAAUCUUAUCAGAAAUCUAUCCUUAACGAUUCUGAAAAGGUAACGAGAUGGGGCACGACGGCAUUGGAUAAAAAUCUUAUCGAAAUCUAUCACCAAAAAUUAUCUUUUUGGAUAAUGACACGUGGUGCAACGAGAACGAUUAAAAAUCUUAUCCGAAAUUACAAAUAGAAUUAUUUUGUAUUAUUUUAUAAAAUAAAAAUACUAAUAUUUUAUUGCCUAUUGACAUGACUAUUCAAUUAUGGGUGUGGAGAUGCAGAAGAUAAUUAUUAUUAAUUAAAGGUAAUUAUUGUUCAUUGGAGGGGAUUGAAUAUGAAGUUGCAGUAGAAGGCCUUUGUCACAGCAAUAGGCAGUUACUGUUCUAAGGACUUCUAUCCUAGAACAGAGACAAAAACACCAAGUAGUAUUAUAAUAUAGGUGGGGUUAAAUCACCUUCCGUGAAGUUGCUGUAUGGACUUCUAUCCUAGAGAAAAGUCGGUCAAUGGUGUUUGACACAGUCAGUCAACGACAAAGACAGAAUUGUGUAACCAUAAUUCUCUCUCUAUCUCUUUUUCAUUAACGGAGGACAGUGUAUAAUUACUACGUAUAUAUCUCUGCUCAAUUAUUGAAAAGAAAAAUCCAUGUGCAUUAUUUUUAUUAUUAUUAUCUCAGAAAUGCAGAAAUUGAUUAUCUCUUCCUUCUGCAUAUUGAUACUGGUUUUCUUCAAACUAGUUGAAGCAAGCCAAUAUGUGUGCGCGAAAUCCAACUGUAGCAAUGAUCAAGGCCCGGCUAAUUUCCUUAGGAGGGAGAGAGAGAGAGGGGAGAGAGAACCAAGUGAGCGAGCAGAGAGAGAAAACACCAAGUAGUAUUCUAAUGUUGGUGGGGUUAAGUCACCUUCCAUGAAGUUGCAGUAAGGACUUCUAUCCCAGAGAAAAGUCAGUAAAUGAUGUUGACACAGUCCGUCAACGACAAAGACAGAAUUGUGUAACCAUAAUUCUCUCUCUAUCUCUUUUUCAUUAACGGAGGACAGUGUAUAAUUACUACGUAUAUAUCUCUGCUCAAUUAUUGAAAAGAAAAAUCCAUGUGCAUUAUUUUUAUUAUUAUUAUCUCAGAAAUGCAGAAAUUGAUCAUCUCUUCCUUCUGCAUAUUGAUACUGGUUUUCUUCAAACUAGUUGAAGCAAGCCAAUAUGUGUGCGCGAAAUCCAACUGUAGCAAUGAUCAAGGCCCGGCUAUCCAUUUCCCAUUGAACAUCAGGCGCACACAUCAUUGUGGAAAUUCUGGGCUUGAAUGCAAUGGGAGAUAUGAGCAGCAAAUACUAAUAAAAUUAUUUGUCAAAGACACAGAUUACAAGCGUCAGGAAAUCCAAGUCUAUUCCCCAAGUAACUGCCUGCUGCUAAAGCUUGUUGAAAUCCCAAACAUGCCACCCUCUCCCUUCGUGCCAGUAGUCGAUUACAUGAUUAAUUUCAUAAACGUUACCUUAUUCAGUUGUCCUACUUCUGUUGCAAUACGAGAUACGUAUGGUUGUCAAGUCCCCUGCCUUGGCGACCGUGGCAAGAGAACUUAUGCCAUUGAUUCUGGGGUUUAUUUUGAAACUCUCUUCCAGAAUCUAGAAUCCUGUACAAAAAUGUAUGAUGUUUUAUCAGUUCCAAUAGCCGAUGAAUAUUAUGUUUUUCGUUUCAAAUGGUCUAUACCAAAUUGCAGAAAAUGUGGAGAGGGAAAGAAGUGUGAAUGGCAGAACAAUGAAAUUAAAUGUCUUCCCUGGAGGAAACCAAGUAAGGAUAACAUAUGUAUUCAUUGCUAGUUUUAAACAUCUUUACAUUUAUGUCUUAGUAAUUAUUAUUUGAAGGAUGUUGUCCAAUCCAUUUUUACUAGGAAUAUUACCUGACAGUCUCGUUUAAAUUCGCAAUGAUCUUCUACAGGCAACACAUGGAAAAAAGUGGUUACAGGUGGAAUCCUGUGUGCUUUGCUUCUUGUUCUACUGACGAUUGCAGCAUAUCGGGUAUAUAGCGCUGAUAGAAAGGAGAAAGAGAGUCGAUUAAGAAUUGAAAGAUUCUUGGAGGACUACAAAGCACUCAAACCAAGCAGGUAUUCGUACGCAGAUAUUAAGAGGAUUACAAAUCAAUUCAAGGACAAGUUGGGCGAAGGAGCCUAUGGAACUGUCUUCAAAGGAAUGCUCUCUUCUGAAUUCUUCAUUGCUGUCAAAGUCCUCAACAGUUCCAAGGGAGAUGGGGAAGAGUUCGUAAAUGAAGUGCGAACGAUGGGUCAUAUCCACCACGUAAACGUGGCUCGCUUGGUUGGAUUUUGUGCUGAUGGAUUUGUACGAGCUCUUGUUUACGAGUUCUUCCCCAAUGGUUCCCUGCAGGAUUUCAUUUCAUCUGCAGAUAGUAAGAAUUCAUUUCUUGGUUGGGAUAAGCUACAAGAUAUUGCCCUAGGCAUAGCCAAAGGAAUUGAAUAUCUUCACCAGGGAUGCGAUCUACGAAUCCUGCAUUUCGACAUCAAACCCCAUAAUGUUUUGCUAGACCAAAACUUCACUCCAAAAAUUUCUGAUUUUGGUUUGGCCAAGUUAUGUUCCAAGGAUCAAAGCUUGGUGUCCAUGACUACAGCAAGGGGGACCAUGGGCUACAUUGCACCUGAAGUGUUCUCCAGGAAUUUCGGAAAUGUGUCGUACAAGGCAGAUGUUUAUAGCUUUGGAAUGCUACUGCUUGAGAUGGUAGGAGGAAGGAAGAAUAUUGGUUCAAUUACGGAUAACACUACAAAUGAAAUUUACUAUCCACAGUGGAUUUAUAAUCUUCUAGAGGAAGGGGAUGACCUACGAAUCCACAUUGGGGAAGAAGGAGAUGGUAAAAUUCCAAAGAAACUUGCAAUUAUAGGGCUAUGGUGUAUCCAGUGGCACCCGUCGGAUCGUCCUUCCAUGAAAAUAGUGGUUCAGAUGUUAGAAGGAGGAGGAGAAAGCUUGAGUAUGCCGCCUAAUCCCUUUGUGCCUACUGGUUCUACAACUAGGAAUGCAAGACACCUAGAGCUAGAAGCUAUUGCUGAAUUAGAGUAAAAUGUAUAUGCAGAUAUGUAGACGUAUAGAUAUAGUAAUAUUUAUAUUGAAUAAGAGGCCGUUUGAUAACCAUUUCGUUUUCAGCUUUUAAUUUUUAUUUUUCACUUUUUUGAAAACUAAAAACUAAAAUCUUGUUUGGUAAAUACUUUUAGUUAAAAAAAAAUGAAGACUGAGAACUAAAAUGUGAAAGCUCAAAGGAAGUAGAUUAAAAGUAGUUACCAAACAAACCGGAAUCUCAAUAAAUAAAAAAGAUUGAAUUGCACAAUGCAAUCCAAACCAAUCAAAACAUUUAAAAUAGCAAAAAAAAAUUAAAAUUCUAGUUGAUUAGAUUCUAAACAUAGUAAAAAUGAACAGAUCCGAUGAAAAAAACAAAAAAUUCUCAGAUAAAAAUAGGGAUAAAGUAAAAUAUUUAUAAAUAGCUCUUUGUCUCUUAUGCCAUCAAUUAUUUCUAUAGUAUAUACACGUUUUUGGAAAAAUUAGGUUCCCAUCCCUUAUUUUCAUAUUACAUUGAUUGAAAUCUUAUUAUUUUUCUAUUUUAGAUCAAGGUCCCUUGACUUAUUCUAUGUCAUCAUUUUAGUAUUUAAAAUAUUACACGUUAUCAUAAACGAAAUCUCAUCCCUUUCUGCAUUUAAGGCAAAAUAAACUAUAUGAGUAAGUUUAAAACAAGGAAAAUCCAUUUGAACUCCUCCAUUCUUCUUCUUCUCUUAUAAACAUCUGGAAUCUACAACACCCCAAACCCAAUUUUCUCCAUUUUUUCUCCUUUCCUGAAUUGAUCCAAUGCAUAUAUGUUGAAUAAACCUAUUGUGAUUAAAAUACAAAUUAGCAUCAAUGGUUUUAUUGGCUUGUGAGAUUUGUGUGGCAUAGGCAAGGCAAUGCAGGCAUCGUUUUCUCAAGGAAUCUGGUUGAUUCAAACAUGCAGAGACUGUAGAGUGAGUGGGCUAUGUGAAAACUGUACCAUUCUGAAGUCAUUUUCUUUUGUUCUUUAUAUUUUUUUUUCUUUUUCUUUUAUUAUUAUAUAUUAGUCUUGGUUAUUCAAUGCCUGGUUGGCUACACUUAUAUCCAUGGGUACAUUUUUAAUCUACAUGUUUCGUUCUAAUAUAUCUAUUGCUAUAAUAUGUUUUGGUUGGUUCAAAUUUGUUUUACAUAAAUAUAUGGGUACAAAGUUUUUGGAGAAUAUUAUGUAAAUGGUUUUUAAGGUUGCUGCAUUUUACGUACCCACAUAUGCAUGUCUAUAAAACAAUGUGGUAUGAUGUACAUUCUUUUCUUUGAGUUUUUAAAUGUACCCAUGAGUUUUUUUGUAAAUUCGGUAUGUACCCAUAUGCUAUUUAUGUUAUGGGUACAUACAUUAUUUUUGGUCUAAGUUCAGGGUACAUUGCUUUUGUAUGUAUGAAUUCAAGGGGUACAUUAUUUCCCUUAAUACUACUCAAUAAAAUUCACAAAAUAUGUGUAGUGUGCAUGAUUUUUUAUUGUAGAAAUUGUUUUUUUUUAAGUCUCAUAAUUCAUGAAAUUUGUACAUAUAUGAUCCCAUAAAUUUUUUAAUUUUAUUAAAUUUCUUUUAGACUUGAUCGAUUGAUUGAAUCUCAUCAUACUAGGAUUUUGAAUUACAUAAAUUCUUGGAUUUAAAUCCCUUAAAUGUUGGACUGCAAUCAAUAUUUUAAAUUAUAGUUUUUUAUUUAAGAUAUCAAAAAGAUGACAUGGAAAUAUAGUAAUACUAAAAUGCUGAGGUGUACAAAGUCAAAGGACUUUGAUCAAAAAAUAAAAAACAAUAAGAUUUCAAUCUAACAAUUAAAUUGACUAGGGACCGGAACCAAAAUGACCCUAGAUUUUUAUUGAGUUUAAUCUUAAUCAAAAAAAGACUUCUUGUAUCACAGAAAAUACAAGAACCAUUAUUUGAAUGAAAUAAAAGCUAUGGGAUGGAGAUAUAAAUGGAUCAUUUUAUUCACAAUCGGAUUAUAUUUAUUUGAUACACUAUUGUCAAUAUGAAUGUUGAGAAAAAGACUACAAAAGAAAAAACAAUUUAUAAAUAUAACUAACAAUUCCAAUUUCAAUCAAUUAGACAAUUAGAUAAUACAUCAGUAAACGCGGGGUGACUCAGUGGUUAGAAACGAAUUUUAGGCUCGUAUUCUAUACAAUACGUCUUGGGUUCGAUUCCUGACAAUGGUGAAUCACGCGACGGUAGAUAUAGGGGUGUUGUUGGAAGUUUUGAGACUCAAGUCCUUUAUAUAGAUUUAGUGCUUUAGUUUAGUAAUUAGAAUAUGGGUCAUUUGGAAAUGGAUUGAAGGUUUGGGCCUUAUGGUUGUGUGGAUUAGGCUUGUAUAAUAUAGCCUAAAUACAAUUAAUAUUAAUUAAUCAAGACAAGGGCCUUGGGCCUUACUUGGGGCCUUGGAAUUUAAAAUUAAUCUGAUUCAUUAAUUUUAAUUUUCGGAUUAAGUUUUUAAUUAAUUUAUUAUUAAUUAAAAACGUUUUGAUUAAAAGACACAGCUCUUAGAAAAGAGUUAUGAACCUUCAAAUACACUGAACUGGUAUUUGAAAGGGUGUGAAACAACCUAUAUAUCUGCAAUCCAUGGUAUCCAAAUAAAUCAUCUUUUCUUCUUCCUUUUCUUCCGUACAAACUUUCCAGAGAGAGUAAACACACAAAGCAAUUCGCUAGAAUUCUAUAAUUUAGUGCGGGUUAUAGGAUUAGGUAGUUGUAUCCUGGUCGAGCAGACGUUAUAGAACCACAAGCACAAGAGUGGGACGGAAUUACUGUUCGAAUGACAUAGCUUUUACGUUAGCCUCUACCUUCUGUAAUCAAGUUAGUACCGUUGACAUUCUUAUAUUAAUUUCUGUAUUUAUUGUAUACUUUUCAUUUUGUAUAGCAAGUACCUUUUGUUAAAUAAAAAUUGUGAAUUUCAAGUUCUGUUUAUUUCUGUUAUUCUGUUUAUUUCUGAAUUGUUCUCCAACACCCCUAUAUCUACCGUCGCGUGAUUCACCAUUGUCAGGAAUCGAACCCAAGACGUGUUGUAUAGAAUACGAGCCUAAAAUUUAUUUCUAACCACUGAGUCACCCCGCGUUUGAUUAUAUUUCACUUAGACUUAUCUUGCGGUAUAGCAUGUCAUCCCCGCCCAAGUUUUUCUGUUGGCAUUGAGUUUGGGAUACCAAAACUUGCCAAACAAAGUAGAUUGAUUAGUAAGCGAAGCUAAUUAUUCGACUAAACAUUGUUUAGAAUUUUAAUUAAAAGAAACAAUAUGAAUCUGUUUAUUUUUUUUUUUGACAAACUAUAACGUUAAGGAGUUAAAUUGUUAGUUAUUAAGAGUACAAUGAUAGGUGAGGAUCGAACCUCCACCAGAGUGCAUAGACAUUAUUGGUUCUACAACUGCGGUAAAUCACAUAAAACAAAACGUAAUACUUUGAGGAUGGAAGACACUUCGUGGAUAGCGGGCAAUCAACACUAUCAGUUGCUAUCCAAAACUUGGAAUUAUGUUUAUUGUCCGAAGGAUUUUUCUUCCAUUAAAUUGCUAAGGAAGAUGAGGAUGGGUGGAGUGUCUAAAUGUCAAGGUUGACAAGAACGUGUAUGGUGUUCAGCUUGCGAUUGAGAUUUGUUAGAGUGGCACAACAAACCACAUAAAAUUUUCUAAAUGAUAAGCUUGAGUAUAAUUUUUUAUCACGUAUUUAUCUUUAAAAUCAUUAUAAUUAGAUUUUCUCUUAAUUAAUAUAGACCGUUAGAUUCAUCUAAUGACCCAAGUUUUUUUCCUCUUUUCUUUCCACUCUUUUCCAUUCACCGUGUAGCAGUCGUUCUUCCCCAACUACGUUUCUUAUUUUUCUUCACAAAAAAUUUGUAGAAAAUAUUAAGAAAAGAAAAGUCAUCAAUAUCAGACUCGACCAGGUAAUCGUUCCAACCUUCCCAGCAACUCUCAGUCUUAACUAGGCACCAAAUUUUCUCCGCCACCUAACUCGUCAUUCAUUCAUGGGUGUUUCAAGCUUGGUGAAAAUUGAUAGAGUUCCAUGUGUGUACACGGAUGUGAACAUAUUGGCCACUCUCUAAGAAUGAGUCAUUGGAAAAGUUGAAGGAAAGAUGUAACCGAUGAAAUUAAUGGAUUGGAAUUACAAUGAAGUCUGUGUUGGUUUAUCACAAAGAACCCAGAUACAAAAUUUUAAAAGCAAACAAUUUCAACUUCUCAAAUAUUAUCUAACAAACUUUCAAUGAAAUGUUGCUCAUAAUUGAAAAAAGGUUGACGAAGGACGGAGUUGGGGUUAUUUUAGAUGAGGAAGAGUUAAAAGAAGGAAGCACCAUUUAAUUAAUAAAAGUGAUUGGAGAAAUGGUAAUUCAAUGGUGGGCGUUUUUAAGGUGUGGACCUUGUAUCACACCCUGAUCCCAACAUACAUUGAGGAUCGACACGUGACAUGGGGACAUAGGGGACAAAAAUCUUACAUAAGAUACAGAAUGAAAUACUAUAUAAUAUCCCAAAAUGAAUAUGAUAGUGGGUUCACCCCUAUAAAAUACAUACGAGUUUGUACAUUCACAAAAAAAUAAAAAAAAUAAAAAUAAAUAAAAAUAAAAAACACACACACAACUCUCGCUAGGCCAAGACUUGCCCAUGGUGCUCAAAGGAAAGUCCCAAAAGAAAUAGUACAAUGAAGGAUAAAGGGGUAACCUAAACACUCCAAGUCUCUGAUCUCUGCACUGCUACCCCCACCGGCUCCUCGUAAUCUACUCAGACCUGUCACAUGUACAAACAGUGCCUACAUUGUGGGAAUGGUGCACCAGGCAAACAAAAACCCGGAUAAGCUGCAAAACUCGUGUGAGUGACAAUAAUGCAACGUAUGUGAUAAUCAAGAAAAACAGACCAUCGAUCACAGUUUAUAAAUCUCAAAUAUAACUUCAUACUUAUGAAAUCAUAAUCAAGUCACUGAAAACUUCGAAUGAGUCACCCAGACAUCUAACGACUUUUCUAAAUCAAAUCUCAGAGAUUCCCAAAACUAUCGUUCACAAAUACACUAAAAACUAGGGCUAGAGUGACACAGUUCAGCCAAAGCCUACAUAAGUAACCAAAUAAGAAGUGGCCCCCCAUAGCGGAUUAACCAAGCAGAGCCACUCCUGAGAAAGUAACCAAGUAGGUAGUGACCCCCAUCACGGAUUAACCAAGCAGAGUCACUCCUACGAAACUGUUAGGUAGUGAUCACCCAUUACGGAUUAACCAAGCAUGAUCACCCCUAAGCACGUAUGGCCAUACCUAAGAAAUAAGGAUCGCCCAUCGCGGAUUAACCAAGCACGAUCCAAAAAUAUUAUGGGUCCCCUAUCGCCGAUUAACCAAGCAUGACCAUCCAUGUACCACUGCUACAUGGUGUAAAUUCGGUGUCACCUAACCUCGUGACACUAGGGUAACGGUCCUCUAGUAGCCCUCACGUUUUUCAAACAUUUCAAAUAUAUAAUUUAAAACACAAUUCAUAAACAUUUCGAAUAGGGAAGUCACAUAGUGUUUAAUAAUGUAGGUCAAUGGCAAACUUUAAAAACAAUUAUUUAGCAUAAAACAUAUUUUAGAAAUCCAUGCUGUAUCCACAAAGUAUACUAGCACGGGAGAUUUUCAGGGUAAUAACUCUAUCACAUAUAUUAAAGUCACUCACCUGGAGUCCGCACUAACGCACCCUGGCACGAAUAUCAAGACGUCGCGUACUAUCAUCUGCAACAUCCCACAUCGACCAACGAAGAGGGGGUGAUGUGCCUUCUAUGUACAUGCCCACCUCCAUAGCAUGAGGCAUUUUGGGAGCUCACUGGCUUCAUAUUCCAUCGGAACUCCAAAGUUAAGCAAGUUUGGGCGAGAGUAGUCCCAGGAUAGGUGACCCAUUGGAAAGUUAUUGUGUGAGUCCUAGAAACAAAACCGUGAAGGCGUGGCCCGAGGGGGCCCAAAACGGACAAUAUUGUGCUACGACGGAAUCGAGACUGAGAUGUGACAGAAUGGUAUCAGAGCCACUCUGCCGUGUGGUGCGAGUGUGCCGACGAGGACGUCGGGCCCCUAAGGGGGGUGGAUUGUAACAUCCCACAUCGACCAACGAAGAAGAGGUGAUGUGCCUUAUAUGUACAUGCCCACCUCCAUUUAGCACGAGGUCUUUUGGGAGCUUAUUGGCUUCGGGUUCCAUCGGAAAUCUGAAGUUAAGCGAGUUCAAGCAAGAGCAUUCCCAGGAUGGGUAACCUACUGGGAAGUUCUCGUGUGAGUUCCCAGAAACAAAACUGUGAGAGCGUGGCCAGGGCCCAAAGUGGACAAUAUCGUGUUAUGGCGGAGCCGAGAUUGGGAUGUGACAUUGUCACCUAAGACAAAGUACAGAUCCACAUUUAGAGUUCUUCAAGUAUUCACAUAAUAAAAAAUUUCCAUACGCCCCCUACAACUAAUGAACAGAAAUCGAGACACGUUGACAAAAAGUCAACCGUCGAUCAACGGUAGGGUCCACAACCCUACAUAACUCGAUCCGCAAUAUCCAACCACUGUAUUUGUGAUUCAUAAGUUCAUAAGGUCUUCAAAUCCUACCUACAAUAACAUACUAAACUUUGGUGAUGAUCUAAUGGUCGAAUCAUCAUUUGCUAUAAUGUUCAAAUGACGCAAAUUCAUCAAUCAGAUGUCAAAUAUGGAAUCAGACAUCGAAUUUAGCUUAGGAAUGUCAAGUGGUGUCUCGAGCACGCACCGCCGUGCGCAACAGCUGGCAACCUAGAUUCGUCGGAAAAAUCACCUAAUUCCAAAAUGAAUGUUGUGAGACGUGGAGUAAAUUGUAUACCUGUGAAGAAGCCCAAUUUGGCCGGGAAGUGGCCUGAAAUCACUUUAGACCGUCGGAAACCCUAAAAUAGGUGAAUCUCGAUUCGUCAUCCCCGGUAUUCCACCGUUCUCAAACUUGUUUAGGGUUUGCUCAUGGUCUCAAAAGAAUGCUAAUGAUGGUGGUGAUUGAAAGAGAACGUUUCAGAAAUAGUGAAUCACCAAUGAGGGUUUCACGAAACCGACAUGGGUGUUCCUCGUGGAACCAAGACCAAAUCUCAACGGUUUUGGCUAGAAAUGGAUGCUGGGAUGUCAUGGUGAAGUUUGGUAGUGAUGGGAGGUUGAAGAAAGACAAAAAAAAUCGACAAAAAAAUCGUCGUCGGAGUCGCAAGAAACGAGUUAGAAAAAUGAGUCGUCGGGUCUGAAACGUCGAAGGCUUUUGAGACAACUACUUACUCUCUCUUCUCUGAUUAGUCACUCCACUCACUCUCUCAUUUGAUUGGUCCAGCCUUCCCACAUGGUGGGAGUUCCCUCAUAUAGUAACCCAAAAUUUACUAUUUAAAUCUGGUAUUGAACGUCCGUAACUUUUUCGUUAUGGUUUCGAUUCGCAAACGGUUUUCACCUAUGCGCUCGUAUGAUCGAAUUAUACUCAAAAACAUUAAUUAUGACCUCGAAAAGGUCUACGAGUUUUAAAAGAUUAAUUACAAAAAUUCACACCUUGUAACUAUACGAUUCAAAUCCUAAAAUUAACGGAAUUAAAAUAAACUAAAAAUAAUGUAAACACGAAAUACAGACUUUAAUAAUGAAAUACGUAAUUAAUAGUGGAAUUCCGGGGAUGGGAUUUCACAACUUGCGUCCGGACCUUCAAUGCGGAUCAAAAUCCAAAGGUCGUGAUCUGACGAGCUCAUGCAUAGAACAGAGUUGUUGUGACCCAAUGCAAUUCAAAACUUUUAUGUUUUUUUAUUUACUGGGUACGUUUUUUAUUUACUGGGUACAUUUUUGCAAGACGUUAAAGAAAGCGCUUCUUGGGAGGCAACCCAUGUAUUCAAAAAAGGAAGAUCUAUGAAUCGCUCUACAAUUAGUUUUGCGUUUCUAAAAACCUUCCCUUUUCUGCAUUUCUAUUUUGCCAUGAUUGUCAUUUUUUAUUUUUGUUGUUUAUUUAAUUAUUUUUGGGUGUGGGUUUAUUUUUGAAACAUUGACAGAUAUGCAAGAUAUUCUUACAUUCAUUUUCAUGAAAAAAAGAAAAGGGAACAUUAAGCAGGAAAUUACAAGAGGGAGCCUUCACAAAGGCUGCUUAGGAGAAGUCUCAGUAGUCGGCGGAGCCCCAGAAGAAGGAGGCAGCGGAGGUUGAUCAUUUGGAGCUUCAGUACGCGGUGCAGCCCCAGAAGACGAAUGCAAAUGUUGUUGGAACAAACCCACAAACCGCUGAUGAUCAAGUAAAAUCUGACAAUCAGAUUCCUGCAUCUGGUCAAUCUUCCUCUUCAUGUUUGUAGCAUAAUUAUGUGCGAGCCUGUGCAACUGUUUAUUCUCAUGCUUAAGCCCUCUAAUCUCCUGCUUAAGACUCAUCACUUCAGCCGCCAAUGAUUCAACUUGACGGGUUCGGGCAAAUAGGCGUUGGGCCAUAUUAGACACGGAACGUGCGCACUGCACACUGAGAGCUAGAGAAUCCUUUACAUCCAACUCAUCAGACCGUUUGGCAAGUAGUCUAUUAUCUUUGGGAGUGACAGGGUUCCUGACCACCACCGCAGCUGUCAUAUCAUUCUUCAUCACCGAAUCCCCAACGAUAAGGGGACCAGUAGGGGAUAUGAAGGAUGGGCGCCAUAUGUUGUCUGGAGAAGGCGGGACUGCCUCUUCACCAAGGUUCAAGUCAAAACGACGAUCGGAUGGGCCAAACAUUUUCACAGGUGUUAAAGAAAGAAGAGGUCGGACAAGUCAAGAUCGUAGAAGUGCAAGAUGAGAGUUUUUACAGGCAGAAAUUCAAGUGUGCUUUGAACGUCCUACGUACUUCUAUAAAAAUCAGCACUCGAUGGGAUUUCAGAGAUCGAAGAGGCAAGCUCAGAAAUCGAAGAGGCCAACUAAAAAAAUUAAAGAGGCGCUAGCUUUCUCAAAAGCUGAGCUUGCUCAGAAACCACGGCCAAUCUUCUUUUCCAGAUUUGUCCGCACUUGUCACAUGCAACUCGACGGGAUUUCAGAGAUCGAAGAGGCAAUUCCAGAUAUCGGAUAGGCAUCUGCUUUUGCAGACGUGUCAACAUCUGUCACAUGCAGAGUAAGCUUUGCGAAAAUCACGGGCAGUUUGUGAAGCGCCGAUUCCAACCAUCUGCUUUUGCAGACGUGUCAACAUCUGUCACAUGCAUAGUAAGCUUUGCGGAAAUCACGGGCAGUUUGUCGAAGCACCGAUUCCAACCAUCUGCUUUUCCCGACGUGUCAACAUCUGUCACUUGCAGAGUCAGCUUUACGAAAAUUACGGGCAAUCUGUCGAAGAUCUCUUGUGAAGUUUACUAUUAAAUCAUCCAACGGUUGCUGACAAGAGUGAAAGAAUAGUACCGACUAUUAAUUCCUAUAAAUGUCAUCCUUCACCCUCAAUUGCAAGGCAGACAUACAUAACCCCCUUCUUCUCAGAAAAUGCCUUUCCAACACACCCUCUCGAGUCACUCAGUGUUCCUAAUUCCUUGGGGUACCUCUGCAAACAACUCAUCCAAAGCAAAAGUAUUUCAUAUCAUGAAGGUUGAAAGCAAGAGUAUCUCAUAUCAUGCUUUCUCCCUGUCCUUCUCCUUGUCUUUGUUUUAGGACAAGGAGAAAGAGAGCAAUCAGCCAGCACUUGGUAUCAAUCUUCCGAUCUGGAACCGACUGCCUGGAACCCCUUCCUGAUUGCUUACCUAGCCUUGCUCUCGAGAACUCAUCUUCAUCAUCUUAUGCUUCCUCUUCGUCUACCACAUCUGCCUGGGGAACAGAUAAGGGAAGUGAAAAUGAUACCUCGAAGCAUGUGGAAACAAUUUACCAAUUCAUCCUUAGCUAGGGACAAGGAGAAAAAAAGCAAGAGGUGGGCACUUGGAAAGAUUGAAGAAAGAAACAGACCAACACCUCUACCUCAUGCCUGCCCGCCGUGCAGAAGAAUCAAGCAGAGAAGAAUACAGACUGCACAAUCAAAUCAGGGAACUCUCAUAUUUCUCGCUCAGAAUUCCAAACCAGUUCAAGAUCAACGCUGUGGAAAGUCAACAAGAUCAUCUAUCUCCAAAACCAGAUUUGCGUUCUUAAACUCUACUCUGUCUGGUUUUUACUUUGCUAUACUUGUCAUGUUUAUUCGUUGUUUGUUUGUUUGCUUGUUGUUGUGUGAGUUUAUGUUUAAAACAUUGAGGACAAUGUUUGAUUUAAGUGUGGAGGGAUAACCAUUGUUUUGCAUGAAAUUCGUAGGAGUUUAUCACCCAUUACUUCUAGUGUUGUUCCUUGCUGUUUUAAGUGUUUUAAGCUGUUUUGGAGUGUUUCAGUGUGUUUUGACAUAAAAAUCCGAAAAUCUCAUAAAAAUUUGAAAAAUUGUUUUGAAAAACCAAAAAAGAGUUGUUUUUGUAUGUUUAUUUGUGUUUUAGGGUACCUUCCAACACAAUGAUGAGGAUUUGGUUUUUAAUUACAUGACUGUUAAAGAGAAUUAUAAACAUGGAUGAAAAUUUGAUUUACUCUUUGGUGUAUGCUUGGUUGUGGUUAUAAUUUAUGAAUUCACAUGCAAUCAUAAAGGAAAAAUCAAUUUUGUAACAUGCUUGAAAGAAGGAACUCAAAUGUACGCUACAACCUUGUGAGACUUGAGCCUAGACGUUUAUUUGGAGAGUUAAUAAUGUGCAUUUUUGUUUUCUAAAGUCGUUGUAUGAUCUCAUUAUUCUUUGCUUGGUUGCUACCUAGAAUGCGUUCAUCAUUAUAGAUCCACAUACUAGAACUCAUGCCCGUUCCAUUCAAAGCAUGACAUUAAUUUGCAUAACACAUAUCCAAGAUGAAGUUGUUUAGUGAACCAAAGCCAAAAUAGCCGAACCCACCUUUGUCAUUUGUUUUGUAGGUUUAAACCCCGUUGAGCCUUGUUUAGCCUAUUUUCUUUGUUAAACCACAUCAUCUCUACCUAACCUAGAAUAGGACUAUCCAUACCCUUGUUCUUGAAGUAUAGUGGAGCAUAACUUAGAAAGAAUUCAUUUUGAAACUUAUUGGGGGAAUUUAGAUUUCAAAUUUUUUGUGUGCCAAAGAAAACGGCAAGAGAAAAAAUUCGUGAAAAAAAAGAAAAAAGAAAAGAAAAAUUUGCAAAUUUUCCUGUGUUUAAAAGUAGAUGCCUAAAUUAACCCUUACAUUAAUUUUCCUUGAAUAAUUUCUCAUUCCAUCUAAUUUAGAUCCAUCUUGCUCACUAUUCUUUUUAAAUUUGUGGAUUUUGAAAUUUCAAAUGAGAAUGAAAUUGGAUGAGUUCAAUUUUCGUUUAAUUCUUACAAUUAAUAAGAAAUUCCGUCGAAAACAUUUUGAGUAUUGUUUAAUUUUUCAAUAUUACCGUAUUGUGUCAUUGAAAUAAUUAUCAGAGGAAUUAGGGAAUUCUCUUAAGGAACAACUCAAAAUGUAGUACAUGAUUAAAUAAUUCCUUUGAAUGGUCAACUAUGAUCAACAUAUCUUGUAUCAGAUCUUAGUCAAAUACCUGUUAAGAGUGUAAAUUUCUUGUGUGAAAAUGAGUGUAUCUAGUAAUUUUGGCAUUAGGAUGUUACUACAUUCUCAAAAUGCUGUUUUUUGAUUAAAUGAGCUGUGAGGUACUAAUCAAAUAUGCUCGAGGGUAAGAAUGGCUUAAAUUAUGUGAGUGGUGAUCUGGUUCAUGUUUCAUUAAAAAUCCCUGAGGCAAAUGUUGGAAGAUUUAGGUUAUGUUUUGUUUGUUUCGUUUGUUUUGUUUUGCUCGAGGACUAGCAAAAGCUAAGUGUGGGGAAUUUGAAUUUGAUAGGAGCAUUAUUAUGCGACUGAGUUAGCUUGUUCUCAUGCAUUUAUGUUGUUAUUUCUUAGUUAAUUAUGUAUUUUAAGCUAUUUUCGUGUGUUUGUAGGUCCAUAGGCCUUAUAAAGCAAUAAGGUGCAUUUUGGAGCAGUUUUGGGCUUGGAAUGGAUAGCACAUGCAUGGAGUAAGGUGAUGGACGAAAUUGAAGACUAAAGAGGCUUGGAAUGUGUUAAAAAGAAAGAAUAAUUAAUGACAAAGAGCUCAGCAACCAAACAGGGAACAUGAGUCAAGAUUACCUUAUUUUGAUUUAAUCUUUCCUAAUCUUCAAUGUCCCUAAGUUCCAACAACAUUCCUUGUCUAUUUCAUUCACUCAUUGCCUAGCACCACCCUUGUUCCCUCCAUCAUUCCAAAUUUCUUGCAUCAAUCAUCACUCCACCUUAACCCUUGACUCAUUUCUACACCAUUCCACCUCCCUUUCCUUUCUCUACCAUGUGCACAAUCAUUCAUGUUCCCUACUUGCAUUCAUUGUUGCAACACCACUCCAUUUUACCCCUCAUGCUUUGCAUCAUUACUUCACUUUCACCUUUGAAUCAUUUCAACACCACUUCAUUUUACCCAUGGUUUGCAUCAUUACUUCACUUUCACUUUCACCUUUGCAUCAUUACUUCACUUUCACCUUUGAAUCAUUUCAACACCACUCCAUGUCCCCCUCCAUUGCCUUGCCCUUCCUCUAUAAAAGGAAGUGUGUGUAACAUAAAUUUAGUUCAUAUAUUUUUUUAGAUCAUUCACUCCCAUUUCAAUACAACCUUCAUCCAAACACAUUCAUUCAUCUUCACAUCCAUUCCUCCAUACAAACAAACCUUCAAACACUCACCAACACCUUGUGCCAUAGCAAAGGAAGGAAAGGAAAAUGCUUGGACGUGCGUGCUGUCAACUUGGAUCGUUGGAGCGUUUAGGUGUUUUCUUUCUUUUGUUUCCAAUGUUAAAUUCAUUUUCUGAUUUUGUUGCAAUUAUGAGUGGCUAAAACCCUAUUUAGUUAGGGGGAAGUUUGAAGCCAUGAACAUGCUUGAGAUAUGAAUUGAUUUCUUCCAAUUGUGAUUUGAUAAGUUGUGAUUGCAAUUCAAUUAUCUAUUUUAUUCAUAACUGAUUCUUGUAUGUUUAUUAAGGAUGCAUACUUAAUUUUCAUGCAUGAAUUAGAUGCUAGAAUAUAAAUGAGUUUCACCUAAUCGUUACAAGUUUAUAUUCAUGAGUAGUGAAGGUUGUUUAUCACAAUCUGACACACCCCGUCCCGAAGGAGGGCGUGCUGGCCGUCACGUGAGAGUGACGUAACCAUUUACACAGUUCGGAAGCUUUAAAAAAAAAUUCCAAUUACUAAUAUAACACACCCGAGGGUGAGUCCUACUUUUGUGAAUUCUGUCAGAACACCGUUGGAUUCCUCGUGGCCACCAAAGCUCUGCUAACUUGAACCUGGGGCGCAAAACAAAAGCUUGAACUUGAACCUUUCAGGCGCAAAACAAAAGUUUUUUCGAAAACUUUUCAUUUAAAACAUUUCUAACCCCUCACUGUAAAACCUGUAUACUUUCCCAGAAAAUAGUGUAUAUAUAAACAUAUAUAUAAGCAAAAAUCUCGAAUCUCAAACCUUUAACACUUUUCAGAAAUAUAUAUAUAUAUAUAUAUAUAUAUAUAUAACCAUUUGAAAUCUCAAGACUUGAAUCCCAAAUCUUUAACAUUUUUCAAGAAAAGCAUGCCAUGCCAUAAAUCAAAAAUAUAAAUCAGGUGAAAUAAGGAAUCAAUCGGAGACCCUGCAGUUGGUCCUAUACGAUUAAUUCAAUAGCUCAUUAUCUCACUAAGCCGGAGUCACCACAGUAACCUAUACGGCCCUACUCUGCACAUCACUCAGAACUACGUAAGGUAGUCUAUACGAUGAAAGGUGUAAAAAUACGCUCUAGUGCUUCUCUCAUCAUAUCAUCAGCGCGCAUAACUAAGAUCACCCACUAGUCGGAAUCACGCCUAGUGAUCUAUACGACUAGCAUGUCGGAACCCUCACAUGGUCUGUACGACAUCCACCUACUUGGAUCCAAGGCGAGCGUGCGGUGUGGUGAAUAAAAUAAGCACUAACACCUAGGGUGCAGGUUAUGAGCUUAAAACAUCUUAUCAACAAUCAAUUAAAUGAAUAAAUGAACUCACCUGACUUACCUGUGCCUCCACCGCACCAUGCAACAUGUAUGCAUCAAAUAUCAAUUCGUAUAACUCAUACGCAAUUCACAUUUUUCAAUUAAUUCUAUGCAUGGCAUUUUUAAAACAUAUUUUCAUAUAAAUUCAUUUUAUGGGAAAAAUCAAUAGUAUAAAGGUAAUACAAAAACAAAACUGCCCACUCACCUGGAGUUCGCCCAACAACUCCCUAGCACCACACAUCAAGGCGUCAUGAAGAUUAGUGCCUAGAACAAUAAUCAAACCCAACCUCAGAAAUCAUGCCGAUAGAAUACAUAACUUAUAUAAGACGCGUCCCUACGUAGUUCGAUCCGGAUGAUCUGCAACUCGGAUUUCAAAUCCGUAACUUCCAGAGGUCCACAAUAUACCUCUAGGACAACAUCCUAAAAUUUCAUUACCAUCCAACGGUCGGAUCUCCGUCAAUUUCCAAAACUAAGUGCCGGUUAACAUUCUAUUUUAUGAACUUACAACUCCAAUUCCGGAAGAUCCGUAAAUCGGAUUCCCAAUCCGUAAGUUCCUAUAAUCCUCAAAUAUUACGUAUUACAACGUAUCAACGUUUGGUGACGAUCCAACGGUCGGAUCGUCAAUUCACAUUUUCACCUAACUACGAAUCGUAACCAACUUAGGUUCAAUUACUCAAUUUACGUCCAUCAAUUAUCAAAACUGAACCUAGAGCCUUAAUCACAUGCUAAUAAUGACAUUGGCGGGCCAUUGGCCAUGCGCCGCCGCGCGGGCCGCCGCGGGUGGCGGUUGGCCGCCCCCGGCUCGCCGGAAAAUUCAACUAUUUCCAAAAAUUACCAAAAUUUGCAGAUUUGAAGAUAUCAAUGAGUAGAACAACUUUCAUACCUGUGGCCAAGGCCAAUUUGGCCUGGAAGUGCUUCAAUUUCACCAAAACCGUGAAGAACCCUAGAAUUAGGUGUUUCCAAUUCGACCUUCAAACUUGUUCCAACGCCUCAAUUACCUCUUAGUAUUUGUUCUAGGUCCUAAAGGAAUGCUAAUGGUGUUAGUAAUUGAAAGAAAACAUUUCAAAAUUUCAAGAAUUUAAACAAAAGGGUCGCGGCACCCGUGUGGGUGUUCUUCGCGAAAUCACCAUGAAAUUUAAUGAUUCUUGGGGUGAAACGUGAAGAGGGAAGGCCUAGAUGUUGAUUAGGAGUGGUACCUUGACUCAAUUCGUCGGAAAUUUGGACGAAAAUGGUGAGAACCCGCCGAUUGGAAGUCGCGGGUCGCACGGGUAUACGGGUUGGGAAAACCCAUUUCUUCCUUCUCUCCUCCGCUUCUCGCCCUCUCUCCUUUCCUCCUUUCCUUCCUCUGGUUGGUCAGCUUCUCCCUCUCUCUUCUUCUGAUUCGCCUCUCCUCCUUCUUCUCCGAUUGGGCAGUUUUUGCCCAAUCUCUCUUCUUCUUUCUGUUUUCUGGUUCUUCUCACGCGCACACACACACACAACUUCCUUUUUCUCAUCCCAGCCAUCUAUUUCAUUCAUCAUUAAAUCUGGGUCGUCCAUUUUCAUAAAAGAAUUUCUAUUUUACUAAAAUUAUAAUUCCUUAAAAUCCCAAAUUUCAAACGUUAAUAACUUCUUCGAUAUAACUCCAAAUCACGAACCGUCUACGCCCACGCGUCCGUAACGACGAGUACUACGAGGAUAUGUCAAGAAAACAAAUCUUAGAUGGCACGACACAACGAUUAACCUCGAAUGAUGUGCGUGCCUCAAAGGGCAUUUUUGUAAAAUCCUUUAUGAAAACUUUAAAAAUUCUUAAAAUUAGGGACGGGCUGUCACACAAUCGCGUUAAUUGAAUUCUUGGCAAUUGUAUCAUGCAUUCAUAGUUAUAAUUGUCUCGUCAACACUUAUGAUUUUCAUUGAACGUAAUGAUCUCUGAUUGUAUCUCUAUUAUGCAUUAAUAUAGGGGACUUUUAGAGGAUGAUUUGGGUUGUCGCAUGCAUUCAUCCAAUUCAAUGAGUAAAGGAAAAUCUGAGGGUUAAUUUGUGCAUCACGGUUAAUCUGGGUGUUGAGCAUAAUAGUUUAUUGAAAAGCAAUUGGAAAUCGAUUCAUGUACAAGUGUGUCAUGUGUGAAGAACGGACCUCUAACUAAUCCAUCCAUCAUUUUAUUUCUCAAAUUCAUUUUAUAAUCUGCCUAGUUUUAUAACUUGCUUGUUUAUUUCAAAUUCAUCCAAACCAAAAUCCCCUUUUUACUUUCUUGUUUCAAAGUGUUAAAUUUCUGUUUUGUUUGUGUUUUUGAGUGUUUUGAUUCAAGCCAAAACACUAAAUUCAUCCAAAGUUGAUUUAAAGUCCAAAUCUGACUAGUUUGUGUUUUUAGGCAGUUUUGAGUGUUUUUAAGUUGUUUUGAAUCUUUAGAAUCUGUUUUGAGUCCCUUGAGUCUAUUCAAACAUUUUUAAUUUUGUUUUUAUGUUUUUGAGUCAGUUUAAAGGUUUUAGCAAGCCCUCCUAAUCCCCGGUUUAGAACGAUCCCUACUUGCAUUUAUACUACAAUUUGACAACAAGAGGGUUUAAUUUGAGUGCUUAACUUUCAUCGCAUCAUGUGAGUUCCCAGAAACAAAACUGUGAGGGCGUGGCCAGGGCCCAAAGCGGACAAUAUCGUGUUAUGGCGGAGCCGAGAUUGGGAUGUGACAUUGUCACCUAAGACAAAGUACAUGUCCACAUUUAGAGUUCUUCAAGUAUUCACAUAAUAAAAAAUUUCCAUACGCCCCCUACAACGAAUGAAGAGAAAUCGAGACACGUUGACAAAAAAUCAACCGUCGAUCAACGGUAGGGUCCACAACCCUACAUAACUCGAUCCGCAAGAUCCAACCACUGUAUUUGUGAUUCAUAAGUUCCUAAGGUCCUCAAAUCUUACAUACAAUAACAUACUAAACUUUGGUGACGAUCUAAUGGUCGAAUCAUCAUUUGCUAUAAUGUUCAAAUUACGCAAAUUCGUCAAUCAGAUGUCAAAUAUGGAAUCAGACAUCAAAUUUAGCUUAGAAAGGUCAAGUGGUGUCUCGAGCACGCGCCGCCGUGCGCAACAGCUGGCAACCUAGAUUCGUCGGAAAAAUCACCUAAUUCCAAAUGAAUGUCGUGAGACGUGGAGUAAAUUGUAUACCUGUGAAGAAGCCCAAUUUGGCCGGGAAGUGGCCUGAAAUCACUUUAGACCGUCGGAAACCCUAAAAUAGGUGAAUCUCGAUUCGUCAUCUCCGGUAUUCCACCGUCCUCAAACUUGUUUAGGGUUUGCUCAUGGUCUCAAAAGAAUGCUAAUGAUGGUGGUGAUUGAAAGAGAACGUUUCAGAAAUAGUGAAUCGCCAAUGAGGGUUUCACGAAACCGACAUGGGUGUUCCUCGUGGAACCAAGACCAAAUCUCAAUGGUUUUGGCUAGAAAUGGAUGCUGGGAUGUCGUGGUGAAGUUUGGUAGUGAUGGGAGGUUGAAGAAAGACAAAAAAAUCGACAAAACAACCGUCGUCGGAGUCGCAGGAAACGGGUUAGAAAAAUGAGUCGCCAGGUCUGAAACGUCGAAGGCUUUUGGGACAGCUACUUACUCUCUCUUCUCUGAUUAGUCACUCCACUCACUCUCUCAUUUGAUUGGUCCAGCCUUCCCACAUGGUGGGAGUUCCCUCAUAUAGUAACCCAAAAUUUACUAUUUAAAUCUGGUAUUGAACGUCCGUAACUUUUUCGUUAUGGUUUCGAUUCGCAAACGGUUUUCACCUACGCGCUCAUAUGAUCGAAUUAUACUCGAAAACAUUAAUUAUGACCUCGAAAAGGUCUACGAGUUUUAAAAGAUUAAUUACAAAAAUUCACACCUUGUAACUAUACGAUUCAAAUUCUAAAAUUAACGGAAUUAAAAUAAACUAAAAAUAAUGUAAACACGAAAUACAGACUUUAAUAAUGAAAUACGUAAUUAAUAGUGGAAUUCCGGGGACGGGAUUUCACACCUUGCAUCCGGACCUUCAAUGCGGAUCAAAAUCCAAAGGUCGCGAUCUGACGAGCUCAUGCAUAGAACAGAGUUGUUGUGACCCAAUGCAAUUCAAAACUUUUAUGUUUUUUUAUUUACUGGGUACGUUUUUGUAGGAGGAAAAGGGGAAGUCGAGAGAUUCUUUGCGCAUUAAAGAGGGAAAGAGAGAAAGGGGGAGCUAAGAGGUUCUUCGCGCGUUAAAUUUUUGCUUCUGAUUUUGCAACCUAGAAAUAAAGUAUUUUCUUUAUGGUUUAUGGUUCAAGAAUAUAAUGGAUACAGCCUAAAAAUGUUUCUUUUUUUAUUUUUUACUUUUUUUUUCUUAUGUUGGCUUUUGGUUUAUUUUUAUAAUGCACUAUAUAUUAACUAAAUUUAUAAACAUUUUGUAUCUUUGUUGCAGUCAAAUUAAUCAUAUGGGUCGGCAUGACGAAGUUCGACUGAGACAUACAGAUGUUUUGCAAUCUUAAGUCUAACCUGACACACCCCGACCUCAAUAUCUAGUGGACACCAAAAUUGAGGUGUGAUGGCCAUCAUCCGGAUGGGUGAUGAAACCAUAAUAUGCAUGAAACAUAACUAAAUUAUCAACCAAUAAAAUCUAUUGAAAAAUUUGGCAGAACAUCCCUUAAAAUAGGGAUAUGCCCAAAUUAAAAACACUUGCACAUGAUCAAAAUUAUUCAACACUUCCCCGAAGGGCCACACUUAAUGGGACUUCGACCAUCUAUUACAUGCAUGAGAAUAUGUUCAGAGCAUAAUUACCCAAACACGUCUUAUUAAAAUAUUGAGUAAAUACCAUACAAGAUAGAAUACGUCAGAGCUGUUGCAAAAUACCUCAAUGUCCGAUGUAAUCACUGAUAGAAUUACUGAAUCAUGUAUAGAUGGAAAGCUGAUAAAUACAUGUAAUUUGAGUGGAUACUUACCAGCAGCAUGGAUACAAUAUCAUCCACCGGUCGUAACUAAUGACAAGCUGAGAGUAUAACUGUAGUACCUCUUAUUAGUGCAAUGCAUGAUAUGAAUUCCAUCUCACAUAUAUAUGCAAGCCAUAAUCAAACCAAUAAACAUCCAACAAAAGCCACAAUCCUUUUAACAUUCGACCACAAGAUCAAUUUUCAUAUUUCCCAAACCUAGGUUCCAAAGCAUUGUUUCGAAUUAUUAAUACAAGAAACCACCACCACCUCAAUCAACUCCUAUUCCCAAGUGUAAGCAAUUACUAAAUGCAUCACUUUCGACUCUAGUCUUAAUUAGAUUACUUGGGAUACUCAUUCACACCAUCAGAUCCAAGUACUAUUUUGAUAAACUUUAAAUAGCAUGGUUAAAAUAAAUGAAACACUUUUAGAAAAUAAGUGAAGAUGUUGUUUACAAAUAUAGAUGCAUCUGUAUAUAAAAGCUUUGGCGGUUGAUCCGUAUACACUUCCAAAGAUAUAAGCAAGUUCAUUGGAAUAUACAUGCAUAGUUAAUGUAUUACAGUAUAAUUAAUAAGAAAACAAUUGCAUCCCUUUAAGAAUAUAUAUAUAUAUAUAUAGACACACACACAUACAUACACACAGGCCCUUUAUGCAAAGGAAUUUCCAUUUUUUUUCAAAAAAUGGGGAUUAGUUGUGGGGCCCACGUUGCAUUGAACUUUAACGAUCCGAACAGUCUAUUUUGUAAGUCUCGAUUCAUAUAUCAUCCUUGUAAAAAUUCAAUUCAAUCCGAACCCAUUUGCCUAUUUAAUUAUCAAGAUAAAAUUUUAUUGUUUCUUAUAUAACAAAGUAUUCGUUAAUUUCUUUGAACUCAAUUAGAUAUCUUAAACAUUUCCGAUUUGGUUAAUAUUUUGUAAGGAUGAUCUAUGUGGUGCAACUUGAAAAAUAGACGAUUACGAUCGUUAAAGUUCGAUGUGGUGUAAACCCUACAAUUAAUCUUCAUUUUUAUAAAAGAAUGGGAACCCCUUCCCUUAAAGGUUUCCUAUGUAUAUAUUUGUUCUCCAGACAUAUGCAGAAGGUAAUGUAAAACUAAUGAGAACUUAAAUGGAUAUUCCAUACAUAGGACAAUUCCAUAUAUGCUUUUUCAACAUUUAUAUCGAAAAGCCAAAUUGUUUUGAGGAAAUUAAUUGUAGCAAUGAUCCCUUAACUUUUAUCUUAUUGGAACAAUGGUCUCUCAACUAAAAAUUCAUGACCAUUGGUUCCUUAACACCACACAACGUGUAGUUAUGGUCAUUUUCAUUAACUCCGUCAGAACUUUUGUUAAAACAAGUAAUGUUAGAAGAAUCAUUGCUACAAUUAGGUUAAAGUUGGGGACCAUUGCUCUAAUUAAAUUAAAAUUGAGGGAUCAUUUCUCCAAAUUGCUUAAAGUUCAAGGACCAUUUCUACAAUUUUCUCAUCUAGUUUCCCAUAUUUACCCCAUGAUUCAGCUUCACAUGCAUUGCACAUGACUCAUUUUGACAAAAAAUUUAACAAAAUUGACGAAAAUGACCAUAAAUGCACGUUUUGAAGAGUUAAGAGACCAAUGGUCGUGGAUUUUAGUUGAGGGAUCAUUGCUCCAAUUUGGUUAAAGUUGAGGGAUCAUUGCUACAGUUUUCUCAAAUGUUUCGUAUGCGAAAAUAGGCAUUUGUAAAGUUUGGCUUGUUUAUGGCAUUAUUACUUUAGUCUAAAGUAAGGCUGGGAAUGGCACUGUAGAAAUGAAUAGUGUUCCAAUCCGAAUUUCAGUUUAAUUACAACAAUGCCAUUGCUCUUUGUGUUGCCUUUAGGUGAGCAGCCCGGCUUGCAGUCAGGCCCAAAUGUAUUGGUUUUAGCUGAGAAGCCCGGCCCUUGGUCAGGCCCAAAAUUUUAAAUUACAGUUUUGCCCAUACAAAAUAACAAUCCGAUUGUAUCGGGAAGGACAAUUUUGUCCUUUCAGUUUUGGGUGAGAUAAGGGGUAACAGGGUAAGUUUCAUUUGCUGUCGUUUAAUGAGGGUUUCGGGGAUGAGGGCUCUGUGUGUGUGUGGAUGAGAGAGAGAGAGAGAGAGAGAGAGAGGGAGAUGGCGAUGGAAGGAGAGCGAGGGGGAAGGGAAGGGUUCUCGGCACUGUUGCUGCAUGUGGAUUUCACAUGUGGGAGAGUGGGUAUGGUCAGAGAAAACCAUAUAGGUCAUUGGGAUUUCAGGGAAACGGGGUAGGGGUCAUGAAUGAACUCUGCUGAGAGUGUGGGUACCGGAUCUUGCGCUGCAUGCCUCAAAUCAAAGAUAAGUUCGUUUUUUUAUUGUAUUUUUUGUGGUAGCUUAGCUUUUGGAAUUGUUUAGUAUGUUAGGUCCGAUUUUGGGGGAUUUAUCUUUUUAGAGAGAGAGAUGGACAGGGAGAUAGAGAGAGAGAGAGAGAGAGAGAGGAGGAGGAAGCAUGACUGUGUGCAAUUUUUGGUGUUAAUUAAUGGGUUGGUGCGUAGGGUGAGUGACAGAGUGACAGAGUGAAGGAGGGACGUGUGGGAGGGUAUGAGUUUUCAGUUCUUUCUUUUGAUUCAACAGGUUAUACAUUGUUUGAAAAACCUUUUUUUAUUAUUUUUUUCUCGUUUGCUUUGUUAAAACCAUCAUUUGAAUUUUUGGGUUUCACUGUGUUCAUUUCUCUGCUUCUUCAUAAUUUGCUGGUGUUUGCUUUUCAUCCCUCUAUUGGUAGAUCUUUUUCUCAUUUCUUGGUUCCUUAUGUAUUCUUUGGUACAAAUCUAUUUACUUUUUGGCUGUGUGAUAAUCUUAGCAGGUGAACUAUAUGAACGUUUUUUUUGAAACGAGUUAAGAAGAUCCAGCUGAAAAGAGCAUGCAAGAUAGAGAACUGGUAUGCUGCUCGCCAGGGAAAGGCUGCUGGAGAGGCUGAGACGGAUGCCUCCUUCAAAAACCAGGUCAGUUUCCUGCUACUCGGCGUCUUAAUGUAUCCAAAUUGUUUAUCUUUUGAUGAAAUUAGCUGGCUUUAUUUUCUAUUUUAUUUAUCUGCAUAUUAUUUUGGUUUGUUGAAAUUUUGACUAUAGUCAUUGUGUCACAUGGGCGCCCAGCCCAACCCAAAUUAGUUGAGGAUAUUUAAAUCUUCACCAUGGUAUUAUAGUACUCACUCACAGUUGUGAAUACUAAGGUGCAGGCAUGGCAUGAAGAAGUGGACCGUGCACGCCAAGGUCAGAGGGAUGCAGAGGGCAAACUUUUUUCUUUGGAGGUAAGUAUCCUUUGUUUAUUGCCCAACAGUGUUGUUAUUAUCAAUUUGUAGCUUUGCGUUCUGAAUUUUUUGCUUUGUCAAACAACCUUUUUGAAAUGCUCGAUUUCAAGCCGAAGUCCAAAAAAUGAGAGUUGAGAUGGCUUCCAUGAAGAGGGAUGUAGAGCAUUACUCGCGCCAGGUGAAAUCUGCUUCCUCUCUUUUCGUAUAUCUUCAUAUGAAGAGUUUUACUAAGUUAUAUUGAGAACUAUGUUAUUUAUAGGUUAUAUUUUCCAUUUUGCAAGAACACAUGGAGCUAAGGAAGAGCUAUCGUGAACUCACUGAUCUACUGGUAAUGUCACUCAAACUGCUUUAUUUGUGCAUGCUGCUACUAUGCGCUUGAAUGCAUUUUAUUACUGGCGGGAUGCGAAGAAUGCUAGAUAUAUGUGCUGGAUCGCUUGAUUAGUGUUAGGGUUUUAACAACUAAUUGUUAGCAGCUAGAAGCUCUGGUUAGAUGAAUGCUAAUUUGAUUUUCCUUACAGUACUUGAGUGCCAGUUUCAUAUUGUUUGUUCCCUGCUGGAUACAUGCUGUACAGUUUCAUUUCUGUUUCUUCAUAACUUUCUUGGCCCUGCGAUAUAUGCAUAUUGAGUACAAUGAAUAUCCAUUGUUCUCUAACUGUUGGGCUUUACUAUCUUUGUAGCAGCCUGCCUAACAUUUUUUAGGCUCUACACUCUACCAUCCAAUUUAUGAAAAAUUCAAAGAUUGGACGGUAUUGAUUGCAUAAAUGAAAAAAAUACUAUGAUAUUAGAAAGGUGAAUGUAAUUGUGUUAGAAGAAGCGUCUAGCAUGAUGGGUAAUAUUUUAAGUUUGUAUUUCUAAAAUUUUUUCGUUCUGGAGUAUGAUUUACCUCAAUUGUUUUGUACUUUAAUCUUUACUAAUUUUCAUUGUGGAGUAUGAUUUGCCUCAACUAACAACUUUUCAUUGUUUAACUUUUUCCUCCCUUAGAUAGUUGCAUAUGUUUGAUUUGUUAAUCUGCUUCUUACACAUGUUGUUUCCUAAUGGUGUAGGUGGAUUGCCGGAUGCAUGUGCAGAUUACUUGAAUAGACGAAGCUAAGAAUGACUUAGUAUUAAGUGAGAAAGAAGCUUGGGUCAGUUGGAUUUUGACAUUUGAUUUAUUCAUGUUUUUUUGUUGCUUGCAAUGUUCUCUCAUUGUUUGUUCUGAGAUUCUGUGAUCUUAUUUUUCAUAGGAACUGACAUUGGUUUGCCAUAUAAUGUUUCAGGAACUAAUACAACAACUAAUCACCUUGCUUAGGUCUCAAGACACAUACUUAACAGGUUAACAAACGCUAACCUAUAAACUUAUCUACUAAGCUGGACCAUUAACCUCUGUUUAUAUCCCUGCCACUCAUCUUUUGGCACUUAUCAAUAGCAAAAUCUAGAGUUGUUGAAACCCCAAUUUUAAUGAAUAUUAUUUUUAGUUGAUAAUUAAAAUUAAUUGAUGAUUAAUCUAUUCCAUUGUGCAUUAUUUUAUCGCCAAAUACUUUGAAUAUUCAUUAGCAAAAGAUAUAGGGUUCACUAUUUAAUGAAUAGAAUUUUGAUGGUGGAUUGCAUUUCCUGAGUUAUAAAUGUGGUGAAUCCAUUAUUUACUAGCUGAAUAAUCAUAAUGUUUUGGCCACUUACCUUGAAUUUUGUUCAAAUUGAAGAAGUCACAUGUUUCUUUCUGUUGUUGAGGUAAUCUCUCUGUUGAAAGCUUCUAUUUCUUUUUUCUUUUUCUUUUUUUCAUUUGGGUAGAUUUUUUUUUUAUGGAUUUAUGUAUUUUUUUUCUUCAGAGAAUUCGAAAUGAAAUAAGAAUAGCGGAUUGAGCAUAAACAAAUUGAUGAAAUUUUUAUUUGAGUGUUUGUGUUGGUCCUUUUUUGAUUUGUUGAGGUUUGGAAUUAUUUGAGUUUUUUUGCUGUUAGUACUGUGAAGGAUGCUUGGCAAUCGCGAAAUGGGGGCUACCUCUUUGGAAAGAGAAGUCUCGCUAUCCAACCUCUCAUGAAUUACAAACAGGGUGCUUUCUUGCUGAAAAACCACUGAAUCAGUAGAACUUUCCUCGGUUCUUCAAUUCGAUUCGAAUAAUUUUUUUACCCAGAAAAGCCAGCGUUUCCUGGUGAGUUUUACAGCUUUCUCAAUGUUUUUUUUAUUUUGGAUUUGCAAAUUUGUUUUCUGUUCAAAUUUCCUUUUGUGAUUUUGGAGGUUUUGUUUAUCGAUUCUCUCACUCAUCUCUCAGCUCUCUCCCACUUUUGAGGUACAUGUCGUUGGAUUCCGUUUGCUGCUGUUGAUCUGCAGGUAAAGCUUCAAUUACCAUACAAAGUUUACAUUUUUCAUGAUUUCUUGAAUUUGGGUUUUAAACAAAGGAAAUAUUGCUAGAUUCUUAUCUUAUGUGCAAAUUACUGGCUAUUUGGAUUGGUGCUUGAGAUUUAGAGAAUGUCUCGCAGCUUUAAUUUCUUUUUCCUUCAUUAUUACUGUUUUCAAAAUUUUUAUUGCUGGGUAUUGAUAAUUUGUAGUAUGUGAGGGCUUCAAUAUGUUGGAAUUUUGAAUGGUUAUUGCUUCAUCGGAAUUUGGGUGGUCCAAAUUUUGAAUUAGAAGAAACCCAUUUGAUUAAUAUUUUUGGUGGAUUGGUUCUCUGUGUUUUCUUUGCUAUUUCUCCCCCAGUUGGAAAUUGGAAGCCCCAACUUUGAGCUCAGAGCUUGAAUUUCUCAAUCGUUCGUUUCUCUACACUCUCAUCAGUCACUCUUGAUCCUCUAUCUAAAGAACUGGGUAAUUUUCCAGCUCUAUCAAGUAAUACUCAAUUUAAUUGCUUAAUUGAGGUUUUUUGUUUCUCUUUUUCGCUCUUUCAUCAGUUCAUUGGCUUUGAUGUUGAGCUUAAGUAAAUGGGAGAUCAUUAAUUGGCAUUGUUCAAAAUAUAAUUAUGUGUUUUUGGAUUUGUGAAACGAUUUGCCUAAUGAUGAUAGUGGUUAAAAUAAAUUUUUCGUUAUGAAAGAGAACAUUGUUCUUCAUUUGCCUACGGUUUUAACUACAAAGUUAAACUACUAUGCUUUUGUUCAAUUGAUUGCAACUCAUGCCGCAGUUUGCUUCACAAACCUCUAUGGUUAGCUUCCAUACAGUAUGUUGCAAGUUUGAGGAUAUCUUUACAUCUUAAUUUUUGCUCUCUCUGGUUGCUUCAAGUUUGUAAUUUUACGUGUUACAUUGCUACUUGAUUUGAUUAUAAAAAUGCAAAAGAAAAUCCAUUUUGCUUUUAUUCAACUUAAAUGUAUCCUUUUGUUUGUUCAUAAUUGUGUUGAAUUUAUUCAACUUAAAUGUGUUUUAUUCAUCUGUUUACGCUUAAAACAACUGGUUCCCCUAGCAAUGCGCGGACCUAAUUUCUAGUACAUAUACUAAAAGCCAGCAGAAAAUUACUGUUCAUCAUGGGAGAUAGAGCACUGUUCAUUAACAGUGAAAGGGAAAAAAUGCCCUCGGUUUCUUCUUUACUUCACGUACUGUUUACGAAUUGCUACAGUAUAAAGUCCGUUUUGUCAUUCCUGUCCACGCAUCUUUCAUCGUCCGUUUCUCUUGCUUCGACCGCAUCUUUUUCGCUUUACCUUUCCUCUUCGUUUUUCGCCUUCGCUAGGCUGCAAUUUUCGGAGGUGGAUUGUUUGCCCUUCUAUUUCCAUGCUCUCCCCAUGCCCUCCAUUGAUGUGUGGUCACGGUUAAACUAUGUCAACAUUUUAUAUUAAUUUUUUUAUAGAAAUAAUAAAAUAAAAAGUAAUAGGUAUCCAGGAAAUUUUCGUCAAAAUAUCCAGGAAAUAGGUAUCCAGGAAAUUUGCUUUACCGAUAUUUUAAUAGGUAUCCAGGAAAUUUGCUUUACCGAUAUUUCGCCGAUAUUAUCGGUUUUUUGCUUUACCGAUAUUUUAAUAGGUAUCCAGGAAAUUUUCGUCAAAAUAUCGCGAUAUUAUCGAUAUUAUCGAUAAUAUCGCGAUAUUUUAGAUAAUAUCGAGACAUUUUGGUUUCUCGACAGUCAGUCACAAUCUCGCCGGAGAAUCAGAAUAACUCCGAGCAAGAACAAAACCUGCAACCAAACGGAACAAAAUCAUCACUAUCUUUCAACAAAAAUCACCACUUUAUACCAAAAUCAGUGACAAAAUUACACUAAUCCGAGAAGCAAGGGCUUGAAUUCGAGCAAGAUCUGGAAGAAAACAGUAGAAGCUGAGAAAUCGAGUACCUCACCGGCAGUUACAGUGCUAAAGAUCAUCAUCUUUGGAAGGCCGCGGAUCAGACGGAGCUGAGAGAUCAAUGAGUAAGCAUUUCAUAGAUCGUAUUCGAUGAGCAGCUGAAAGAGAGGAGAGAGAAAGCAGAGAGAGACGCGGACGAGGAGGAUCUCGCUGAUGGGGACGACGAAGGAGAGGUAGAGGUCGCGGCCCGCGGGACAUGGUGACGGGCUCGACGAGGAGGAAGGCGAAGGAGGAGCAGAGGAGAUGGGUGCGUGCGUGCUGCGGUGCAGAGAAGAGAGAUGAGGGAGAUAUGAGAGAGAGAGAGCCGAGAGGGAGACAGAAGAAAAAGAAAAGAAAACAGAAAGAAGAAGAAAAGAAGAAGGGAGUCGCGGGGGAACAAAGAGAGAAAAGAGAAAAGUGGAGGGGCUGCCACGUGGCCACUUCAGAAAGAAAGGGAUCCAAUGUUUUGGAUCCUGAUUGGGUAGUCAAAGAGGACCAAUUUGAUAUAUUAAAAUGUUUAGGGGAUAAUUACACAAAUAUAUCUUUAUAAAUGGGGGUGGGUGUUACAUAUUGCCCUAAAAAACUCCAAGUAAUUACAACAUCGUAUUAGAAUUGUAAUUGAUCCUUGUUAGAUUUGGUUUAGAAAUUCUAUGUAAUUUAGUGAUUGUUUCAUAUUAGAUUUAGAUUUGAAUUUUUUACUCCAUUCAGAUUUUAAAUGAUUAUAAUAGAUUUAAAAAUUUACGAACUUUGAUGAAGUUUAAUAAUUUUUAAAACUUUUAUGUAAAAUUUUAAGUGAAUUCCCUCAAAUUUUCAGGUAGCGAUUUGAGAAUGUUUAAAAUAUUAUGUGAAAUAUUUCUAAUUUUUUCGAGUUUCCCAGCUUUUUAAAAAUCUCUUUGAAUCAAUUUCUAAAUUAAUACAUUUGGAAUGUAUGAAUUUCUUAAAAAUCAUGAUCGAAUACCCCUUAAACUUUAAAGAAUCACUUAAAAUCCUAAUUAAAUGCCCUUAGAUUUUUAAGGAGAAUUAAAAUGUUUAUAAGCCCCAAUUGGAUGUACCGCUUAAUUUAACUAAUUGACACAACACAACAUAACCAGUUAAGAUUACAAAUUAACACAAAAGACGACUUGAUGCGAGGUCAUAUCUACAAAACUUGCCGCAAUAAGCCCCAAUUGGUGUGUUUAAACUUCUUUCAUUAAUUACUACAUAUUUUCUACACUCAUAAUGUUUGUCAGCUCGCUAUAUAAUCAACUUGAUAAUGUUAAAUCCAUCAUGCAAUGCAUUUCCUUCCAAUUUUUUGUGAUAAACUAAUAGAUAAUUGACUAAAUAAACAUCCUGCAAAGUUUCAAUAAAAAUUUUCAAGUUUUUUUUACAAUUUCCGUGAUUUUCAUGUAAUUUUUAUCGGUAUCGAUAUUAUGCCGAUAUUUUUAUCAAUAUUUCCGUGUUUUCGAGUACAUAUUUCCGAUAUUACCGAUUCAUCCGCGAUUUUCUCCCUUUUCGCCAGCCCCUCUUUUGCUCUCAAAUCCUUGCUCUUUCUUUUUCAAACUAGUCUCAGAAGAGAUCCUGGGUUUAUCUAAUCCUUUGUUGUUCGGCGUUUUGUUCUCAUCUUGCGAUCGUCGGGGCAGCAGCUUUAAGGUAAGUUUGUUUUUAAUGAUUUAUCCUCAAUUUACGAUGUCUGGGCUAACAAAUUUAAGAUCUUUAUUUUUCUUUUUGCUGUGGAUCUGCAGGUUUUGACAAGUUUUUUGUGAAAUUGGUGCUGUCAGUGGGUGUUAAUAUCAGGUACCCAUGUUCAGUUUUUCGUUUUGAUUUGAAGGAAUUUCUUGCGCAGAAGAGCUAGGUUUCUUGGUGAGUUCUUCGGGUUGUGCAUAUGGGUAAUUUUCUUUUAGGUAUAACCCUCUGCUUCUGCUGCUCUCUCUCUCUCUCAUCCCUGCCUGCUCCUCUCCAAUUGUUUGCUGUUCUUAAAUAUUGUGUUCAUUGCCUGAUACAAGGAGCUGCAGCAAUCUGUUUUAUCCUACACGGGACAACGAGGCAAUGGCGUGACAACAAGUGAGCUUGGAUAUCCAAAGAAAAAGAACAGUUGGUUCAUCUGCUGGAGUCUGAAGCUCAGAGAAGUGGAGGAAAAUUGCAGGUGUGCGAGAAAUUUUAUUUUGCUGAUAGGACUCCUUAUUUACCGAUGCAUUUUGAAUUAAUUGAAAAGUUGGAUUUGAGUUAACAGCUAUAAAAAUGUAGACAUGAUUGCUGAGAUUAUGCUAUGAAAGUGGAAUAAAAAAAUGGUAGUUUAUAAUAUUGCGUACCAAUUUUUUUCUCUCUUUUUUACCAAAUGAUAAGGGUGGUGGCUCAGGCCGCCCCCCUACGCGUCCCCACUCUUCGACAAGUUGAAAUCAUGGUGAUAGUUUAUGGGUUGCGGUCUUGGGAUUCUGCAAAUAGAAUAAAAAACAGACACUUAACUAUCUUGUUAUUAAGCAUUUCUGCAUCAUUCAGUUGCUCUUGAUUUUCGUCUUUUAAGCGCUCUUAUUUCUGCGAUCUGACUUGAGGAGGGGUUUUAGACCUAUGGUUGUGGGUGUUUUGUCUGACCCCAUUAAAUUGGUUUCCGAGAUUUGUAGACUUGCGAUCGGCGGUCAAACAUUUCGUGAUUCUUGCUUUUUUUCCGACUGGGAUUGACGAAUUUUGGCCGAAUCUGUUUCCUGUUUUCUUCUCUGUUUGAGCGGCCGCUGCCUUUCGGUCGUUGAGCGCCGGCAGUCUUUAGAUCUUUGGCAAAUCAAUUUAAUACAACCGAGGUAUGUUUUAUAACUGCUGUCUUUCAAUUUUUGUUCUGUAUUUUUGUUAAUUUGGAUGAAGCUCUAAUAAUUUUGUUUUGGAUCAGUUGUGGUCCUCUGUUAGGAUUUUCCUGGCUAAGAGGGUAUUUGCAUUUUUGUUGCUUGGUUGGUCGAUCCAGUGUAUUAAAAGCGUGAGGCGUGGGCGAGGCGUCCGAGGGAAGCUCGGCCUAGGCGUGAGGCGUGAGGCGAAGCCUCAUGGGACCUAAAUUUUUUAAUAUAUAUACAUUGAGCGUACACAUAUAUUAUAUUAAAAAUAAGAAGAUUAUUAAUCAAUAAUCACCUUGAGCACACACAUAUAUUAUAAAUAUAUACACACACACAUAUAUAUACAUAUAUUAUAUUAUAUAUGCAUAAAAUAGAGGAUGAAAAACACAAUGAGCACACAUAUAACAAUGCACGCAAACAACACACACAUCCAUUAUAUAAAAAUAAAAAUCAGAAAAAAGGCAUAGAGACAAAAGUGCAAGGAAGAUGUAUGAGACAGUUAAAAUCCUACCCAAAAUUUGGGUUUGGGAGUAAAGAAAAAAAAAAAAAAAAAAAAACUCACUGAGGCGCGCCUAGGCGGCUCCGGCGACGCCUAGGCGGCCUUUCGCCCACUCCAGCAAAACUGAGGCGUUAGCCAUGGAGCCAAGCCUCAAGGGCGCCCUAGGCGCGCCUCGAGGCGAGUUUUUUAAAACAUUGGGUCGAUCACAAAUUUACGAACAGCUGUGGUGGUCCUGUUAGAGCCAAGCCUCAAGGGCGCCCUAGGCGCGCCUCGAGGCGAGUUUUUUAAAACAUUGGGUCGAUCACAGAUUUACGAACAGCUGUGGUGGUCCUGUUAUUUUUUUGGUAUGUUUUUUCUCCUUUUUGGUUUUUUCCCGGUUUGAGCACCCAUUCAUGAAGAAUUAAAAUGUGUUUAUAGUUUUUCAGGAGAGAUUAGAAAAGUGAUUUCAAUUUGGGAAAAUUUAAUGUUGGUUAAAAUUUGUUUAUAAUUUUUGGGAAGGAAUGAGAGGACCCAUUGAAGUAUGUGUUGUGAUUAUUUUUUAUUCAUAUUUUUAACAAAUUGGGCAUGAAUUGGUAGGUUAACUGUGUGUGUUUAUUAUUUGAAUCGGCCAUGUUUGUCUUUCUAUGGUUCUAAAAAAUUUGUAAAGGCUGUUAACUUGGAAGAAAAUGGGAUCGAGGGUGAGGGGAAAACAGCAGAGAAAGCAUGGAAGAGAGAUUUGGGAUUAGGGGUAGGAAAACAGAUGAAAAGAAUAUGAUAGAGGAAUGGGUUCAGUUCAUUUUCACUAUUUUUUUUAACUGAUUUGGAUUUUGUUUGGGUUUGAGGCCAUCAUUGGCGUUAAGACGUUUAUUAUCAGAUCGUGUGUGUUUUUUGCUAACUUUUAUUGGUAAUUUUUAUGUUGUUCUUAUGAUUUUGUGUGGUAGGGUUUCUGAAUUUUAUCGUUGUUCAUUUGGUUUUUUCUGAAUUUUAUCUGAUUUUGUGUGGUGAGUUUACAAAAUAAUACUAAAUAAAUUUAUUUGUAAUUUCGGAUGAUUGUGAUUCAAUCCUACUACAAUUGAAAUUCACAGAAAGAAUGAAAAACCAGAACAAAACUGCAGCACCUAAAAAGUUGUCAUACAAAAAAACAUGGAAUGUAAAAAUAUGUUAAGAAAUCUAGUUCGUUAAUUUCCAGCUGGUAAGCGGCAUUAUGUAACUUUAGUAGUAUAACUAAUUAACUACUUAUCUAGUGGGUUGCACUUCUAUCCUUGAUCUCAGUUGUGGCUGCAAAGUGCAGGCCACCACCAAGUCUCAGUGUUUGUGUAUUAGCAAAACACUUAAAUAAAUUAAAUUCUGAAAUGUAAAUUAUAUUCCUAUAACUUUAAGAUGCACAUAUAGUAUUGUUGAAGUCGAACUGAAAGCACUGACAAUUCCAAGCAACAGAGCAGCAAUUAUUAAGAGCCAAAACUCAUUCCUAGUCUCCUCAUCCUGGUACUCUACUCCGUAAUCUUCGUUCAGCAUCAUUGACUGAAAUUAGGAGAGAAAAAGAAAAGGAAUUUCAGAAAUUGUCUAUGAAGCAAAGGAUACUGCAGUUACUUCAAGACAUGUAAAUUGCAUAUGUAUAAAGUAAUUUUCUACAUAAAGUAACGAGGCAUAACUCUCUCUCUCCUCUUCAAACCCUAAACAGAGCAAAGCCACAAACUUUACAGAGAUUAGAAUGAGAACUGGAAUUAAUAGAACAAUGACUGAAAAGUAACAUACUUGAGGAGUGAAUGAUUUAGUGUUUCCAUCAUCGGAAAGCCGGAGUAAGUCGCUAAGAGAGGUCGCAAACAGCCCAAAGGGACAAACCCAGACCCCCGGCCCCGAUCCAUACCCUUCCCCCUCAAAUCCCGACGGCCCCCAUACUUUUCUCUGACUGUACCCCCUCUCCCACUCAUGAAAUCGAGGAUCUGUAGCAAUGGUACUGAGAUCCCCACUCCUCCCCCUCCCUUUCUCUCUGUCACUCUGUCUCCCUCUCCCUCUGUCUGUCUAUCUUUAUCCCAGAGCGGCAUGGCCUCGCAUCCCUGAAACCCUCACCGAAAGGUGGCAAUUUUGUAAAUAACUUGAAAUCCACCAACAGCAGGGGCAGAGAAUUGAAACAGACAUUUAGGCUCGUUCGAUAACCAUUUAGGCCAAAACUGAGCACACCUAAACCAUUCCUACUCGUGCCAAAUGUUAGCGGGGAAGCAAGAUGAUGACUUUAUUGUUCAAAACCAAAAGAAAAAAAGAGAGAAAACAAAAUAACAAAUCUAAUGGUUGUAGUGUAAAAGCUGAGAACGUAAAUAAACAUGCAGGGAAAAAAAUUGAAGAUACAAAGUAGCUGCAUCAUGAAACACUUGCUCCAAUUAGACGCAAAAAGUGAUGGUGAUGAGAAGAGAGAGAAAAUGCAGUCGUUUUGAUUUUUCUGGCUUUUAAAGGGAGCAGCUUUCUUCGACCACCAAAAAAAGGAAGCUGCUUUUCGUGUGGUUGUGAUUUCCUGAGUGUAUGUGAGCGGGUCUAUGGCACUUGCACUUUUUGUGUCGGUUACGGUAACCGGGCGAGGUGGACACGGCGGCGUGGGACUGAAUUCGGAGAGGUGAGAAAAAUUAAAAACACAAAAAGAAGGUGUUCAUUUUGUCACAUUUUUAUUACUAAAAAUUCAAUAAAGUACAUUCAUUAGUAUGGUAACUUAACUAUUUAAUUCCAUCUCAUUAAACUAAAAAAAACAAUUACAUAAAAAUAAGGGAAACCUUGUCCAGAGAGACCUGAGAGAAAGUGACGACUUCUCCUCUCAUUCCACUCCAUACUUGAUCUCUAAAGUCCAUUUGGCAUGUAAUUGAUGUUCAAUUUCAAAUUUAGUGGUAGCAAUUAGCAAAGCUAAUGAAAGAAUAAAAUAAAAUGAAAGAAAAAGCAUCAUGAAAUAAAUCAAGAUGAAGAAUGAAAUUUUGGCAACUCGCCAUUCUCUUCUUUUAUACAAAAGAUACAUCCUAUUUGUAGUGAAAACAGGUCCCGACAAACCCAGUUAUCGUCAAGAAGUAUUUUGUAUGACUUUAAAAACAUAUUCCGAGAAAUUAUCUCUUGGCUGAGAACAACAACAAAUCUUCAUGCAUAGCUUGUAGAGAAAGACAUCAGGCAUACAAAAGAACACGCAAGCAUAAAAUAAACGACGCAGGGAAAACCAAAAAUACAAUUGGAUACGCUGUCAAAAGAACAUAAAUAAAUGAAAAUUACAAAACAAAGAAGUGAUGAGAAACCAAAGUACCCAUUUCAUAAUCUAAUUGCUUUUUAGUUUGCUUGCCAUUUUUAGUUCUUCAAUUUAGAGAGAAACCAUAAUUCAGCACAUGAAUAAAGUGAAAACAUAAAAGAUAUGUGGGAUAAGCUAACAGCCAUCCCUGAGUAAUGCAUUCACUUCUGAACCCCAAACACACCAAAACAAAAAUUCACACACAUGAACUACAGCUCUGCUAUGUAACAAGAAUUAAAAGCAUCUCAAAACAAAAUGGCAAACUAUAAGAGCAAUGUAAAAGUAAAAUUGCAAGAAAUCUAAUACUUGGAGGGCAAGUACUAAUCAGACGAAAAUGAAAGAUUGAACUACCUCGCGUGGAACUGUGCCUUGGUUUUUUCCCAUGCUUACAGGAAGCUUUGCACUGAGCUCUUAUAGCCCAAAUUUUCUCUGAAGGGAAAAAAACACAAUUUUGAAAUAAGAUUUUCAUAUUAUACCUUAAAGAGAAGAAUUAGACAACAAAAAAGAGAACAAUGAGUACUUUUCAUCAUAUAUUGUUAGAGUAUGUGGUCCUCUAGUCCAAUGGUCCUGCAGCCAUAUUUACUUUAUAACUCUUUCUUUAGUCUAAAAACAUCUUGGAUCUCAAAUUAAUAUGAAUACGGAUUCAUACGCAUGCAUUGCAUUACAAUCACAAUGCAACAUCUCAUUAGAAAUCCCCACACAAAAUUCUUUUAUUGCUACUUUGAUUUUAGUUUAUAUUUUUUCUGAAGCACGAGGGAGCUAAUUUUUUUUUAAAAAUUUUUUAUUCCAAUAAUGUUAUAGGGUUGAAAGGAUAUUAUCAAUUUAAUUGAUUGUAUUUGAUUGGUGGAACUUCUAUAUCUAUAUUUCAGGUUUUCAAAUUCAGCACUGGGAGAGUCAUUCAUAAAAUGUUUGACAGUGAGAUUACCUCCAUGGAUUAUGCUCACAAUGGACAGCUCAUUUUCCGCGGUGAUGGGACAAUAUAUUUCAGUCAUUCGCCAUUCAAUCAAUUCAAACCGAGGAACAAGCAACAUCAAGAAGAGGAUCUGCCAUGUCAGGAUCACUGUCGUCCAAUUAAUACAAAAAAUCUAGAUAAAAACGAUCAAUUUACAUAAAAGCCUUUCAUUUUCUCAGCAACCAAGCAAAAGAAAAUACCUAUCCGUUAAACACUCGAUUUGGGAGUAAACGUUGCUGAAACUGGACUUCAAUCCCCUCAACCGCAACAAUCGAAUCGAGGUGUGCAAGUCAUUGAAAAACUCACCCAAGAUUUCAAAAUCUGCAUAAAGAAAUAAAUAAGCACAUAAAUUAGCCAACCCUGUUAUGAUCCCACAUCGGGUACACAAGAAAUUGUGUAGUGGUACUUAAGUGCAAGGGGUCAUCCCACCUAUUGGACUAGUUUUUUGGAUUGGGCUCUUCCCUUGGGCUUGAGUACCUAACAUUGGUAUCAGAGCCUAGGUUCCCGACGCUGCGAGACUUGGCGAGUGGUGCCGCCUCAUGGUGCCGCCUUGGGAGUAUGGGCUCCCAAGGGUCUUGGAGACGGGCAAGGUAUGAAAUGUCGAUAUUAUCGCGAUAUUUCGCCGAUAAUAUCGGUUUUUUGAGUUACCGAUAUUUUAAUACUUAUCCACUGAGUUUUCGUCAAAAUAUCGCAAUAUUAUCGAUAAUAUCAACAAUAUCGCGAUAUUACCGAUAAUAUCGCGAUAUUUUGGAGAUGUGCGAAUCGGAGAAGAAGGCCGGAGCUUCUACAGCUCCUGCCGACUGUAAAAGAGCACCCUAGACUCCGAUCUAGGUAUCAAAAUGAAAUACAAGACGAGAGGAAUGUUUUUAUAACUUCCGUUUGCCGUGAAACGGUCGAAGGUGUUCGGAAAGUUCGUCGACACCCACGGCCUCGCCAGAGAUGGGUGUGCCUAUUCUCGAGCCGAUUUCGUCCCAAAAACCUUGCAAAAACACGAGAUAGAACUUAAAUUUCACAUCUAAGCUUCAAUCUAGAAUAGAAUGAGGUAAACCCGAAGCUUACCUAACCGGAGAAAUUCAAGAAACUCGCCAGAGGGUUCCUGCGUCGCCGAGUUGCAGAGACGAGAAAGAGAUGGAGAAAGACGAGGUUGCUGAUAACGAUGGGUGUCUUCCUCAAGCAGGUGCGAUGGUGUGCGUGUGUGUAUGUGGGUCUCGGUGCAGAGAGAAAGGAGAGAGAUGAGAGUUUCAAGAAAGAGACGGCGCCAACGAGAGCUAUUUGUUUUUUUUUAUCUUAAAAAGAGAGAGGUCUAAGAGAAAUGGGAAGAGAGGGCCGAGUGAAAUGAAAGGAGGUCCUUGAAUUAUUGAGAGAUAUCUCUGAGAGAGGCCUAGGAUUUCUAAAAGGUAAUUAGAAAUGGGAAAAAUGGGGCACAUCUUAGCCUUUAUUUUGGAAUCCUAAGAAGUUCACCACAUGGAUGCAUGACAUGUGUGCAUGCCAUGUCUGUUGAAUGGGAAAAGUCUGACAUGGAAAGACAAAGAGUCGUUUGGUCCUCUGGGCUCGAGGCAAGAUAGAAAGUGCUAGGGUUUUUUUUUCUGAAAUGAACAUAAGCUGCUAAAUUCGCAUAUAUUAUAGUUGUUGCUAAAGAUUGACACUAGUGCGGACUUGGACGUGUUGGUCAACAUGUCCUCACAAUCCCCAAGUUCUCCGGUUCGAACCCUUACGCCCAUCAAAUUUUUCUUUCUUUUCGAUGCGCUUUUUCCAUGGCUCUAGGUCUUGAUUUCGAAUCCAGGUGAGCCCUUUCCUUUUUCUUUUUUUUUUCUUUUUGUUUUAUUAUUUGUUUAUUUUAAUUUAUUUGUUUCUUUUAUGUUUUUCCUUUCUUUUAGUUUCUUUGUCUUAGGCGUUCGUGUUUAUUAAAGUAGGAUGUAAAAUCAAUUAUCUUAAAAUUAUGUGUUUUUAAAUUUUGGACUUGUUUGUUGGAUACUUUUUUUGCAUUUUAUCAUUAUUUUAUUAUGAAAAUAUGCUAAAAUAUGCUAAAAUAUCACUUAUGUUUUUGUGAAAAUAUGCUAAAAUAUUUAUAUAUAUGGUUUUGUUUUGAAUUCUUUUUGUACUAAUUCAUUAUAUAUAAAUGAUUAUGGUGUGUUUAAACUUCUUUAAUUAAUUACUACAUAUUUUCUAUACUCACAAUGUUUGCUAGCUCGCUAUAUAAUCAACUUAAAUCAGUAAAAUCCAUCAUGCAAUGCAUUUGCUUCCAAUUUUUUGUGAUAAACUAAUAGAUAAUUGAUUAAAUAAACAUCCUGCAAAGUUUCAAUAAAAAUUUCCAAGUUUUUCUUACAAUUUCUGUGGUUUCCAUAUUAUUUUUAUCAAUAUCGAUAAUAUCCCGAUAUUUCCAUCGAUAUUUCCGUGUUUUUGGACUACCGAUAUUUCCGAUAUCAUCGAUAUUUAUACCUUGGCGACGGGGGACUUGCCGACUGGUGCCGCCAUGGACGUUGGGUCUUUCGAAAGGUGGUGUAAUGUUAUGAUCCCACAUCGGCUACACAAGAAAUUGUGUAGUGGUACUUAAGUGCGAGGGGUCCUCCCACCUAUUGGACUAGUCUUUUGAGUUGGGCUCUUCCCUUAGGCUUGAGUACCUAACAAACCCAUAAAUCAAAGAAAUCAAAAUCCACCCAGAAUCAAAGAAAUCAAAAUCCAUCCAAAACCAAAGAAAUCAAAAUCACACACAGAUAUACAAGGUGUACAGUAUUGACAUGCCUUAAAUGAUAUUAUUCACAAGAUUUAUAAAGCUCAUGUUGUAAUACUUGUGCAGAAUCUAUCAUUCACGGCGUCACUUUUGUGCAAGUCGUAAAUAAAAUUAUUCACGAUUUAAACAUUGUGUGUCGUAUUUGACAAUUUAUACUACGCACUUUCUUUUUCUUUUAAAGCUUUGCGUUAUGUCGUAAAGUUGACUUUCUAUAUAUUUGGGUUGUACCUUUUAUGGCGCAAAUAACACGUCGUAAAUAAUGGCUUUUAGCACAGAAGUUUUGUGGUAAAGAAGCCCGCGCACUAAUUCAUUCUCGCGCCUUCUCUUUUUUAUUUAGCCGCUUCUUUUUUUGGUUUUUUUUUUUUUUAAAAUUCCCCUCAAAUCUUAAAAGGGUUUGUAUUUUCUUUGGUAAACUUGAAAGAGAAACAUUGCAAUUGCAUUUUCAUUUACCCAAUAUUAAUUGUCGAGAGCCCACCCCCUUCCCUUCUCUCUGACAUCGUAACUCUCUCCUCUCCAUCGAUCUCGCUCCAUCUGCUCGCCGUCGCUCUAUAUGCUCGUCAUCGCCGUCGAUUCGUCUGCUCGUCGUCACCGUCGCCCAUCUGCUUUCCGUCACCGUCGAAGUGCCCCGCCAUUCAAAAUCUGAAAUCCCCAAUACAGGGUGCUUUGCGGCAUUUCGUUCUCCAAAACUUUAGGUAUGCUCUCAAUCUGUAUCAACCCUAUCCUGUCACCUCUACUUCAAGGUGAACAAUUUAUAGUUUAUAAAUUUUACUUGUGUUAAUAUAUAUUUUUUGGUAAAUGUUAUGGAUAUUUUAUCAAAUCAGAGAGUAAAUUCGUAUUAAGUGAAGAUUGGCAAAGAACAUAUUGUUUUGAAAGGUUGAAUAAUGUUUGCAGAUCACAUAAAUCAGUAGUUGUCAAGUCCAUAAGAGAAGCAAGAAAUCGGAAAGCAAGGCUUCGACUAAAACCAAAUAAUGUCAAAUUAAUUCAAGAUUGGAAGACUUUCCUUGCAAAGUGUAAGCUCAUUUUCAUUUUCUUUCAUUUCUAAGAUUAGUUAUCUUCUUUUGAGUUCAAAAUUGGGUCAGAGAAAUCAAACUGAUAGUAGUUAAAAGUCUAUUUCAACACCAAGCCUUGUCUACACAAGAAUUUGGUGUUAGUUAAACAUGUGUAUGAUUCUAUCUUGAUUGCAUGUUAAUUUAGUUUGAAGAUAGAUUUGGUACAUGCUAGCUAAUUGAUACGUGAUAUGAAUCUUUGGUUUCCUUUUGAUAGGACAAAAGUGAAACAUUCAGAGAGAUGAAGUCUAAGCAACUCCGCACACAUGUAGUCGCAAGGGAUAUGGUAGGUUGGCCGAGGAUUUGGUAAUUACAUUUCAUUCUAGUGCCUUCUUUUCUACAGGACAAGAACAAUUUACUAAUUUUAUUCUGUGUUCUACUGUGUGUUUACUACAUAUAUGUUUCUAUUUUGUAGAAAAGAAAAAGUGUAGACCCUUCUCUAGUUUCUAGAGGUGAUGUUUGGAUUGCAGCACAUACUAAAAAGGGUGGUGGACCAUCCAAUUUGCUUGCUGCAGAGACUAUUGUAAGUAAUUUUUAACCAUUUAUUUCUUCUUGUUUGUUGAUAUGCAAUGACGGAUGAGGUCUUAACUUUGAUGUGCAACGUUAGGAAAAAAAUUAAGCAAUAUGGAAAUGGAUCAUCAUCUGGUUUUCGAGGUGACGUUCUUUCCAAAGUUUUUGGUGCUGAGCGACAUGGUCGUGCAAGAGGAGUUGGAGGUGGUGUUCCUCCUACAAAGCUUGGAAUAUUUUCACAACAAAAAUUGCGUAAUCACCAAAUGGAUGAAAAGGUGCACAAUUUAACUAAUCAGGUCAGAGCACUGACAGAAUUGGUGCAUCUUUUUAUGAAAAAUCAGGUUAGUGAUUUAAUAACAUUGGUAUCAUAUUGAAUAUUUGUGAAAUCAGUUGUAGUGACACAUCAAAUCACAGGGUAAUGAUCUACCAAGUGAGGCAUCUCCUGACACACAGGUUGCAGCUCCUGAGGCACAUGUUGAUACUGUCGCAAGAACUGAAACUCGUCUUUCCCAAUGCGCAACAAAUGAAUCGUGGUGGCGAGGUUGAUACACUUUUUCAAUGAGCCUUCUAACUAUUAAUGCUCAUUGACUCUGUUAAAAGCUCUGCCAUUUUCAAUCUAACUAGACACUAGAAAUGAUCAUUGACUCAGUUAAAAGUUUUGAUGCUUUGGUCCUUUUGCAUAGUUGCGCAUCUACUGAUUUCUAUUUUUUUUCAAAUCCUGCAGGUUAUUUCUGAAAACAUUGAAACAUCGUGGUGUGCCAGAUGGUUUGAUUAUAAGACACCUUCCUUUUGGUCCACCAACUUAUUUAUAACUGCUAAAUGGUACGUAGUGUGAUAAUUUUCAAAUAUUUUGAUAUUAAGACAGGUGUAGGACAACAUAGAAAUUCUUAGGGCCUUCAGCAACAAAAUUAUGAAAAAGUGAGUGAGAUACAAUUAAAAAAAUGAAAGAGAAGGAUCAUGAUUCAUGAUCUAAAGGUUUGAAUAGGGUAGAAAGGAUUUAGUUUCGUUGUUAAAAUCGAUUUGUGAGUCUAUUGUUAUUGUAUUGUCAAUUUGUUUAUUUACUUGAACUUCCUAGUAUCAAUUUGGUUCGAUAUAUCUAGCACCACCAUAGAUAUAUCUAGUAUCAAUUUGGUUAGAUAUUGUCAAUUUGUUAUUUUAUUGUCAACUAUAGAAUGUGCAUCAGUUGUAAAAGGAACAAAACAAUUCAGAUUUUUUGUUUAUGUCCAAACUUAGAAUUGUAUUGUAAUUGACAAUUUCUACUAAUUAAUCCAAGUAUUUGGAGUUUAAUAUGUUUAUGAUCAAUAUUGUUAUCCUUGUAUUGUAUCAGUUUAGAUGUUAUGAAGUGAGGUCUGUCUAAAAAUGAUAUGCUAAAUAUAGAUGUAAAUUACGGCAUCUAAAAUCAGCAAUAAUUGUUGAUGGUAGUCUUUUUUUUACGAUGUAUGCCGUAAUCACCUUCACAAUAUUACGACACUCAACAAAUGCUGUAUCAAAUAUAAAUUACUGCACACUAGUAUGUCGUAAUUGUUUUUCAGUAUUACGACACCCUAUUAACGCUGUAACUAAUACCAAUUAAGGCACGUAGGACAUGCCUUAAGAACAUUUAUGGCGUGUUUUACUUAAAUUAUUCACGACUAUUAGAGUACGUUGUAUUUGUCAAAACAUCUUUUACAACAGGGGCUUUUACUGCUUGGAGGCUCAAGCCGUGAAUUUCCAUUUAUGGCACCCUUUGUGCGCCGUAAAAGGCCAAUUCUAUUGUAGUGAUCCAUGGGUACAUUUUUAAUCUACAUGUUUCGUUUUAAUAUAUCUAUUGCUAUAAUAUGUUUUGGUUGGUUCAAAUUCGUUUUACAUAAAUAUAUGGGUACAAAGUUUUUGGAGAAUAUUAUGUAAAAUGGUUUUUAAGGUUGUUGCAUUUUAUGUACCCACAUAUGCAUGUCUAUAAAACAAUGUGGUAUGAUGUACAUUCUUUUCCUUGAGUUUUUAAAUGUACCCAUGAGUUUUCUUGUAAAUUCGGUAUGUAUCCAUAUGCUAUUUAUGUUAUGGGUACAUACAUUAUUUUUGGUCUAAGUUGGUGGGUACAUUGCUUUUGUAUGUAUGAAUUCAUUGGGUACAUUAUUUCCCUUAAUACUACUCAAUAAAAUUCACAAAAAUGUGCAGUGUGCAUGAAUUUUUAUUGUAGAAAUUGUUUUUUUUUAUUUUUAAUUUUUAAGUCUCAUAAUUCGUGAAUUUUGUACAUAUUGAUCCCAUAAAUUUUUGAAUUUUAUUAAAUUUUUUUUAGACUUGAUCGAUUGAUUGAAUCUCAUAAUAAUCCCUUAAAUGUUCCAAUCAAUAUUUUAAAAUACAGCUUUUUAUUUAAGAUUUCAAAAAGAUGACAUGAAAACAUAGUAAUACUAAAAUUUUGUUUUAAAUUACAUUUGUGUAACAAUCAAUGGUAUGUUAAAACUGGGCAAAAAAAAAAAUGGUAUAUUAAAAAAUUAUAAUUUAUUCUUUUUUUCAUAACUGUCUUCUGCUUAGAUUAAUUUUUUCCAACGUUUCUCUUCGGGAGAAUUAGUUCUUACCAAUAUAUAUGCACAUUAUCUGCUUUUUACCUGGUCUUAACACAUGAUUAAUUACUUUCCUACCUGCUAACGCGUUGACUUGCGCAUCCAAAGUAUUAUCAAAGUCACUGCCACCAAAAAGGUGCCCACUCCACAACCUUUGGUUGAACCAAAGAACAUCACAACAAUAAGGAAAUCGUUAAAUCUAUCUCCGCAACAUUUUUAUUAAUCAUUAGAUAGAUUAAACGAUCCCCCUAUUCAUAUUGUGUUCUUUUGUUGAACCAAACCAUGUCAACAAAAUAUAUCUAUGGUUAAAGCAUCUAGAUUCAAGCUUUUGGAUGUGCAACUUAAACCCCUCAAUGAAUAGCCAAGCAAUUUAUCAUGUGUUUACAGUAGGUCAAAAGAAGAAAGUGUUUGUCUAUAUAUUAAUAGGAACUAAUUCCUCUGAAGAGGAGAGAUGGAAGUGAUGAUAAUAAAAAAAAAAAAAGUCGUAUUCAGUGCACAAGGCUCCCGCUUUACGCAGGGUCUGAGAGAGGUGAAUGUCGGCUAGCCUUACCCCCAUUUUAUGGAGAGGCUGCUCCCAAGUCUCGAACCCGAGACCUACCGCUCAUGGGCGAAGACACUUGCCAUCGCACCAAGUGCGACCUCUAAGGGAUAAGAGAGUAAUCAUGAAAAUUUUGAAAGUGAAAGCAUUGCCUUGGAAUAUAUAUUCUCUUUAGGAAUUCUGUGCCCAACUAAAUUCUAGAUUCUCAAAAUAUGAAAUUAGCAACUUCACCAAACACUUGGACAUGUAACAGGUCACACGUAUGGUACCAACCUUACCAACCUUACCAACCAUCUAUAUACCUAUGUUUUCGAACAUCGUUAGAUAAUUAAAGUACAGUUCACACAGCAUUUCACAUAAAAAUGGCAUCAUACAACACAUGAGAAGUACUUCUUACAGUAGCAGUCUCGUAACAUGACUAUAGUUUUUGUUACUUCUUAAGAAAAAAGAGUUUAAAAUCCUAUUGAAAGAUAAUUGUAGAGACAGAAACCCAAACUAGUUAAUUAGGUUUCUUUACAUCUCAAUAAAAUUGAAGGGAAUGUAUCUAAUAUUAUCUACUAGAGCCUCUACAAUCAUCAUAGAAUCCACAACCCACAUUUUAAUUAAUCGAAAUUCCAUGAACACAAAUAAGCAAAAGUUGAGUGAAGCCUAAGCAAUAUGUGAUCAUUUAGAGAGUCAAACUCCAUCUUUUUAGAAUUAGGGACUUUUCAAUAUGAAAAGGUAACCUCCACAAUCCAAUAUCAUAUGAAAAGGAAAACCCAAGAAAAAUACAGUAUAAUUGUGUGCAAGAGCAACACAAAAAAAGUUGAAGAAUUAGAAAUCAUAAAGAGACUUGAGACGAUUGUUGCUCACUUAGCUAAAGAGCAUUUGCACUUGAGGUCUCGAGUUCGAUUGCCCCCUUUCUUUAGAUCGCUUGAGAGGAAAAACCUACCAUUCUCUAGUCUAAAGAUAUAUGCAUCUUUGACAUGAAUGACUAGAGGGGAAGAAAGUGCAGACAAAUCACACAUACCUUCAAAAAAUUUUAUGGGGUUGGUGAAUGGUGAUUAGGGAUACUGACUUUUAAUAGCCGUUGAUCAGUGUAUAUUGCACACGCCUUCAUCAAUGGCUAGCGUCGGUACAACUGUGAUUGGGAGGGCCUUUUUACGAUAAUAGAUGGGUAAAGGUUUCAUUAGAAGGGGAAUUUUGUUCUGGUUUGCCAUAAUAACUUGAAAUUAAUGGUUUUUUGUAAUCCUUAAGUUAUUGUCAUUUUAGGUUAACUUUGUACCUGGACUCUUUACUGGAGCUAUCAAUUGAAACCCCCAUUUUCUUACCAAAAUAUGAAAAACAAAGAGUCCCAUUUUUACAGCACAGUCCUACUCUAGUUGAAAUCCGAUCGACGGUCAAGAUUUUCUAGUCAUGUGAAAGUAUCACAUAUAUAAAAUUGACUGGAGAAGGCAUGCCACAUUGCCAUGCCCUUGACAGCUUUACUUUGUUUACAAACUUUCUAAAAGAAAGAAAGAAAAAAAUCUAAAAUGGAAGGUGAUAGCGAUUUUACCACUUGUAAAACAAAGGGUUAAACCAUAGAAAAUUCUUGCAAGAGAACAAGUGUUUGUAGUAUAGAAUGGCUCAAGCAAGGUCGAUCUCCUCAGGGACUGAUAUAAACAAUUUACGAGUUUUUAUGUAUUUAACUUAUUUAACUCUAAGAAUUACACUAAUUUAACGAAACUAAAUAUUAUUGGAUGUGACUUAAACAAAUAUCUAAAAUGGGAAUUGGUUUUAGGGAAUAAUGAUUCAACUUAAACAAAACAAGUAAAUGAGGAAAUUCAAGAUAAAAUAAAUGAUUAAGAAAAAUAGAUUGACAAUAUGCUAGAGUUCAACAUUUACCAACAACACUCUUACGUAGCUAUUCCAAUUGCUUAAAUAAUUGAAAACACAUAUGCUUUGAAUGUUGGAUUUUCCUUGUGUAUGUUUUACUUGUGACAUUCAAGCUAAAACGCAUACCACUACAUGCAACUUAUCCAUGACAUUUGAAUUAAAUAUAAACAUGAGUGAUUCAUUAAUCUUGGUGAAAAUCCUUUUGUUAAACCAUAUAAUCCCUAAGAGCAUGAUAUUUACCUUAGGAGAUUACAAUUCUCAAUCACAAGAAGCACAACCAAUUUUAACGUGACAUUCGUUCAAAAUUGCAUCCGAUAACUUUUCUAAGCAUCCUAAUGGUGAUCAAGCAUCAAGGUACAUAGAUAGUUUAAUUCAGUGAUUGAAAAUAUCAAAACAAGCAUGUAACAACACUUAAGCAAUUGAAAAAUAAAACUACGUAUUCAUGUUGCGGCUCAUGGCCUCACUCUAGCAUAAUACUUUAAAUAAUUAAAGCCCAAACAAUUUACCAAAUUUCAUCUCUGUACUCCGCAGAGACGCUAAACGAGACAUAUUUGGUCCAUCUCUGAACAUCUUUUCUUACUGUUCUUACAAUAGAAAGGGCACAAAAUUGACUUACACAGUCUUGCACAAUACUCACUUUGCUUCAACCCAUAUUUCACUUUGUCAAAUCAUACACGUUCCUGCAACAGGUGAACUCAUAUUUAUCUACCACUUCUUGCUAAUUUUAAUUUUUCCAUUCCCAUUUUUACUACAAGUUUUCACAUAAUUUUUUUAUUGCAUUUGUCAAUUCUUUAUACUUUUUAAUUGUAUUUUUUUUUUUGUCUUUUAUGUGUUUUCUAUGUUGGCACAAGGUUACAACAGUAUUAAACAAUUACAGGUCCUCCAGAGGUUUGCUUAUUGCCCUAUUUCAUCAAGCUCGGUAUAAAUAGAUCUUAAUUUUUUACUACAGUUAAAUACAUGGACAUGCCUCCACAAAUACAAAUUAGUUCUUGCUUAAAUACUUUGUGUGUUUACAUAGAAAAUGUUCCCAUCGUCUACCAAAAUCCUCCACACAUGAAAACAAAAAUUCUUACUCAAAAUACUUAUUACAAUACCACCAUAUCUGUUGUUUUUUAUUAAAUUAACACACUGUUUUCAAUUUUAUCUUCAACACAAAAGAAAAUGCUCUUACACAAUGUGUUUGCUUACAUUUUAUAACUUAUCUACCACAUGUUAAUCGCAGUUAUAUAAAUAGGAAAAUACGUGUUCAAUAGAAGUGUGAUGCAUGUCACUUCGUUAACAAUAGUGGAAACUAAACAAUUAAAUAAUUUGUUUCAAUUAGUUAGUACAUUUUAUAAAUUUCUCAAUUAGAACUGUUUCAGUAUAUUUAAUACAUUUUUAAACAACUUUCCAGUUAGUUGCCCAAACUAAUUAUUCCAGCUUAUUCACAGUAUAAUACCAACAAUUUAACAACCAAUGAUACUUCGUUUAACAUAAACUUCAUUUGGAAAAAACAAAAAAAAUCUUUUUCUCUGCUGAAAAAAUCAACAGAUUUAAUGAUGUAGAUCAGUUAUACCAACAAAUUACCAUAGUUUACCCAAUGCUAUACAGGUUUGACUUUUGUUUAUAUUCUUGGAUCUGUUGCUUGGUUGUAUAAUUUGGCUGUGUGUUUUGUUUCAGGACAAUUUGUUCUUCGUUUCUUGAGGCUUCUAUGUGUAGAUUUGAACCGUUUAGCUUUCAAACCGUUUAUACUCAAGGUAAAUAAUUUCGUUUGUUUCUUUUUAACCUUUUUUGUAAGAAUUUUUUAUUUAAUGUUGUGAGAGUUGUGUUUUCUAUAGUAUGGAAAUUGAAUCUUUGUGAUCUUAUAUCGUUAGAUACGUUGCUUGGUUAAUGUGAACACGGAAAAUUCCCGAAACGAAAAAGACAAGAACAACGUGCACAAACAAAUAUUUUGUAUUUGAUGAUUAUUUUGGGUUACAAUCUCUCUCUAAUUUGAUCCUCUGAUUCGAUCUCCGUAAGAUAUUGGUUUGUGGAUGUGCGAUUGAUCCAAGGGCCGUCGAGGCUUGAUCUUGGAUGAACGGUGAUGAACGGAUCUUCAAGGGCUUUUGGGCUUGAUCUUGAAGAAUAGUGAUGAACGGGUCUUCAAGGGCUUUUGGGCUUGAUCUUGAAGGAUGGUUGGAUGUGUGGAUUUGUCGACGUUGUUAAUCCAAAGGGCUGUUGGGGCUUGAUCUUAGGAUGAACGGAUGAUGAACGAAUAACACUUUCUUCAAGGGCCGUCGGGGCUUGAUUUUGAAUUGGUGAAAGUUCUUCAAGGGCCGUCGGGGCUUGAUCUUGAAGGUAGAUGAUUGUUGAUCCAAGGGCUGUCGGGGCUUGAUCUUGGAAGAACGAUGAACGAAGAACGAAGAAGGCUUUCUUGAUUCUUCGGGAACCUGGAUGCUUGAGAGCUUCGGAGUUUCAGAGCUUCAGAGCUUCAAGGUGUAAUAUGAAUUUGGUUCCCUUAAAUGAAUGAAAUUGGCUUCUAUUUAUAGAAUUUUCCAAGGCCUAAUUUUGAAUAUAAUAUUCCAGAUGAAAUAAGUCGUUUCUGCCAAGUGUUGACACGUGUCCUAUUUGAUGACUUUUCCGACUCAUUUCAAUUUUUCGUCGAGUCACACACUACGUGUAAAAUUUAUGUAAUACAUGAGCGUUGAAACUUUGAUUUAUCAGUCAACAUUUAUUUACCAAAAUUUCGAUGUCUACAAAUGCCCCCACUUCAAGGCGCGUCGUAUACAUGUGCUUGUCACGUGUAGGAGAUGCGUUUUGAAGUCCCCUUACUGUAGAUGUCGAUCCAAGGGCCGUCGAGGCUUGAUCUUGAACCGGGCUGGAGAUUUCUUCAAGGGCCGUUGAGGCUUGUUCUCGAACUUUGUUCGAAAUUUCUUCAAGGGCCGUUGAGGCUUGAUUUUGAAUUGGGCUGAAAGUUUCUUCAAGGGCCGUUGAGGCUUGAUCUUGAAUUGGGUUGAAAGUUUCUUCAAAGGCCGUUGAGGCUUGUUCUUGAACCUUGUUUGAAAUUUCUUCAAGGGCCGUCGAGGCUUGAUCUUGAAUUGGGCUGGAAGUUUCUUCAAGGGCCGUCGGGGCUUGAUUCUUGAAGGUGGAUGAUUGUUUAUUCAAGGGCCGUUGAGGCUUGUUCUUGAACCUUGUUUGAAAUUUCUUCAAGGGCCGUCGAGGCUUGAUCUUGAAUUGGGCUGGAAGUUUCUUUAAGGGCCGUCGGGGCUUGAUUCUUGAAGGUGGAUGAUUUUUUCUUCAAGGGCCGUUGAGGCUUGUUCUUGAACCUUGUUUGAAAUUUCUUCAAGGGUCGUCGAGGCUUGAUCUUGAAUUGGGCUGGAAGUUUCUUCAAGGGCCGUCGGGGCUUGAUUCUUGAAGGUGGACUCGAACACAUGGCAAGCAGGCACGAGGUGAAGGUGACGGUCUGUUUCUUUGCUCAAUCUUUCCAAGUGCCGACCGAUUGCUUUUCUUUCUCCUUGUCCCGCAGGCAAGAGCAAGGGUAAAAGAAAAGCAUGCCAUGAGAUAUCUUUGUUUUUGACUCUGAUGAUAUGAGGUACUUCUGCUUUUGAAGAAGUUGCGGAUGAAUCGACACGUGCUUUGUUGUGCUUGUCUCCACAUGCUCAGACUCUUGGCAGAAUGUGAAAGGUGGCAUUUUCUCGAGUUACUCAACUCAGACUCAUUCUGCUGAGUUGACUGUGCGGGCCGCAUUCUUCUCUGCUUGUUUCUUCUGGCAGCCUUGCUCUCGAGUACUCAUCUUUAACAUCUUAUGUUUCUUCUUUGUCUACCACACUGUGGAAGACGAGUACUCGAGAGUAAUACCAUGUAAGCAAUCAGAAAAGGGUUCCAAGCAGUCGGUUCCAGAUCGGAAGAUUGAUACCAAGUGUUGGCUGAUUGCUUUCCUUCUCAUUGUCCUACAGGUUAGAACAAAGACAAGGAAAAGGACACGGAGAAUGCAUGAUAUGAGAUACUCUUGCUUUCUCCCUUCAUGAUAUGAAAUACUUUUGCUUUUCAAGAUUUGUUUGCAGAGGUAUCCUAUGGGAUGAAGAACACUGAGUGAGUUGAGAGGGUUUGUUGGAAAGCCAUUUGUCGGAGAUGACGGAAUGUUAUGUAUGUCUGCCUUGCCAUGGAGCGUGAAGGUCGACAUUUGUAGGAAAUAAUAACUGGUACUGUUCUUUCACUCCUGUCGGCAACCGUUGGAUGAUUGAACAGUAAACUUCACGUGAUUUCCUCAAAGCUUUUUCUGCAUGCGACAAGUGCUGACGAGGCUGAGAGAGACAUGCGAUUGGAAUCGGCGCUUCGACAAACUUUUCCAUGAUUUUCGCAAAGCUGACGAGGCUGAGAAAGACAGAUGGUUUGGAAUCGGCGUUUCGAUAAACUGCCCGUGAUUUCCGCAACGCUGACGAGGCUGAGAAGGACAGAUGGUUUGGAAUCGGCGUUUCGACAAAUUGCCCGUGAUUUCUGCAACGCUGAGUUUGCGUGUGACAGGUGCUGACGAGGCUGAGAAAGCUGACACUUCUUCGAUUUUUGAGAUCAGUCCGUGAUCCUUGAGUAGGCCUAGCUUUGGAGAAAGCAGGCGCUUCAUCGAUCUCUGAACUCGCCUCUUCGAUCUCUGAAAGCCCAUCGCAUGCUGUUUUUUUAUAGAGGUACGCAAGACAUUCAAAGCACACUUGAAUUUCUACCUGUGAAAAAAAACUCCCCUUUUGCAUAUCUGAGAUCUUUAAUUUGCCCGACCUCUUCAUUUUGUUGAACACCUUCGGAAAUGUCUUUCCCAUCUGACCGUCGUCUUGACUUGAAUAUCGAAGAAGAUAUUGACAUGUCUUCUCCAGGCAACAUUUGGCAGCUGUCCUUCGUAUCCUCCAACGAACCUCUUACGGUUGGGGACACUGUGAUGAGGAAUGACGCAACGGCUGCAGUGGUUGCUAGAAAUCUUCUCACUCCUAGGGAUAGUAAGAUGCUUUCCAAGCGGUCCGACGAGAUGGCUGUUCAAGACUCUCUGGCCUUCAGCGUCCAAUGUGCGGGCUCAGUAUCAAACAUGGGCCAACGCCUUCUUGCUCGAUCUCGUCAGGUUGAGUCUUUGAUGGCCGAGGUGGCUAGUCUUCGGCAGGAGAUCAGAGGGCUUAGGCACGAGAAUAAAGAGUUGCAUAUGCUAGCAACUAGUUACUCAACGAGCAUGAAGAAGAAGCUAGACCAACUGCAGGAGUGUGAAGUUCGGGCUCGAAAUGAUCAUCAAAGGUUUAUGGCGUUACUCCCGAGGCAUCUUCUGCCUUCGUCAUCUGGCGCUUCACCAAAUGUUGAGGCUCCGGAAAAUCAAACUCUGGCGCUUCGUCUUUCUGGAGCUUUACCAAGUGUGGAGGCUUCAGUUGAUCCACCUCCGGUGCUUCGUCUUUCUGGAGCUCCGUCGAGUACUGAGGCACCACAUGAUCAUCCUUGAAGAUCCUUUCCUGUAAAUUUGAUUUGACUUUUUUUUUAAGGUAUGUAUAAUGUAAAAUUUCUAGAAAAAUAAAAUGGACUUUAUUUCUCUGAACAUGUUUUUUUUGUUUUUUUUUUUGGCUGUAUAUUUUCUCUUUAAUCAUGGUGCACCCAUUUUCCACAUGGUGCCAGACGGACCAAAGAUCAAACAUUUCCUUUUUUUAUUUUUUUAUUUUUUCUUUAAUCAUGGUGGCAGACGCAUAAACAAUUUCAUUUAUAUUUUUUUUUCUUUUUGCUGGCACAUGGUGCCAGAUGCACCAUUCAUUUAUAUAUAUUAUUAUAUAUGUUUUUUUUAUUUUUUUUUAUUUGCACAUGGUGCCUGAUGCACCACCUCUUUUUUUUUCACGUGGUGCCAGCAUCACUUUGCUCCACCAUCCAUUUUUUUUAUUUUUAUUUUCUGUAUAAAUUUGGGUGAUGGGUAGAGGAUUUUGCAGGCAGGGAGCAAGGAGGCCGAGAAGAUGGUGCUUCGAACUUCAUGACCGGCUAGUCGUUUGACGGCGGUCGUUGAAGUCGUUGGCAGUUGCGAGGCAAAAGACGGAGGAGAAGGUGGAGUAGGUGACCUUGAUGUCGGAUCCAGCUAGAACCCAGAGCACAGCGACUGAGCCCAAUCACCGAGCACAACCGCUGCACACCCGUUGUACUGCCACCGAGCACUGCCACUGCGCAUCUGUUGCACUGCCAAUUGCUGCAAAGGAUUAUGUUUAACGGCGGAGACGCUGCCCUAUUUGCCAUGCUAUGCCGACGUGCUUCACAUAAUUAACCAUCCAGAAUUGUUAAACAUUCCAUCUGGGUUUAUCGCAAAAACAGAAGAAGAAAAAAACCAAGAUCCAUCCAUGCCAAACACCAAUCUGCCAUCUUUUUGGGAUUUGUACGACAUCAUCAGCCAAAACCUGCUUGGUCCGCUCGCAAAUUGUGGGAGAGGAAGAGUUGGCGGAGCAGCUGUAACACUGGAAAAUGGAGGACGUUGACGAGUCCUCCAAGUUGUUCUUGACGUUGGUGCUGGAGAAACCUGCCUCUCUCAUGACUCUGCUGACACUUGGGUCGUCAAGGAUGGGGAUGAUGAGCUGCUCGAGCUCGACUUUGAUGGUUAAGAGCGGCUGCUGCUGCUGCUCGAUGCAGUCUCUUCUCUGAUGGGCUUGGGCUCUCUUGAGGGCGUUGGAGAGAGAGGGCUGCCCGUGGAGGAGAGGGCAUGGAGUUGUUGGGAGAAAUCAGGGCCGGAAUGGAAAAUAUUCCCGAGCUGCAUCAACGAGGAGAUAACACCGCUAAGUUAUUCAUCUGGUUUGCUUUAGUCAAAUGGAUCAAUCCGCGGGUCAUGCUCGCUUGCCAUCAUCAUCCCAGUGCACAGGCAUGUCGGGCACAUGACCUUUCCAGCACCAGAGCAAUUUGGGCACCUCUCAGUUGUGGGCACUCGCAAAGGUUGGUCUGAUGCACUAGAUGCUGAUAUAGGAUUGAUGUUCAAGCACACUCCACUUGCAGAACAUCUAGCACAGGCCAAGUACCCAGUUCCAUGGCAAUAUUUGCACCUUUUCUUCUCUUGCUGCUCAACAUUAUUAGCUUCAAUCAACAUCAAUGCUGAAAUGACACCCACUGCCCCACCGGAGAAGGAUGCCACAAUAGGAUCAACCUGACUUAAUUGUAAAGGCAGAUGCAUGCUACGAAUGAAAUCUUCAUACGAGGUACCUCCUAUACCUAAUUUUAGUUCCAACGAUGGCGCAAUGAGACCCCCAAAUACAAUUACACUAGAUAUCAUAGAUAAGCUUGUGAGGUAGAGCUGCUUCAACGUCUUUGGUGUCAUAUGAGGGAGAAAAGGGAUAGUGGAUGGAAUGUCAGGCAUCUCAUUUGACUCUUCCUCACAAGCCUCAUCCAUAUCUCUCGCCAUCUUUAUCCGUUGCUGCACCCGCAAUCUCCUUAGCUCUUCCAUGAGAAGAAAAAUCUUGUUGUGCCGGCUUCUUAUGUUGUCCUAAAUUUCCUGUAGUUGCAUCUGCACAAAGUCCUGCACCGUCUCCGGCUCUUCUAUGAUACAAAAAGUGCUUGGCGUGUUAUCGCCGGGGAAUGAUUCCUUGGAAGCAGAACAGGAAAUUUGGGGAUGCGGGGAGGUGAAUUUGGACAGAGAGAGACGUCUAGGGAUUCCAUGGGAGGGGGGUUGAGAGUGGUUUUUUGCCGGCGCCUCUAGGGUAGUCGUCGUUGGCUAUUGCUAUAGAGAGGUCAAUGACUUCACCGGAGAUGGCGUUGUUCUGGAGCCCGAGCGUGAGAAGCCGGGUGAGAUUGUCUGGAAAGGGUCCCCAGAGGUUGUUGUCGGCGAGGUCGAGAAGCUUGAGCUUGGUGCAAUUGACGAGAGGAGAAACGGUGUCGUUGAGGCGGUUGUUGUGGAGGUCGAAGAGUGAGCUGGGCGAGAUCAGAGAACCUUGACGAAUUCGGAGCGUUGAGGGUUAUCAACACGAUCCCAUCGACGAAGAAGAAGCAGAAUGGGCCUCUUGCGGGGCCUAUGGCAUCAACCGGUCUUUGGGCUUCUGGGCCAGUAAAUUGGAGAGAAGCCUGGGCUUUUGACUUGCAGAGAGAUUAGGCUCUGGGAGCCGCUUGUAGUAUUGUGGCUAAAGGGGUUGCUUCCUGUGGCCACUUAUAUAUAUAUAUUUUGUAAAUACAUAAAACAUUUAUCUCUUUUUUUUUCUUUUUUUUUUGUACAAAGAAAUUGUAAUAGCAUCAAAACUUUUAAUAAAAUCUUUAUUCCUUAUUUUGGUGUGACUGAACUCAAAUUUUGAAUAUUCGAGUUGCCUACGUACCUCUCCAAAGAAGAGAUCAAGUCGUAACGUAGUUCAAAUGAGUGAUGAAUUUAACAGUGAUUUUGAUGAUGAUUUUGUCGUACACAGUUUAUGCUCUUGCGGGCCAGGAGCUUUGGUUCGUGCAGUUUAGGCUCGUGCGAACAAGGAGUGUUGGUGUUGCCUUUUAUGCUCGUGCAGACCAGGAGCGUUGGUGUUGCCUUUUAUGCUCGUGUAGACCAGGAGCUUUGUGCCAUGCAGUUUAGACUCGUGCAGGCAAGGAGCGUUGGUGUUGCCUUUUAUGCUCGUGCAGACCAGGAGCGUUGGUGUUGCCUUUUAUGCUCGUGCAGACCAGGAGCUUUGUGCCAUGCAGUUUAGACUCGUGCAGGCAAGAAGUGUUGGUGUUGCCUUUUAUGCUCGUGCAGACUAGGAGCUUUGUUGUGCCAUGCAGUUUAGGCUCGUGCAGGCGAUGAGCUUUGGUUCAUGCAGUUUAGGCUCGUGCGAACAAUGAGCAUUGUGCCAUGCAGUUAGGCUCAUGCAGGCGAGGAGCGUUUAUUGGUUCGUCAAGCGAUCCAGGAGAGUCGUUCCUCGCAAUCUUCAUAGCAAGGAGCCUUGACUGAGUGAUUGAAGAAGUCUUUGGGGAAGAAAUCGCGCAUCGUGAUGGGGAUGGACGAUAUUUGUGUCGUCAUUUCAUCAUCUUCAACACUUUCACUUUUCUUUGAAGGUUGACAAGAGCUGCUUUGCCCCAUUUCCGAUUGGCGGACUUGUGGAUGAGACGUAUGCUUCUUCUGCAGUUUCUCUAGAGUGACAUGAGUCAUUCCUUCAACUUCGCUUGGCUCAACUGGCAUGGUUUUGGAGCAUGCCCCCAGCGAUUGAGGUGAAGAUUUUGAGUUGACAAAGCCGGAAGUGACGUCUUCUUCCAUGAUUUCAUCUUCUUUGUCUUCUUGGGCUUGUUGGCGUGAAGAUUGGCCGGCGUAGAUGAUGGUGCGCCUCUUUACCUUCAGUGGUCCUUUUGUGUCGACCUCCCAAGCUGUUUGGCGCUUUAUCCUUGAAUGAAUCAAGCUUCGAACGUCGUCUUUUCCUGCUAGACCGUCGAGCUUUUCUUCCUUUGGCGUUGUCUUCCUAUUUCUAGAAUGCUUCUUGGUUUCUUCAAGUUUUUCCAAAGCCGAUCGUUGGGGAGGAGAGCCAGCCUUGCUGCUUUGUUUCUUAGGUUUUGACAACCUUUCAAAAACAGAGCUUUGGGGUGUUGGCGUGUUAAGCCGUUUGAAGAUGGAAGUUCGGUCUUGCCCACCAAUGCGAUCAAGUGCCGACCUUCUGGGUUUUGAACGAUUCAGCCUAUCGAAGACUGACACUCGAAUAGGAGGUUGAGGCUCCUCUUGAUCUUGUUCAAUCCUCAAGCUGAUGUGUCGAGUGCUAGCAUUUUUUGCUUUACUUGAAAUCUUCACGGGUGCAUUUGGUGUGAAGCCAAGUCUAGCUCUGUUGUUGUCAACUCCGUAAUCAUGCUUUUCCAACUUCUUCUGAGUCUCGGUGAAGUCAUGAUCUUUGUCGUUGAUGGUGUUUGAAACCUUCUUCUCAAGAUUUGAAGAGGAAGCAAAGUCGUACCCAGCCUUUAACAUGAGUUCGUAGGCGUUUGGGUUGAGACCUUCUUCGGUCCUCUUAGUUGGAAUGAAGCUUGGGUUCGCUUUGACGCCAUGAUGCGCCUCCAGACGGUUGAUAAGUCCAACGGUUUGCAAGUUUUUCUCCUCCGCAGUCUUUAUCAGCCUUGCAAUUGUUUCCUUCAUCUGAACUAGUUGUUCUUCAAUAGAGGUAGCGCCGAUGGUCAUGACUUGUUCUUUGUUUGAAGCCAUGAAGUGUGCUUGAAUUUCUUGAACAGAGAAAGAGAUGAGAGGUAGAGAUUGUCCCACUGGGCGUGCCAAUUUGUGAACACGGAAAAUUCCCGAAACGAAAGAGACAAGAACAACGUGCACAAACAAAUAUUUUGUAUUUGAUGAUUAUUUUGGGUUACAAUCUCUCUCUAAUUUGAUCCUCUGAUUCGAUCUCCGUAAGGUAUUGGUUUGUGGAUGUGCGAUUGAUCCAAGGGCCGUCGAGGCUUGAUCUUGGAUGAACGGAUCUUCAAGGGCUUUUGGGCUUAAUCUUGAAGAAUAGUGAUGAACGGGUCUUCAAGGGCUUUUGGGCUUGAUCUUGAAGGAUGGUUGGAUGUGUGGAUUUGUCGACGUUGUUGAUCCAAAGGGCCGUUGGGGCUUGAUCUUAGGAUGAACGGAUGAUGAACGAAUAACACUUUCUUCAAGGGCCGUCGGGGCUUGAUCUUGAAUUGGUGAAAGUUCUUCAAGGGCCGUCGGGACUUGAUCUUGAAGGUAGAUGAUUGUUGAUCCAAGGGCCGUCGGGGCUUGAUCUUGGAAGAACGAUGAACGAAGAACGAAGAAGGCUUUCUUGGUUCUUCGGGAACCUGGAUGCUUGAGAGCUUCGGAGUUUCAGAGCUUCAGAGCUUCAAGGUGUAAUAUGAAUUUGGUUCCCCUAAAUGAAUGAAAUUGGCUUCUAUUUAUAGAAUUUUUCAAGGCCUAAUUUUGAAUAUAAUAUUCCAGAUGAAAUAAGUCGUUUCUGCCAAGUGUUGACACGUGUCUUAUUUGAUGACUUUUCCGACUCAUUUCAAUUUUUCGUCGAGUCACACACUACGUGUAAAAUUUAUGUAAUACAUGAGCGUUGAAACUUUGAUUUAUCAGUCAACAUUUAUUUACCAAAAUUUCGAUGUCUACAGUUAAAUGAUUUGGCUGUGUGCAUUGUUUCAGGACAAUUUGUUCUUCGUUUUUUGGGGCUUCUGUGCGUAGCUUUGAAGUCCUUUGUAGUCAACAUAAAUAAUUUUAUUUUUCUUUGUUUUUAGUCUUCUAUGUAAGAAUUUCUUAGUUAAUAUUCUGAGAAUUAUGUUUACUAUAGUAUGAAAAUUGAAUCUUUGUGAUCUUCGAAGUGUAACGUCAUUGCAACAUGGACGACUGCCAUUAUCGAACAUGAAAAACAUUUUGAUUUCUGUACUCCGUCUAGUAGAAAACUCUCGACUUCUUCAGAAACCACGAGAAACUUAAAACUGAGAAAGCUUCGCGGUCUCCCUUCCAUCUCUGCUACGCGGUCUCUGCUUUGCGAUCUCUGCUUCCUUCGUGAUUUCUUCCUUCCUGAACGACAUCUAUUCGAAUUGAAAACCUUCUGGAGCUCUCUUCCCCAAAUUUCAGCAGCAACUUUGCUCCAGAUCUUUCCAAUUGAAAUUCCUCUCCUUCACAUUUUGCAUAUUGAAUUUCGCAUCAUCAUCAUCUCCCUAGAACCUAGGAGUUCGGUUCGGUUUCGAGUUUUCCGACGGAAAUCCGGCGACAGCGGCCAUCGAGGUUGGUCUGAAACUAUUCCUCAUCACCACAGGUACUUUCUACACCUAUUACAUUUUAGAAAAAGUUUCAUGACUUUGUGGAAUCCAAUUUAACGAUUAGAAAAAUUUUCAUUAAUUUUCUGGGUUCGUGAGUUGGAGGGGGAUUAGAAAUUUUUUCAUUAUUUUUCUGGGUUUGUGGUUUUUUUUUUCCAAAACGUUUUUCCUUUCUACUAAUCCAAGUUCCUUCACAUCAAUCUCUCUGUUUUGUUCUUGAUCUUCCUCGAGUAGAAUACCUCUUCUUGCUCUGGAGCGCGUGGGCAGUCUCUCUAAGGCAGCCCAUGACGUCAUUUUCCGAUUCGACUCGGAGGAGGUUGGCUGCUCUUCUUGGCUGAGCUUCAUGGCUGGCCGAAUUCCCCUAUUCCCUUCCUCUUAUACUUUUUUAUAUUCGUUCACCAAAACAAUAGGAAAACGUCUCCGUCUGUUUGAUUGACGGCGAAAAAAAAAAAGACGGAGAAUAAAAGCCUGACGGAAGCUGAAAGCUUGGACUCUGUUUGUAUUUUUAAUGGAUUUUCAGAACACAGGUCAAGAAUAUUGCGAUUUGAGAAAAAAAGAAAGAACCACGUUGACAUAAUAUAUUCACAAUAGGUGUACAAGGUUCAUAAAGCUUUACUGUGGUUCCAUUUUUUGUUAAUGGAAUUAGCCUUUUGUUUUAGGAAGAACUUGGAACCCCCUCCGUCCAUUCUAUCCCCAAUGGAAUUAACACUUAGAUAGUACUAUGACAAUGUGUCAUUAUUUGAUGCAUACCUGUAUAAAUUUAGGCUAAGUGUUUUAUACACAAAUUGAUACAGAUUAACUAUACAAUGAUAACUAUAUACCGGAGAGCUAACUAUACAAUGAUACAUUCUUAUCUGUUAAUUAUCUUUGGUUACCAGCUAUCCAUGUUGCUGUCAUAUUAAACUACACAACAUCAGUUGUAAUUUAUGUCUUAUUAGUAUCAUCAUUUUUGUUCAUUAUUUCAAUGUCUAACAUAACUCCGCCUAUGUCUUACAUGGCCGGUCCCAAGCCCGGAUAAAGGAGGAGGGGGAGGGCGUCAGGUAGUCGACAGCCGGCACUCCAUGAUCACGUCGAAUCCUUAUGAAAAUGAAUCCAGAACAAAACCCCACUUAGUGGGAAAAGGCUUUGUUGUUGUUGUAUUUCAAUGUCUAACAUGAUGAUCUGGUUUCAAUUUGCUACAGGCAUUAUUUCCAGACAAUAGCUAUGGUUUUGAUUGUAGCGGUGACUGAAAAAUUAUUCCGAAACUAACAUUUGAGGAAUUCAAGGUUUGUUAGUUAAUUUGUACAUCAGAAUACCAUGACAAACUAUGAAGUUGUAAUUGUUGACCUUACAAUGUAUCUUUUUUGGUUUGGAGCAUUAGACUUAUAUGUGUUGCUUUCACCUCAUGAAGGCUAACUCUUUAUUUUAGGCCGUAAGAGUAUAAUUUCUUGGAGAAUCUACAUUGUUGAUAAUUUUUUGAACAAUAUUAUCCCCAAAAUUUCUCCGCAUGUUACCCUCAACGUAGACAUCAUAUAACCAUCAUUGAACUUCUGAACCAAAAAUUUGAGUUUUAUGAUUAUAACUAAACGUCUAUAAACACAUGAUACAGAUUGAGACGAAUGUCAAAUUUAAAAUGGCAUUAAUACAGCUGCAAACUCUGAUUUGCGGGAUUUGAAAUGGAGCAGUUACUUCUUGCUUCACUUCAGCAGCAUAGUCCAGCUUCUAAAUUCAGUUCUCAGGUAUGAGGUUUCUCAGUUACCUCUUUUUUGUAAUAAAACAUUUGAUCAGUACUUGCCAGGAUAUCCAAUUAAUUAGGUCAGUUUUUGUUAGCAGUAAUAAUUUGUUUUUGCAGCUUUAUAUGUGUCUCUGUCUCCAAAUAUGAUGAUCUCUUAAUUUGCUUCUAUAGCUUUUGUAAUAUAAUGAUCUCUUAAUUUUCUUUUGCAUAUCUUCUUUGCUUCCUCUGCUAGCUCUAUAUGAGAUUCCAUCUCCAAAUAAUUAUUCCUUAUUUCCUAUUUUUACCAGAAGCAAAUCAUUGAAUACACAUGGUAAAUUAAAAGGGUUUUAGUUUUUGGAGUAGUUUAAAUUUUUUGUUUGUUAUUGCUUGUAUUGCUGUUAAAUAUUUGAUGGGUAGUUUGAAAUGGGGAACUUGGUUGAUUGAGUAUUAACUUUUAUUAAAUUAAUAUUCUUAUUCAAUAUUGAAUUAAGACUCCUCUUAUUAAAUUAAGACUCUUAAGGCUCUAAUCUAAUGUUCAUGCUCAAUAUCUCCUCUAUCUUUCUACAAUUGGUAAAACUUUUGUAUUAUUAUUCCAAUUUUGGUUACUGGGUUGUGGAAUUUUCCAUUUUUUUUCUGGGUAAUCAAUACUAUAUAUAUGCAUGACAAGUAUAAACAAUAUUUUGGGGCAAAUUUAGUUGUUUAAUUUUUAAUUUUUAUGUGACAGUGAGAUUAUGGUAGGAUUUCGUUUAGAUUCUGCGGCCCAAUGGGAGUCUCUGCUUUGAUAAGAUUGGGGUUGAUGCCAAGAAAGCCAAUAAGCCUACUGUGGACGCCGUAGCCGCCUGGCGCUGUUUUCCAAAAUCCUCUCUCACUUGGUUAAGCAAUUAAGACUUUUUGGUUCAGUUUUUAUUAUGCCCAAUUUUGUAUUUAAACCUUAAAAAAAUUUAAACUGAUAUGGGGAUACUGAAAUAGGCUGCAGAGCUGCCAUCCCUGAAUCAGAAGAUGUUCAGAAGGAAGAAGAAGAACAAGAAGAAAGUCGUGGAAUAUCAAAAGCUUUUAGCUUUGUGAAGGUAUGCUUUUUCCCAACUCACCUCUUGCUUUUGUUGCACUGAAUUGGUAGAUUGGGUUCAAAAAUAUAUAUAUGUGAUUUUUCGUGUAACUAUUUCUUUACAUAAUUACCAAUUGGAGGUGAUUUGAGAUCAUGUAACAUUUCCUCGCUAGAACCGAAGAUUGCCGUCGCUCAGAGCUGCGUUUCAUGAAACAAGUUCAUCUCCUGCCAAUUUUGUGUACCCACCUUUUAUUCAUGAGGGUUGGUGCUUGCUUGCAACACAAUUUGGUGCUAUUAAGUUUUGCGGUUUUACAAUUUGUUCAUGCUUAAACCUCUUUCAAAUUUUCAUUUCUAUGUAAAUCUUGCAGGUAGGACGACACACCUAUCUUGGCAAUGUCGGGAUGUCUAGGCUUGGGUGGAGACGUGGUCUUAUGGAAGAGGUGAAGUAGCUUAGCUCGAUCUCAUUAGCUCUUAUCUGUUCUAUUAUGCUAAGAUCAAUAGUAAAAAGUUCUAUUGAUUUUAUAAUCAAAGAUACAUAUAUUAUAGAAACAGAGGGUAUAUAAUUAAUUUCUUGAUGUAAACAAUUAUAACUUGAGGAACCAUUUAAAGUAUUUUGGUAAUCAGCAUACUUAAACUUAAAUGUGAUAUAUCCGUUUAGUAUUUUUUUUAUACAGUGAUAAUACUUAAGUAUAAUUUACAUCAUAUAUCUUUUGAAGUACAUGAAACUAUGAAGAAAAUGAUAAACCAAAUCCCAUUCCAUCUCUGUUUGCUACUGCACAAUCACAAUCCAAUUCCAACAUGGAAUCCUCAGACGACAUGCCUACUGCAGAACAAGUUUCAUCCUGACUUAACUUAUAUUUAGUCCACGUCCUGUUUAGAUUGUAAUCCUAGUUCUACGUGUGUUUGUAUAGUACUCCUAUAAAUAUCAAUGAACAUCGCUCACUCUAAUUAAGAGUUGAGAUUCUGCAAAUCAUAUUUACUAUCUUUCAUGGUAUCACGAGCCAGCGUCUAACGACAACGGUUCCUAUUAUAAUUUUUUUCUCUUUUGCAGAUCCUAAACUAUGGCAUCUUCUUCCUCCUCCGCUGCUCCCUCCAUCACAAAUUUUCUUACGAUCAAGCUCGACCGCAACAACUACCCUCUUUGGCAUGCUCAGUUUCUUCCCUUGCUGCGCAGCCGCAACUUACUCUCUUAUGUUACUGGCGAAACUCAAUGCCCCUCUUUCUUCUUGAUGACAAUGGUAAAUUCACCGAUAAAGUCAAUCCAUUAUAUAAUGAAUGGAUCCAGACUGACCAGAUGAUCCUAUCUUGGAUUACGAGUUCUCUUACUCCCAAGGUUCUUGCUACGAUCGUCAACAAAAUUGAUUCGGCCUCUGCUUGGUCGUCAAACUCGAAUUAAUCUGAUUGUGAGGGUUUUGUUUUAUAUCAAUAUAUUGCAACAGAAGUCACACUUUGAAGAGUUCAUGCUGCACAGAAAGAUGAUGAAAUGCUACCCGUUGAGUCUAUCAUUGCUCCAUUGGAGACAGAGCUGAAGCUUACUGCAGGAGUUAUACAUUUGUUAUGCAAUAUGACCCCUUUAAUUUUAUUUUAAAACUGAUACAAAAAUACUACAAAAAUUUAUGUAGUAUUUUUGUAUCAGUUUUGAGUGUCUAUUUUGGCUUCCAUAUAUCGUCUGUACAUGUGAGAGGUAUAGUGUUCAAUAUGUAUUUGGUUUCUAUAUUGUUAAUGGAUCCUUUUUUUUUUUUUAAUUUUAAUAUAAUUUUAUUAAGGUAACCAAGUUGCAGGAUGACAUCAGAACACUUGAUCUGCAGGUAAACCUUCAAUUUCCAUAUGAAGUUUGCAUGUUCGUUGUUUCUGGAAUUUGAGUUUUUAUUAUUUCUCAAUUCUAUCACAUAGAUUACGAUUUCACAUAUGUGAUUAUUAAUGGCAAUUAUAUGAUAGAAGAAUUGGGAUUGGAAGAAGAUAUUGAGUUGUUUAUUUAUGGGGAUUAGAAAAUGAUUAUCAUACAAGUGAUAUUUAUUUUUGUGUGGAUUGUUAAUAUAUAAAACUAUAAGCUUUUGAGAUUGGGAGAUAAAACCCACAAAUUCAAAUCAGACAAAAUAAAUAAAAAAUUUAACUGACUUAAAGAUCAAACUCCAAAAGGGUAUUAAAAACAAGGCUUAUUUGAUCCAUUGAGUGUGAAAGUUUUGAGCUUUGAAGAAGCAUAGGAGGAGAGUUGUUAACCAAGCUGCAUUAUCCAUGUAUUAGGAUGUUGAGGGUAGGCAGGAAAAAUACUUUUUGACGCCAUAUCCAGAGGAGCAUAACGACAGGCCUGCAUUUUUGCAGCAAGGACCAAAACAAGUAGAAGUGAAGGCUUGACUGUUUGGGUAUUAAUCCUAAACCUAAUUAUUCUUAUUUAGGUUUAGGAUAAAUGAUUGAGUGUGUCUCGAUGAUUGUAUUACCAUGUUUGAUGAAUGACUUGAGGAGUUGGAAAUGGUUUAUUGCUUAUGUUUUUCUUAGGUGUGUACUUUGGUUAUUUCCGAGCUUUUCACGACUCUUGAUACCUAAUAGAGAAAAUGGAAACCCCAACUUUAAUUUUAUGAAUUGGUUUUGGUGCCUAAAAUGAAAUCUAGCAUAGUGAAAUCUUGCAUAAUGAAAUUAUGACAAAUUUCCCUUCAUCUUUAGAUUUUCAUUUAGUUCAAUUUGUAUGCAAUUUAGGGUUAUUCAAUUCAUGAGUGAUCAAAUUAUGUUUUUAAUUCCUUCUUCUUUUGAUUUACAGUUCAACAUUGUCGUACAAAAUGAAAAAGGUGCCAGUAACAUAGUUAUGGAUUUGGAUGCCUUUAGCGGAAUAAAACUGAAUUUUUUAACUUUGUAUAGUUGUAAACAUAAAAUACUCCAUCAGAUAGACUCAUAGCAUUUGAAAACAAUCCUUGAGGAUGGCAUAACAACAUCUCCAACUUUUGUCAUGUAAUGUAUGAAUGUAAAUAGCACUUUGUAAACAUAUGGAUGUAAUAUAUGUAUAUAAACAGUCUUUAGCAUGUAUAUUUUUCAAAACUUUCUACAUCUUCAACAAUGUUUCAAUGAUUUCUUGAUGUAAACAAUGAUAAUUUGAAGAACCAUUUAAAGUUUUCGGUAAUCAGCAUACUUAAGCUUAAAUGUGAUAUAUCCGUUUAGUAUUUUUUAUACAGUGAUAAUACUCAAGUAUAAUUUACAUCAUAUAUCUUUUGAAGUACAUGAAACUAUGAAGAAAAAACCCUAAUUAAUCUGAUUAUGGGGGUUUUGUUUUAUAUCAAAAUAUUGCAGCAGAAGUCACACUUUGAAGAGUUCACGCUGCACAGAAAGACGAUGAAAUGCUAUCUGUUGAGUCCAUCAUUGCUCCAUUGGAGACAGAGCUGAAGCUUGCUGCAGGUGGUAUACUUUUGUUCUGCAAUAUGACCCCUUUAAUUUUAUUUUAAGACAGAUAGGGUUGAAAAGAAUUUAUGUAGUAUUUUUGUAUCAGUUUUGAAUGUCUAUUUUGACUUCCAUAUUUGGUCUGUACAUGUGAGGUAUAGAGUGUUCAAUAUGUAUUUGGUUUCUAUAUUGUUAAUGGAUCUUUUUUUUUUGUUUUUUAGGUAACCAAGUUGCAGGAUGAAAACAAAACACUUGAUCAGCAGGUAAACCUUCAAUUUCCAUAUGAAGUUUGCAUUUUUGUUGUUUCUGGAAUUUGAGUUUUUUGCAGGAUGAAAACAGAACACUUAAUCUGCAGGUAAACACUUGAUUUGUUAUUUCCAAGCUUUUCACGACUUUCGAUACCCAAUAGAGAAUAUGGAAACCCCAACUUUAAUUUUAUGAAUUUGUUUUGGUGCCUAAAAUGAAAUCUAGCAUAGUGAAAUCUUGCAUAAUGAAAUUAUGACAAAUUUCCCUUCAUCUUUACAUUUUCAUUUAGUUCAAAUCGUAUGGUUUAGGGUUAUUCAAUUCAUGAGUGAUCAAAUUAGGUUUUUAAUUCCUUCUUCUUUUGAUUUUCAGUUCAGCAUUGUCGUAUUUUGGAUGCCUUUAGUGGAAUAAAACUGAAUUUUUUUAACUUUGUAUAGUUGUAAACAUAAAAUACUCCAUGAGAUAGACUCAUAACUUUUGAAAACAAUCUUUGAGGAGGGCAUAACAACAUCUCCAACUUUUGUCAUGUAAUGUAUGAAUGUAAAUAGCACUUUGUAAACAUAUGUAUGUAAUAUAUGUAUAUAAACACCACUCUUUAGCAUAUAUAUUUUUCAAAACUUUCUACAUCUUCAACAAUGUUUCAAGCCCCGCGGCAACGGGCGGGUACACUUGCUAGUAUACAUCUAAAAUUAUAAGACUAAAUCCUUUAGUUCUUGGAUUCAUCUAAGAACUACUUAUUCCAGCAGAUGCUAUGCUUGCACUACUAGAAUUUAUGGCUUGCCCUGUCAACUAUUGCGCGACAGAAGAUUUCGUCGGUUUCACCUUUUUUAACCGACAGAAUAUAAGUUUAGUAGGGCAAAAUCAGUCAACAAACUGGGUUGAUUGAAUAAAUUUACAGGAUGGCUAGAGUUCGUAGGUUAAGACAUCGGUCGUUGGGCAAACAUUUGGAGCGAAGAUGUGAGUGUUUUAACUGACGAAUAAGCUGGUCGUCAUGUAGAUCUUCUUUCCCGACGGACGGUUCAACAGGUAGCUCUUUGGAUAAUAAUUCAUCUUCAAGGGGAACAGGUUGCCCCUCAGAUGAAUGGUUAGAGGCAAUUGUGAGACUAUAAUUUUCUAGGGCCGGAAUAAAAAAUACAUAAACCCUCACCUAUUCUGUCUCUGUAACCAUCCACCAAAUACCCAUUUUUCCCUUUCUAUUUCUCUCCUAGUAAUUUCCCCUGACCGAAUCACACAAUCCAACCAACUCUCUUUAAGCCUCCCUCACUGAUUCCAUGGAUUUCAUGGACUUAUCCCACCCUCUCUCCUUCCUUCUAUAUAUAGCAAGUCCCCUUGCCUCAGUGUCCCUGGCAACAGAAUUUAUGGCGUUUCUUCGUUCUUUCAAUUAUUUGAAAGCUUCCCUGCCCUGCAAUCUUGUAUAAAGGCGUAUGGUGUUUCAUCAGUUCCAUUUGGUGGUCGGGUGGGAAAUGAAAUUAAAACACUGCAUUUCAAAUGCAUUUCAAAUGGUCUAAACCAAAUUGAAUCAAAUGUGAAGCAAAGGGCAAGAGGUGUAGAUUGAAGAACAAUGGCACCAAGAGCGAAAUUGAACUUGUUGACAGGAGGAAACCAAGUAAGGAUAACACGUCUAAAUCUUAUUUUGAAUCCAUUCAGCUCAUGAUGUUUUGAAUGAUGAUGAUCGGUAUACUCUGCUACAUGCUGUGAUUUUUCCGCUUUCAUGUAAUUAACGGCUUAUAUUUGUGGUAACCAUAUUGAUUAAAAAAGGUCGUACCCAGUGCACAAGGCUCCCGCUUUACGCAGGGUCUGAAAGGUGAAUGUCGGCUAGCCUUACCCCCAUUUUAUGGAGAGGCUGCUCCAAAGUCUCAAACCCAAGACCUACCGCUCAUGGGCGAAGACACUUGCCAUCGCACCAAGUGCGAUAUUGAUUAAUUUCGAGAAAUGACAGUCUAAUUUUUGCAACUGUCUUUUGCAGGCAAAACAAAGACGUUUGCAAGGGUGAGUUGUGUAGGAGCUUUGUUUCAUGUCCAAAGGACACUUGAGAAUAAAUGUUUACACUCAUGGAUAAUAUCUAUCUAUUUGCAGGAGUAACCCUGGGUUCAUUUGUUCUGUAACUGCUGGUCAUUGCGGCAUAUCACGCCUAUAGCACUGACAAAAGUAAAAAGAGAAUCGAAUGAAAUUUGAUAAGUUUUCAGCGGACUACAAAGAUCUUAAGCCAAGCAUAUAUUCCCAUGCAGAUAUUAAGAGGUUUACAAAUCAAUUCAAGUACAAGUUGGGCCAAGGAGCAUACGGAACUAUUUUUAAAGGAAUGCUUUUUUCUGAAUGCUUUGUUGCCAUGAAGUACUUAACAAUGGGCCAUAUUCACCAUGUCAAUGUGGUUCACUUGGUUGGUUUUUGUGCUGAUGGAUUUAGAUGAGCUCUGGUUUAUGAGUUCUUUUCCUUUGGUUCACUCCAGGAUUAUAUUUCAUCAGUAGAUAGAUUUCUUUCCUUGGUUGGCAUAAGUUACAAGAUAUUGCUAUCAGCAUAGCCAAAGGAACCAAGGAUGUGAUCUACAAAUCCUCCAUUUCGAUAUCAAACCCCAUAAUGUUUUGCUCAACCAAAAAAUCACGCCAAAAAUCUCUGAUUUUGGUCUGGCCAAGUUAUGUUCCAAGGAUCAAUCGGCGUGACUAAAGCAAGGGGGACUAUGUGACUAAAGCACCCGAAGUGUUUUCCAGGAAUUUCGGAAAUGUGUCUUACAAGGCAGAUGUCUUGAAUGCUGCUGCUUGAGAUGGUAGGAGAAAAGAAGAAUAUUGGUUCAACCAGAGGACACGACAAAUGAAAUCUACUAUCCAAAAUGGAUUUAUAAUCUUCUAGAGGAAGGAAAUGACCAACAGAUCCCUAUUGAGGAAGAAUGUUAUGGUAAGAUUCCAAAGCAACUUGCAAGUUUAGGGCUCUGGUGCAGCCAGUGACACUCAGUGGAUCGGCGGUCCAUGAAAACGGUGGUUCGGAUGUUAGGAGGAGGAGAAAACUUGAUGAUGCAAGCAACCCUAAAAGCCUCAUACAGUUAGAAGCAAUUGCUGAAUUAGAGUAACAUACGUAUAUGUAUACGCACCAACACAAGUCGUUCUUAGAUGAAUCCAAGCCAAACAAUUACAGACAAUAGUUAUUCACUAAAUCACUUUAAGGCAAGAAUUUAAUUAAUAAUACAUUACUGCACUUUCUUAACCAUUUGACUAUCACCUAGCUGACAAUGAACACGUUAGCUCCGCGUUAGAACAUCUUGGGUUCAAUUCAUUGUCUUGAAUAUCACCCACUGUCACAGGCGUCUUUUGGGGGCAUAGAGAAGGCCUGAGAGGCAUUUGCAGACAUUCAACAUCUCCUCCAAGCAUUUUGACAACUUUGGACAUCGAAGGGCGAUCACUUGGUUUCAUUUGAAUACACCACAAGGCGGUUAUAACCAUCUUUCUUAUUACUUUCUUUUCCUCCUCUGUAACAUUGUCCAUUUCCAAGUCAUUUCCUACAAUAUACUGAUCGUAUACCCACAUUGGGAAGUAGAUUUGGCUUGAAUGCUCUACCGUUGGAUUCAAAUUCCUCCUUCUGCUUGCCAUUUCCAUCAACAACAUUCCAAAACUAUAGACAUCUGACUUAUAUGAGACGCCUCCAAUAUUUUUGUAGAACAACUCAGGAGCAAUAUAUCCCAGUGUACCCCGUGCUGCUGUCAAAGAGACAAUGCUAUUAUCUACAUGAUACAAUUUUGCAAGCCCAAAGUCAGAAACCUUUGCUUUAAAGUUCUCAUCAAGAAGGAUGUUAUGAGGCUUGAUGUCGAAAUGUAGAAUUUGCAUUUCGCAACCUUGGUGUAGAUAUUCGAUCCCUUGAGCCACUCCAAGAGAAAUCUCGUACAUGUUCUUGAUAGUUAAGGGGACACUUCCUUCUUUGGAAUAAAUGUAUUUAUCAAGAGAACCAUUAGGCAUGAAGUCAUAGACUAGAGCGCGUUUUGAUCCCUCAACAUAGUAUCCAACAAGUUGCACCACAUUGGCAUGGUGAAUCCUUCCGAUUGUAGCUAAUUCGCUAAUGAAAUCUUGGCCAUCAGCUUUGGGCUUGGCCAAAACUUUAACUGCUACAAAUCGACCACUGCGUAGCUUUCCCUUAAAUACAGAGCCAAAGCCACCUUUGCCCAACUUGUCCUUAAACUUGCGAGUCAUUUUCUUGACGUCCGAGUAAGAGUACCUUAUAGGCAUGAAGUUGUUAUUGCAUUGCAGAAAAUCUUCUAUUGUGCUAUACAUUGAUAAAUGUCUUCUGCGCCAUGUGUAGAUUAGAAAUGCAGUCACAAUUGGAACUCCAAAAACAAAUCUGGCUAGGAAAAAUAACCCUACAUGCAUUGACAUUAAUAUGUUAGAUCCACUGCGUACUACUUUUUCUUCCCUUUCUUUCCAAAUUACUUUGUCUUUGAUGUAAUUAAAGAGAGAAUGGGAAAUGUACAUAUGUUGAUAAUACAAUCUCGUCUUAGUCCUUACCGAUGCAUAUGAGUAUAAACCAUACACGUACUGCAACAAAAUCAAUCGACUAUGAGUUUGAAAAGUGCAUAAAGUGAAAAAAAAAUAAAAAAAAUCAAAGGGUGCCUUUAUUGACAUCCAAAUUUUAGUUAGUUUUACUCAACUAAAAAAUUUUUGUCAUCAAACUUUUUAAUUUGCCGUCGAAAUUGAGUUCACCCAACCCACAAAGCAGCAACUACCACUCACCAAAAAAACCAACAACACACAGCCACCAGUACCAUUCACCAAUAGAAAGAGAAGGAACACACAGACCCACCAAGGAGCCGGCAUCGACGCGUCUACGAGGGAGGGACCGGAGGGUGGUGUAGUUUUGUUGGGCGCGCGGUAGUGGUUUUGUCUGUUCAUUUUCUCUUUGUUUUGGUAGGUGGAGGCUGGUGUGGAUUUGGGCGAACUUAAAAAUGAGGGGAAACUAUGAAGUUUGACAAAAUGUUUUAGUUAGGUGAACUUCACUAAAAUUUGGGUGCCGAUAAAGAUACCCAAAAUCAAAAGACUAGAUGGACUAAUUAAAUGAAGCUCUUACCCAUAUAUAACGAUGGACGCAACUUGCCAGCUGCUGCAGUACAUACCACGGAAAAGUGAGCAAAGACAUACAGUUACUAGGUUUAAGAAGUACAGAUAGAGCACACAAAAAAUAAAAGAAGCUUUUGGGAAGAAACUUCUUACGCAAAUAGAUUUUUUUCAUGACCUACAGUAAAAAAAUGUCAAGAAGAAUACACAACAUUAGCAAUAGCUCACCCAGUCUUCAAAAUUUAAAAAAUCAAGUUUGUCGAUCGAAAACUUGUAAAUAAAACAAAAAGAGGACCCCUUACCGAUUUGUUGCCAUAGAUAUUGAAAGAAACCUACAAGAACAAAGAAAGAACAAGACCACAUGCAUUAGAAUAACAAGUGUGAGGUGUAUAAGCCGUUAGAAAAUAAAUUUAAAAUUCUAGUGCUGUCAAUACAUUGAUAAUAUAUAUAUAUAUAUAUAUAUAUAUAUAUAUAUGUAUGUAUGUAUUAUUUUUUCUGAAAAUUUAACUUUUCCCGUCCAAACUCAUUUUUCUAGUCUCUAGCCCAACAUAUAAUAUUUAUCUGAAUAAAACCAAAUGAUUAGGAUCCAACUAAGAAACUUACCAAAUUAAGUUUGUGUGUCCAUUUUUAUAUUUUUUGGAUCCCUAAUAUACCCCAUCUAAGCCAGUAUGGAAAGGUCUUGUAAUUUUGCUUUAAGUGAUUACGUGCAUUGAAUUUGGCAAGGUCUUAUAGCCAUGAAAUAUGGUUCUAGAUGGAGGAAUUAAUUUGGAAUUUUUUUUAAUUUCGACAACAAAUUUCAAUUUGAAUAUACCUAAUUUAGUGUUUAUUUUCAACAAUAAAUGUGCCUACUUUUUAAAUUUGUAACAAAAUUAAUUUACCUACUUUUUAUGGUAUUAGUGACACACCCUGUCCCGAAGGAGGGCAUGCUGGCCGUCACGAGAGAGUGACGUAACCAUUUGCACAGUACGGAAGCUUUAAGAUACAAUUUAUAAGUUGAUACACCCGAAGGUGAGUCCUAAUUUUUGUCCAAUCUGUCAGAACACCGUCAAAUUCCUCGUAGUCACCACACCUUUGUGAUUCCUGAACCUGGAGGGGCGCAAAACCAAAAUUGAGUGGGUCAGUAAAACAAUUCUUUUCCAAAUCCAAACAUUUCUCAAAACGUUGUAACCCUCUCCGUAAAACUUGUAUACUUUCCCAGAAAUGUAAAAUAUAAAUAUACAUAUAUAUUCUCAAACUUCAUUUUUACUAUCUCAACAUUUUUCUUUAUCAAACAUGCCAUGCCAUGUCUAAUUCAACAGUUAAGUAUGGAUGCAUCAACAAUAAUCAUAUCAGGUGCAAGAAAGUAAUCAACCGGAGGCCCUCUAAUAGCCCUGUACGGUUGAACCUAGAGCUCAAAAUCUAUCACUCUCACUCUGCCGGGAGUCACCUCUGUGACCUGUCCGGCCUUCUGCACACAAGUUACGCUCUAGUGCUUUCUCAUCAAUCAUCUGUGCACAUAAUCUAAGGUCACCCACCAGUCGAAAUCUCACUAACACUCUUCGACUGGCCCGUCGCACCCACUCCGCGUGGACUGUGCGACCAGCAUCUACUUGGAUCCAAGGCGAGCGUGCGAUGCGGUGAAUACUAUAAGCACUAAACCAUGGUGCAGGAUUUGAGCUCAAUAUAUAUCAACAUCAUCAUAACAGUACUUAAAUACUCACCUGAUACUCACCUGUGCGUCCGCCGCACCAAUUCAUACAUAUGCAUCAUAUUUCAAUUCAUAUCAUUUCAUGCAUGGCAAUUCGAUUCACAUUUCUAUAUACAUUUCAUAUACUUCUAUGCAUGACCUUUCAAUUCACGUUUUCAUAUAAUUCUAUAUACCUUUCAUUUAAAACAUAAUUUCAUUCUAAUUCAAUUUCUGGGAAAACGUCAAGUAUAUAUAUACGGAAAACAAAACUGCCCACUCACCUGGAGUUCGUCCAACAACUCCCUAGCACCACACAUCAAGGCGUCAUGACGAUCGCCGUCUAGAACAGUAAUCAAAUCCAGCCUCAGAAUUCAUAUCGAUAGAACAUAUAACUUAUAUAAAAUAUGUCACUACGUAGAUCGAUCCGGAAGAUCUGCCACUCAGAUUUUAAAUCCAUAACUUCCAGAGGUCCACAAUAUAUCUCUAGGAUAACAUCCUAAAAUUUCAUUACCAUCCAACGGUCGGAUCUCCGUCAAUUUCCAAAACUAAGUGACGGUUAACAUUUUAUUUUAUGAACUUACAAUUCUAAUUCCGGAAGAUCCGUAACUCGGAUUCCCAAUCCGUAAGUUCCAAUAAUCCUCAAAUAUUACGUAUUACAACGUAUCAAAGUUUGGUAACGAUCCAACGGUCGGAUCAUCAAUUCACAUUUUCACCUAAUGCGAAAACUAUAAAACGUUAUUCGAACACCUAACCAACAAUCCUUAAUAACUUUCUCAUACGGUGUUCAAUUUGGGUAUAUGAAUAUACCACAGUGAUCUACUCAUUAAAAUAAUUUUUUACUGUAGCACGCGCCCCCACGCGCCAAGGAAGGCACGGACCUACGCGCCCCCACGCGCACCUUCUUCUUCCUUGGGUCGCCGGACUGGUUUUUCCGGCGGCCGUUUUUCAAAUUGCCAUAACUUUGUCAUUUCUCAACGAAAUCAAGUGAUUCAAAAACGAAAGUUGUAGCCCUUGAAGAGACAAAGAGAAUGGUACCUUGCACAACACCUAGUUCGCCGUGGUUUGGCCGGAAACUGCUUCGAAAGCCUCGGAGGUCGCCAGAAACUGGGUAUUUUUCAAAUCAGUAUAACUUCUUCAAUACUCAACGAAAUUGAGUGAAACAAAAAGGAAAGUUGUAGUACUUGACGAGACGAAGAGAUUGAUACCUACCUCGACUCCUAACUCACCGGAUAUUCGCCGGAAAAUGCCUCGAAAGCUCCGGCCAAACUUUGAACUUGUCGAUCUCCGUGUUCUUACAUCCAAAAACUUCCAACGAAGCACUCCGAGCUUCCUUGGGACCUCACUAAGCUCGCUAUGAUCUUGUUUUAGCCUAAAACGUAGUCAUUUAGAAGAUCAUGAACAAUACCAUUUCACGGGAACUUUGAAACUAGGGUUUUCCGAAGCAAAACUUACCUGAAAUGGAUACCAUCGUGAUCGUGGAGGUUCCAGGAGUUUGAUGGUGGUCUUAACUCUGUCGUUGGUGGAAGUUUAAGGUUGUUUUGUGGUUGGUUUGUUCGAACGGAGAAGAAGAGUGACAGAGAGAGUGAGAGAGUCGUGAGGGAAGAGAGAGAGAGACAGCAUGCAGAAAAUAGGGAGAGGAUUGAGGGGUGUGGGGAUCCCACGUGGUCCUUUUCCAAUCCCCAACUCCAAACCAUAAAAUUUUAACCUAAAAAUCUAAGUUCAAUCCUUAAUAAAUUCCAUUUUAUUUUCAAAACUUAGGAACCUAGAUAAUUAUCAACUUGAGCUUCACAUACUUAGUAUUUCUUAAGGGCAAUUUCGUUCAUUCACAGCCACGAAUGUAAUAUUUUGGAACGGGCUGUGACAAUUAGUAUACAUAAAUGUAGAAUAUAUGUCCGUAUAUAUUUGAUCCAAUUAGUAUUAGGGAGAAUGACAAGUCAUCCAAGUCUGCUACUGUUAAUAAUUCUGUUACUGUAAAUUAACUGAUUGUAUUAGUUGUGAUUAGUUAAGAUAGUUAUAAAGUAGUUAGGGGUAUCUAUGUAAAUAGCCAAAGGCUAUAUAUAUUCCUACACAAUGUGUAAAGUUCUCAGUCAAGUAAAUACAAUCAAGAAAACUUACUGUUGAAGUUUUCUGUUUCUACAUGGUAUCACGCCAUUCCGCUUCACAGCUUCGAUCUUUCUCUUCGCUUGCUGCAUCGAUCGACUCUUGAUCGAUUUUUCUUCUCUGAUCUUCUCUUCGCUUGCUGCAUCGAUCGACUCAUGAUCGAUUUUUCUUCUCUGAUCGUCACUUCUUCCCUUCCGAUCUUGUAGUAUUUUCUUGAUUUCUGUCAGUAAUGGCGGCUCAAUCGACUGGUUCAUCUUCUCCGGUCAUCUCCCCCUCGAGCCCAAACCCUAAUUUUCUCUGGAAACCCUAAUUCCUCUGGAAAUCCGAGUCCUCUGACUUCCUACACUUCUCUCUCACAAUUCAUAACAUCGGCAGCAUGGUGCCGAUCAAGCUCAAAAGAUCCAAUUACCUACCAUGGCGCGCCCUGUUUGGCCCGAUUUUCCGGCGAUACAAGCUUCUUGGAGUAAUCGAUGGUACUGACGUCUGUCCAUCGCCAUUUCUGCCUGAUCGUAGCAUCAAUCCUGCUUUUGAGGACUGGUAUGAGAAAGAUCAAAAUCUUUUUGAUCUGGUUGAAUUCCACACUUUCUGAGGAAAUCAUCCCGUUCACGGUUGGGGUUUCAUCCUCUCGAGAACUUUGGGUAAAGCUUGAACAGCGCUUUGGUGGAAUUUCAGAGGCUCAUAUCCAUCAGUUGCGAUCGCGCCUUCAAUCUGUUCAGAAAGGAUCGCGUUCUAUCUCUGACUAUCUUCAAGAACUCAAGGAAAUUUCAGAUUCUCUGCAAGCUGCUGGUGCUUCUGUCUCUGAUCGAGAUCUUAUCGCCGCCACACUACAUGGCUUGCCUGAUGAAUUUGAGUCUUUCAUCGACUGUAUCAUGCUCCGAUUGUCCUCUACCUCUCUGAUGAACUUCAUGGCCUCCUUCUCACAAAGGAAUUGUCUAUGGCCAGACGCAAAACUGUCAGUUCAUCUCCUGUCCCUGAAUCUUUUCAGGCUUUCUCGGUGCAGUCUCAGCCUCAUCUCCUUCCUACUCCAUCUGCUUUUGCUGCUCAGAAUCUCCCUCUUCAAUCUGCAUCUCGGUUCAACUCUAAUCGUGGCAGGAACACUAAGGGCCAGUUCUUUUCCAAUCGAGGUCAUCGAGGUAAUCGUGGUAAUUUUCCUAAUAAACCGUGGCAAUCGAGGUUAUCAAGGAUUUCGCAGCAAUCAAGGCUCUUCUCACUUCAAAGUGCUUUGUCAAAUCUGUGGUUCUACCAGUCAUGAGGCUAUUGACUGCUUUGAUCGUAUGAAUCCUGACAUCUUGUGGUCGUAUUCCUCCAGCUAAGCUUGCUGCCAUGUGUGCCACAACAUUCUGCUAAACCAUCUCAGCCUUGGUUAAUUGAUUCAGGGGCAACCUCUCAUAUCACUAAUGAUGUUGCUAACCUCACCUCUCCUACUCCCUACACUGGCGAGGAUUAAAGUGUAUAUUGGAGAUGGUAAAGGUUUAUCCAUCCUCAAUGUUGGUUCAUCUACUCUGCACACCUCUCAUAAUUCUUUUCAAUUGCGAAAUGUUUUACAUGUUCCCCACAUAACCCAUAAUCUUAUCUGCUUAUCAGUUUUGUUAAUGAUAAUAAUUGUUCAUUGACACUUGACCCUUAUGGAUCCUAUGUCAAGGAUCGUAUUUCGGGGAAGAUGCUUUUACGGGGACCGGUUAGAGAUGGCUUCUAUCCUCUUCAAAGUUCCAGCAAUCUUCAUCCUCUUUCACAUACCGCUUUACUUAGUAUUAAAGCUCCAGUUACAAUUUGGCACAAGCGUUUGGGUCACCCUUCCUCCUCCAUUUUUAGAAGGCUCCUUUCAUCCAAUAAUCUUGCUUUACAAGGCAAGUCUACUGUGGACUUUUUCUGUUCGGAUUGUGCUCUUGCCAAGAAUCAUAAGCUUCCAUUUAAAGCUGCUACUUCAUCAUCAACUCACAGCCUUCAACUACUGCACUGUGAUCUGUGGGGACCUGCCUCAAUCACAUCAAGUAGUGGUUUUCAAUAUUAUUUGCUCAUUGUUGAUGACUAUAGCAAAUAUAGUUGGUUCUUUCCUUUGAAAUCUAAGUCAGAUGUAUUUUCUACAUUUGUUGUCUUCAAAUCAUAUGUAGAAAAUUCACUUGGAAAUAAAAUAAAGGUUCUGCGUUCAGAUUCAGGGGGUGAAUUUACUAGUCACUCUUUUGCAUCAUAUCUCAGCAAACAUGGCAUUCUUCAUCAGUUCAGUUGUCCCCACACCCCUGAGCAAAAUGGUUGUGCAGAAAGAAAGCACAGGCACCUUGUUGAAAACAGCUCGCACUUUGCUUCUUGCAUUCUCAUGUCCCUCAUAUUUUCUGGGUUGAAGCAUUCUCCACUGCUAUCUAUCUUAUUAAUCGCCUUCCUAUUUCUGGCAUUUCACAGUCCCCUUGGCAGUUGCUAUUUCACAACCAUCCAGACUACUCUAAGCUCAAAGUAUUUGGUUGCCAAUGCUUUCCUUGGCUCAAACCUUACUUUCAUAGCAAAUUGGAUCCCAAGAGCAAAAAGUGUGUUUUCUUGGGGUAUAGUCUUCAACACAAAGGCUAUAGGUGCCUUGAUCCUAUCACCAAUCGCAUCUACAUCUCUCGUCAUGUCUGUAUUCGAUGAAAGUACUUAUCCAUUUCAGUUGUCCCACAUUCAACACUCUUUUCCUGUUCCAAGUCCUCCAUCUUCCUCACCAACAAUUUCUUCCUCUCUGGAUCUUCAUUUUUUAGCAAACACAUUCCUCCUGUUUUCAGUCAGCCAUCUACAUCACCAUUAUGUGCUUCUGUGCCUGUUCCUAUUUCUUCAUCUUCAUCUUCCCCUGCACCUGUCUCAGUUGGCUCUUCUUUCCAGUUUUGUUCCUCCUUCAGCACAUUCAUCUUUCUCCCAAAAUCAACAGAGUCAUCCUCCUGCCCCUGUUAAUUCUCAUCCAAUGAUUACUAGAUCCAAGGCUGGUAUACUCACGUCGAGAGCCUGUGCAGCAACUAAGCACCCACUUCCGGUUGAUAUGGAUUAUGUUCCUACAACAUACUUGCAAGCUUCUAAGCAUGCUCAUUGGAGGCAAGCUAUGCAAGAUGAAUUUAAUGCCUUGCUAACCACUGGUUACUUUGGUCUCUUGUUCCUUCUCACCAUUCUCAAAACUUAGUGGGCUGCAAGUGGGUUUUCCGGAUUAAGAAGAAGCCCGAUGGCACUGUUGACAGAUAUAAAGCCCGGCUUGUGGCCAAGGGUUUUCAUCAACAAGAAGGUAUUGACUUUUCAAGAAAACCUUCAGUCCAGUUGCCAAACCGGUUACAAUUCGGAUCCUUCUUACCCUUUGCUGUGCAAUAUAAUUGGUUUCUCAAUCAAUUGGACAUUAGUAAUGCCUUUCUUCAUGGAGACUUAAAGAGAGGAUGUCUACAUGCAACAACCCCCUGGUUUUGUUGAUCCCUUUACCCUACAUUUUGUAAGUUGAGGAAAUCGUUGUAUGGUCUCAAACAAGCUCCUCGAGCUUGGUUUGAUAAACUGUUCCAAGCUCUUCCUCUCUUGGAUUCACCCAAUCAUCCUCAGAUGCUUCUUUAUUUGUUCUCAAUGGUCCUCAGUUUAGUCAUUGUCCUUGUCUAUGUUGAUGACAUUCUUGUCACCGGACCCUAUCCUUACCUCUGUCAACACUUCAUUCAGCAACUUGGGGCUCAAUUUCCAGUAAAAGACCUUGGUCCUCUUCAUUAUUUCUUGGGAUUAGAAGUACAUCGAUCUUCCCAGGGUAUAUUUCUCCAUCAAACAAAGUACUUAUUGGAUCUUCUCAAGAAAACAAAUAUGGAGGGUGCAAAACCUUGUUGUACUCCCCUUGGCUCUAAGAAAUUAGAUCACAGUGGCCCUCUUCUGUCCAAUCCUACUGAAUAUCGCUCCAUUGUUGGUGGUUUACAAUAUCUUACUUGGACUAGACCCGACCUUGCUUUUGCUGUGAACCAAAUCUGCCAAUUCAUGCAUGCUCCCAGGGAACAACAUCUCCAGGCAGCAAAAAGGGUUCUCAGAUUUCUCAAAGGCUCUAUCUCACAUGGUGUGUGGUUCACUAAAGGCCCUGUCCAUCUUUCUGCCUACUCGGAUGCCGACUGGGCUGGUUGCACAAUUGACAGGAGAUCAACCACUGGUUAUUGUGUAUUUUUGGGUUCCAAUCUUAUCAGCUGGAGUGCCAAGAAGCAAAGUACUGUUGCCAAGGUCCUCUACAGAGGCUGAAUAUCGCUCCUUAGCUCACACAGCUGCUGAGAUAACUUGGGUUUGCAGAUUCUCAAAGAUCUGCACUAUCCUCUCUCUUACAUUCCCUACUUUUGGUGUGACAACAUAUCAGCAAUAUCUUUAGCAUCUAAUCCUGUCUUUCAUGCUCGAACAAAGCAUGUUGAGAUCGAUUAUCNGAAGUUUUCUGUUUUCUACAUGGUAUCACGCCAUUCCGCUUCACAGCUUCGAUCUUUCUCUUCGCUUGCUGCAUCGAUCGACUCUUGAUCGAUUUUUCUUCUCUGAUCUUCUCUUCGCUUGCUGCAUCGAUCGACUCAUGAUCGAUUUUUCUUCUCUGAUCGUCACUUCUUCCCUUCCGAUCUUGUAGUAUUUCUUGAUUUCUGUCAGUAAUGGCGGCUCAAUCGACUGGUUCAUCUUCUCCGGUCAUCUCCCCCUCGAGCCCAAACCCUAAUUUCUCUGGAAACCCUAAUUCCUCUGGAAAUCCGAGUCCUCUGGACUUCCUACACUUCUCUCACAAUUCAUAACAUCGGCAGCAUGGUGCCGAUCAAGCUCAAAAGAUCCAAUUACCUACCAUGGCGCGGCCCUGUUUGGCCCGAUUUUCCGGCGAUACAAGCUUCUUGGAGUAAUCGAUGGUACUGACGUCUGUCCAUCGCCAUUUCUGCCUGAUCGUAGCAUCAAUCCUGCUUUUGAGGACUGGUAUGAGAAAGAUCAAAAUCUUUUGAUCUGGUUGAAUUCCACACUUUCUGAGGAAAUCAUCCCGUUCACGGUUGGGGUUUCAUCCUCUCGAGAACUUUGGGUAAAGCUUGAACACAGCGCUUUGGUGGAAUUUCAGAGGCUCAUAUCCAUCAGUUGCGAUCGCGCCUUCAAUCUGUUCAGAAAGGAUCGCGUUCUAUCUCUGACUAUCUUCAAGAACUCAAGGAAAUUUCAGAUUCUCUGCAAGCUGCUGGUGCUUCUGUCUCUGAUCGAGAUCUUAUCGCCGCCACACUACAUGGCUUGCCUGAUGAAUUUGAGUCUUUCAUCGACUGUAUCAUGCUCCGAUUGUCCUCUACCUCUCUUGAUGAACUUCAUGGCCUCCUUCUCACAAAGGAAUUGUCUAUGGCCAGACGCAAAAACUGUCAGUUCAUCUUCCUGUCCCUGAAUCUUUUCAGGCUUUCUCGGUGCAGUCUCAGCCUCAUCUCCUUCCUACUCCAUCUGCUUUUGCUGCUCAGAAUCUCCCUCUUCAAUCUGCAUCUCGGUUCAACUCUAAUCGUGGCAGGAACACUAAGGGCCAGUUCUUUUCCAAUCGAGGUCAUCGAGGUAAUCGUGGUAAUUUUCCUAAUAACCGUGGCAAUCGAGGUUAUCAAGGAUUUCGCAGCAAUCAAGGCUCUUCUCACUUCAAAGUGCUUUGUCAAAUCUGUGGUUCUACCAGUCAUGAGGCUAUUGACUGCUUUGAUCGUAUGAAUCCUGACAUCUGUGGUCGUAUUCCUCCAGCUAAGCUUGCUGCCAUGUGUGCACAACAUUCUGCUAAACCAUCUCAGCCUUGGUUAAUUGAUUCAGGGGCAACCUCUCAUAUCACUAAUGAUGUUGCUAACCUCACCUCUCCUACUCCCUACACUGGCGAGGAUAAAGUGUAUAUUGGAGAUGGUAAAGGUUUAUCCAUCCUCAAUGUUGGUUCAUCUACUCUGCACACCUCUCAUAAUUCUUUUCAAUUGCGAAAUGUUUUACAUGUUCCCCACAUAACCCAUAAUCUCUUAUCUGCUUAUCAGUUUGUUAAUGAUAAUAAUUGUUCAUUGACACUUGACCCUUAUGGAUCCUAUGUCAAGGAUCGUAUUUCGGGGAAGAUGCUUUUACGGGGACCGGUUAGAGAUGGCUUCUAUCCUCUUCAAAGUUCCAGCAAUCUUCAUCCUCUUUCACAUACCGCUUUACUUAGUAUUAAAGCUCCAGUUACAAUUUGGCACAAGCGUUUGGGUCACCCUUCCUCCUCCAUUUUUAGAAGGCUCCUUUCAUCCAAUAAUCUUGCUUUACAAGGCAAGUCUACUGUGGACUUUUUCUGUUCGGAUUGUGCUCUUGCCAAGAAUCAUAAGCUUCCAUUUAAAGCUGCUACUUCAUCAUCAACUCACAGCCUUCAACUACUGCACUGUGAUCUGUGGGGACCUGCCUCAAUCACAUCAAGUAGUGGUUUUCAAUAUUUAUUUGCUCAUUGUUGAUGACUAUAGCAAAUAUAGUUGGUUCUUUCCUUUGAAAUCUAAGUCAGAUGUAUUUUCUACAUUUGUUGUCUUCAAAUCAUAUGUAGAAAAUUCACUUGGAAAUAAAAUAAAGGUUCUGCGUUCAGAUUCAGGGGGUGAAUUUACUAGUCACUCUUUUGCAUCAUAUCUCAGCAAACAUGGCAUUCUUCAUCAGUUCAGUUGUCCCCACACCCCUGAGCAAAAUGGUUGUGCAGAAAGAAAGCACAGGCACCUUGUUGAAACAGCUCGCACUUUGCUUCUUGCAUCUCAUGUCCCUCAUAUUUUCUGGGUUGAAGCAUUCUCCACUGCUAUCUAUCUUAUUAAUCGCCUUCCUAUUUCUGGCAUUUCACAGUCCCCUUGGCAGUUGCUAUUUCACAACCAUCCAGACUACUCUAAGCUCAAAGUAUUUGGUUGCCAAUGCUUUCCUUGGCUCAAACCUUACUUUCAUAGCAAAUUGGAUCCCAAGAGCAAAAAGUGUGUUUUCUUGGGGUAUAGUCUUCAACACAAAGGCUAUAGGUGCCUUGAUCCUAUCACCAAUCGCAUCUACAUCUCUCGUCAUGUUGUAUUCGAUGAAAGUACUUAUCCAUUUCAGUUGUCCCACAUUCAACACUCUUUUCCUGUUCCAAGUCCUCCAUCUUCCUCACCAACAAUUUCUUCCUCUCUGGAUCUUCAUUUUAGCAAACACAUUCCUCCUGUUUUCAGUCAGCCAUCUACAUCACCAUUAUGUGCUUCUGUGCCUGUUCCUAUUUCUUCAUCUUCAUCUUCCCCUGCACCUGUCUCAGUUGGCUCUUCUUCCAGUUUUGUUCCUCCUUCAGCACAUUCAUCUUUCUCCCAAAAUCAACAGAGUCAUCCUCCUGCCCCUGUUAAUUCUCAUCCAAUGAUUACUAGAUCCAAGGCUGGUAUACUCACGUCGAGAGCCUGUGCAGCAACUAAGCACCCACUUCCGGUUGAUAUGGAUUAUGUUCCUACAACAUACUUUGCAAGCUUCUAAAGCAUGCUCAUUGGAGGCAAGCUAUGCAAGAUGAAUUUAAUGCCUUGCUAACCACUGGUUACUUGGUCUCUUGUUCCUUCUCACCAUUCUCAAAACUUAGUGGGCUGCAAGUGGGUUUUCCGGAUUAAGAAGAAGCCCGAUGGCACUGUUGACAGAUAUAAAGCCCGGCUUGUGGCCAAGGGUUUUCAUCAACAAGAAGGUAUUGACUUUCAAGAAAACCUUCAGUCCAGUUGCCAAACCGGUUACAAUUCGGAUCCUUCUUACCCUUGCUGUGCAAUAUAAUUGGUUUCUCAAUCAAUUGGACAUUAGUAAUGCCUUUCUUCAUGGAGACUUAAAGGAGGAUGUCUACAUGCAACAACCCCCUGGUUUUGUUGAUCCCUUACACCCUACAUCUGUUUGUAAGUUGAGGAAAUCGUUGUAUGGUCUCAAACAAGCUCCUCGAGCUUGGUUUGAUAAACUGUUCCAAGCUCUUCACUCUCUUGGAUUCACCCAAUCAUCCUCAGAUGCUUCUUUAUUUGUUCUCAAUGGUCCUCAGUUUAGUCAUUGUCCUUGUCUAUGUUGAUGACAUUCUUGUCACCGGACCCUAUCCUUACCUCUGUCAACACUUCAUUCAGCAACUUGGGGCUCAAUUUCCAGUAAAAGACCUUGGUCCUCUUCAUUAUUUCUUGGGAUUAGAAGUACAUCGAUCUUCCCAGGGUAUAUUUCUCCAUCAAACAAAGUACUUAUUGGAUCUUCUCAAGAAAACAAAUAUGGAGGGUGCAAAACCUUGUUGUACUCCCCUUGGCUCUAAGAAAUUAGAUCACAGUGGCCCUCUUCUGUCCAAUCCUACUGAAUAUCGCUCCAUUGUUGGUGGUUUACAAUAUCUUACUUGGACUAGACCCGACCUUUGCUUUUGCUGUGAACCAAAUCUGCCAAUUCAUGCAUGCUCCCAGGGAACAACAUCUCCAGGCAGCAAAAAGGGUUCUCAGAUUUCUCAAAGGCUCUAUCUCACAUGGUGUGUGGUUCACUAAAGGCCCUGUCCAUCUUUCUGCCUACUCGGAUGCCGACUGGGCUGGUUGCACAAUUGACAGGAGAUCAACCACUGGUUAUUGUGUAUUUUUGGGUUCCAAUCUUAUCAGCUGGAGUGCCAAGAAGCAAAGUACUGUUGCAAGGUCCUCUACAGAGGCUGAAUAUCGCUCCUUAGCUCACACAGCUGCUGAGAUAACUUGGGUUUGCAAGAUUCUCAAAGAUCUGCACUAUCCUCUCUCUACAUUCCCUACUCUUUGGUGUGACAACAUAUCAGCAAUAUCUUUAGCAUCUAAUCCUGUCUUUCAUGCUCGAACAAAGCAUGUUGAGAUCGAUUAUCACUAUAUUAGAGAAUUGGUUUUGGCUCAACUUCUCAAAGUCAAGUUCAUCUGCAGUGAAGACCAAUUAGCUGAUCUUCACACCAAGUCUCUGUCUAAAACCAGAUUUAAUUAUCUGUGUUCCAAGCUUCCCAUUGGUCUCAUUUCUGAUCCCCCUUCUCGCUUGAGGGGGUGUAUUAGGGAGAAUGACAAGUCAUCCAAGUCUGCUACUGUUAAUAAUUCUGUUACUGUAAAUUAACUGAUUGUAUUAGUUGUGAUUAGUUAAGAUAGUUAUAAAGUAGUUAGGGGUAUCUAUGUAAAUAGCCAAAGGCUAUAUAUAUUCCUACACAAUGUGUAAAGUUCUCAGUCAAGUAAAUACAAUCAAGAAAACUUACUGUUGAAGUUUUCUGUUUCUACAGGUUUUGGAUUGGAGGAGUUGACACAAAAUUAUAAAUAUAUUAAACAAAUUUAUCUAUUCUAAAGUUGGAGGGAAAUUGGCCUGUACAUUGCUACAGUAAUUUUUUUUUACCCAAUUUCACGUUAUUUACAACAAAGCUAUCAGAUUUGGGUUGGGUUGGAGGGUAAUUUGUUAAAAGUUAGGAGGGUAAUUUUGUGCAUAGGGUUUAGGUGCCCUCCUAUACAUGACCCUUGAUUUUACUUUAUUUACACCACUGCCAUCAAAUAUGUGGCUGAAUUGGAGGGUAUUAUUAAAAGUUAGGAGGGUAGUUUGUUCAAGGGGUGAGGGCGACAUUCGCAGACAGAGAGCGAUGGGAGCCAUGGCCAUUGCACAGAGAGAAAGGGAGUGAUGGGGGAAAUUACAGACAGAAAAGGAAGGGAUGGGGGGGAUUUGAUGGAUGGUCACAGAGAGAGAUUGGGUGAGGGAUGUGAGAGGAGAUUACAGAGAGAUAAAUAAAAGGGAGGGAUCGGGGGAUGUGAGGGAUGGUCAGGGAGAGAAAUAGUGAGGGAGGGAGGGAUGGGGGGGCUGAUUUUCGGUUCCUCCUUCCAGAUUUGUUCCGUAAAAACCUGUUGGGUAGAAUUCAAUUUCCUCCCCCUUUCCCCUGAACGAAAAAUUCGAAACCUACAACUCAAAACUCACUCAUUUGUCGUCCCUCCUUGGCUUUCCGCUUUACUCAUCUCCCGGUGGUUCUCUCUCCAUACGAUUCCAUUUCGGUGAGUUCUUCGUUGCCCUCAUGAUUUCCCACUUUUAUUUUUGGGGCGUCCUUAGUCGUCGUUUUUAUCUGGGUUUACUGCAUUGUUGCUUUUAGUUUCUGGAUUUUUAUUUUUUUGGCACUUGGAUGAAUCGUGGUUAAUAAUUUCACAUCAUGGGAUUUUCGCACUUCUGAUGGAAUUGAGCGCGGGGAUUCGGGGUGGGGUUUUACUGAUAAUUUGUCUUCAUUCAAACGAAGGGUUAAAAUUUAUGAGUAUUAACAAAUUUUGUAAAUUAUUCUUAUACAUUUUAUUGAGGGAUCUAAUCGAUUUCUUUCUGUAGUGGGAUUGAAAUUGGGGCUUUGUGGUACUCUCUCUCGCUCACUCUCUCUCCUAUGUGUAUGAAUUGAGUUCUGCAGUGAGUUUGCAGGUGGGCGCGUUCACUAACUAAGCUUUCAAGGGAACCGAUCAACGGUUUGCUUGCUGGGGGAAUUCGGAGACUACCAGUGUAUGAUUUAGUUAUCAUUAAUUUUUUUACUUAAUUUUAUCCAUAUAUAAUAUGUGGGUAAAUUUAGAGGUCGCACUUGGUGCGAUGGCAAGUUCCUUCGCCCAUGAGCGGUAGGUCUCGGGUUCGAGACUUGGGAGCAGCCUCUCCAUAAAUGGGGGUAAGGCUAGCCGACAUUUACCUCUCCCAGACCCUGCGUAAAGCGGGAGCCUUGUGCACUGGGUACGAUCUUUUAUAAUAUGUGGGUAAAUUUAUACUAAACAAUUGUGAUAAGCCAAUAUGCUAUACGACUUUGAAAGCAUUGAUUUUGUGUUUAGUUUGCAUUUUUGCAUUGUGAAUGUUGAAUUUUGUGUUUAAUUUGGAUUUUUGUGUUUGAAUUUGUAGCAUGAUCUUCCGCUGCAGCAUCCAAAUUUUGCAUUUGUAAAUUGUCAAAGAAAAACGAAGUAUGAGGAAAUUAUAGGAGAUUGUGUCGGCUUUGGCCAUGAAGGGUAUCAGCAGCUUGUUCCCCCAUACAGGUGAUUAAUCGCAGUCUGUUCUAUUUGGAUGAGAAAGUGAUUGAAAAAUAUGAUUUUUUAUUUGUUGGUUGAUUUUGUAUAACUCCGCCGUGUAAGUUUAUCUUACAUUGCCGGUCCCAAGCCCGGAUAAAGGAGGAGGGGGAGGGCGUCAGGUAGUCGACAGCUGGCACUCCAUGAUCACGUCGAAUCCUUAUGAAAAUGAAUCCAGAACGAAAUCGCGCUAAAGCUAGGGCGUCACCCAUAAGUGGCGCGCUGUGUGGCCCGAGCACAGUGAUAAGUGAGCAAGGGUCGUUGUAUCUCCAUCGGCACCCGGAUGCAGUGUUAAAUGAGCAAGGGGCUAUAGAAACUUCUUUUCGAACGACUCCACUCAAAGUUGUUUGGGAGCAUAUGCUCCUAUCAACUUUACACGGGACACACAAAAGAAGUACUUUGAUCCUAUUAGACGGGGAAGGGUGAAGAAGCUAGGACAGAAGGGUAGAGUUCAAGAGAGCAAAAUGCGUUUAGGAACGUGGAAUAUAGGAACCUUGAACGGGAAAAUCUAUGGAAGUAGUAGAAGUUAUGGUGAGGAGAAGGAUAAAUAUUAUGUGCCUACAAGAAACUAAGUGGGUUGGUCGUAAGGCAAAGGAUCUAGAAAACUCAGGGUUUAAACUAUGGUAUUCGGGCACAAAUAGAACGAGAAACGGUGUUGGCAUCAUCGUGGACAAGACCUUGACACAAGAUGUUGUAGAUGUCAAGAGGGUAGGAGAUAGAAUCAUGGCAAUCAAGAUUGUAAUAGGACAAGAACUUAUCAAUGUGAUUAGUGCGUACGCACCUCAAGUAGGGUUGGAUACGAGUUCGAAGGAGAAAUUUUGGGAAGACCUUGGAGACUUGGUGCAAGGAAUUGCUCAGACGGAGAAGUUAUUUAUAGGAGGAGAUUUAAAUGGACACGUGGGCAGGGAGACAGGCAACUAUGGAGGUUUUCAUGGUGGCCAUGGUUUUGGGGAGAGAAACGAGGAUGGGGAAGCUAUCUUGGAUUUUGCAAUGGCAUAUGAUCUCUUCUUAGCCAACACCUUCUUUAAGAAGAGAGAAGAACAUGUGAUCACCUACAAGAGUGGGUCGUCAAAAACACAAAUAGAUUUUCUUCUAAUGAGGAAAGGGGAUCGUAUAACUUGUAAGGAUUGCAAAGUUAUACCAGGAGAGAGCGUGGCUAAUCAACAUCGCUUGUUGGUGAUGGAUGUACAUAUCAAAAGAGUGAGAAAAAAGAACAAGACUUGGAAGUGCCCAAGGACUAGAUGGUGGAAUCUAAAAGAAGAAAAACAAGCCAUUUUCAAAGAGAAAGUAAUCACCCAGUGUGUGUGGGAUAGAGAGGGGGAAGCUAACCAAAUGUGGGAUUCCAUGGCUAGUUGUAUCCGAAAAGUAGCAAAAGAGGUAUUAGGAGAGUCCAAGGGCUUUGCCCCACACCAAAAGGAAUCUUGGUGGUGGAAUGAGGAGGUACAAACAAAGGUGAAGGCUAAGAAGGAAUGUUGUAAAGCCUUAUACAAGGAUAGGACCGAUGAAAAUGGUGAAAGGUAUAGAAAAGCGAAGCAAGAGGCGAAGAAAGCUGUGAGAGAAGCUAAGUUAGCGGCUUAUGACGAUAUGUAUAAGCGACUAGAUACCAAAGAAGGAGAGUUGGAUAUCUAUAAACUAGCUAGAGCAAGGGAAAAGAAGACAAGGGACCUAAACCAAGUGAGGUGCAUCAAGGAUGAGGAUGGAAAGGUUCUUGCUACAGAGAACGCGGUUAAAGACAGAUGGAAAGGUUAUUUUCAUAAUCUUUUCAAUGAAGGACAUGAAAGGAGUGCUUCUUUAGGGGAGUUGAGUAACUCAGAAGAGUGUAGAAACUACUCUUUUUAUCGUAGAAUCCGGAAGGAAGAAGUGGUUGUAGCUUUGAAGAAGAUGAAGCAUAGAAAAGCAGUAGGCCCAGACGAUAUACCAAUCGAAGUGUGGAAAGUUUUGGGAGAGACAGGUAUAACAUGGCUCACUGACCUUUUCAAUAGGAUUUUGAAAACGAAGAAGAUGCCAAAUGAGUGGCGAACGAGCACUUUGGUGCCUAUCUACAAGAAUAAGGGCGAUGUACAAAAUUGCAUGAACUAUAGGGGUAUUAAGCUAAUGAGUCAUACAAUGAAGCUCUGGGAGAGAGUCAUUGAGCAUAGAUUGAGGCAAGAGACACGGGUUUCGGACAACCAAUUCGGGUUCAUGCCAGGGCGCUCAACCAUGGAGGCAAUCUAUCUCUUACGAAGAUUGAUGGAAAGAUAUAGAGAUGGGAAAAAGGAUUUACACAUGGUCUUUAUAGAUUUGGAAAAAGCGUAUGAUAGGGUCCCAAGAGACAUUCUUUGGAGGAUUUUAGAGAAGAAAGGAGUACGAGUAGCAUAUAUCCAAGCUAUACAGGAUAUGUAUGAAGGAGCAAAGACUGCCGUAAGAACUCAUGAAGGACAAACCGAAAGCUUUCCCAUAACUGUAGGAUUACAUCAAGGCUCAUCCUUAAGUCCUUACCUUUUUGCGUUGGUAAUGGAUGAGUUAACAGGACAUAUUCAAGAUGAUAUUCCUUGGUGUAUGCUUUUCGCAGACGAUAUAGUGUUGAUAGAUGAAACUCAGGAAGGGGUAAAUGCAAAGCUUAACCUUUGGAGAGAAGUGUUGGAAUCUAAAGGUCUUCGCCUAAGCCGAUCAAAGACAGAAUAUAUGGAGUGCAAGUUCAGUGCAAAUGGAGGCCAAAACGAGUUAGGGGUGAGGAUCGGAGAUCAAGAAAAUACCAAAGAGCGACCGUUUUCGUUACCUAGGAUCUAUCUUGCAAAAGAACGGAGAAUUAGAUGGAGAUCUCAACCAUAGAAUACAAGCUGGAUGGAUGAAGUGGAAGAGUGCAUCCGGCGUGUUGUGUGACCGCCGUAUGCCACUGAAGCUCAAGGGAAAAUUUUAUAGGACGGCAAUAAGGCCGGCGAUGCUGUAUGGCACAGAAUGUUGGGCGGUGAAGCAUCAACACGUACACAAAAUGGGUGUAGCGGAGAUGAGGAUGCUUCGUUGGAUGUGUGGGCACACGAGAAAGGAUAAGAUUAGGAAUGAGGAUAUCCGGGGUAAAGUAGGAGUAGCCGAAAUUGAAGGAAAGAUGAGAGAAAAUCGGUUACGGUGGUUUGGACAUGUGCAAAGAAGGCCUACUGACGCUCCGAUUAGAAGAUGCGACUAUGGGACAGAGGUUCAGGGCCGAAGGGGUAGAGGAAGACCUAGGAAAACUUUGGAAGAGACCCUAAGAAAAGACUUAGAGUACUUGGAUCUAACGGAGGACAUGACACAGGACAGAACACAAUGGCGUUCUAAGAUUCAUAUAGCCGAUCCCACUCAGUGACUUGGAUUUUCCAAGUCUCCAACCGAGAAGUUUUCCUCACUCGGGAAAUUAAGGGAACACUACCUCAACCUACAUGCUCCACUCACAAAGCUUCAACAUACAAGCUUCAACAAAAGAAAAUUCAAAGAACUUAGCGAAGAAGGCUUUGGUGUAUUUAACACAAUACGUUGAAAUGAAGGAAAGCUUAUUUAUUGAUAUCCCCGAUAAGUUACAAAUAUGUACAUAUACUUGAGUCAAAAUAAACAAACAAGAGGGAGCCUUCACAAAGGUUGCUUAGGAGAAGUCUCAGCAGUCGGUAGAGCCCCAGAAAGAGAAGGCACCGGAGGGGGAUCAUUCGGAGCCUCAGUACUGGACAGAACCCUAGAAGGAGGAGGCAUCAGAGGUUGAUCAUUUGGAGCUUCAUUACGCGGUACAGCCCCAGAAGACGAAGGCAAUAAAUGCCUUUGGAACAAACCCACAAAUCUCUGAUGAUCAAGUAAAACCUGACCAUCAGAUUCCUUCAUCUGGUCAAGCUUCCUCUUCAUGUUUGUAGCAUAGUCAUGUGCGAGCCGGUGCAACUGUUUAUUCUCAUGCUUGAGCCCUCUAAUCUCCUGUUUGAGACUCAUCACUUCAGCCGCCAAUGAUUCAACUUGGCGGGUUCGAGCAAAUAGGCGUUGGGCCAUAUUAGACACAGAACCUGCACACUGAACACUGAGAGCCAGAGAAUCCUUAACAGCCAACUCAUCAGACCGUUUGGAAAGUAGUCUGUUAUCUUUGGGAGUGAGAAGGUUCCUGGCCACUACCGCAGCGGUCAUAUCAUUCUUCAUCACGGAAUCCCCAACGGUAAGAGGACCAGUAGGGGAGACGAAGGAUGGGCGCCAUAUGUUGUCUGGAGAAGGCGGGGCUGCCUCUUCAACAAGGUUCAAGUCAAAACGACGGUCGGAGGGGCCAGACAUUUUCAAAGGUGUUGAAGAGAGAAGAGGUCGGACAAAUCAAGAUCUUAGAAGUGCAAGAAUGGAGCUUCUACUGGUGGAUAUUCAAGUGUGCUUUGGAACUUAAUGUCAGCCCCUAUAAAAAUCUGCACUCGACGAAGCUUCAGAAAUCGAAGAGGCGCCUGCUCAGAAAUCGAAGAGGCGUUUGCUUUCUCAAAAGCUGGGCUGCUCAGAGACCACGAGGGUCGAUCUCAGAAAUCGAAGAGGCGUUUGCUUUCUCAAAAGCUGGGCUGCUCAAAGACCACGAAGGCCGAUCUCAGAAAUCGAAGAGGCUUGCUUUCUCAAAAGCUGGGCUGCUCAGAGACCACGAGGGCCGAUCUCAGAAAUCGAAGAGGCACCUACUUUUCCAGCCUUGUCAGCACCUGUCACACGCACACUCAGCUUUGCGGAAAUUAUGGGCAUUCUGUCGAAGAUUUCUGGCGAAGUAGAAAGCACAUGAAUCGUACUGUUCAAUCACCCACUUCCCACACGCAACAGUAGCUCAUGGGUACCACAGAUAACUUUGCCAAAGUUCUCUGACAAAGUUGAGACACGUGAAGCUUGCAGCUCCCACUACAUCGCUCUGACCAAGAAGGGUAAAAGAAUUAGCAAAGAAACAACACUAACAAAGUUUAGACACAUAAAUUUUGAAGGUCUAGCUACCAUAUUAUUACCCACAAGGGUAAAGGAACAGUACCACUGCUGGAUAAUUGGAAAGUCCCGGUGUGUCAACCUCUGUGCUUCGUGGCAAGGUAGACUAGCAAACAUGCCCAACCUUUACUCACAUUCGAGAAAACACUCCCAACAAGAUUGCUUGCUCCAAAAUCGAAGAGGCACCGCCCUCCGAAUCUCGAGAGCCAGACUCCCAACAUGAUUACUUUCUCAAAAAUCGAAGAGAGGGUAAAGGAACAGUACCACUGCUGGAUAAUUGGAAAGUCCCUGUGUGUCAACCUCUGUGCUUCGUGGCAAGGUAGACUAGCAAACAUGCCCAACCUUUACUCACAUUCGAGAAAACACUCCCAACAAGAUUGCUUGCUCCAAAAUCGAAGAGGCACCGCCCCUCCGAAUCUCGAGAGCCAGACUCCCAACAUGAUUACUUUCUCAAAAAUCGAAGAGAGGGUAAAGGAACAGUACCACUGCUGGAUAAUUGGAAAGUCCCUGUGUGUCAACCUCUGUGCUUCGUGGCAAGGUAGACUAGCAAACAUGCCCAACCUUUACUCACAUUCGAGAAAACACUCCCAACAAGAUUGCUUGCUCCAAAAUCGAAGAGGCACCGCCCUCCGAAUCUCGAGAGCCAGACUCCCAACAUGAUUACUUUCUCAAAAAAUCGAAGAGACACCGCUCUCCGAAUCUCGAGAGCCAGACCCCCAGCAGGAUUGCUUUCUCAAAAAUCGAAGAGGCAUCGUUCUCCGAAUCUCGAGAGCCAGAUCCCCGACAGGAUUGCUUGUUCGAAAACCGAAGAGGCACCACUUUCCCAACUUCAAGAGCUGGAUCUCCUUGGAUAAAGCUUGUCUGUAAUCUUCACACGCAACAUCAGCUUUCCAGAUACCACAGACCACUUUUUCAAAGUGCUCUGACAGAGUUAAAACAUGUGAAGCUGGCAGCUCCCACUACCGUGCUAUGACCAAGCAGGGUAAAGGAAUAGCAUUAUUACUUGAUGUUAGGGAGACUCCUAUAUAUGUCGACCUCCAUCCCCAACGGACAGGCAGACCUGCAAAAAUGCUCAACCCUUCCUCUUAUCUGAGAGGGCACUCCCAACGAAGCCUUUCGAAAUAUUCAGCUUUCUUUCCCCCCGAUAAUACCUCUGUAAACAAGCUAUACUAGAGCAAGAAUAUCUCAUAUCAUCAGGGUUAAAAGCAAGAGUAUCCCAUAUCAUGCUUUUUCCCUGUCUUUUCCUUUGGCCUUGUUCUUACCUGCAAGACAAGGAGAAAGAGAGCAAUCAGUCAGCACUUGGAAUCAAGCUUCCAGCCAGGAACUGACUGCCUGGAACCCCUUACCUGAUUACUUACCUGGCAUUGCUCUCGAGUACUCAUCUUCAACAUCUUAUGCUUCCAGGGAAGAUACCGCAUCUGCCUGAGGAACAGAUAGGGCAAGUGAGAAGGAUACAAGGAAGCAUGUGGAGACAAGCGUAACAGCACACGUGCCGAUACAUCCAUUACUCUGUCAAAAGCAAAAGUAUCCCAUAUCAGCAGGGUCGAACGUACUCUAGAUUUGAUGGACUUGUUUUGACCCUCAAAUUCUUCAGUCGGCCUUAUACUCUGGAGGAAACCAGAAAACCCUCCAGCCCAGUUCAAGAAUAAGCCUGUGGAAAGUUACUUCUUCAAAAGCAAAAGUAUCCCAUAUCAUCUCUUCUCAUUUUUCUUCUCUUUAUCCUUCAUGCUGCCUGCAAGAUAGGGAGAAUGUGAACAAUCAGCCGGAGCUCUGAUUGCUUACCUUGUCUGUCACCUCUUUCAGCAGAUCCCCUAGCUCGGCGACUUGGGGGACUCCUACUACAUGGUUUGUAUCGCGCUUGACCAAGCCUGAAACUACAAGUAAGCUUCAAGUGACAAUUGAUACAUUACCUUGUGCAUCUCCACCAGUUACAGAUACCACCCCUGGAUGGAGGAAGAGUACUUCCAGAGAAGAUGCCACAUCUACCUAUGAGACAGAUAAGGAAAGUCAAGACGAUACCACACUCCGGUACUUAGAAGUUUCGUGGUUACGAGAUCAUUCUCCCACAAUAUUUCCUAAUGUCAUUUGUACUAAAUCAUUCACUUGUACUCACUAAAGGAGAGCUUGAACCUAUGUACUUGUGUAAACCCUUCACAAUUAAUGAGAACUCCUCUAUUCCGUGGACGUAGCCAAUCUGGGUGAACCACGUACAUCUUGUGUUUGCUUUCCUAUCUCUAUCCAUUUAUAUACUUAUCCACACACUAAUGACCGGAGCAAUCUAGCGAAGAUCACAAAAAAGUGACCGUUUUCGCUACCUAGGAUCUAUCUUGCAAGAGAACGGAGAAUUAGAUGGAGAUCUCAACCAUAGAAUACAAGCUGGAUGGAUGAAGUGUAAGAGUGCAUCCGGCGUGUUGUGUGACCGUCGUAGGCCACUGAAGCUCAAGGGAAAAUUUUAUAGGACGGCAAUAAGGCCAGCGAUGUUGUAUGGCACAGAAUGUUGGGCGGUGAAGCAUCAACACGUACACAAAAUGGGUGUAGCGGAGAUGAGGAUGCUUCGUGGGAUGUAUGGGCACACGAGAAAUGAUAAGAUUGGGAAUGAGGAUAUCCGAGGUAAAGUAGGAGUAGCCAAAAUUGAAGGAAAUAUGAGAGAAAAUCGGUUCUGGUGGUUUGGACAUAUGCAAAGAAGGCCUACUGACGCUCCGGUUCGAAAAUGUGACUACUGGACAGAGGUUCAGGACCGAAGGGGUAGAGGAAGACCUAGAAAAACUUUGGAAGAGACCCUAAGAAAAGACUUGAGUACUUGGAUCUAACGGAGGACAUGACACAAAACCGAGCGCAAUGGCGUUCUAGGAUUCAUAUAGCCGACCCCACUUAGUGGGAAAAGGCUUUGUUGUUGUUGUUGUUGGUUGAUUUUGUAUGGACGAUGUAUUAAUUUUUUUUUUUUUUUGGGAUUUUGUGUAUUGGGUAUUGUGUAGAACCAGCAAUGCAGGAUCUGAUCAGUCACGCCCGAAAAGGGGUUUGUUUCUCAAAUCACAUUAAUUAAUUAGAUUAUUAAUGUGCGUUGGAAGGCUCUUCAAUAUGAUUUCUAAUUUCUCCUUUCCAGCAUUCUCUUUUUGGUUUUUGGAGUAUGUAUGUGAUUUGUAUUUGAUUAUAGAAUAAAAAUUAAUAAAACACGAGAUGCAGCAAUUAAUUUGCAUCCUUAUGACAACACAUAUAUGAAAGUGCAUUCAAUUUCAAUGUGCGAAUGUGUGACAGGACAGGAUGUGCCUGCCUGCUGGUGGUGGUAUGCUUGCUGUUGUUUCUUGCGUUGUUAAUUUUUUGUGUGUUGAUUUGAUUAACAAUUCAAGCGUAUCUUAUUUUUUUUGUGUUGGUUAGCAGCCAGUUUUAUGGCCCCGAUCUAGUGAUGCUUCUCAGUGACUGGUAAUUGCAGUUCAUUGCCACCAGUUGGUCAGCUACCUGCUCUGAAAGAGCUCUACGUAGAAGGGAUGAAAGUUGUUAAGAGUGUUGGUGUUGAGUUGUACGGGGGAAAUCAACCAUUUCAAUGUUUAGAGAAGGUAAAGUUUCGGGAGAUGCCAGAGUGGGAGGAAUGGCAGCCUAGUCCAAGUGGAUGUGAAAGUCCAGACUUUCCUCAUCUUAAGGAGCUGAGGUUAUCCGAAUGUCCGAAGCUGAGAGGAAACUUGCCCACUCAUCUUCCCUCCUUGAAAACACUUUAUGUGAACAAGUGUGAGGUUCUACAUAAAAACAGGGCCAGUAAUACCCUGAACGUGGAAUCCUUACGAGGAUCUCUUGAAAAACUGACAAUAAAUGGAUGCCCGGGUCUCUCAUUGUUACUAGAGUCGAUGGAGACGCUGCCGUCGCUUCAGAAGCUUGAUAUUGAUAGUGUUGGUGGGAAAGAGUUGUUGGUGCAAAUGGUGCACAACAGCAAUCGUCUUCAAAGUUUUGACUUUAUAUAAAUGUUCCUCACCCUUGUCGUUCCCUACAAAUGGUCUGCCCACCACGCUGACGUCACCGAGCAUAACAGAUUGCAAGAAAUUAGAAUUCCUAUCACGUGAGAUGAUGGCCAAAUUGACUUCCCUUCAGUCUUUGCGUCUAUCCAACAGCUGUGAAUGCAAAGGCUUGAGUAAUUUUUGUGAGUCUGCUGUUUGGUUUUUUUUUCUUCAUUUUAGAGAUUUUUCUACUGUUUGGUUUUUGGGUUUUGUCUAAUUUUUGUGGUCUGCUUUAUAGAUUGUUCUCUUUGGAAGCUUCUUUCCAGCCUUGACCUUCUUCUUGCCUGGUGCCUUCUCAUUGAGUAUUGGAGGAGCAUUAAAACACAGGUGUGUGUGUUUUGUCGAUGUAAGAGAUGAACGACAUAAAAACAUCCGUCUUUGUAUUUUUUUGUGCUUUUUCUAACCCAUCAAUUUCUUUUGAGUCAACCAAAUAGUCCCAAAUUGCAACUUAUGUUGUGAGGUAUUAUUGUCUAAAAUUAAGUAUGCAUGUAUAUUUUAUGUUUGUGCGCGCGCACACCUCCGCAUGGUGUUAAUCUCUGUGGGUCAUCUAUGUAUAUGUAGACAUAUCUAUAUGUGUAUGUGUGGAAUGCAACAUAUCGGAUUUAGGUUAUACUGUGCAUAGUUUUAUUGCCUGUUAUUAUCUACGAUAUCACUAUGCCAUUUCUAUGCAGGCUCUGAAAGUUAUCCAUGAGCUUUAUAAGCACUUACCAUAAUUUAAGCAGUCUGUUUUGGGUUCUUUUUCAUUAGGUCAUUAGCUACAGAUUAAUGGAGAAACGAGGACCAUGCAACUGAUUUGGGUUCUUUUUCUAAUUUUCUGAUUUUGGGGUUUUGCAGGGAGUACUGAUGUACUGAUUUUCUGGGAUUUUUUUUGUCCUUGCAGGAUUUUUGGUCUUUGGAAUGGGUAUGUGUUGUUUUUAACGUUUCAGUUCUAGCUUGUUCCGUUCUUCGUUGCUUCGUGAUUCUCAUUUUUUAGUGUUGGGUGAUGGAAAUUUGUUCAAGUAGUUGGUAGUUUUUUUAGAAAGUUGGCAUUUUUAGUUAUAUUUUCUGUUUAAUCCUAAAUGUUAGACUGGAAAAUCAUUGAAAUGACGGUUUUUUAAAAACUCAUAAUUUUUUUGUUCUGGGAGUUAAAAGCAUCUUUUCCAGAUUGGUUAUAAGGGUUAUGUUCUCUUCAAUUGGUUCACCUAAUUUUGAUUAGUUUUAAGUUUUGUCCUUUUAAGUUUUGUCUUUUAAGUUUUGUUCUUUAAGUUGUCUUUUAAGUUUGUUCUCUAAGUUUUGUCUUUUAAGUUUUAUCUUCUGUGCUGUAAUGAGAGAUUUCUGUUGGCCUUUCGGAUUUUGGCAUGGGAAAGUUCACUUAUUUGUCUAAUUAGAUUGUGUAUGCCUUCGAUUCUUUAUUUAAUUGUUCUGUUUGUGUUCAGGUGUGAUGAUCUAAAUUUCAUAUGUUUGGAAUUAUUCACUUAACACCAAUUUGUUACAUUCAGAUCUCCACCCCACAUUUCACUAGUUCAAAUUCCAUAGAAGUCGGUUACUGCAGAUUGCGUCUACAAUUAGAUCAGAGAUCAACUGCUCUUUUGUUAUCCUGCAGAAGAUUGCUUUUGGGAAGGAUCUGAAGUAGUUUCUUUCUGUAAGUUUAUUCCCAUGUAGCUCUGUCUUUUCUAAUUGAUGGUGUUGAUAUUACACUGUAAUUCAUGAUGAUGAUUUAAUUGUUUAUUGAUUUGUAAUUGUUUGUGAAUAAUGUGGCAUAUAUGACUUGCAAUAUGUGUUUGUAUGAAAGGGAUGACAUAUUAUGUUGCUGACUUAAUUGUUUAUGUUUUUCAUAUUUGCGAAUGGUGUUAUGAUCAAUUAGGUGAUUGCUGACCUGUGACUUUGUUUGGAGCUCAAAUUUUGUGAGCAUUACAUUGGAUUGUUUUGAUGUUGUUUUGGUUGACAAUGCAGGGAUAGGAGAAACAAAGAGGAUGACACUUAUAACUGCCCUUCCCCAUCGGCCGUCUUCAAAUUUGGAUCACAAGAAGGGAGCAACAUAGGUGUUUUCCUUCUUCAUUUAGAUAUGGUUAGUGUAAAUAAUUGGACAAAAGAGCCAAACAAACCCUGUUCUCUCAAAUGGAGUCGAUGAUGUGGUCGAUGGCCACCAGCCCCAACUCAAGAGUUUGGCCUUCAUAUAAUUGGAUUGUAGUAUAAUUUUAUUUUGGUUCAUUUCUUUUUUCCUUUAUAUAAGUGCAGGUGUUGUGAUGUUUUGAAUAAAGGGUGAUGAAAGGUGGUUCACACACUUCCUCCUUACUUAAAGCAAGUGGAGAUGAUGGGUUGUAUAAAAAGAAAAACUUGCCAGGUACUUCGAUUUUCUAUUUUAUUAAUUAUUGUUUGGUUUUCCAAAUGUUGUAUUCACAAAGAGAGACCAAUGAUGUCUUUGAGAAACAAGUUUCUUUGUCUACAUUGCGAGAAUUUGCAGUUUGCAACUUUCAUUGGUUAUUAUAUUUGAUUGAGUUAAACUUGGAUUUCUGGAUUUUGACUUUUUCGUUUGUUUCUUUGUUGUAGAGUUGGCUUCAUUUCAUUCCAGUAACUCUAUUCCAGUAACUCUCUAAAAUAGGGCCAAGAACUCACUAAAUAGGUAGUCAAGAGGAAUUCAGUUUUGCCUUCAAUUUUUGCCUUCUGUUUACAUUCUUCCUGGAUGCACUCUCACCGCUUCUCUCGCUUACCACUUUUGUCUCACUCACCGCUUCAUCUCUUCUGUUGCUUACAAGGUCGUGUCAUAUAUUUUUUUAAUUUUUGUGUGUUUAAUUUAUUGAAUAUUUGAAAAAAGAGAUAAAAUUUUCAAUUUACAAUUACUGAUAUGAUGUUUGUUUUGAAAAUCAUUAAGGUGAAUGGAGAGAUUUACAACCAUGAAGAGCUGAGGAGCCGUUUGCCAAAUCAGAUUUAUAAGGUCUCAUCAAUUAUAAAUAAACGACUUUUCAUUCCCAAUGACCUUUAUCGUUUUUCUUAAUGGGUUAGCUGAACAUGAGGUAGAUGCUGACUUUAUAAAAUAUGAGAAUGUUUUAGGAUUUCAUUCUAAUUUUUUGGCUGUUUGAUUACUUUGCUUUUCGUAAUUUGUUUUGCUUAUCGUCAAUUGGAUGGGACAACAUAUUUUUGUAACCAGUUUGUACUUUUUUUUUUUGUGGAAACUAACCAGUAUGUACUUUUACCAUCUCGGUUUUGAUGGAAUUGGAGCUUUCAGUAAUGGGUUCUGAGGGAAUUGGAGUUUUGAGUAAUGGGUUUUUUAACAACUAUAGUAUCAUUUGUGAUUCUUUUAUUUAUAAGAUAUUAUAUAGGAAACUGUUAUUAGCACUCUAAUAAUCUUAUUCUACACUCGCGACAAGUGUAUUUUUCUUUCUAAUUAUGGAAAGUUUGGAGUGCAAAAUGAGAAUUUUGGAGUGCCAAUAACAAUUCCCUAUUAUAUAUAGCUCUACUAAGAAGGCGACUGUAUAUGUCUUCAUCCUGUUAAAUUGUAUAUGGCUCUUGAUGUCGGCUGAAUUAAAUCAAAAUGAAAACCAAGCUGCUGAUCUUACCAGCCCAUAUCACUUAUCACUUAUUUAAAUUAUUUGAAGAUGCAUACGUGGAUUGGUGAUUUUGUUGGAUUCACUUAGCUCAAAUAUAUGUUAUCUGAGUCGCUACAUUUGAGAAUGUGAUUCUGUUCCUACCACCAUUUUGCCCACUUUUUGUGGAAAUUAUUCAUUCCUGUUGUGAAUAAUAUCCCCGGCAGCGAAGUGCGGGCGCAUUUUCUAGUUUAAGUUAAAUCACACAAUGGGUCAUCAAUAAUGACAAACUCGUCAUUUAUGCGAGUCAAACAUGAGACCACCUACCUACUAGUUUAGUGGAAUACCACAAGUGACAUGUUGAUACCUUUAAAUCUCAUAUAAUGGAUUGCAGAAUUAGGAUAUACCUAGUCUAAUUUAGUCAGUGCGUGAACCCGAACAAUUAACCAGGGUUUUAUUCUUGCUUGAAUGUUUGUAAUAUGUUCCUAGUUUGACAAGGCAAUUAUAUUUCCGACUACAAAAGUUAUUAAUUUAGUCGAGAAUUGACGCACCUGAAAUGGUGUGAGGAAAACAUGUAGACACAUCAGACGCGGUCCAUCCUGAGCAUUGUGUAUUAAGGAUAAAGCUCAAAGCCAUACAUGAGGGCAUUGUGUAUGUCUUUAUAAGAGAAGUUGCUGUAGUCCUCAACGUGGCCGGCAGCCAAACUCAUCCACUCUACACUGCAACCCUCAUCCAAAUCCCAUGCUUCCAACCUGCCCCCGACAUAGUCAUCGACCAUGACAUAGCUAUACGUUUUUGGUUGACUCGAAGAAGAAGAAGAAGAAGAAGUAUUAUUCAAGCAUGGAGCAGUGUCCACGUACAGAGAAGAAUUCGAUGGAUUCGAACACUUCAAGUAAUAUAUAGAUAGAGAAUUGAUGUCAUAGGUGGGCCAAUAUAGAGAAUCGAUGUCCUCGAUGGGCGGAAUAUUUUGAGACAUGGAAGAGCAAUUGUUGUUGUCAAGCCCAGGAUCUAGAAGUCGGAUUGUUUUGUUAAUGUAGUUGAUUGCCUGGACAUAGUAUUUUCCGGAAGAAGGUAGGUCUAGUACUGUAAUGUUGCUCUCACAGGACAGAGUAAACCUUACGUCGCCACAGUACUUUGGAUCAUCGUUCAGUCGAAAAGGAUGGCUUAUGUUGUGGAUAUGGCCGCAGGAUGAAGUGCAGGACUUGGCACUACUGUUGUCAGCGUUACAAGUUUCACUGCAAAAGCAAAGAAGAAGAAAGGCUAAACUUAAGGUGAAGGACCUGGUUCCACUGAUUUCCAUUGCUCUGAGAGAGAGAGAGAGAGAGAGAGGGCACUAUAGCUUAAACACCAAGGAGUUAUAUAAUAUGGGAGGGGUUAAAGCACCUCGCUUAAAGUUGCAGUAAGCCCGUCAAAUAUCCUAGGGAAAAGUCGGUCAAUGCUGUCCUAUAGAGAAAAGUCGGCCUUGAUGUUUGACACGGUCACACUCUCUCUCUCUCUCUCUCUCUCUCUCAUUGACGAGGGACACUGUAAUUGAAAAAAAAAAUUGUUAUUCAGAGAUAGAUCUUGAAAUUCUUAUUUUAUAUAAAAAAAAGGGGUAUUUAGAUUUUAGGACCUAUAUAAGAUAAUUUUUAGAUUAUAAGGUUUCAAAAUCUUAUUUUAGUCCCUAAUUUAAUAUUCAUCGCCACAUCAUAUUAUAAGAUACCUCUAUUACCUACCAUAUUUACAAACUUUGCCAUUUAAAUUGUCAACCUAUUCUAUAAUUAAGGCUUAAAUAUAUUCCGUUAAUAAACCAUUCGUCAAUAAGAUAAAUCCAACUAUGGUAAAUUAUACUAAUUUAUACUUGCUGACAAACAAAUUAAGUCUAUAGUAAUUUUAGGUCAGUCACCUUAAGAAGUCGAAGAUGAAAAAAUCAAAUACAAAACAAUAGGUUAAAAAAAUUAAAUAAUAACCCUUAAUAUAUAUAUAUAUAUAUAUAUAUAUAUAUAUCACAAAAAAAAAGUAUAACAACUCCUUAUUGUCUAUAUAUAGGAAUUGCAUAAGUGUCGGUACAUAUGUGUAGGUACAUACAUGCACAUAGGUACGGAAGUAUCGGUAUGGAAGUGCCGGUACAUACGUACACAUAGGUACGAAAAUAUUGAUACGUUAGCAUCGGUACAAAAGUAUCGGUGCGGAAGUGUCGAUACUUAUGUACAUAUAUAUAGGUACGCAAAUAUUGAUACAUAAACAUCAAAAGAAAAAAUCGGUAGAUUCGAUGUAUGAGAAGGUAAAAAUAAAUCAUCAACACUAGAAAAAAAUGAUAAAAGUAAAUCAUGCACUAUUAGAUGCAUAAGAAGAAGAAAUAUUAGAUGUGGAUGGUGGCCCUAGCCCUCUCUUCUAACACGGUUGAAGAUAAUUUUUUGGGUUGGACAAAAAGUUUCAUUUUUAAGGAGAACCAUUUAUGUUAGCAAUAAAACUGAAAAGUUAUAAAUAAAAUAAAUAUAAGACAUUAUAAUUCACUCAAGGAUAAUAUAGGAAGAAAAAAAUUACAUAAAAGGAAUUAACUCUGACAUUAAAUAUAAAUGCUGACUUGGACAUAAGUCAAAGGACUAUAAUUAGUUUUUUAUCUUGGUUAAGGUUUUAGUCUAAAGAUAAUCUUUUUCAAGGAUUAAUAUCUAGUUUCCUAUAAAAAAAAACACCUAAUAUUAAUCAUUCAAAUGAAAUUGUUAAAAUUAAGUAUAAAUAAUACAUAAUGAAAACUGAACACAUACAAUCAACGGUCACGACCAUGAAAUCCUCCGGAUCCUCAGAAAAAAAUCCGACGAUGAUCUUUUUCUGUGUAAAAUAAUUUGAGGGUAUAAUACUGGAUGUGCGAUUAAACCGAAGAACCCACCCACCUCCAUCUUCUCUGACCAACUUGAACCCAGCCACUACUACAUGUCAUCCCGACAACCCACUCUCAGCUUCCCAAACCGCCAUUUUUCACCCAAUGGAACAUUUAAAGAAAAAAUCCAUCUGCAAAUCGAAAACCACCGAAAAAAAUUAAAUCAGAUACAUUGGAAAAAACGCAAAACUCAAUGGAACAACACUGGCGUGGAAGAGAAAAAAAGCAGAAGGUGAGAAUGGAGAGAAAGAAGCGAACGGAAAGAAAAAGCAAAGAAGAGGUUGGAAACGGAACAACAGAAGAACAAUAGAAGAACAGAAAUGGGUAUGGGAAACGGAACAACAGAACAAAAAGCAGGCGGUGUAUAGAGCAAGAAAAGCAAACCUCACGAUGACCAACACGUGCUAAGAGAGGCCCCGGUUCACUGUGUAUCACAUUUUUUAAUAUUUUUUUUGGUCUUCCCACCGGCUAUACAUGGGAUUCCAAAAUUAAGAAGGUAUAAAUUUUUAUUGUUUCUUGUGCCACAAACCAUGUGGCCCAGUCUUAAUCACAUUUUUUAAAUAUUUUUUUUGCUCUUCCCAUCAGCAGUACAUGGGUUAAAAAAAUUAGGAAAGUAUAAAUUUUUAUUGUUUGUUGUGUCACAAACCACGUUGCCCGGUUUUAAUCACAUUUUUUUAAUAUUUUUUUGUCUGCCCACCAGCUAGGUUUAAAGAAUUAAAAAAGGACUAAAAGAAAGACUCCACAGAUGGAGGAACAUGGGAAUAGAAAGGGCAAAUUUGGGAUUUUACUGUACAAAAAAGACAAAAAGUAACUGCUGAAGACUAACUUGAGGGGCAUUUUGGUCUGCACACUGCCCUAGAACAGUAACCAUCGGAUUGGGUUUUAGUAUAUAUAGAAUAUGUUUAGAUAAGGACAAUAAACUUAGAAUUUUGCCAAAAGUCAGAAUUUAUAAAUUGAUACAAUCAAUUCAUUUGUUUGGAUUCAUAAACAUAGAAAUUUAGACUUUCCGCGUGAGAAAAAACUUGGAAUUUGGGACCUUCAAUUCUCAUGUUUAAAUUUCAUGUAAAUAGGUGUCAUUUAUAAAUUUCAGUAAGUGAGAGUUUAAAAAUAACAAACAUGUAUUCAAAUUUCAUUCCUCCUUUGGUUAACCAAAAAAGAAAAUUUAUAAAUUCUAGAAAAUAAAAUUUCUUUAUUUUAAUUUCUGUUAUUUUAAAAUUCUUAGGGCUUGUUUGGUAUUCUACUUGAAUCCAACUUUUUAAACUAAAAAAUAAUUUUCAAGUUUUAGGCCUUAAAAACUUAUUUGGUAGAACUAUUUAAAAAAACUGAACUUAAGACUAACUAAAAAAUAUAAUAUAUUAUCUAAAAACACAAAAAAUGAGUUUUUAGAAUUUUUAAACUUAAAUUCACUCAUUUCUUUUCUCUCCCUCCUCCCCUCUCACUCCAAAUCUCUCUCUCUCUCUCUCUUUUCUUCUUUCUCUCUCCCCUUCUCUUUUUUUUAACCUUUUUUUGUCUCUCAUCUAAUCCGCUCUCUUCAUUUUCUCGGUUCUUUCUCUCACUCAUAUUCCUCUCUAUCUCCUCCAAUUCUCUCUCUUCAUUCUUUUUCAACCAAUAAUUUCUUACUUUUUUCCUCUUCUCUCCUCUUGAUUCUCUCUCUUCAUUCUUUUUCAACCAAUCAUUUUUUACUUUUUUUCCUUCUCUCCUCUUUCUCCCUCGACUUCCUCUUUUUGGAUCUCUUUGUUCAGUUUGAGCUGUAAGAUUUAAAAUUAUUUUAAAUCGUAUACCAAACAAGUUUUUGAGUCUUAAAGAAAAUUGUUUUUCAAAAAAUGUUCUUAAGAAAUGUUUUGAGAAAUGAUAAAAAAUUUCAAAUAAGAUACCAAACAAGCCCUUAAUAAUCUUAAAUUUUCCCAUCCAAACAAAAAAUUUUCUUGUCAUAGAACUUUCAAUUGGAAUCAAAGAAGACAAUCUUUUCACAACUAAUUAUUCUCACCAAAAGCAAUUUUUAUUUUAAAGCAAUCAAUACCAAACUGCAAAAGCAAAGUAGGAAGGCUAAAAUUAAGGUGAAGAACCUGCUUCCACUAAUUUCCUUAGGAGGGAGAGAGAGAGGGGGAGAGAGAACCAAGCGAGCGAGCAGAGAGAGAAAACACCAAGUAGUAUUCUAAUGUUGGUGGGGUUAAGUCACCUUCCGUGAAGUUGCAGUAAGGACUUCUAUCCCAGAGAAAAGUCAGUAAAUGAUGUUGACACAGUCAACGACAAAGACAGAAUUGUGUAACCAUAAUUCUCUCUCUAUCUCUUUUUCAUUAUCGGAUGACAGUGUAACACUACUACGUAUAUAUCUCUGCUCAAUUAUUGAAAAGAAAAAUCCAUGUGCAUUAUUUUUAUUAUUAUUAUCUCAGAAAUGCAGAAAUUGAUCAUCUCUUCCUUUUGCAUAUUGAUACUGGUUUUCUUCAAACUAGUUGAAGCAAGUCAAUAUGUGUGCGCGAAAUCCAACUGUAGCAAUGAUCAAAGCGGGGCUAUCCAUUUCCCAUUAAACAUCAGGCGCACACAUCAUUGUGGUAAUUCUGGGCUUGAAUGCAAUGGGAGAUAUGAACAGCAAAUACUAAUAAAAUUAUUUGUCAAAGACAUAGAUUACAAGCGUCAGGAAAUCCAAGUCUAUUCCCCAAGUAACUGCCUGCUGCUAAAGCAUGUUGAAAUCCCAAACAUGCCACCCUCUCCCUUCAACGUGUCAGUCGAUGACUACAUGAGUAACCUUACCUUAUUCAGUUGUCCUACUUCUUUUGCAAGACGAGAUACGGAUGUGUAUCAAGUCCCCUGCCUCGGCGACCGUGGCAAGAGAACUUAUGCCAUUUAUUCUGAUUAUGGUUUUAGAACUCUCUUCCGGAAUCUACAAUCUUGUACAAAAAUGUAUGAUGUUUUAUCAGUUCCAAUACCCUCUGAAUAUUAUGUUCUUCGUUUCAAAUGGUCUAUACCAAAUUGCAGAAAAUGUGGAGAGGGAAAGAGGUGUGAAUGGCAGAACAAUGAAAUUAAAUGUAUUCAAUGGAGGAAACCAAGUAAGGAUAACAUAUGUAUUCAUUGCUAGUUUUAAACAUCUUUACAUUUGUUUCUCAGUAAUUAUUGUUUAAAACAUGUCCAAUCCAUUUUUACUAUGAAUAUUAACUGACAGUCUCAUUUGAAUUUGCCUUUAUCUUUUACAGGCAACACAUGGAAAUUAGUGGUCACAGGGGGAAUCCUGGGUUCUUUGCUUCUUGUUCUACUGAUGAUUGCAGCAUAUCGGGUAUAUAGCGUUGAUAGAAAGAAAAAAGAGAUUCGAUUACGAAUUGAAAGAUUCUUGGAGGAUUACAAAGCACUCAAACCAAGCAGAUACUCGUACGCAGAUAUUAAGAGGAUUACAAAUCAAUUCAAGGACAAGUUGGGCAAAGGAGCCUAUGGAACUGUCUUCAAAGGAAUGCUCUCUUCUGAAUUCUUUAUUGCUGUCAAAGUCCUCAACAGUUCCAAGGGAGAUGGGGAAGAGUUCGUAAAUGAAGUGCGAACGAUGGGUCAUAUCCACCACGUAAACGUGGCUCGCUUGGUUGGAUUUUGUGCUGAUGGAUUUGUACAAGCUCUUGUUUACGAGUUCUUCCCCAUUGGUUCCCUGCAGGAUUUCAUUUCAUCUGCAGAUAGUAAGAAUUCAUUUCUUGGUUGGGAUAAGCUGCAAGAUAUUGCCCUAGGCAUAGCCAAAGGAAUUGAAUAUCUUCACCAGGGAUGCGAUCUACGAAUCCUGCAUUUCGACAUCAAACCCCAUAAUGUUUUGCUAGACCAAAACUUCACUCCAAAAAUUUCUGAUUUUGGUAUGGCCAAGUUAUGUUCCAAGGAUCAAAGCUUGGUGUCCAUGACUACAGCUAGGGGGACCAUGGGCUACAUUGCACCUGAAGUGUUCUCCAGGAAUUUCGGAAAUGUGUCUUACAAGGCAGAUGUCUAUAGCUUUGGAAUGCUGCUGCUUGAGAUGGUAGGAGGAAGGAAGAAUAUUGGUUCAAUCACGGAUAACACUACAAAUGAAAUUUACUAUCCACAGUGGAUUUAUAAUCUUCUAGGGGAAGGGGAUGACCUACGAAUCCACAUUGGGGAAGAAGGAGACGGUAAAAUUUCAAAGAAACUUGCAAUUAUAGGGCUAUGGUGUAUCCAGUGGCACCCGUCGGAUCGUCCUUCCAUGAAAAUAGCGGUUCAGAUGUUAGAAGGAGGAGGAGAAAGCUUGAGUAUGCCGCCUAAUCCCUUUGUGCCUACUGGUUCUACAACUAGGAAUGCAAGACGCCUAGAGCUAGAAGCUAUUGCUGAAUUAGAGUAAAAUGUAUAUGCAGAUAUAUAGACGUAUAGAUAUAGUAAUAUUUACAUUGAAUAAGAUACCGUUUGAUAACCAUUUCGUUUUCAGCUUUUAAUUUUUAUUUUUCACUUUUUUGAAAACUGAAAACUAAAAUCUUGUUUGGUAAAUACUUUUAGUUAAAAAAAAAUGAAGACUGAGAACUAAAAAGUGAAAGCUCAAAGGAAGUAGAUUAAAAGUAGUUACCAAACAAACCGGAAUCUCAAUAAUAAAAAAGAUUGAAUUGCACAAUGCAAUCCAAACCAAUCAAAACAUUAAAAUAGCAAAAAAAUUAAAAUUCUAGUUGAUUAGAUUCUGAACAUAGUAAAAAUGAACAGAUCCGAUGAAAAAACAAAAAAUUCUCAGAUAAAAAUAGGGAUAAAGUAGAAUAUUUAUAAAUAGCUCAUUGUCUCUUAUGUCAUCAAUUAUUUCUAUAGUAUAUACAGGUUUUUGGAAAAAUUAGGUUCCCAUCCCUUAUUUUCAUAUUACAUUGAUUGAAAUCUUAUUAUUUUUCUAUUUUAGAUCAAGGUCCCUUGACUUAUUCCAUGUCAUCAUUUUAGUAUUUAAAAUAUUACACGUCAUCAUAAACGAAAUCUCAUCCCUUUCUGCAUUUAAGGCAAAAUAAACUAUAUAAGUAAGUUUAAAACAAGGAAAAUCCAUUUGAACUCCUCCAUUCUUCUUCUUCCCUUAUGCACAUCUGGAAUCUACAACACCCCAAACCCAAUUUUCUCCAUUUUUCUUCAUUCCUGAAUUGAUCCAAUGCAUAUAUGUUGAAUAAACCUAUUGUGAUUAAAAUACAAAUUAGCAUCAAUGAUUUUAUCGGCUUGUGAGAUUUGUGUGGCAUAGGCAAGGCAAUGCAGGCAUCGCUUUAUCAAAGAAUCUGGUUGAUUCAAACAUGCAGAGACUGUAGAGUGAGCGGGCUAUGUAAAAACUGUACCAUUUUGAAGUCAUUUUCUUUUGUUCUUUACAUUUUUUUUUCUUUUAUUAUUAUAUAUUAGUCUUGAUUAUUCAAUGUCUGGUUGGCUACACUUAUAUCCAUGGGUACAUUUUUAAUCUACAUGUUUCGUUCUAAUAUAUCUAUUGCUAUAAUAUGUUUUGGUUGGUUCAAAUUUGUUUUACAUAAAUAUAUGGGUACAAAGUUUUUGUAGAAUAUUAUGUAAAAUGGUUUUUAAGGUUGCUGCAUUUUACGUACCCACAUAUGCAUGUCUAUAAAACAAUGUGGUAUGAUGUACAUUCUUUUCUUUGAGUUUUUAAAUGUACCCAUGAGUUUUCUUGUAAAUUCGGUAUGUACCCAUAUGCUAUUUAUGUUAUGGGUACAUACAUUAUUUUUGGUCUAAGUUCAUGGGUACAUUACUUUUGUAUGUAUGAAUUCAUGGAGUACAUUAUUUCCCUUAAUACUACUCAAUAAAAUUCACAAAAAUAUGUGUAGCGUGCAUGAUUUUUUAUUGUAGAAAUUGUUUGUUUUUUUUAAGUCUCAUAAUUCAUGAAAUUUGUACAUAUAUGAUCACAUAAAUUUUUUAAUUUUAUUAAAUUUCUUUUAGACUUGAUCGAUUGAUUGAAUCUCAUAAUACUAGGAUUUUGAAUUACAUAAAUUCUUGGAUUUAAAUCCCUUAAAUGUUGAACUGCAAUCAAUAUUUUAAAUUACAGUUUUUUAUUUAAGAUAUCAAAAAGAUGACAUGGAAAUAUAGUAAUACUAAAAUGCUGAGGUGUACAAAGUCAAAGGACUUUGAUAAAAAAAUAAAAAACAAUAAGAUUUCAAUCUAACAAUUGAAUUGACUAGGGAUCGGAACCAAAAUGACCCUAGAUUUUUAUUGAGUUUAAUCUUAAUAAAAAAAAGACUUCUUGUAUCACAAAAAAUACAAGAACCAUUAUUUGAAUGAAAUAAAAGCUAUGGGAUGGAGAUAUAAAUGGAUCCUUUAUUUCACAAUUGGAUUAUAUUUAUUUGAUACACUGUUGUCAAUAUGAAUGCUGAGAAAAGACUACAAAAGAAAAAAACAAUUUAUAAAUAUAACUAACAAUUCCAAUUUCAAUCAAUUAGACAAUUAGAAUUAUAAGAAGAAAAAAAAAAGAAAUUUCAGUUUUCAGUUUAAAAAAAAUGAAAAAAAAAUGGUUAUCAAAGCCGUCCAAAUAAUACAAGUUUGUUUCCACUCUUUGUUUAAGCAUAGAUGCCAAUUUUUGUUUAUCAUUUUUUUAACCUUUAUUUUUUGUUACAGUAGAAGCCCUGGAAGGAAAUCGAGCACUGGACUUACCAAACUCUUAACUUAUUUCUACACACCAAGAGCUUGAUUUCGGUUCUUAUUUAUACUAUUUAAGCUAUAAGCCGUGACAAGAAUUAGAGAACUAUCAUUUGUUGUGAGCUUCAAUUGGUUAGCACUUUGUAUGUUUUCAUUAGAAUAUAUAUUUCACUUAGACUUUCUUAUUAAAAAAGGGAUCAGCUGGUGACUUUACCACGACAAUCCAAUUUUAUGGGGGUCAUGAAUACUCACAAAGGCAUUUCAGCCUCCCCCUAUAUCUACCGUCGCGUGAUUCACCAUUGUCAGAAAUCGAACCCAAGACGUGUUGUAUAGAAUACGGGCCUAAAAUUCAUUUCUAACCACUGAGUCACCCCGCGUUUGAUUAUAUUUCACUUAGACUUAUCUUGCGGUAUAGCAUGUCAUCCCCGCCCAAGUUUUUCCCUUCGCGUUGACUUUGGGAUACCAAAACUUGCCAAACAAAGUAGAUUGAUUAGUAAGCGAAGCUAAUUAUUCGACUAAACAUUGUUUAGAAUUUUAAUUAAAAGAACCAAUAUGAAUCUGUUUUUUUUUUUUUUGACAAACUAUAACGUUAAGGAGUUAAAUUGUUAGUUGUUAAGAGUACGGGGAUAGGUGAGGAUCGAACCUCCACCAUAGUGCAUAGACAUUAUUGGUUCUACAACUGCUGUAAAUCACAUAAAACAAAACGUAAUACUUUGAGGAUGGAAGACACUUCGUGGAUAGCGGGCAAUCAACACUAUCAGUUGCUAUCCAAAACUUGGAAUUAUGUUUAUUGUCCGAAGGAUUUUUCUUCCAUUAAAUUGCUAAGGAAGAUGAGGAUGGGUAGAGUGUCUAAAUGUCAAGGUUGAUAAGAACGUGUAUGGUGUUCAGCUUGCGAUUGAGAUUUGUUGAGUGGCACAACAAACCACAUAAAAUUUUCUAAAUGAUAAGCUUGAGUAUAAUUUUUUACCACGUAUUUAUCUUUAAAAUCAUUAUAAUUAGAUUUUCUCUUAAUUAAUAUAGACCGUUAGAUUCAUCUAAUGACCCAAGUUUUUUUCCUCUUUUCUUUCUACUCUUUUUUUCUUCUCUGAUUUUCCAUUCACCGUGUAGCAGUCGUUCUUCCCCAACUAAGUUUCUUAUUUUUCUUCACAAAAAAAUUGUAGAAAAUAUUAAGAAAAGAAAAGUCAUCAAUAUCAGACUCGACCAGGUAAUCGUUCCAACCUUCCCAGCAACUCUCAGUCUUAACAAGGCACCAAAUUUUCUCCGCCACCUAACUCGUCAUUCAUUUAUGGGUGUUUCAAGCUUGGUGAAAAUUGAUAGAGUUCCAUGUGUGUACACGGAUGUGAACAUAUUGGCCACUCUCUAAUGUGUUGGUUUAUCACAAAGAACCCAGAUACAAAAUUUUAAAAAGCAAACAAUUACAACUUCUCAAAUAUUAUCUAACAAACUUUCAAUGAAAUGUUGCUCAUAAUUGAAAAAAGGUUGACGAAGGACGGAGUUGGAGUUAUUUUAGAUGGGGAAGAGUUAAAAGAAGGAAGCACCAUUUAAUUAAUAAAAGCGAUUGGAGAAAUAGUAAUUCAAUGGUGGGCGUUUUUAAGGUGUGGACCUUGUAUCACACCCCGAUUCCAACAUACAUUGAGGAUCAACACGUGACAUGGGGACAUAGGGGACAUAAAUCUUAUGUAAGAUACAAAAUGAAAUACUAUAAAUAAUAUCCCAAAAUGAAUAUGAUAGUGGGUUCACCCCUAUAAAAUAUAUACGAGUUUGUACAUUCACAAAAAAAAAAAAAAAAAAAAAAAAAAAACACAUACACACACACAAAACUCUCGCUAGGCCAAGACUUGCCCAUGGUGCUCAAAGGAAAGUCCCAAAAGAAAGAGUACAAUGAAGGAUAAAGGGGUAACCUAAACACUCCAAGUCUCUGAUCUCUGCACUGCUACCCUCACCGGCUCCUCGUAAUCUACUCAGACCUAUCACAUGUACAAACAGUGCCUACAUUGUGGGAAUGGUGCAUCGGGCAAACAAAAACCCGGAUAAGCUGCAAAACUCGUGUGAGUGACAAUAAUGCAACAUAUGUGAUAAUCAAGAAAAACAUACCAUCGAUCGCAGUUUAUAAACCUCAAAUAUAACUUCAUACUUAUGAAAUCAUAAUCAAGUCACUGAAAACUUCGAAUGAGUCACCCAGACAUCCAACGACUUUUUAAAAUCAAAUCUCAGAGAUUCCAAAACUAUCAUUCACAAAUACACUAAAAACUAGGGCUAGAGUGACACAGUUCGGCCAAAGACUACAUAAGUAACCAAACAAGAAGUGGCCCCCCAUAGCGGAUUAACCAAGCAGAGCCACUCCUGAAAAAGUAACCAAGUAGGUAGUGACCCCCAUCACGGAUUAACCAAGCAAAGUCACUCCUACGAAACUGUUAGGUAGUGAUCACCCAUCGCGGAUUAACCAAGCAUGAUCACCCCUAAGUACGUAUGGCCAUACCUAAGAAAUAAGGAUCGCCCACCGCAGAUUAACCAAGCACGAUCCAAAAAUAUUAUGGGUCCCCUAUCACGGAUUAACCAAGCAUGACCAUCCAUGUACCACUACUACAUGGUGUAAAUUCGGUGUCACCUAACCUCGUGACACUAGGGUAACGGUCCUUUACUAGCCCUCACGUUUUUCAAACAUUUCAAAUAUAUAAUUUAAAACACAAUUCAUAAACAUUUCGAAUAAGGAAGUCACAUAGUGUUUAAUAAUGUAGGUCAAUGGAAAACUUUAAAAACAAUUAUUUAGCAUAAAACAUAUUUUAGAAAUCCAUGUUGUAUCCACAAAGUAUACUAGCAUGGGAGAUUUUCAGGGUAAUAACUCUAUCAUAUAUAUUAAAGUCACUCACCUGGAGUCCACACUAACGCACCCUAACACGAAUAUCAAGACGUCACGUACUAUCAUCUGUAACAUCCCACAUCAACCAACGGAGAGAGGGUGAUGUGCCUUAUAUGUACAUGCCCACCUCCAUAGCAUGAGACCUUUUGGGAGCUCACUGGCUUCAUAUUCCAUCGGAACUCCAAAGUUAAGCGAGUUUGGGCGAGAGUAGUCCCAGGAAGAGUGACCCACUGGAAAGUUCUCGUGUGAGUUCCUAGAAACAAAAUCGUGAAGGCGUGGCCGGGGGGGGGGGUUAAAGCGGACAAUAUUGUGCUACGACGAAAUUGAGACUGAGAUGUGACAGAAUGGUAUCAAAGCCACUCUGCCGUGUGGUGCGAGUGUGCCGACGAGGAUGUCGGGCCCCUAAGGGGGGUGGAUUGUAACAUCCCACAUCGACCAACGGAGAGGAGGUGAUGUGCCUUAUAUGUACAUGCCCACCUCCAUUUAGCACGAGGUCUUUUGGGAGCUCACUGGCUUCGGAUUCCAUAAGAACUCCGAAGUUAAGCGAGUUCGAGCGAGAGCAUUCCCAGGAUGAGUAACCUACUGGGAAGUUCUCGUGUGAGUUCCCAGAAACAAAAUUGUGAGGGCGUGGCCAAGGCCCAAAGCGGACAAUAUCGUGCUAUGGCGGAGCCGAGAUUGGGAUGUAACAUCGUCACCUAAGACAAAGUACAAGUCCACAUUUAAAGUUCUUCGUGUAUUCACAUAAUAAAAAAUUUCCAUAUGCCCCCUACAACUAAUGAAGAGAAAUCGAGACACGUUGACAAAAAGUCAACUGUUGAUCAACGGUAGGGUCCAUAACCCUACGUAACUCGAUCUGCAAGAUCCAGCCACUGUAUUUGUGAUUCAUAAGUUCCUAAGGUCCUUAAAUCUUACGUACAAUAACAUACUAAACUUUGGUGACGAUCUAAUUGUCGAAUCAUCAUUUGCUAUAAUGUUCAAAUGACGCAAAUUCAUCAAUCAGAUGUUAAAUAUGGAAUCGGUCAUCGAAUUUAGCUUAGGAAGGUCAAGUGGUGUCUCGAGCCACGUGCUGCCGUGCGCAGCAGCUGGCAACCCAAAUUCGUCGGAAAAAUCACCUAAUUCCAAAAUGAAUGUCGUUAGACGUGGAGUAAAUUGUAUACCUGUGAAGAAGCCCAAUUUGGUCGGGAAGUGGCCUGAAAUCACUUUAGACCGUCGGAAACCCUAAAAUAGGUGAAUCUCGAUUCGUCAUCUCCGGUAUUCCACCGUCCUCAAACUUGUUUAGGGUUUGCUCCUGGUCUCAAAAGAAUGCUAAUGAUGGUGGUGAUUGAAGGAGAAUGUUUCAGAAAUAAUGAAUCGUCGACGAGGGUUUCACGAAACCGACAUGGGUGUUCCUUGUGGAACUAAGACCAAAUCUCAACGGUUUUGGCUAGAAAUGGAUGCUGGGAUGUCGUGGUGAGGUUUGGUAGUGAUGGGAGGUCGAAGAAAGCCAAAAAAAUCGACGAAAAAACAGUCGUCGGAGUCGCAGGAAACGGGUUAGAAAAACGAGUCGCCAGGUCUGAAACGGGUCGAAGGCUUUUGGGACAGCUACUUACUCUCUCUUCUUUGAUUAGUCACUCCACUCACUCUCUCAUUUGAUUAGUCCAGCCUUCCCACAUGGUGGGAGUUCCCUCAUAUAGUAACCCAAAAUUUACUAUUUAAAUCUGGUAUCGAACGUUCGUAACUUUUUCGUUAUAGUUUCGAUUCGCAAACAGCUUUCGCCUACGCGCUCGUAUGAUCGAAUUAUACUCGAAAACAUUAAUUGUGACCUCGAAAAGGUCUACGAGUUUUAAAAGAUUAAUUACAAAAAUUCACACCUUGUAACUAUACGAUCCAAAUUCUAAAAUUAACGGAAUUAAAAUAAACUAAAAAUAAUGUAAACACGAAAUACAGACUUUAAUAAUGAAAUACGUAAUUAAUAGUAGUAUUCCGGGAACGGGAUUUCACACCUUGCGUCCGGACCUUGAGUGCGGAUCAGAAUCCAAAGGUCGUGAUCUGACAAGCUCAUGCAUAGAACGGAGUCGUUGUGACCCAAUGCAAUUCAAAACUUUUAUGUUUUUUAUUUGCUGGGUACGUUUUUGUAGGAGGAAAAGGGGAAGUCGAGGGAUUCUUUGCGCAUUAAAGAGGGAAAGAGAGAAAGGGGGAGCUAAGAGGUUCUUCGCGCGUUAAAUUUUUGCUUCUAAUUUUGCAACCUAGAAAUAAAGUAUUUUCUUUAUGGUUUAUGGUUCAAGAAUAUAAUGGAUGCAACCUAAAAAUGUUUCUUUUUUUAUUUUUUACUUUUUUUCUUCUUAUGUUGGCUUUUGGUUUAUUUUUAUAACGCACUAUAUAUUAACUAAAUUUAUAAACAUUUUGUAUCUUUGUUGCAGUCAAAUUAAUCAUAUGGGUCGGCAUGACUAAGUUCGACUGAGACAUACAGAUGUUUUGCAAUCUUAAGUCUAACCUGACACACCUCGACCUCAAUAUCCAGUGAACACCAAAAUUAAGGUGUGCUGGCCAUCAUCCGGAUGGGUGACGAAACCAUAAUAUGCAUGAAAACAUAACUAAAUUAUCAACCAAUAAAAUCUAUUGAAAAAUUUGGCAGAACAUCCCUUAAAAUAGGGAUAUGCCCAAAUUAAAAACACUUGCACAUGAUCACAAUUAUUCAAACACAUCCCGAAGGGCCACACUUAAUGGGACUUCGACCAUCUAUUACAUGCAUGAGAAUAUGUUCAGAGAAUAAUUACCCAAAUACGUCUUAUUAAAAUAUUGAGUAAAUACCAUACAAGAUAGAAUACGUCAGAGCUGUUGCAAAAUACCUCAACGUCGGAUGUAAUCACUGAUAGAAUUACUGAAUCAUGUAUAAAUGGAAAGCUGAUAAAUACAUGUAAUUUGAGUGGAUACUUACCAACAGCAUGGAUACAAUAUCAUCCACCAGUCGUAACUAGUGAAAACUGGAUAAUAUAAUCAUGUCAUUGCCGAGUAAUCUCAAGGCAAUGACAAGAUGAGAAUGUAACUGAGUAAUCAUAUCAUUACUAAAUAAUUUCAAAGCAAUGACAAGCUGAGAGUAUAACCGUAUAAUCAUGUCAUUACCGCGUAAUCUCAAAAUAAUGACAAGCUGAGAGUAUAACUGUAGUACCUCUUAUUAGUGCAAUGCAUGAUAUGAAUUCCAUCUCACAUAUAUAUGCAAGCCAUAAUCAAACCAAUAAACAUCCAACAAAAGCCACAAUCCUUUUAACAUUCGACCACAAGAUCAAUUUUCAUAUUUCCCAAACCUAGGUUCCGAAGCAUUGUUUCGAAUUAUUAAUACAAGAAACCACCACCACCUCAAUCAAUUCCUAUUCAUAAGUGUAAGCAAUUACUAAAUGCAUCACUUUCGACUCUAGUCUUAAUUAGAUUACUUGGGAUACUCAUUCACACCAUCAGAUCCACGUACAAUUUUGAUAAACUUUAAAUAGCAUGGUUAAAAUAAAUGAAACAUUUGAAUGAAACACUUUUAGAAAAUAAGUGAAGAUGUUGUUUACAAAUAUAGAUGCAUCUGUAUAUAAAAGCUUUGGCGGUUGAUUCGUAUACUUCCAGAGAUAUAAGCAAGUUCAUUGGAAUAUGCAUACAUGGUUAAUGUAUUACGGUAUAAUUAAUAAGAAAACAAUUGCAUCCCCUUCAGAUUAUAUAUAUAUAUAUAUAGACACACACACAUACACAUACAUACACACAGGCCCUUUAUGCAAAGGAAUUUCCAUUUUUUUUCAAAAAAUGGGGAUUAGUUGUGGGGCCCACGCUGCAUUGAACUUUAACGAUCCGAACAAUCUAUUUUGUAAGUCUCGAUUCAUAGAUCAUCCUUGCAAAAAUUCAAUUCAAUCCGAACCCUUUUGCCUAUUUAAUUAUCAAGAUAAAAUUUCAUUGUUUCUUAUAUAACAAAGUAUUCGUUAAUUUCUUUGAACUCAAUUAGAUAUCUUAAACAUUUCCGAUUUGGCUAAUAUUUUGCAAAGAUGAUCUAUGUGGUGCAACUUGAAAAAUAGACGAUUUCGAUUGUUAAAGUUCGAUGUGGUGUGAACCCUACAAUUAAUCUUCAUUUUUAUAAAAGAAUGGGAACCCCUCCCCUUAAAGGUUUCCUAUGUAUAUAUUUGUUCUUCAGACAUAUGCAAAAGGUAAUGUAAAACCAAUGAGAACUUAAAUAGAUAUUCCAUACAUAGGACAAUUCCAUAUAUGCUUUUUCAACAUUUAUAUCGAAAAGCCAAAUUGUUUUGAGGAAAUUAAUUGUAGUAAUGGUCCCUUAACUUUUAUCUUAUUGGAGCAAUGGUCUCUCAACUAAAAAUUCAUGACCAUUGGUUCCUUAACUCCACAAAACGUGUAGUUAUGGUCAUUUUCAUUAACUCCGUCAGAACUUUUGUUAAAACAAGUAAUGUUAGAAGAAUCAUUGCUACAAUCAGGUUAAAGUUGGGGACCAUUGCUCUAAUUGAAUUAAAGUUGAGGGAUCAUUACUCCAAAUUGCUUAAAGUUCAAGGACCAUUUCUACAAUUUUCUCAUCUAGUUUCCCAUAUUUACCCCAUGAUUCAGCUUCACAUGCAUUGCACAUGACUCAUUUUGACAAAAGUUUUAACGAAAUUGACGAAAAUGACCAUAAAUGCACGUUUUGAAGAGUAAGAGACCAAUGGUCGCAGAUUUUAGUUGAGGGAUCAUUGCUCCAAUUUGGUUAAAGUUGAGGGACCAUUGCUACAAUUUGCUCAAAUGUUUCGUAUGCGAAAAUAGGCAUUUGUAAAGUUUGGCUUGUUCAUGGCAUUAUUACUUUAGUCUAAAGUAAGGCUGGAAAUGGCACUGUAGAAAUGAAUAGUGUUCCAAUCCGAAUUUCAGUUUAAUUACAACAAUGCCAUUGCUCUUUGUGUUGCCUUUAGGUGAGCAACCCAACUUCCAGCCAGGCCCAAAUGUAUUGGUUUUAGCUGAGAAGCCCGACCUUUGGUCAGGCCCAAAACUUUAAAUUACAGUUUUGCCCAUACAAAAUAACAAUUUGAUUGUAUCGGGAAGGACAAUUUUGUCCUUUUAGUUUUGGGCGAGAUAGGGGGUAACCGGGUAGAUUUCAUUUGCUGUCGUUGAAUGAAGGUUUCGGGGAUGAAGGUUGUGUGUGUGUGUGAGGGAGAUGACGAUGGAAGGAGAGCGAAGGGGAGGGGAAGGGUUCUCGGCACUGUUGCUGCAUGUGGAUUUCACAAGUGGGUGAAUGGGUAUGGUUAGAGAAUACCAUAUAGGUUGUCGGGAUUUCAGGAAACGGGGUAGGGGUCAUGAAUGAACCCUGCUGAGAGUGGGUGCCGGAUCUUGCGCUGCAUGCCUCAAAUCAAAGAUAAGUUCAUUUUUUUAUUGUAUUCUUUAAUGGUAGCUUAGCUUUUGGAAUUGUUUAGUAUGUUAGGUCCAGUUUUGGGGGAUUUAUCUUUUAGAGAGAGAGAUGGACAGGGAGAUAAAGAUAGACAGAGAGAGAGAGAGGAGGAGGAGGCGGAGGAAGUAUGGCUGUGUGCUAUUUUUGGUGUUAAUUAAUGGGUUGGUGCGCAGGGUGAGUGACAGAGUGACAGAGUGACGGAGGGAUGUGUGGGAGGGUAUGGGUUUUUAGUUCUUUCUUUUGAUUCAAUAGGUUAUACACUGUUUGAAAAACCUUUUUUUUAUUUUUUUGUUCUCGUUUGCUUUGUUAAAACCAUCAUUUGAAUUUUUGGGUUUCACUGUGCUCAUUUCUCUGUUUCUUCAUAAUUUGUUGGUGUUUGCUUCUCAUCCCUCUGUUGGUAGAUCUUUUUCUCAUUUCUUGGUUCCUUAUGUAUUCUUUGGUACAAAUCUGUUUACUUUUUGGUUGUGUGAUAAUCUUAGCAGGUGAACUAUAUGAACGUUUUUUUGAAACGAGCACAGUGAAGCAAGCGUAGAUUGGGAGGCAACCCAAUAUUUCUAUUCAUUGCCUUUUUCUGUCAUUUUCAAUUUUCUUGCAUGCUAAACUGAAUUAUUUCUUUUCUUUGUAUUUGGGUUAUGUCCACCCUUGGAGUUGAUUGCGGAAUUAUAGUUUGGGGGUCAUCAUUUGAUUUCACUGCAAAUUGGGGAAGUUUUUAGUCCAAAUGCCGGAUCACUUCAAGUAUCACCUUCCAUUCGAAGUUCACUUCCAUGCCAUGGAACCUAUGGGAGUGUGACUGGAGGCAUCGUCCGGCUGCAAGACGUUAAAGAAAGCGCUUCUUGGGAGGCAACCCAAGCUUUCUAUCUUUCAUCUUUAUUUUGAAUAAUUUUAAAUGUUCUUGUUCUGUUUUUCUCUUAUUUUCUGGUUUUUGUAUUUAAGUCCUACUUUUGUUCCUUUAUGCAGGUAAUGAUUUUGCAAUCUCUACCACAACUUCUUGCAAGGUAGUUUUACAUUCAUAAAAACGAAAGGAACAUUAAGCAUAUAAAUACAAGAGGGAGCCUUCACAAAGGCUGCUUAGGAGAAGUUUCAGCAGUCGGCGGAGUCCCAGAAGGAGGAGGCAUCAGAGGUUGAUCAUUUGGAGCUUCAUUACGUGGUACAACCCCAGAAGACGAAGGCAAAUGCAAAUAAGGAAGAUCUAUGAAUCGCUUCACAAUCGAAAAGGAACAUAUGGUAGAAAAAUUCAAAGAUGAGCAUACAAACAAGAAGGAGUCUUCAUUGGUCAGGAGGUGUCGCAGCAGUCGAAGGAACAUCAGAAAGACGAAGUGUCAGAGCUUGAUUGUCCGGAGCACUUGGUGAAGCACCAGAUGAUGAAGGCAGAAGUUGCCUCAGGAGUAAAGCCAUAAACCUUUGAUGAUCACUCCGAGCCCGAACUUCAGCCUCUUGCAGCUGGUCCAACUUCCUCUUUAUGCUUGUUGAGUAGUUAGUUGCGAGCAUGUGCAACUCUUUAUCUUCAUGCCUCAGCGCUCUGACCUCUUGCCAAAGGCUAGCCACUUCAGCCAUCAACGACUCCACUUGACGAGUUCGAGCAAGAAGGCGUUGGCCCAUGUUUGAUACUGAGCCUGCACUUUGGACGCUGAAAGCCAAAGAAUCCUGAACAGCCUGCUCGUCAGACCGCUUAGAUAGCAUCCUACUGUCUCUUGGAGUAUGAAGAUUUCUAGCAACCACUGCAGCUGUUGCAUCAUUUCUCAUCACAGUGUCCCCAACUGUAAGAGGACCGUUGGAGGAUAUGAAAGAUGGCUGCCAAAUGUUACCUGGAGACGAGAGGUCAAUAUCUUCUUCGAUAUUCAGGUCAAAACGACGGUCGGAUGGGCUAGACAUUUUCAUAGGUGUUAAAGAAAGAAGAGGUCAGACAAGUCAAGAUAGUAGAAAUGCAAGAAGGGAGUAUUCACAGGCAGAAAUUCAUGUGUGCUUUGAACAUCCUGCGAACCUCUAUAAAAAAUAGCACACAAUGAGAUUUCAGGGAUCGAAUAGGCGAGUUCAGAGAUCGAUGAAGCGCCUGCUUUCUCCAAAGCUAGGCCUACUCAGGAAUCACAGGCUGAUCUCAGGUAGUGAAGACGCGCCUGUCUCUCUCAGCCCCGUCAGCACUUGUCACAUGCAGAGAAAACUUUGAGGAAAUCACGGGCAGUUUGUCGAAGCGCCGAUUCCAACCAUCUGUCUUUCUCAGCCUCGUCAGCUUUGAGGAAAUCACGGGCAGUUUGUCGAAGCGCCGAGUCCAACCGCCUGUCUCUCUCAGCCUCGUCGGCACUCGCUUUCUCAAAAGCUGGGCUUGAAAUCACAGGCCAAUCUUCAGUUUCUAAAUUUGUUCGCACUUGUCACAUGCAACCUCUGCACUCAACGAAGCUCAGAACUCGAAGCGCCAAUUCCGGAUAUUAAAGAAGCCUUUGCUUUAUCAGACGUGUCAGCAUCUGUCAAUUGCACAUCUGCGUUGCGUAAAUCACGCGCAAUCUGUCGAAGAUUUCUGGAGAAACGGAAUGCACGUGAAGUUUACUGUUAAAUUACCCCAGGCUUGCUGACACGAGUACUAGAACAAUGCCUUCCCAGCCAUUAAGAAAAAUUCUACAAAUGUUAAAGGCAACCUCACUCAACUUUCAGCCUCACUCAACCUUUCUUCCUCUCUGAGAAUGUAUUCCCGAAGAAGCCUCCCGAGUCACUCUGUGUUUCUCAUCCCUUGGGAUACCCCUGCAAACAACCCACCCAGAGCAAAAGUAUUUCAUAUCAUAACGGUUGAGAGCAAGAGUAUCUCAUAUCAUGCUUUCUCCCUGUCCUUUGUCUCGCCAGCACUUGGUAUCAAUCUUCCGAGCGGGGACCGACUGCCUGGAACCCAUUCCUGAUUGCUUACCUAACCUUGCUCUCGAGUACUCAUCCUUCUUAUGUUUCCUCUUCGUCUACCACAUAGGGGAAGUGAUAAUGAUACCUCGAAGCAUGUGGAUACAACGUGCUGAUUCAUCCUCAACUAAGGACAAGGGAGAAAGCAAGCAAGAUGUGGGCACUUGGAAAGAUUGAACAAAGAAACAGACUAACACCUCUACCUCGUGCCUGCCUACCGAGCAGAAGAAACAAGCAGAGAAGAAUGCAGACUGCACAAUCAAACAACCCAGGAACUCUGAUAUUCCUCGCUCAGGAUUCCAAACCAGUUUGAGAUUCGCCUACACAAAUUGGUGUGUUCUUUCCUUUUCUUUAUGUGUCUUUAUUUCAUUUUAUAUUUCUUUCCUUCCAUUUUCAUGUCUUAUUGUUCAAAAAUUCCUUUCAUUAUCAUUGGGGACAAUGCUAUAAUUAAGUUUGGGGGUAUUUGGAAAUAUAUUUCGUUAGUUUAUUUCUCUAUUAAAAAAAAAAAAAAAUUUUGCAUUUUUAUUGUUGUUUGUAGCUACUUCUCAAUUCAAUGAUGAGAUUUGAUUUUAAUUUCCUUCUUACUUUCAAGAAAGUCUAAGUUCUUUUCGUUGUCUUUGUGUUAACUGUGAUUUCCAGAAAUCAACUUGAAAAAAGAAAUGUGCCUAGUCUUGUCAAUGUGAAACUUGAGCAUGAUUUAGCGUUUCAUAUGUGAAUCAUGUGAGAUUAUGUAAACCUUGUGAGUUUUUUAGCCUAUACAUGAUUGAACCAUUAUGCAUCAAUCUCAUUCCUUCUUGUGCGUAUGAUCUCACUGUACAUGUAUCUCUAGAACUUGCUUUAUACUACUCGAUUCAUUAAUCAAUUCAUGUAAUAACUUGGAAGUGAUAUAGGCCAUCUUUGGAUCGUUUGAGCCUUUCAUGCCUACCUUAUAUGCUAUGUUUAUCCUUAGUAGCCCUUUGAGCCUUUAACUAAGCCAUUUCUUUGUUAACCACAUCUCUUUACCUUGCUCCAAUAUUGGAGUUGAGCCCAUACACAAAAAUCGAUUCCUUAUUGUUUUGAGAAAGUAUUACAUGGGUUGUGCUUUUGGGGGUUUCAUUUAUAUAGAAAGAUGGAUGGAGUAUGUGUAUACAAUGAAAUGUGAAUUUGAUGGGUGAUGUAGAUUUUGAAAAUUAUUUCAAAAGAAAAAAAAAACGAAAAAAAACGAAAAAAAUGAAAAUUGGAGAGUGUUGAUUUGUUGAAAAUGUGUCGGUAGAGUAUAAAUUUCCUUUUAAAGUUAAAUUUGGGGAGUAACAGGUGCUCGAGGUUUUAUUAUUUUGCUUUCAAUUUGAGGUGGUGUGAUAUUGAGGUGUUGGAAAACUACCAAAGUGUACUUUCUCAAAAUUUUUGAUUUCCAUAUCCUUUCUUUCAUUAGCCUAUCACCUUUAGCCCCAUUACAACCGUAAUAAAGUCCUAUUGAUCCAAGGUAUUACUUAAAUAUUGAUAAGCGAGUUAGGUGGACAAGCAAGCACAUGGCGGCAUGUACAAUGAGAUUACUUGAGUGAAACACAUUAACAAAAAAUUAUGAGUGAAUGAGCGUAUGUCUUGUGAGAAACUCACAUGUUUGCAUAUGAUGAUUUAAAGGAGCUUGGAAUUGCAUUGACAUAGCUAGCUCACACAUGGCAUUUCAACGUUUUGUUUGAAGGAAAUUUGGUUAACUAUUGGAUGAUGUUUUGAGCUCUUGCUUACUUCUUGGCAGUGUAUCUCAUGACUAGCACUUAUCUCUGAAAUCGAAAUUGAGAAGUUGGCUACUAAGUUGUUGAAUCUAGUCUUAGUUGAGUGGUUUUGUUUUGCUAGAGGACUAGCAAAAAUGUAAGUUUGGGGGUAUUUGAUCACUCAUAUAUUUCAUGCAUUUAUACCAUCCAUUUCUAAAGUCUUUGUGAUGUUUUUGUGUUAAAGUUGUGGCAUUUUACCUUACCUUGUGUUAAUGUACAGUUAAUUUUAUUUUAGGAUCAAUUUCAAAGAAAAUGGGCUGAAAAGAAAAUAAAAGAAAAGAAAUAAAUGGGACGGAAAGGAAGACACUGACAGAAUAAAAGAAUGAAGAAAGAGGUAGAACGGCAGAUAGAGAAGUGGGAAGAAAGUGGAGUGCGCAUGGGAUGGAAGUGGAACAAAAAGCAGGAGAGGGAGUGAGGAGUGCGGGAUAAAAGCAAAGAAAAAUAGAAGAAUAAGAAAGAAGUGGGAGGACACGGACUGAGUGGAAGAAUUAAAGAGAGAAGCAGGGUGCAGGCACGGACAGAAAGGAGAACUGAAGAAUAAAAGAGAAGACAGAGAAGCAGAAAAAAGAAGAGAAACUGACGUGAAAGCCAGUGCGCAGAGGGCGCAGAGAGAUAGGAGAGAUUGUGCGGGAGCAGAAGCACAGAAGCAGAGGGAACAAAAUCACAGACUGACAGCAGACGCAAGAGGCACGGCAGAGAGCAAAGCUUCACUCUAUUUUUCUUGGUUUUAUCUUCUCAAACCCAUGUUUUACUUUUGGUUUAAUUUGUGAAUUAUGUGUAACUAAAUUUUAAGUAGUUAGGGGCUGUUUUGAAGCCCCGAAUAUGAUUGUAAGUUUGUUGUGAUAUUUUGUUUGAAUGACUUUUAUGAAAGGAUGAAAAUUGUUUCACUACUUAUGUGAUUGAUAAAUUCUUUAUGUGUUUCUAUGGAUGCAUACAUAGUGAGCAUAUCUAGGAUUUUAAUGCUAUGAAUAUAUGUUUACCUGCCCUUGUUGAAUGAGGACCUACAUAUGUUCUAGAGUAGCACUUGUUAAUUGUGGUUAACAUGUGAACCGAUUUCUAGGAUAAGUAAGACAAUGCCAGUACUUAUCAUGCCUUGUGAUGACUCAAACUCUUUUCGUUCUUAAUGAUUUCUACUUGUUAAAUCUAUGAACACGACAUUCUAGAUUACAUGCUAGGGACUACGUUAAGUUGAAAACGCUAUUCUCUUAACAUACUACGUAAGAAAAAGUAAUAGGUUGUGUUCUAACAUUGAGCCAACUUGAGCAUCUUCAUCCGGAAAUAAAAGGAAUUUGAAUGAAACAUAACAUGUUUGCAUGAUUAUUUGGUGGUGGAUAGCAUUUCCCCUAAUUCGUUUUCUUAACUUGUGAAUUAAAAUCUAUUGGUAUUAUUUAAAACUGGUUGAGGUCCUGUUUUGUCCGAUUUAAUUUAAAUAGCUAAUCAACUUCAAAAAUCCCAAACAUUUGUGUGAGCAUAGCUUGGUGUGUCUAGUUUAUGUGUAUAAAAUUUCGUUGCAUUUGGAUAAGUGUAAGUUAGUCUAAUAAUUAUUGUUCGGUGGCUGGUCAGUGGAGACAACCAUCCUGUUUUUGUGACAUUUUAAGUGUUUGGAUAAAACAAUUUUCUGCGGAAAAGACCCUUAUUUUCAUAUGCUACAAUCGACAAAAUUUUAGUGUUAAUAAGGAAAAUCAAUAGGAUUAUUGUGGGCUACUUUGUGGUGCGUUAUAAUUACUACCAUGCUGUCAGUGGGUGUUAAUAUCAGGUACCCAUGUUCAGUUUUUCGUUUUGAUUUGAAGGAAUUUCUUGCGGAGAGGAGCAAGGGUUUCUUGGUGAGUUCUUCGGGUUGUGCAUAUGGGUAAUUUUCUUUUCGGUUUAACCCUCUGCUUCUGCUGCUCUCUCUCUUUCUCUCAUCCCUGCCUGCUCCUCUCCAAUUGUUUGCUGUUCUUAAAUAUUGUGUUCAUUGCCUGAUACAAGGGGCUGCAGCAAUCUGUUUUAUCCUACACGGGACAACGAGGCAAUGGCGUGACAACAGGUGAGCUUGGAUAUCCAAAGAAAAAGAACAGUUGGUUCAUCUGCUGGAGUCUGAGCUUAGAGAAGUGGAGGAAAAUUGCAGGUGUGCGAGAAAUUUUAUUUUGCUGAUAGGACUCCUUAUUUACUGAUGCAUUUUGAAAUAAUUGAAAAGUUGGAUUUGAGUUAACAGCUAUAAAAAUGUAGACAUGAUUGCUGAGAUUAUGCUAUGAAAGUGGAAUAAAAAAAUGGUAGUUUAUAAUAUUGCGUACCAAUUGUUUUCUCUCUUUUUUACCAAAUGAUAAGGGUGGUGGCUCAGGCCGCCCCCCUAAGCGUCCCCACUCUUCGACAAGUUGAAAUCGUGGUGAUAGUUUAUGGGCUGUGGUCUUGGGAUUCUGCAAAUAGAAUGAAAAACAGACACUUAACUAUCUUGUUAUUAAGCAUUUCUGCAUCAUUCAGUUGCUCUUGAUUUUCGUCUUUUAAGCGAUCUUAUUUCUGCGAUCUGACUUGAGGAGGGUUUUUAGACCUAUGGUUGUGGGUGUUUUCUCUGACCCCAUUAUCCGAGAUUUGUAGACUUGCGAUCGGCGGUCAAACAUUUUGUGAUUCUUGUUUUCUCUGCCUUUCGGUCGUUAAGCGCCGGCAGUCUUUAGAUCUUUGGCAAAUCAAUUUAAUACAACCGAGGUAUGUUUUAUAACUGCUGUCUUUCAAUUUUUGUUCUGUAUUUUUGUUAAUUUGGAUGAAGCUCUAAUAAUUUUGUUUUGGAUCAGUUGUGGUCCUCUGUUAGGAUUUUCCUGGCUAAGAGGGUAUUUGCGUUUUUGUUGCUUGGUUGGUCGAUCACAGAUUUACGAACAGCUGUGGUGGUCCUGUUAUUUUUUGGUAUGUUUUUUCUCCUUUUUGGUUUUUUUCCCGGUUUGAGCACCCAUUCUUGAAGAAUUAAAAUGUGUUUUAUAGUUUUUUCAGGAGAGAUUAGAAAAGUGAUUUCAAUUUGGGAAAAUUUAAUGUUGGUUAAAAUUUGUUUAUAAUUUUUGGGAAGGAAUGAGAGGACCCAUUGAAGUAUGUGUUGUGAUUAUUUUUUAUUCAUAUUUUUAACAAAUUGGGCAUGAAUUGGUAGGUUAACUGUGUGUGUUUAUUAUUUGAAUCGGCCAUGUUUGUCUUUCUAUGGUUCUAAAAAAUUUGUAAAGGCUGUUAACUUGGAAGAAAAUGGGAUCGAGGGUGAGGGGAAAACGGCAGAGAAAGCAUGGAAGAGAGAUUUGGGAUUAGGGGUAGGAAAACAGAUGAAAAGAAUAUGAUAGAGGAAUGGGUUCAGUUCAUUUUCACUAUUUUUUUUUAACUGAUUUGGAUUUUGUUUGGGUUUAACUCCGCCUAUGUCUUACAUGGCCGGUCCCAAGCCCGGAUAAAGGAGGAGGGGGAGGGCGUCAGGUAGUCGACAGCCGGCACUCCAUGAUCAUGUCGAAUCCUUAUGAAAAUGAAUCCAGAACAAAAUCGCGCUAAAGCUAGGACGUCACCCGUAAGUGGCGCGCUGUAUGGCCCGAGCACAGUGAUAAGUGAGCAAGGGUCGCUGUAUCUCCAUCGGCACCCGGAUGCAGUGUUAAAUGAGCAAGGGGGCCAUAGAAACUUCUUUUCGAACGACUCCACUCAAAGUUGUUUGAGAGCAUAUGCUCCUAUCAACUUUACCCGGGACACACAAAAGAAGUACUUUGAUCCUAUUAGACGGGGGAGGGUGAAGAAGCUAGGACAGAAGGGUAGAGUUCAAGAGAGCAAAAUGCGUUUAGGAACGUGGAAUAUAGGAACCUUAACGGGAAAAUCUAUGGAAGUAGUGGAAGUUAUGGUGAGGAGAAGGAUAAAUAUUAUGUGCCUACAAGAAACUAAGUGGGUUGGUAGUAAGGCAAAGGAUCUAGAAAACUCAGGGUUUAAACUUUGGUAUUCGGGCACAAAUAGAACGAGAAACGGUGUUGGCAUCAUCGUGGACAAGACCUUGGUACAAGAUGUUGUAGAUGUCAAGAGGGUAGGAGAUAGAAUCAUGGCAAUCAAGAUUGUAAUAGGACAAGAACUUAUCAAUGUGAUUAGUGCGUACGCACCUCAAGUAGGGUUGGAUACGAGUUCGAAGGAGAAAUUUUGGGAAGAUCUUGGAGACUUGGUGCAAGGAAUUGCUCAGACGGAGAAGUUAUUUAUAGGAGGAGAUUUAAAUGGACACGUGGGCAGGGAGACAGGCAACUAUGGAGGUUUUCAUGGUGGCCAUGGUUUUGGGGAGAGAAACGAGGAUGGGGAAGCUAUCUUGGAUUUUGCAAUGGCAUAUGAUCUCUUCUUAGCCAACACCUUCUUUAAGAAGAGAGAAGAACAUGUGAUCACCUACAAGAGUGGGUCGUCAAAAACACAAAUAGAUUUUCUUCUAAUGAGGAAAGGGGAUCGUAUAACUUGUAAGGAUUGCAAAGUUAUACCAGGAGAGAGCGUGGCUAAUCAACAUCGCUUGUUGGUGAUGGAUGUACAUAUCAAAAGAGUAAGACAAAAGAACAAGACUUGGAAGUGCCCAAGGACUAGAUGGUGGAAUCUAAAAGAAGAAAAACAAGCCAUUUUCAAAGAGAAGGUAAUCACCCAAUGUGUGUGGGAUAGAGAGGGGGAAGCUAGCCAAAUGUGGGAUUCCAUGGCUAGUUGUAUCCGAAAAGUAGCAAAAGAGGUAUUAGGAGAGUCCAAGGGCUUUGCCCCACACCAAAAGGAAUCUUGGUGGUGGAAUGAGGAGGUACAAACAAAGGUGAAGGCUAAGAAGGAAUGUUGUAAAGCCUUAUACAAGGAGAGGACCGAUGAAAAUGGUGAAAGGUAUAGAAAAGCGAAGCAAGAGGCGAAGAAAGCUGUCAGAGAAGCUAAGUUAGCGGCUUACGACGAUAUGUAUAAACGACUAGAUACCAAAGAAGGAGAGUUGGAUAUCUAUAAACUAUCUAGAGCAAGGGAAAAGAAGACAAGGGACCUAAACCAAGUGAGGUGCAUCAAGGAUGAGGAUGGAAAGGUUCUUGCUACAGAGAACGCGGUUAAAGACAGAUGGAGAGGUUAUUUUCAUAAUCUUUUCAAUGAAGGACAUGAAAUGAGUGCUUCUUUAGGGGAGUUGAGUAACUCAGAAGAGUGUAGAAACUACUCUUUUUAUCGUCGAAUCCGGAAGGAAGAAGUGGUUGUAGCUUUGAAGAAGAUGAAGCAUAAAAAAAGCAAUAGGCCCAGACGAUAUACCAAUCGAAGUGUGGAAACUUUUGGGAGAGACAGGUAUAACAUGGCUCACUGACCUUUUCAAUAGGAUUUUGAAAACGAAGAAGAUGCCAAAUGAGUGGCGAACGAGCACUUUGGUGCCUAUCUACAAGAAUAAGGGCGACGUACAAAAUUGCAUGAACUAUAGGGGUAUUAAGCUAAUGAGUCAUACAAUGAAGCUCUGGGAGAGAGUCAUUGAGCAUAGAUGAGGCAAGAGACACGGGUUUCGGACAACCAAUUCGGGUUCAUGCCAGGGCGCUCAACCAUGGAGGCAAUCUAUCUCUUACGAAGAUUGAUGGAAAGAUAUAGAGAUGGGAAAAAGGAUUUACACAUGGUCUUUAUAGAUUUGGAAAAAGCGUAUGAUAGGGUCCCAAGAGACAUUCUUUGGAGGAUUUUAGAGAAGAAAGGAGUACGAGUAGCAUAUAUCCAAGCUAUAAAGGAUAUGUAUGAAGGAGCAAAGACUGCCGUAAGAACUCAUGAAGGACAAACCGAAAGCUUUCCCAUAACUGUAGGAUUACAUCAAGGCUCAUCCUUAAGUCCUUACCUUUUUGCGUUGGUAAUGGAUGAGUUAACAGGACAUAUUCAAGAUGAUAUUCCUUGGUGUAUGCUUUUCGCAGACGAUAUAGUGUUGAUAGAUGAAACUCAGGAAGGGGUAAAUGCAAAGCUUAACCUUUGGAGAGAAGUGUUGGAAUCUAAAGGUCUUCGCCUAAGCCGAUCAAAGACAGAAUAUAUGGAGUGCAAGUUCAGUGCAAAUGGAGGCCAAAACGAGUUAGGGGUGAGGAUCGGAGAUCAAGAAAUACCAAAGAGCGACCGUUUUCGUUACCUAGGAUCUAUCUUGCAAAAGAACGGAGAAUUAGAUGGAGAUCUCAACCAUAGAAUACAAGCUGGAUGGAUGAAGUGGAAGAGUGCAUCCGGCGUGUUGUGUGACCGCCGUAUGCCACUGAAGCUCAAGGGAAAAUUUUAUAGGACGGCAAUAAGGCCGGCGAUGCUGUAUGGCACAGAAUGUUGGGCGGUGAAACAUCAACACGUACACAAAAUGGGUGUAGCGGAGAUGAGGAUGCUUCGUUGGAUGUGUGGGCACACGAGAAAGGAUAAGAUUAGGAAUGAGGAUAUCCGGGGUAAAGUAGGAGUAGCCGAAAUUGAAGGAAAGAUGAGAGAAAAUCGGUUACGGUGGUUUGGACAUGUGCAAAGAAGGCCUACUGACGCUCCGAUUAGAAGAUGCGACUAUGGGACAGAGGUUCAGGGCCGAAGGGGUAGAGGAAGACCUAGGAAAACUUUGGAAAGAGACUCUAAGAAAAGACUUAGAGUACUUGGAUCUAACGAAGGACAUGACACAGGAUCGAGCACAAUGGCGUUCUAAGAUUCAUAUAGCCGAUCCCACUCAGUGACUUGGAUUUUCCAAGUCUCCAACCGAGAAGUUUUCCUCACUCGGAAAAUUAAGGGAACACUACCCCAACCUACAUGCUCCACUCAGAAAGCUUCAACAUACAAGCUUCAACAAAAGAAAAUUCAAAGAACUUAGCGAAGAAGGCUUUGGUGUAUUUAACACAAUACGUUGAAAUGAAGGAAAGCUUAUUUAUUGAUAUCCCCGAUAAGCUACAAAUAUGUACAUAUACAUGAGUCAAAAUAAACACACAAGAGGGAGCCUUCACAAAGGUUGCUUAGGAGAAGUCUCAGCAGUCGGUAGAGCCCCAGAAAGAGAAGGCACCGGAGGGGGAUCAUUUGGAGCCUCAGUACUGGACAGAACCCUAGAAGGAGGAGGCAUCAGAGGUUGAUCAUUUGGAGCUUCAUUACGCGGUACAGCCCCAGAAGACGAAGGCAAUAAAUGCCUUUGGAACAAACCCACAAAUCUCUGAUGAUCAAGUAAAACCUGACCAUCAGUUUCCUUCAUCUGGUCAAGCUUCCUCUUCAUGUUUGUAGCAUAGUCAUGUGCGAGCCGGUGCAACUGUUUAUUCUCAUGCUUGAGCCCUCUAAUCUCCUGUUUGAGACUCAUCACUUCAGCCGCCAAUGAUUCAACUUGGCGGGUUCGAGCAAAUAGGCGUUGGGCCAUAUUAGACACAGAACCUGCACACUGAACACUGAGAGCCAGCGAAUCCUUAACAGCUAACUCAUCAGACCGUUUGGAAAGUAGUCUGUUAUCUUUGGGAGUGAGAAGGUUCCUGGCCACCACCGCAGCGGUCAUAUCAUUCUUCAUCACGGAAUCCCCAACGGUAAGAGGACCAGUAGGGGAGACGAAGGAUGGGCGCCAUAUGUUGUCUGGAGAAGGCGGGGCUGCCUCUUCAACAAGGUUCAAGUCAAAACGACGGUCGGAGGGGCCAGACAUUUUCAAAUGUGUUGAAGAGAGAAGAGGUCGGACAAAUCAAGAUCUUAGAAGUGCAAGAAUGAAGCUUCUACUGGUGGAGAUUCAAGUGUGCUUUGGAACUUAAUGCCAGCCCCUAUAAAAAUCUGCACUCGACGGAGCUUCAGAAAUCGAAGAGGCGCCUGCUCAGAAAUCGAAGAGGCGUUUGCUUUCUCAAAAGCUGGGCUGCUUAGAGAUCACGAGGGUUGAUCUCAGAAAUCGAAGAGGCGUUUGCUUUCUCAAAAGUUGGGCUGCUCAAAGACCUCGAAGGCUGAUCUCAGAAAUCGAAGAGGCGCUCGCUUUCUCAAAAGCUGGGCUCCCUAGAGACCACGAGGGCCGAUCUCAGAAAUCGAAGAGGCACCUACUUUUCCAGCCUUGUCAGCACCUGUCACACGCGCACACUCAGCUUUGCGGAAAUUAUGGGCAUUCUGUCGAAGACUUCUGGGGAAGUAGAAAAAACACAUGAAUCUUACUGUUCAAUCACCCACUUCCCACACGCAACAAUAGCUCAUGGGUACCACAGAUAACUUUGCCAAAGUUCUCUGCCAAAGUUGAGCACGUGAAGCUUGCAGCUCCCACUACAUCGCUCUGACCAAGAAGGGUAAAAGAAUAGCAAAGAAACACAGCACUAACAAAGUUUAGACCCAUAAAUUUUGAAGGUCUAGCUACCAUAUUAUUACCACACACAGGGUAAAGGAACAGUACCACUGCUGGAUAAUUGGAAAGUCCCUGUUUGUCAACCUCUGUGCUUCGUGGCAAGGUAGACUAGCAAACAUGCCCAACCUUUACUCACAUUCGAGAAAACACUCCCAAUAAGAUUGCUUGCUCCAAAAUCGAAGAGGCACCGUCCUCCGAAUCUCGAGAGCCAGACUCCCAACAUGACUACUUUCUUAAAAAUCGAAGAGAGGGUAAAGGAACAGUACCAUUGCUGGAUAAUUGGAAAGUCCCUGUGUGUCAACCUCUGUGCUUCGUGGCAAGGUAGACUAGCAAACAUGCCCAACCUUUACUCACAUUCGAGAAAACACUCCCAACAAGAUUGCUUGCUCCAAAAUCGAAGAGGCACCGCCCUCCGAAUCUCGAGAGCCAGACUCCAAACAUGAUUACUUUCUCAAAAAAUCGAAGAGACACUGCUCCCCGAAUCUUCGAGAGCCAGACCCCCAGCAUGAUUGCUUUCUCAAAAAUCGAUGAGGCAUCGUUCUCCGAAUCAAUCGAAGAGGCGCUCGCUUUCUCAAAAGCUGGGCUGCUCAGAGACCACGAGGGCCGAUCUCAGAAAUCGAAGAGGCACCUACUUUUCUAGCCUUGUCAGCACCUGUCACACGCACACUCAGCUUUGCAGAAAUUAUGGGCAUUCUGUCGAAGACUUCUGGUGAAGUAGAAAGCACAUGAAUCUUACUGUUCAAUCACCCACUUCCCACACGCAACAAUAGCUCAUGGGUACCACAGAUAACUUUGCCAAAGUUCUCUGCCAAAGUUGAGCACGUGAAGCUUGCAGCUCCCACUACAUCGCUCUGACCAAGAAGGGUAAAAGAAUAGCAAAGAAACAGCACUAACAAAGUUUAGACACAUAAAUUUUGAAGGUCUAGCUACCAUAUUAUUACCCACAAGGGUAAAGGAACAGUACCACUGCUGGAUAAUUGGAAAGUCCCUGUGUGUCAACCUCUGUGCUUCGUGGCAAGGUAGACUAGCAAACAUGCCCAACCUUUACUCACAUUCGAGAAAACACUCCCAACAAGAUUGCUUGCUCCAAAAUCGAAGAGGCACCGUCCUCCGAAUCUCGAGAGCCAGACUCCCAACAUGACUACUUUCUCAAAAUCGAAGAGAGGGUAAAGGAACAGUACCAUUGCUGGAUAAUUGGAAAGUCCCUGUGUGUCAACCUCUUUGCUUCGUGGCAAGGUAGACUAGCAAACAUGCCCAACCUUUACUCACAUUCGAGACAACAGUCCCAACAAGAUUGCUUGCUCCAAAAUCGAAGAGGCACCGCCCUCCGAAUCUCGAGAGCCAGACUCCCAACAUGAUUACUUUCUCAAAAAUCGAAGAGACACUGCUCUCCGAAUCUCGAGAGCCAGACCCCCAGCAUGAUUGCUUUCUCAAAAAUCGAAGUGGCAUCGUUAUCCGAAUCUCGAGAGCCAGACUCCCAACAUGAUUACUUUCUCAAAAAUCGAAGAGACACUGCUCUCCGAAUCUCGAAAGCCAGACCCCCAGCAUGAUUGCUUUCUCAAAAAUCGAAGAGGCAUCGUUCUCCGAAUCUCGAGAGCCAGAUACCACAUACCACUUUUUCAAAGUGCUCUGACAGAGUUAAAACAUGUGAAACUGGCAGCUCCCACUACCGUGCUAUGACCAAGCAGGGUAAAGGAAUAACAUUACUACUUGUUAGGGAGACUCCUAUAUAUGUUGACCUCCAUCCCCAACAGACAGGCAGACCUGCAAAAAUGCUCAACCCUUCAUCAUAUCUGAGAGGGCACUCCCAACGAAGCCUUUCGAAAUAUUCAGCUUUCUUUCCCCCCGAUAAUACCUCUGCAAACAAGCUAUACUAGAGCAAGAAUAUCUCAUAUCAUCAGGGUUAAAAGCAAGAGUAUCCCAUAUCAUGCUUUUUCCCUGUCUUUUCCUUUGGCCUUGUUUUUACCUGCAAGACAAGGAGAAAGAGAGCAAUCAGUCAGCACUUGGAAUCAAGCUUCCAGCUAGGAACUGACUGCCUGGAACCCCUUACCUGAUUACUUACCUGGCAUUGCUCUCGAGUACUCAUCUUCAACAUCUUAUGUUUCCAGGGAAGAUUCCGCAUCUGCUUGAGGAACAGAUAGGGCAAGUGCGAAAGAUACAAGGAAGCAUGUGGAGACAAGCGUAACAGCACACGUGCCGAUACAUCCAUUACUCUGUCAAAAGCAAAAGUAUCCCAUAUCAGCAGGGUGGAAAGUACUCUAGAUUUGAUGGACUUGUUUUGACCCUCAAAUUCUUCAGUCGACCUUAUACUCUGGAGGAAACCAGAAAACCCUCCAGCUCAGUUCAAGAAUAAGCCUGUGGAAAGUUACUUCUUCAAAAGCAAAAGUAUCUCAUAUCAUCUCUUCUCAUUUUUCUUCUCUUUAUCCUUCAUGCUGCUGCAAGAUGGGGAGAAGGUGAACAAUCAGUCGGAGCUCUGAUUGCUUACCUUGUCUGUCACCUCUUUCAGCAGACCCCUAGCUCGGCGACUUGGGGGACUCCUACUACAUGGUUUGUAUCGCGCUUGACCAAGCCUGAAACUACAAGUAAGCUUCAAGUGAAAUUGAUACAUUACCUUGUGCAUCUCCACCAGUUAAAGAUACCACCCCUGGAUGGAGGAAGAGUACUUCCAGAAAAGAUGCCACAUCUACCUAUGAGACAGAUAAGGCAAGUCAAGACGACACCACACUCCGAUACUUAGAAGUUUCGUGAUUACGAGAUCAUUCUCCCACAAUAUUUCCUAAUGUCAUUUGUACUAAAUCAUUCACUUGUACUCACUAAAGGAGAGCUUGAACCUAUGUACUUGUGUAAACCCUUCACAAUUAAUGAGAACUCUUCUAUUCCGUGGACGUAGCCAAUCUGGGUGAACCACGUACAUCUUGUGUUUGCUUUCCUAUCUCUAUCCAUUUAUAUACCUAUCCACACUAAUGACCGGAGCAAUCUAGCGAAGAUCACAAAAAGCGACCGUUUUCGCUACCUAGGAUCUUAUCUUGCAAGAGAACGGAGAAUUAGAUGGAGAUCUCAACCAUAGAAUACGAGCUGGAUGGAUGAAGUGUAAGAAUGCAUCCGGCGUGUUGUGUGACUGUCGUAGGCCACUAAAGCUCAAGGGAAAAUUUUAUAGGACGGCAAUAAGGCCAACGAUGUUGUAUGGCAUAGAAUGUUAGGCGGUGAAGCAUCAACACGUACACAAAAUGGGUGUAGCGGAGAUGAGGAUGCUUCGUGGGAUGUGUGGGCACACGAGAAAGGAUAAGAUUGGGAAUGAGGAUAUCCGAGGUAAAGUAGGAGUAGCCGAAAUUGUAGGAAAGAUGAGAGAAAAUCGGCUCCGGUGAUUUGGACAUGUGCAAAGAAGGCCGAAUGACACUCCGAUGUGACUACGGGACAGAGGUUCAGGGCCGAAGGGGUAGAGGAAGAUCUAGGAAAACUUUGGAAGAGACUCUAAGAAAAGACUUAGAGUACUUGGAUCUAACGGAGGACAUGAUACAAAACCGAGCGCAAUGGCGUUCUAGGAUUCAUAUAGCCGACCCCACUUAGUGGGAAAAGGCUUUGUUGUUCUGUUGUUGUUGUUGGAUUUUGUUUGGGUUUGAGGCCAUCAUUGGCGUUAAGACGUUUAUUAUCAGAUCGUGUGUUUUUUGCUAACUUUUAUUGGUAAUUUUAAUGUUGUUCUUAUGAUUUUGUGUGGUAGGGUUUCUGAUUUUUAUCGUUAUUCAUUUGGUUUUUUGUGUGUGUUGGUUUGUUUAUUUUGCAGGUUGUGUUUGUGCUGGGACAACAUUUUCCACCUUCUGUUUGCACUGGGAUGAUUGCGUUUUAAAACUGUUGGGGUGAGAUUUACAUAUGGAAUCAUUCCAUUUUUUUUCUUCCAAAUAUGUGCAUUUAGUUCUCUUUUAUUUUAAAUUUUAAAAAUUAAAUCGUUAUUUGAGUAAAAUGUUUUAUCAGUUUAUGUUAUGUGUUGUGACCAGGAAUUCUGUUGGAUUUGCGAAUUUUGGUUUGAUGAGAGAAAUGAGGAGUUUUUUUUGUUUGAAUUUUUUAUUGGACCGAUUUUCAAUUGGAUUGCAUUCUGCCUUUUUGCACCAUUCGUAUGCAAGCAAUUCAUUGUUUUAAAUACAAUUUGAAGAGAGCUGGGUUGCGGGUUGGAUAUAAAAUGUUAAGGUGAGAUAAAAUCGAGAUACCAAGGGUGGAAGAAUGAUUCAGAAUUGGGGGAGGAAAACAGAGGGAAGAUAGAAGAGUAUAAGAGAAGGAUAGGGUUGACCUCAUUUAGAGUUUUUAUUUACUUAUUUUUUUUUAUAAAUUGAUUCAGGACUUGCAUAUCAUUUCUAAAUUUCUAACAUUUUUGUUUAAUUUGACUCCAGUUGAUGGAAAACAGAGCUCUUACUCCUAUCAAUCAGUUGGUCCCGUACAUAAAUGCAGAAAAAUCAAGGUUCGAGUUUGCAGAGUAUGCAGACCAAGGUUUCCCGAAACUACUGGUGCAUAUUCAGGCUUGCAUUGUAUAUUACUUACCUAUUAAAAAUUUGUUUGGAAUUUGCUUUUCCCACAGAGGAGAAGAGCUGACAGUUACGCUGUGGGCAGAUGUUGCUCGAAGUAUUGCUUCUUUAUCCAUUGAAUCAUUGUCUCUGCCGAUCAUUGUGGUUUUCACAAGUUUAAAGGUCAAGCUGUACCUAGGUAUUUGACUUAGUUAAAAACUAAUCUAUUUACUAUUAAUUUUUCUAUUAUAUUCAAACGUUAUUUAAUAUAUACUCUACUAAUAUUUUCUUAACAUGUCACACAAACAUAUUCACUUCUUUUGAUCAAUUUUUUACAGCGUUUCAUAUAAAAGCUAACAUUUAGUUGAAAUUGAUUAGCAACUCUUUUCUUGCAUGUAUACAUACGAAUUAAACAAUAGUAUUAAACUAUUUGUUAUCAUUCUCAGUUUUUGUUUUAGAAUUAGAUUAAUAUAUUUAACCUGUUUUAGAAUUAGAAUUAUUUGGUAUCACUCUCAGUAUUUGUUUUAGAAUUAGAAUUAGAUUAAUAUACUGAGAUUAUUUAGACAAAUCUAGCAUUUUCUCAAAAUAUUUGACUUUUAAACUUAGAUUAAUAUAUUUAGCAGUUUUUUAACAUGCAAUUUUUCAUUAAUUUUUCAACACACAGACAAGAUAGUCUUGAACACCAUUGGUUCAUCACUUUUCUUCAUUGAUCUAGAUAUUCUGGAAGUAAAUUCAUACAAAUCAGUGUAAGUGUGUUUACUUUGUUUAAAAAAAUAUUAUAUGCUCUCACAAUAAAAGAAGGGCUAUUCUCACAAAAUUUAUGAACUAAUGUUCUGUUUUAACCUCUACAGCUUUUCCAAAUGCACAGAACCUCUAAAAAUACUGCCACCUUUUACAAAACAGGCCCGUGAAGCUCAAAUCUUGCAGACAGCGAAGGUCACAAUUGCAGACGCUGAAAUUUUCAUGCCAAAAUAUGAUGUGGAGGAUGAGAAAUUGUUUGCUGUUGUUCUCUUUUCAGUUUUGCAGGCGAUGAUCUUUUACCAAAUGUCGAGGAGCUUCCAUGGGACAUGCUCUAUGCUCUCGCUUCCCAGUUGCCUCUGUUGGGGUUGGAAAAGCUACAGAUCACAAUGUAAGUCAAAAACAGUAAAGUUCCCAAGAUGUUCUGUGCUGGAGCAGAUUUAAAGGUACGAAUUUUUAAUUUUUUUGUGAAGUCGAUGUUUUGUUUUAAAAGGAGUUAUAAUGGAUUGAUUGGACAAGUACAGAGUGUUUGUUUGUUUGGUUGAAUGUAAAAAGGAAUUGGAAGAAUGAUGAAAGUACUUGCAUUUGGUUGUAGUUGGUCAGGCACUGAAGGACCGGUCAAUACGAAGUGCAUCUGUGGGACAAUAGUUGAAAGAAGGCCAGAGCAGGAAGAGAAGGCAAGGUUUGUGAAGAAAAACAGUAAAAGGUCGUACCCAGUGCACAAGGCUCCCGCUUUACGCAAGGUCUGGGAGAGGUGAAUGUCGGCUAGCCUUACCCCCAUUCUGCUUUUGUUUAAUUAGAAGAAAUGUGCAUUUUUUUUUCCCAGUCAAAUUCUGCUUUUGUUCUGACUAUUUUCCUUACUGUAUGCUGAUUUUAUUAUUUAAUUUUUGGUUUUUCCUUGAUUGGCUUGGGAAUUACAAUCAAAUGAUGAAUCUUCAGUUUACUUGGGUAAGCAUUUUUUAACAUAUAAUUUAGCUGACCAUUUUAACUGUCAGACCAUGUUGUUUUUGGUUAUCUAAUCAUUCCAAGAUGGCAAGUUAGGAUUGGAAGGGUUGCUAGAAAUAAGGAUUAUAUCUUGGGACAUUCGGUGAGUGAUUUUUCAAACUUUCAGUUUUACAAGACAAAAUAUCUAUUUUUGUGUGUAUUCUUCAAGCAUGUUAUCAUUAUUUAGGUUGUAGGAAAAAAAGAGAGUGACUUGAGGUGUUUUUAGAUAUUUUUGUGUGUAUUCUUCACAAUGUAUUAAAAGCGCGAGGCGUGGGCGAGGCGUCCGAGGGAUAGCCCACGCCUCACGCCUUACGGGACCUAAAUUUUUUAAUAUAUACACUGAGCGUACACAUAUAUUAUAUUAAAAAAAAUUAUUAAUCAAUAAUCACCCUGAGCACACAUAUAUAUUAUAAAUACAUAUAUACACAUAUAUAUACAUAUAUAUACAUAUAUUAUGUUAUAUAUAUAUAUAUAAAAUAGAGGAUGAAAAGCACAAUGAGCACACAUAUAACAAUGCAUGCAGACAGCACACAAUAUAGUGCAAGGAAUAGGUAUGAGGUAGUUAAAACCCUACCCAAAAUCUGGGUUUGGGAGUAAAAAUAAAAAAAAAAAAAAAAAUUGCAUGAGGCGCGCCUAGACGGCUCCGACAACGCCUUCCGGCGCCUUCCGCCCACUCCCUCAAAACAAAGGCGGCAACCCUCAAGUCCAGCCUCACAGGGUGCCUAGGCGCACCCUGAGGUGAGCCUUUUAAAACAUUGAUUCUUCAAGCAUGCUAUCAUAAUAUUUGUAACUAUAAAAAAUAAUAUACUAUUAUACCUCUGUUUCUCUUUUCUUUGUUUUCAUGAGAAAUUAAUUGCCAUUGGCAGCACUAUAGAAAGCCAUCUUUCUCCAUUAUUCUCCGCUUCAUGCAUAAUUACAUAAUUCUACUAUCACAGUUGUCAGUCCUGAACAAUAAUGCAAGUCUAGUGGCAAAAACCACCUCAAUGAACAACUCACACACACACACAGACACUGAUCAUACAUCUCUAACUCUCUUUUUCAAAUAACACACUCUGAUCCAAAACAGGGUAAAUAAAAUGCACAUCCUUAUACAUUUCUAACUUUGUUUUUCGAAAUCCAAAAUAGGGUAUUCUAACUCUCUUUUUCAUUCAUUUCUUACAAACCAAUCAUACAUUUAAAAUAGGCUUUGAAUAAAAAUAGGGUAUAUAAUUAUAUACCUCAAAAUGCCUAGGAACCAACUUCCCCCUCCAACGAUUCAAAUUCUUGAAAUUGCCAACACAGUAAAUCCAUUAGUACUAUAUAAAUGAAAACACAAUUGAAACCCAUCAAACAAAACAAUCCCACAAUUUAAAUGAUUCAAUCCUACUACAAUUGAAAUUCACAGAAAGAAUGAAAAACCAGAACAAAACUGCAGCACCUAAAAAGUUGUCAUACAAAAAAAAACAUGGAAUGUAAAAAUAUGUUAAGAAAUCUAGUUCGUUAAUUUCCAGCUGCUAAGUGGCAUUAUGUAACUUUAGUAGUAUAACUAAUUAACUACUUAUCUGGUGGGUUGCACUUUUAUCCAAUUGGUAAGGAAAGGAAAAUAAAAAUCAACCCCUUGGUCUUAGUUGUGGCUGCAAAGUGCAGGCCACCACCAAGUCUCAGUGUUUGUGUUUUAGCAAAACACUUAAAUAAAUUAAAUUCUGAAACGUAAAUUAUAUUCCUAUAACUUUAAGAUGCACAUAUAGUAUUGUUGAAGUCGAACUGAAAGCACUGACAAUUCCAAGCAACAAAGCAGCAAUUAUUAAGAGCCAAAACUCAUUCCUAGUCUCCUCAUCCUGGUACUCAACUCCGUAAUCUUCUGUCAGCAUCAUUGACUGAAAUUAGGAGAGAAAAAGAAAAGGAAUUUCAGAAAUUGUCUAUGAAGCAAAGGAUACUGCAGUUACUUCAAGACAUGUAAAUUGCAUAUGUAUAAAGUAAUUUUCUACAUAAAGUAAUGAGGCAUAACUUUCUCUCUCCUCUUCAAACCCUAAACAGAGCAAAGCAAACUUUACAGAGAUUAGAAUGAGAACUGGAACUAAUCGAACAAUGACUGAAAAGUAACAUACUUGAGGAGUGAAUGAUUUAGUGUUUCCAUCAUCGGAAGCCGGAGUAAGUCGCUAAGAGAGGUCGCAAACAGCCCAAAGGGACAAACCCAGAUCCCCGGCCCCGAUCCAUACCCUUCCCCCUCAAAUCCCGACGGCCCCCAUACUUUUCUCUGACUGUACCCCCUCUCCCACUCAUGAAAUCGAGGAUCUGUCGCAAUGGUACUGAGAUCCCCACUCCUCCCUCUCCCUUUCUCUCUGUCGCUCUGUCUCCCUCUCCCUCUGUCUGUCUAUCUUUAUCCCAGAGCGGCAUGGCCUCCCAUCCCUGAAACCCUCACCGAAAGUUGGCAAUUUUGUAAAUAACUUGAAAUCCACCAACAGCAGGGGUAGAGAAUUGAAACAAACAUUUAGGCUCGUUCGAUAACCAUUUAGGCCAAAACUGAGCACACCUAAACCAUUCCUACUCGUGCCAAAUGUUAGUGGGGAAGCAAGAUGAUGACUUUAUUAUUCAAAACCAAAAGAAAAAAAGAGAGAAAACAAAAUAACAAAUGUAAUGGUUGUAGUGUAAAAGCUGAGAACGUAAAUAAACAUGCAGGGAAAAAAAUUGAAGAUACAAAGUAGCUGCAUCAUGAACACUUACUCCAAUUAGACGCAAAAAGUGAUGGUGAUGAGAAGAGAGAGAAAAUGCAGUCGUUUUGAUUUUUCUGGCUUUUAAAGGGAGCAGCUUUCUUCGACCACCAAAAAAAGGAAGCUGCUUUUCGUGUGGUUGUGAUUUCCUGAGUGUAUGUGAGCGGGUCUAUGGCACUUGCACUGUUUGUGUCGGUUACGGUAACCGGGCGAGCUGGACACGGCAGCGUGGGACUGAAUUCGGAGAGGUGAGAAAAAUUAAAAACACAAAAAGAAGGUGUUCAUUUUGUCACAUUUUUAUUACGAAAAAUUCAAUAAAGUACAUUCAUUAGUAUGGUAACUUAACUAUUUAAUUCCAUCUCAUUAAACUAAAAAAAACAAUUACAAAAAAAUAAGGAAAACCUUGUCCAGAGAGACCUGAGAGAAAGUGACGACUUCUCCUCUCAUUCAACUCCAUACUUGAUCUCUAAAGUCCAUUUGGCAUGUAAUUGAUGUUCACUUUCAAAUUUAGUGGUAGCAAUUAGCAAAGCUAAUGAAAGAAUCAAAUAAAAUGAAAGAAAAAGCAUCAUGAAAUAAAUCAAGAUGAAGAAUGAAAUUUUGGCAACUCGCCAUUCUCUUCUUUUAUAUAAAAGAUACAUCCUAUUUGUAGUGAAAACAGAUCCCGACAAACCCAGUUAUCCUCAAGAAGUAUUUUGUAUGACUUUAAAAACAUAAUCCGUGAAAUUAUCUCUUGGCUGAGAACAACAACAAAUCUUCAUGCAUAGCUUGUAGAGAAAGACAUCAGGCAUACAAAAGAACACGCAAGCAUAAAAUAAACGAAGCAGGGAAAACCAAAAAUACAAUUGAAUACGCUGUCAAAAGAACAUGAAUAAAUGAAAAUACCAAACAAAGCAGUGAUGAGAAACCAAAGUACCCAUUUCAUAAUCUAAUUGCUUUUUAGUUUGCUUGCCAUUUUUAGUUCUUCAAUUUAGAGAGACACCAUAAUUCAGCACAUGAAUAAAGUGAAAACGUAAAAGAUAUGUGGGAUAGGCUGACAGCCAUCCCUGAGUAAUGCAUUCACUUCUGAACCCCAAACACACUGAAACAAAAAUUCACACACAUGAACUACAGCUCCGCUUUGUAACAAGAAUUAAAAGCAUCUCAAAACAAAAUGGCAAACUAUAAGAGCAUUGUAAAAGUAAAAUUGCAAGAAAUCUAAUACUUGGAGGGCAAGUACUCAUCAGACGAAAAUGAAAGAUUGAACUACCUCGCGUGGAACUGUGCCUUGGUUUUUUCCCAUGCUUACAGGAAGCUUUGCACUGAGCUCUUAUAGUCCAAAUUUUCUCUGAAGGAAAAAAACACAAUUUUGAAAUAAGAUUUUCGUAUUAUACCUUAAAGAGAAGAAUUAGACAACAAAAUAGAGAACAAUGAGUACUAUUCAUCAUAUAUUGUUAGAGUAUGUGGCCCUCUGGUCCAAUGGUCCCGCAGCCAUAUUUCCUUUAUAACUCUUUCUUUUAAUCUAAAAAACAUCUUGAAUCUCAAAUUAGUAUGAAUACGGAUUCAUACUUUAUAACUAAAGAUCUUACUGCUCUUGAUAAGAUGAACAAUACGCCAUUUCUCGCAUGCAUUGCAUUACAAUCACAAUGCAACAUCUCAUUAGAAAUCCCCACACAAAUUUUUUUUAUUGCUACUUUGAUUUUAGUUUAUAUUUUUUCUGAAGCAUGAGGGAGCUAAUUUUUUUUUUUAAAUUUUUUAUUCCAAUAAUGUUAUAGGGAGGGUUGCAAGGAUAUUAUCAAUUGUAUUUGAUUGGUGGAACUUCUACAUCUAUAUUUUAGGUUUUCAAUUUUAGCACUGGGAGAGUCAUUCAUAAAAUGUUUGACAGUGAGAUUACCUCCAUGGACUAUGCUCACAAUGGACAGCUCAUUUUCCGCGGUGAUGGGACAAUAUAUUUCAGUCAUUCGCCAUUCAAUCAAUUCAAACUGAGGAACAUGCAACAUCAAGAAGAGGAUCUACCAUGUCAGGAUCACUAUCGUCCAAUUAAUACAAAAAAAUCUAGAUAAAAACGAUCAAUUUACAUAAAAGCCCUUCAUUUUCUCAGCAACCAAGCAAAAGAAAAUACCUAUCCGUUAAACACUCGAUUUGGGAGUAAAUGUUGCUGAAACUGGACUUCAAUCCCCUCAACCGCAACAACCGAAUCGAGGUGUGCAAGUCAUUGAAAAACUCACCCAAGAUUUCAAAAUCUGCAUAGAGAAAUAAAUAAGCACAUAAAUUAGCCCAACCCAUAAAUCAAAGAAAUCAAAAUCCACCCAGAAUCAAAGAAAUCAAAAUCCAUCCAGAACCAAAGAAAUCAAAAUCACACACAGAUAUGCAAGACAACGCAAAUUUGAAGCCUUACUUUUCGGGUAGCUUGGCGGCUGACAUGAGUCUUCUUCAGAGUUUCAUCCAUCCAUGGAUCCAUUUGGUCCGCCCGUCGCUUCUGGGUCGUACAAUCUUAAAAUCUGCAAAAUGAAUUUAAAGAAUCAAUUUUUACGAUUGAAAAGCCAAAAGUGCUACAAACUCCAAAUUGCUGAGAACCAAAGUGGAGUAACAGUUACAGGUCACGAGAUGAGAUGAGGACAUUGUCGGAUUUCAGGGCGAACCUGACUCUGGAAAUUGCAUCUCGGAUCGGGCUUUCGAACUUCAAAGGAGCUCCGCUCAUUGUGGUCCUUGCAGACCGAACUGGCCUAACAAUCAGCGAGAGAAAGGAGACGGCGGCAAGAUGAGGGAUACAAUGGAUGCGAGAUCGUCUGUAUCGUUCUCGCGGGGGGUUUGCAAGACGGACGAGGAAAGUAGGGUUUGAUGAGGCAUUGUCUUCGCGCGGGGUAUGUGUCCUUCCCAUUCCAUGAUUAUCAACACGUGUGCAUCAACAGAAGCGGCAGAGAGAGGCAUUAUUGUAAAUAAAGUGAAAUCGAAGGGCAAUGGCCCUUUUUUUUUUAAGGUAAUGGCAUGGCCAUAAAUAGAAUGAAAUCCAGAUCAAAACACUGUCAUUUGUACAGUACAAUUUCUCCAUCUUCUUUAGACUAAAGUAAUGUAUAUGUUAUACGCACCAACACAAGUCCUUCUUAGAUAAAUCCAAGCCAAACAAUUACAGACGAUAGUUAUUCACAAAAUCACUUUAAAGUAAGAAUUUAAUUAAUAAUACAUUACUGCACUUUCUUAACAAUUUGACUAUCACCUAGCUGACAAUGAACAUGUUAGCUAUGCGUUAGAACAUAUUGGGUUCAAUCCAUUGUCUUGAAUAUUACCCCCAGUCACAGCCGUCUCUUGGGGGCAUACAGAAGGCCUGAGAGGCAUUUGCAGACAUUCAACAUCUCCUCCAAGCAUUUCGACAACUUUGGACAUCGAAGGGCGAUCACUUGGUUUCAUUUGAAUACACCACAAGGCGGUUAUAACCACCUUUCUUAUCACUUUCUUUUCCUUCUCUGUAACAUUGUCUAUUUCCAAGUCAUUUCCCACAAAAUACUGAUCGUAUACCUACAGCGGGAAGUAGAUUUGGCUUGGAUGCUCUACCGUUGCAUUCAAAUUCUUCCUUAUGCUUGCCAUUUCCAUCAACAACAUUCCAAAACUAUAGACAUCGGCCUUGUAUGAGACACCUCCAAUAUUUUUGUAGAACAACUCAGGAGCAAUAUAUCUCAUUGUACCCCGUGCUGUCGUCAAAGAGACAAUGCUAUUAUCUACUGGAUACAAUUUUGCAAGCCCAAAGUCAGAAACCUUUGCUUUAAAGUUCUCAUCAAGAGGGAUGUUAUGAGGCUUGAUGUCAAAAUGUAGAAUUUUCAUUUUACAACCUUGAUCUAGAUAUUCGAUCCCAUGACUCCAAGAGAAAUCUUGUACAUAGUCUUGAUAGUUAAGGGAAGACUUCCUUCUUUGGAAUAAAUGUAUUUAUCAAAAGAGCCAUUAGGCAUAAAGUCAUAUAUUAGAGCGCGCUUUGAUCCCUCGACACAAUCACAAUCACAAUCACAAUCACAAUCACAAUCACAUUCCAACAUGGAAUCCUCAGACGACAUGCCUACUGCAGAACAAGUUUCAUCCUUACUUAACUUCUAUUUAGUCCACUUCCUGUUUAGAUUGUAAUCCUAGUUCUGCGUGUGUUUGUAUAGUACUCCUAUAAAUAUCAAUGAAAACCGCUCACUCUAAUUAGGAGUUGAGAUUCUGCAAAUCAUAUUUACUAUCUUUCAUGGUAUCACGAGCCAAGGUCUAACGACAACGGUUCCUGUUAUAAUUUUUUUCUCUUUUGUAGAUCCUAAACUAUGGCAUCUUCUUCCUCCUCCGAUGCUCCCUCCGUCACAAAUUUUCUUACGAUCAAGCUCGACCUCAACAACUACCCUCUCUGGCGUGCUCAAUUUCUUCCCUUGCUGCGCAGCCGCAACUUACUCUCUUAUGUUACUGGCGAAACUCAAUGCCCAUCUGCCUUUGUUCUUGAUGACAAUGGUAAAUUCACAGACAAAGUCAAUCCAUUAUAUAAUGAAUGGAUCCAGACUGACUAGAUGAUCCUAUCUUGGAUUACGAGUUCUCUUACUCCCAAGGUUCUUGCUACGAUCGUCAACAAAAUUGAUUCGACCUCUGCUUGGUUGUCAAACCCGAAUUAAUCUGAUUAUGGGGGUUUUAUUUUAUAUCAAUAUAUUGCAGCAGAAGUCGCACUUUGAAGAGUUCAUGCUGCACAGAAAGAUUCUUAAAUGCUACCUGUUGAGUCUAUCAUUGCUCCAUUGGAGACAGAGCUGAAGCUUGCUGCAGGAGUUAUACAUUUGUUAUGCAAUAUGACCCCUUUAAUUUUAUUUUAAAACUGAUACAAAAAUUUAUGUAGUAUUUUUGUAUCAGUUUUGAGUGUCUAUUUUGGCUUCCAUAUUUCGUCUGUACAUGUGAGAGGUAUAGCGUUCAAUAUGUAUUUGGUUUCUAUAUUGUUAAUGGAUCUUUUUUUUUUUAAGAUAACCAAGUUGCAGGAUGACAGCAGAACACUUGAUCUGUAGGUAAACCUUCAAUUUCCAUAUGAAGUUUGCAUGUUCGUUGUUUCUGGAAUUUGAGUUUUUAUUAUUUCUCAAUUCUAUCACAUAGAUUACGAUUUCACAUAUGGGAUUAUUAAUGGCAAUUAGAUGAUGGAAGAAUUGGGAUUGGAAGAAGAUAUUGAGUUGUUUAUUUAUGGGGAUUAGAAAAUUUUUAUCAUAAGUGUGGAUGCAAAUUUCUUCCUCCUUGAUCUUGGACAAAAUUGCACCUACAAAACAAUUAACACCUUAGGUCAAGGCCAAGAGCCUCACGCGCUCACGAUGAAGGGGGGGGCUUUGGUCGAAGAACCUCCGAUGCCAAAGUUAGAAUUUAGAGAGAAAAAGUGUUUGAGAAUUCUAGAGAAUUUUAGCAAGAGUUGCAACUAGGUUUUGGUGAGAAAUGUGGGGCUUUCUAUAGAGGAGUGGCCGGCCUCUUAGGGUGAGAAAGGACCGGUCACAUAGCCUAGUUUGUGGGUUUUGUUCAUGAUUUAAGAUGAUUUUGGGAGUUAUGUGAUUAAUUGACUAAUUAAUUAGGAAAACUAAUAAAAAGGGCUUGAAAACUUUGAGUUUUAAUGAUAAGGACAAAAUAAAGGGUAAAGUGAAUAGUACCAGGAUUGACUUUUUAGUGUAAAAAUGUGGUUUUUCGUUAAAAUGAACAGUACCGGGUGCUUUUCGUUAAAGUUCCCUAAUUAAUUUGGCGAAAUAAAAUUAUUACCAAAUGAAUUAGCUAAUUAAUGGGAUGAAAUGGGCAAAUAUCAAGAGAUAAACAAAACAUGACCAAUUCCUUUUCUAACAAUAGGUGGCCGGCCCUUCACUUGUUUUUGGGGUUGCAUGGAUGUUUUAAUUGACAAUUAAGGAAUUGAUUAGGCAAUUAAUCCCUUAAUUAGUCAAUUAUUAUGAUUUUAAAGGAAGAUUUUAGGAAAUAUGAAAGGAAUAUAUUAUUUAGCUAAUUGAUUAGCUAAAUGGAAUAAAUUAGGUUUUGGGAAUUACCUUAAAUGAGGAUGGAUGAGAUAAUUUGGAAUUGGUUACCUUUUUGGAGCAUUUUUGACUUGGUUAAGGAUGAUUGCCCGCUACUUGCGCAUAGGAAUCCCGUUAUACCUCAAGGGUAUUUUUGUCAUCUUUUACCCAAAAAACCACGUGUCACCUUGUGAUUAUUUUUGGCUCCACAAUACGAGUGAUAUUUAUUUUUGUGUGGAUUGUUAAUAUAUAAAACUAUAAGCUUUUGAGAUUGGGAGACAAAACCCACAAAUUCAAUUCAGACAAAAUAAAUAAAAAAUUUAACUGACUUAAAGAUCAAACUCCAAAAGGGUAUUAAAAACAAGGCUUAUUUGAUCCAUUGAGUGUGAAAGUUUUGAGCUUUGAAGAAGCAGAGGAGGAGAGUUGUUAACCAAGCUGCAUUAUCUAUGUAUUAGGAUGUUGAGGGUAGGCAGGAAAAAUACUUUUUGACGCCAAAUCCAGAGGAGCAUAACGACAGGCCUGCAUUUUUGCAGCAAGGACCAAAACAAGUAUAAGUGAAGGCUUGACUGUUUGGGUAUUAAUCCUAAACCUAAUUAUUCUUAUUUAGGUUUAGGAUAAAUGAUUGAGUGUGUCUCGAUGAUUGUAUUACUAUGUUUGAUGAAUGAUUUGAGGAGUUGGAAAUGGUUUAUUGCUUAUGUUUUUCUUAGGUGUGUACUUUGGUUAUUUCCGAGCUUUUCACGACUUUUGAUACCUAAUAAAGAAUAUGGAAACCCCAACUUCAAUUUUAUGAAUUGAUUUUGGUGCCUAAAAUGAAAUCUAGCAUAGUGAAAUCUUGCAUAAUGAAAUUAUGACAAAUUUCCCUUCAUCUUUAUAUUUUCAUUUAAUUCAAUUGGUAUGCAAUUUAGGGUUAUUCAAUUCAUGAGUGAUCAAAUUAUGUUUUUAAUUCCUUCUUUUGAUUUACAGUUCAACAUUGUCGUACAAAAUGAAAAAGGCGCCAGUAACAGAGUUAUGGAUUUGGAUGCCUUUAGUGGAAUAAAACUGAAUUUUUUAACUUUGUAUAGUUGUAAACAUAAAAUACUCCAUGAGGUAGACUCAUAGCUUUUGAAAACAAUCCUUGAGGAUGGCAUAACAACAUCUCCAACUUUUGUCAUGUAAUGUAUGAAUGUAAAUAGCACUUCGUAAACAUAUGGAUGUAAUAUAUGUAUAUAAACACUCUUUAGCAUGUAUAUUUUUCAAAACUUUCUACAUCUUCAACAAUGUUUCAAUGAUUUCUUGAUGUAAACAAUGAUAAUUUGAAGAACCAUUUAAAGUAUUUUGGUAAUCAUCAUACUUAAGCUUAAAUGUGAUAUAUCCGUUUAUUAUUUUUUAUACAGUGAUAAUACUCAAGUAUAAUUUACAUCAUAUAUCUUUUGAAGUACAUGAAACUAUGAAGAAAAAACCCUAAUUAAUCUGAUUAUGGGGGUUUUGUUUUAUAUCAAAAUAUUGCAGCAGAAGUCACACUUUGAAGAGUUCACGCUGCAUAGAAAGACGAUGAAAUGCUAUCUGUUGAGUCCAUCAUUGAUCCAUUGGAGACAGAGCUGAAGCUUGAUGCAGGUGGUAUACUUUUGUUAUGCAAUAUGAUCCCUUUAAUUUUAUUUUAAGACAUAUAGGGUUGAAAAAAAUUUAUGUAGUAUUUUUGUAUCAGUUUUGAGUGUCUAUUUUGGCUUCCAUAUUUGGUCUAUACAUGUGAGGUAUAGAGUGUUCAAUAUGAAUUUGGUUUCUAUAUUGUAAAUGGAUCUAUUUUUUUUUUAGGUAACCAAGUUGCAGGAUGAAAACCGAACACUUGAUCUGCAGGUAAACCUUCAAUUUCCAUAUGAAGUUUGCAUUUUCGUUGUUUCUGGAAUUUGAGUUUUUGCAGGAUGAAAACAGAACACUUGAUUGGUUAUUUCCGAGCUUUUCAUGACUUUCGAUACCCAAUAGAGAAUAUGGAAACCCCAACUUUAAUUUUAUGAAUUGGUUUUGGUGCCUAAAAUGAAAUCUAGCACAGUGAAAUCUUGCAUAAUGAAAUUAUGACAAAGUUCCCUUCAUCUUUAAAUUUUCAUUUAGUUCAAUUCGUAUGCAGUUUAGGGUUAUUCAAUUCAUGAGUGAUCAAAUUAGGUUUUUAAUUCCUUCUUUUGAUUUUCAGUUCAGCAUUGUCGUAUUUUGGAUGCCUUUAGUGGAAUAAAACUGAAUUUUUUUAACUUUGUAUAGUUGUAAACAUAAAAUACUCCAUGAGAUAGACUCAUAGCUUUUGAAAACAAUCUUUGAGGAUGGCAUAACAACAUCUCCAACUUUUGUCAUGUAAUGUAUGAAUGUAAAUAACACUUUGUAAACAUAUGGAUGUAAUAUAUGUAUAUAAACACCACUCUUUAGCAUAUAUAUUUUUCAAAACUUUCUACAUCUUCAACAAUGUUUCAAACCCCGCAGCAACGGGCGGGUACACUUGCUAGUAUACAUCUAAAAUUAUAAGACUAAAUCCUUUAGUUCUUGGAUUCAUCUAAGAACUACUUAUUCAAGCAGAUGCUAUGCUUGCACUACUAGAAUUUAUGGCUUGCCCUGUCAACUAUUGCGCGACAGAAGAUUUCGUCGGUUUCACCUUUUUUAACCGACAAAAUAUAAGUUUAGUAAGGCAAAAUCAGUCAACAAACUUGGUUUACUGAAUAGAUUUACAGGAUGUUUAGAGUUCGUAGGUUAAGACAUCAGUCGUUGGGCAAACAUUUGGAGCGAAGAUGUGAGUGUUUUAACUGACGAAUAAGCUGGUCGUCAUGUAGAUCUUCUUUCCCGACUGACGGUUCAACGGGUAGCUCUUUGGAUAACAAAUCAUCUUCAAGGGGAACAGGUUGCCCCUCAGAUGAAUGGUUAGAGGCAAUUGUGAGACUAUAAUUUUCUAGGGCCGGAAAAUCUGUAACCAUCCACCAAAUACCCCUUCUUCCCUUUCUAUUUCUCUCUCAGUAAUUUCCCCUGACCUAAUCACACAAUCCAACCAACUCUUUUUAAGCCUCCCUCAUUGAUUCCAUGGAUUUCAUGGACUUAUCCCACCCUCUCUCCUUCCCUCUAUAUAUAGCAAGUCCCCUUGCCUCAGUGUCCCUGGCAACAGAAUUUAUGGUGUGUCUUCGUUCUUUCAAUUAUUUGAAAGCUUUCCUGCCCUGCAGUCUUGUACAAAGGCGUAUGGUGUUUCAUCAGUUCCAUUUGGUGGUUGGGUGGGAAAUGAAAUUAAAACAUUGAUUUCAAAUGGUCUAAACCAAAUUGAAUCAAAUGUGAAGCAAAGGGCAAAAGGUGUAGAUUGAAGAACAAUGGCACCAAGAGCGAAAUUGAACUUGUUGACAGGAGGAAACCAAGUAACGAUAACGCGUCUAAAUCUUAUUUCGAAUCCAUUCAGCUUAUGAUGUUUUUAAUGAUGAUGAUCUGUAUACUUUGCUACAUGCUGUGAUUUUUUCGCUUUCAUGUAAUUAACGGCUUAUAUUUAUGGUAAAGAUAUUGAUUAAUUUUGAGAAAUGACAGUCUAAUUUUUGCAACUGUCUUUUGCAGGCAAAACAAAGACGUUUGCAAGGGUGAGUUUUGUAGGACCGGUGUUUAGCUUUGUUUCAUGUCCAAAGGACACUUGAGAAUAAAUGUUUACUCAUGGAUAAUAUCUAUCUAUUUGCAUGAGCAACCCUGGGUUCAUUUGUUCUGUUACUGCUGGUCAUUGCGGCAUAUCACGCCUACAGCACUGACAAAGUAAAAAGAAAAUCGAAUGAAAUUUGGUAAGAUUUUAGCGGACUACAAAGAUCUUAAGCCAAUCAUAUAUUCCCAUGCAGAUAUUAAGAGGUUUACAAAUCAAUUCAAGUACAAGUUGGGCCAAGGAGCAUACAUAACUGUUUUUAAAGGAAAGCUUUUUUCUGAAUGCUUUGUUGCCAUGAAAGUACUUAACAUUUCCAAGGGUGACGGGGAAGAGCUUGUAAAUGAAGUGGGGAACAAUGGGCCAUAUUCACCAUGUCAAUGUGGUUCACUUGGUUGGUUUUUGUGCUGAUGGAUUUAGAUGAGCUCUGGUUUAUGAGUUCUUUCCCUUUGGUUCACUUCAGGAUUAUAUGUCAUCAGUAGAUAGAUUUCUUUCCUUGGUUGGCAUAAGUUGCAAGAUAUUGCUAUCAACAUAGCCAAAGGAACCAGGGAUGUGAUCUACAAAUCCUCCAUUUCGAUAUCAAACCCCAUAAUGCUUUGCUCGACCAAAAAAUCACGCCAAAAAUCUCUGAUUUUGGUCUGGCCAAGUUAUGUUCCAAGGAUCAAUCAGUGUGACUAAAGCAAGGGGGACCAUGUGACUAAAGCACCUGAAGUGUUUUCCAGGAAUUUCGGAAAUGUGUCUUACAAGGUAGAUGUCUUGAAUGUUGCUGCUUGAAAUGGUAGGAGAAAAGAAGAAUAUUGGUUCAACCAGAGGACACGACAAAUGAAAUCUACUAUCCAAAAUGGAUUUAUAAUCUUCUAGAGGAAGGAAUGACCAACAGAUCCAUAUUGAGGAAGAAUGUUAUGGUAAGAUUCCAAAGCAACUUGCAAGUUUAGGGCUCUGGUGCAGCCAGUGGCACUUGGUGGAUCGGCGGUCCAUGAAAACGGUGGUUCGGAUGUUAGGAGGAUGAGAAAACUUGAUGAUGCAAGCAACCCUAAAAGCCUCAUACAAUUAAAAGUAAUUGCUGAAUUAGAGUAACAUAUGUAUAUGUAUACGCACCAACACAAGUCGUUCUUAGAUGAAUCCAAGCCAAACAAUUACAAACAACAGUUAUUCACUAAAUCACUUUAAGGCAAGAAUUUAAUUAAUAAUACAUUACUGCACUUUCUUAACCAUUUGACUAUCACCUAGCUGACAAUGAACACGUUAGCUCCGCGUUAGAACAUCUUGGGUUCACUUCAUUGUCUUGAAUAUCACCCACUGUCACAGGCGUCUCUAGGGGGCAUAGAGAAGGCCUGAGAGGCAUUUGCAGACAUUCAACAUCUCCUCCAAGCAUUUUGACAACUUUGGACAUCGAAGGGCGAUCACUUGGUUUCAUUUGAAUACACCACAAGGCGGUUAUAACCAUCUUUCUUAUUACUUUCUUUUCCUCCUCUGUAACAUUGUCCAUUUCCAAGUCAUUUCCCACAAUAUACUGAUCGUAUACCCAUAUUGGGAAGUAGAUUUGGCUUGAAUGCUCUACCGUUGGAUUCAAAUUCUUCCUUCUGCUUGCCAUCUCCAUCAACAACAUUCCAAAACUAUAGACAUCUGACUUGUAUGAGACACCUCCAAUAUUUUUGUAGAACAACUCAGGAGCAAUGUAUCCCAGUGUACCCCGUGCUGCCGUCAAAGAGACAAUGCUAUUAUCUACAGGAUACAAUUUUGCAAGCCCAAAGUCAGAAACCUUUGCUUUAAAGUUCUCAUCAAGAAGGAUGUUAUGAGGCUUGAUGUCGAAAUGUAGAAUUUGCAUUUCGCAACCUUGGUGUAGAUAUUCGAUCCCUUGAGCCACUCCAAGAGAAAUCUCGUACAUGUUCUUGAUAGUUAAGGGAACACUUCCUUCUUUGGAAUAAAUGUAUUUAUCAAGAGAACCAUUAGGCAUGAAGUCAUAUACUAGAGCUCGUUUUGAUCCCUCAACACAGUAUCCAACAAGUUGCACCACAUUGGCAUGGUGAAUCCUUCCGAUUGUAGCUAUUUCGCUAAUGAAAUCUUGGCCAUCAGCUUUGGGCUUGCCCAAAACUUUAACUGCUACAAAUCGACCACUGCGUAGCUUUCCCUUAAAUACAGAGCCAAAGCCACCUUCGCCCAACUUGUCCUUAAACGUGCGAGUCAUUUUCUUGACGUCCGAGUAAGAGUACCUUAUAGGCAUGAAGUUGUUAUUGCAUUGCAGAAAAUCUUCUAUUGUGUUAUACAUUGAUAAAUGUCUUCUGCGCCAUGUGUAGAUUAGAAAUGCAGUCACAACUGGAACUCCAAAAACAAAUCUGGCUAGGAAAAAUAACCCUGCAUGCAUGGACAUUAAUAUGUUAGAUCCACUGCGUACUACUUUUUCUUCCCUUUCUUUCCAAAUUACUUUGUCUUUGAUGUAAUUAAAGAGAGAGAAUGAGAAAUCUACAUAUGUUGAUAAUACAAUCUCAUCUUAGUCCUUACCGAUGCAUAUGAGUAUAAACCAUCCACGUACUGCAACAAAAUCAAUCGACUAUGAGUUUGAAAAGUGCAUAAAGUGAAAAAUAAAUAAUAAAUAAAAUCAAAGGGUGCCUUUAUUGACACCCAAAUUUUAGUUAGUUUUACUCAACUAAAAAAUUUUUGUCAUCAAACUUUUUAAUUUGCCGUUGAAAUUGAGUUCACCCAACCCACAAAGCAGCAACUACCACUCACCAAAAAAACCAACAACACACACCCACCACUCACCAAUAGAAAGAGAAUGAACACACAGACCCACAAAGAGCUGGCAUCGACGCUGUCGAUGAGGGAGGGACCAGAGGAUGGUGUAGUUUUGUCUAGCGCGCGGUAGUGGUUUUGUCUGUUCAUUUUCUCUUUCUUUUGGUAGGUGGAGGCUGGUGUGGAUUUGGGCGAACUUAAAAAUGAGGGGAAACUAUGAAGUUUGACAAAAUGUUUUAGUUAGGGGAACUUAACUAAAAUUUGGGUGCCGAUAAAGAUACCCAAUAUCAAAAAUACUUGAGCGUAUAGACUAAUUAAAUGAAGUUGAUCAAGUUUGUCUCGAUCGAAAACUUGUAAAUAAAACAAAAAGAGGACCCCUUACCGAUUUGUUGCCAUAUAUAUUGAAAGAAACCUACAAAAACAAAGAAAGAACAAGACUACAUGCAUUAGCAUAACAAGAGUGAGGUGUAUAAGCCGUUAGAAAAUAAAUUUAAAAUUCUAGUGCUGUCAAUACAUUGAUAAUAUAUAUAUAUAUAUAUAUAUAUAUGUAUUAUUUUUUCUGAAAAUUUAACUUUUUCCCUCCAAACUCAUUUUUCUAGUCUCUAGCCCAUCAUAUAAUAUUUAUCCGAAUAAAACCAAAUGAUUAGGAUCCAACUAAGAAACUUACCAAAUUAAGUUUGUGUGUCCAUUUUUAUAUUUUUUGGAUCCCUAAUAUACCCCAUCUAAGUCAGUAUGGAAAGUUCUUGUAAUUUUGCUUUAAGUGAUCACGUGCAUUGAAUUUGGCAAUGUCUUGUAGCCAUGAAAUAUGGUUGUAGAUGGAGGAAUUAAUUUGGAAUUUUUUUUAAUUUCAACAACAAAUUUAGUGUUAUUUUCAACAAUAUCUAUUGUUUAAUUUUAUGAAAAUAAUUUACCUAAUAUGAAAAUUAAUUUUAUGAAAACAAUAUCUAUUGUUUUAUUUUAUACCUACAGGAUAAUUACAUGAAAAUAGUUUACCUACUAUGAAAAUUAAUUUUUUGAAAGCAAUAUCUAUUGUUUAAUUUUAUGAAGAUAAUUUACCUACUAUAAUUACAUGAAAAUAGUUUACCUACUAUGAAAAUUAAUUUUUUGAAAGCAAUAUCUAUUGUUUAAUUUUAUGAAGAUAAUUUACCUACUAUAAUUACAUGAAAAAAUUUACCUACUAUGAAAAUUAAUUUUUUGAAAACAAUAUUAUUGUUUAAUUUUAUGAAAAUAAUUUACCUACUGUAUAAUUACAUAAAAAUUAAUGUGCCUACUUUUUAAAUUUGUAACAAAAUUAAUUUACCUACUUUUUAUGGUAUUAGUAUACAUAAAUGUAGAAUAUAUGUCCGUAUAUAUUUGAUCUAAUUAGGUUUUGGAUUGGAGGAGUUGACACAAAAUUAUAAAUAUGUUAAACAAAUUUAUCAAUUCUAAAGUUGGAGGGGAAUUGGUCUGUACAUUGCUACAGUAAACAAAUGCUACUCAAUUUCACGUUAUUUACAACAAAGCUAUCAGAUUUGGGUUGGGUUGGAGGGUAAUUUGUUAAAAGUUAGGAGGGUAAUUUGUUAAAAGUUAGGAGGGUAAUUUUGUGCAUAGGGUUUAGGUGCCCUCCUAUACAUGACCCUUGAUUUUACUUUAUUUACACCACUGCCAUCAUAUAUGUGGCUGAAUUGGGGGGGGUAUUAUUAAAAGUUAAGAGGGUAGUUUUGUUCAAGGAAGAAAAUAUCGGUAAUAUCGGAAAUAUCGGUAGUCCGAAAACACGGAAAUAUCGAUGGAAAUAUCGGGAUAAUAUCGAUAUCGAUAAAAAUUACAUGGAAACCACGGAAAUUGUAAGAAAAACUUGGAAAUUUUUAUUGAAAUUUUGCAGGAUGUUUAUUUAGUCAAUUAUCUAUUAGUUUAUCACAAAAAAUUGGAAGGAAAUGCAUUGCAUGAUGGAUUUAACUUAUUUAAGUUGAUUAUAUAGCGAGCUGACAAACAUUGUGAGUGUAGAAAAUAUGUAGUAAUUAAUGAAAGAAGUUUAAACUUUAUAUAUAAUGACUUAGUACAAUAUUUUACACUUUAUACAUUGCAUGGUAAGAUACAUGAGUUACACAAACAACGGGAAAUUAAUGAGAAAACCCUUCCCAAAACGUCAGCACCCGCUUUUUUAAAUAACUUAUAUAAUGAACCUGUCUGGAUCACUUGUUCUAAUAUAUAAACACAAAACAAUACUAUUUGUAUCACAUUUUCUGACAAUCUCAUUGACCGCUUUUAAUUAAUAAAUUGGUCUCAAGUCUAGUUUCCUAAGAAUUUGUUUGUUUGGGCUCAUCUUUGUUGUAAUAACUUAAUUGGGCUUAGAGUUUUAUUGGGUUUACCUAGCCCGUGCGAGCUCAUCUUUGUAUUUAUUUGACGGAUACCCCGAUUUGUUAUGGCAAAAGCAACCACGCAGUCGACGCCCGAAAACCCUUCCCUCUCUCAUUUGGUCUUCGUCUGUUUUCCCGCAUCAUCCAACAGGUGGACUCGGCGCUUCUCUCUCUCUCCCCCCUCUUCGCCCUCUCCACCAAACCCUAACCCCCCAAAUUCCAACCUUCCACCAUUCAAUCCAACCAAAAUCCCCCCAAUCGGACCCCUACCCGACCCAGUUCAUCUCCGAUUGCCUCCAAUUCCACUCCGCCCCGACCCAUUUCUUCAAAAUUCCAAUUCCACUCCGCCCCGACCCAGUUCCUUCAAUUUCUCAGGUAGGUAAGCUUCGGGUUUUUCUUUUUAUAUUCUAGAUCGAAGCGUAGAUGUGAAAUUGAAGUUAUAUGUCGUGUUUUUGCAAGGUUUUUGGGAUGAAAUCGACUCGGGAAUAAGUACACCCAUCUCCGGCGAGGCUAGGGGGUAGUUUUACAGUCGACCGGAGCUGUAGAAGCUCCAGCGUUCGUCUCCGACGUGCACAGUUCCGAAAUUUCGCGAUAAUAUCGAUAAUAUCGCGAUAUUAUCGAUAUUAUCGCGAUAUUAUAACGAAAACACCUUGGAUACCAUUUAAAAUAUCGGUUCGGGAAAAAACCGAUAAUAUCGGCGAUAUAUCGCCGAUAUUAUCGAUAUUUUCUUCUAUGGUUUUGUUCAAGGGGUGGGGGCGACAUUCGCAGACAGGGCGAUUGGAGCCAUGCCCAUGCCCAUUGCACAGAGAGAAAGGGAGUGAUGGGGGAAAUUACAGACAGAAAGGGAAGGGAUGGGAGGAUUUGAUGGAUGGUCACAGAGAAAGAUUCGGUGAGGGAUGUGAGGGGAGAUUACAGAGAGAUAAAUUAAAGGGGGAUCGGGGGAUUUGAGGGAUGGUCAGAGAGAGAAAUAGUGACGAAGGGAGGGAUGGGGGGGCUAAUUUUCGGUUCCUCCUUCAGAUUUGUUCCGUAAAACUUGUUGGGUACAAUUCAAUUUCCUCCCCCUUUCCCCUGAACGAAAAAUUCGAAACCUACAAUUCAAUUUCCUCCCUUCUUGGCUUUCCGCUUUACUCAUCUCCCGGUGGUUCUUUCUCUCCAUACGAUUCGAUUUCGGUGAGUUCUUCGUUGCCCUCAUGAUUUCCCAGUUUGAUUUUUUGAGCGUCCUUAGUCGUCGUUUUUAUCUGGGUUUAUUGCAUGGUUGCUUUUAGUUUAUGGAUUUUUAUUUUUUCCGCGGUUUGAUGAAUCGUGGUUAAUAAUUUCACACCAUGGGAUUUUUGCACUUCUGAUGGAAUUGAGCGCAGGGAUUCGGGGUGGGGUUUUACUGAUAGUUUGUCUUCAUUCAAAUGAAUGGUUAAAAUUUCUGAAGUGAGUGUGCAGGUGGGCCCGUUCACUAACUAAGCUUUCAAGGGAACCCAUCAACGGUUUGCUUGCUGGGGAACUCGGAGACUACUAUGAUUUAGUUAUCAUUUAUUUUUUUACUUAAUUUUAUCCAUAUAUAAUAUGUGGGUAAAUUUACACUAAACAAUUGUGAUAAGCCAAUAUGCCAAACGACUUUGAAAGCAUUGAUUUUGUGUAUAGUUUGCAUUUUUGCAUUGUGAAUGUUGAAUUUUGUGUUUAAUUUGGAUUUUUGUGUUUGAAUUUGUAGCAUGAUCUUCCGCUGCAGCAUCCAAAUUUUGUAUUUGUAAAUUGUCAAAGAAAAACGAACAACAACAACAACAACAACAAAGCCUUUUCCCACUAAAUGGGGUCGGCUAUAUGAAUCCUAGAACGCCAUUGCGCUCGGUUUUGUGUCAUGUCCUCCGUUAGAUCCAAGUACUCAAGUCUUUUCUUAGGGUCUCUUCCAAAGUUUUCCUAGGUCUUCCUCUACCCCUUCGGCCCUGAACCUCUGUCCCGUAGUCACAUUUUCGAACUGGAGCGUCAGUAGGCCUUCUUUGCACAUGUCCAAACCACCGGAAUCGAUUUUCUCUCAUAUUUCCUUCAAUUUUGGCUACUCCUACUUUACCUCGGAUAUCCUCAUUCCUAAUCUUAUCCUUUAUCGUGUGCCCAUACAUCCCACGAAGCAUCCUCAUCUCCGUUACACCCAUUUUGUGUACAUGUUGAUGCUUCACCACCCAACAUUUUGUGCCAUACAACAUUGCUGGCCUUAUUGCCGUCCUAUAAUAUUUUCCCUUGAGCUUCAGUGGCCUACGACGGUCACACAACACCCCGGAUGCACCCUUACACUUCAUCCAUCCAGCUUGUAUUCUAUGGUUGAGAUCUCCAUCUAAUUUUCCGUUCUCUUGCACGAUAGAUCCUAGGUAGCGAAAACGGUCACUUUUUGUGAUCUUCGCUAGAUUGCUCCGGUCAUUAGUGUGGAUAAGUAUAUAAAUGGAUAGAAUUAGGAAAGCAAACACAAGAUGUACGUGGUUCACCCAGAUUGGCUACGUCCACGGAAUAGAGGAGUUCUCAUUAAUUAUGAAGGGUUUACACAAGUACAUAGGUUCAAGCUCUCCUUUAGUGAGUACAAGUGAAUGAUUUAGUACAAAUGACAUUAGGAAAUAUUGUGGGAGAAUGAUCUCGUAACCACGAAACUUCUAAGUACCGGAGUGUGGUAUCGUUUUGACUUGCCUUAUCUGUCUCAUAGGUAGAUGUGGCAUCUUCUCUGGAAGUACUCUUCCUCCAUCCAGGGGUGGUAUCUGUAACUGGUGGAGAUGCACAAGGUAAUGUAUCAAUUUCACUUGAAGCUUACUUGUAGUUUCAGGCUUGGUCAAGCGCGAUACAAACCAUGUAGUAGAAGUCCCCCAAGUCGCCGGGCUAAGGGAUCUGCUGAAAGAGGUGACAGACAAGGUAAGCAAUCAGAGCUCCAGCUGAUUGUUCACAUUCUCCCUAUCUUGCAGGCAGCAUGAAGGAUAAAGAGAAGAAAAAUGAGAAGAGAUGAUAUGGGAUACUUUUGCUUUUAAAGAAGUAACUUUCCACAGGCUUAUUCUUGAACCGGGCUGUAGGGUUUUCUGGUUUCCUCUAGAGUAUAAGGCCGAUUGAAGAAUUUGAGGGUCAAAACAAGUCCAUCAAAUCUAGAGUACGUUCGACCCUGCUGAUAUGGGAUACUUUUGCUUUUGACAGAGUAGUGGAUGUAUCGGCACGUGUGCUGUUACGCUUGUCUCCACAUGCUUCCUUGUAUCCUUCUCACUUGCCCUAUCUGUUCCUCAGGCAAAUGCGGUAUCUUCCCUGGAAGCAUAAGAUGUUGAAGAUGAGUACUCCAGAGCAAUGACAGGUAAGUAAUCAGGUAAGGGGUUCCAGGCAGUCAGUUCCUGGCUCGAAGCUUGAUUCCAAGUGCUGACUGAUUGCUCUCGUUCUCCUUGUCUUGUAGGUAAGAACAAGGCCAAAGGAAAAGACAGGGAAAAAGCAUGAUAUGGGAUACUAUUGCUUUUAACCCUGAUGAUAUGAGAUAGUCUUGCUCUAGUAUAGCUUGUUUACAGAGGUAUUAUCGGGGGGAAAGAAAGCUGAAUAUUUCGAAAGGCUUCGUUGGGAGUGCCCUAUUAGAUAAGAGAAAGGGUUGAGUAUUUUUGCAGGUCUGCCUGUCCGUUAGGGAUGGAGGUCGACAUAUAUAGGAGUCUCCCUAACAUAAAGUAAUAAUGUUAUUCCUUUACCCUGCUUGGUCAUAACACGGUAGUGGGAGCUACCAGCCUCACAUGUUUUAACUCUGUCAGAGCACUUUGAAAAGGUGGUCUGUGGUAUCUGGAAAGAUGAUGUUGCGUGUGAAGAUUACAGACAAGCUUUAUCCAAGGAGAUCCAGCUCUUGAAGUUGGGAAAGUGGUGCCUCUUCGGUUUUCGAACAAGCAAUCCUGUCGGGGAUCUGGCUCUCGAGAUUCGGAGAACGAUGCCUCUUCAAUUUUUGAGAAAGCGAUCAUGCUGGGGGUCUGGCUCUCGAGAUUCGGAGAGCAGUGUCUCUUCGAUUUUUGAGAAAGUAAUCAUGUUGGGAGUCUGGCUCUCGAGAUUCGGAGGGCGGUGCCUCUUCGAUUUUGGAGCAAGCAAUCUUGUUAUGAGUGUUUUCUCGAAUGUGAGUAAAGGUUGGGCAUGUUUGCUAGUCUACCUUGCCACGAAGCACAGAGGUUGACACACAGGGACUUUCCAAUUAUCCAGCAGUGGUACUGUUCAUUUACCCUCUCUUCGAUUUUUGAGAAAGUAAUCAUGUUGGGAGUCUGGCUCUCGAGAUUCGGAGGGCGGUGCCUCUUCGAUUUUGGAGCAAGCAAUCUUGUUGGGAAUGUUUUCUCGAAUGUGAGUAAAGGUUGGGCAUGUUUGCUAGUCUACCUUGCCACGAAGCAUAAAGGUUGACACACAGGGACUUUCCAUUUAUCCAGCAGUGGUACUGUUCCUUUACCCUCUUUUCGAUUUUUGAGAAAGUAAUCAUGUUGGGAGUCUGGCUCUCGAGAUUCGGAGGGCGGUGCCUCUUCGAUUUUGGAGCAAGCAAUCCUGUUGGGAGUGUUUUCUUGAAUGUGAGUAAAGGUUGGCAUGUUUGCUAGUCUACCUUGCCACGAAGCACAGAGGUUGACACACCGGGACUUUCCAAUUAUCCAGCAGUGGUACUGUUCCUUUACCCUUGUGGGUAAUAAUAUGGUAGCUAGACCUUCAAAAUUUAUAUGUCUAAACUUUGUUAGUGUUGUUUCUUUGCAAUUCUUUUACCCUUCUUGGUCAGAGCGAUGUAGCGGGAGCUGCAAGCUUCACGUGUCUCAACUGUCAGAGAACUUUGGCAAAGUUAUCUGUGGUACCCAUGAGUUACUGUUGCGUAUGGGAAGUGGGUGAUUGAACAAUACGAUUCAUGUGCUUUCUACUUCGCCAGAAAUCUUCGACAGAAUGCCCAUAAUUUCCGCAAAGCUGAGUGUGCGUGUGACAGGUGCUGACAAGGCUGGAAAAGUAGGUGCCUCUUCGAUUUCUGAGAUCGGCCUUUGUGGUUUCUUAGCAGCCCAGCUUUUGAGAAAGCAAGCCUCUUCGAUUUCUGAUAUCGGCCUUCGUGGUCUUUGAGCAGCCCAGCUUUUGAGAAAGCAAACGCCUCUUCGAUUUCUGAGAUCGACCCUCGUGGUCUCUGAGCAGCCCAGCUUUUGAGAAAGUAAACGCCGCUUCGAUUUCUGAGCAGGCGCCUCUUCGAUUUCUGAAGCUUCGUCGAGUGCAGAUUUUUAUAGGGGCUGACAUUAAGUUCCAAAGCACACUUGAAUAUCCACCAGUAGAAGCUCCAUUCUUGUACUUCUAAGAUCUUGAUUUGUCCGACCUCUUCUCUCUUCAACACCUUUGAAAAUGUCUGGCCCCUCCGACCGUCGUUUUGACUUGAACCUUGUUGAAGAGGCAGCCCCGCCUUCUCCAGACAACAUAUGGCGCCCAUCAUUCGUCUCCCCUACUGGUCCUCUUACCGUUGGGGAUUCCGUGAUGAAGAAUGAUAUGACCGCUGCGGUAGUGGCCAGAAACCUUCUCACUCCCAAAGAUAACAGACUACUUUCCAAACGGUCUGAUGAGUUGGCUGUUAAGGAUUCUUUGGCUCUCAGUGUUCAGUGUGCAGGUUCUGUGUCUAAUAUGGCCCAACGCCUAUUUGCUCGAACCCGCCAAGUUGAAUCAUUGGCGGCUGAAGUGAUGAGUCUCAAACAGGAGAUUAGAGGGCUCAAGCAUGAGAAUAAACAGUUGCACCGGCUCGCACAUGACUAUGCUACAAACAUGAAGAGGAAGCUUGACCAGAUGAAGGAAUCUGAUGGUCAGGUUUUACUUGAUCAUCAGAGAUUUGUGGGUGGGUUUGUUCCAAAGGCAUUUAUUGCCUUCGUCUUCUGGGGCUGUACCGCGUAAUGAAGCUCCAAAUGAUCAACCUCUGAUGCCUCCUCCUUCUAGGGUUUUGUCCAGUACUGAGGCUCCGAAUGAUCCCCCUCUGGUGCCUUCUCUUUCUGGGGCUCUACCGACUACUGAGACUUCUCCUAAGCAACCUUUGUGAAGGCUCCCUCUUGUUUGUUUAUUUUGACUCAAGUAUAUGUACAUAUUUGUAACUUAUCGGGGAUAUCAAUAAAUAAGCUUUCCUUUAUUUCAACGUAUUGUGUUAAAUACACCAAAGCCUUCUUCGCUAAGUUCUUUGAAUUUUCUUUUGUUGAAGCUUGUAUGUUGAAGCUUUGUGAGUGAAGCAUGCAGGUUGAGGUAGUGUUCCCUUAAUUUCCCGAGUGAGGAAAACUUCUCGGUUGGAGACUUGGAAAAUCCAAGUCACUGAGUGGGAUCGGCUAUAUGAAUCUUAGAACGCCAUUGUGUUUUGUCCUGUGUCAUAUCCUCCGUUAGAUCCAAGUACUCUAAGUCUUUUCUUAGGGUAUCUUCCAAAGUUUUCCUAGGUCUUCCUCUACCCCUUCGGCCCUGAACCUCUGUCAUAUAGUCGCAUCUUCUAAUCGGAGCGUCAGUAGGCCUUCUUUGCACAUGUCCAAACCACCGUAACCGAUUUUCUCUCAUCUUUCCUUCAAUUUCGGCUACUCCUACUUUACACCGGAUAUCCUCAUUCCUAAUCUUAUCCUUUCUCGUGUGCCCACACAUCCAACGAAGCAUCCUUAUCUCCGCUACACCCAUUUUGUGUACGUGUUGAUGCUUCACCGCCCAACAUUCUGUGCCAUACAGCAUCGCCGGCCUUAUUGCCGUCCUAUAAAUUUUUCCCUUGAGCUUCAGUGGCAUACGGCGGUCACACAACACGCCGGAUGCACUCUUCCACUUCAUCCAUCCAGCUUGUAUUCUAUGGUUGAGAUCUCCAUCUAAUUCUCCGUUCUUUUGCAAGAUAGAUCCUAAGUAACGAAAACGGUCGCUCUUUGGUAUUUCUUGAUCUCCGAUCCUCACCCCUAACUCGUUUUGGCCUCCAUUUGCACUGAACUUGCACUCCAUAUAUUCUGUCUUUGAUCGGCUUAGGCGAAGACCUUUAGAUUCCAACACUUCUCUCCAAUGGUUAAGCUUUGCAUUUACCCCUUCCUGAGUUUCAUCUAUCAACACUAUAUCGUCUGCGAAAAGCAUACACCAAGGAAUAUCAUCUUGAAUAUGUCCUGUUAACUCAUCCAUUACCAACGUAAAAAGGUAAGGACUUAAGGAUGAGUCUUGAUGUAAUCCUACAGUUAUGGGAAAGCUUUCGGUUUGUCCUUCAUGAGUUCUUACGGCAGUAUUUGCUCCUUCAUACAUAUCCUGUAUAGCUUGGAUAUAUAUGCUACUCGUACUCCUUUCUCUCUCUAAAAUCCUCCAAAAGAUGUCUCUCUUGGGUCUCCCCCUAUCAUACGCUUUUUCCAAAUCUAUAAAGACCAUGUGUAAAUCUGUUUUCCCAUCUCUAUAUCUUUCCAUCAAUCUUCGUAAGAGAUAGAUUGCCUCCAUGGUUGAGCGCCCUGGCAUGAACCCGAAUUGGUUGUCCGAAACCCGUGUCUCUUGCCUCAAUCUAUGCUCAAUGACUCUCUCCCAAAGCUUCAUUGUAUGACUCAUUAGCUUAAUACCCCUAUAGUUCAUGCAAUUUUGUACAUCGCCCUUAUUCUUGUAGAUAGGCACCAAAGUGCUCAUUCGCCACUCAUUUGGCAUCUUCUUCAUUUUCAAAAUCCUAUUGAAAAGGUCAAUGAGCCAUGUUAUACCUGUCUCUCCCAAAACUUUCCACACUUCGAUUGGUAUAUCGUCUAGGCCUACUGUUUUUCUAUGCUUCAUCUUCUUCAAAGCUACAACCACUUCUUCCUUCCGGAUUCUACGAUAAAAAGAGUAGUUUCGACAUUCUUCUGAGUUACUCAACUCCCCUAAAGAAGCACUCAUUUCAUGUCCUUCAUUGAAAAGAUUAUGAAAAUAACCUUUCCAUCUGUCUUUAACCGCGUUCUCUGUAGCAAGAACAUUUCCAUCCUCAUCCUUGAUGCACCUCACUUGGUUUAGGUCCCUUGUCUUCUUUUCCCUUGCUCUAGCUAGUUUAUAGAUAUCCAACUCUCCUUCUUUGGUAUCUAGUCGCUUAUACAUAUCGUCAUAAGCCGCUAACUUAGCUUCUCUCACAGCUUUCUUCGCCUCUUGCUUCAUUUUUCUAUACCUUUCACCAUUUUCAUCGGUCUUAUCCUUGUAUAAGGCUUUACAACAUUCCUUCUUAGCCUUCACCUUUGUUUGUACCUCCUCAUUCCACCACCAAGAUUCCUUUUGGUGUGGGGCAAAGCCCUUGGACUCUCCUAAUACCUCUUUUGCUACUUUUCGGAUACAACUAGCCAUGGAAUCCCACAUUUGGUUAGCUUCCCCCUCUCUAUCCCACACACACUGGGUGAUUACUUUCUCUUUGAAAAUGGCUUGUUUUUCUUCUUUUAGAUUCCACCAUCUAGUCCUUGGGCACUUCCAAGUCUUGUUCUUUUUUCUCACUCUUUUAAUAUGUACAUCCAUCACCAACAAGCGAUGUUGAUUAGCCACUCUCUCUCCUGGUAUAACUUUGCAAUCCUUACAAGUUAUACGAUCCCCUUUCCUCAUUAGAAGAAAAUCUAUUUGUGUUUUUGACGACCCACUCUUGUAGGUGAUCACAUGUUCUUCUCCCUUCUUAAAGAAGGUGUUGGCUAAGAAGAGAUCAUAUGCCAUUGCAAAAUCCAAGAUAGCUUCCCCAUCCUCGUUUCUCUCCCCAAAACCAUGGCCACCAUGAAAACCUCCAUAGUUGCCUGUCUCCCUGCCCACGUGUCCAUUUAAAUCUCCUCCUAUAAAUAACUUCUCCGUCUGAGCAAUUCCUUGCACCAAGUCUCCAAGGUCUUCCCAAAAUUUCUCCUUCAAACUCGUAUCCAACCCUACUUGAGGUGCGUACGCACUAAUCACAUUGAUAAGUUCUUGUCCUAUUACAAUCUUGAUUGCCAUGAUUCUAUCUCCUACCCUCUUGACAUCUACAACAUCUUGUGUCAAGGUCUUGUCCACGAUGAUGCCAACACCGUUUCUCGUUCUAUUUGUGCCCGAAUACCAUAGUUUAAACCCUGAGUUUUCUAGAUCCUUUGCCUUACGUCCAACCCACUUAGUUUCUUGUAGGCACAUAAUAUUUAUCCUUCUCCUCACCAUAACUUCUACUACUUCCAUAGAUUUUCCCGUCAAGGUUCCUAUAUUCCACGUUCCUAAACGCAUUUUGCUCUCUUGAACUCUACCCUUCUGUCCUAGCUUCUUCACCCUUCCCCGUCUAAUAGGAUCAAAGUACUUCUUUUGUGUGUACCGUGUAAAGUUGAUAGGAGCAUAUGAGCCUAAACAACUUUGAGUGGAGUCGUUCGAAAAGAAGUUUCUAUAGCCCCCUUGCUCAUUUAACACUGCAUCCGGGUGCCGAUGGAGAUACAGCGACCCUUGCUCACUUAUCACUGUGCUCAGGCCACACAGCGCGCCACUUACGGGUGACGCCCUAGCUUUAGCGCGAUUUCGUUCUGGAUUCAUUUUCAUAAGGAUUCGACGUGAUCAUGGAGUGCCGGCUGUCGACUACCUGACGCCCUCCCCCUCAUCCUUUAUCCGGGCUUGGGACCGGCAAUGUAAGAUAAACUUACACGGCGGAGUUAAAGAAAAACGAAUGAGGAAAUUAUAGGAGAUUGUGUCGGCUUUGGCCAUGAAGGGUAUCAGCAGCUUUUUCCUCCCAUACAGGUGAUUAAUUGUUUUUCAGUCUGUGUUCAGUUUUAUUUAUUGGAUUUGGUUAGCAGCCAGUUUUAUGUAUUGGAUUUUUUAUUUGGAUUUAUAGCACUAAGGGUAUAGGUGAACGGUGAAGCGGUUUGUAUGGGCUCAUGUGUGUUUUAGAUAAUCUCAAGGACUAUGUAGAUACUAUGAUUUGGGGUUGCUUUUUUAAACCAUGAUAAAGCAUUCCAAGUAAUUUUAACAUAGAUAUCAUUUUUUAUGUAAGCAUGAGUAUAUGAAAUGUUAAGACGAUAAUAUAUCAUGUGAUUUAAAAUUCAAAGAGAGACAAUGAACCGUGUUUGAUAUUUUGUUUGUCUUGGUUCGUUUAAAUUUGGGCCUUUUUCAGUUGGAUUCAUGGGUUUUGUUUAAGAUAUCAUUUUUGGUUUAUGAAUGGUUUUAAACAUCCACAACAUCGCGCAGGCACACUUUCACUAGUAUUUUACUAAACUAGUGCACUUGAAUGUCCGUAGCUAAAUAUAUUAUAAUGAAUUAGUGGAACAUAAGAAAAUAUGGAAAAACGUAAGUGUACCAAAAAGUCCGUACCUAAACAUGGUAUACUAAAUUAGUGUAACAUUAUGUCUGUACCUAAAUAUAUUAUACUAAACUAGUAUACCGAAAUAUUCAUACCUAAACAUAUUAUAUUAAACUAGUGUACUGAGAUGUCUGUACCUAAAUACAUUGUAAUAAAUUAAUGGCACAUAAGAAAAUAUGCAAAACAUAGGUGUGCCGAAAAGCCUCUACCAAAAUAUUUUCUUAUAUAAGAUACUUACAAUAAAUUGGUGAUGCAAAAUGUCAACAAAUAAAAGCUAAUUCAUUUGAAUUCAAAUGAGUAUUAAAAUUUAAUUCAUAUCAGCAUAAAAUUAUAAAUAGGAAAAAAAAAUAAAGACAUUGAAUGCAUAUGCUGCCAUUAAAUAGAGUCUAGGAACUAAAAUAAAUUUUUAAUCUUGUGUGAGACAUUUUUCUAAAUUUUAUUUUAUUUAAGGAUUAAAAUCUAGUUUUCUAUUACUUAUAUUUCUGACUACAUAUGGUUAUUAGUUACUUUAGUCGAGAGUUGACGCACCUGGAAUGGUACGUGGAAAACAUGUUAGCACUUGAUUCCCAGUCAAAGCCACACACGAGAGCAUUGUGUAUGUCUUUAUAAGUAAUAAAAACUAAUAACCUGAAAUGCUCUCGUAUUUCUAAAGGCCCGACUCCAAGUUCAAAGCCAUACACGAGAGCAUUGUGUAUGUCUUUAUAAGAGACGUUGCUGUAGUCCUUGACGGAGUAGUCAAAGUGACCCAAAUUCAUCCAAGCCUUCCCCUCUGCACUGCAACCCUCAUCCAAAUCCCAUCCUAUCAUGGCCCCGACCUUGACGUAGCUAUACGUUUUUGGUUGGCUCGAAGAACUUGUAUUAUUCAAGCAUGGAGCAGUGUCCACGUACAGAGAAGAAUUCAACGGAUUCAAACAUUUCAAGUAAUAUAUAGAUGUUGAAUACAGUGAUGAAUAUCGUACGUAUGGAUGAGUAAUGAGCGGAAAAUUUCGAGGCCUGGAAGAGCAAUUGGUGUUCACAAGGCCAGGAUCUAGAAGUCGGAUUGUUGUGUCAGUGUAGUUGAUUGCCUGGACGUAGUAUUUUCCGGAAGGUAGGUAUAGUACUGUAAUGUUGCUCUCACAGGACAGGGUAUACCUUACGUCGCCACAAUAUUUUGGAUCAUGGUUCAGUCGAAAAGGAUAGCUUAUGUUGUGGAUAUGGCAGCAGGAUGAAGUACAGGACUUGGCACUAGUGUCGACCUUAGCGUUACAAGUUUCACUGCAGAAGCCAAGAAGAAGAAAGGCUAAACUUAAGGUGAAGGACCUGCUUCCACUAAUUUCCAUUGGGGAGAGAGAGAGAGAGAGAGAGAGAGAGAGAGGUGUACUAGUCCACACCAAGUAGUUAUAUAAUAUAGGAGGGGUCAAGCACCUUCCGUGAAAUUGCUGUUGAAAUAUCCUAGAGAAAAAUCGUCGUCAAUGGUGUCCUAGAGAAAAGUCGGGCGAUGGUGUUUGACAGUCAGUCAACGGCAAAGAUAUUUCUCUUUCAUUAAGGAAGGAUACUGCGUAAUUACUACGCAUAUAUCUCUGCUUAAUCACACAAAACAAAAAUUUCCAGCUAUAGUAUCAUUUGUGAUUCAUUUAUUAAUAAGAUAUUAUACAGGGAACUGUUAUUAGUACUCUAAAAAUCUCAUUCUACACAAGUUUAUUUUUCUUUUUAAUUAUAGAAAGUUUGGAGUGCAAAAUGAGAUUUUUGGAGUGCCAAUAACAAUUUCCUAUUAUAUAUAGCUCUACUUGGAAGGUGACUAUAUGUCUUCAUCGUGUUAAAUUGUAUAUGGCUCUUGAUGUCGGCUGAAUUGAAUCUAAAUGAAAACCAAGCUGUUGAUCUUACCAGCCCAUAUCACUUAUCUCUUGCUUAUUUAAAUUAUGUGAAGAUGCGUAUGUUGAUUGGUGAUUUUGUUGGAUUCACUCAGUUCAAAUAUAUGUUAUCUGAAUCGUUACAUUUGAGAAUGUGAUUAUGUUCCUACCACCAUUUUGCCUACUUUCUGUGGAAAUUAUUCAUGCCUAUUGUGAAUAAUACAUUCACCUCCUGCAGCGAAGCGCGAGCACAUUUUCUAAUUUAAGUUGAAUCGCAAUGGGUCAUCAAAAAUUACGAACUCGUCAUUUAUACAAGUCAAACAUGAGACCACCUACCUACUAGUUUAGUGGAAUACCACAAGUGACAUGUUGAUACCUUUAAAUCUCAUUUUCCAUAUAAUGGAUUGCAAAAUUAGGAUAUACCUAAACUAAUUUAGUCAGUGCCCGAACAAUUAAGCAGGGCUUUAUUCUUGCUUGAAUGUUUGUUAUAUGUUAAUAGUUUGACAAGGCAAUUAUAUUUCCGACUACAAAAGUUAUUAAUUUGGUCGAGAUUUGACGCACCUGAAAUGGUGUGAGGAAAACAUGUAGACACAUAAUCCGCAGUCCACUGUCCUGGGCAUCUAUCUUCAGGAGGUAUGAAUCCAAGCUCAAAGCCAUACACGAGAGCAUUGUGUAUGUCUUUAUAAGAGACGUUGCUGUAGCUGUAGCUAAAGCCAACGGAGUCGUAAAAGGAAUCCAAGGGCAUCCACUCUACACUGCAACCCUCAUCCAAAUCCCAUCCUAUCAUGGCCCCGACCUUGACGUAGCUAUACGUUUUUGGUUGGCUCGAAGAAGAACUUGUAUUAUUCAAGCAUGGAGCAGCAGUGUCCACGUACAGAGAAGAAUUCAAUGGAUUCAAACAUUUCAAGUAAUAUACAGAUGCAGAUCUUGGAUACCGUGAAUAUCGUACAUAUGGAUGAGUAAUGAGCGGAAAAUUUCGAGGCCUGGAAGAGCAAUUGGUGUUCACAAGGCCAGGAUCUAGAAGUCGGAUUGUUGUGUCAGUGUAGUUAAUUGCCUGAACGUAGUAUUUUCCGGAAGAAGGUAGGUCUAAUACUGUAAUGUUGCUCUCACAGGACAGUGUAUACAUUACAUUGCCGCAGUGCUUCGGAUCAUGGUUCAGUCGAAAAGGAUAGCUUAUGUUGUGGAUAUGGCCGCAGGAUGAAGUACAGGACUUGGCACUAGUGUCGACCUUAGCGUUACAAGUUUCACUGCAGAAGCCAAGAAGAAGAAAGGCUAAACUUAAGGUGAAGGACCUGCUUCCACUAAUUUCCAUUGCAGAGAGAGAGAGAGAGAGAGAGAGAGAGAGAGGUGUACUGGUACUCACCAAGUAGUUGUAUAAUAUAGGAGGGGUCAAGCACUUUCCGUGAAAUUGCAGUUGAAAUAUCCUAGAGAAAAAUCGUCGUCAAUGGUGUCCUAGAGAAAAGUCGGGCGAUGGUGUUUAACACAGUCAGUCAACGGCAAAGUUAUCUCUUUCAUUAAGGGAGGACACUGCGUAAUUACUACGCAUAUAUCUCUGCUUAAUCACACAAAACAAAAAUUUCCAUUUUUUCCCUAAAAAUUAAUUUUCUUUCACCUCCAACCCAUCAUGUAUAUUCUAUAAGAUAAGAAUAAUCCAUUGACUAGCUCCAAUUAAGCAAGUUUCAUAACUUGCUUGAUGACUCUGAUCAUGUGUAAUUUUGGGGAAUUGGAUGCUAUUUUAUCCCUACUUUGUUAGGCUUUUGUAAAUGGUUCUUUCACAUUUUUCAAAUGGUUUACAAUCUCUCUCAUUUUCUCUAUUUAUUUUUAAUCUUGUUUGUAUUUUCAAUCUUUCGUUCUUCCAAUUGCUGGAGCUCUACCAGAUUGGCUUUUCAUUGUUCUGAGUCUAUAUUAGACCCUUUUUCAGGUUUUGAUUUGUUAUGUCUCAUUUUUUUUAUUUACUCGGUUAAUUUGCUUCAAUUCUUUCAAUUCUUUCUUGUUAUUUUGAUGAUUUAUAUUAGUAUUAUAUAAAAUAGGAAGAACUUAUACAUUAAUCCGUUUAUCAAAUAUAUGAAAAAAUAAUUUACCCAACGAAUGUGUUAUGUCGUGUGUAAGAAUGUUUUUCCUUUUGUGUUUUAAUUCUGCACUUAUUUUUAUUUUUUCCACAUAAAUAUAACGAGCCUACAUUAUUUUUUCUAUGAAUUAUUUACCUACUUUAAUUAUUUUAUAUACCUACGUUAUUUAUUCUUGAAUCUUUUCACACAUGGCCAAACUUCUCUUGGAAGUUUAAUUAGAUGAAACAAUAUGAAUCUUGAACAAACCAAAGCAAAGCAAAACGUACUCAACACUUACAGGAAAUCAGUCCAAGAAUGAAAACUUUCUUAUCACUUUCUAUCCAAAAUUUUGGAAUUAUGUGUGUUGCAACGGUUGUCCGAAGGAUUAUUCUUCUUUUAUUAAAUUUCUAAGGAAAAUUAGCAUAUGGGGCGUAAAUGUUGAAUGGAUGAAUUUUCAUUGACUUGGAAAGGGAUUGUGACUUUAACACGCUAUUUUUCUUCAUCUUAUGCACUCAUGUUUAUCAAAAGACAAAUAAAUAUGACUUUACAUAAGGAGAGAGAAAGAGUAUUUUCCUUUGUAAAAAUCAACUAUUCAUUUUCGAAGUGGUAGUCAUUGACACGAUACUUGAUUAGAAGAAAAGUCAUAGUAAUUUGUUUUUAUGGGAACGAGAGUGCAAGUUCUUAAUUGGAAUAUGAGAUGAAGUUUCUACAUAACUAUCUGUGGCAAAGAAAGAAGUCUAAGUUUCUAAGUGGUAAGGGCUCCAAUUGAUGCGCGUUUGUUGAGAAAUGAAGAUGAAGAUGAAUAUUGAUAUUGAUGUGAGUUAGUGAACAAGUUGCUUCGAUCUCCUUUGGCCCUCUAAGAUGAUUAUUGAUUGGUGGACUAAGACGUACCAUACAAUUUUUUAUAACCAGCGAAGAUGAACAGUGUCGUGACAAAAUUUAUCCAAGUAGACCCAAGGGCAAGACUUAGGAACUUCAUAUACAGUGGGAUAAAAUGUUGGGCUAAUUUCCUAUUUUAUCUUAUAGUCAUUAAGUAAAAUGUAUUGCACAUUUCUGGAUGCAUACACAUUAAUGUACAUAAUAUUAGUUGAAUAUCAGAGUACGCAACUUUUACAAACAAAUUAACUGAAUAUAAAACGUUUAUAAAAUUUUAUUAAACGGAAUUGCCAAGAAGGCUACAUGAAUCCAAGAGACCACAUCUUGAUUGACUUGUUAUCUCUCAAUAACAAAGCUCUCUAUUUAUAAUAAACUAACCCUAGUCCCUAAUAAGCAAGGAAAUGAAAACCUAAUUUUAAUGGGCUAAGCCCAAAUCCAAACACUAAAUAAAUAACUAUUUUCCAACACCCCCGUCAAACUUGUGGCGGUACACGUCAUGAGUUUGCCAACAAGCAGAUGUGGAUGCAAGCUCCGUUAGGCGGACACGACAAGACAAGCUUCGUUAGGCGGACACGACAAGACAAGCUCUGUUAGGCAGACACGACAAGACAAGCUCUGUUAGGCGGACACGACAAGACAAGUCUCUAUCCCUCGCACAUCAAUCAAAAGACUCCUUUUUGGUGUGAAAACUGAAAACUUUUAUUCAUUUUAUUUCUUUCAUUUUUCUCAUCGGCUUCAUCUUCUUUCCUUUCCACUUCUUCUUUCUUUUUCUUUCCGUUUUCCUUCUGUACAUUCUCCCUUUUUUCUUGUUUCCUCUUCUUCUGUUUUGCGUUGUAAGUUCCUCUUCUUCGAUGGAUUUCAGAGAGAGGGAGUCACAACAGCUAAGAAGGUGGUGGUGCAUAGAGAGAGGGAGUCAAAGCGGUGGAAUUUCUUCUCAGGAAACCUCCACUCCGCCUACACCACCACCUAGACAGUCGCCUAGAUCGUCGCCUAGACCGCCCAAGCUGCCUAAGAGCGCCUAGGCGAGCGCCUAACAGCUCCAUGAUUUUUCUUAACGAUUCAGACCUAAUCGCAUCGGCACCACCACGCCCAGCUCCUAGGUUGCCGCUUAGGUCAUUUUUUAGAACACUGGUAAUACUCGUGUGGUGCAAUUCUAAUCUCUUAUAUAUAACUUUUUUGUGAUCCAUUUCUCCAUCACCAUGCCUAAAUCCCUUUAGAAUUUGCAAUUUCCUCACCCCAACAAACCCCAACAUUCUGUUGGAUAUGGUAAAAAAAAAAAACUCAGAAUUUCAUUUAAACUUGAAAAUUUAGGGAUGGGAAAGCAAUUUUCUCUUGUUUGGCAACUUGUAGCGAGAGAACAGGAAAAUUCCACAGGAAAAAAGUGGAAAUUGGGGAUGAAGAUUCUUGAGUUUAAUUUUGUCUAAAUAAGUGUAAUUUCACAAUUCCAACUACGACAAGAUUCACAAAUUCAUAUAUGGGGAAGUUUUGCGAGCACCAAACUUUACUAUUAGGGCACCAAAUUUCAUGAUAAAACCUGAUAAGGGUUUAGGGCUGCAUCGUUCACUCUGUUAAGUCUCCAAUCUUCGACGAGAUUUUUAGCUCGUGCAUCAUCUUCUCACUUUGUUGUAGGGUUACAUCUCUUCGUUCUUGAAUUAUUUUUAGCUUUUCGGGUAUACUUUUUCUGCUCAUUGUGAAUUUUGAAAUGGGGCAGGAAGAACAUACAAAAAAAAGAUAAGAGCUGGAGCCCAUCCCAGACAUAAUACGACAGUGUUGGAACCCCAGUGUUGUCCCACAUCGGCUAGAGGGCUCAAGUGAAAGUGCUUUAAAUAGAAAUACCCCUCUCUAACUAACAUCGAGGCCUUUUGUGAUAAAACCCCACACCUGAGGAUUGUGCAGGUGGUUAAGUGGGGACAGUAUCGAUGUUGUUGGAGUGGGCCCUCGGCCCGUCGACCUGAAAAUUUCCACAUGGUAUCAGAGCCAGGAGGCGGGCCCGUACUGCCACGUGAUUGGGUGGGUCCCCUUUGGCCCCGCGCGAUGUCCACGUAGGCCAAAGAUGCCACGUGUUUGGGUGGGUCCCCAAUGGCCCCGCAUGAUGGGUGAGUCCCCAAUGGCUCCACGUGGUUGUCGAUGUGGAUUUUCACGUGUGACCCAUAAAUGGGGUCUCACGUGCGGGGGAGUGUUGGAACCCCAGUGUUGUCCCACAUCGGCUAGAGGGCUCAAGUGAAAGUGCUUUAAAUAGAAAUACCCCUCUCUAACUAACAUCGAGGCCUUUUGUGAUAAAACCCCACACCUGAGGAUUGUGCAGGUGGUUAAGUGGGGACAGUAUCGAUGUUGUUGGAGUGGGCCCUCGGCCCGUCGACCUGAAAAUUUCCACAGACAGUUUUCCAUCCUUAAUCCGAUCAAUGCACUAAGACAAGUGGAGAGCAAAAGAGUUUCCAUGGGUUUAGUACCUAGUACCAAAAUAAGGUGGUACUUCGGCUAUUGCGAUGGGAAUCUUUAUGAACACUAAAUUUGGAAUGUAAUGUUUUUUCGAAUCAACACCAGGGGGCUUCGAGCUAUGUGUUCUGCCCUAUUAUUCAUUACUUCAAAGUUAACGUACUUUGGAAAGAUUGUUGGAUUAAAUCAUAUUCUAAAAUGUUAAAGCAAAGGAUGGAAUGUCCCAAGCACUUAGUCACUUGGGUAAGAGCUAUUUAGACACAGGCAUAAAUGAUCCAAAAGACCAUGCAUUCACAAGUAAAUUGCACCAAAAUAAGAUAUCCCCAAGUACCAUCACUAGGGAAAAGAUGUUGAAGUUAUGGAAAGGACAAGCCCUCAUCCUAGCAAACAACAAAUUAAUGCAAAACAUUGUCAACAACCCUAUUUGGCAACAACUUCCCUUUUGGAAGAAGUUGAAGGAUCUACGAAAAUACUGGCUGAUGGAUCACCAUUGGAAGUAGAUCCUCUUCUUCGGAUGCCUCAAAGUCAGAAAUUUUGCUCAGUAAGUCUUUAAGAGCAGCGAAAUCGGCAUCCCAUAUUUUUUUCAGAAUCUGGUAGGUGUCUCAACCUCCAAAAUGAUCUUACUGCGCGUAGCCAAAUAUAUACCCAAAGUUGUACCCCUCUGCAUAUUUUUCUUCGGACGCCUUCUUGUGAGAUGCACGCACGCCCAUUAUUUCUGACUCAUGCUCAUCCUUGAGUUGUUUAAGAUUUGCAAAGCGAACUUUGUCUUUCUAUUCGAUCUAACGGCGAAGUCUUUCCACCUCUAACGGCGAACAUUGUGAGAUGCACGCACGCCCAUUGUAAGCAUUCCGCUUCGAAGACAACGUUCGAUUGAUUAAGCUUCAAGACGCAACAAAGUUUGUUCCACCUCAACUUUGGCUUUGCAUUCUAGCUCCAACUUUUCCUGCAGUUCAGCAAGAGUUGCCUUGUAUUCAUUUGCUUUAAUAUAUUCAAGAGUGGCUUCAUUUAUGCAUUUCUUUACCUCUACAUUAUGGGCUACUCUCAUAAUUUGUUGCUCUACCUAUACCCUCUUGAGCUUCGCCAAUUGAGCUUGCACUUGUUGCUUGAGCUGUAUUUGGCCUCUGAUUCAUGCAAGGAAAACCGCUUAAGAUGACAAAUUCACUUCGCUUGGCCAAAAAGAGUCGCCUCUGUCCAGACAUGAGUCUGACCAAUGCAAGUAAAGGAAAGGAAAAACAAAAUUACCAAAGUUAUUUUGUAAGAAAAGAAUGAAGGAUUACCUCAUAUCGACUUUCGUGACAUCGCAUCAUGGCGUCUUCAAAGGACGUGCGAGCUUCCUAGUAGUCCGCAUGGGUAAUUGCAGCGCUAAGAAAAGCUCGGGUAAAAUUUAUGUUUCGAGUCUUAACGACAAGCAAGGGCAGCGCGCCCCCUUCAAUUCUGGUUAAAGUCGCCAGCAAGGGAAUGUUAGGUUCGAGAGGCACCUCGACAGGUUCAGGUAAACUCCUUGUCACUAGAGGAAUCAGAACUGGGAUAUAAAGGGGUUUAAGGACUCGAACAUCAUUCGGAAGUGGUGGCAAAGCUGUCUGCUAUUGCGCAGGUAGAGAUUCAAGCUUGGAUUCAUGUGGUUGUUGUUGCGUCAGUUCUUAAAAUGGAAGGAAAAGAGGUUGAGAUUCUCUUAUGAGAUGAUGCGGAGCAGGAGUAUCUGGAGUUGUAUUUAUCGAAACAACCAGACGUCUUUUUCUCCUCAUAGUGGAAUUUCUUCCUCCUCUUUGGGAUUCUUGGGUACCACCUCUAUUAUUGGUAGACUUAUUUGAAAAGGUGUAGCUAACGACGUUGAGGAAGUUUUACCAGACCGUUUUAGCUUUUUUUUGCUGGAGUGGGAUAAAUUUUGGGUUUGAGAUGAUGGACCCCCUAAUAAACCUAUUUCACUUUGAUCCAAUUAGGAUCCAGAAUGGGGAACUUAGAACAAUGAUUGAUGAUUGUAUUAUUCCCCCAAUCCAAAAAUCGAACUGAGGAAGUCAGCCAGUUCCAAUUACGGUGCUUAGUAAGGAUUUGCGUUGCCUGAGUGAUCAACUCUGGUCAACACGUGCCAAUAUUCUUCAGGUCAUUGUUCAGACAAAGGUUGCAAUAAGUGAUGUGAUAGCAGCAUAUUUAUGCGACUUAGUUAGCUUGUUUUUCUUGCAUUUAUGUUGUGAGUUCUUACUUAUUAUAGUGUUUUAAGCUAUUUUCGUGUGUUUGUAGGUCCAAUUGACAAAGUUGGCAAGAAAAUGCAAUUUGGAGCAUUUUGGAGCAGUUUUGGGCAUCAAAUGGAUAGCUUAUGAAUGGAGUAAGAUGGAUGGACGAAUUUGAAGUUCAAGAGGCUAGGAAUGUGUUGAAAAGAUGAAGAAAAUAAAUUCAAGAGAAAGAAGAUAAGGAAUUAGCUCAAAAGAAGGAACAUUAUCCAAAACCUUAUCCAACCUUAUCUUAUCCAAACAAACCUUAUCUUAUCUUAUCCUUGCCUAAUCUAGCUUUAUCCUAUCUUAUCUAAAUCAGUUUGUGCCUUAAAUCCAGCUGCAAGAGGACCUAAAUAUCUGAUUUCUAGAAGGCCUAUCAUUUCCUUACACUUAUGCCGCACCUUUAUCCUUCUAGAACCCCUAAAUUUGUGCCGCAUCUCAGCCCUAUAAAUAUACAUCUUUGAUGCACAAAUAAAUGACCCACGCACCCACAUAUAUUCAGAUACAAUUGAGAGAUUUCAGAGAAUUCAAAAGGUGUACCUGCGUGGAGGAAGGAGAAGGAGAAGCUUGUGUCGUGGCUUGCAAUCCAAGGGGGAGUUUGAAAUCUGCCAUUGGAGUUGCUAGGGCGUUCUUGGUUCUUUCUAUCCUUAGAUUUGUUUCAAUGUUGCUUUUAAUUUGGUUUUAUGUUUUCAAAGACAUGAGGAACUAAUCUCUUUUUAGUUGGAGGUGAAUUUGAAGCCAUGAUUAUAUGUUUUGAUAUGAAUUGAUUACAUCCAGUUAUUGUUUCUUGAGUCUUGAAUGUGAUUUGCUUAUCUGAGUUAUCAAAACUUGUUUAUGUAUGUUGAUUGAGGGUCGACACUUAAUUUGCAUGCAUGAAUUUGAUGCUAGAGUAUAAGGGAGUUUCACCUAAUCAUUAUGAACUUAUAUUCACAAGUAGUAAAGGUUGCUAGUCACAAUCGUGUUAAGUAAAUCCUUGGCAGGAGUAUCAUGCUUUUCAUAGUUACGAAUGCCUCGUCAAUGCUUAUGAUUUUCAAAGAACUUAAUGACCUUUGAUAUGUUUUCUAUCAUGCUUUUCAUAGUUAGGGAACUUGAGAAGGAUAAUUUGGUUGUGAUGUGUAUCCCGUCCAAUUCAAUGAAAUAAGGGAAAUCUGAUGGUUAAUUUGUGCUGUCACGGUUAACUUGGGGUGUUGUCAUUCAUGGUUUAAGGGAACAAUACUGGAAAUUGGUUUAUAUGCAUAUGUCAUGUGUGGAGAAAGAUCCUCUGGCUAAGUUUUCAUCAUUCAAAUCACCUAAUUUACUUUGUUUUGCAAUCUGUUUUGUUUAGUUAAUUUUCGUCCAAAUCAAUCCCCCUUCUAAUUAAGUGUCUUAGAUUAGUUAAAAAAGUGUUUCAAUCUGUCCAACUUAGUGUUUUAAGUCCCACUAGUGUUAAAUUCGUCCAAAUAGUUCUUAGAACCUGUUUUGAGUCUUUUUAACUUAGUUUUGCUGUUUUGAGUGUUUUAUGUCAAUUUUGAGUUUGUAGUGUUUAGUUGUGUGUUUUUUAGUCUAUUUGAGUGUUUCUAAGUCUAAUUUGGUAUUUCUGAGUCAUAUUUGUGUAGAUUAACAUCCCUAGUUAAUCCCCGGUUUAGAACGAUCCUUACUUACAUCUUUACUACAAUUAUCAUUCAUAGGGUUUAAUUUGUGUGUCAAGUUAAUUUUCACAUCAAAUUUGGCGCCGUUGCUGGGGAUUAGCAAACUUGCUAAUCUCUUUUGUUUGAGUAGUGUGUCUUUAUUGUUAUGGCAGAUGAGUCUACAAAAUUUGUGAAAACAUUAGAUAUAAAGAAAUGUGAGAAAUAAGAACCAAAUAACAGUGAAAUGAAUGAUAUAAGACUCAUCUGUCAGAACAACAAGGCAUUCGAUUUUCAAAAGUACACUCAACGAUCACUGGAGGAUGAUCUUAGAGUUGUAGUUGGAAUCAUCUUCCAGUGAUUUGAUAUAAAAACAGAUUUGAUGGGAUUUAGAAGCAAAUGUUGGGUUUGAAGAGAUUUAGGUAAUGGUUGGGGACGGGGAGUGAGUUGAUGGGAUUCAGUAGCAAAUGUUGGAUUGUAGAAUCUAAAAACAGAUUUGAGAGGCUAAAAUGUAAUUCGGAUAUUAGUACUACGGUCUAAUAACGUAUUUGUAAGUGAAAAAUUUUAGGUUUGUAUUUCAAGAAUAAGGAGUUCAUAACCAAUUUAUUCCAUAUAUCAUUGUGCAUAUAAAAUAAUGUAAUUCGAAAAUUAAUUUAGUGACGAUGCUACAAUUAAUUAUAUCAUCAAUUUUGGAAUCCCAUUCUUGGCUUAUGUCAAAAUCCAAACAAAUUUAAACCCUCAUUUUUUUCAGAUUUUGGAAAGAAUGGCAUCAUUGAAUUCAAUAUCGUGAUAUGGGAGACUGAGUAAGCUAAAUUUGGAGUAUUUUAAUGUCACAGUAUAAAUAUGGCACCAACAAUAGACGUAAGCCAAAGUCAUAGGUUUAAUGCAGACAAUAGUAAAUACUGAAUACUGAAUAUUGGAUACUGAAUGGAGGGCGGCUUUAACGCUUUCAGUGUACCAAAUUUUGAUACUAAUUGACUUGAUCUCUUCACAUGGUACAUAGGUAGUCUAGCUCGAAUGUUAUGCAGCCAUAAAAUUAAAUAAAUUAAUAUUGUAUCAUGUCCCGGAGUUCAGCACGUGACAUUAUUGUGAGGUCUAGGUACAGUCCUUAGAGUGAUAAAAACAAGGCUCCUCCAGGGAGGGCUAGUCGGAGGUGUGAAUGGACAUUUACUUCACACUCAUAGGAAAUCAGUCCAAGAAGUGGACAUGGAUGCUGGGUACUCAACACUCAUAGGAAAUCAGUCCAAGAACGAAAGCUUUCUUUUUAGUUGCUAUCCAAAAUUUUGGAAUUAUGUGUGUUGUCCAAAUGAUUAUUCUUCUUUUAUUAAAUUUCUCAGGAAAAUGAGCAUGAGGCGUAAAAGUUGAACGAAUGAAAUUUCAAUGAUCUGGAAAGGGAUUGUGAGUUUGCCACACCAUUUUUCUUUCUUUUAUGCCUUCAUGUUUAUUAGAAGAUAAAAAUAAAGAAGGAAAACUAAUGAAAAGUCCAAUUUUUUUUUAGUUUUAAUGAAAAAUGACAAAUAAAUGUGUAGUGAAUAGUACCAGAGAAAGGUAAAAAUGUGGCUUUUCGUUAGAAGUGAACAGUCCUGGGAGUGUUUCGUUAAAACUUCCAAAUAAAUAUGACUUUAUUUGGAGAAAAAAAAGUAUUUCCUUUGAAAAAAAAUCAACUAUUUAUUUAAGAGGAUGUGAAUGAUUGAUGGUGAAUACAAAGAACCACCUUAGAGGGAGACGAGACAUUUAUUAGAAGCCAAAAAAAAAGUUACAAUGAUUUAGUAAAAAAACAAGAAAACCUCAUUUUCUAAGUGGCAGUCAUUGACACGCUAUUUGACUAGAAGAAAAGUCAUAGUAUUGUAUUUACUUUCAAGCCUCUAGGGGGAACGAGAGUGCAAGUUUCCAAAUGGAAUAUGGGAUGAAAUUUCUACAUAACUCUAUCUGACAAAGAAAGAAGUCUAAGUUUCUAAGUGGUAGGGCUUCCAAUUGAUGUGAGUUUAUUGAGAAAUGAAGAUGAACAUGAAUAUUGAUAUUGAUGUGAGUUAGUGAACAAGUUGCUUCGAUCUCCUUUGGCCCUCUAAUAAGAUAAUACCGGAAAACAAGUUGUUACUAAUACAUGUAUCGGAUUGGUAGACUAAGACGUACGGUACAAUUUUUUAUAACUAGAGAAGAUGAACACUGUCACUGUCGUGACAAAAUUUAUCCAAAUAGAUCCAAAGACUUGGGAAGCUUCAUAUGCAGAUCUAAAGCUAAUUUCCUUUUUAAUCUUAUAGUCAUUACGUAAAAUGUAUAUGCAUAUUUCUAGAUGGAUACACACCAAUCUUGAAAUAGGGGAUGAAGAUUCCCGAUUUUAAUUUCGUCUAAAUAGGUGUAAUUUCACAAUUCCAACUAUAACGAGAAUCACAAAUUUAUAAGCGGAAAAAUCUUGCCAGCGUCAAACUUUCUUGAAUAAGGGUUUAGGGCGCCAAAUUUCAUGAUAAAACCUGAUAAGGGUCUAGGGCUGCAUCUUUCACUCGAUUAACUCUCCCAUCUUCGAAGGGAUUUUCGGCUCUUGCAUCAUCUCUUGCUUUUGUUCUAGGUCAACGCCUCUACUCUCUUCUUUCUUGAAUUAUAUUUUUAACUUUUCGGGUAUACUCUUUAUGCCAAUUGUGAAUUUUGCUAGUUAUUUUUAUUUUCUGAUAGUCAUAUGUUUGUGUGCUUUUUUUCUUCCGAUUGAAUUGUGUAUUGGUUGGAUCUGUUACACAAUUUUUUAGUUUUUUUAUGGAUUUUGAUGUUAGUUCCUUGUUAUAGAUAUUGUGUUUUUGAAGGUUUAACAAUAGGCAAGACUGAAUAUGAUGAUUUCGGUGUUAAUUACUUUCUCAUGGUACUAUACUAGAUUGUUCUCUCUUUGCAUUUACAUGUAACCAACUGUUCAUUGUAGAAAUGUAGUAUUUGGAAGACCUUUUUUUUUUUCUUUCUGAUUUAGUGUAUGUUUUUUGGACAAAAGAAACAUGUAGAAGAGAAAACAUGAUUGAUAACAUUGUGCAUCUUUUUUUUUUUUUUUUGACAGAAAGCGAUAGAGUGUUCCAUGGCCAAUUUGUUUUAUCUAGAGAUAGUUUGCACAAGAUGCAAACAUUUUGUAAACCCUAUACGGCUACCAUAAUAGACAACCACAAACAAGGGUCCCGAUAAAAUUGUCACAAAGACGACAAACGCGGCAAUCCUCACACUGGUACCUUGACAUAAAACCAUCGACAAUAAGACCAAAUAAAUCGCAUAAGAAAUACAAACAAAUCACCACAGUAACACAAAAUCUACUACCCUAACCUGCUCAAGGUCCUACAAACAAAAACUUAAACCUAAAGUCGAUGACAUGUCCACAUGCAUGUCCAAAGGGAAGAGACGUGGCAGGAGGCAUGGGUUGCACGACCAUGUGGGUGUGUCGGUGGCAAGGACAACAAAGGCUUGGGGCUUGGGUGGCAGAGGAGAUACCACGACACGCCAGAGCCACUGUCACAUUGUCAUCGCCGCCGCCACGAGCCCAUAGUAACCUGCAUAAAAUCGUUAGUGCUAAAAGCCGCCAAGGGUUUCCGCCGACUGGGAAAAAGAUAAGAUUUGUGAAGACGGAGGUCACAUGGAUGGCAUCAUAGCAAAAUUGAAAUCUUUUAAUCAUCCUCAGCAUUAUUCCGACAGCUAUCCACAAACUGAAGCAACGAAUUGGGCAAGUGUGCAACAAAUUUUCAAUGUGCGUCCAUUGUGAAUGAUUUACAAGGAGUGGGUUUAAUGACGUUUGUAGUUAAAGUGGGAUGCAACUUAGAGCACCAUCACUUGACUAUGUUCCUCUCAUUUUAUCUGUUCAUUUUUGCCUCAUUUGUUUUUUGGUUGCACCGCCUCAAAAACCUUGUGCGUCUACAUGUAUAUAGAACUUUUGGUUAAAACAGAGUCACAUAUCUUAUAACUAUUUAAAUUUUGUUGCAUAUCACAAUAUAUAUUUGUUCAUACAUUCAAACAUGUAUGGCAAAUACUGAGGAGGAACAUAGAAAAAAAAAUGAAAAUUAUUGUUAGUACAAUUGUAUAUGUUAUUGACAUGGUCAUGCAUUGGUAUAGUAAGAGUUUUCUCGUCGUAGAACUUUCAAAUGAUUGGAAUCAAGGAAGACAAUCUUUUCCCCAAUUAAUUAUUCUCGCCAUAUUUUUCCUUAGCGCCGUUAAGUUUCACUUAAAAAGCAAAAGAAGAAGGCUAAAAUUAAGGUGAAGAACCUGCCUCCACUAAUUUCCAUGAAGUUGCAGUAAGGACAUAAAUCACCUUCCGUGAAGUUUCAGUAAGGACUUCAAAUAUCCCAGAGAAAAGUCAGUCAAUGGUGUUUUGACAGAGUCAGUCAACGGCAAAAGACAGAAUUGUGUAUCAUAAUGCUCUCUCCCUCUCUCUCUCUCGUCAAUGGAUGACACCGUAUAAUUACUACGUAUAUAUCUCUGCUCAAUUACACAAAAGAAAAAUCCUUGCGCAUUAUUUUUGUUAUUAUUAGCUCAGAAAUGCAGAAAUUGAUCAUCUCUUACUUUUGCAUAUUGUUACUGGUUUUCUUCAAACUAGUUGGAGCAAGCCAUGCGUGCCUGGAAUCCAAGUGUGGCGAUGAUCAAGGCGCAGCUAUCCAUUUCCCAUUGCGCAUCAGCCGCAAACAUCAUUGUGGAAAUCCUGGGCUUGAAUGCAAUGUAAGAUAUGAGCAGCAAAUACUAGUAAAAUUAUUUGUCAAACACAUAGAUUACAAGAGUCAGGAAAUCCAAGUGUAUCCCCCAAGUAGCUGCCUGCUGCUAAAGUCUGUUGAAAUCCCAAACAUGCCACCCUCUCCCUUCAACGUGUCAGUCGAUGACAUGAGUAACUUGACCUUAUUCAGUUGUACUACUUCUGUUGCAAGCGAUCCAUAUCCGUAUCAAUUCCCCUGCCUCGGCGACCCUGGCCGCAUAAUUUAUGCCGUUGAUUCCAGUUCUACAUAUCUAUUGGAAGAUCUCUUCCAGAAAGUACAAUCUUGUUCAAAGAUGUAUGAUGUUUUAUCAGUUCCAUUCGGUUCUUGGGUAGGCGGUUAUAAUGUUCGUUUCAAAUGGUCUGAACCAAAUUGCACAGUAUGUGAAGCACAGGGAAAGAGGUGUAGGUGGAAGAACGAUGGCACAAAUAGUGAAAUUAAAUGUCUUGACUGGAAGAAACCAAGUAAGGAUAACAUAUAUAUUCAUUGCUAGUUUUAAACAUCUUUACAUUUACGUCUUAGUAAUUAUUAUUUAAAAUAUGUUGUCCAAUCCAUUUUUACUAGGAAUAUUACCUGACAGUCUCGUUUAAAUUUGCAAUGAUCUUCUACAGGCAACACAUGGAAAAAAGUGGUUACAGGUGGAAUCCUGGGUGCUUUGCUUCUUGUUCUACUGAUGAUUGCAGCAUAUCGGGUACAUAGCGCUGAUAGAAAGGAGAAAGAGAGUCGAUUAAGAAUUGAAAGAUUCUUGGAGGAUUACAAAGCACUCAAACCAACCAGGUAUUCGUACGCAGAUAUUAAGAGGAUUACAAAUCAAUUCAAGGACAAGUUGGGCGAAGGAGCCUAUGGAACUGUCUUCAAAGGAAUGCUCUCUUCCGAAUUCUUUAUUGCUGUCAAAGUCCUCAACAGUUCCAAGGGAGAUGGGGAAGAGUUCGUAAAUGAAGUGCGAACGAUGGGUCAUAUCCACCACGUCAACGUGGCUCGCUUGGUUGGAUUUUGUGCUGAUGGAUUUGCACGAGCUCUUGUUUACGAGUUCUUCCCCAAUGGUUCCCUGCAGGAUUUCAUUUCAUCUGCAGAUAGUAAGAAUUCAUUUCUUGGUUGGGAUAAGUUGCAAGAUAUUGCCCUAGGCAUAGCCAAAGGAAUUGAAUAUCUUCACCAGGGAUGCGAUCUACGAAUCCUGCAUUUCGACAUCAAACCCCAUAAUGUUUUGCUAGACCAAAACUUCACUCCAAAAAUUUCUGAUUUUGGUAUGGCCAAGUUAUGUUCCAAGGAUCAAAGCUUGGUGUCCAUGACUACAGCUAGGGGGACCAUGGGCUACAUUGCACCUGAAGUGUUUUCCAGGAAUUUCGGAAAUGUGUCUUACAAGGCAGAUGUCUAUAGCUUUGGAAUGCUGCUGCUUGAGAUGGUAGGAGGAAGGAAGAAUAUUGGUUCAAUCACGGAUAACACUACAAAUGAAAUUUACUAUCCACAGUGGAUUUAUAAUCUUCUAGAGGAAGGGGAUGACCUACAAAUCCACAUUGGGGAAGAAGGAGAUGGUAAAAUUCCAAAGAAACUUGCAAUUAUAGGGCUAUGGUGUAUCCAGUGGCACCCGUCGGAUCGUCCUUCCAUGAAAAUAGCGGUUCAGAUGUUAGAAGGAGGAGGAGAAAGCUUGAGUAUGCCGCCUAAUCCCUUUGUGCCUACUGGUCCUACAACUAGAAAUGCAAGACGCCUAGAGCUAGAAGCUAUUGCUGAAUUAGAGUAAAAUGUAUAUGCAGAUAUGUAGACGUAUAGAUAUAGUAAUAUUUACAUUGAAUAAGAGGCCGUUUGAUAACCAUUUCGUUUUCAGCUUUUAAUUUUUAUUUUGCACUUUUUUGAAAACUGAAAACUAAAAUCUUGUUUGGUAAAUACUUUUAGUUUAAGAAAAAAUGAAGACUGAGAACUAAAAAGUGAAAGCUCAAAGGAAGUAGAUUAAAAGUAGUUACCAAACAAACCGGAAUCUCAAUAAUAAAAAAUGAUUGAAUUGCACAACGCAAUCCAAACCAAUCAAAACAUUAAAAUAGCAAAAAAAAUUAAAAUUCUAGUUGAUUAGAUUAUGAACAUAGUAAAAAUGAACAGAUCCGAUGAAAAAACAAAAAAAAUUCUCAGAUAAAAAUAGGGAUAAAGUAAAAUAUUUAUAAAUAGCUCCUUGUCUCUUAUGUCAUCAAUUAUUUCUAUAGUAUAUACAAGUUUUUGGAAAAAUUAGGUUCCCAUCCCUUAUUUUCAUAUUACAUUGAUUGAAAUCUUAUUAUUUUUCUAUUUUAGAUCAAGGUCCCUUGACUUAUUCCAUGUCAUCAUUUUAGUAUUUAAAAUAUUACACGUCAUCAUAAACGAAAUCUCAUCCCCUUUCUGCAUUUAAGGCAAAAUAAACUAUAUGAGUAAGUUUAAAACAAGGAAAAUCCAUUUGAACUCCUCCAUUCUUCUUCUUCCCUUAUGCACAUCUGGAAUCUACAACACCCCAAACCCAAUUUUCUCCAUUUUUUCUCCAUUCCUGAAUUGAUCCAAUGCAUAUAUGUUGAAUAAACCUAUUGUGAUUAAAAUACAAAUUAGCAUCAAUGGUUUUAUCGGCUUGUGAGAUUUGUGUGGCAUAGGCAAGGCAAUGCAUGCAUCGCUUUCUCAAGGAAUCUGGUUGAUUCAAACAUGCAGAGACUGUAGAGUGAGCGGGCUAUGUAAAAACUGUACCAUUCUGAAGUCAUUUUCUUUUGUUCUUUAUAUUUUUUUUCUUUUUCUUUUAUUAUUAUAUAUUAGUCUUGAUUAUUCAAUGUCUGGUUGGCUACACUUAUGUCCAUGGGUACAUUUUUAAUCAACAUGGUUCGUUCUAAUAUAUCUAUUGCUAUAAUAUGUUUUGGUUGGUUCAAAUUUGUUUUACAUAAAUAUAUGGGUACAAAGUUUUUGGAGAAUAUUAUGUAAAAUGGUUUUUAAGGUUGCUGCAUUUUAUGUACCCACAUAUGCAUGUCUAUAAAUGACACACCCCGUCCCGAAGGAGGGCAUGCUGGCCGUCACGUGAGAGUGACGUAACCAUUUGCACAGUACGGAAGCUUUAAGAUACAAUUUAUAAGUUGAUACACCCGAAUGUGAGUCCUAAUUUUGUCCAAUCUGUCAGAACACCGUCAAAUUCCUCGUAGUCACCACACCUUUGUGAUUCCUGAACCUGGAGGGGCGCAAAACCAAAAUUGAGUGGGUCAGUAAAACAAUUCUUUUCCAAAUCCAAACAUUUCUCAAAACGUUGUAACCCCAAUCCGUAAAACUUGUAUAUUUUCCCAGAAAUGUAAAAUAUAAAUAUACAUAUAUAUUCUCAAUACUUCAAUUCAUUAACUCAACAUUUUUCAGUACAAUUAUGCCAUGCCAUGUCUAAUUCAACAGUUAAGUAUGGAUGCAUCAACAAUAAUCAUAUCAGGUGCAAGAAAGUAAUCAACCGGAGGCCCUCUAAUAGCCAUGUACGGUUGAACCUAGAGCUCAAAAUCUAUCACUCUCACUCUACCGGAGUCACCUCUGUGACCUGUCCGGCCUUCUGCACACAAGUUACGCUCUAGUGCUUUCUCAUCAAUCAUCUGUGCACAUAAUCUAAGGUCACCCACCAGUCGAAAUCUCACUAACACUCUUCGACUGGCCCGUCGCACCCACUCCGCGUGGACUGUGCGACCAGCAUCUACUUGGAUCCAAGGCGAGCGUGCGAUGCGGUGAAUACUAUAAGCACUAAACCAUGGUGCAGGAUUUGAGCUCAAUAUACAUCAACAUCAUCAUAAUAGUAAUUAAAUACUCACCUGAUACUCACCUGUGCGUCCGCCGCACCAAUUCAUAUAUAUGCAUCAUAUAUCAAUUCAUAUCAUUUCAUACAUGGCAAUUCAAUUCACGUUUUUCAUAUAGUUCUAUAUACUUUUCACAUAUUUCUAUUUAAAGCAUAAUUUCAUGCUUUUUCAAUUUCUGGGAAAACGGCAAGUAUAUAUAUAUACGGAAAACAAAACUGCCCACUCACCUGGAGUUCGCCCUACAACUCCCUAGCACAAUACGCCAAGGCGUCAUGACGAUCGGCGCCUAAAACAAUAAUCAAUUCCAACCUUAGAAUUCAUAUCGAUAGAAUAUAUAACUUAUAUAAAAUACGUCACUGCGUAGUUCGAUCCGGAAGAUCCACCACUCAGAUUUUAAAUCCAUAACUUCCAGAGGUCCACAAUAUAUCUCUAGGAUAACAUCCUAAAAUUUCAUUACCAUCCAACGGUCGGAUCUCCGUCAAUUUCCAAAACUAAGUGACGGUUAACAUUUUAUUUUAUGAACUUACAACUCCAAUUCCUGAAGAUCCGUAAAUCGGAUUCCCAAUCCGAAAGUUCCAAUAAUCCUCAAAUAUUACGUAUUACUACGUAUCAAAGUUUAGUGACGAUCUAACGGUCGGAUCGUCAAUUCACGUUUUCACCUAAAUGUGAAAACUAUAAAACGUUAUUCGAACAUCUAACCAACAAUCCUUAAUAACUUUCUCAUACGGUGCUCAAUUUGGGUAUAUGAAUAUACCACGGUGAUCUACUCGACGUCACGGACGUCGACAUAUUUUUAAAAUAAUUUUAUUUUAUUUUAUUUUUUUUACUGUAGCACCUUCUUCUUCCUUGGGUCGCCGGACUGGUUUUUCCAGCGGCCGUUUUCUGGGCAGUUUUUCAAAUUGCCAUAACUUUGUCAUUUCUCAACGAAAUCAAGUGAUUCAAAAACGAAAGUUGUAGCCCUUGAAGAGACAAAGAGAAUGGUACCUUACAAAACACCUAGUUCUCCGUGGUUUGGCCGGAAACUGCCUCGAAAGCCUCGGAGGUCGCCGGAAACUGGGUAUUUUUCAAAUGAGUAUAACUUCUUCAAUACUCAACGAAAUUGAGUGAAACAAAAAGGAAAGUUGUAGUAAUUGACGAGAUGAAGAGAUUGAUACCUACCUCGACUCCUAACUCGCCGGGGAUUCGCCGGAAAAAGCCUCGAAAGCUCCGGCCAAACUUUGAACUUGUCGAUCUCCGUGUUCUUACGUCCAAAAACUUCCAACGAAGCACUCCGAGCUUCCUUGGGACCUCACUAAGCUCACUAUGAGCUUGGAUUGUCCUAAAACAAAGUCAAUUCGAAAAUCAUGAACAGUGCACUUUCACGGGGAGUUUAGAAUCUAGGUUUUCCGAAGUAAAACUUACCUGAAAUUGGUGUCUACGUGAUCGUGGAGUCUCCAGGAGUUCGAUGGUGGUCUUAACUCCGUCGUUGGUGGAAGUUUAAGGUUGUUUUGCGGUUGGUUUGUUCGAACGGAGAAGAAGAGUGACAGAGAGAGAGAGAUUCGUGAGGGAGGAGAGAGAGAGACAGUAUGCAGAAAAUAGGGAGAGGAUUGAGGGGUGUGGGGAUCCCAUGUGGUCCUUUUCCAAUCCCCAACUCCAAACCACAAAAUUUUAACCUAAAAAUCUAAGUUCCAUCCUUAAUAAAUUCCAUUUUAUUUUCAAAACUUAGGAACCUAGAUAAUUAUCAACUUGAGCUUCACAUACUUAGUAUUUCUUAAGGGCAAUUUCGUCCAUUCACAGCCACGAAUGUAAUAUUUUUGGAACGGGCUGUGACAAUCUUCCCUCCUUAUAGAAUUUCGUCCCCGAAAUUCCAGCAACCAACUAAAUCAACCAUACUUCAACAAUAGCUUCGGGUAAAUCUCUCUCAUCCGAUUCUCUUUCUCCCACAUAAUUUUCUACUGAAUGAUUUCCUUCACAAAGCUUUUACCACUUACUCUGUCUUAAUUCUCAAGACUUUCUUUUUCCAAUCUAAAGUCGUCCUUGGUUCCUUAUCAAGUCGAAUCCAAUUUAAUUCUCAAUAGUUGCACCAGAAUCUCAUGUGACGAAUCUGCCACCUAGUGACAACGUAUCGAACCCAAAAUACAUUAAGUAUCUUAGCCAACUCUGAAGACAUCACCACAUGUAUGCAACUUUAUUGAUUCCUUUAGUGAUCAAAACGGACUGAUGUGUUCAAGACUUAUCUUGUCUUCCUUUCUGAAUCUUACUAUUUCUGUUCAUGGUGAAAUUUCCAAAAAUAUCAAACCAUUUACCUUACACACUCGAUUAGUGGCAUAUCCAUCUGUUAGUCUCUUUUGCCAUUCCUGGUUACUUCAGGUUAACUUAAUCACCUGAAUACUUUGAGGAGACUCAUCCAAAAUUUCGGGUCCACCAAAAUUCUUUUGUGAUCGAAUCUUUCUCUACCCAGAAGCAUUCCAUCCACAAUUCAGCAAAAAUCGACACACAUGACACGCUUCAUGGACAUUAUGGCGUUACUUUGAAAACUGGCGAAACCAACAUACUUAAGAAACUCAGCAGUCCCGUAACCCAAUUCUCUUUUCCAUAAAACAAAUAAGUACUGUUGCACUGUCUGGGAAAGGUUGUUACUCAACACUGGAGUAAAUAUACUAACUUGUUACGUUGCCCAACCAUCACUUCACAUUCAAUCGUAACCAUCUUGUAUACAAGGAAACUUGUACACAUAGUCCAAAGUAAUAUCUUUCCAUUUCUGUUUAGAAACAGAAAAUAGCUGUCUCAAUCCAAAGGUUUAUCUCUUUCCGCCUCAAUCUGCUGAUCAAAUAAACUGUCGAGUGGUAUGAUAAAUCUUAUUACUUUUGGAAUAUUGCAGAAGUUGAACAGUGAACUUUGUCCAAUAUUUGCUUGCUUCAAAUCCUCAGCAUUAGGCACAUACUUUUGGUUUUCUUGUAUCCACAUACCAUUUGAUUCACGAAUCAUGUAUUCAUUCUUUUUCCCUUCUUUCUCUACCUUGGUUAAUUCUUAAAUUUCCUCGUCAAACAUUUAAGUUUCGAGUACGACCUUACCAAACAGGCCUAACUUGAAAUUUAACAAGUAUAACUUCUUCUCGAUCUUUCAUUCUUAACUUUACUUUAGUUGGUUUCCAAUCCACAAGAAGAUAAUCAUGGCAAGCGUACCAGAUAUUAAUUAUUACUGCAGUCUUCUUAUCAAGUGCUUCAGUUACAACAAUUCACAAUCACCCUGAUCGUACAAUCAUAAUCACUAAGUAAUUCAAUCCACCUUUGUUGCCUCAUAUCACAAUCCUUCCAAGUAAACAAAUAUUGGAGACUCUUUUGAUUUGUAAAAUCUUGUAUUCUUAUCAACAUAUAAUGUCUCCAUAACUUCACAGCAAGGAUGAUAAUCGUGACUUCCAAAUCACCAGUAGGGUAAUUCAUCUUAUGAGGUUCCAUUUAUCGUGAAACGUAUGCAAUCACCCUAACAUUUGCAUCAACAUGCCUCCAAUACCAUUCAAGAAACAUCACUAAAAAUUUAUGAUUACCACUAUUCUCUGGGAAUACCAAAAUACGUGCAUGAGUGAGGAAAUACUUCAGUUGUUGAAUCCUUUGCUCACAAUUUCCUUCCCACUCAUACAUAACCUCUUUUCUCAACAGUCUCGUCAAUGACAAAGCAAUGACUAAAAACUCUUUCACAACCAUCCAAGAUAGUCUGGUAAGUUAAGAAUUUCCGAAUCUCAAUUAUGGCUUGUGGUUGUUCCAAUUUCUCAAUUCUGCUGCCUUUUAAGAAUUCAUUUGAAUACCUUAAGCAGAUAUAACCAAUCUCAUAAUGCCACUUGAUUCAUCCAACAUUCGCAUUUGCUAAACUUAGCAUACAACCAACGUUCUUUCAAUCUUUGCUUCAUCGACUUAAUACGUUUACAUGCUCUGCUCUGGCUCAGAAUGUACCAGAAUAUCGUCAAUGAAAAUGAUAUCAAUUAUCAAGGCAUUAUUGGAAUACUUCAUCCAUCAACUCAUAAAACCGCAUGAGUAUCCACAUAGCAUCACCAAACCUCAUAAGGACCAUAACAAGUCCAGAAAACCAUCUUAUGAUCAACGUCAUUCAUAAUCUUUAAUUGGUAAUAACCAGACUUCAAGUCAAUCUUUGAAAAUAUACAAGCACCUUUGAACUGAUCAAAUGAGCGUCAAUACACCACAAUGGAUAACGGUUCUCAUUCGUUACCCGACUCCAUUGUCUAUAAUCAAUGAACAGUCUCAAGAUCCAUUUUCUUCCUCACCAACAAACUGGGGCUCCUCAAAAGUGUUGUACUAGGUUGAAUAAAACUUUUAUCAACCAAUUCUUUCAACUAAAUUUCCAAUUCCCUUAACUCAUCAUGAACCAAUCUCCAAUAUAAAUUUAUACCUGGCAACAAAUCAAUAAUGAACCUCAUAUCUCUGCCUGAAGACAAUCCAGGUAUACUUUCAGGGGAGACAUCAAGAAAAGUCUAACCCUUUUGACAUUAUUCACACUACUCCAAACAACAUCAUUUAGCACCCCAUGAGCUAAGUAUUUUUAACAGCCUUUCGAAAACAAUCUCUUUGCUCUCACAGCAUUAAUAACGGCCUGACUCAAUCCACCUUGCAUACUUACAAAAGUAAUCUCUGGUCAUCCAGAUCGAUGGAAAGUACUGGUUUCCCGUAACAUUCCGUCUUGUCACAAUUAUAACCAACCGAUCUAAUGGAACAGAAUUAACUGAUACAAUAUAUAUUCUAUUAUUAUUAAGCAUUCUAAAUAAGUACAAUACUAACAUAAAAUAAUCUACCGGGUUGCUUGCUUAACGAAUCCACGAAUGAGUUAUUAAUAUUACGGUCUGCAGCCCGCAAUACUGAUAAAUCAUCGUUGUCUCGAUAAGUAGGCAACCACUCUCAAAGAUAUAACAUUACUAUUUUGUCACUCAAUGCAAAAUACAUACACUUGUCUCAACUACAUUUAUUUACUACUCUCUAGGUAAUAACAUACAUAAUAAGAAAUAUAUCAGUCGAAGUCAACUAGAAUGACCAAUACGGCUGAUUCAACUCUUAUCUCAAUAAUACGUCGGCCGGAUCCACUCCGCGUGGUCGGUACGGCCGAGCCUAUAACUCAUCCAACCUCUCUGUACUCACGGUCAAUCCGACCAAACUACUAAGUCCAUAACUCUGCUGAAUCGACACUAUGAUAUCAUGGAAAAUUAUUGAGUACAACUGAUUCUAGGGACGAUUCACAAUUCUGUGUCCCCUCUGUUCACAUAAACACAUUCAUUAAUUUCACACUUCCCAAAGUGUUAAUUUUGUACCUGCUGCACAAGGUACAUUUCCUUUACUCGAGACACCUUGUCUCAAAUAUCUGGGAUUACCAGUAUAUCCAUCACUUUUACUCUGACCAGCAACAUUAAAACCUCAGCUGGAAGAAUUAACUCUAGCUUCACUUCUUUCGAAGCUCUGAAUCUUUCUAUAUCUUUGAUAUGACGAAUCAUUAACUUUAUCGUCUUCUUUUAAUUCCCAUUCAUUUCUUAUUCUUCUUUAUUCUCGUUGCUCAUGUUCUCAGAGUCCUCAAGACUCAACAGCAUCUCGUAUAUUCCUGGUAAGAAGUACAAUGGAUAGUGGUCACCCAAAAUACCACUUCCCUUUUGCCACCCAGCUUAAAACAACAUAACACCUCCACCAAAUUAGCAGCAAUAUCCGAAUGGAAACGAGGCUAGUCUGAAAACUUUCUAUAAUAUUCAUUUAUCGUCAACUUCCUUGAUUCACAUUUGCAAAAUCUUGCUUACUACCAACGAUAAAUGCCGGAGGGAUAAACUUUUCCUUAAAUAAGUCCUUAAACAAUUUUAAAUCGGCUACUUCCUCUGAUGACAACAAUCAAUACUCCUGCUUCCAUCAGGAUACACGUUCAUAACUCAAACCAGGUAGUCGUCUCGACCCACCUGUCAGAAGGAAAUUUCCUUUGACUUGCAUAAUCUGAAACAUCUUUUCCAAUUGGUUAAUCCGUUACUUCGCUCCCUCAGGUUCAUCAUUCCAUAAGGUGAUUCAAAUUCGACUCAUAACCUGUCUUAAAAUGUCCCUUUUUAUAAUAGACUGAAUCACCAUAAUAAUAGUUUCCCCUAAACCGCUAUAUUAGGGAGACUAAAUUCCUCUAACUAAGUGGCUUGCUACGAGGCGGUGUAGUUCUGACAGAAUUCACUAGAACUUCUCAAAAUGUCCAAGAUUGCAACCAUGCUCUGAUACCAACUGACACACCCCGUCCCGAAGGAGGGCAUGCUGGCCGUCACGUGAGAGUGACGUAACCAUUUGCACAGUACGGAAGCUUUAAGAUACAAUUUAUAAGUUGAUACACCCGAAGGUGAGUCCUAAUUUUGUCCAAUCUGUCAGAACACCGUCAAAUUCCUCGUAGUCACCACACCUUUGUGAUUCCUGAACCUGGAGGGGCGCAAAACCAAAAUUGAGUGGGUCAGUAAAACAAUUCUUUUCCAAAUCCAAACAUUUCUCAAAACGUUGUAACAAUAAAAACCAGUCCGGCGACCCAAGGAAGAAGAAGGUGCUACAGUAAAAAAAAUAAAAUAAAAUAAAAUUAUUUUAAAAAUAUGUCGACGUCCGCGACGUCGAGUAGAUCACCGUGGUAUAUUCAUAUACCCAAAUUGAGCACCGUAUGAGAAAGUUAUUAAGGAUUGUUGGUUAGGUGUUCGAAUAACGUUUUAUAGUUUUCACAUUUAGGUGAAAAUGUGAAUUGACGAUCCGACCGUUAGAUCGUCACUAAACUUUGAUACGUAGUAAUACGUAAUAUUUGAGGAUUAUUGGAACUUUCGGAUUGGGAAUCCGAUUUACGGAUCUUCCGGAAUUGGAGUUGUAAGUCCAUAAAAUAAAAUGUUAACCGUCACUUAGUUUUGGAAAUUGACGGAGAUCCGACCGUUGGAUGGUAAUGAAAUUUUAGGAUGUUAUCCUAGAGAUAUAUUGUGGACCUCUGGAAGUUAUGGAUUUAAAAUCUGAGUGGUGGAUCUUCCGGAUCGAACUACGCAGUGACGUAUUUUAUAUAAGUUAUAUAUUUCUAUCGAUAUGAAUUCUAAGGUUGGAAUUGAUUAUUGUUUUAGGCGCCGAUCGUCAUGACGCCUUGGCGUAUUGUGCUAGGGAGUUGUAGGGCGAACUCCAGGUGAGUGGGCAGUUUUGUUUUCCGUAUAUAUAUAUACUUGCCGUUUUCCCAGAAAUUGAAAAAGCAUGAAAUUAUGCUUUAAAUAGAAAUAUAUGUGAAAAGUAUAUAGAACUAUAUGAAAAACGUGAAUUGAAUUGCCAUGUAUGAAAUGAUAUGAAUUGAUAUAUGAUGCAUAUAUAUGAAUUGGUGCGGCGGACGCACAGGUGAGUAUCAGGUGAGUAUUUAAUUACUAUUAUGAUGAUGUUGAUGUAUAUUGAGCUCAAAUCCUGCACCAUGGUUUAGUGCUUAUAGUAUUCACCGCAUCGCACGCUCGCCUUGGAUCCAAGUAGAUGCUGGUCGCACAGUCCACGCGGAGUGGGUGCGACGGGCCAGUCGAAGAGUGUUAGUGAGAUUUCGACUGGUGGGUGACCUUAGAUUAUGUGCACAGAUGAUUGAUGAGAAAGCACUAGAGCGUAACUUGUGUGCAGAAGGCCGGACAGGUCACAGAGGUGACUCCGGUACUAUUUUGACCAUUCUAUUUAACUUGUGUUUCAUUUAUUUUAACCAUUCUAUUUAAAGUUUAUCCCAAGUAAUCUAAUUAAGACUAGAGUCGAAAGUGAUGCAUUUAGUAAUUGCUUACACUUGUGAAUAUGAGUUGAUUGAGGUGGUGGUGGUUUCUUGUAUUAAUAAUUCUAUUUAAACUCAUACCCUCCCACACCAUCAGAUCCAAGUACUAUUUUGAUAAACUUUAAAUAGAAUGGUUAAAAUAAAUGAAACACUUUUAGAAAAUAAGUGAAGAUGUUGUUUACAAAUAUAGAUGCAUUUGUAUAUAAAAGCUUUGGCGGUUGAUCCGUAUACACUUCCAGAGAUAUAAGCAAGUUCAUUGGAUUAUACAUACAUAGUUAAUGUAUUACAGUAUAAUUAAUAAGAAAACAAUUGCAUCCCUUUCAGAUUAUAUAUAUAUAUAUAUAUAUAGACACACACACGCACACAUACAUACACACAGGCCCUUUAUGCAAAGGAAUUUUCAAUUUUUUUUUUAAAUGGGGAUUAGUUGUGGGGCCCACGCUGCAUUGAACUUUAACGAUCCGAACAGUCUAUUUUGUAAUUCUCGAUUCAUAGAUCAUCCUUGUAAAAAUUCAAUUCAAUCCGAACCUAUUUGCCUAUUUAAUUAUCAAGAUAAAAUUUUAUUGUUUCUUAUAUAACAAAGUAUUCGUUAAUUUCUUUGAACUCAAUUAGAUAUCUUAAACAUUUCCGAUUUGGUUAAUAUUGUGUAAGGAUGAUCUAUGUGGUGCAACUUGAAAAAUAGACGAUUACGAUCGUUAAAGUUCGAUGUGGUGAGAACCCUACAAUUAAUCUUCAUUUUUAUAAAAGAAUGGGAACCCCUUCCCUUAAAGGUUUCCUAUGUAUAUAUUUGUUCUCCAGACAUAUGCAAAAGGUAAUGUAAAACCAAUGAGAACUUAAAUAGAUAUUCCAUACAUAGGACAAUUCCAUAUAUGCUUUUUCAACAUUGAUAUCGAAAAGCCAAAUUGUUUUGAGGAAAUUAAUUGUAGCAAUGAUCCCUUAACUUUUAUCUUAUUGGAGCAAUGGUCUCUCAACUAAAAAUUCAUGACCAUUGGUUCCUUAACUCCACACAACGUGUAGUUAUGGUCAUUUUCAUUAACCCCGUCAGAACUUUUGUUAAAACAAGUAAUGUUAGAAGAAUCAUUGCUACAAUUAGGUUAAAGUUGGGGACCAUUGCUCUAAUUAAAUUAAAAUUGAGGGAUCAUUUCUCCAAAUUGCUUAAAGUUCAAUGACCAUUUCUACAAUUUUCUCAUCUAGUUUCCCAUAUUUACCCCAUGAUUCAGCUUCACAUGCAUUGCACAUGACUCAUUUUGACAAAAAUUUUAACGAAAUUGACGAAAAUGACCAUAAAUACACGUUUUGAAUAGUUAAGAGACCAAUGGUCGUGGAUUUUAGUUGAGGGAUCAUUGCUCCAAUUUGGUUAAAGUUGAGGGACCAUUGCUACUUUUUUCUCAAAUGUUUCGUAUGCGAAAAUAGGCAUUUGUAAAGUUUGGCUUGUUCAUGGCAUUAUUACUUUAGUCUAAAGUAAGGCUGGAAAUGGCACUGUAGAAAUGAAUAGUGUUCCAAUCUGAAUUUCAGUUUAAUUACAACAAUGCCAUUGCUCUUUGUGUUGCCUUUAGGUGAGCAGCCCAGCUUGCAGCCAGGCCCAAAUGUAUUGGUUUUAGCUGAGAAGCUCGGCCCUUGGUCAUGCCCAAAAUUUUAAAUUACAGUUUUGCCCAUACAAAAUAACAAUCCGAUUGUAUCGGGAAGGACAAUUUUGUCCUUUCAGUUUUGGGUGAGAUAGGGGGUAACAGGGUAAGUUUCAUUUGCUGUCGUUGAAUGAGGGUUUCGGGGAUGAGGGCUCUGUGUGUGUGUGGGUGAGAGAGAGAGAGAGAGAGAUGGCGAUGGAAGGAGAGUGAGGGGGAAGGGAAGGGUUCUCGGCACUAUUGUUGCAUGUGGAUUUCACAAGUGGGAGAGUGGGUAUGGUCAGAGAAGACCAUAUAGGUCGUUGGGAUUUCAGGGAAACGGGGUAGGGGUCAUGAAUGAACCCUGCUGAGAGUGGGUACCGGAUCUUGCGCUGCAUGCCUCAAAUCAAAGAUAAGUUCGUUUUUUUUAUUGUAUUUUUAUGGUAGCUUAGCUUUUGGAAUUGUUUAGUAUGUUAGGUCCGAUUUUGGGGGAUUUAUCUUUUUAGAGAGAGAGAUAGACAGGGAGAUAGAGAGAGAGGGAGAGGGAGAGAGAGAGAGAGAGAGAGGAGGAAGCAUGACUGUGUGCAAUUUUUGGUGUUAAUUAAUGGGUUGGUGCGCAGGGUGAGUGACAGAGUGACAGAGUGAAGGAGGGACGUGUGGGAGGGUAUGAGUUUUCAGUUCUUUCUUUUGAUUCAACAGGUUAUACACUGUUUGAAAAACUUUUUUUUUAUUAUUUUGUUCUCGUUUGCUUUGUUCAAACCAUCAUUUGAAUUUUUGGGUUUCACUGUGCUCAUUUCUCUGCUUCUUCAUAAUUUGCUGGUGUUUGCUUCUCAUCCCUCUGUUGGUAGAUCUUUUUCUCAUUUCUUGGUUCCUUAUGUAUUCUUUUGUACAAAUCUGUUUACUUUUUUGCUGUGUGAUAAUCUUAGCAGGUGAACUAUAUGAACGUUUUUUUUGAAACGAGUUAAGAAGAUCCAGCUGAAAAUAGCAUACAAGAUAGAGAACUGGUAUGCUGCUCGCCAGGGAAAGGCUGCUGGAGAGGCCGAGACAGAUGCCUCCUUCAGAAACCAGGUCAGUUUCCUGCUGCUCGGCGUCUUAAUGUAUCCAAAUUGUUUAUCUUUUGAUGAAAUUAGCUGGCUUUAUUUUCUAUUUUAUUUAUCUGCAUAUUAUUUUGGUUUGUUGAAAUUUUGACUAUAGUCAUUGUCACAUGGGCGCCCAGCCCAACCCAAAUUAGUUGAGGAUAUUUAAAUCUUCACCAUGGUAUUAUAGUACUCACUCACAGUUGUGAAUACUAAGGUGCAGGCAUGGCAUGAAGAAGUGGACCGUGCACGCCAAUGUCAGAGGGAUGCAGAGGGCAAGCUUUUUUCUUUGGAGGUAAGUAUCCUUUGUUUAUUGCCCAACAGUGUUGUUAUUAUCAAUUUGUAGCUUUGCGUUCUGAAUUUUUUGCUUUGUCAAACAACCUUCUUGAAAUGCUCGAUUUCAAGCCGAAGUCCAAAAAAUGAGAGUUGAGAUGGCUUCCAUGAAAAGGGAUGUAGAGCAUUACUCGCGCCAAGUGAAAUCUGCUUCCUCUCUUUUCGUAUAUCUUCAUAUGAAGAGUUUUACUAAGUUAUAUUGAGAACUAUGUUAUUUAUAGGUUAUAUUUUCCAUUUUGCAGGAACACAUGGAGCUAAGGAAGAGCUAUCGUGAACUCACUGAUCUACUGGUAAUGUCACUCAAACUGCUUUAUUUGUGCAUGCUGCUACUAUGCGCUUGAAUGCAUUUUAUUACUGGCGGGAUGCAAGAAAGCUAGAUAUAUGUGCUGGAUCGCUUGAUUAGUGUUAGGGUUUUAACAACUAAUUGUUAGCAGCUAGAAGCUCUGGUUAGAUGAAUGCUAAUUUGAUUUUCCUUACAGUACUUGAGUGCCAGUUUCAUAUUGUUUGUUCCCUGCUGGAUACCUGUUGUACAGUUUCAUUUCUGUUUCUUUAUAACUUUCUUGGCCCUGGGAUAUAUGCAUAUUGAGUACAAUGAAUAUCCAUUGUUCUCUAACUGUUGGGCUUUACUAUCUUUGUAGCAGCCUGCCUAACAUUUUUUAGGCUCUACACUCUACCAUCCAAUUUAUGAAAAAUUCAAAGAUUGAACGGUAUUGAUUGCAGAAAUGAAAAAAAUACUAUGAUAUUAGAAAGGUGAAUGUAAUUGUGUUAGAAGAAGCGUCUAGCAUGAUGGGUAAUAUUUUAAGUUUGUAUUUCUAAAAUUUUUUCGUUCUGGAGUAUGAUUUACCUCAAUUGUUUUGUACUUUAAUCUUUACUAAUUUUCAUUGUGGAGUAUGAUUUGCCUCAACUAACAACUUUUCAUUGUUUAACUUUUUCCUCCCUUAGAUAGUUGCAUAUGUUUGAUUUGUUAAUCUGCUUCUUACACAUGUUGUUUCCUAAUGGUGUAGGUGGGUUGCCGGAUGCAUGUGCAGAUUACUUGAAUAGACGAAGCUAAGAAUGACUUAGUAUUAAGUGAGAAAGAAGCUUGGGUCAGUUGGAUUUUGAUAUUUGAUUUAUUCAUGUUUUUUGUUGCUUGCAAUGUUCUCGCAUUGUUGUUCUGAGAUUCUGUGAUCUUAUUUUUCAUAGGAACUGACAUUGGUUUGCCAUAUAAUGUUUCAUGAACUAAUACAACAACUAAUCACCUUGCUUAGCUCUCAAGACACAUACUUAAUAGGUUAACAAACACUAACCUAUAAACUGAUCUGCUAAGCUGGACCAUUAACCUCUGUUUAUAUCCCUGCCACUCAUCUUUUGGCACUUAUCAAUAGCAAAAUUUAGAGUUACUGAAACCCCAAUUUUAAUGAAUAUUAUUUUUAGUUGAUAAUUAAAAUUAAUUGAUGAUUAAUCUAUUCCAUUGUGCAUUAUUUUAUCGCCAAAUACUUUGAAUAUUCAUUAGCAAAAGAUAUAGGGUUCACUAUUUAAUGAAUAGAAUUUUGAUGGUGGAUUGCAUUUCCUGAGUUAUAAAUGUGGUGAAUCCAUUAUUUACUAGCUGAAUAAUCAUAAUGUUUUGGCCACUUACCUUGAAUUUUGUUCAAAUUGAAGAAGUCACAUGUUUCUUUCUGUUGUUGAGGUAAUCUCUCUGUUGAAAGCUUCUAUUUCUUUUUUCUUUUUCUCUUUUUCAUUUGGGUAGAUUUUUUUUUUAUGGAUUUAUGUAUUUUUUUUCAGAGAAUUCGAAAUGAAAUAAGAAUAGCGGAUUGAGCAUAAACAAAUUGAUGAAAUUUUUAUUUGAGUGUUUGUGUUGGUCCUUUUUUGAUUUGUUGAGGUUUGGAAUUAUUUGAGUUUUUUUUGCUGUUAGUACUGUGAAGGAUGCUUGGCAAUCGCGAAAUGGGGGCUACCUCUUUGGAAAGAGAAGUCUCGCUAUCCAACCUCUCAUGAAUUACAAACAGGGUGCUUUCUUGCUGAAAAACCACUAAACCAGUAGAACUUUCCUCGGUUCUUCAAUUCGAUUCGAAUAAUUUUUUUACCCAGAAAGCCAGCGUUUCCUGGUGGGUUUUACAGCUUUCUCAAUGUUUUUGUGAUUUUGGAUUUGCAAAUUUGUUUUCUGUUCAAAUUUCCUUUUGUGAUUUUGGAGGUUUUGUUUAUCGAUUCUCUCACUCAUCUCUCAGCUCUCUCUCACUUUUGAGGUACAUGCCGUUGGAUUCCAUUUGCUGCUGCUGAUCUGCAGGUAAAGCUUCAAUUACCAUAUAAAGUUUACAUUUUUCAUGAUUUCUUGAAUUUGGGUUUUAAACAAAGGAAAUAUUGCUAGAUUCUUAUCUUAUGUGCAAAUUACUGGCUAUUUGGAUUGAUGCUUGAGAUUUAGAGAAUGCCUCGAAGCUUUAAUUUCUUUUUCCUUCAUUAUUACUGUUUUCAAAAUUUUUAUUGCUGGGUAUUGAUAAUUUGUAGUAUGUGAGGGCUUCAAUAUGUUGGAAUUUUGAAUGGUUAUUGCUUCAUCGGAAUUUGGGUGGUCCAAAUUUUGAAUUAGAAGAAACCCAUUUGAUUAAUAUUUUUGGUGGAUUGGUUCUCUGUGUUUUCCUUGCUAUUUCUCCCCCAGUUGGAAAUUGGAAGCCCCAACUUUGAGCUCAGAGCUUGAAUUUCUCAAUCGUUCGUUUCUCUGCACUCUCAUCAGUCACUCUUGAUCCUCUAUCUAAAGAACUGGGUAAUUUUCCAGCUCUAUCAAGUAAUACUCCAUUUAAUUGCUUAAUUGAGGUUUUUUGUUUCUCUUUUUCGCUCUUUCAUCAGUUCAUUGGCUUUGAUGUUGAGCUUAAGUAAAUGGGAGAUCAUUAAUUGGCAUUGUUCAAGAUAUAAUUCUGUGUUUUUGGAUUUGUGAAACGAUUUGCCUAAUGAUGAUAGUGGUUAAAAUAAAUUUUUCGUUAUGAAAGAGAACAUUGUUCUUCAUUUGCCUAUGGUUUUAAGUACAAAGUUAAACUACUAUGCUUUUGUUCAAUUGACUGCAACUCAUGCCGCAGUUUGCUUCACAAACCUCUACGGUUAGCUUCCAUAUAGUAUGUUGCAAGUUUGAGGAUAUCUUUACAUCUUAAUUUUUGCUCUCUCUGGUUGCUUCAAGUUUGUAAUUUUACGUGUUACAUUGCUACUUGAUUUGAUUAUAAAAAUGCAAAACAAAAUCCGUUUUGCUUUUAUUCAACUUAAAUGUAUCCUUUUGUUUGUUCAUAAUUGUGUUGAAUUUAUUCAACUUAAAUGUGUUUUAUUCAUCUGUUUACGCUUAAAACAACUGGUUUCCCUAGCAAUGCGCGGGCCUAAUUUCUAGUACAUAUACUAAAAGCCAGCAGAAAAUUACUGUUCAUCAUGGGAGAUAGAGCACUGUUCAUUAACCGUGAAAGGGCGAAAAUGCCCUCGGAUUCUUCUUUACUUCACGUACUGUUUACGAAUUGCUACAGUAUAAAGUCCGUUUUGUCCUUCCUGUCCACGCAUCUUUCAUCGUCCGUUUCUCUUGCUUCGACCACAUCUUUUUUGCUUUACCUUUCCUCUUCGUUUUUCGCAUUCGUUAGGCUACGAUUUUCGGAGGUGGAUUGUUUGCCCUCCCAUUUCCAUGGUCUCCCCAUGCCCUCCCAUUUCCAUGAUCUCCCCACGUCAAUAUUUUAUAAAAAUAAUAAAUAAAAGGUAAUAAGAAUAUAAAAUGUUGACGUGUCUUAACGUGACCACAUAGGCAUUGGGAGAGCAUGGAAAUGGGAGGGCACACAAUCCACCUCCGACUUUCUCCCUUUUCGCCAGCCCCUCUUUUGCUCUCAAAUCCUUGCUCUUUCUUUUGCAAAAUAGUCUCAGAAGAGAUCCUGGGUUUAUCGAAUCCUUUGUUGUUGGGCGUUUUGUUCUCAUCUUGCGAUCGUCGGGGCAGCAGCUUUAAGGUAAGUUUGUUUUUAAUGAUUUAUCCUCAUUUUACGAUGUCUGGGCUAACAAAUUUAAGAUCUUUAUUUUUCUUUUUGCUGCGGAUCUGCAGGUUUUGACAAGUUUUUUGUGAAAUUGGUGCUGUCAGUGGGUGUUAACAUCAGGUACCCAUGUUCAGUUUUUCGUUUUGAUUUGAAGGAAUUUCUUGCGCAGAAGAGCUAGGGUUUCUUGGUGAGUUCUUCGGGUUUUUCAUAUGGGUAAUUUUCUUUUCGGUUUAACCCUCUGCUUCUGCUGCUCUCUCUCUUUCUCUCAUCCCUGCCUGCUCCUCUCCAAUUGUUUGCUGUUCUUAAAUAUUGUGUUCAUUGCCUGAUACAACGAGGCAAUGGCGUGACAACAGGUGAGCUUGGAUAUCCAAAGAAAAAGAACAGUUGGUUCAUCUGCUGGAGUCUGAAGCUCAGAGAAGUGGAGGAAAAUUGCAGGUGUGCGAGAAAUUUUAUUUUGCUGAUAGGACUCCUUAUUUACGGAUGCAUUUUGAAAUAAUUGAAAAGUUGGAUUUGAGUUAACAGCUAUAAAAAUGUAGACAUGAUUGCUGAGAUUAUGCUAUGAAAGUGGAAUAAAAAAAUGGUAGUUUAUAAUAUUGCGUACCAAUUGUUUUCUCUCUUUUUUACCAAAUGAUAAGGGUGGUGGCUCAGGCCGCCCCCCUAAGCGUCCCCACUCUUCGACAAGUUGAAAUCGUGGUGAUAGUUUAUGGGCUGUGGUCUUGGGAUUCUGCAAAUAGAAUGAAAAACAGACACUUAACUAUCUUGUUAUUAAGCAUUUCUGCAUCAUUCAGUUGCUCUUGAUUUUCGUCUUUUAAGCGAUCUUAUUUCUGCGAUCUGACUUGAGGAGGGUUUUUAGACCUAUGGUUGUGGGUGUUUUCUCUGACCCCAUUAUCCGAGAUUUGUAGACUUGCGAUCGGCGGUCAAACAUUUUGUGAUUCUUGUUUUCUCUGCCUUUCGGUCGUUAAGCGCCGGCAGUCUUUAGAUCUUUGGCAAAUCAAUUUAAUACAACCGAGGUAUGUUUUAUAACUGCUGUCUUUCAAUUUUUGUUCUGUAUUUUUGUUAAUUUGGAUGAAGCUCUAAUAAUUUUGUUUUGGAUCAGUUGUGGUCCUCUGUUAGGAUUUUCCUGGCUAAGAGGGUAUUUGCGUUUUUGUUGCUUGGUUGGUCGAUCACAGAUUUACGAACAGCUGUGGUGGUCCUGUUAUUUUUUUGGUAUGUUUUUUCUCCUUUUUGGUUUUUUCCCGGUUUGAGCACCCAUUCAUGAAGAAUUAAAAUGUGUUUAUAGUUUUUCAGGAGAGAUUAGAAAAGUGAUUUCAAUUUGGGAAAAUUUAAUGUUGGUUAAAAUUUGUUUAUAAUUUUUGGGAAGGAAUGAGAGGACCCAUUGAAGUAUGUGUUGUGAUUAUUUUUUAUUCAUAUUUUUAACAAAUUGGGCAUGAAUUGGUAGGUUAACUGUGUGUGUUUAUUAUUUGAAUCGGCCAUGUUUGUCUUUCUAUGGUUCUAAAAAAUUUGUAAAGGCUGUUAACUUGGAAGAAAAUGGGAUCGAGGGUGAGGGGAAAACGGCAGAGAAAGCAUGGAAGAGAGAUUUGGGAUUAGGGGUAGGAAAACAGAUGAAAAGAAUAUGAUAGAGGAAUGGGUUCAGUUCAUUUUCACUAUUUUUUUUAACUGAUUUGGAUUUUGUUUGGGUUUGAGGCCAUCAUUGGCGUUAAGACGUUUAUUAUCAGAUCGUGUGUUUUUUGCUAACUUUUAUUGGUAAUUUUAAUGUUGUUCUUAUGAUUUUGUGUGGUAGGGUUUCUGAAUUUUAUCGUUAUUCAUUUGGUUUUGUGUGUGUGUUGGUUUGUUUAUUUUGCAGGUUGUGUUUGUGCUGGGACAACAUUUUCCACCUUCUGUUUGCACUGGGAUGAUUGCGUUUUAAAACUGUUGGGGUGAGAUUUACAUAUGGAAUCAUUCCAUUUUUUUUCUUCCAAAUAUGUGCAUUUAGUUCUCUUUUAUUUUAAAUUUUAAAAAUUAAAUCGUUAUUUGAGUAAAAUGUUUUAUCAGUUUAUGUUAUGUGUUGUGACCAGGAAUUCUGUUGGAUUUGCGAAUUUUGGUUUGAUGAGAGAAAUGAGGAGUUUUUUUUGUUUGAAUUUUUUAUUGGACCGAUUUUCAAUUGGAUUGCAUUCUGCCUUUUUGCACCAUUCUUAUGCAAGCAAUUCAUUGUUUUAAAUACAAUUUGAAGAGAGCUGGGUUGCGGGUUGGAUAUAAAAUGUUAAGGUGAGAUAAAAUCGAGAUACCAAGGGUGGAAGAAUGAUUCAGAAUUGGGGGAGGAAAACAGAGGGAAGAUAGAAGAAUAUAAGAGAAGGAUAGGGUUGACCUCAUUUAGAGUUUUUAUUUACUUAUUUUUUUUUAUAAAUUGAUUCAGGACUUGCAUAUCAUUUCUAAAUUUCUAACAUUUUUGUUUAAUUUGACUCCAGUUGAUGGAAAACAGAGCUCUUACUCCUAUCAAUCAGAUGGUCCCGUACAUAAAUGCAGAAAAAUCAAGGUUCGAGUUUGCAGAGUAUGCAGACCAAGGUUUCCCGAAACUACUGGUGCAUAUUCAGGCUUGCAUUGUAUAUUACUUACCUAUUAAAAAUUUGUUUGGAAUUUGCUUUUCCCACAGAGGAGAAGAGCUGACAGUUACGCUGUGGGCAGAUGUUGCUCGAAGUAUUGCUUCUUUAUCCAUUGAAUCAUUGUCUCUGCCGAUCAUUGUGGUUUUCACAAGUUUAAAGGUCAAGCUGUACCUAGGUAUUUGACUUAGUUAAAAACUAAUCUAUUUACUAUUAAUUUUUCUAUUAUAUUCAAACGUUAUUUAAUAUAUACUCUACUAAUAUUUUCUUAACAUGUCACACAAACAUAUUCACUUCUUUUGAUCAAUUUUUUUACAGCAUUUCAUAUAAAAGCUAACAUUUAGUUGAAAUUGAUUAGCAACUCUUUUCUUGCAUGUAUACAUACGAAUUAAACAAUAGUAUUAAACUAUUUGUUAUCAUUCUCAGUAUUUGUUUUAGAAUUAGAUUAAUAUAUUUAACCUGUUUUAGAAUUAGAAUUAUUUGGUAUCACUCUCAGUAUUUGUUUUAGAAUUAGAAUUAGAUUAAUAUACUGAGAUUAUUUAGACAAAUCUAGCAUUUUCUCAAAAUAUUUGACUUUUAAACUUAGAUUAAUAUAUUUAGCAGUUUUUUAACAUGCAAUUUUUCAUUAAUUUUUCAACACACAGACAAGAUAGUCUUGAACACCAUUGGUUCAUCACUUUUCUUCAUUGAUCUAGAUAUUCUGGAAGUAAAUUCAUACAAAUCAGUGUAAGUGUGUUUACUUUGUUUAAAAAAAUAUUAUAUGCUCUCACAAUAAAAGAAGGGCUAUUCUCACAAAAUUUAUGAACUAAUGUUCUGUUUUAACCUCUACAGCUUUUCCAAAUGCACAGAACCUCUAAAAAUACUGCCACCUUUUACAAAACAGGCCCGUGAAGCUCAAAUCUUGCAGACAGCGAAGGUCACAAUUGCAGACGCUGAAAUUUUCAUGCCAAAAUAUGAUGUGGAGGAUGAGAAAUUGUUUGCUGUUGUUCUCUUUUCAGUUUUGCAGGCGAUGAUCUUUUACCAAAUGUCGAGGAGCUUCCAUGGGACAUGCUCUAUGCUCUCGCUUCCCAGUUGCCUCUGUUGGGGUUGGAAAAGCUACAGAUCACAAUGUAAGUCAAAAACAGUAAAGUUCCCAAGAUGUUCUGUGCUGGAGCAGAUUUAAAGGUACGAAUUUUUAAUUUUUUUGUGAAGUCGAUGUUUUGUUUUAAAAGGAGUUUAUAAUGGAUUGAUUGGACAAGUACAGCGUGUUUUGCAGAUAAAGGGCCCUAGCCAAUUUUCUAUGACCUAUAAAGCAUUAACCAAAUUGGGUUUUGUUUGUUUGGUAACAGGGGUUGUUCAGGUUAGGUUGGAGAGGUUGGAGGUGAGAAAUGCAAUUGGGAAAGAUACGCUGAGAGUUUUACAGAACACCUUUGAAGCUGUCAGUGAGGAUUCUUCUGCUAAUGUUUUGUUGAUCAGCAGUAAAGUUCCCAAGAUGUACUGUGCUGUAGCAGAUUUAAAGGUAGGAAUUUUUAAUUUUUUCGUGAAAUCAAUGUUUUGUUUUAAAAGGAGUUUAUAAUGGAUUGCAUGGACAAGUACAGAGUGUUUGUUUGUUUGGUUGAAUGUAAAAAGGAAUUGGAAGAAUGAUGAAAGUACUUGCAUUUGGUUGUAGUUGGUCAGGCACUGAAGGACCGGUCAAUACGAAGUGCAUCUGUGGGACAAUAGUUGAAAGAAGGCCAGAGCAGGAAGAGAAGGCAAGGUUUGUGAAGAAAAACAGUGAUGUGUUUAAUUAGAAGAAAUGUGCAUUUUUUUUUCCCAGUCAAAUUCUGCUUUUGUUCUGACUAUUUUCCUUACUGUAUGCUGAUUUUAUUAUUUAAUUUUUGGUUUUUCCUUGAUUGGCUUGGGAAUUACAAUCAAAUGAUGAAUCUUCAGUUUACUUGGGUAAGCAUUUUUUAACAUAUAAUUUAGCUGACCAUUUUAACUGUCAGACCAUGUUGUUUUUGGUUAUCUAAUCAUUCCAAGAUGGCAAGUUAGGAUUGGAAGGGUUGCUAGAAAUAAGGAUUAUAUCUUGGGACAUUCGGUGAGUGAUUUUUCAAACUUUCAGUUUUACAAGACAAAAUAUCUAUUUUUGUGUGUAUUCUUCAAGCAUGUUAUCAUUAUUUAGGUUGUAGGAAAAAAAGAGAGUGACUUGAGGUGUUUUUAGAUAUUUUUGUGUGUAUUCUUCACAAUGUAUUAAAAGCGCGAGGCGUGGGCGAGGCGUCUGAGGGAUAGCCCACGCCUCACGCCUUACGGGACCUAAAUUUUUUAAUAUAUACACUGAGCGUACACAUAUAUUAUAUUAAAAAAAAAUUAUUAAUCAAUAAUUACCCUGAGCGCACAUAUAUAUUAUAAAUACAUAUAUACACAUAUAUAUACAUAUAUUAUGUUAUAUAUAUAUAAAAUAGAGGAUGAAAAGCACAAUGAGCACACAUAUAACAAUGCAUGCAGACGGCACACAAUAUAGUGCAAGGAAUAGGUAUGAGGUAGUUAAAACCCUACCCAAAAUCUGGGUUUGGGAGUAAAAAUAAAAAAUAAAAAAAAAAUUGCUUGAGGCGCGUCUAGGCGGCUCCGACAACGCCUUCCGGCGCCUUCCGCCCACUCCCUCAAAACAAAGGCGGCAACCCUCAAGUCCAGCCUCACAGGGUGCCUAGGCGCACCCUGAGGUGAGCCUUUUAAAACAUUGAUUCUUCAAGCAUGCUAUCAUAAUAUUUGUAACUAUAAAAAAUAAUAUACUAUUAUACCUCUGUUUCUCUUUUCUUUGUUUUCAUGAGAAAUUAAUUGCCAUUGGCAGCACUAUAGAAAGCCAUCUUUCUCCAUUAUUCUCCGCUUCAUGCAUAAUUACAUAAUUCUACUAUCACAGUUGUCAGUCCUGAACAAUCAUGCAAGUCUAGUGGCAAAAACCACCUCAAUGAACAACUCUCACACACACACAGACACUGAUCAUACAUCUCUAACUCUCUUUUUCAAAUAACACACACUCUGAUCCAAAACAGGGUAAAUAAAAUGCACAUCCUUAUACAUUUCUAACUUUGUUUUUCGAAAUCCAAAAUAGGGUAUUCUAACUCUCUUUUUCAUUCAUUUCUUACAAACCAAUCAUACAUUUAAAAUAGGCUUUGAAUAAAAAUAGGGUAUAUAAUUAUAUACCUCAAAAUGCCUAGGAACCAACUUCCCCCUCCAACGAUUCAAAUUCUUGAAAUUGCCAACACAGUAAAUCCAUUAGUACUAUAUAAAUGAAAACACAAUUGAAACCCAUCAAACAAAACAAUCCCACAAUUUAAAUGAUUCAAUCCUACUACAAUUGAAAUUCACAGAAAGAAUGAAAAACCAGAACAAAACUGCAGCACCUAAAAAGUUGUCAUACAAAAAAACAUGGAAUGUAAAAAUAUGUUAAGAAAUCUAGUUCGUUAAUUUCCAGCUGCUAAGUGGCAUUAUGUAACUUUAGUAGUAUACUAAUUAACUACUUAUCUGGUGGGUUGCACUUUUAUCCAAUUGGUAAGGAAAGGAAAAUAAAAAUCAACCCCUUGGUCUUAGUUGUGGCUGCAAAGUGCAGGCCACCACCAAGUCUCAGUGUUUGUGUUUUAGCAAAACACUUAAAUAAAUUAAAUUCUGAAAUGUAAAUUAUAUUCCUAUAACUUUAAGAUGCACAUAUAGUAUUGUUGAAGUCGAACUGAAAGCACUGACAAUUCCAAGCAACAGAGCAGCAAUUAUUAAGAGCCAAAACUCAUUCCUAGUCUCCUCAUCCUGGUACUCAACUCCGUAAUCUUUGGUCAGCAUCAUUGACUGAAAUUAGGAGAGAAAAAGAAAAGGAAUUUCAGAAAUUGUCUAUGAAGCAAAGGAUACUGCAGUUACUUCAAGACAUGUAAAUUGCAUAUGUAUAAAGUAAUUUUCUACAUAAAGUAAUGAGGCAUAACUUUCUCUCUCCUCUUCAAACCCUAAACAGAGCAAAGCAACAAACUUUACAGAGAUUAGAAUGAGAACUGGAACUAAUCGAACAAUGACUGAAAAGUAACAUACUUGAGGAGUGAAUGAUUUAGUGUUUCCAUCAUCGGAAGCCGGAGUAAGUCGCUAAGAGAGGUCGCAAACAGCCCAAAGGGACAAACCCAGAUCCCCGGCCCCGAUCCAUACCCUUCCCCCUCAAAUCCCGACGGCCCCCAUACUUUUCUCUGACUGUACCCCCUCUCCCACUCAUGAAAUCGAGGAUCUGUAGCAAUGGUACUGAGAUCCCCACUCCUCCCUCUCCCUUUCUCUCUGUCGCUCUGUCUCCCUCUCCCUCUGUCUGUCUAUCUUUAUCCCAGAGCGGCAUGGCCUCCCAUCCCUGAAACCCUCACCGAAAGGUGGCAAUUUUGUAAAUAACUUGAAAUCCACCAACAACAGGGGCAGAGAAUUGAAACAAACAUUUAGGCUCGUUCGAUAACCAUUUAGGCCAAAACUGAGCACACCUAAACCAUUCCUACCCGUGCCAAAUGUUAGUGGGGAAGCAAGAUGAAGACUUAUUUUUCAAAACCAAAAGAAAAAAAAAAGAGAAAACAAAAUAACAAAUCUAAUGGUUGUAGUGUAAAAGCUGAGAACGUAAAUAAGAGCAGUUCCAGCCUUGUAAAUAGGCCGGGGGACAGGGGAGAAGAAAAGGCCUGAGGGCCUGUCAAGUUGCUCCAGCUAUGAGGAGCCCGAGCUCGUGGAGAAGGCCCGAGCAGGGGGUCUGUCAAUUUGUGACAGCCUCGGAGCCCGAGCUCCAAGCCCAUUUUUUAUUUUUUUCUGUCAGGCGCGUGCACCCCACUCGCGCGUGGGGGCGCGUCGCCCGACAACUUUUCAGAAAAACAGACAACUUUUCAGCCUUUCACAGUUACCGUUGGGAAGCCACGUGGCUUCCCACGGUCUGUUCGAUCUCAACGGCUCCUUCAUUUGGACCGUUGGAUCUCAAUGGUAAAAAAAAUAAAAAAAAUCUGAUUUAAUAUCAACCGUUCGAUCCGAGAUCAACGGUCGAUAUUAAUAUGCUUUAUAAAUAAAGAAAAAAUAGUUUUAAAAUUAAGAAAAGUUACCGUUGUGACACGUGGCACAAUCUGGAGUGUUGGAAUUCAAAAUUUUUUAAAUCCAACGGCAGAAAUUAAUUAUUGGAAUUUUUUUUUAAAAAUGGAAAAAAUCCGAAAAAAUUGUAAAAAAUCUGAAAUUUUUUUUGUAAAAAUUUGUUUUUACUUUUCUAUAAAUACCACUUCUUCUCUAUCUACCUUACACCACAAUUUCAUAUUUUCUCAACUACUUUCAAUCAAAUUCCUAUCUUUCUCUUAAAGUUUCAAUCCAAUUUUUUUCCACAAAAUGGCUACUGAUGCAGGUUCGAAUUGGUCGCUUCUUGAAGAUGUUGCGUUGUGCACUAGCUGGGUUCAAGUUACUCAUAAUUCCGUUACGGGUAAUGAGAUGCAGUUGCGAGAAAUGUGGAGUUUAAUUCAUACCAAAUUUGUUGAGCAAAUGAGUGGGAAAAGAACCAAAGAAUCGAUAUCGAGUCGUUGGAAAAUACUUAGCCAUUCCUUUAGUACGUGGAGAGAUGCCUUGACACAAGCUAGUAAUAAUGUUCGAAGUGGGGCAAAUUAUGCGGAUGAGGUAAGAAUAUAUUAUAAUUAUUUGUUUGUAUUAUUAUUUUGUUACCUAAUUUGAUUAUAAUUAUUUGUUUGUUUCAUUUAUUUGUUACCUAAUUUCAUUAUUAUUAUUUGUUUGCAAUAUUUAUUUGUGACCUAAUUUCAUUAUUAUUAUUUGUUUGUAUUAUUUAUUUGUUACCCAAUAAUUUCAUUAUUAUUAUUUGUUUGUAUUAUUUAUUUGUUACCUAAUAAUUUCAUUAUUAUUAUUUGUUUGUAUUAUUUAUUUGUUACCCAAUAAUUUCAUAAUUAUUAUUUGUUUGUAUUAUUUAUUUGUUACCCAAUAAUUUCAUUAUUAUUAUUUGUUUGUAUUAUUUAUUUGGUACCUAAUAAUUUCAUUAUUAUUAUUUCUUUGUAUUAUUUAUUUGUUACCUAAUAAUUUCAUUAUUAUUCAUUUGUAGCAACUUCAAGCACAAGCAUGGUAUGCUGCCAAAAUCAAAUCAAGAAACAAAUCAUUCCACCGAUGGGAAUGUUGGAAUAUUGUUAAAGAUUGUCCUAAAUUCAAAGUUGUGCCUGUUGGUCCAGAAGUAUGCAUGAACAGCAUCCCUCUACACAGCACCUUUGUAUACAGCAACCCUCCACACUCUACACCUGAUGAUGGCACUCAGGUUGAUGAAGAAGAUGUAGAUUUAUUUAAUUUCGUAAUAUAUUUAUCCUAAUAAUAGAAUCUUUAUUCAUCAAAUUGUUCACGUAUAAUGAAAUAAUGAAACACACCAAAUAAAACUAAAAAACUCACCAAUUGGAAUUACAUAAACAUACCAAAUAAAAUUACACAAACAUACCAAAUAAUAAAAAACUCACUACAAAAAACACACCAAAUUAAAUUACAUAAACACACCAAAUACAAACAAAUAUAGUAAAUAAACUUAAGUAUCUUCAGCUUGUUUCAAUGCCCACUGGUGCUCUAUCAAGUCAAUUUGCCGAUCAUUGUGUAUAGAUGACCUUUGAAGUGCAGUAUAUUGUUGAAUAACCCUUUCAUUGUAACGUCCAUCCCUUUCUAAUGGCUCGUGUUGCACGGGUUCUUCGGUGGCAUCAUGCGCACAAUAUAUCCGUGUUCUUGAAUUGUUCAUCGUGUCUGGCUCUGGCUCAUAUUCAUCAACCGCAUCAUAAUCGAACUCAUCUUCCACAAUCAUGUUGUGAAGAAUGACGCACGUCAUCAUGAUGGAUCGAAGUGACUCUACAUCGAACAUUCUGGCAGCACCCCUGACAAUCGCCCAACGAGCUUGAAGGAUACCAAAACAACGCUCCACAUCCUUCCUGCAUCCCUCUUGACAGCUUGCAAAGUGUUUUUCCUUUGCACUUCUCGGACGUGGCACUGUUUUGACAAAUGUUUCCCACUGUGGGUAAAUGCCGUCAGCUAGGUAGUAUGCCCCGUCGUACCUACGUCCGUUGACGACAUACGUGACUUGUGAUGCCUUUCCUUGGAGGACGUCGUUGAACACUAGGGAUUGGGUAAGGACGUUGAGAUCAUUUUGAGCCCGGGAACCCCGAAAAAGGCGUGCCAUAUCCAUGUAUCAAAAGAUGCCACUGCCUCCAAAAUGAUAGAUUUUGCUCAUUUUCUGUCCCCAUAUGCGCCUUGCCAUGCACUUGGACAGUUUUUCCACGUCCAGUGCAUACAAUCGAUGCUUCCUAUCAUCCCAGGAAAACCUCGCAUCUCGCCCUUCUUCAGAAGCCUUUGCAAGUCCAUGUGAGUAGGUCUUCGGAGGUACUCUGCCGUGUACAAAGAUUCGACUGCUCCGCAAAACCUCAUCAGGGCCUCAAGAAUGGUUGAUUUCCCCAUCCUCGUUAUCUCAUCCACUUGGUCUGCAGAUGCUCCAUACGCAAGCAUCCGCAACGCAGCAGUGAUUUUUUGCUCUGGCAGAAGAUCCAUAACACCACAAGCAUCCUUCUUUUGCACGAAGUAAGAAUCAUGGUUGCAAACAUCAGUCAUGAUUCUGUUGAACAAAUGUCGUUCCAUUCUAAAACGGCGUCUGAAGUACGUAUCAGGAAAUGCACUGUUAUGGACGAAGUAAUCGUCCAACAGCUCUUCACCCCGUCGUUGCCUGCUUCUAUCAAGGUUUUUUGAACGGCUGGGCCUGCAUAUCUGAGCAACAGUCUGGAUGACUCGACGAGAAUGUGAGGCUCUGGCCAUUCUUGUUUCGUCAUCUCUCUUUCUACGCUCCUCAUCUUCUUCCAUCUCAUUUCUGCCUAUAUGAAGGUUGAACAUUCCUUCAGAUUGGUUAAACAAUUCUUUCUCUUGCUGAUUGAUUUCCCACAUCAUCCUUGAUGAAGAAGAAGACAUUGUAGGAUGGAUGGUGAAGAAGAAGCAAAAUCUAUGAAUAAUGAGAUUGAGAUGUUGAGAAAAUUGGUGUGAGAUUUGUGAGGAUGGAUGGUGGAUUAUAUGGACGAUUCAGAAAGGAUCGGAUUGUAGAUAAGGCCACGUGGCAUGCCGUCAUUCGUUAAAAAUCUGAUCGAAAUCUGUCCUGAAAGAUUCUGAAAAGAUAAUGACACGUGGCACGAUCGUAUUGGAUAAAAAUCUUAUCGAAAUCCAUCUCCAAUAAUUAUCAUUUUGGAUAAUGACACGUGGCGCAAUUUUGAACGAGUUAAAAUCUGAUUGAAAUCUGUCUUGAAAGAUUCUGAAAAGAUAAUGACACGUGGCACGAUCGUAUUGGAUAAAAAUCUUAUCAAAAUCCAUCUCCAAUAAUUAUCUUUUCGGAUAAUGACACGUGGCGCAAUUUUGAACGAGUUAAAAUCUGAUCAAAAUCUAUCGUCAAAGAUUCUCAAACGAUAACGACACGUGGCACGAUGACAUUUGAUAAAAAUCUUAUCGAAAUCCAUCGUUAAAUAAUUGUUUUUUUUUAUAAAAUGAUACGUGGCGCAACGAUAACGAUUUAAAAAAUCUUAUCCGAAAUUACAAAUAAUUUUAUUUUGUAUUAUUUAAACAAACAAAAAAAACUAAUAUUUUAUUGCCUAUUGCCAGGGGGAGGGCUCCAAGGGUGGAGAUGCAAAUGGCAAUUACUGUUCAUUAAUGUCAGUUACUAUUCAUUCAAGGCAGUUACUGUUCAAUAGGGUGGAUUCAAUAGUGGAUUGCCAGGGGGAAGGUCUUCAUGGGUGGAGUUGCUCUAAACAUGCAGGGAAAAAAAUGAAGAUACAAAGUAGCUGCAUCAUGAAACACAUACUCCAAUUAGACGCAAAAAGUGAUGGUGAUGAGAAGAGAGAAAAUGUUGUCGUUUUGAUUUUUCUGGCUUUUAAAGGGAGCAGCUUUCUUCGACCACCAAAAAAAGGAAGUUGCUUUUCGUGUGGUUGUGAUUUCCUGAGUGUAUGUGAGCGGGUCUAUGGCACUUGCACUGUUUGUGUCGGUUAUGGUAACCGGGCGAGCUGGACACAGUAGCGUGGGACUGAAUUCGGAGAGGUGAGAAAAAUUAAAAACACAAAAAGAAGGUGUUCAUUUUGUCACAUUUUUAUUACUAAAAAUUCAAUAAAGUACAUUCAUUAGUAUGGUAACUUAACUAUUUAAUUCCAUCUCAUUAAACUAAAAAAAACAAUUACAAAAAAAUAAGGAAAACCUUGUCCAGAGAGACCUGAGAGAAAGUGACGACUUCUCCUCUCAUUCCACUCCAUACUUGAUCUCUAAAGUCCAUUUGGCAUGUAAUUGAUGUUCAAUUUCAAAUAAAGUGGUGGCAAUUAGCAAAGCUAAUGAAAGAAUCAAAUAAAAUGAAAGAAAAAGCAUCAUGAAAUAAAUCAAGAUGAAGAAUGAAAUUUUGGCAACUCGCCAUUCUCUUCUUUUAUAUAAAAGAUACAUCCUAUUUGUAGUGAAAACAGGUCCCGACAAACCCAGUUAUCCUCAAGAAGUAUUUUGUAUGACUUUAAAAACAUAAUCCGUGAAAUUAUCUCUUGGCAGAGAACAACAACAAAUCUUCAUGCAUAGCUUGUAGAGAAAGACAUCAGGCAUACAAAAGAACAGGCAAGCAUAAAAUAAACGAUGCAUGGAAAACCAAAAAUACAAUUGAAUAUGCUGUCAAAAGAACAUGAAUAAAUGAAAAUUACAAAACAAAGAAGUGAUGGGAAACCAAAGUAUUCAUAAUCUAAUUGCUUUUUAGUUUGCUUGCCAUUUUUAGUUCUUCAAUUUAGAGAGAAACCAUAAUUCAGCACAUGAAUAAAGUGAAAACGUAAAAGAUACGUGGGAUAAGCUGACAGCCAUCCCUGAGUAAUGCAUUCACUUUUGAACCCCAAACACACCGAAACAAAAAUUCACACACAUGAACUACAGCUCCGCUAUGUAACAAGAAUUAAAAGCAUCUCAAAACAAAAUGGCAAACUAUAAGAGCAUUGUAAAAGUAAAAUUGCAUCUAAUACUUGGAGGGCAAGUACUAAUCAGACGAAAAUGAAAGAUUGAACUACCUCACGUGGAACUGUGCCUUGGUUUUUUCCCAUGCUUACAAGAAGCUUUGCACUGAGCUCUUAUAGCCCAAAUUUUCUCUGAAGGAAAAAAAACACAAUUUUGGAAUAAGAUUUUCAUAUUAUACCUUAAAGAGAAGAAUUAGACAACAAAAAAGAGAACAAUGAGUACUAUUCAUCAUAUAUUGUUAAGAGUAUGUGGUCUUCUAGUCCAAUGGUCCUGCAGUCAUAUUUACUUUAUAACUCUUUCUUUUAGUCUAAAAAAACAUCUUGGAUCUCAAAUUAUUAUGAAUACGGAUUCAUACUUUAUAACUAAAGAUCUUACUGCUCUUGAUAAGAUGAACAAUACGCCAUUUAUCGCAUGCAUUGCAUUACAAUCACAAUGCAACAUCUCAUUAGAAAUCCCCACACAAAGCAGCUCCACUCAUUGUGGUCCUUGCAAACCGAAUUGGCCCAACGAUCAGCGAGAGAAAGGAGACGGCGGCGAGAUGAGGGAUAUGAUGGAUGCGAGAUCGUCUGUAUCGUUAUCGCGGGGGGUCUGCAAGACGGACGAGGAAAGUAGGGUUUGAGAAGGCAUUGUCUUCUCGCGGGGUAUGUGUCCUUCCUAUUCCACGAUUAUCAACACGUGUGCAUCAGGAGGAGCGGCAGAGAGAGGCAUUGUUGUAAAUAAAGUGAAAUCGAAGGGUAAGGGCCCAUUCUUUAAGGUAAUGGCAUGGCCAUAAAUAGAAUGAAAUCCAGAUCAAAACACUGUCAUUUGUACAGUACAAUUUCUCCAUCUUCUUCAGACUAAAGUAAUGUAUAUGUUAUACGCACCAACACAAGUCCUUCUUAGAUAAAUCCAAGCCAAACAAUUACAAACGACAGUUAUUCACAAGAAAAUCACUUUAAAGCAAGAAUUUAAUUAAUAAUACAUUACUACACUUUCUUAACAAUUUGACGGUCACCUAGCUAACAAUGAACACGUUAGCUAUGCGUUAGAACAUAUUGGGUUCAAUCCAUAGUCUUGAAUAUCACCCCGAGUCACAACUGUCUCUUGGGGCAUACAGAAGGCCUGAGAGGCAUUUGCAGACAUUCAAUCUCUCCUCCAAGCAUUUCGACAACUUUGGAAAUCGAAAGGCGAUCACUUGGUUUCAUUUGAAUACACCACAAGGCGGUUAUAACCAUCUUUCUUAUCACUUUCUUUUCCUCCUCUGUAACAUUGUCUAUUUCCAAGUCAUUUCCCACAAUAUACUGAUCAUAUACCCACAUCGGGAAGUAGAUUUGGCUUGGAUGCUCUACCGUUGCAUUCAAAUUCUUCCUUCUGCUUGCCAUUUCCAUCAACAACAUUCCAAAACUAUAGACAUCGGCCUUGUAUGAGACACCUCCAAUAUUUUUGUAGAACAACUUAGGAGCAAUAUAUCCCAUUGUACCCGUGUUGCCGUCAAAGAGACAAUGAGAAAACUCUUGAGUUCUUCAGAAACCACGAGAAACUUAAAACUGAGAAAGCUUCGUGAUCUCCCUUCCAUCUCUGCUACGCAAUCUCUGCUUCCUCCGUGAUUUCUUCCUUCCUGAUCGACAUCUAUUCGAAUUGAAAACCUUCUGGAGCUCACUACCCCCUUUGUCAGCAGUAAUUAGGGGUGGGUUCAAAAAACCGAAAACCGAAAAAAAUCGACAACCGAACCGAACCGAGGCCGAAAAAAACCGAACCGAAAAAAAACCGAACCGAAACUGUCAAACCGAACCGAACCGAAUCUGACCGGUUCGGUUUCGGUUUUUGAGGUUCAAAAACUGAACCGAACCGAACCGAACCGAUAUAUAUAUAUUUAAUUUUUUUUUCAAUAUUAUAAAUAGUUUAGGCAUACAAUCAUAACAAAACAGAACUUGUUGCCAAGUUGGUUUAAGCGAAAUUUUUCACACUGGUGGCAAUGGGUUCGAACCCUCAUGCCUUUAGGAUUUAUGAGAUUGUUUUUUAAUUUUGUUGAGAAAUCAACAAAAUCCUUUAACCCUAACUUUUUUAUUUUUCAUUCCCCUCUUCUCUCUCUUGUUCCCUGCCUCCAGUCCAAACUCCCUCCAUGAACCCUAACCCAGUAACCCUCUCGCGCCGCCUGAGCUUCCUGUCUCUCUCGCUCGGUCUUCAAUCGCUCUGUCUCUCUCAAUCUCUCAGGCAACCCGCGACAGUGCGACCCUUCUCACUCUCAAUCUCUCACACCUCGCCCUCUCCAUCAGUCUCUCAUCUCGCCGUUUCGAGUCUCGAUAGCAAAAGGUUAGCCUCCUCUCUCUCUCUCUCGGUCUUCAACUUCAAUCACUCUCUGUCUCUCUCAAACUCUCUGUCUCUCUCGGUCUUGAAUCUCAGGCGACCCACGACGGGGCGACCCAUCUCACUCUCAAUCUCUCACACCUCGCCCUCGCCGUCAGUCCUUCAUCUCGCCGUGAGCUUCUUCUUGCCGUUUCGAGUCUCGACUGCAAAAGGUUAGUCUCGCCGUGAGCUUCUUCUUGUUCGUUCGCAGACGGAAGCUCUCUACUCCAAACUCUACGAAAAGUACACAAAAAUCAAGGUGUUCUGUGUUCUUUCCCACUUCUUUACAAUUUUUUUUGCUCAUUCAUUUUUUUUUGCUUAAUCAGUUAAUUGUAUGUUAAAUUUGCUCAGGGGAGAAAUUUGAGGUUAGGGAAAUAGAAAGUAAUUGUCUUUUUUUGUACUUUUGAAUUUUUUUUGCUCAUUCAUUUUUAAUUGCAUGCUAAAUUUGAGUUGGGAACUUUUGCUUACUUGUUACCCAGUUGGAUUUUUUUGAGCUACUUUUGCAGUUUCUUUCUUCGUCUUAAUUUGGGAACAAUUUGAUCAUGUUUGACUUAUCAUUUUGUUAUUGGAGGAAAUCAGCAGCUUUAUGGUUUGGCAAGGUGUAGUGACGAUAGAUAGCCUACUUUUAUGUAUAAUUUGAAAGAGGAUGGAGAUAAGUAUAUUUCUCUGGGAAUCAGAGCUUCCAUGAUAUGUGAUUACCUGUUAUCUUUGAAUUUCUCUUCCGACUCUUGUAUUUCCUUAAGUGAAACUAUGGCCCUGCAAAUUUGACAUGUUGUUGAAGGUUGUAAAUCAUAUGUUGUUCUUUUAGUGGUAAAAAUCUUGUUAAACAUGUAUUUUCAUUUAGGUUAUGGACUCUUGGACAUGCUAAGUCAUGAUGGAAAAGACCAAAGAUUCAUUGGUAACGUGUUCUGAAAAGUAGCAUAGGCAUUGCAAUUCUCUGAGUAGCGUUUUAUUAUGGAUAACGUUUUUGGUGCUGAAGGAAGAUUUCCAUCAAACCUAGCAUCAAUAGAGCAUAUUGUUUCUUGACUACAUUAUGUAUGAGUAUUAGAGUUUAAAUUGUAAACGGAUCUGGACAAUAUAUGAAGUUGGUAUUGAUUUCUCUCAGAGAACAAAUAGAAUUGAACAUCCAGGCUUGUUCUUGUUGACAUGAUUUAUAUAAGAUAUACUUAUAUCACUUUAGAGAAAACUGGUUAUAUGCAUCUGUAUUGUCUCAAAUUAAUUUUAGGCUUCCCUUCAAAGCGUUCUUUUUGUCCAUCCAUCUGGGUGGUGUUCAAUUUUAGAUUAUCCUUUGAAUACUAGACGUCCAGAUAAUGGCUUUGUGGUCCUUCAAAUAAAUUACUGAUAAUGUUCAUGCAGUUGAUGGUGAAACAGGUAUGGUAAUUAAACGACUUCAUGUUUAGGAAUGAUAGGCUUGUACUUUGUAUUUUAAAGAUGUGUGCAUUUUUCAUAUAAAUUUUGUUCAUUGUGUUAGAAUGCUUAUAUUAUAAUUGUGUUGGAGAUGUUAAAAUUUUAGAUUUCAAUUUUGUUUUCAUUUUUCCCAAAAAAAAAAAAAACCGAAAAAAACCGAAACCGAAAAAAACCGAAAAAAAAAAUGGACCGAACCGAACCGAACCGUUUUGAACCGAACCCAGCUCUAGCAGUAAUAAUUUGUUUUUGCAGCUUUAUGUGUCUCUGUCUCCAAAUAUGAUGAUCUCUUAAUUUGCUUCUAUAGCUUUUGUAAUAUGAUGAUCUCUUAAUUUGCUUUUGCAUAUCUUCUUUGCUUCUUCUGCUAGCUCUAUAUGAGAUUCCAUCUCCAAAUAAUUGUUCCCUAUUUCCUAUUUUUACAGGAAGCAAAUCAUUGAAUACACAUGGAAAAUUAAAAUGGUUUCAGUUUUUGGUUAGUUUAAAUUUUUUGUUGGUUAUUGCUUGUAUUGUGAAAUCUCGUUCCCGGAUUUCACUGUUAUAAUGUACGUGUUUGUAUUCUCGAGAAUUUAUAUUAAGUUAUUUGAAGUUAUACUUUAAUUAAACUAGUUACGAAGGUUAGAGUUUGGAAAUUAAUUAUUUAAAAUUCGUAAACCGUCCGAGGUCACAAUUUAUAUCUGUGGAUAGAGCUAGGGGUGGGCAAACGGGUCUAGGAACCGCGGGGCGGGUCGGGUCUAGCCGGUUCGGGGCGGGUACAAGUUUUGUAAACUCAAAACGGGGCGGGUCGAGGCGGGUCCAUGUAAUUGGCGGGGCGGGGCGGGUCUAAAUUUCUGAAAAACCGGGUACCCAGGCCCGGACCGUUUCCACCGUCCAUAUACGAAGAUUAAAUCUCUACCAUUCAUUACUACCACUCUUUCUCUUAGUCGCUGACUCUCGCCUCCUCUCUCGACUUUUCCAGGAUCCAUCCUCUCUCAAGAUGGACUCAGCGCCUACUCCACCGCUCACUCCUCCUCUCGUUGAAGCCACGGCGGUCUUCAUCGGUGCUACCCCUGCCCCAUAUUCUCUCAGAUCAGAGUCGUCACUCCCCUCUCCCACUCGAGUCGAGGCCUCUUGUGAACACCACCACCGCCGUCGAAACCUCCUCCAUGAAAGACACCUUCUCCAAAUAUUCUGAUUACCUCAACAAUCUCGUAAUCCCUAAUUUAAUCUUCACCAAUUUGCAGCUCUGUGAGCGACUCGAAGGUUUGUAGAAUGACAAGCGGGAAAGGGUUGUAAAAGCAAGUCGCGAUAUCACCAUUAAUAGCAAAAAGGUCAUCUUUAAGGUUCACAGGUAAGAAAGCUGCGACCUUUUGCUUCAAAUUUUGUUUCUGUUUUUUGGGUUUUUGAUUUUGGAUUUUGGUUUUUUUUUUUAUAAUAAUUUUAUUUAUAUCAUCAUUGAAAUGAUGUUGCUGUGGAAUUUGAACUUGAACAGAAUCAAUAAACACAACAAAGAGGAAGUUCUGCAGAAAGCUGAAAAGGAUUUAGUAGCUGUGAGUCUGCGACAGAUCAGUACAUUUCCCAGCUUGUUAGAGAGAUGCAGGCUAAGUUUUUUUCUUUUAUUACUGUUACUCUGGGAUUCUUUGAGAAAACUUGAAGCUUGAAUUGUUUUUGUUUUCUGGGUGAUUUGGAAAAUGGGCGAAAAAAAAAACAAGGACCCGUGUACCCGGCCCAAACCGGCCCGUUUGAAAAGGGUCGGGUUAGGUCCGGUUUCUAUUUUAAAAUUUGUUGCACCCGGCCCGCUCCGGCCCGUUUCUUUUACACCCGGGUCCGGUCCGGUCCCUUCAAAAUUGGGCCCGGCCCGGCCCGUGCCCAGCCCUAGAUAGAGCUCGAUCUCACGAACGCGUAGGCGCAAAUCGUUCAUGAAACAGAUCUAUAACGAAGAAGUUAUAGACGUUUUAGUUGUUGGAAAAUAAAUAAUUAAAUGUUUAGAAGCUGCCAAGUGGCAGCAAGGGAGAGGGGAGAAAGGAGAGAGUGCGGGAGAGAAAAGAGGGGGACACCCAAUAAGAAAGGAGAAAGGAGGGAAAUGAGAGAAAAGAAAAAAAAAAAGGGAAGAAAAGGGAGAAACGGGUUCGUACGACCCGUGGGUAUUGCCGGCCACCCAUCUCCAUUUGCCGACGAUUUUCCGACGAAUUUCUUCAAACAACCACUUGGAAACACUCCCUUGUCCUUCCCUCUACAUGUUUCACCCUAAAAAUAAAAGGUUUUGGACUUGAAUAGGGAGAAACCGCACUAAGGGUGUAGCGGGUGUGUGUGUCAAAUCUCCCAAAUCCAAAAUGUUUACACCCAACGACCACCAUCAAAAGACUUUCCUUAAGCCCCUGAACAAAGCCCAGGCAGUGGUGGAGACGUCGGAGCAAGUUUAGAGGUCGAAUUGGAGCACACCCAAUUCUAGGGUUCUUACGGGUUUUAGAGAAAUUGGAAUACUUCUUGAUCAAAUUAGCCUUGGUCACAGGUAUAAAGUUUACUCUACUCAUUGAGAUCUUUAUUUCUGUAAUUUUUGGUAAUUUUUAAAAAUAGUUGAAUUUUUCCGGCAAAUCGGGGCGGCCGACCGCCACCCGCUGCGGCGCGUGCGGCGGCGGCCUGGCCAGCGAGCCAACGAUGUCCUUUUAAGUUCAAUUAGAUGCCCUGAUUUCAUAACUGACAUCCUUAUGUUAUGGUUUGAUUGUUUAAACCUAAUUUCAUUACGAUAUGUGGGUAGGUCAAAAUGUGAUUCGACGAUCCGACCGUUGGAUCGUCACCAAACUUUAAUGCGUCAUAGAAUGUAAUAUUUGAGGAUGGUUGGAACUAACGGAUUGGGAAUCUGAUGUAUGGAACUUCCUGAUUUGGAUUUCUAAGUUUGUAAAUCAAACAUUGGUCACCACUUGAAAUUGUAAAAUCAAACAUUGCAUAUAAGCAUGCUAGAGCCUUUAAUUGUUAAUUACAUGUAUAUGUGUUGCUAAAAUGAACUUAGUUUAUCAAAUUUUUAUUUCAAUAUCAACUUCUAUGGCAUGCGUGGUGUCUCAUGUCAAUCACACAAAUGUUAUGUAAAAAGAAUAUACACGUUGUGUUGCAUGAUUGACAAUUAACGACACAUAGUGUUAUAACCGUGUCAAUGUUAUGAAGGUUUUUAUGCAAAGUCACUUGAUAUGCCGCAACAAUUAGUAAACAAUAUUAGAAAGACCUAGAGGAACCCACAAUUAAUUCCGAUUCAAUAAGUAGGUCAUGUGCAAGCAAGGCAUGGGCUUCCCAUGGGUAGGAGCUGGAAUUUACCCAUAUUUGGUAGUUAUGUACCAUAUGUUUACCCGCAUGACGCUGAGUGUAAUCCUUCUUAAGGUUCAACAAUAUUGUUUCUAUUAACAAAUAUAAAUAAAAAAUAAGCAAAAUACUAGAGAGAUUACACGUUUAUAUUACAUUGUUGUACCAUAUUGUGAUAUGGCUGUGUACAUACCAUGUCUUGUAAUGAGUUUAUCUCAUUAGAUGUUAGACUGUUAAUUAUAUGUAUCACUUGUCAUAUCAUACAAUACAUCAAUAUGAUAUAAAUAUGCCAUCUCUCAAACAUUACUCUUAUCAGAAACCCCAAAAAAUAGGAAAUGCUCUAUACUAAAGCGGAAUGAGAAAAACAUUGUUCAUAGGCAACAGUAUUUUUACUUUUUUGCCCUCAUUUUUAAUGUUUCUGUGUUCCUACUUUUAUGCCUCUAUACGGUGAAAUCGCCAAUUGACCUAUGGGCAUGGGUGUGUAUAAAAAUUGUUUUGCACACGUGGCGUGCUAGGGAGAUUUCUCUGCAGCACUGCUUCAUUAACUGUUUCAUUUCUCUGCACCGUUUCCUUCUAGCUCCACUCCGAAUUGAUACCGAAUACUGGUCAACCAAAUUUUCUCAUCAUUUCGUUCCGUCCUUCUCCACAUCUUCAUUCUUGCUCCACCAUGAAUCGAAACAAAAAAUUGCUCAUCCAAAUUGUUUGGUAUCAGCCGCUCCAAGGAGACAAAUUGCUGAGAAAAGUAAAGAAUUCAGAUAAAAAGUGAAAUUGUUCAUUCAUAACCUUUAGGGAAAUACAGAUGGGUUCUUUAUACCCCAUUUCAGCUACUACAGACAAAAGGUUAGGUAACCCCAAGUGCUGAGUCACCAUAUUCUAAUAUUCCAUUACAAUGCAAAGGAAAUAACUUAAGGGAAUGAGCUAAAGCAUAUCAAGGUCCUAACACAAGUCAAUUUCAGUUAACUCAAAUCCCUAAAACCCAAUUUUCUCCAGAUCGUUGGAUUUAGUUUGCUGUUGUUGUUGCUAAUCUACAGGUAAAGCUUAAAUUUACAUACAAUUUUUUAUUUUUCUUGAUUGGAAUUUGGAAAGAAUUAGUUGUUCUUGGAAAGAAUUACAGAAAAUUGGAAAAGGGAAAUGGGAAAGCGAGGAAAUGCAAGAAAAUGUGUUUGGAAAAUGGAAAAUGACUUUUCUUUGGCAUUCGCUUUGACUUUCAUCCUUUCUGCGUUUGCUUUUCCUCAUUUUUUUUCUCAAGAACCAAACAUAAAAUAAAUAAAUAAACCUAUAAAAAAAAGAAAAGGAAAAUCACAAGAUUAAGAACCUGGGAAUGCAACAAUCGAGCUUCUGUGCCGAAAUAUCAAUUGGGUCCCGUUGGAUCUUCGGUGCUUCUUCUGCAUUCAAAAAGUUGGGGUAUUUCUGCAUCAUUUUUGUGUGUAUUUUUAAAUUCCAGAAGAAAGUGGAUAGAGAGAGAGGAAUAUGCUUUGGGUCGAAAUGGGAACACAAUUCCAAAUUCGCCCUCAAUCCCAAAGUUCAGUAAUUUAUGCAAUUUUUGUCGAAAUUGAUAUUCUUUAUUGCUGAUAUUUGUUAAAAAAGAGGGGGAUAAGAGCAGUAAAAAGAAUCUACAGAAAAUAUUUGUUUUGGAAGAGUAUGUCUUGAUUGGAUAAAACUCGCACCAGAGGGCGAGCGCAUCUGCUAGUAUGCAUUUAAACUUAUAAGGCUAAAUCCUUUAGGGGCGUUUGUUUGCCCUCCUUAACUCUCAUUGGACUGGACUAGAUUAAGGGUUAGUCCAAUCCCGUGUUUGGUACCCGCUAAAACUAACUUUAAUGAGACUAAAGGGGAUUCGCUCCGACUAUCUCCCUCGCUAGGAGGUCUUAGCGAGAGCGCCCUGUGACUAUGGGACUGCUAAGCCCUUCGGCUGGUAUGUCCUCAUCUCCUCUCAUCCACUCUUCUUUCUCUGUUUUCUUGAGCACCGACAGCCACCAUCACACCACCACUCCCAACUUCAGCGAGAUACACUGCUAGCCCAACACCACUCUCUCGAGAUCCAAGGAAAGCAAGCAUCAUUUGGCAAUUUUUGGUAGAAUUGCAGGGGAAGAAGAAACGAAAUGAAAAGGCUUGAAUUUGUUACAGGCCAUUGAUGGACAAGAUUUUUUUUUUGGGAAAUCGAUGAUCAGGGAUUUUUUUUUGGAGAAAUCUGGAGAUCAUGCAGCUUAUGGAACUCUCUAGAUAGAUUAAAACUCACAUAACCAAUAUGGGCAAUAAUUCAUACCUGAGAUAGAGUUUGAGAGAGCUUAAGCUCUCUGCGUUAAUGGCAGAGCGCCCGAUGGUGCAUCGAUGAUACGUACAACGCCGUAGGUGGAUUCCCCAUGUCCCAAGGGUUCGAGGUUUAGAUUUUUUAGGGUUGAUUUGGUCAGCAUCAAGAGAAAUGGUGGGGGUUCCUUCUCGGAGAUUAGAGAGAGAAAGGUUGUAGAUUAUUGUUGAGGAGAGAGAGAGAGAGAGAGAGAGAGAAAAGUGCAGAGAAAGAAAGAGAGAAUGAAAGAGGGGUCACGGGGUGAGGGACCGUAAGAGCAAGUCCACCCAUGCCAAUCGGCCGGGGGACGGGCUACAGCAAAGGGCCCGAGGGCCAGUCAAUUCAUCUCCAGCCAUGGAGGGCCCGAGUGAGGGUGGGAGCCCGAGGGCCGGGGGGGUGGGUAAUUGACAGGCCUGUGGCCCGAGGCCCGUGACGUCAGGCCUGGGUCCAGGCUAUUUUUUUAUAUUUUUUUUGUGUCAGGCGCGUGCCCCUCACUCGCGAGUGGGGGCGCGUCGCCCGACAAGAAAUCAGACAAGUGGGGUUUUCGGCCAGUUACCGUUGGGAAGCCACGUGGCUUCCCACGGUCCGUUCGAUCCCAACGGCUCUUUAAUACGAGCCGUCCGAUUUGCAACGGUAAUAAAAAAAAAACUGAUUUUAUAUCAACCGUUCGAUCUAAGAUCAACGGUUGAUAUUAAUCUGCUUUAUAAAUUAAAAAAAAAUAGUUUUAAAAUUAAGAAAAGUUACCGUUGUGACACGUGGCACAAUCUGGAGUGUUGGAAUUCAAAUUUUUUUAAAUCCAACGGUAGAAAUUAAUUAUUGGAAAAAAAAAUUUAAAAAAAAUGGAAAAAAUCCAAAAAAAUUGUAAAAAAUCUGAAAAAAAAAAUUGUAAAAAAUUGUUUUUACUUUUCUAUAAAUACCACUUCUUCUCUAUCUAUCUUACACCACAAUUUCAUAUUUUCUCAACUACUUUCAAUCAAAUUCCUAUCUUUCUCUCAAAGUUUCAAUCCAAUUUUUUUCCACAAAAUGGCUACUGAUGCAGGUUCGAAUUGGUCGCUUCUUGAAGAUGUUGCGUUGUGCACUAGCUGGGUUGAAGUUACUCAUAAUUCCGUUACGGGUAAUGAGAUGCAGUUGCGAGAAAUGUGGAGUUUAAUUCAUACCAAAUUUGUUGAGCAAAUUGGUGGGAAAAGAACCAAAGAAUCGAUAUCGAGUCGUUGGAAAAUACUUAGCCAUUCCUUUAGUACGUGGAGAGAUGCCUUGACACAAGCUAGUAAUAAUGUUCGAAGUUGGGCAAAUUAUGCGGAUGAGGUAAGAAUAUAUUAUAAUUAUUUGUUUGUAUUAUUAUUUUGUUACCUAAUUUGAUUAUAAUUAUUUGUUUGUUUCAUUUAUUUGUUACCUAAUUUCAUUAUUAUUAUUUGUUUGCAAUAUUUAUUUGUGACCUAAUUUCAUUAUUAUUAUUUGUUUGUAUUAUUUAUUUGUUACCCAAUAAUUUCAUUAUUAUUAUUUGUUUGUAUUAUUUAUUUGUUACCUAAUAUAAUUUCAUUAUUAUUAUUAUUUGUUUGUAUUAUUUAUUGUUACCCCAAUAAUUUCAUUAUUAUUAUUUGUUUGUAUUAUUUAUUUGUUACCUAAUAAUUUCAUUAUUAUUAUUUGUGGUAGAUUAUUUGUUAUAUAAUAUUUAUUUGUUAUUAUAAUUUCAUUAUUAUUAUUUCUUUCUAUUAUUCAUUUAUUAUUAUUAAUUUUUAUUAUAUUUAUUUUUCCUUACAUAAUUUCUUAAUUUAUUAUUUUGUUAUUUCUUUAUUAUUGUUAUUCCAUAUUAUUUCAUAAUUAAUUUCAUUCAUAUUAUUUAUCUUCCUAGAUAAAUUCAAUAUUUGUCUUUUGUAUAAAUUUCAAAGAGAAUUAUGUUGCAUGAAGUAUGGCCAUGCAUGUUAGUGUCCCAAAAUUCAAGCAAUGGCAUGUUGGAAGUCAUGCCAUUGAAAGCCCGUUACACCCAGGUUGCAUUGAACAGCACCCUCCCAGCACAUUUUGUACACAGCAACCCUCUCCACACUCUACACCCUGAUGGACCUGAUGAAGAAGAUGUAAAGAAGUGCCUGAAACACCCAUUCCUGAACAAGCGUCAAGCGUCGGGGUCGACCGUUUCAUUAAUUAGGCUCAAGGUAAGAAGGCUUCAAAGAGGAAAGGGAGUGCUUCCAUGAAUUAUUUACAUGAAUUUUGAUCAUUGGCUAUUUGACGUUGAAUAAUGACGGCGGGAUUUAUAGAGAUUUGAGCAAAAGAAUUGAGGCAGAAGAAGGCAAGAAUUGCAAAUUUUGAGCAAACAGAACAGAACACAAGAUUGCUACUUAGAACAGGGAAAGGCAAGAGCUACUUAGAGAAGAAACCUUAGAAGAAGAAAAAGAUGAACAAGAGAUCGUCAAUUUGAACACGCGUUUAGGAAGGUGAAUUGACGUUGGCACGGGAUUUGGCGAAAUAUGAGGCUGAAAAGGCUAGAGAAGAGGCAAAAGCUGCAGCUACUGAACAAACAUUUCAAGUUGAACAGAGGGAAAGAGAGCUACUUAGGCAAGAAAGGGAGUUGCUUAGAGAAGAAAGAAAUGCACAACGAGAUCGUGACAUUAUGAACACGCGUUUAGAAGGGAUGUCUCCAAAUUCUAAAUAUUUUUGGAAGUCGGAGAAAGCGGAUGUGGUGCGAAGGAGGCGUGUAAGAGAAGCGAGAUCAAGACAAGAUGGUCCUAGCACAACAAGACAAGAUGAUCCUAGCACCACAAAUUGGUUAAGUGAUGAUGAAUAGGGUACUUUUUGUAAUCGGACCCCAUAGUUUUCCGAUCACUUUGGGUUGUAAUUUAUUAUUUAUGUUGUUUCCAAUUUAUUGAAGUUAGUACUUUAUUUAACGUGAGAGUACAUUUAUUUAAUUUCGUAAUAUAUUUAAAAUUAAACUACAGUCAAUGACGUGUCCAGAUGCGUGUCCAUAGGCAAGACACGAGUACAGACGUGGCAAGAGACGAGGGUUGUACAACCAUGAGCUUGUGUCCGUGGCAAGGACAACAAAGGCUUGGGGCUUAGGAUGGCAGAGGAAAUACCACGGCAAGCUAGAGCCACCGACACAUCGUCGUUGCCGCCAAACUUACGUAAAAUCGUUAGCACAAAAAGCCGCCAAGGGUUUCCGCUCACUGGGAAAAAGAUAAGAUUUGUGAACGCCAAGACCACAUGGGUCACAACAUAGCAAAAUUGAAAUCUUUGUCAUCCUCAGCAUUAUCCGACCGCUAUCCACAAAUUGAAGCAACGAAUUGGGCAAGUGUGCAACAAAUUUCCAAUGUGCUUCUAUUGUGAAUGAUUUACAGGGAUUGGGUUGAAUGAGGUUUGUAGUUAAAGUGGGAUGCAAUUUAGAACACCAACGUUUGAUUAUGUUUCUCUCAUUUUUUUCUGUUCACUUUUGCCUCAUUUGUUUUUUUUGUUGCAUCGUCUCAAAAACCUUGUGCGUCUACAUGUACAUGUAUAAGUAUAAAUUUUGGUUAAAACAAAAAGUCACAUAUUUCAUAAUUAACUAUUUAAAUUUGUUGCAAAUCACAGUAUAUCUUUGUUCAUACAUUCAAACAAGCAUGACAAAUACUGAGGAAGAAAAUGAAAAUUAUUGUCACUACAAUUGUAUAUAUUUUUUUCUUUUUGAACAAACGAUAUUAUCUACACUAAGGGGGUGAGGGAGUGGCCUAAGCCUAACAAUGAGCUAGCAAUAAUAUAGUUCAAUUUGCCUUUGAUGAGAAUCGAACAUAAGACAUUUCACUUACAAGUGAAGAGAAAUAUCCUAGACCCUAACUGGAUAUGUUAUUGUCAUGGUCAUGCAUUGGUAUAGUAACAAUAUGUUUGGAUAAGGACAAUAAACUUAUAAUUUUGCCAAAAGUCAGAAUUUUUAAAUUGACACAAUCAAUUCCUUUGUUUGGAUUCAUAAAUAUAGAAAUUUAGACUUUCCGCGUGAGAAAAAACUUGGAAUUUGGUACCUUCAAUUCUCAUGUUUAAAUUUCAUGUAAAUAUGUGUCAUUUAUAAAUUUCAGUAAGUGAGAGUUUAAAAAUAACAAACAUGUAUUCAAAUUUCAUUCAUCCUUUAGGUUAACCAAACAAGAAAAUUUAUAAAUUCUAGAAAAUAAAAUUUCGUUAUUUCAUUUCUGUUAUUUUAAAAUUUUUAGGGCAUGUUUGGUACUCUACUUGAAUCUAACUUUUUAAACUCAAAAACAAUUUUCAAGUUUUAGGCCUUAAAAACUUGUUUGGUAGAACUAUUUUAAAAAACUGAACUUAAAACUAACUAAAAAAUAUAAUCUAUUAUCUAAAAACACAAAAAAUGAGUUUUUAGAAUUUGUAAACUUAAACUCACUCCUUUCUUUUCUCUCCCUGCUCCCCUCUCACUCCAAAUCUCUCUCUCUCUUUUCUUCUUUCUCUCUCCCCCUUCUUUUUUUUUAACCUUUUUUUGUCUCUCAUCCAAUCCGCUCUCUUUAUUCUCUCGGUUCUUUCUCUCACUCCUCUUCCUCUCUAUCUCCUCCGAUUCUCUCUCUUCAUUCUUUUUCAACCAAUCAUUUCUUAUUUUCUUUCCUCCCCUCUCCUCUUUCUCCCUCGACCACCUCUUUUUGGAUCUCCUUGUUCAGUUUGAGCUAUAAGAUUUAAAAAUUUUAAAUCGCAUAUCAAACAAGUUUUUGAGUUUUAAAGAAAAUUGUUUUCAAGAAAUAUUUUGAGAAAUGAUAAAAAAUUUCAAAUAUGAUACCAAACAAGCCCUUAAUAAUCUUAAAUUUUCUCGUCCAAACAAAAAGUUUUCUUGUCAUAGAACUUUCAAUUGAAAUCAAGGAAGAUAAUCUUUUCACAACUAAUUAUUCUCACCAAAAGCAAUUUUUAUUUUAUAGCAGAUCAAUACCAAAUUGCAAAAGCAAAGUAGUAAGGCUAAAAUUCAGGUGAAGAACCUGCUUCCACUAAUUUCCUUAGGAGGGAGAGAGAGAGAGAGGGGAGAGAGAACCAAGCGACCGAGCAGAGAGAGAAAACACCAAGUAGUAUUCUAAUGUUGGUGGGGUUAAGUCACCUUCCGUGAAGUUGCAGUAAGGACUUCUAUCCCAAAGAAAAGUCAGUAAAUGAUGUUGACAUCCGUCAACGACAAGGACAGAAUUGUGUAACCAUAAUUCUCUCUCUAUCUCUUUUUUCAUUAACGGAGGACAGUGUAUAAUUACUACGUAUAUAUCUCUGCUCAAUUAUUGAAAAGAAAAAUCCAUGUGCAUUAUUUUUAUUAUUAUUAUCUCAGAAAUGCAGAAAUUGAUCAUCUCUUCCUUCUGCAUAUUGAUACUGGUUUUCUUCAAACUAGUUGAAGCAAGGCAAUAUGUGUGCGCGAAAUCCAACUGUAGCAAUGAUCAAGGCCCGGCUAUCUAUUUCCCAUUGAACACCAGGCACACACAUCAUUGUGGAAAUUCUGGGCUUGAAUGCAAUGGGAGAAAUGAGCAGCAAAUACUAAUAAAAUUAUUUGUCAAACACAUAGAUUACAAGCGUCAGGAAAUCCAAGUCUAUUCCCCAAGUAACUGCCUGCUGCUAAAGCCUGUUGAAAUCCCAAACAUGCCACCCUCUCCCUUCAUCGUGUCAGUCGGUUACCUGACGAACGUUACCUUAUUCAGUUGUCCUACUUCUGUUGCAAGUGAUCCAUAUUAUCCGUAUCAAGUCCCCUGCCUCGGCGACCGUGGCAAGAGAACUUAUGCCAUUGAUUCUGACUCUGGUUUUAGAACUCUUUUCCGGAAUCUACAAUCUUGUACAAAAAUGUAUGAUGUUUUAUCAGUUCCACUAACCUAUGAAGAUUAUGUACAUCGUUUCAAAUGGUCUAUACCAAAUUGCAGAAAAUGUGGAGAGGGAAAGAAGUGUGGAUGGCAGAACAAUGAAAUUAAAUGUAUUCAAUGGAGGAAACCAAGUAAGGAUAACAUAUGUAUUCAUUGCUAGUUUUAAACAUCUUUACAUUUAUGUCUCAGUAAUUAUUAUUUAAAACAUGUUGUCCAAUCCAUUUUUACUAUGAAUAUUAACUGACAGUCUCAUUUGAAUUUGCCUUUAUCUUUUACAGGCAACACAUGGAAAUUAGUGGUUACAGGUGGAAUCCUGGGUUCUUUGCUUCUUGUUCUACUGAUGAUUGCAGCAUAUCGGGUAUAUAGCGCUGAUAGAAAGGAAAAAGAGAGUCGAUUGCGAAUCGAAAGAUUCUUGGAGGAUUACAAAGCACUCAAACCAAGCAGGUAUUCGUACGCAGAUAUUAAGAGGAUUACAAAUCAAUUCAAGGACAAGUUGGGCGAAGGAGCCUAUGGAACUGUCUUUAAAGGAAUGCUCUCUUCUGAAUUCUUUAUUGCUGUCAAAGUCCUCAACAGUUCUAAGGGAGAUGGGGAAGAGUUCGUAAAUGAAGUGCGAACGAUGGGUCAUAUCCACCACGUCAACGUGGCUCGCUUGGUUGGAUUUUGUGCUGAUGGAUUUGUAAGAGCUCUUGUUUACGAGUUCUUCCCCAAUGGUUCCCUGCAGGAUUUCAUUUCAUCCGCAGAUAGUAAGAAUUCCUUUCUUGGUUGGGAUAAGCUGCAGGAUAUUGCCCUAGGCAUAGCCAAAGGAAUUGAAUAUCUUCACCAAGGAUGCGAUCUACGAAUCCUGCAUUUCGAUAUCAAACCCCAUAAUGUUUUGCUAGACCAAAACUUCACUCCAAAAAUUUCUGAUUUUGGUUUGGCCAAGUUAUGUUCCAAGGAUCAAAGCUUGGUGUCCAUGACUACAGCUAGGGGGACCAUGGGCUACAUUGCACCCGAAGUGUUCUCCAGGAAUUUUGGAAAUGUGUCUUACAAGGCAGAUGUCUAUAGCUUUGGAAUGCUGCUGCUUGAGAUGGUAGGAGGAAGGAAGAAUAUUGGUUCAAUCACGGAUAACACUACAAAUGAAAUUUACUAUCCACAGUGGAUUUAUAAUCUUCUAGAGGAAGGGGAUGACCUACGAAUCCAUAUUGGGGAAGAAGGAGAUGGUAAAAUUCCAAAGAAACUUGCAAUUAUAGGGCUAUGGUGUAUCCAGUGGCACCCGUCGGAUCGUCCUUCCAUGAAAAUAGCGGUUCAGAUGUUAGAAGGAGGAGGAGAAAGCUUGAGUAUGCCGCCUAAUCCCUUUGUGCCUACUGGUCCUACAACUAGAAAUGCAAGACGCCUAGAGCUAG